rnacentral:lncRNA from 1 species
CAUUCUAUUUUCCCAACAAAUGACCGAACCAAGUUUUCCAUAUGGAGUGUCAUAAACUGGAGUUGUCGAGCAAUCUGCGAAACCCCAGAAGAGCCGCUCCCAAUAUGUUGGCACGAGUUUCCUAUGUUUUCCAAGGUAAUUACCUUCAGGAUCAAAGAAGAGAACAGUGCAAUACAAUGUGUAUCCAUCUCUCACAACAACACCUGUCACUAAGUAGACUUUGUAUUUCGCAGCCAUUGAUGCCAAUCUAUCCACUUCAGAUCCUGAAAAUACAUUAAUAUGAGAUCAAAGAUGAAAUAUGUAAGCUGAUGGUUCAUCAAAAAGCAUAAGUAGAUUUUUUUUCUUGGUUCAUUAAUCAAACAUGUCUUGUUUCAAUAACUAAUUAAGUGGUUCAGUUCUUUAGCAAUUUAAGGGAGAAAGAGAGAGGUAACUGACCCGGCACAUUAAUGGCAGAAGCAUGGUACUUGAGGAAACUUUCUUUCCCUCUUGGUGACUGGUCGGCGAAGUUGUAUCCCCGGGGAUACCCACCGAUAAAUGCUUCAGGAAACACAACCAGUUGGGAUUCUACUGCAGCUGCUUCUUUCAAAAACCUCUCAGCCUUAUCUUCUCUCAAAAAAUGUAACAUGGAGAGAUCAUAUAUCAUUCCCGUUGAAAAAUUGUAACCAUGUAAUUUUAAAUAUUGGAGGGUACAUUACUGAAUCAGCAAUAUACAAACCACCCUAUAAGUUAAGGAAUAAAAUAUAAUAAAUUUAUUAAUUUUUAUAAGUUAUUUUUUUAUGAAUAUAAUAUACUCUUAUUUACUUUUAAAAAAGAAUUUAGUAAUAAGUAAUUUUCCUCAUAUGAAUGUUUGUUUAAAUUAUUUUGAUUUUAAACACAUAAACUUCGAGUGGUAGUGGGAUAUGAGAAACAUUGAAAGACUUUUUUUAGGUUUAAUAAGUGAUUUAACUAAAAAUAGUUUUAAAAGUACACUUUGUUGAAAGACUUUCCAACUGAAUUAUUAACAUAAACACCGUAUAAACACUUUGUCCAUUAUCUAUCCAACAAAUCAUUUUCUCCUAACAAAAGAAAUAUUUUCGUUAGAAUAAGCAGAAAAAAAAUCAUAUAAAUUGAAGGAUGGUGUCGAAUAGAAAAAUAUUUCUCUUCAAGUCGCGAUAAACUGCUCCACCUCUCAUCAAAUCAACUCAAAUUCUUGUCUAUUCAAACUUUCAACGUAGCUGGCCUACUUCAUCUCUUUUAAGAAGCCACACCAUUUUCAAUAAAGUUGAUCCGUACCUGCUAUCUGUUCAGAAAUAACUUCCUUUCUCGAUAAAAGGUCUUCUUAUGAAUUAGGCUUGUAAAAAUUUCUUUGUUAUUUAUAAAGAUUAUAAGAUCAGAGUGCUUAAACUUUAAUGCCCUCAAAAGGACUCUCUUCUACAUAUAUGCCAUUUUCCAUAAUUACGUCCACUUUACAGUGUCAAUAAAUUGUUGGACACGUUAUUUUUAAUUUUUAGUACCAUGGAGCUGUUUAAAUCCAUUCCCAUUUGACUUAUAUCCUCCUCGUGGAGAAGCCUGUAUAUCUCUUUGGAAAGUAAAUGAUUCUUUCCUAAUUCCUCACUCUCGCUUCUCAAAAGCAUCUCUCUUUCAUUCUCUCUUGAAAAAAAUUUCAACUCAUAUAUACUGAGGUGAGUUUGAUUCUUUUAUGGUUAGCUUUAAUUUUUCCUGAUUAGGUUGAUGCUUUUACUGUUGGUUGAGAGUGGGAUCAACGAAUUGGAUACAGAAAUGGCCCCUUGAGCUCUUUGGAAGCUCUUUUGAAGAACAAACCUCCAACAUCUAUAGCUCCUUAGCCUGGAGCUACGUAUAUUCUUAGCUUUAUAAUCUUUUGAUGUUGUGGUUUAGUUUGAAGGUCUGAUACAUUGAUACCUACCUCUGAGGGUUAUCCUUUUGAAUUACUUGAACACAAGCAACAGUUUGUGGUGAGUGCUCUCAGUACCCUAAAUUUCUUAAUAUUCUAAUACAAGACAACAACUUUUUACUUUUAUUUUUUGCAAUAUAAGUUGUUUCUUAUGGAUGAAAAAUCUUAAUGGAAUGAGCAAAAUCGAAAAAAGGUAUGUAAUCAUUUAAAUUUUACACAUUUGAAUAAAAUUCAAACAUUGAAUUCAAUCAUGUCACACUUACAUACGUAACUCCGUGUUGAACAUUUUCCUACUUAUGCCAAUAAAGUCAAGCUUAUUUAAAUGCAUGUCCACUUAGAACUUAAUUUAUUUAGAUUCAUUAUGAUCUUUGUAAAUAGUUAUUAUAUUAAUAUAUAAAGAAAAAUAUACAUAACUUUAUAAAUUUCAUAAAUUAUUUUUGAAGUGUGAAUGGCAAGAAGUGAACAAAUAUAAAAAUUGAGGAAUUUUGCAUCAUCUCUCCUUGUUGGAAAAAAAUUAUGAAAUUUAUUUUCAAUUUGGGGUUUAUGAGAGGUUUAGAUUAAUUUUGAGGAUUGCAAACAUAGAUAUGAAAUCUUUGUAAAUAUCUUUAACAUCUUUCAUAAUUGGAAAAAUUGUGUUUUGGGCCUAGUUGGGUCCAAAAAUUAAGCUUUGAUCCACAUAAGUGAACCAUUUAAGCCCAAGACUAAGUGUCAAAAUUGAGAAGAAUGAUAUGAAUUUUUAAUAUUUCUAGAAAUAGCCUUUGUUGACUAUGAAAUAAAAAAAAUAAAAAAAUUCAGAUAGGAUAUCUUGCCCUAAUUUUGCUCACUCUUCAACAUUUUAGUCUUAGACAGUGGUUGUUUUCCUUUCUCCCUCCUGAUUUCCUUCCUCACUUCUAUUUCAUCUUUGUGCCUCUUUUCUUUUCUCUCAAUUUCAUCUCUCCCAACCAUUUGAUUUUAGCCCAAAUACAUUGUCGUAAUCUCUCUCCCAAUUUAAGUUCGUCAUCUAUUAUUCCCUCGUCAACCCCCACUAGUGUUGCCCUCCGUGCCGACCAUAGUUGGAUAUUUGAGGUUAGUAGGUUCUCCAACAUUGCCCUAAUCUCUCUCUUGAUUUUAGUUUUUUGUCUAUUGUUCCCUUGUUGAUCCCCAGAGGCGUUGCCCUCUGUGCAAACUGUAGUUGGAUAUUUGAGGUUAGUAGGUUCUCUAAAUCUCGCCUUAGAUUUGCUUAAUCCUAUAUUUUGUUUAAUCCUUAUUCGUAUGAGGAGAGGGAUUCUCGUUUUCUGUUAACCUUCAGUUUACAAAAUCAAUUUUGGGUGCUAUUAAUAUUUUUUGUAAAUCUAUCCCAUAAUGGAAAUAGUUCUUAUUUAUUGUAGUGUUUUUUAUGCUGAGAUACAUAGGUGACUUGUAAAUUUUUGGUGCUUGGCUUUUUUAUUUUUUACAUUGACAGAUUUUUCCAACAUAAUUUUGGGAAUGGAAUGUUUCGAAAUUAAUAUUUGUUUUUUUUUUUUUGAACCAAAUUAUGGGAAUGAAAUGUUUUGAAAUUAUUCACUAUCCCUACAUAAUUUUUGGAUAGUAGUAUUCAUCUAUACCUUGUUUUAUUAGUGAUACUCACUAGUGGCCCCCGUUUUCUAUAUCAAGAUAAACAAGCUUAGUUGUUAUCUACCUUUUAUGAGUGGUUAUGAAUUGUUCUCCUCAUGACAUAAAUUGAAACCAUUCAUGCGCUUGAAUACAGUGAGUAUCUAAAUGCAAUUCUAUAAUGGCACCAAGAAAUACAAUGUGCCAAUAUUCUUUAAAAAAAAAAAUUAUUGACCAUGUUACGUUUCAGCUUUGUAAACCAGGGUCAUGGGAUCAAAUUCAAUAAACAUUGACUCACACUUACCUCAAUAUGAGCAUAAACAUGUGUUUUGUGUGAAGGAAUGGAUAGCUUAUAUGACUCAUCAACACCAAUUUGUAAUUGUACAACACACAAAAUUUCAUUGGCAGAAUUUACAUUUCUUCGUUAAAAUAAACAAAAUAGUGCAAACUGAAACGAACUUCGAACAACUUUUAGACACUUUCAUGUGAAUAUGAAAAUAAAGUUCUAAUGAAAAAGGAAAUCAUACACUACUAUUUUCCUUAAGGAAAAUAUUUUUGUUCCAAACCUUCGACUCAAGGUUUGAUUUCCACAUUAGAAAAAUUCUCAUCAAAUAGAAUGCACAAAACAUUACUAUAGUUCCCAUACCAAGUCAAUUUUUAAAUUUUUGUAAGCAUAAAUUGAAAAUAUAUGAACAGUAAAACUCUUAUGCAUUACAAGAACUAAAAAAUGAAUCUCUUAUCUUCAUUCAGAAAGAAAAAGUACUUAUUCAAAAGUUAUUUUCAAAUUAUGAUUUAACUUCAAUAAAUAAAAGGGUUUGCUUGAACAAUGUCAAGUGUACUGAUUGGACUUGGUUUUCUUAAUCAAGACUAUGAAUCAAUGUUAAGUUUGCUUUAAUGAUAGUAAGUUUUUGAUUAUGUUAGUAGCUCUGAGUCAUAUGUGCAUGAGCAUAAGUGCAAAUGAUUCUAUGAACAAGUUGUGGAACCUCAAAUUAGUUCAUCAAUGUAAGGUUGAAGACCUAAUAGGCUACUUCAUUCAUAGGAACCUGAAUUGGUUUAUGAAGAUUAUGGAGUAUAAGAUCACAUAUGUUAUUGAGGAAGCUGGGAUUUAGGGCUUGAUAGUUAAAAGUUAUAGUAGAAGUGAUAUUUUGAUGCCUAGGUUAAAUGUUUCAACAACUACUAUGUCUCAUAUAUUUGUUAUUUUCUUUGCUUCAGUGCAUUAUUUUGAUUUUAGAGAAUGUUUUAUAUUUUUUCAUGCUUGUCUUUAUGAAAAAAAAAAAACCAUUGAAAAUUUACCAAUGCUAAGUCAUGCUAGGGUGAGCAUCUCUUAGGGUCAGACAACGCACCCACUACACUUUGGCCCAUGUAGUUGCAAUUGUCAAUAUAACAGAAAGAACACAAAAUACACAAAAAGUAACCAAAUAUGUUUGUGUUAUUACCUAUUAUUAGAUCAAUUGAUUGUGAAUGGAUUGAGUAAUUAAUAGUUACAAGUUAUUCAUCAUGAAAAAUAUGAACCAAAUUUCUAUCAAGUGUACAAACCCGACCUAGGAAACAAGUCAGCAACUAAAAAGCUAGGCAUUGAACUACAACAAGUGUUUAUCUACCAAUUAUAAUUGUUCUGCUAUACAAAUCUUGUUUAUCCAUCAAACUAGAUUGAGGGUUAUUUCCUCUCUAAAUUUAGAGUCAUAUGGUCUUCUUCCCUCUUGUCCUGAAUAGAUGGUUGCGUCUAGGUUUCAACUAACAUAUUCAUUUUCUAGUCAUUUAUCCAUCUUAACAUCUCCAUUUUAGCGUGCUUAUUUUAUGUGGGCAGACACCAUUACUAUAGUGCCUGUAUCUAGCAAAAUCACCCUUUAAUGUUAACCUAACAACCUAAAACCACUUCCCCACAACAACUAUCAUGCUUUAAUCUUGUAGUUAAUGUUCACUUCAUUAUCCAUAUAUAAAUGAUCAAUUGAAAGAGAACCAAAUAGUCACUUGGCCAUCAAUUCUUACAAUUCCCCCACCUCUACUCUUGUAAAAAUUUAGAAAUUCUAUUCUAGGCUUAUUGGUUUUUUUAUGGAAAGGCAAACAAAAAAAAAUAAAUUAUGCCACUCAAAGAACACCACAAGUACGUGGGACAAUUGUACUCUAGUUAGUGAAGUUAUAUUUUAUAAAAUUUAAUUUCUGUUUAAUUUAAAAUCCUUAGAUUGGAAGGCUCCUUUUCAUAGUUAUAACUUAAAUAAAAUCCAAAUGAUUUACACGUCACGUAGGAAAAAAGAUAAGGGUCUUAUGUGAGACUUAAGAUAAACAUGAUUUGGAAGUGAUUUACCUAUUUCUCUUUCAAUACUCAUGCUUUUCAAUGUAUCAGUUCUUUAUCACAUUAAUACAUCUUGUGUCCAUGCUCUCAUUCAAAACUUGAACUUCUUUUCCUUCCAUCAUCAAAUCAUUUUGAAUCCUUGUCGAUGAAAUGGGAUGGAUGGAAGUGAUAGAAGCAUUUGAAAUGAGCUCUCACUAACAUCAAAUUCCUUGCUUUAGAUAAAAUUCCCUUCCUCUAAGAGGUUGUAUGUCUCUUAACAUUUUUUAUCACUACUACGAUCAAUGCAAAGAAGUUUGAGUAGUUGUUGCUUUGGGAUGUGGAGGUAGGGGGUAUAAAACCUAGCAAACUUGCUUGGUUGUGGGAAGGGGUCAUUCCAACUGCUUUGUUCAAAUUCCUCUUAGGUGAAAGCAACAUGAAAUGUAGAAGUGGGGAGGUUAGCAGUUUAGAAAAACAUGCUGAGUGAACUCAUGACUUCCUAACGACUAAGACUCCAAUAGCAUUUUAAGCUAUCGAAUUGCCCCAAAUCAGCUUGAUGUGCAUUAUUGCCCCAUCAUUACCUUACAUCUAAACUUUUGAAUCAACUUUGUAACUUAACUUUGUAUCAAGGGCCAAGUUGUUAGGAAGUCAUAAGUUCAAACCUCAUCGUAUUGUUUAUUUCUCCAAUUUAUUGAAGCUACGUGCAAUUCCAAAAGAAAGUAAAGGCAUACAUUUUUCUUGACUUUCAUAAUUUAUGCUUGAUAUGAAUAAAUGUUGAUUACUUAGGGUAUAUUUGGAUAUAUUUAUUGGCUAUUUUUUGUGUUUAAAAUCAUAAAUCAAAGGAUAGUAGGAAUUUUUGUAAAAUAUGCAAGAACUCUUUAAGGUUGAUAUAUAAAAUUGUGGAAAAAAAUUAAGGUAUUAUAAAACUUUAAAUAGUUUAAAAUUUAAAUAUUAAAAAUUAAAGUUCAAUUUUUUAAUAUAAAAAUAGUUUUUUUUUAUUAUAAAUUUUUUUGUGUAGUAUUUAUUAAUUUUUAGAGAGAGGGCGUGAGAAAUGUAUUUAUAUCAAUUUACAUGAUGUGUUUUAAGGAAUGUACAUUAUGACGCAUUAGGAAUGUUAUGUUACUUGGGGCUAUAAAUUAUGCGUUUUAAGAAAAUUGUCUUAGUCGAUGAAUUGGUAUUUCAAUAUGAAUUAUACAGUUAUCUUAUUUUAUUUUAUUUUCUAUUGAGAACAGUAGAAGACCAAAAAGAGUUAUACAUCCAAAUGACUUAAGAGAAAUGUACAUGAUAAUCAAUGAACAUAACUCAAACUCAACAUCUUUUUAACGGGUUUGGGUUAAGUAUAAAUGAGUUUGAGUUAAAUUCUUAUCAAGUUUGCAUAACUUGUUUAAUUAAUAGGUAGUUUUAUUGGUCAAUCGACAUAAAAUAAAUGUUAAUAAUGUGAGUUUGUGGCUAGGUAAAGAUGGGGGUCAAGUGUUUACAGAAUUACAGAGUAAUUGGGAAUGUCCAACCCAAUAUCUUCAAUGGUCCAUCUACCAACUAAAAUUGGUGAUGGCAGAGGUGAGACUCCUCAUGGUAAGGUGCAUGUGGUGAUUGGGAUGAUACCCCCACGUGAAUAUACAAAACUCCAUCCUCAUGCACUACACUCUACAACCCACUCCCUUCCCCAAAUACCGAAUAAAUACCACAAUAAUCAUAAUAAGUUUUAUAUUUCCAAAUGAUGUACAAUUUGAUUACCUUCACUAUUAAAAUUUAAGCCUAGGAAAAUCUGGUAAAGUAACAAGUAACAACUAAUAAUUUGUUAGGUUUGUCCCUCCAAAGAAGUUUCAAUUGUUGCAAUAAUAAAUAUUUGAAACUAAGGUUGUCGUAUGGCUCGCUGCACACAAGAAGGAGGUGUCACAUUAUGAAUUGAGGACGUUCAAUUUCUUGACGCCAUAAGUACCACCCCAACCUAAUGAGUGAGUGUUUAUCUUGCAAACUAGGUAUAUGUUGAAAUGGAUUGCUCCAUAUUUUAAGUUCCUUUGUUACUUAUAAUUCCACAAUUAGUAACGUCUUUGUCAUAAUAUUGUAUUAGGCAUGAUUGUGGAGUGUUUAUUAUGAAAUUCAUGGAGUCGUGGUCAAUGGGGGAGUUGUCCAAAUCAAUCGAUGUUAUGUAGAAGGAACUAUGUAUUAUCAUCUCAUUAAUGCAAAAAAAUAGUAUAAAAGGCGAAAUUCAUUAUUUUGCUGAUUUUUUCAGUUAAACUUGAAUGAAUGUAGGGAAUGUUGAAACAGUAUAGACUGAAGAUUAUGAGUAGUUUGUUGUUUUCAAAACAAAAUGCACAUUGACAUCGUUUCAUGAGGGAUUAAUGGGGACUGUAUAUUUUGAUGACACAAUAUAAAUUCAAUUUGGUUAUAAUUUAUGUUGGACAAACGAAGUAGUGUAAAUUUUGUCUUAUGAUGAUAGUUGCAUAAUUGAAUAAUGGCACUAUAGGAUAAGUAAGAAGUUGGACUGCUUUUGGAGACAAUGACAACAAUAAUUAAAUUGAUUGUGUAACUGAACAAUGGCACUAUGGAAGAACAUGUCAUGAAGUGCUAUGACAAAUAUAGGGGGUUGGAAAGAAAUUGCACACAUUAAUUAUGAUGAAAGUGAUAGUUACAACAUCUUAUGUAAUAAGAAAGUUUUUGAGUUAAAUUGAUUGUAAUUAUAUUCGAUUUGUACAUGGACAAUUAAAACCUUUGUUUCUGAUUGUAAAUGUAUAUUCAUUAUUACAGGAACUAAUUCAAUUGGAAUUAUACAUAGAUUUUACUUGGUUUAUUGUAGAUUCCAUAAUAGGGUACAUUAGGUGUUUGGACUAUAAUAUAAUAUGUUUUAUUAUUUAUUAUUAGACCCAUGUUUUUUCAUUGUAUUGCAUUUGUAUUUUUGAUUUAUUAAAGUUUUAUUUCGUAUUGUACAUCAACUUUUGGAGGCCAUUGCAAUGUGAUUGGUAAUUGUAAGAGUAAAAUGAGGUGUUAUGGUGGUAGCAUAUUAGGUACAUUGUGCUAAAGUGUAUAAGCAAUAGGAAGGAAGGAGGACUUCAAUUGCAGAAGUGCUUGUUUUUGGUGAUUAGGAUAGAAGAGACAAGGCAAGUAGAAAAAGAGGAAGAAGAAGGUGAAGAUGUAGAACUGAAGUAGUGGGCUUGGCUUCGCCAUUGUUGAGUUCACUUCUUUCCUUGUCCAGUGAAAUAGUAUUAACUAUUGGGGGGAAUAUGCUUAAUGAAAUCAUAGAUGUUAGGCUCUCAAAUGUCAAUUGCUUGGCAUCUUCUUAGGAUUUUAAUUUUCCUUCUACUCAAUUGGAAAAUCCUAUAAUAAGGUCGACUUAAGCAUAUGGUCUCAUCCAAUAAUGUCAAAGCUUUCCCUUUCCUUUAAAAUUGACUGCACAAUAACACUUUUAUCAGACAUACGUAUUUAUAUUUAAAACUUUCAUAUAGGUCUUGUACUUUUCCAUCUGUAGUGCGGAUAAACCCUCAUGCCAAUAUUAUGACUAGGCCCUCCAACGAAUCUUCAAACUAUAUAAAUGGUAUAAUCUUAACUUUAACACCAUAUGUUGGUUCAAAGCACUAUGUAAAAAACCUUCUUUCCAAACGUAUAUCAACCAUAUUGUCUAGGUAUGUUUGAAGGCAUAAAUUUUAUAUUUAAUUUUUUCAAUUAAGCAUAUUAUUAAUGUUUUAGGCAAAUAUGAAAGAAAAGCCUCAUGCAUAGAUUUUUUAUUUGGUUGCAUCAGUAUAAACAAAUACAUGAAAAAUGAAGGCAAGAUCUACAUUGUUUUUGUUGGAAGAAGGUCGAGUGUAUACACAAUUUGGCCUGAAUGUCAAGCUCAAGUAAUUGGUUACAAGGGUUGCAUUUAUAAAAUCGUACAGAACUCAUCAUGAGGCUGUAUCAGCAUGGGUGAUGUGUGAGCCUUGAUGGAAAAAACCUGAUGCACCUAUUGCAUCCUUAGAGCCUGCAAAGGGUGGCCAACUGGUAGAUGACCAAGUAUUAAAGAAGAUUGAAGAUUGGAAACAAAAUUUCCUUGCUCCUGUUGUUCUCAAAUGUGUUGUAACAUUCACGAUCAUGUUUGUCAUUCAAAAGUUCUUUUAGGUAUGCUUUAAUGUGGUGUGACUAAGCUACAUGUUGUAUUUGUAUUACGUGUCUUUAAUGCAAUGGUACUCUGACUUUUCAUCCUUCAUUAUUUAUUUUAGUUUUAAAACAAUACUAAAGCAACAUGAAACAAAAUAAGAAAUUACAAAUUUUGGAUGAUUAAAUUUAAGAGGGAAAAAAGGGACAUGAGUGAGCAAGUUCUUCAAAAUUCUUUAAAAUCCUUAAAAAUGGGCUACCUUGCACACCCUUAUAUAGUUAGCACAUGUACCUUGUACACUUAGUGUGAAUGCCUUGUACACUUGCACAUUUACAUACACCUAUAAUGCAAUGUGUGCAUAUGGGUGAGUUAACUAUGUUUCCAUUGUCAUGGCUUAGGAAAAGAAGUAAAAAAAAUGAAAUCAAACCUAACCAUGUAUCCUUCAUCAUCAUUUAUGAAUACGAGGUGAUGGAAUGAACAUGUAUGAGGUCAAAUAAAUGCAUGGGUUGCACGUGAUCAACACAUAAGUGUGAGGAAUGUCUCUCAUCUCAUGUUUGGAAAAGGGAAAUGAGCGAGUUAGCUCCUCAAAAUCAUUUGAAAUCCUUCGAGAUUGGUACCCUUGUACACCCUCGUAUAAUUACCAUAUUUGCCUUGUACACUUAGUGUAAAGGCCUUGUACUAUGGUAGAAAUUCAAUGCAUCUACAACACAUGAAUCCAUAUGGGUAGGGGAACCAUGUUCCAAUGUCAUGACUGAACAAAUUUUGAACAAAUUUGAUGCCAGAUUAUAGUUCUAUUAAUCAUUAUUGUGGUAAGUAACAUGAACAUGUACGAACUCACAAAAAUGAAUGGGAUAAGUGUGUGAUCAAGUAAUGUGUGUGACGAAUGUCCCUCAUCAUUGGAAAAUGGAAAUGAGCAAGUGAGUUUUUCAUAUACCUUUCAAAUUGUUAUGGAUAGCUACCUUGUACACCCUUGUAUAGUUGAAUAGCAAAAAAAUGUGCUUUUUUAUAAGGAGAGUGUUUACAAAGCAUAUAAUUCUAGAGAGGAAGUUGUCUGAGUCUGGUGUUCUAUGAACCAAGAUGGAGGAGAAGUGAUGAAUCUUUAACUACUGGCAAACCAAAGACUUAACAUAUGGUUAGCAAUCACUGUUCCAUCCAAAAUAUUUCAUAUCCAUAUGUAAUCAACUUCAUUGUUGGCUUCUUUGUAGCAUGUGUUUUCCUUAUUGUAAUAUCUAAUUUCACAUAGGUUGUUCAUAAUUGUCAUGAGUAAGAAUGUCCAGUAAUGUGGUUUUGAUAGUAUUCAUAGGUACUAUGUAAUUAUUAUUAUCAACUUUGUAGUUCACAAAUUCAAUUUAAUGUUAAAAAGACAAUGCACUAUUUUGUAUCAGUAGUUUGUGUAGGAAGGUAUUGUUUUUAUUUCUAAUUUUUCAUGUUGGUAUACAUAAAGUUGUGAACAUUGUUCCAAAACACAGUACUCGUGUGCUGUGAAUUUUUUGGACACUUCUUAUUGAAAAGACUACUCACUAUUUGUAUGAGGUAUCAUUGCAAGAAUUUAUUAUAUGUAUUGCAUUUCUAUAGUUUUUGUCUACGUAAAGUGGGGACCCUCAAAGCAUAACACAAUCAUAUGCAGUUCAUUUUUCCACACUAAUUCUUGAAAAGACUAAUCACUUUUUCAUUGCACUCUUUAUUGUAGGAAGUUAUUUUGUUUAUUGCAAUUCUGCCGUGAUGGCCUACAUAAAGUGGCAACCCUCAACCAUUGUAACAGUUUAGUCACUCAAUGUGGUGUGACCAAGGUUGUUAUGGCAAGUAUUAAAGUGUUUCAAUGGUGUCCAAUUUGACAAUGUACCUUUUGAAUCAUAUACUAUGUGAUUUAUCUCACAAAGCAUCCAUUGGCCUUGUUAAUUUAAUGAUCUAAGAACCAGAUUGUAAUUUUUUGAAUCAUCAAUAAGUACCUUACUUGCAAACAUACUCAUGUUUAUUUUAAUUGAAUUCAUGAAAUUAAAAGAUGUUAUUACACAUUACGAUGCAUUUAGUCUUAUUGUGGCAUGUCAUAUGAAUGCAAACUCUGUCGCAUUUAAAACUUUUAUUACAACAUGGUAUGAACCUAAGGAUGUUGUUUUCACACAACACCACAUUCCAAGUUUGUUACUGUCACUUACCUUAAUCACCUUUGGUAUUUUCAUCAAAUAUUUCAACAACCAAUUUGUACUUUGGUACGAUGAGUAAUUGAGCUACUUUAAUUGGGUCCACACUUUUUCCACAUUCUGAUGCAACAUGGAGCAGUUCUUUCAAUAUGAAAUAUCUAUUUUUUCGAAUAGUCAUUUUGUUCUCUUUGUGAAUGCAGUUCAAUUCCUUACAUAAUUAAAUCAUUCCAUUCAUAUCCAUCGUUCUUGUACGACGACAUGGUAUAGGUGCACGAAGAACUUGGAGUUAACACGAUACUCUCAUUUUGUUGUAAUAGUUUGCACUGUGUGGUUGUUGUAAUGAUUACACGAUGUCAUUGGGUAGUAAAAUUCAUUUUCCAAGGCCCAAUAACGCUCUAUACACUUAAACACAUCUCUUGGACUAUAAUAUUUACCAAAGGACUGUUGCGUGUUUCGAUACAUGGCUCUCGCUUAUCCCUUGUUUACGAUAGUCAAUGAAUGAUGUAUAUAACCAUAUGUAUACAGUCACUUCAAAUAAUUUACUUGUGUGUACAUUGCAAUUUCAAUUGAAGUGACAACACAUUUAGGCUCAUUUAGUGGUGUUCCUUAGGUACUAUACUCCUCCACUUCACCCUUUCAAUUUUUAUGGGAUAUACGAUUUUCUUACAAUUUGGAAUUCACUAACCAUUAUUGCACCACCAACUACAAUGUGGAUUUGACAAUUCCAACAAUAAGUGAUUUGAUACCUCACAAGUUGUAUGGCUUACUGCUUUCAAUUUUCUAAAUUGAUAAGCCAAUAGAAUGCAACUUAAACGUAUUGUCAGUAAUGAAUGCAUCUUUCUAUGUUGGGUCAUGCGUAAUGUACUUGAAUAGUAUAGUCCAAAAUCUAUUGCAUUGAGAUUAUCUUUGACCACUUACCAUUGCAAUUGUUAUGGCCUUCCAAAAUUAAUUUCAGCCCUUAUAAAUUGACACUAUGUACAUCCCUACACGUAGACUACAUGGUUGGAAACCAUGAGAGACCCAAAUCAACAAAGAAUUCAGGUUCAUCGGCGCUACAACCGACAUUGGGUAUUACUUGGUCCAUAUAGUUAUGGUGAGUUAUGGAUCUUAGAUAGAAGAGAAUACUAUGCAACUGUAAGUAAUGAAUGGGUUCAACGCAUGAAUGAGUCUAACCUACUCAUCAAAGAGUUGUGUACACUACAUGCUUCGCUUCCACGAUGUCAUUCCUUCAUAAUGCCACGAAAUAACCUCCACGAGUACAUUGAUACACUUAUGGAAAUACAGAAGGAGAACAAUAGAGUGAUAAUUCGCAAAACAUGGUUUUUCUUAUUGUGUAUUGCACAAAAAAAUGCAAACGAUAAUGGCAGAUAGUUAUCCUCCAUCGAGCGCGAUGCAUUAUUACAGAAUCCUAAUUAUGUCUCUAAUUAUUCUAUGACUGAUGAAGAUUAAAAUUAAAGUUUUUCAAUAUUCAUAUUAAUAAUUUUCAUAUGUUUUCUAUGGCAUUUGAAACUCACCCUGGGUUCAUAUAUCACAAAAAAAGCUUAUUAUUAGUUGUUAUGUGUACUAUAUCUAUUGUUCCUUUUUAGCCCAUGAGUAUCGAAAUCUUUCAUUCUCAUAACCCACUAACAACUUUGAUUUUGUUAUAAUUUAUUAAGUACAAAUUUGGGAGAUGUUGGCAUCGUAAGGAGUUUAAUGGGAAUGCAAGCCAUUGCAAAUAAUGACAACAAUGUAUCAUGCUACUUUUGAAUAAAUUAAUGAUUGCAAUACAAAUUAUAUCUUGUAGUGCACAGUACCCCUCUACACUAUGGGUGAUAUUGUAGAUGAAUACUUGUACUAUGGGUGAUAUUGUGCCUUUUAGCUUCUACCAUCUCUUAAAAAAAAUAAUAAUAAUAAUAAAAAACUCUUUAACCUUAAAAUGUUGCAAUUAUGUUUGCCUUAUUGACGUUCUAUAUUUGGUUGUCAUGGUUUCAAUCCUUCCUCUAUGUUUAAUCCAUUAUCAAUCUACUCAAACCUCUAAAAUAUGAAGUGACCAACUGCAGAUACAAUGUUCUAAUUAAGUAGAAAAAUGUCAGGGUCGAUAUGUGGAAGUAGUAGAAGUUUUUUUUUUUUUUUUUUUCUUUUCACAUAAACCUAUUUUAGGUGAAUCAAUACACCAAGUACAAGGGCUCUAUCUCUAUUUCUUCUAAUUCUGGUGUUCCAUCAACACCCAUCAUCCUCAAUAAGCUAUUAUACAUUAUUGUAUAUCCAACCUAAAUUAUUACAUAUGCAUAAGAAAAUUCACCAUAACAAUAUAAUUACCAAAUAAGGAAAAAUUAUUACCACUAAUUAACAUGUUACGUCUGACAUAUUUCUUGUUUUGUCUACAUCAUACAACAUUACACAUCAUUUUCAAUGGGGUUUGAUAUUCAUAAUGGUACACAUUCAAGUCUCACUUUUACACAAAACGUAUUGCACUGGUCCAAGCUAUCCAGAUUGAAGAUGAACCUUCUUCAAGAACCUAUUAUAUUCCUGGUGCAACAUUUCCCCUCCAUUCAAGUGAUAAAAAUGCACCGAUACCCAUUGACAAUGAAUGAAAACAGGGAUGAGAAGCAAAAUUAGAAACUAACAUUGUGGAAAACAAAGAUGUGGUGACAUAUUAACUAAGCUAUCCAACAUAUAAUUUGGUCCUAUUAAUAGAGGAAAAUUGAGAAUAAACCCAAGUGGGAUUUUAUGGGUAAAUUUUUUUAAUAAAUUACUAUACAUGUAGCAAGUCGAUUGGCUAGUACAUGAUUAUAGUUUCCAAAUAAUCAAAUGAGGUAUAUCAGAAAUAGAAACCAUCACGUUUGAGUAGGAAUGAGUAUAAUUUUCUACCAAUGAAUAGCGAAAAUUAAAUGACUUUUGUCCUACUUGCAGAAAUUAAAUCACAUGGUUUGGUUCUUCCUACGAAGAGCUAGUUUGUAUCAUGCUUUAAGUGCUAUAAAUCAAUAUCAAAGUAAUGCAUUAACCACAGUAACCAGACAAAUUAACAAGUUGAUGACAUGAUUCAUAUUAGGGAAGUGAGAAGAUGGCUCUUUUGAUUUCAUUUUAAAACAAAUACAUUAUAUUAACCACAAUUACUCAGCACAAACUAUGAGACUUUGAAAGCCAUUGAUUUACCUUUCUUGAUGAUGGUAUAAGGCAUAAAAUGGAUGCAUCGACUUCUUCCAACCAAUAAUACGUUAUGAGAACCAUCAAAAUAAUGAGGUUUUGCCUAUUAAUUCACAAACCAAAUGCAAGAUUAUGAUACUUUACUCAAGGAUGAAAAUCAAUUACAAGUAGUAUAAUUCUCUUAAAGCAGAUAUAUUUCUAAGAUAAGCUGGAAGAUUCAUGAGGAUCAGUGAACUUAUAGGAACGAAUAAGUUUAUUAAAGGGAAAAUUAUUAGGAACGAAUAAGUUUACCCAUUCUUUUGUUACACAAGAUCUGGUUGCACAUGCACAAAUUAUGCACAAGUUUACCCAUUCUGACACUUAAUCAAUACCCUACAACAAAUAUUCAUAAAUGGGAAUCUUUGACCAAAUUUGUUAAUCUAUUUAAUUCAAAAUAGAAAUUUGAAACUGAAACUUAAGAAGAAAUUUCAUAUAGUGAUCUCUCAAACCGAUAUUACAUCAUUGGUUAAAUUUAAUCAUCGAAUAGAGUCCAUGCCCUAAGAGAAAUCACCGUAGGGUUUAGUCGAAGACAAAUGGUUUGUUUGCAAAGAGUUCAAUGACAAAGAGUUCAACUUAAGAUUAUACCCCGAAUAAAUGAAUCCAGUCAUAGAAGACGUAACAAUGCACAUAAAGCAAACAUAGAAACAAAUAAUGAGACUUUGUUAUAGAAUCUUAGAUGAAAACCAAGGGAAUAAAAAAAAAAAAAGAACUGAUUGAGAAUCAUAGGACCAGUAUUAUCAAUUGGUAAAUUAAACCAAUUGUGUUUCAUACUAUAUUCAUAGAUAAAGAAAUAUGAGCAAACACAACAUUGGAGUUCUAUAGUAGACAGAAGAUAUGAUGUACAAAACUGGAUUUAACAUCUUAAAUUUGACUAUGAGCUUGAAUUAGUUGAUAUAUUACUCAUGGAUGGGGGAUAUUUCUAUAAAAGGAUGUUAUUUCAAUAAUUUGAUUAUCAAUUUUCUGCAGUAUGAUGGAGACCUUUUUCUUUAGAAGAUAUUUCUUAUUAUCGAUCCAUAAGAUAUUUCUUACCCCAAAUGAUGCUUUACCCAUUGCCCAUGACUACAUAAAAAUAACAUAGGUUAAAGAUCUCCCACCUUUGGGAUCUUUAUUUCGCUAUUCUGUCUUGGGGUUCUUAACGAUAUGAAGUAAGGAAAUAUUGAAGCCCCAAAAGCAUACAUUUUCUCUUGUAAAACAUUUCAACAAAUCUACACUAUCUUAUUUUAAGGUAGGGAGUAUGGGAAUCCCUUUGCAGGAGAUGUCUACAACAAAGAAUUCAACAAGCACCUACUGAUGUUGCAACUAUGCAUUUAAUGUCCUUAAGUUGAACCCUUCCACCCGAUUAUGCAUUCUAAAAGCAUACCCCUAUUUUUUUAAAUUUGGGGAUUUUGCAUCUUUAAAAGUUAAAAGCUAUGCUACCUAUAUUUGUCAUCACUCCUAGAUCAAUACAACAAUUGGCAAAAUGGGAGCUGAUCCUUGUCCAAGUCUACCUCUAUGAGAUGGAGUCUUGGAAGCACAGAAACAAUGCAUGCCCCUCCACACCCAUAGCACCACUUGUUGCAUUUAACGUUUCUGAAAGUUACCUAAAUAGUGUGGCCAUUAAUAGUGUAGCUUGGGUAAGCUAAUAUUGGCAAAAAAAUUUCAGUUCAUAAUAUUUUAACUUCUUAUACACAGAUUCAUUAUGUAACAAUUUGGAACAAUUUAAUGUCUCUAUCGGUCUUGGACGAAUAAUAGUCACCUUAAUUCCUUUUUGAUAGAUCUGUGAUCAAAAUAGAUGGAUUUAGACCAUAAGCAGGAGAAGAAACUUUUUUGGCAUUGGCAUUAAGGAAGAUGACGUACAAUCAAAGGCACAAUUAAGGCACCUGAGAAGAUGUUACAUUUAAGCAAGGAAAAAUAGUCAUUCUUCAUCACAAGAAAUGUAUGCUACCACUUUUUCCAAAAAAACUCUUGCUCAAGUCUUCCAUCUUUAACUUAAGCUUCAGAGGGAUAUGUAUGAAAACCCAUUCGGACAUGCCUUUGUAUAGGUGCAAUCGUUAUCUACGUCACACGGAGGCUAGCCAAACACUUUCUUUGUUGGCCAUGCACUAGCAAGAAUGAAAUUGGACGUUGUACCUUUCUUCUUGUUUCUUUUACAUAAUUUUCUUUAAUUGUCAAUGCAUAAGGUUAUUGAAUCAUGUCUUAUGAUUCUACUUAAGAGUUGUACAUGAGUUUUUUUUGUAGGAAUAUAAUUAAAUGCUUUCUAAAUCAAAAUUGAUAUUAAACAUAUAUAAUAAAAAUUUUAUUAUAUAUAAAAUAGUUUUUAUAUGCAAAUAAAAGCGGAAUCAAAACAUACAUACAAACAAUGUAUAUCCGAAUAUAUAUAUAUAUAUAUGCAUAUUAUUUUUUAAAAUUAUAAACCUUUUUUAUUAAAUUAACUAAAUGAAUGGAGAAGUUUUUAUUAAAUUGAAUUCGUGAAUGAGCUUUCAUUUUUUGGUCCGAUGAUUCUAAUAUGAUUCAAAUGGAUAGGCUGAGUCAUGAUUAUAAUAAUAUAUAACUAAAUUCGUAUUACAAUAACACAAAAAUUCACAUUGCAAAGAAUCUAAUAGAUAUAAAAUAAAUAUACGCAUGUGUAUGUAAAUUAUCAAGGAUCAAAUUCGAUUUAUUUUUUAUUUUCUAAAUAAUAAAUCGUGAUAAAACCAAAAUUAUGAAGAAAAAAAACUACAUAAAAUUAGUCGAUUAUUGAAAAAGAUUUUUCUAGGCUUCUUAAUUUUUUCAUACCCUAUUUGUCUCACUCUAGGCUAUUUUCUAUCACAAUACUAUGAUUUGUUUUUCUUUUUUAAGGAUUAAACUAUAAAGCAUAGCAAAAAUAGGACAUAUAAAUGGAAACUGAAAUAAAGAUUUAAGGACACGGUGGUCCAAAUGACUUGAUUGGGGUAGUGGGAAGCAUCAUUGCAGGGGCCAAACCACCUAUACUAAAGGAGUGAAACUUUCCAAACACAAAAUAUUGCGAAUUUAGGUGAUCUCCAACCAUGUUAGACAGGACAUACUCACACUGCAAACUUAAAAAUCCUUCCCUUUCUAUUCUAUUUCUCAGUGUAACUCCACACUUAGGACCCCAAAAAAACCAAAGCAUAAUCCGUACAACUAAAAAAUCCAUGAGAAAAUUAUUUAUUUUUUCUUCUUUUCCUUUAUUAUGAACCAAACCAAACCAAGAUCCCCAAUUUCAAAAGAACAAUCAAAACCAAAAUAUAUGAUAAUAUACUAUAACAAAAUUUCAAAAACCCUACAGUUGAUAUAAGAUUCACUCACCUCUACUUAUGAGAGAUCCUUGUUGAUCGAAUAUGAAGAGACUUUAAGAUUAACAGUCCAACUAAUCAUUUACCAUGCUUUCUGUCUCUUCUACAUUCCAACCCUAUGAGCCUUUUACAAUAUUAUUCAAGCUUUUUGGGUUUUCGGAAUUGGAGGAAAACGAGGUGGAGAUGUUUCAAAAUGAGAGAAAGAGUUUUGGGUUGUUCAGUUUUUGCAGAAUGAGAGGAAGUAAAGGUAGGUUAGGGUUUUUCCAUUUCCUAAACUGAGAGGAAAACAAGGAAGCUUAAAAUUUGGUUUUCAAACAGAGAUAAAGUUGAGGUCACUUUUCCCGUUUCUUUAGGUUAGGGUUAGAGUUUCCCCAAAAUGAGAGAAAGAAGAAGGCGAUUAAUGCUUCAACAUUAAUUCCAAUACCUUUUUCUUUGAUGUACGUGCUUAAUACACGUCGAGCUCCAAAAUUAUGUUUUUUUUUUCUUUUCUCUUUAAUGAAGUGGAAGUUGACCUGGACAAUACUGAAGGGUAGAUUGGGUGUAAAAAAACUCAAUCAACACAAAGUACACGAAAAAUUAACAAGUUUUGGGAUGAGGAGAGGUAUCUUGGAUUUACAAAACUUGGUUUCUGAAUAUCUUAUUAUUUCUCUCCUCUCUUCAUCUCUCUCUCUCUCUCUCUCUCUCUCUCUCUUUCUCUCUCAUUUCAUGUCAUUUUGCCCCAACCCCAUCUCAGAAAAUUCCUAAUUUCGAAGUUCAUUUCAAAUUCGAAGACAGGCGAUCUGUCUCUUCAAGUUCCAACCAGCUGACGGAUAUCCAUCUUCAGAAAACCUUCAUCCUCUCAUUUUAGCCUAACCUAGUGUUUCUCCCUUCACGAGCCGACCACCCAAAUCCGAUACCCAUCUUCUUUCAUCAUCAAAGGUGGAUCAUUUUUAAGGUUUGUGGAAACCGAACUGGAGUUGGAGUCUUCCCUUGUUUUGGAUUAAUCAAUCAAAGGUAAGUUUUCCGUUUAAGGAUUUGUUUGGCUACUGAGAAAAUGUUGGGGUCGAAGGUCUUCUAUUUUGGGUUAAAUAUAUGUUUAAAUUUAUAAAUGAAGUAUAAAAUUUUUUUUGCUUUCCAUGAUAUGUGUUGUGAUAAGAUUUUUUGGGAAAUUGUUUCAUCUAUAAUACUUCUAGUUGAUGGAUUUCUUCAUUUAAUUUUAAUGGAACAUUAAUGAUCUUUUGAAAGCUGCAGAUUUGGAUUGAGAAGCACUGCACCAUCUCUUUGAAAACAAAUUUUCUUCUAUUACUUAGAAAUUGUUGCAGACAUCCAUGUGGCAAGGGCAUACUGGAGUAUUUUUUCCAAUUGGAAAAUAAUUAGUUUGAGAGUCUACUGUUAUUUAGAGCAUGCUUUUAAAUACCCAUUGGUAUUCCAAUAUCUAUAUGUCAUACAAACCUUCCUCAGUUGUUAUCUUAAAAUUCCCAUGUUUUUGGUAGUAAUAGUCUUUUUUUUUUUUAAAAAAAUAAUACAUGUAUUUUUGUAGACAUCUCAAUGACAUCUUUGUACUUUUGAACCUUAAUACGAUGGACUGCAUCAAUAUUUUAUUCUCUACUUCCAAGUAAUGGCAGUUUAUAUCACAAAUUGUGUAGUAAACAUAAGAUCCAUUUUGACUGUCAUAUUAUUUUACUUUAUUGAAGUUUUUUGCAAAAUAUAGAGUUGUUGUUAGGGAUGGGAGCCAAUUGUGUAUUACUAGUAGUUGAAGGAAAUUUUCUUUUAAUAUGAAUGGGAUAUUUGAAAAUUAGUACUAGCAAAUAAAGGGAGGGGGGAGAUUAUGUGCUUGAUCAUUUUUAACUAUUAGUGUUUUACUAAGUUAGUCCAUUCUUAAUUUAAUAACAAAAUAAAUGGGUCCAUUCUAUGUGAUGCAUUCUUUGAUACCUUGUGUUUGCAUGUUUGUAUUGUUUGAUAACUUGUCUUUGCAUGUUUUGAUUCUUUGAUGGUUUGAUUAAUUGUUCGUAAGAAAUGUUCAAUGUUGCAUUUUGGUUUGUGGGAGGUCCAAUAAAAUUGUUUUAAAAAUUGCCUUUAUAUGUAUUAUGUUGGUGUGUAAAGGAAUAGUGUAAAGGAUUUGCAUGAAUUGGUUGAUGGAAUUGGUAUGCAAUUGUGAAUUGCAUUUAUGUAUUAUGUUGGUGUGUAAAAGUCUUUGUUUAUUUUCUUUAACAAAGUAUGCUAUCACCUUUGAUAGUUACAUUUGCAGUCACGUACCGGUAUUUUAAUAUACAUGUGUAAAAGAAUAAACUUAGGUAACUUAUUUAGUUACAAAGGAUAGCCUUUAUUUAACUUAGGUAGUACAUGAAUGCACGUACCUUAGGUAUUACCUGAAUGCACCUUAGGUACUACAUUUGUGCACCAACUAUAUUGACUCUAUCAAUCCUAGGUACCACGUUGCUUAAUCAUAAGACCUAGCUUUGGCAUUCACUUUCAUAUGAGUUUAAAGACGAAUUGAUAAAUGUUGAACAUCUGUACUCAGUACAAAAUUUCCUUAAUUGAGCAGGAUAUUAUUAUGUUAUAAGUGGUUAUCCAAGAGGUUCGACUCAGGUACUACCUUAAUAUACCUUAGGUAUUACCUUAAUGCAUUUUAGGUACUACAUCAAUGGACUUUAAGUACUACCUUCUGCAAUUUAGGUACUACCUUAAUGCACCUUAGGAACUAUUUUAAUGCACCUUUGGUACUACCUUAGUGAACCUUUUCAUUCUUGAACCUUGUGUAGAUCCUUUGUCAACCCUAGCUACUAUCUCUAUUAUAGAUUCCUACUUUGGCAUUCAAUAAGGUUGGAGAACAUCUAGAUGAAGAUGAUUUGAGAAAUGUUGCACUUUUGUACUGAAAACACAAUUUCAUUGAUUGCAUUAGAGAUAUGAGCAUGACACUAUUAUGUUGUAAUUGGUUAGUUAAUUGAAAGCUUUUGUUACCUUAAUAGUGUGAAUGUACUACCUUAAUAAACCUUGGGUACUACCUUAAUGUGUCUUAUGUACUACCUUAGUGAACCUUAGGUACCGACAUUAGUGAACCUAAGGCACUACCCUAGCACACCUUGGCUACUACAUUUGUGAACCUACUAUUGCUACUUUGUGAUGUACUACUCAUGGUCAAUCAUAGGAUAUAUCUUUAACAUUUAAUUCCAUCAUAGUUUGAAGAUGAAUCAAUAAAUGACUUAACACACAACUUCCUAAGCUAAGCAUGGCAUUGUUAUGUUGUAAUAGGUUAGGCAAUUAGUUGACCUUAGGUAAUACCUUAUUACAUCUAAGGUAGUACCUUAAGGUACUUUGUUAAGGUACCUAAGGUACCACUUAAUAUACCUAAGAAACUACCUUAAUGAGCCUUAAAUACUACCUUAUUGAUCAUUAGAUACUACCUUAGUAAAUUAACCUUAUGUACUAUCUUAAUGCACCUUAGGUAUUACCUUAAUGGAGCUUAGGUAGUUCGUUCGUAAACCUUGGAUAGUUAGUUUAUCAAUCCUAGGUAGUACCUGGCUCAACCAUAGACCCAACGUUUUUGUAAAAUUGGUGAACACUUCAUUUUUUGUUAUUAAAAACCUUUUUAAAAUUAAAAUCGUUUUCUAAAAUUACUAUAAAAUAGAAUUUUAUAUGUGAAUGGUUGAAUUGCAGUAAUCCACUUAAAAAAAUUUUGAAAAGAUGAUUAAGAAAGUAUUUGAUCAAAUGAUGAGUGCAUAUUAAAUGAAAGGUGGGCACCAGCUUGUAACAUCCAACAUGUUGUAGGGAAGAAGUAAGGCUUCAAUUUUAUAAUAUCUUCUGAGAAGCAAACAGUUGAAGAAUGAACCCAAAUGGAUUGGAACUAUUAAAAAGUAGGAAAAUCUCGACCCUGUUUUAUAUUUGCACUAACAAAGAAUUUGAAGUCAAAGACUAAUAAAUUAGACUUUUUGGAAUUUGCAAAUUUUAAAAAUCAAGCAAAAAAGGCCUAUCAAGUCAAGACUCCUUAUCACCACCAUGGCCUCAAUAUAUCUUCCUUUGAUUUGCUCCAACUAUACAUGAUAGCUAUAAACUUACAGCCAAAAGUUGUUGGCAUCACUAUACUUUUUAGAAUAUUAGAUGUCAAAGAAGUAGAUUAUUAGAUAAAUAAAGGUAAGCCAAGCUUUGGAAAGGUAUGUUAUGUUACAAAGCUGAGCAUUUAUAACGUGUUUUUCAAGAAAUGCAAGUCAUAUAUCAAAUUAAAUGAACAGUAAAGCAACUAACUUGUAAUGGUCAGUUUACAUUAAGCCUUCUCAGUGCCAACCACUUUAAAAUAUAUUAAGCUAUCUAUUAGUAAAAAAUUCCAUAACAAUACCAACACAAGCAGGUUGUUGGUUUAAGCAGUAGCCACAUGACCCACACCUAGAUCAGCCGCAUUUUUGGUUAAUUUUACGAAGACACAUGGCCACCAUGGUUGUCAAUAACAAAGCAUUAUCUACCACACAAUCACACACACUAAACAACUUACUCAGUUGCUCACUUCACUUCAUCGGCAACAUUGUCCAACUGCCUCACAUAGUAGCCUACUUACAAGUUCUUCCGCAUCUGCACUCCUUUGCUAAGGUAAAUCCCCUAAUCACUUCACUUACUUAAGGCUUAAACUUGCUAUGGUGCUUCCACGGUUGGUUCCAUUGGGCAAUGUACUUAUGCAUGUAAUUUGAUCUGGCCUUUUCCAUGAAUCUUUGCAUUAGUAAUUAUUUCAAAUAUUAUGAUAAAUUGACCCAAAAUUUUUAAUUGUAGGCCACCGAACAUGCUAACAUUCUAUGUAAUGUUUGUUGUGUGCAACCAUGAAGUUAAUGAUUCCUGGGUUGAAUGUCAAAGAAAUGUGAUUUUCUAUAAGGGGAGUAUAUACAAGGCAUAUACCUGUCAAGACCAAGUUGUGCGAGCAUGGAUGCUAUAUGAACCAAGAUGGAGAAGGGUCGAUGAAUCUUCAACAUCUGCAGUGGCAAAGGCUCAACAUGCAUUACUAGACGCGCAUCCAAUGCAAAAAGUCACAUAUGGUUCUAUCAUCAUUUUUUUUUUUUUGGGUUCUUUAUUGCAUGUGCACUCAUGAUUUUAAUAUCAAAGUUGACAUAGAAAGUCUACAUGUGUUAUGCAUCUGAAUAUCUAUUGGUGUCAUUUUCAUACUAUUACCAAGUUUUAUUUCAUAAUUAUUGUAAAAUUGGCUACUAUAGAUAGUUAAUAUGCAAUCAUGAACAUGCACAUCUUUAGAUUGGAUGAUCCUCAUCGCAUUUUGAACUUAACUACACCCGGUUAUGUAAUAUGAACUUAUAGAUUCAUGAAUGACAACAUGCCAUUUUCUCAUUUUGCCUGUGCAUAUAGUUCUAUGAUGAUAUUAGCUUAUUGAUAAGUCUACAGAUGAAAUUCUUUGUUCCAAUUUGGGAUGCUUACGUAGAAAUGCAUGUUGGCUGGUGUGGCUCUAGUAGUUCUUGACAUCACUUACCAAUGGCCUUUGUUCCUUCUAAAUUAUUCAGUCAGGCCUACUAGAAGCAAUUUUCCAAGGACCAAUGGAAAGUUCAUAUUGCACACUAUGCUCCUGAUGUGGUACUUCUCUUCUAUUGUUCUCAUAAGUGUUUAUCAUAUGAAUUUACACUGGUGCUACAACAUGAAAUGGAAUAAUUACUAAUGUUCAAAUUUGAUGUUCAAUAUUGAUAGUUGUGAUAAUCUCCUCUUUCUAAUCACAAUGUAACGAUAGCAAAGUGUCCAUGAAUCCCUCCAUCGUGCACCUUGGGAAAUUGGAUUUUGACCCAAUAGAGCUCAUAAAUCCAUUUGCUCAUAGUGAGGCCUCUGUUCACCUCUAGCAAGGUUAUGAAGCUAGGGUCAUGGGAUUUGGACUACAACAAUACCUAGGCUAUUAGCUACCAUAGAUUCAACUUUAUGAAAUUCCUGGUGGUGGGCAUAUGAUUACUCAUGACAAAUUUUUUGGAAGCUAUCUUAAGGUCACUAUUGCUGGGAGAAUAACCAUCUAUGUGCUAGAUUUGGCUCUCCAAAAUAGUGUUCCACAUUGAUACAACUUCUCCAAAACCAUUCUCUAGCCCAUUCAAACUAUGUAAAGGCUUGUAAUCCUAAUAAUUAUUUGUCUUCUAUUAUGAUUAAAUUCCAACUUAAUCACAUUUUUUUGUUCAGCUAUGCAAUUUAGUUUUCAAAGAUCAUAGAAACUAAAGUGGUAGAAGGGUUUUGCUGCUUCUACAAGUGAGGUCACAGGACAAUGUUGUUCCAAGAGUAGAAUGGAAAAACUAAUUUAUGAUAUGAUAUGUUCUAAUCAUUUAACAUUAAGCUACUAAUUUCCAGCAAGGAACAUAAGAAUAUUUUCACGCAAUAAUUUGCCCAAAUAUUGAACAAAUACAUUAUGAUAGAAUAUCCUAUAUAAGGUGAAGAGAUGCAAUCAUUUCAAAAUAAACUUGUCUAAAAAUUUAUCCUACUCAGAAAGCAAAAAUGGUAGAGAAACAUUAUAUGUAACCAACAAUACAUGAAUAGCAUAUGGAAGUAAUAUUCCACAAACUAUUAUAAUAUUUAAUUCAAAAUCAAACAGUCAUUCUCCUAUGAUGUUAUUUUAUGUGUGCUCAAUUGUCCUAUUAAUAGAAGACUAAUGUGAUACUGCAUUCAAAUAUGUUUGCUACACAUUUUUUCAAGUUCCUUCAGGGAUGGUUUCAAAAACUACCCUUGUGUUGUUGAUGGGUCUUCUAGGAUUAGCUUACUAGGCGCCACAACCUAGUCAUCCAAAGAGUACCAAGUUGUCAGAUGUUUGUCCUACUUAUUCACCAAGGAUUAUACUUAGUGAUGAAGAUAUAUGGCUUAUAAAGAGAAAGGAGUUCCUAAGAAUGAAUGAAACUACAAAAGGGACAUCAUUGUUCAUGGCUUUCGUAGCUCCAAAAAAAUUAAUUUUUUGACACCAUAGGUACAAAAAUAACCCAUUUUCCAUACCUUCUUUUUCAUAUAGAUCCCCACCCAUUAGGCCAAUUCACACUUGUGUUUUCACCUGCAUAGAUGAUAGAACACAAUUAUCAAUUUCAAAAACAAAGAUAGGGUAUAUGGGGAAAAGGAAAUAAAAUAUAACCCUAAAAUGUACAUUGGUGAUGAAAAAAUGAACUGAAUAUUUAUCUUAAAUGCUUUUGAUAUGAAAAUAUGACAUUUCUCAAGCUAUGAGAGUAUAGAUGAGAUGUUGUCCUUAGGAAAAAAAAAUUAAGUUUAGGUAGGGUAGAUAACAAAUACAAAGGUUUGGAACAACAAUUCCUAGCACAACACAUGUAUAAAAGAUGGGCUAUAUGGAGAAAACAUUUACAAAGGAUGUGAGUUUGGUUUUGUUUAGGAAUGACCAUGAUUCACAAUGCUGAAGAAAUGAAAAAGUGUCAAAAAUGGAAAGUCAUAAAACACUGACCACAUUGUCCAGGAGGUCGACCGGUUUAGGGCCGACCUGGGUUGUCGGGUUGAAAAUUUAUAAGGCCAUUCCCACGCUUCGGUUUCUACAUUGUCUCCUCUGUUCUUGAAGGGGUUUUACUAGUUUUGGCUUCUAAGACUGAUUUUGGUGCAUUCCAGACUGAUUGACUUGAUUUUGGGAGAGAUUUGAAGGCUUUGAAGGCUAGGGUUUUGGAUUUUGGUUGUUUUUUCCUCUUUUCAUGCGUUACAACCAGUUCCGUCAUCGAUCUCUCUCCAUUUCUAUUCGUCAAGGCUUUAGUUGUGAGCUUCUAUUAGUUCCUCCUCUUCUCCUUGCUCUAGUUCUGUCUUCUAUGGCUUCUAGACAAGAGCCUGUAGUUACCAAGGCACAGGACAAGUGCCCAGUUGACACCGCCUUGUUCAAUACUAUAGAGGAGUACUAGCAGUACAAACAGUAUUUCUCUCAUCGGCGUGUGGUUCUUGAGAGAGACAAUAACUUUUCCCAACUCAGCUUCUUUUGAUUUCAAGACCUUUUUACGAAGAUGGAAUAGCUUUUGACUGUGUCUUUAUAUGAGCCUAUCUUUCCAUCUUUGGUACGAGCAUUCUAUGCCAAGGCAAGGUAUCGUGUUGGAGGUUCUAUUUCCUAUACCUUGAGAGGAGCGAAGAUUGAGCUCGAUGCCGACUCUAUUUAUCAAAUUCUUGGAGUUUCAGUUGUCGGAUUGAGGAUAUAUGAAUCUAAGGUGUGACCUACUAUUAUGAGAUUUGAGCUUAGAAAAGCCAUUUUGAGGAUACGUGGACUGUUAGAUGCCCAUGGGAUGGGCAAGCCAUCGGCACAUAGCUUAAUAGUCAUCUGUAGAGAGUUCCAUCACAUACUAUGCUUCACUUUCUUGCUACUAGGUGGACAUUGAGAUGAGGUCUCCUAUUAUGAGGCGUUCUUGAUGGAUUUGAUCCUCACUAGGAGAUGGAUUCAUUUAGGAUAUCUAAUGAUGAUGCAUAUAAUUGCUUGUUGUGAGAGCAAGACUAGAGUAUUCCCUUAUGAACGCUUUUUCGCUUUGGUAUUUAAGGAGGUCGGCAUAAACUUGAGCAAAGAGAUAGACUUUGAGGCUCCUAGUAUUUAUGACACAUAUAAUGAUCAACCUAUGGUGAGGAUAAAUUUGAGAAGACUCUAGAUGGUUCUUGGAUUAGAAAAGCAAAGAAAGGAUAAGCACAUGGACAAGUACACAUUAGAGCUGAAAAAAAGACAUAAAUUAGGGAGAUCGGGGUGGAUUAGACCCUCGGGGUGGAGUAGACCCUCAAGGUGGAGUAAACCCUUAGAGUGGCUACCAAUAGAGAGGACUUGAGCUUAAUAUUCCCCCACUUCAGACAAAGAUUCCCUCAUAGACCGAGGGUGUUUAGUUUGAGUCCACUUUCUUUGAGCUGAUGACGACUGAGGUGGCUUUUAUAGAGGGACCAUCUACUUAGCCAUCAUACAUUGAGCCCUCCUUCUUUGGACCAACAUUCAACGAGCCCAUCUAUGCUGAGAUACCACAGCCUCAAGCACCUCCUACUCCUGACCAUGCUCCAUGGAUGGGCUUAUUAGCCUAGAUUAGCUAUAUUAGCACUCGUAUGGAGGAGCUUGCAGUGGUCAAUGACACACGAUUUUACUCUAUGGAGGAUUGGAUGGAACAAUAUCAAACUGGGUUCACUUCUCAGUUUGAGUAUCUCUAGUAGAUGAUUAAUCACUUUGAGGGUCACAUAGAGCAAAGGAUUACUUGCAUUGAGGCUUGCAUGAAGCAUCAACAUGAGGAAAUGAUGGCCUACUUGCAUUCCAUGUUUACACCGCCACCUCCUUAGCAUUGAUUCGUUCAAGACCCCCCUUGUUCUUUUUUUAUAUUUCCAAAUUAGGAGAUGUUUUAGGAUCUAGGAAUCUAAAUAUAAGAGACUUAUACAUACAUAUCAUUUUGUAUCGUAUAUUGCUUAGCUUUAGUUUUAUUAGACAUAUGAUGUACUGACUGAUACAUUUGAUAUAUGAUUUAUUAUAUGCCUAUAUUCUUGAUGACUUACAUUCGAUGUUUCUUGUUGUAAUACUUUAUCAUCUUGUUUGUAAAUUCUUAAAUAUUGAUUGUUGAUCUAUGCUAGGUUUAAGGGGGAGAUUAUUUUCCUCUUAGAUAACCAAGCUUUGUCAUCAUAAAAAAAGGGGAGAUUGUUAGACCAAUGAUUCUCCUAAUCGCGUUUUAAUGAUAACAAACUAUGGUUAAGUUGGUAAUUGGAUUGAAUUAUAAAGAAUUUUAAGUUCCAGUUUGGAAGUUCAUCAAAAGACCCAAUGGAUGUAAGAUCAAGACAAUUGGAAGACCCUUUAAUCAUAGGAAACAUAUGUAAGAUGAAUGCAUGGGUGCACUUAGGAGUUUCAUAUCUUUUUAUGCAUCUUUAAAAACUCGGUUUAUGCAUUAAAGUUAUAUUUCCAUCAAAACCCAAUUUUAUGAAAGAAACCUUAGGCAAAUCGUUUUAAAAUUGACAUAUUAAUUUGCCUAAAAAGUGUUAGAAUAUAAAAGAAUAGAAAAAUAUAGGUUCUCGAUUAUAGUCCAAUCGAGAAAUGCAAAAACUCUUCUCUCUUCUAGUAGCCUUGCAUUCCCAAUCGAGGGACAUGCCUUCCUAGUCGAUAACUAGUCGAGAAUUGCAAAAAAUCUUCCAUUCCCAGUCGAAGGGACAUGCCUUCCCAGUCAAGUGGCUUGACCGGCUAUGGUAUCGGUCAACUGAUUACAUCUUCCCGAUCGCAGUUUGAUCGAGAAAUGAAAAAACCUUCUCUCUUCUAAUAACCUUGCAUUCCUAGUCGAGGGACAUCCUUUCCUAGUCAAGGGUCAAUCAAGGCUAACGGUCACCUGAACAACCAUUAAUAUUUAACGACUAGUCAAUUGGUCAACCCCCAAGUCAACUGGUAAAGGUUGACUUUUGCCAUUUUUGGUUACCGAGGCUACAAACCUAUAAAUUGUGAGCUCUACUUCAUUUAUGAAGAAGAGAAGGGGUGUUGAACCACUAUAAAAUCUGAGUUCUCUUUCUCUAGCCAUAUCUCUUUAUAUUUAUGCUUUCAAUCCCAAUUCACACCCCCCCCCCCCCCCCCCCACUCCCCUUGAGUUUUUUUUUUCUAUUAAGAUUAGCCUUUUAUUUUCUCAAUAUGUUUUGAACCCUAUAAAAUUUUACCUAACAUUAGUUGAUAAAUAUGAUGCUGGAUAUGUGGAAGUAGUACAUCAUUUUGAACAAAAAAAAAAAAAACUGCUUUCUGGGAAUGAAUACACUAAUUGAAAGGGUUGUAUAUUUGUUUCUUGUAAUUCCAAUGCUCAGUCAAGAGUCAUCAUCUACAAAAACUUGUUAUGCAAAUGUUAAUGUACAUCCAUCAUGGAAAAUUUAUAUGGGCAGUAAAAAAUAUGACGUACCAAAUGAAUUACUUUUUGAAGCCAAUUAUCACCACUAACAUGAACUUACAUUGGGAACAUAUUCUGUCUACAUCAUAAUUGCAUUACAAUUCAUUUUUCUAUGGUGUCUAAUAUUCAUAAUGGCACACAUUCAACUCUCACAUUUAUAUAGAUUGUUCUAGUCGAACCUAUUGACAUCGAAGUUGAGGCAUGUUCAGGUACCUACUUCAUUCUUUUUGCAACAUCAUAGCUCCAUUGACAUGAUCAAUAUUGCACUUGUACACAAUUCCUUCGGAGGUAAACAAGCAUGUUCGAAAAAUAACUACAUUUCCUGGAGGAAAUUUAAGACAAAAGCAAACUUGGGUGAAUCCCACGAAGGAGAUUAAAACAGCUAACAUAAAAAACCCAGAUGCAAGCAACUGUAGACAAUACCAAAGCAUCUGUUGAUUACAUUUCAUAGUUAUAAAAUAACAAUGCCUUUUCCCAACAUAAUGGCAGUUAAAAAUCACUUUUCUACUUAAUCAACUACAAUAAAGGCAUAUUUAUUUUAGAUUCAAGCUAAGUUGGAGAAACACAUGAAAAUGUUAGCAAAUGACGUUACAUUUUCAAUGUAUGCUCAAUUGGUGACAUUAUUAAUUGUAUUAUGGAUUCUAUGAAAAUUGACAUAAUAGAAUUGUUCAUAUAAUCAAAACAAAAUAGAUACAUUCGACAUAAAAAAACUACAUAACUAAAAUUACUUUUCUCUCUGGUUGUAAAUCAUCAUGCAAAAGGUAUUCAAAUACCAAUUGUGUUGCCUUUGGUGAAGCAAUAAUAAAUUGGAAGUUACUAUACAUCUAAAUUGAAUGUACCUAUCUACUUUUAAUUCAAAAAAUGUCUAACUAAUCCAAAUUGGAAUCCUAUCCCACUACUUUUAUGAAGAGUGUGUCCAAACAAUCCAUUUAUCUAAGAUCGUCUCGUCUUGCCUUACCCAUUGCAACCAAAAAAAGAGGAAAAAACAACAGUAUUCUAGUCAUGGGUGUUUUAAAUUCCACCAUUUCUUGCACCAAACAUGCCUUUGGACUAUAGUCUCCCAUAUAUAUCAAUAAGUUGAAAUCAAUGAACCCUAUAAAAAAUAUUCAUUACAUCAACCAAAUGACUCAUUGUGGACCCCGUAUUUUUAAAUGAUGCGUUCCCACUCAAUCGGCGAGACUCGCUUUUCGUUAAUUUGGGUGAAAAAUAUGAUUUUUAGAAAAGACUUGGAGUCGCCACUUACUUUUAUUUAUUUUUAAAGGGGAAAACAAGUAAGAAUAAAACCCCUAAAUGGACUCCUGAUUUUUUUUUGGAAAAGCUGUCUGCAAAAAACCUGAGUCUGGGUUCGGGGAUCAGGUUACUUAUUGGGAAGGUACGGUAAAGACCGUAGCACCCCUCUAAGCCCCUAAAAAAAUGGGUCUCUACAAAAUAAGGUGAACCAGACAUGACAAUUAACUAGAAGAUCAAUGGAUACCAAAAUGAUCAUAAUUCAAAAAUGAUGAUGAAAUGAUAAACGAAGUGAGAGUGAGAGUGUACCUUAGUAGUAGGUAAUAAAGCGUUGUCAUGAAAAUAAGGUUAGUGUACAAUGACAAGUGUAAAAAAAUCUCAUACAAAACCAAAUCAAAAUCAAACAAAAUGGAGAGCACAACUUACUUGAAUUAUUUUCGAAAAAAAUGUUAUGAAUGUCGGGCCCCCACCAAAGCCCAAUUAAUUUUCGCUAUGAAUUAAUUCUCAUAAAUUCCAUCAUUUUAGAAUUAUGAAAACUUAUUCACUUUUAUAUAAAAAAAAUUUGAAAAGAGGAAUUUUGAAAAUUAAAAUUGAAAUUUCGGAAGUAUGGAAUUUUAUUUUAUAUAAAAAAAAAUGAGUUUGAAAAUUUUGGAAAUCUCUUUGAGAAUGGUAUUUCAAAAUAAAUAAAUAAAAAAAUAAUUUAAAAUAAAAUUAAAUAAAAAAAAUGAAUAAAUAAAUAAAUUUUGAAUUUUGGAAAAUGGGAAUUUUGAGAAUGGAAUUUUGAAAAAUUAAAUUAAAAAAAUUGAAAAUUUGGAAGGAUUAUUUUUGAAAAAUGAAAUUUCGGAAAAUUAAAUUUUAAAAAUUGGAAAUUUGGAAAAUUGGGACUUCGAGAAUGGAAUUUCGGAAAAUUAAACUAAAAAAAAAAAAGAAAUUUUGGAAAAUUAUUUCGAAAAUAGAAAUUUUUGGAAAAUUGGAAUUUUUGUAAAUCGAAACGUGAAGAUCAAAGUUUUGAAAAUUAUAUUUUUUGAUGUAUGAGAAUAAAAAUAAAAAUAAUAAAUAAAAAGAUGGUACGUAGUCGGUGGGACUCACAUCCCGAAAGUGGCCAUGCAAAGCGUGGGCCUAGGAUGGAAUAUCUUAUAAAAUAAUAAUAAUAAUAAUAAUAAUAAUAAUAAUAAUAAUAAUAAUAAUAAUAAUAAUAAUAAUAAUAAUAAAACAAUCUCAACCUCACAUACUUUAAUACUAUUUACACAUGAAAUAUUGAAAACUAGCAACUGAAUAUCAGAACAUGAGAAAAUUAGUUAAGGGAAACUAACCCUAAAAUUAUUAAGAGUAUAUACUAACAUGAAACAUUAAAAUAAAUCGACAACUAGGGAUAUUAAAAACCUAAAUUAAUGAGGAACAACCAAACUAAUGCUAGAGAUAAUAAAAAAACAUGAACUAAUUUAGGUUCAAUAAGAAUGAAUAAUUGGAAAAUAAUAAAAACUAACAUCUAAGGAUAUUUAAAUCCCAAACUAAUAAGAGGUAAAUAAAUACUAAAACCUUAAUAUUUAAAGAAAACUAUUGAACAACAAUGGAUCAACCGAAAUACCAAUUAAUCAUUCAAAGAGCAAUAUAUGCCAACAUGGAUCAGCCCAAACCAAAGACUAAAAAUUCAAGAAGUAAUAUAUACUAACAUGAGUUAUUAAAAUCAACAAUUAAAAACUCCCAGGUAUAUACAAAUUAUCAUAGGCCAUCAAAUUAAAAACUAAAAAAUUCAAAGGACUACAAAGAAUUAACAUGGGUCAACCAAAAUAACAAUUAAUAUUUUUUAUGACAAUGCAAAUUAAUGUAGAAUGACCAAAAAAUAAGAAUAAAAAUUUAAGGAGCAAUAUAAAUUAACAUAGAUAUUUAAAAAUUAACAACAAAUGAUUUUAUGAAAAUGAAGAAAAAUAAUAAUAAUAAUAAUAAAUAAACAAACGAAAUUUCAUGAAUAUUAUAAAGCUACAUGGAUAUUAGUUUUCAUUUAUUUCAUUUUAAAUUUAUAACAAUGUAACCCAAGAACACAUGAUCCACCAUAUUCACUUGAAUUUUUAAUUCAAUGAAACAAACCACUAACAUGAAACAUCUCAUGGCCGGCCAUUAAUCUUACUUUGAAUUUUUUAUAUUAAAAAAAAAACAAUGCUCAAGCUUCCCCUAUUAUUCGAAAUUAGCCAAAAUUAAGAAAGAAAGAAAAAAUCUUAUUUUAUAGUAUUAUUUUUUUAAAAAAAUCUAAUUUUCCAUUAUUAUUAAAAUUGAUCAAAACUAAAUUUAUUUAUUUUUUAAAAAUUCCAAUUUUCUACUAUUAUUCAAAAUUUAACCAAAACUAAAAUUAAUUAAAAGAGAGAAUUUAAGAAAAUUGAUUUACCAUGGACCAUUGAGAUAUAGCAAUUAAAAUGAAUGUCAAAAAUUAUUUUAAUUGUCUUCAUAUUCAAAUGAAUUUAUGAGGAAUAAAACAAAAAUUCUUAUGCCGUGAGAUCAAACCGAACACUUAAAAUAAAAUGAUAAACACGCAAUAGAUUAGAACCUAAAAUACAAGAGCCUAUAAAAAUAAUAAACAUUGUUCAUGAACUAAGCACCUCAUUGUUUCAUGCAUAUAAGUCUACACGCAAUGCUAUAUCCACUAUGCAUCAACAAUUCUUUAAACAAUAAAAGUUAGUGGACUUUGAAUGUCAUGCAAUUAAUAAACAUUGACAAUGGUCAUUUGAUGCAUGCUGGAAAACUUUCUUGUGCCUGUUGCCAAAAAAACUUUAAAACACUAUUUGGGCCAGAAAGUUUAAAAACUAUUUGAGACUAAAACAAAAAAAGAUUAAAUAGAAAAAAGAAACAAGGAUUUUAAAACACUAUUUGGGCCAGAAAAGUAAAUAAAAUACAUGGUUUAAUAGUUUUUUCCUUUCUUUCUUUUUGUUUCCUUUUGAUUUUGACAGAGGAGCAAAGUGAAUGGACUACAUAAAGACGAGCUCUUGCAUGCGACGCUGGAAAGCAGUCAGUUUGCUACCGCCAGCGAGACUCACAUCUAAAGACUACCUGAACAAUCCUAUGUAUUCCGGCGAGGGCAAAGGAAGUCACUACAAGCGCUAGCAGGGCUACAACCAAGGCCGGCCACUAGAAAAAUAAGCUGCAGCCCCCUCCAUGCGUAGCUGAAGCGAGCACCUAGAGAGGGUUUCAUCUCCAGCUUUCAGCCGCUGCCACCAACAGUACAACCACCCCGUUCAGACACCGCAUGGCUGGUUUGAAGAACAUGAACCUGCCUAGCCCCAACAAAGAAGAAAACGGUGCUUAGCUCUUAACGUUUAGACAUCCUGUUCAAACACUACAUGGAUAUCAUCUCAUGAUCAUCCACGACUUCUCAACAUCCCAUAUUCACAGGGUCCAAUUCUCCAUGGCCAAACAUCCUGAAACAAAGGUCAAACACCCAGAAAAUAGAGCACAUAACGAAAGGGAUGGAAUGAACUACCCAUAAUAGCGUUUCAUGUCAUAGCCAAUGAGCUCAGAUUGGUGGGAUGGAAAUAGGUGAUUACUACUCAAAAAGUGCUAUUUGAUAGCUUAUAAUUAACUUUUUUAAACACUUUUGAGUAGUAGUUAUUGCCUUUUAACCCAAUUAACAUAUUAAGGACCUUUGCAAGCACUUUUAAUCAAUUUGUGUUAAGUUUUGGUGUUUUGAUAACUUUUUGAUCACCAAAGCAAUAUGAGAUUGAGGAGAGUUAUUUGGAAUCCAUGGCAAAGCAAUGGAAAGCUCAGAAACAUGAAGAACCAAAGCUUUGAAGUCCUUUGCCAUAAGCAAAUCCGGAAUGUAAGGAGGGAAAGCAAAGAGAAAUCUGCCAUGAAACAUUUUUUAUGACAGUCAUGUCAGCCACUUUUGGAGCACUUCCUGAAGUCUAAUUUAUGCAUUCUAUAUGUAGUUUCAAAGCUUAGGAAGUCAGCAAUCCAAUACUUCAAAUGGUGCACAAUUUGGAGCUGGAAUGAAGGAGUUACAGCCGUUGGAAGCUGAACACCGCAAGCUGAAAGCCAACUUCGCAGCGCUAUGAAAUCAGCCUUUUGCUGCGAAGUGAUUUCGCAGCCCUUUUUGUGCGUCUGCGAAAUCUCGCAGACCUCGUUUUCACCUGCGAAAUGGUCCUUAGUGCUUUUUGAUAUUUGCGACCUACACAUUGAGAUAUUUUUCUUUAGAUUUUUGUUGUCUAAAUCCUAAAACUCUCCUUGUAAACCACCAAUUGUAGGAUUCCUUAGCUAUUAAGUUAGGAGAAAGGGUGAAUAUCCAUGUAAUAAUUAUUAUUGUAAUUUUCAUAUAAAUAGCUCUCGAGAGCCUGUUCUCAGGGACGAUGAACAUUUUGUAAAAGUUUGAAAGAAAGAAAAAUACAGAGCCUUUGCUCUGCCUUACCUUCUCACUUUGAUUGUAUUUUUCAUUUACUAGUUAUGCACUCUCUGAGGAAGUUUCCCCAGAGAAUGAGUAACUAAACCUUUAGUUCCUUGGAGCUAAGGUUGCCGGGAAAGGUUCCAAGUGCAUGAAUUAGUAGCUUUGUGGUUUCAGCCAUGAAUGAAGAGAAAGUGUGAUCCUUUAGUGAUUUCUAUGUUUUUAGUUAACUUAAAACGCCUUGGAGUCACCUGGGCCAACACUUGGUAAGGCAAGUGAUCUCCGUCCAUGGAAAUACACUAGUUUACCCCUUGCGAGCCUUUGGGAGGUGACUUGAAGGUAGGAUUUUCUAGAAUUGCCAACACUUGGUAAGCUUUUGGACUCCAAGGAGACAUCCAUUAGUUAUCUCUUGCGAGCUUGAGAAGGGAAGUCCAAGGUUAAAGAUCACCUUGAAUGGUAAAUGCUAAGUGAGAGGCACGAACCAUUGCAAGUUGCAUCAGUGAGAGAGAAUUAGAGCUGAAAUCCAAUUAAGGGAUGCAUCUGUACAUCACCGGUUAGAGAAUUGACUAUAUGUUAAUUCUCUAAUGCGAGGAAAUGAACCAUCUGACCGGAGCUAUGUUUUUGCAUGAGGAACCUCCCAUGUGAACCUAAAUCUCCAAGGAAUGUUUGUCUUCAUAAGUAAUUUCCAUUACUUGCUGUGCCGUUAGUUUAAAUCUAAACCUUUUUCAACCAAAGUUUGUGUUUUAUUUCUUAAGCUAACCUUGAAAUGAAACAACACCAAUUCAUUUUGAAUUGGUAUCAUUUGCAAUUUGAAAACCCUUCCCAGUGAGCGAUCCUAGAACUACUAUGCUAUAGUAGCUUUUUCUUUGCUACCCUAGUAUAUGGUGUAAUAGGUUAUAAAUUUUGUUGAUUACUCCCUCAAUCAAGGAGCACCAGCUGGACACGAAUCAGCUGAGACACCAAUUGGGCACUAAUCAGCAGGUGAGUCCAAGGUCAAAUAGAGACACAAACCAAAAAAUAUCCAACAACCAAACUAAGACUGCAUAUUCAUAUUAUAUUUCUGAGCAAGACGGUGAAAGUAAAAACAAACAUGCAACAAUGGUAAAUAGAAAUAUCAGAACUAGAUUCCCACGGACAACAAGCAUUCUUCACUGUCUAUUCUCAAGCAAUUUAAAAUAUCCAGGAAUCAUGAAAGAGAAAGGAGAGUGACAUGGCAUGCAAAUUAAACAGCAGGAAUAAUAAAAUCCAUACCUCGGAAGUCGUUUCUGGCUGUAUGAAAUAUUAGUUUCCAGCUACCCCUCUUUUUUCUCGAAUUCCUCCUGUCAGCUCUUUCUUUUACUUUUCUUUAUUUCUCUCUCAAAACCUUCCCUCUUACUCCUCUCAGACUUCUCUCAAACUCUUCUUUCUUUUUUCCUUCUUUUCCCGUUCUCUCUGUUUUCCUCAAAACCUCUCCCACUUUUUUUUUUUUUUUUCAAACUCCUAAGUCCCCCCUUUUUAUCCUCUCUUGAGAAACUCUUCAUUCCCUCUAGAAAAUGGCCCCUGCCUCUUUCCCAUACAGACUCCUCGAAAACCUCCCAUCUCAGUUUUCUUUUUUCCUUCUUUUGAUUUCCAUUUUCUUCCCUACUAAGAUUCUUAAUCGACUCCCAUUUUUCAUUUUUUGUAAUCUCCCCCUCAUCUUUUCCUGAUCAAAGCCUCUUCAUUUUCAGAAAAUUACUAUUCCACAUCAAAGCCUCUCCUCCUAGUCCAUCUGUUUUCCUUUUUUUUCCUCUUUAUCUUUUUUUUUUUUAAAUAAACUAAAAGAAUAAAAAUAAAAUUAAAGGUAAAAAAAUCUAUAAAAAAAAUGAAAAGUAAAAUAAGAAGAAUGUAAUAAUAAUAAAACAAACAUACAGUGAGUGCAUACUACUAAUGAUAUUAAUAAUACUAAUAAUGAUGAUACUAAUAAUUAAUAAUAACACUAAUAAUAAUAAUAAUACUAAUAAUAAUAAUAAUAACUAAUAAUAAUAGUAAUAAUAAUGAUAAUAAUACUAGAUCCCUGACCAUCUGCAAUUUUCUGAAAAUAAAUAUGUGGAUGAAUAAAUAAAUAAAACAGGAAAAAUAAAUAAAUGUCGCAUGCACGUAACAAUAGUCUAAAUAUUAAACUAAAACACAAAUAAAAAAUAAAAAUAAAAUACCAAGCUGAUACAAAUAAACAUCGAAAAUUCAUCUCAAGCAAUCUAAAUAAAACAAUAAAAAAAUAUAAAUACUCACCUAGUCUCAAAAAUCCAUCAAUCAAGAAACUAAUGGAAUUAAGCUCACAAAAAAUAUCUAAGUGACCUAUGUGACCUAAGUGGAAAGUGUCAAGGUGAAUUAAGUGGAAACUAAACCAAAGAGAUGUCCAAGUGAUAAAAAAAACAUGCCAAGUGACCUUGAAGGUUUAAAAAAAAAAAUGCCCAAGUGAUGUAAGGUGAUUAAAAUGUGUCAAGUGAUCUAGGAGUGUACCUAAUGGGCCAAGUGCAUCUAAAUGGGCCUAGGGUGCCAAAGUGGGCCUAAGGUGGUGCCCAAUGGGUCAUCAGAGAAUUAUCGUAAAGUAUCAAAUGGACAUGUAAUAGAACAUGUGCUAGUAGGACAAAAUAGAGGGUCUACACUCAUUUUCUAGGGAAUUGCUUCAAUCACAAUCCACAUGCAUGCAUAAUAUUGUCCCCCACACUAUUCCUUCACUAAGGAGCAAUGUCACAAGCAUUUGUAGUCUAUACACAUGCAUUUUGUCCUACACAAAACAUAACAACUGAUUUGAUGGCGUGGGAUAAAAUGGAAGACAAGAACAAGAAAUGGUGUAAACUUGUUGUAACCUCGACAACUGAUUGUCUUAAUGUAGCCUUAUUCCAAUAUUCCAUGAACUCUAGAGCUAGAAUACCACAAUCAUACCUACAACAUAAUUAAGUUUGGAUUCUCAUAUACAUGACCAAAAUCUCAAAUUUGAUAACAUUAUACCGCACAAUGCCUAUAACUUUAUUAUAAAAAAAUUUGAUAUGAACAAAGGACUUAACCCAUUUUUUUGUUGGACAACAUCUGGCUGAACAUGCACAAAUCUAAACACCUCCACGUUCAAGUGAAUUUCAUGUGCAUGCGAGUGACAAUUGCCUAGACAAAGCAUUGAUGUUGUUUCCCCUUCAUAGUGGCAGUGAUAAUAAGAUCUCAACACGCACCACCGGAAUGUUUAUCACAUGAAUGUGCCAAUGGUUGUUUUCACAAACAAGGAUGAACAACUACAUGAUCAAUGUGGAAUUAUGCACAACUAUGUUAAUAUAUAAAGUCAUAAUUUUAACAUUACAAGUUGGAUGAUGGGACUUCAAUUUUAACAAGUGUGUCAUACCAUAUCACACGUUGUUAGGUUGUGUCCUAGUAUGCAGCAUGAAGAAACAUGCGACAUCUGUCAAUGAUUUCGUGUUUUGUUGCCUUUGGUUGAAGGCUGUUGAGAAGAACCUAUUCAAGUUCGGGAUUACUCAUUACAAACAUCAACGAAUACAAUUAUCUUUCGUAACCAUUAGUAAAAUUAGUAUAGUUGAGGCUACACUGUGAAAGAAGGAUACAAAAAAUUAAAGUACCUGGGAUCAUCAUCUUCCGUCAAUGCAAAAUUUGCUACAACCUUAUUUGUUGUGCGAUUUUUGGGAACUGUUUAAGGCAUUGCGCAACAAAUGGAGAUUUGAAAAUGGUAAGAUGCUUGACAAUCCUCUUAAUAGUGCGUUUGUAUCUCUGAAUAGACGAAUGGAUGACUGAUUGGUUGGCACUCACAAAUGGCCCAACAUUUUCCACCUCUUUCCCUACCCUCAAGUCCGAUUCAAGAGAGGAUUAUGCAUGAGACUAUAGGGGCAGCGGUGGGGAACCAUGGGCUGCUGUUGAUGUCUACAUUUCAACUAGAGAUUAGGGGCUUGGUGGUAAGUUGUGUCAUUCUACAAAAUCUUCAGGAGAAGGCUAAAUGUCCACUGUCGUAGGAGCCUUUUGUUCUUUUACUUGCUCCGAUGGUUUUGGUGGAGGGACCGCACAAUAGGCCUACGAUCCAAAUCGGUAGGAAUGCAAUGUAGCAACAUUGCGCACCAGUGAUGAAGCCAAUCUCACCAUGCUUUCUGAUGUUUGUAUGACACACGUUUUAAUUGCCUAAUAGAAAAUGGAGAAAAUUAUAUACAACGAUCAAUGUAUGCAAUGAUAAAUAAAAAUUUGCAUAAGUCUGACCCAUAUGGGUUUGUGGGCUCUAAAAGUGAUUGAAGACAUCUACUACCUCGCUAGCAUUGUCAAUAAUUGAUGAUGUCAAAACUGUUGAUGGUGCAUGAAACUGGGUAGCGGUUUGUGGCUGUUGUUUAACCUGCAUGUGUUAUGAGUCCAAGAAUGACAACAUUCAGUUUAGUCAUGAGUUCAAUAGGAUAAAUUCUUAUAGAAAAAGGAAAAAUGUGCGAAGUUGGAGCAUACAUGCACAUGACUGUAUGUAUUGAAUGUAGAAAUUUCAGCUGCUAACCAUCAUUUGAUUAAUUCAUUAGUCUAGGCAAUAGAAAAUGGCUUGGUGACAUCAACCUUCAUCGAGGGCAUGUAGAAUUUUGUCAUAUAGAACAACUGAGGGGAGUAAGAUAUAUCAGACAAAGCACAUUAAGUAAUCAACUUGCAAUAAGGUUUACCAUUACUUAGGUUUAUCAUAAGUAUUCCCAAUUUCCAUAAUAUACAAGGCAUUUGUCAUAAACAUCUAUAAACCUCAACGAUUGUCAAAAGUAACAACAAGAUACAUGAAACCAUCAAGCAUGAUGUUGACCUUCAAAUUCCCUUAAAAUAGCAUGCAUAAAAACUAGCUCUUAUUGAUAUGAACAAAUAUACCAACCUAAAAAAUUUCUCACUAAAAUUGUUGAGCUUCUAAUUAAUGGUCACAACUAAUUAAGACAACUCUUGGCAAUACUAACACCUUUAAGCAAAACCAAAUAUAUCUAAUUCUAACUGCAUGCUUAGCCCUUUCUCUAUACCCAAAUUUUUUCUUUACGUAUUCAUGUCUAUGUUUGUUUUCUAAGAAAAGAUAUAGGAACUAGAAAAUAGUAGCCAUAUUUAAACUUUCAUGAUUCGUAAACAUGUUUUCCAUGACAAGUUUGGUAAGCAUGUAAUUUGUUAUAAAAUAAACAACAUUUAUACACAAAGUAGUCAUAAACAUGUAUACACAAAGUAGUUAAAAACCACCAUUACAUAAAACAAAGAACACAAAUCCACUAAAACUACAUUUUCAUUUCUUAAACAAGAAAAAAAAAAUAGAUACAUCCUAACGCUCAAAUUUUGGCUUUUGCAUAUCAACCACACAACAUUAAGUAAACUAAUUCUUUCUAAUCCAAUUCAGUCAUUUAAGUUUUUGGCGAACCCUCUCAUAGAUCCAAAGCCCAAUUCAACAUUUUAUUCCCAUCUAGCAAUCUAGAAGUAAACAUCUUGUUAAUUGAUUUUAUUUUAUUUUAUUUUUAAGAAAAGACAAUUACUACCAAAAACAUGGGAAUUUUAGGAUAACAAUUGAGGAAGGUUCGUAUGACAUAUAGAUAUUGUAAUACCAAUGGGUAUUUAAGAGCUUGCUCAAAAUAAUAGCAAACUCUCAAACCAGUUAUUUCCCAAUAAAAAAAACAUACUCUAGUAUGCCCCUGCCACAUGGAUGACUACAACAAUUUCUAAGUAGUAGAAGAGAAUUUUGUUCAAAAUAUCAUUAAUGUAUCAUUAAAAUUAAAUAAAGAAAUUCUUCAACUAACAAUAUUACAGAUGAAGCAAUUUCCUAAAAAAUCUUAUCACAACACAAAUUGUGGAAAACAAAUAAAUUUUUAUACUUCAUUUACAAAUACAAACAUAUAUUUAACCAAAAUAGAAUAUCUUUGACUCUAACAUUUUCUCUUCAGCCAAACAAAUCCUUUAUAAAAGUGAUAACAUUUAUUUUCUUGUAAAUAAACUUUUUUUAAAAUAUUUUCUUUGCAUGAAAUUAAAGCCUUUUUAUUUAAGUAAAUUAAAACUUCCUUUUAUAAAAUUCAUUAAAACUCUGGACUCAAUUAUUUUUUAUACUCAUGAAAUAUUUCCUUUAUAAAAGUGAUAACAUUUAUUUUCUUGUAAAUAAACUUUUAAAAAAAUAUUUUCUUUGCAUGAAAUUAAAGCCUUUUUAUUUAAGUAAAUCAAAACUUCCUUUUAUAAAUAAAAUUCAUUAAAACUAUCGAAUCAAUUUUUUUUUUAAUACUCAUGAAUUUUUUAUUUUUUAUUUUUACAAAAGUAAUAACAUUUAUUUUCUGGUAAAUAAACUUUCACAAGUAUUUUUCUUAAAUGAAAUUAAAGCAUUUUUAUUCUUAUUAUUUAAAUUAAUCAAAACUUCCUUUUAUAAAUAAAAUUCAUUAGAACUAUCGAAUUAAGAAUCAACUGUUUUUUUUUUUUUUUUAAAUCAACACUCAUGAAAUCUUUCGGUCCCCUUAGUGCAUACUUAUGAAUUCUUUUCUAUAUUGAUCCAUGAUGUUUCGUUUAUUCCCUGAAUCCUUAGCAAUUAAAAACCCAUGUUAAUUUAUAUUCGAUUCUAAGCAAUAAGUUACUACCUUUCGAUGAUCUAUGCCAUUAUAAGUUGUUCUUUAGAUUAUUAGAUGUUUUGGUAAUCCCGAUGAUGUUUAUUAUUUCUUUGAAACUAAGUUGAUAAUUGUGAAUAUCCCGUAUUAUUAGUUUCAUUUUAAAACUAAUUUCUAAGCGCUUGAUUAAUUUAUCUUAAGUUUAGAUGCAUUUAAAAUUCCAACAAUUAGUUCUUCAUAAUCUAUGCUAGUUUAAGAUUUUUUUGAAGUCUUUAUUUAUUUAUAUUAUUCUUGGUGAUCAUUUAAAAGAUGGAAAUUUCUUUUUAGAGACUUGUUUUCCAUAGUUCUUAGUAAUAAAAUGAAAGUUAGAUUUUUUAAAAUGUUAGCUUGUAAUUCUUGGUGGUAAAUUGAAAGUUAGAUUUGUUAAAAUGUUAGUUUACUUGAUCUAAAAAUCUCUGGUUGGUUGCUAUAAUAAUUUUAUCUUUAAUUUUUAGAGAUCAUCGGAAAAUAGUGAAGAUUGGCCUCCAUUCUCACCACUUUAGUUUGCUCGGAUUGUAAAAAAUUUCACUUUGUGAAUUCUUUUUCCUCUGUUUUGCUUGGUAUUUUAUUUCUUGUGUUUUUUUGUUUUCAUAUUAAUUUCCUUUAUUUUUAAAUCAAAUGUUUUUCUUAAAAUAUGCCUUUGAAAAUUUUGUGUUAAAAGUAAUUCAUUUAGAGUCUUUAGAAUCAAAAUCUCAUUUUUUUUUAAAAAAUAAUAUGCAACCAUUUUUUUUUUCGAUUCGCAUCGUGCUUAGUUUUCAAUAAAAACUACGGUUUUGAGUAAGACACGAAUCCAAGCUUGUGGUCCCAAAUAAAUGGGAUAAUUCUAGGCUAGACUUGUGUAUAUCAAUUAAGGAAUUGGUGAAACCCCUACAUAAAAUCAUCUUUUCAAAACUCAUCUUUGCUGCCACCCUUGCCAUUUAUUGAAAUUAUAUGUAUCUGUUUUUUAGGAAUUAUAUACAAGAUGUGUGCGAUAAUUGAUGAUUUCGUAUACUUUGAUUAUUUUUGUGAUGCUAAUUAGACAACAAACAUGCUAGGAUUUCUUUAUUUUAUUAUUAUCUAACCCCUCAUAUCUUGUGGAAACGCAUUAUAAGUUAUUUAUGUGGUCCUGGUACGUCCUCUAUCACCCACCUUCUAAAUUCUGUAAAUAUGGUUGUCAAUGUGAACUGCAUCUAUACUUGAUAGUACUUGAGUGUCUUGAUAUAUAUAUGUUUCAUUGUUCUAUUAUUUCUAAUAAAGCGUAUGUUGGAUGAUAUAUUAUUUGAACUAACUCUGAUGUCUUGUGACAACGCUUAAGAUGCAGUCCAUGUACGCACCCUAAAUAUUCUUUAUGAUUGUGCUUGGCUUUCUUGUUAGGCAUGCUAUUUUUGAAACCACUUAGCCUACUUAGGUAUCUAUAAUCAACCAAUUAAUUGCCACAUUUCCCUCAAUUAAGUUAGUAGGGACCUUUAUAAGGCCUAGAGGGGUGCUACCUCCUAGAGGUACUUUCCCAAUAAGUAACCUGAUCCCUGAACCCAGACUCGGGUUUUUCAAAGACAUGCUUUUUCCAAAAUUGUGGAGUCACUUUCUUUAGGGUUUUCUUUCUUGUUUUAUUUUCCUUUUAAAAUAAAAUAAAAUAAGUGGUGACUCCAACUUUUCCAAAACUAAUUUUUCACCAAAUAAAAACGAGUCUCAUCGAUUGAGUGGGAGUGCACAUGAGAAAUACGGGUCUACACUCUCCCAUACCCAUAAUUGGAGCAAAAUUAGUGGGCUAGAUAUAUCAUGUGUAUCAAUAUGAGAGGCUCGACACAACUAUCGAUAAAGCUAGGCUAAAUAGACACUACCCUAACUAUACCUACCAACAACCUCAAAAUCCUUUAGAAGAAGUAAAAACAUAAGAUGAACUUUAUCACUAGACUUUCCUAAAAAUAGAAAACCUCUAAUGAGAUGUAAGCCUUAGUAUAAUGCUGAAUAGACUCCUCAUUAGCAUCUGGUGUCAAAGUAAGGAAGCUUUGACCCAACCAUGUAAGAUGAAGGCGCUACCCAUCUAUGUUUGUAUCUCUAGGAAUGAGUCCUAAUAGAGAAUAACAUACAUGCCUCCAAUCUAAACAUGUGCUACCAAUAACUACAACUCCAUCUACUAGUAGUCUAAGAAGAAUGGCAAUGUCCUGUAGUGUAAUUGUGCACUCCUCUUGAGUUAAGUGGAAGGUAUGAGUCUUAGGUCUUCAUCUCUCGAUAAAUGCAGUAAUAAAGUGUCAAUCUAAGAAAAUGAAUCCUAAGCAUGCAACACCAUAGAAGCCUGCCUACUGCAACAAUGGAAUAAUACGCCCAUCGAGUACACUGGUGUGAUGAAAAAUCAUCUCACAACGUCGACAAUGAAGCUCCUUAGAGUCAACACCUAUCCAUACUAGAGAUGACCUGUGUGUGGCUUGCCCAUGUAGAAUUGUAGGAUCCAAUGGUCCUGGCUUCAUCAUGCGAUGAUACCUAUAUAUAGUAAAUAACCAUUAGUUCUUGUUAACAUUAGUAUGAUUACAAAUUUAAAGACAUUACUUAAAAAUAUCAUAUUAUCAAAAUGAACAAUCUUUCAUACUUUAAUUGUCAAGAGGAAGAGGAUUUGAGGAUUACCCUCCAUCUUUUGUGGGACAGUUAUGAAAAUUAUGUCCCUCUAUUUUACAUAAGGCGCAUCUAACUCUAACACUUGGUUCCUUCAAAUCCAUUUGAUUCCUUAUCCUUGAUGAUCUAAGACACCCUUUAUCCCUCAUCGAAGUUAGGCCAGGGUGGAGAAUAGGAAAAUCAGGAUACGACCAAUAAGAUUCAUGUGGAAUGAGAUUAAAUUUAGGAGCAUAAAUGUUGGCAUAGGCAUCCAUCCUAUAGUAUUUUUCAACAAAUUAUCAACUAUGAAUCCUCAUAUGAGCACAAAUAUCUAGCACAUGUGAGCAUGGAAUGCCAAAUGAUUGCCACUUAUUACAACUACAUGUACCUUCAUUCAACUUAACAACUUGUUUGUUAUGUCCUUUAUCCAUACGAAAUCCAUGGAGAGUAGCAAUUACUUUAAAUGUUUGAUGAAUUCGAUGGAAGAUAGUCACAGUAUGUCUACUAGCUUUGGCUUCAGAUCUUCUAAAUUUAUCAAUUGCGUACGUAGUAUACACAUCUCCAGUUGCCAUUCUAGCACGUAUCUCUACUCUAUGAGUCUCAAAGUAUGACACACAUCGAUAAAAAGUUAAUUGAACAAGCAUAGUGAUAGGUAACAUUCUUGCUCCCUUAAGCACCCUAUUUAUGCAUUCAACAAUAUUUGUGGUCAUCCACCCAUACCGAUAUCCUAGAUCAUAUGCUUGAGUCCAUUUUUUAGUGUCUAAUUUUGAAAAUCAAGCCACGCCUUUUUCAUUUAAUCAUUUUAACUCUUCCAUGUAUCACUCAUACUUUUGCAGUCAAUGUUGAGAUCCAACUCUAUACACCAACUCUUUUAAGACCUUAUUAUUAAAUUUGUCAUUAAAAUUGCUCACUACAUGCCUAAGAUAAUAUCGAUGUUGCGCAUGAGGAGGGCUCCAUCUAACUGAUGGAUUUUUAAUAGCAGCAUUUAUUCCUACAUGGAAAUCUAAAAUUAAGGAUAUUCAUCCUCUUUGAGUGACGAGACGCCUUAAUGCAAUAAGAAACCAAGACCAACUAUCAUGUGAUUCUUCCUCAACAAUUGCAAACACAAGGGGGAAUAUACGACCAUUUGCAUAAAUUAAAGAAACAAUUAAAAGCUUCCUCAUGUAUUUUCCAUAUAGGAAUGUACCUUCAAUUUGUAUAAUUGGUCUGCAAUGCUUGAACCCUUCAAUACUUGGCCUAAAUGUCCAAAAAACAUGAAUAAACCGCACGUUCCCAUAAAUCCCUCCUAAAGGUAUUAUCUUCCAAACAAUCUUUGUUCUAGGAUUAGUUAGCUUAAGAAUGUUCAUCCACUUCAACAAUGCUUGAUAAGAUUCAUCUCAAUCGCCAAAAACUCUAAGCAUUGCUUUUCUCUUAGCUUCCCAAAUUCUCCUAUAAUGGACAUCAUAUCCAAAUUUAUCCUUCACUAUAUGAUGUAAUUUAGCAAUAGAGGUAGUGUGAUCCCUCUAAACUAAAUUUUGGAUCUCUCUUGCAAUCAAUGUAGAGUCCAAUUGAGAGUGGUCUUGUGAUAAUUUAGGAUAAACACAUGUGUGAGGACCUGCGUACUUGGUUAUCUCAAACAUUCCAUGACUUUUACGAUGACAUGCACGAAACCUCCAAUUACAUCUUUCUUGCCACUUCUUAUAUCUCACUGUCCACAAUUGUGGUUCUAAUUCACAAACAACCAAAUGUUGAUUCCAACAUAUUGCAUAACGUUUUACAGCAUAUUGCAAGUCUUCUUUACUCUCAAAUCUCAAUCCUUUAAACAACUCAUUAGAUUCAUUCCACAAUUCAAUACGUGAUGUGAAAGGCCCAAUAGUCAUGCUAUUUAUUGCAUCUCAAUUCAAUUGUUUGAACAUUAGGAAAGGCUUAGUAUGUUCACCAUCAUCUAAAAAAGCCUUAUUUGUUGGAGGUUCAUCAUCAUUUUCAUUUGUAAAUGAGAUGUCAACAUGGUUAUUUGUUGCUAUCAUAACUGAGUUACUAUUGCCAAAUUCCCUCUCAUUUUAUCAUUGUGUGCUAAAUUCUCCUCCAUUUCAUCAGUGUGCACUGCCAAAUUCCCCUUUGUUGACAUUUCCACAUCAUGACCCAUAAUUUCUUGAUCAAAUGAUGGACUUAACCCAAAUGAAUGAUCCCUUGGACGUGUCUGCAAAUACAUUUCAAUAGAAUUCGAUGGUGAGAUUUAUGCUACAUCAUGAAACAUUAACCUUGCAUCAUCAUUAUCUUUAAUUGGUAUUUUAUAUAGUUAAUGUUCCCAUUUCCAAUCAACAUAAGAAUUGGAUAUCGAAAUAUCAUGGAUAACAUGGUAUGAGCGCAAUCGAUCGACAUGACAUGACACAACUUAUCCUUCAAAUCAUCAUAUUUGAUCAAAUUGUUCACUAAAAUACCUUUUUUAGGUGGACAAUUGUAACACAUCCCAUUUGGGCCAUCAAUUAUUUCACCAUCCUUGUAACACACAAUUGUAAUAAAACUAUCCAUUCAUGUACCUAAAAAGAAUCAAAUAAAUGAUAUAUAAGACUGAAUUGAUAAUAACUAAGAAAAAAAGAAAAAAAAAAGAAUAGUGACAAUGACGAUGACGAUGAUGAUGAUGAUGGUGAUGAUAAUGAUAAUGAUAAUAUAGAAAUAUAGGAAUUAAGUGUCAACUAGGACUAAUGGGCUCGGGCUAGAAAUUUAAUUGUUAAUUUAAGAUAUGUGUAAGCCUGGUUAUUUAAUAAAUAUAUUUAAAACAUAAUAAUAAUACUAAUACUAAUACUAAUACUAAUAAUAAUAAUAAUACUAAUACUAAUACUAAUACUAAUAUAGGAAUUUAGUGUGAACUAGGACCAAUAGGAAUUUAUACUUGGACUAGGAAUUUGAGUGUUAAUUUAAUGGGUUGUUUUUUGGUACCCACUCUUUAUUUUGGGGGUACCUACCCACAUUUAACCCCAAUAAUAAAAUGACAAAUGUAUAGUGCAUGUCAUUAAAAAAUUUACAAAAUCUUAUUAAAUCGGUAAAGAUGACCUAUUGGUGAGAAAUAAUCACAUGCAUUUCAUACAUAUCUAAAUAUUACAACUUUUUUUUUAUAAUUUAUUAUUAAAUAUCAAAUAUAAUUUUUUAUUUAAUGAACUACGUAACUCUCUCUAAAAAAAGAAAAUCAUACCAACUACCCUUAUAUUCUCAUUAGUCAUAUAUAAAAAAGGAUACUAAUUUAAUAUGAAAAUUAAACAGUUUCAACUACCAUAUUACAAAAUAUGUUAGAUGUGUUUUGAUAAAUCAAAUUUGAAAAUCAGGUUUGAAACUUUAUGAAGGAGAAAAUUAAAAAUUUGUAUUUUAUCAAGAAGAUGAAGGAUUUCAAGUGAUUACCGGUGUCAAAUGUAAUAUUUGAUAUUUUUUUAUUUAAAUAUAAAUUUUGUAGGUAGAAAUGUUAUAUUAAAUAACGAAAUAUGAAAUGAUUUAAAAAAAUUUAAAACGAGUGUAAGCCUAGUUAUUUAAAUCAACAAUUGGGGUUCAACAAUUGAGCCCUAACUCAUUCUAGCAACAAUUAGUGGGUUUUUUUUUUCCACUGUUAGCUCAUUAUGAAAAAGCAGUACUUGAUAUAAAAUAAAAAUAGGUUGUAUAGUACUUCCAGAUGAACAACUAAAACUAUUAAAGACCAUAUUUUAAAAAUUAUUGUCAUUUGGGAAAAAAAAUUUCCACAACUAAUUACCAUGAUUCAUAGCGCCAUCCUUACCAAAAGAAAGCACCAAAAAACAAAAGGGAGAAUUACCCUUAAGGGUAGGCUGGGGAAAAAAAUGACCAAUGAGGGUGGGUAAAUUUGAUAAUUAUUGUAAAGGGUAGGGUAAAAUUAUGAUAAUUCCUCCAAAGGCCUUAUUUUAUUUAAAUGCCAAUACUACCCUUAAUAAGUGAAAAGCAACAGAAAAUAAAAAAGAGUUUAUUCUCCCUUUCUUUAACCUACCUGGAGCCGAGUUGUAGAAGAAAAAGGGGAAAGGAAAAAGGUGCGCACUUCAGGUCAUUCUCUGCAACCGAUACACAAAACUUGUUUUUUUUUUUUUUUUUGUGAAUCUAACAAGAAAUCCAUUAAAGGUCAAUUUUUUUUUUAAUACAAAAAAAAAGUCAGUUUAUGGAAAAAUAAAUAAAUAAUUUAAAAAUCGGAUUGAAUGAAGGAAAAGUUAAUAAUUUUAACAAUGUAGCUGUAAGAUAUUAGAUCUGAAAUAUUGAAUGAGGUUUUGAGAAAGAAAUUACAUUUUUUUUAAAUGUUAUUUAAAUUUAUUAUUUUGAAUUUUUUUAUAUUAUUUAGGUCAUAUUGAAGAUGUGUUUUUAUUUUUAAUUUAUUUUCUGGGUGGGUUGUUUGAUAUGAUUAUUAUUGAUUUCCAUUGAAAAGGUUUGCACUUUAGUUUUAUUGUUAAGACUUUUUGACAUGAUUGAAGAAAAAAUGUUCUCAGUUGUUUCAUGCUUGUUUGGGACCACUUUGUUUGUGUAUUUAUAAACAUAUUUGGAUUGUCAUUGAAAACUGAAAUCCCCUUUGUACGAGACCACUUUGUCUUUUAUUAUGAAUUUUUUAAAGAGUUAAGAUCACUAUAUUUUUGUUAUAAAUUUGUUACCUUUUUGUAUAAGUAUUAUUUUGGUAUGAUGAGUCGAAUGCCUAGUAGUUUGAAGGUUGUGUAAAAGAACCAUUAUUUCAGUUAUAAAGUAUAAGUACAAUACAAAUGCAAUAUAGUUACAAUGAAAAAAUAUUAACAUUAUGAUACAUUACAAUAUACCAAAAUGACAAAAUAUUGAAUUAUUUUUUACCGAAUUGGCAUUUCUAGGCUAUCAUGUUGUAUUCCUAUCAUAACGCAUCAUUGCAAGCCAAAAUUAUAAAAAAAAACAACAACAAAAAUACACUAUUGUAAUUUCAAUACAUGAAGUUGUUGAUGAUAAUCCAAUGAUGGAUAAAAAAAAAUCUAUAAAAUUAAUUUUUUUUAUAUAAAAAUAUAGAGGUAUAAUAAAAAUACAGUACAAUUACAAUACAAAUACAAUAACAUUACGAUACAUUACGAUAAGGUAAAAUUUUGAAAAUGUCAAAUUUCUUAUGAAACUGGGCAAUUAUGGGUUCUUUGGCAUAUCCCUAACAUGUAUAAUAUACAACAAAUAUUGUUAUUUAUUAUAUAAAAUAUGUCUCAAUUGAUUAUAAUUUUCAUUUGUUUAUUUUGUAUUAUUUGUAAAAUUUUCAUUGAUUGUAAUAUUGUGAAAUAGUUGUUGAUGAUAAUCCAAUGAUGGAUAAAAAAAAAUCUAUAAAAUUAAUUUUUUUUAUAUAAAAAUAUAGAGGUAUAAUAAAAAUACAGUACAAUUACAAUACAAAUACAAUAACAUUGCGAUACAUUACGAUAAGGUAAAAUUUUGAAAAUGUCAAAUUUCUUAUGAAACUGGGCAAUUAUGGGUUCUUUGGCAUAUCCCUAACAUGUAUAAUAUACAACAAAUAUUGUUAUUUAUUAUAUAAAAUAUGUCUUUAUUUUGUAUUCGUUGUAAAAUUUUCAUUGAUUGUAAUAUUGUGAAAUAGAUUGAUUUGAUUGUCGGUGAAAGAAGACGUACUUCUGAAUUGGUAAAUGGACUUGGAAAAUUCCAUUUAUGGCUACCUUCAUGAAGGAGGAGAGAUUGUACCUAAGGAGGAUAAACAAAUACAAUACAAGGGUGGACAACAAAAAGGCAUGUACAUUGGACAAAGGAUGUCAUAUUCUGAAUUUGUUUCAAAGGCAUGUGAACGGUUGGAUAUUAAUUCAAAUGGAUAUACAUUUCAUUACACCCUUGAGUUUGAUCCAUCUGCACUUCAACAGUUCGAUGAUGAUGAGGACAUGCAUAUGAUGUUAUCCCAUAGUUAUGAUUAUGCUCGUAUUUAUGUAUUAAAACGGACUCGAAGAGUAGAAGUUGAAGGAGGUAUAGUCAAUGUGCAAAAUGAUUAUUGGUAAGUGAUAUAUCUUGUAUUAGUUGUCAUUAAUUCCAUGAUGCAAAGUGCUUUUAAUAUUAAUUAACUGAGUUUGCUAUAAUAUGCAGUCACAAUAGUAUGGAGGAAACACACAAUUCAGUUGCAUCAUGUCAAGCAAACAAUGAGUCUAAUUUAGGACUUUCUCAAGGCUUCAUGUCCAGAUGUGCAGAAACUGAAGUUAUGCCACAUGAUUUAAGUCUUUGUCCUCAACCUAUUAUUGGGAGUGGGCAUAGUUUUCCUAAUUCAGAUGAAUUUAGAAAUGCAUUAUAUACGAUGUCAUUAGUUGGUAGAUUUCAAUACAAAUUCAAAAAGAACUCUUCAAAGAGAAUAUCUGUGUGUUGUUUAGUGGAUGGGUGCCCUUGGAGAAUAACUGCUAAUUCAGUAGGCACAACCAAAAUUUUGAAGGUUAACAUCUUCAUUGUGCAGAUGUUGAGUGUUCAAGCCAACCUUCAAUGCGGGGAAGAGAGGUGCUCGUGUCAUAGAGCAAGUAAUAAGGGCAACCCCUCAGUAUUUGCCCCAUCAAAUUUGCAAAGACUUCAGGAGUCGGUAUGGUGUUUCAUUGAGUUAUAAGCAAGCUUGGACAUACAAAGAAAUGGCAAAAGAGAGAAUAUAUGGUCUUCCAGAAAACUCAUAUAUGUUGUUGCCAUGGUUAUGUCAGAGAUUGGUAGACAUUAAUCCAGGGACGAUUGCUGAAUAUAGCAGACAAGAUGGGCAUUUUUGGCAAUUGUUCAUUGCACAUUCUUUUUCAAUUCAAGGGUUUUUAAUGGGUUGUCGACCUGUUAUUGCAAUUGACUCAACUCAUUUGAGUGGACCGUAUAGGGGCUCUUUAUUUUCUGCAACAGCUUAUGAUGCUGAUGAUGGCAUGUUCCCAAUUGCAUUUGGUGUUGUAAGUUCAGAAAACUAUGAGGAUUGGCUAUGGUUUUUGCAGAAAUUGAAGGGCAUACUUCAAGAUAAAGAGGUAGUCAUAAUAUCAGAUAGGCAUCAAGCAAUCCUUCGUAGUGUUUCUCAACUUUUUGGAGUAGAAAAUCAUGCAUAUUGUUAUCGUCAUGUGAAAGAGAAUUUUAGUAGCUAUGUGACGAAACAUAGUAUGAAGGGAAAAAAAUGUAAAAUGGAUGCAUUGUUGCUACUUGAUAAUGUUGCGUAUGCUAGGUUGGAUGAUGAUUAUGUUGUAGCCAUGGAAAAAUUAAAGACAUAUAACAGUGACCUAGCGAAGUGGGUUGAAGAGAACAGUCCACAACAUUGGGCAAUGUCAAAGUUUGCCAAAAAAUGAUGGGAUAAGAUGACAAUUGAUCUUGCUGAAUCAUUCAAUGCUUGGCUGAAGGAGGAACAUCAUUACACAAUUUUCAACUUAGUAAUGACACAUAUGGAUAAGUUUGCUCAUUUAGCAUGUGAUCAUAUGGGUUCUACAGAAAAUUGGAAAGCUGCAAUUGGCCUAAAGACCGAGGAAAAGUUAUUGGAAAGCAUUAUAAAGAGUGGGUCAUUGCCUGUAUAUCCCUAUGUUGGUGGUGUGUUUAAGGUAUUCAAUAUGAAAGUAUAUGUAGAUGUGAAUUUGAGAGAGCGUACAUGUACUUGUAAGGCUUGGAAAAUGGCCGGAAUACCUUGUGAGCAUGCAUGUGUAGCAAUACGCCAGAUGAAACAAGAUGUUUAUGAAUAUGUUGACUCAUAUUUCAAGCUUCCAAUGCAAGAGUUGAUAUAUUUUGGACACUUCAAUUCAAUUCCAAAUCACAAUAUGCCUAUAGUUGAUGCUGAUGGAUGUGUUCGUGAUGCUCAAGGUCGCUUAUAUCCUUCACUUAAACCUCCAUGCUCAAAACGACCACCUGGAAGGCCUCGACACCAUCGAAUAGAGUCUCAAUUUAGUUCAAAAAGGCUUAUCUUCUGUUCACGAUGUCAAGUUGCAGGCCAUAAUCGAGCUUCAUGCAAAAAUCCAUUACCCGCUCCAUGAUUCUAGUGUUAUGCUUGUUUGGUGACAUGCUACUUUUUAUCUUAUUUUGAUUGUGAUGAUAUGUGUGGUUUAUGAAAUUAGAAUCUGUAAGAAUUUGUUUUGGAACUUACUUAUUUACUUGAUUGUCAUGACAAAGAUGUUUGUAUUACAUAUGCCACUAUUUUAGAUUUAUGAUCUUAUCAUUAUUUAGGGUGGUUUGUAACCAUGUUUUUAAUGUUAUUUUGAAGAUCAUUAUUGACUUUGUACAUGUUCAUUACAUUUGUUUAACUUGUUUUCCAUUGAAAUACGGGUUACAUCAUGGCAUCUUCAAGUGCUUCAUUUAGAAAUAUAAGAGGUAAUACUAGAAAUGGUGAAUAUCUACUUUAUCAUAAUUGUAUGUGUAAAUGUUCACCCAGACAGAGGGCGGCUGUUAGAAUCUCUGAAUCAAAGGAUAACCCAAAUAGGUUAUAUUAUUGUUGUCAAUAUGCAAAUACUAGAGAUGACUGUCAUUUCUUUAAAUGGGCAUUCCCGGAAGGAAAUGGUGAUGGCAACACCUACCAAGAACCAGAAGAGGUUGUUCAAAGAAGAAUGUAUGGCGUGGAUGAAGAUUUUAAACAUAUUUUAACAAGAAUUGAGUUCAUGCAGAAAGUAAUUGUAGUAGGACUACUUUUAUUUUUUGUUCUAUGUUUGAAAAUUGCUUAAUCAUACACUUACUUCAUGUCUAUUAAGUUUUGGAUUAUAUAUGUAAUGCUUAAUUGUAUUGUACUUUGAUGUAUUUGUAUUUGGAGUUAUUUGUAAUAGGUUAUUUAUCUCCAUUAUGUGGACUUGUAUUAGAUUUUUAAUUAUAAUAGUUCACAGUUUUGCUUACAUUUUUAAUUACAUUUACAACAUAAAUUCACUAACAUUACGAUAAAAAAACACUAACUGUAUGAUAAAUUACAACAUAAACUAAUAAUGCAAUCUUUUGACUAAAUAAAGUCCAAUUUCUUAGGUUGAUUACCAAUUUCUUAUAUAUAAUGGUUCAAUAUAUAUAUAUAUAUAUAUAUAUAUAUAUAUAUAUAUAUAUAUAUAUAUAUAUAUAUUUUGUAACCUCAAAUUAGAAACGUCUUCUUAACUUUGAUAAUGAGUUGUUUUUUUUAAAAAAAAAUAAAAAAUUGCAACGAUCUGAAAACAUUAUAGAAUAGAAUUAUUCAUAAACUUAUUUGCCUGUAAAAAUAAAUUAUAUUAAUUUUUUAAUUUAUUAAAUUAAAAUCUAUUUCUUAUUUUUCUAUUUUUUUAAUAAUUUUUUUCGUUGAAAUGGACUCAAAAUGGUAGCUUUUACCAUGCAAAACUAGAGUGUCAAACCUUUUGUCAUUUAGUUAUAAAGACUUUGAAAUACUUGAAAUUACUCUCUUAUAAGUUUCUUGAAAAUGUAAUAUGUUUAAUAGGAAUUUUUUAAAAUAAGAUAAAAUAAUAGACCUCAUUGUGUGUUUAUUACUACAGUGAAAAAAAAAUUGCUACAAUGAAUCAGUGAUUGUGCAAUUUUAUGUUGUUGGAGUUAUGAUAACCCGCCUCUUGGUAGCUUGGCAUGUAAGGGUAUUAACAAAAUUUAUACCUAAGGUCCUUACACUAAAGUAGCAAAACUACUAUAGCAUAGUGGCUCUAGGAUCGAACACUGGGAAGGGUUUUUACUUUAACUGGUGAAGUUCGGAGGAUGGAGUGAACUUUUCUUAAUAAAAAUUAGGUUAAGAUGAAAACAUAAAAAGAUGAAGGCGUUGUAAACUAAACUAACAUGAAAAUAGGUUAAAAGAUGGAAAAAGAAGUUUCUCAAAGCUUUGGAUAGCCAUGCUUAACUCACUGUGUAAAAAUGGAGAUUUUGGGACUCUUCACCUCGAGUUGGGGAAACAACUAAGGUGAUGCUUACUUCCCGAACCAGUAUGAGUUUAACAAUUGAGUUUUAGUCCUUGAAAACUUGCAAAAAGGGUAGCUGAACCUCAUAAAUGCUCUUUUAUUGGUAUAGGUCAUCUCCUCGACUUGCAAUACAAUGGCUCGUAGGAGAUAACUAAUGAACAUCAGUGGAUCUAACAAUAAGAAUCCACUAAGACCAAAAGGUUAUCAAGUAUUGGCCAUUCAAAGCAAGUCAGAGGGAUUAAAAGCUUUACUUUUAAUGAAAACAUUUAUGACGCUCAGCUACUUACAUUUAUGGCUUGGAAAUCUCCAUCCUGACACGGGAGCUUCACAUGGCAUCCAUUACUUNNNNNNNNNNNNNNNNNNNNNNNNNNNNNNNNNNNNNNNNNNNNNNNNNNNNNNNNNNNNNNNNNNNNNNNNNNNNNNNNNNNNNNNNNNNNNNNNNNNNAGUUAUAAUAAUAGACCUCAUUGUGUGUUUAUUUUAUGGGUUAGAUUUCUCAUUGUAUGACAAUAUAAUUAUGAAAUCAAUCUCAUAUUUUGGAGUUUGGGAAAUGAUGAGAGAUUCAAACAGGUUAUAGCAUAGGCUUAAUGGUUUUUUUGCCAUGCUGAAUAUUUUUUGCACGUCAAUCUGAUCCCAAACUUUGUGAAGUACAACAAAUAUGACAGUCUUUUUGUUUUGUUCUUGAUGUUGUUAUUUCAAUUCUGCUUUGGCAGAAAAAAAAAUAAAAUUGAUCACCCAAGUAGCUGAGCUAAGUUAUCCCAGAUUGGCCUAUCAUUGAUGCGUUGGAGUUAUCAAUGUGUGAUAUCAUUUUGAUACCAUGGAGUUUGGGAAAUGAUGAGUUGACAGUGCAUUGCCUACAGCAAUUCAGAGAAAUUUGAAAAUCACAAACAAAUGAUGGCAUAACAAUAAUUAUUAAUAAAUAGUAGCAGCUAUGAGUUCCAAACAAAUUAGUUGAUGUAAGCCAAUUUGUAAAAAAAUAUCAGACUAGUAAAUUUGGAAAUGGAACUCCAUCAGACUAUAAAAAAUAUCAACAACUAUAAACCAAAAAAAUUACAACAUCACUGAUCCAUCGCCUGGUAGACAUUUUCCCUGACUUCAUUUUCUGGAGACAUUAUUAGUUGUGUUAGGAGUUUUUCCUUGUACUUUAUGACCUUGUCCUGUACAAAAGAGUAUAUAAUAUAAUAUUAAGAAAAAUUCAUGAUCAUAAAAAAAAUAUAUAUAUAUUUUAUUCACCACAAUAUAAUACAUUUGCAAUUGCACGAGAAAUUCCACGGUUACUCCAUAAUUGCAUAAACUUGAUUACAAAUAUGCCACAAUCUGUUCUACAAAUAGUAAUUAAGGAAAUUAUAAGUCAAUUGGAUAUCAAAUUAGUAAAUUUAUAACCUGAUUUGCUUUCCAUAGUUAAAGAGGAAUACAAAUCUUGCAACUUAUGGAUUCAAUUGUUGGACAACUUCUGGAACAACAAAUUCAAAUUCUGUCAUGUCCACUGAUGGUCUUCUUUCUUGAAUCCCAAUGACAGUUGACAAAACGUUCACCUUAACACAAUAUACAAUUAUAAAUAUGGACAUCUUUAAAAAAAUAAUGACAACGAUUCACAUAAGUAAUUGGACUAUAACUAUAUUUACCAGUUUCUCUAUGAAGGCAUCCAUCCAUUUUUUCCUUCCAUCAAUUAAUGAAUCCAACAACUCUAUUCUUUUCGCAUGAAUAUUCAAAAUGAUUAAAUACCAAUGAUUUUUCCUGCAUAUUGGUAUGAACAACUAAAAGGAACAAAAAAUAAAAAUAAAACAAUGAUUUUAUCAAAUUAGUUGUGUUCAUGUAUUUUCUGCACAAUACUUAAAAAUAUCCAACUACAAAGUACUUUUAUUAAACUAAAUAAAACCUGUUCAUAUGUGCACAACCGAGUAUUUUUGAAAUAUUUCCAUAAAUUGUCACAUAUGUAUUUUGGAGAUAAGGAACCCCUCUUGUUUUCCACAUCAGACUGUAAUAAAAAAAAUUACAAACCAUACAUUAGAUUAAAACAAUCUACGUAAAACAAGAAAACCAAUCUAUAAUUCUUACAACAUAUCUUACCACAAAGUUUGGAGAUAAGAAAUGCUUCCUAUUUUCUUUAUCCAUACCAUUCAAAAUUCGACAAUGCAUGGUUACAACCUUCAUGUAAAUUAAUGAAAAUUAGAUAUAUAGUUUUAGAGUAAUUUUAUCAUAACUUCACAUAACUAAAUAUGAAUACCUUAUUGUCAACCAAUUUGUCAGGUCCCAAGCAUUUAAAGUCAAACCUUGUCAAGAAGAAAUUGUGCAUGGAACAUAAUAUUUGGCUACACAUAAAUAAUUAUAAUGUUAGAAAUUAAAACUAAUUAUUUCAAUUGCCUAUCUUAAUUGUAUUUGUUUAUACUAAAUUAAGUUCAACCUUACCUUUCAUCACGUGUAUCAUCCAAUGCAUAUGCCAAAACUUGCUUUGCUACAGAUGAAGACGCUGAAAAUUUGAUUGACGGUUGUACCACGUAUGGUGAUUGUAGGGUAGUAGCAUGUCGACGUAGCUGAUAUGAACGUAUUGGAGGAUGUCCAGUCUCGUAAGGAAUAAUAGCAUUCAUUUGAACUUCAUCCUCAACUAUAUGUAUAGAAAAUAAAAUUCACUAAUGAAAAUAACACGCACAGGAAAUACUAGCCAUUAUUAUAUACUCAUUAUUAUUUUGAUAUUAAAACAUAAAGAAGUAGAAAGUAUAUUGCUAUGCUGCGCUGCUGGCUGUGAGGUUGAUGAGCCUACAUUAUCUUCACCAUCAGCAAAAUGAUCAUUCAGUGGCGAUCCAUAAGCUAAUUUCAGAAUGCAUAAUAACCAAAAUUAUUUUUUCCAAAAAAAAAAAAAUUAUACAACAUUUGCAAUUAAAUUAAAAGUAAUACAAAAUUAUAAUGACUAGUGCUAUAAAAAUCGUACUACCAUGUGGUGGUGAUGGGAAAGAAUCAUUGAUAUCAGGUUGAUUAUGACUUCUGCUUUGAUGAGAAGAUGAUGGGGUUUUAUUUGUAUUCUGCCGCUUUGCUAGUUUACUAAUUGCUCCUCUCAUUGUUCGAAGCAAUUGGUGAAUUUGUCUCUCUGCUGCAUUAUAUUCUGCUAUAAUUUCCUACAAAAUGGUACAAAGUGUCAAAGAUGUAUAUUAUUAUGCAUAACAUGUUUGGUUUUCACUUUAAAUAAAAGAAUAGAUGUAGAAGGUUCUCACAUCAGUAGUCUCUUCUUCAACUUCAUUUACUGGAUUACCAGGGUCUUCAUGUGCAUCUUCCUCCCUUUCAUCUUCUUGAACCUACAAUAAUAAAAAGAAGAAUAUAUAAUUUUUAUAAAUUUAUUUUUCAAAUAUGAACAUAAAAUAAAAUGUUGAAAGAAAAUUGUCCCUUACAUCAGCUAGUCCAAAAUCACCAUAAUCAUGCAAUUCCGCAUGCACCCUUUUCUUCAUCAAGUCAUCAGUUCACGCUGCACAUAUUGGGAUGGUACGUGGUACCAACAUGGUUGGAAUGUAAAAUUUAUUUACAUAAAAAAGCUGAAACACAAAUAUUCCACACAUCAAUACGUUAUUUAGAAAAGACUUGUUAAAACAUAUAAAAUGAUAUGGAAACCUUCAACAUUUAAUAAAAAAAAGGUAUCUACCUGUAAAAAAAUAAGGCAACCUGUAAACCAUGAGCCUUUACCCAAUCGAAAAUGUCUAAUUCCAGCAACCAGUGUGUCAAGUACAAAUUGACCCCAAUUAACAUUGAUGUCAAAGUCUCCAGCAAGCAAAGUACACCACAACUCAUGACUACCAUCCAACUUUGAUGUUGGAGCAAGUAAUGUAGCACAUGAGAAGAAGAUAAACAAUUUUUUGAACUCGGCCAUGUCUUCCAUUAAAAUCAGCCUAUCUCUAAGAUCUGAUAGGUUUUCCAUCCUAUUAUUCCUAUUGGUAGGUGAACGUAGGAGCCUCCUACCAAUAUAUGGAAUACCCAGAAUUUCACCUACAUCAGAACAAGUUAUUGGAAAUUGCCUUUCUUGUCCUAUGUCUAACCUACAGGCUAUAUUGAAAUGAGUUAUUAUCCAUCUACAUAAACUAUGCCUUAUCUCUAUGGAAGAGAGCUGAAGUAAUCCACCAAAGCCAAUAUGUUGAAUUAUACUCUUCUUUUCAUCACUUAGCUCAUCAAGUAGAUGUCUAAGUUUUUUGCUGGAGCAUCGACUAUUUAUUUUGACCUCCUGUAAAAGUAAAUAAAUGAUAAUAUAAAAUUAAAAUUAAAACAGUCAAAUUAAACAACAAUGUCAAACAUUAAUAUAGUCAAAAUAAAAUAAUACUAAUUAAAAUAAUGUUCAAACCUGGUUGUAUUGUAUUGUUUUUUUUCCUUUUAUCCAUGUAUUAUACUCCACACUACACUAUGGAAUUUAUAUCAAAUAAUCAAUUUUCAUAAUUAAAUGUAUAAUGAAUCAAGUAAUAUUGUAAUAUAUUGUACUUCUAGUGCAAUUGUAUUGUAAAUGUAGGGCAUUUGUAUUAUACCCUUAUUUAUUUUGGUUUAACUACUAUUAGUGAUCCCAAAUACAGUUACAUACAUGCCACUGCCACAACAGGAGGUCCACUACCAGUUCCCACAUUACAAUCAAUAAAAUCAAUUAUAUGUUCAAACUUGUUUUUGAUUUUUAAUAGAAUCAAAACAGCAUAAAAUACAUCUCAGUUGAUUCCAAGUUUAACUAGGGAUCCAGGAACAUAAGAAAGUAGCUCAGAACAGCAUUUUCUAAGAAAUUUGACCACUGCCAUGAUUACAUUUAUUAAGGAGUUCAAGGAUUCAAUAUUUUUUUCUCAUAUGUUUUCCUCCAGCUUCUCGGCAUCCAGAUAGAUUACCUAAAUCAACCUCUAUCAACAGUCAUAAUACUAAAUAAAUUGGCACAACCCAAUUCCAAAUGGGUUUCAGAAUUAGACCAAUUGCAUCUAAACAAAACCAUGUUGAUUCAUCAUCAAAUCUUCUAGCUAAUCACAAACACAAGCAAAUACAACAACACUAAUAACAAUUGCAGGUCCGUUUGGAUGCUGAGAAAGUAGAAAAUAAAAAUUAAAGAAAAAACGUGAACUUAAACAAAAACCCAAAUACCCGAUACCCACAUUCUUUGUAAUCUCAAUCAAAAUCAGUAGCCUAGAAAUCUUUUCUUAAAAAUGAACUCAAACAAAAAAACACCCAAACAACUCCUCUAACAGAGCCUAGAAAUCUUAAAAUUAUUUUAGGACCUGCAACACGUGAACUCAAAAACCCUAAAUAGAGCACUUGCAUAUGUGAACCAAAAUAAAGAAUUAGAGUUUAGAGAUAGAAGUACUUGGAAAUGAGACUCAAUUGCUUUAUUAAAAUCCUAAAACCCAAAAUAAAUUUGGAUUGAGGGUUACCUUUGAUCAGAUCAACAAUGUCGAAUGAAAGUGGAGUGUCUUUCCAACUGUAAAGUCUCGGAUGGAGAGUAAUGGAGGAGGAGAAUGAAGAAAUUAUCGCUUUGGGGAUGAGGUGAGGGUUGAGGAUGCCGGUUGCAGAAAGCUACAAGGAUGGGUGGGCUAGGGUCAGGCGUCGGGUUGAGAAUCGUACAUGGAUUGGGAUGGAUUUGGAAGGCUUUGUGAGGACUUUACCUUGGACUAGUGGGGAAGUGUGCUUGAAGUAUCAGUUACCGGGUGAAGAUCUCGACGCUUUGAUCUCGAUUACCAACGAUGAGGAUCUUGAACACAUGAUGCUCGAGCACGAUCGAUUGUGUCGCCCAUCCAACAAGCAGGCUAGACUCGGGUUAUUUCUCUUCCCGCUGACCCCUCCUGCAUCCACCAGUUUCGGUUCCAACGAGACCAAAUCGGAGCGGCAGUGGUUCGUGGACUCAUUGAAUUCUGUGCAGAUCCAGCCUCUGGAAGGUUCUUCACUUCAGGCGGCGGCCUCCGAGACUAAUCCGGAUUUUCUGUUUGGGUUGGAUAAAGGGCUCGCUCCGCCUCCCCUCGUGAAAUUGCUUCCCAAGGAUUAUUUAGUGAGAUCGGAUCCAGGAUCGGAAAUUCCUUAUAAAUUAUAAUUUUAGAAUUUAAUUGAGGGUAAAUUGGUCUAAUAAAAAUAUUAGGCCUUCAGAAGAAUUAUCAAAUUUACCUACCCUCAUCGGUAAUUUUUUUCCCCAGCCUACCCUUAAGGGUAAUUCUCCCAAAACAAAAUAUAUAUUCUGCCAUUUGAUAAUGAAAAUUUAAAAUUAAAUAAAUAAAUAAAACCAAAGAAUGAUAAUCAAAGAAACUUUCACCCAGAGGCAAAAAGACCUUCAAGAAAAUAAUUAAAGCCAACAACUUGAAUAAGAUACUACCUAAAAGAUUAUCUUAUCAUCAUAGUGACCCAAUUACCAACACAUUUCUUAAUUUUUUUCUUUUCUUUUUUUAUUUAAAACAAAAAUCAAAACAUAAAAUUAUUGUUUGGAACAUUAUUUUCUCUCAUUUUCAUGAAUUUUUCCUAUAGUAUCCAAUCAUUACCAAAUCAAAUUGUCUCAAAAAAAUAUAAUUUUAUGCUUCAUUCAAUACGUUAGAUUUAAUAUUUUUAUUUUUUAAAAAACCAAAAAACAUAAAACACAAAGCCAAAAAUGUGUUCUUUUGUUUCCUAAAUUGUCACAUGAACCAACACAUAGUAACAUCACAUUUCCAUGCAUUAUCAACUAAUGGUUGUCUUAGUUAAUCAAUAAUUGGGUCAUAGUUUGAGAUAAAACAAAUACGAUGUCAAUAUAGUAGUUAAAAUAUUAAUAGAUAGCAAAUAGAAUCACAACAAGCUCACCCACAAGUAGAACCACAAAAUUUUCAACUUUCCUACACUUUAGUGGCAACCAAACAGAAUUACAACAAGUGAAACCACAAAAAAAAAAAUGAAAACUUUCUCCACAAUUUUUAGCCUACUCAAUUUCAUUGUAAAAAAACAAAUGAAACCUUUAUUUUUUUUUUUCAACUUUCCCACACUUUCUUGGUAACCAAACACAACUACAUCACCAAAUAUAAUCACAAAACUUACAGAAAACACCCAAGGGCCAUGGUGUCUCGGAUCUACACUUCACUUCCUUCCUAUUGGUAUUGAUGUAAGGAGAUCCACUUCAUGAUCAACUCGUGUGGGAAAAUGGGUUUUCAGGGAGAUAACAAAAUGAGUUUUGAGGCAGAGAAGAAAAUGGGCUGGGGAAAUGGGUAUGCACUUCUUUUCAAUUAUAAAAUACUAUUUUUUUUCACUCUCAUCCUACGUGUUAAAAAAUGUGGUAGAAUUGGAAUUAUUUUUCAAUUUAUAGCAUUUUAAAAAUUACUUUCCCUAAUAGUCGUACAUUUAUAAAAAAUCCCAACAUUAUCAUAGUCCCUUGGAUAGAUGUUUUAUUUAGGGGUUUGAGAUAGAGAAGGAAAUGAUUGAGCUUCUUUAUCAUGCAUGCUCUCAUCAACACAGAGUUUGGGCAUGUCAUAGAUAAAAAUCAAAAUGAACCUAAAUAAAUCAAAGUUCUAAGUGGAAAAUGUUCAACAAGGGAUUAUGUAUCUAACUGUAACAUGAUUGAAUUCUAUUCAAACAUGGAAAAUAUUAAUGAUUACAUACCUUUUUUUCCGACUUUGCUCAUCCCAUUAACAUUUUUCAUCCACAAGAAACAACCUAUAUUGCAAAAAAUGAGAAAUAAAAUAAAAGUAAAAAAAAGUUGUAUUAGAAUAUUAAGAAAUUUAGAGUACUUAUAAAUAUAAAAGAAUCCAAUUGUUUAAUAUUCAAAAAAAAAAAAAAGAUCCAAAAUUUAAAAUCUAAAUAUUGAGGGUAAUUUUCUAUUUUUCCAUCUCAUAAUCAAUUAACUUCCUAAAAGGCUCAUGUCAACAUUUUAAAUACUACAACAUUUUUCACCUUAGAGCGAAUGUAAAAUUAUAAAAUUAUUAUCAUUCGACAAAUACUUUUCUAACAUAUAAGUGAAAAAAGAAAAAUGAAAUAAAAUAAAAAGAACACAAAUUUGUUAACGGUGCAUAUAAAUAAGUUAAAGCAACAAACAAAAAAUAUUCAUUUACCGAAAAAUCCAAGUUUUGAAAGAUACCAGGAAUCCAUUGUGUGAGUUUAACAAUUAAACUAUCCUACUUUAAAUGGGAAGUAGCUACACACUAACGUGCUUAUCAAAAUCUUGUCUCUAUUCUCCAUAGAUCAUGCACAAAUUAGAGAAAAGAAAUAAAAUCAAAAAGAAAAAUAUGCCAUAAGGUAUAUUUAUCUCAAGCUCUUCAAAGUACUGAGAGCACCCACUUUACAAAAUUGUAUUCGGGUCAUGUAACAAUUGAAUCCAACUCAUCGCAGCUCAUCGUCUUUCUCAAAAACGGGUUUUUUAUUUUUAACUUUUUCUUAUUAAAAAAAUAAAAAUAAAAACUGAUAAACUAAACCACAACAUCAAAAGAUUAUAAAACUAAGAAUAUGUAUACAUACCACCAGGCGAAGGAGCCAUUAAUGUUGUUGGAAGUUUGCUCUUCAAAAGAGCUUUAGAAGUGAUUGUUCUUCAAGAGAGCUUCCAAAGAGAUUAAAGGGGCCUUUUUCUGUAUCCAAUUUGUUGAUCCCACUCUCAACCAACAGUAAAAGAAGUAAUCUUAUCAUGAAAGAUUAAAGGUAACCAUAAAAGAAUCGAACUCACCUCAGUAUUUAUGAGUUGGAUUUUUUUCCACAGAGAAUGAAAUAGAGAUGCUUCUGAGAAGGGAGAGUGAGGAGAUACAAAGGCGGAUUUGUGUGAGGAAAGAAUCAUUUACUUCCCAAAGAGAUAUACGGGCUUCCUCACAAGGAGUAUUUCAGUAAACUUGGAAUGGAUUUAAACUGCUUUAUGGUAAUAAAAAAAAAUAAAAAAAUAAAUAAAGAAAACGCGUCCUCCAACAAUUUAUUGAUCCUGUGAAGUGGAAGUAAUGCUAGUACAACAUCUACAAUUGUGGGAAAUGACACAUCUGCAGGAGAGAAUCCUUUUGAUAUAUUCUACGUAUUAAUUUUAUUGUUAACUCCACCACUGCAGUGAUAAAAGGACGAAAAAGAGAGUUAUUUCUGAACCGAGAGAGUAGGUACAGAAAGAACUUUAUUUUGCUCCUUGAAAGAGUUGAAGUCCGCCAGUGUAAAGUUUGAAUGGACAAGACUAGUUGAUGGGAAGAGAUGCAGUUUAUUGGGACUUUAAUUGAAAUAUUUUUCUCCCAACACCAGCCUCUGACCUCUGUCACUUGCAAUUCAUCAAUUCAGAUUCAUUUAUAUGGUUUUUUUUUUCCCGGUUUUUCUAAUGAAAAUAUUUAUUUUUUCUUUUGUUUGGUUGAAUAGUAGUAUAUGGAGAUGGCUUCCCAAAGAUACGGUAUUUCUGUUAUUAGUUCGGAUUGAGGGUCUUUCUAUUUAUAAUAUUUUUUUGUCAAAAUGUUUUUUUAAAAAUAUUUUUAACAGAAUCACUUAUUAAAUUAAUUUAUAUAUAGAUUUUAAAAAAUUUUAAAAUUUUAUUAAAUAUAUAUUUUUUAUUAAAAUAAAGUUUUUUAUGCUAAAAUUUUUUCUCACCUUAUAAGAUUGUGUUUAGUAUCAAGAAAAGAAAAAAAAAAUAAAAGAAAAUAAUUUUCUCAUAUUUGAUUUUAUUAAAAAUUAAAAAUAAAUAAAUAAAUAAAAUUAAAAUUAGUUAAAAAUUGAUAUAUUUUAAAAUUAUUUAAUCUUUAUACAAUGAAGGAAAUUAAAUAAAAUGGGUUUGAACAAACAUAUAAAAAUAAUUUAUUAAUUUUAAAUCUAUUUUUUAUUUUUUAUUUUUUUUUUGCUUCCACUUUUCUUCUUUAUUUUCUUUUCCUCAAAUUUUCAAGGAAUCAAACAUAGCUUAUUUAUUAUAAAUCCAAGAAUAAUUCAUUAUAAUAAAUAAUAGGCAAACAUUUUCACCAUCAUUUUAAACAAGGUUUGUCAUAGAACAAAUACUCAUAUUAAGGGUAACAAAGAUCAUUCUAGUCUUAAAUUUAAAGACUCAAAAGUAAAAAUGAUCAAAGACUAAAAACUAAUGCAUCAAACACUAGAUUAUUAUUCAAACAAUUUCAAACUCAAAUAAUUCAAAUAGUCAUCCAUUUAUAACAUUUAAAUAAUGUGCUAAAUAAAAGUUCAAACUCAAAAAUGUUUAUCGAGAAUGAUUUUCAUUCUUACCACCACUUCUUGUCGGAACAAAGAGUAUUUGAGUGCUUAAAAAAUAUUCAACAAAAGGGAAUAACUUCAAAGAUUUAAGAACUUUAACAAAGUUUCAUUAGUAAAAAGUUUUCAAAUAUGAAUACAAAGAAGGAUAUAUAAUUUAAUAACCACUUUCAUAAAAAUUCCUUAAAGCUUAAACAUGGUAAGAAAUUUAAUGUCUAAUUAAGUUGAAUUUACAACUGGAUGACUAAUUUCAAAUUUGUUCAUUUCAAAAUUGAACAAAAUCAAACUCUACUAAUACUAAUAACCUUUAACCAAAUCCCUUUUGGUUUGGGUCAAUGCAAUUGCAUGUCCCACCAUAAAAAUGUAAAAAUUGAUAAUAACAUCAUUGUCAAUUAAGACAAAACAAAUUAAAGUUUGUUUCAUUUCAUUUGAACUUAGAACAUAAUAACACCAUUUUUUUUUUGUUUAAACAAUUGAAGAUAAUCAAACAUAUUUUUCAUAUAAAAAUGUAUUUGAUCCAUGUUAAAAAAAAUAAUUGUUUAUAUAAUUUGAAAUAACAUAUAAAAAAUAUUUUUUUAUAUAAAAUUGGUAUUAUUUUUCUUUACCCAAAAGAAGCCUUGAAUUUUGUUUGGAGAAUUUACUAUUGAAGAAUUUAACUCUUACCUAACAUAAUAUAAGCAAAAAUACAAUUAUUACUAUGCGCUAUUUAUCUAAAAUAAUAGUGUGAUAAUCACUUGGGGAGCCAUAAUGGUAAAAAUGCAAUUAUUACUAUGAGUUAUUUAUCUAAAAUAAUAGUUUGAUAAUCACUUGGGGAGCUUUGAUAAUCACUCCGGGAGCCAGAAUUGUAGGGCGGGGGAACACAAAAAAUCUAUUUCAGGGCAAUAUGAUAUGAAGAUGUAAAUUUUGCAUGAAAAUUUGAUUUUUUUGGGAGCACUGGACCCCUUAAGGCAUACAUUGGCUUGAUAUGUGUUGAUAAUCCUAAUAAUAUUCUCUAUUGGUAUUAUUAUUCUUGAUAUUUAUUAUUAUUAUUAUUAUUAACUUUAAUUUAAUUAAUUAGCUUAUAAAUUCCCAAUUUGUGUAAAACUCUUAUUUUUGAAGUUUAUUUUUAAGAAUCUUCUCUUUUCUUUAUUUAAUUAAACCAAAUCUCUUCAAAACCUAUUUCUUUUGUUUGUUGAACUAAACUUAUUAUUCUUAUAAAUUUUAUUACAAUUAUUUUAUAUUACUCACCAUUAAUAUUUUUAUUAUUCUUUUUUAUUAUUAUUAUUAUUAUUAUUAUUAUUAUUAUAUCUAACACAUUCUCACGCAUACACAUUACCCAUGUAUGUAUCACUUUUCCUCCGCUGUAGCCACGUAUCAUUUUCACUUUUCCUAUAGCUAUUUUUUUCUAACCAAUUAAACACUCAUGCCAUCAUUUCUUUUGUUACCUUUUUUAAGUUUCUCAAUAACACCCUUCGGUCAUGCAAUGCCCUCACACUCACAACCAUGAAUUUCCCUUCUUUUUUUUUUUUUUUUUCCAUAUCCAAAUCCACAUAAACCCCCCAUCAUUUACUUUUCCUAUUCAUUCUUUGCAUCCAUCAUAUGCACACAGUGCAACUUCCCUUCUAAUUUGUAUUUUUAUUUUAUUUUAUUUAGGUCCACCCAUUUGAAUAUAUAUAAUUUCCCUACCUCGAUAAAUAAAUCAAUCCAUAUUCAUAUAUUUAAAAUUAAAUAAAUCAAAGUCUCAUCAAGAAUUAAUUUUUUCAAAAAAAAUAUUUAAAUUAUUAAAAAUUAAUAAUAAAUCUAAAAUUCUAAUAUAAGAGUUAAAGUUUUACUUGAAAAAACUCAUCUUCAAAUACUAAUCAUUCUUACUGUGCAAAAGGAAUGGGAAAAAGGAGUUCUAUGUAAAGAAGUUAGAAAAUUUAAUUUAUAGUUUUAAUGCAAAAACUGCCAUUUUUUAAAUUUAUUUUUAUUUUUUAUUUUUUAUGUUAUAUUUUAAGCCCUAAAGAAAUUAAGUUUAGGGUAUUAUAAGGUUUAUAUAAUCACUACUAGUUAAAAGGAAAGAUUUAAAACCUCCUUGUCAAAAAGGAUUUAUCUACUAUAGUUUUAAUUAAUGAUUAUUGAGUUAAUAAUAUUUAUGAAUUCUUUAAUUAAUUAAAUCAUUAAUCAAUAUUUUCUAGAAUUCCAACGGUAUAAUGGGAUACAAUUUACAUGAAAAACCAUUGACAAAACCUUUUAAAAACUUUACUGAUAUAAAAAGUGUAUAUACAUAUUUAUCUAAUGAUUGCUACUUUUUAAAACUUAAACCCAAAUACCUAUAACUAACCCCACAUCCAUGAUGCACUACCAUCAUAGUCUUUAGAAGACUCUUCAACACCUUGAGGGGUUGCGUUCCCCUACUCUAAAAUUAAUAAAUUAAGUUGAAAUGAUUUAACAGUUUCAAGUUAAGCAUAGAUACUAAUGACUUAAAAAGCUUAGGCAUAUGACUUCUUAAAGAAAUUUCUGGUUUAUAUUAAAAAAGCACUAACGGAGUUUGACUCAAAUUUUAAAAAUAAAAAAUAAAAUCAUAUUUUACCAAAAAAAAAUAAUUUAGAAAAUUUAAAUAAUUUUGGAAAUAUUUUAUUUUUAUAAAUUCAAAAAGAUUUGAAUAGAUUUUCCUCUUUGAAUUUUCAAUUUAAAUUGACUUUCAAAUUUCUUUAUUUGUGAAUUACAUGUAAGUCAAUUCUAUGUUUUGACCUUAUUAUUUUCCAUUAAUGCAAUUAUACUAUAAUGUUGUUAAUUUUUAUAUUAAUUUUUGUUAGUUCCACCACCAAACCUAAGAAAAACAAAAUUAAUUACUACAAGCCUAAUUGAUAAAAUACCUUUUAUUUAAAGGCUAGAUACAAAAGUCCUUUGGGACAUGUUUGGUACAUGAGAAGGGUAAUGAAGAAUGUGAAUGAAUAUUUUAUUUUCAUUUUUAUUCUCCUUGAAUAGGAAUAAUUUUGAUGAUUAUAAUUCUUGUUUUUAGAUACACCUAGAUUAGAAUGAUUAUUUAUUUCUAUAUCAUUGUUAGGUAAUAAUGAGAAUGAGAAUAAAAAUGAAAAAAAUAAAUAAAUUGACAAUGAUACCUGUGCAUAGAGUUUAAAAUACAUUUUUUUAUUUUUAUCUAAAAAAAACAUAUUUGAGAUUUCUUUAUGCUAAAUAAUAAAAAUCCAUUUGGUGGUGUGAUUUAAAAAUGAUGUUUUUUUAAAAAACAGAAAAUUCAUUUUAAAAAUUUAUACCAUUGUUUGGUUUUUAUUUUCUAGAAACAAUUUUUAAAAACAAAAGAGAAUUGUUUUUAGAAAAUAAUUAGAAUUUGUUCUAAUCAAUUUUUGAAAACAAAAGGAAAACAUAGAGAAAUAAGAAAAAUAAAACAAAAACCAUAAAAAGAAACAAAAUAGAAUUCGGUAUAUAUCUUCUUUCAUUUUCUCUCCAUCGCCCAAUACUAAUACAACAAAUAUUCUAACAUGAUAUUCAUUUAAAUUAUACAUAUAAUCUAAAUUUCUUUUAACUUCUCUAAAUUUCUUUAUUAGAAUAAUAGAUUUAAAAUCAAGCAACACUUCAUACAAAAAAUUAGUAAUAUUUAAAAAUAAUUUAAAACUUAAAACUAAUUCAAUUAGUAUUAGAAAGUCGUGGAACUCAAAAUCGAUCAAAUUAAAGCUAAAAGGUCACAAUUCAUUUUUAAUGACUUUGCUAGUUUUUUUUUGCACAUGAUUAUAUUUUUUUUAAUCUUUUUUUCACUAAGUAUAUAAACUUUAAAAACUUAAUGUGUUGAAUUCACUUAAUGAAUCUAGUCAUUUUUAAAAAUAUUUUAAAAUUCAAAUAGUGGCAUAAUAAAUAUAAAAAAUCUAUAGAAACAUAUAUAUAUUUUUUAUUAAUAGAAAAAUGAAUUUCAAAUCAAACAAGACCUAGUAUUGAAUUUAUUAAUGGAUUUAAUAAUUUUUAUAAAUACUUUAAAACUUAAAAAUAUAUAUAAUAAUUAGCCUAAACUAGUACCUUAUGAAUCAUGAUUUACUAUUUCUCCUAUAGAAACAACUAUAUUUUUUGAAUUUUCUCACAGAUAAACAAAUUCUAAAUUAGGUGAAACAUAAUUAUUGCUUUAAAUUAUUUAAUAAAUCAUCUAAAUUUAAUAAUAAUUUGAAAUUCAAAACUUGAUUAAUUAAUUACAAGUUAAGUAAAAAAAAUUAAAAUACUAUAUCCUAAUUAAGUACUAAAAGCAUGUGUGUAAUAAACUAUUUGAUUUAUUUAUACUUUAAAAAAUUAAACUUUAUUUGUUUUUAAAUUUAUUUAAAAUAAAAUAGUAUUAUCAAUUAUUAAUUUAAAUAUUAUUAUUUAUUUUCAAUUAUAUAAUAUUUAUAAAAAAUAUAUAAAUUUUUAUUUUUUUUAAUAUUACUAAUCAUACUUUAUUAAAAAUUAUUAUUUUUGAAUUUAAUUGUAAUUAAAAAAAUUAAUUUCCUAUUUAAUAAAAACUUGAAUUAAUGUUAGUUUAUAUUUUAUAAAUUGAAUUUAUAAUUUUUUUUUUAUAAAAUCAUAAUAAAAAAAAUUAUUUUUAAGAAUAAUUUAUUCAAACAAUUUUUUUUUUAAUUUUUUGAAUAAUAUUUUUAAAAAAACUUGUAAUAAAAUAUCUUGUAUAAAAGAUGACUGAAAAUUCUACUUUUAUUUUAUUUUUAUUUUUUGAAAUUAUUUGUUAUUCUAUUUCCGUAGCUAUCAAGAGAAAAGGAAAAUGUUAAUUGUCACUCAUUAUUCCUGCUUAAAUGCCAUUAUAAAUGGAGUGGGUACGAAUCUUAUUGAAAACAGAAUUUCUUCUGAGGAGAGAUGAAAGUUAGCCUGUUAAUCUGCAAGGUUUGAAUGAAGAGGACUUUGAGUUGAGUUGAUGGCAAGUGGAACAGUUUAUUGGGAAGCAAAUUGUAGUAGACAAUCCUUUAUCAUUUAGAACAAACCAAUAAAUUGGUGCACAAUAAUUUUUUUUUUUUUAUAAAUCUACGAAACAAUCCAUUACAGUGAACAACAAGCAAACAUUUUCACCAUAAUUUCAAAUAAUGUUUCAUAUAAUCACUACUACCUAAGAGGAAAAUUUUGAAGCCUAUUUGUCAAAAAAGAUCGGUGUACAAUAAUUUUAAUUAAUAAUUAUUGAGUCAAUAAUUUAUUUGCUGACAUAUUUUAUUAUUAUUAUUAUUAUUAAAUAAUAAUAAAUUGCUUUAUGGUGAUAGAAUUUUUUAGUAAUCAAAGAUAUUAAUCAUGUGUGGAAGCAUCCCAAACAUUAUUAAUAUAUUUUUUAUCAUCAUCAUCAUCAUUAUCAUUGUUGUUAUCAUCAUCGUUUUCUUUUUUUCUUAUCUUUAGUAAGUGGUGGGUAAAUUUCUAGAAUAUUAAAACUAGAUUCAAGUUACAUUACAAUCAAACAUAUUGCAUUAAAAAUAAAAAUAAAAAAACCACAUUCAAAGGGUUUUGUAAAGGAUAGUAUGUUUUGAUCAAGUGUAGCUUCCAAUUCUUAUAUAAAAGUUCAUUUAUUAAAAAAUAUCAAAUUGAGAAAAGACAAUAAAAUUUUAAAAAUAUGAAAAUAAUAAUACCCUUACACACCUUGUUAAAAUGUGCAUCAAAUUCCCUUUUGGAUUGACUGUACAAUUGUUAUUAAGUAAAGGAUAAAUUUUACAAAUGUUUUUGUUGGUAUAUGAUUUAGUUGUGAUGCUCCAAUAAGAAAUCAAGGGUCAUUGGACUCAUAGUAGUACAAAAACAUCACAAUAUGCCAAAUUAAUUUUUAAGGAUAAAAUAAUAAAAAAAGUAUAAAAUUUAUUAGAUAAAUUUAAAAAGGGUAUAAAGGUCUUCUUAUAUUAAAAACCCUAAGUGUAAAUUAGAUUGUUCUAACAUCUUUUUACAAAAACCCUUUAUUACAAAUAUCAAAGAGCGUAAGGUAAAAUGAGGCUAAAGAUUUGGGAGUUUAGAAUUUGAAAAUCAAUUUUUUCAAAAAAGAUUCUAACUCUUAGAUUAAUAUUUUAAAUUUGUUAAAUAAUUUUGAAUAAUUAAAAUUUUUUUUUGGAAGAUGUGAAUCUAGAUUAUGAUUUAGUUAUUUAAUUUGUAAAUAAAAAAUAUUAUUAUUAUUUUUUUUUAUGAAUAUAGGUUGAUUUAUUUAUGAAGAUAUAAAAUUUCUAAAUAUUCAAUUGAGUUGAACUAAACAAAAUCUUAUAUCUUAGAUAUGAUAAGAAAAAGAGUUUUGUGGUUAUAUGUGGUGAUUUUGGAAAAAAAAAAAAAUCAAAUUAUGUAAUUGUGAUAAUCAUGAUAGGGUGUGAGUGCUAUAUAUAUAUAUAAGGUAAAUUACCCUUUAGGGUGGGCAGGGCAAAAAAAAUGACCUGAAAGGGUCGAUAGAUUUGAUAAUUCUUCUGAAGGGUAGGUUGAAAAUAUGAUAAUUCCUCCAAAGGCCAUAUUUUGUUUAAAUGCCAAGACUACCCUUAAUAAAUCAAAAGCAACAAAAAAAAAAAGUUCUUUAACCAAGUUGGAGCUUGAAGGUAUUGAAGAAGGAAAAAGACAAAGAGGAAAAAAAAUUCAACACUUCAAUUCAUGAUCUGAAACUGUCUCCAUAAAGUUUGUUUUUUUGUGUGAAUUAAUCAAGAAAUCCAUUAAAGGUAAUAAUUUUUUUUAAAUGCAAAAAACAAACAAACAAACAAACAAACAAACAAAAAUACGCCAGUUUAUGCAAAUAAAUAAAUAAAUAAAUAAAAUAAAUAAAUAAUUUAAAACUUGGAUUGAAGGAGCAAAAUGUUAAUAAUUUUAACAAUGUAGAUCUAAGAUAUUAGAUUUGAAAUGUUGAAGGAGGUUUUGAGAAAGAAAAUGCAUUUUUUGUGUCAAAUGUUGUUAAAAUUUAUUUUUCUGAAUUUUUUAUAUUAUUUUGGUCAUAUUGAAAAUGUGUUUUUAUUUUUAAUUUAUUUUUCGGGUGGGUUGUUUGAUAUGGUUAUUAUUGAUUUCCAUUGAAAAGGUUUCUACUUUAGUUUUGUUGUUGAGACUGGUUUAACAUGGUAGAGGGAAAAAAAAAAUUUAGUUGUUUCAUGCUGGUUUGGGACCACGUUGUUUGUGUAUUUAUGAACAUAUUUGGAUUGUUGUUGAAAACUGAAAUCACUUUGUAUGGGACCACUUUGUCUUUUAUUAUGAAUUUGUUACCUUUUUGUAUGAGUAUUAUAUUGGUAUGAUGUGUUGAAUGCCUAGUAGUUUGAAGGUUGUGUAAAAGAGCCAUUACUUCAGUUAUAAAGUACAAGUACAAUACAAAUGCAAUACAGUUACAAUGCAAAAACAUUAACAUUACGAUACAUUAUAAUAUACCAAAAUGACAUAAUAUUGAAUUUUUUUUUACUAAAUUGACAUUUCUAGGCUAUCAUGUUGUAUUCUUAUCAUGAUCAAUGUUUUGAAGCAACCUUGCAAGCCAAAAUUAUAAAAAGACAACAAAAAUACACUACUGUAAUUUCAAUACAUGAAGUUGUUGAUGACAAUCCAAUGAUGUAUAAAAAAACAUCUAUAAAAUUAAAUUUCUUUUUAAAAAAAAUAUAGAGGUGCAAUAAAAAUAUACUACAAUUACAAUACAAAUACAAUAAUACUAUGAUACAUUACAAUAAGGUAAAAUUUUGAAAAUUUCAAAUUUCUUAUGAAAUUAGGCAGUUGUGGGUUCUUUGGCAUAUCCCUAACAUGUCUAAUAUACUACAAAUAUUGUUCUUUAUGAUAUAAAAUAUGUCUCAAUUGAUUACAAUUUUCAUUUGUUUAUUUUGUAUUUGUUGUAAAAUUUUCCUUGGUUGUAAUAUUGUGAAAUAGAUUGAUUUGAUUGUCGAUGAAAGAAGACGUACUUCUCCAUUGGUAAAUGGACUUGGGAAAUUCCAUUUAUGGCUACCUUCAUGAAGGAGAGGAGAUUGUACCUAAGGAGGAUAAACAAAUACAAUACAAGGGUGGGUAACAAAAAGGCAUGUACAUUGGACAAGGGAUGUCAUAUGUUGAUUUUGUUUCGAAGGCAUGUGAACAUUUGGAUAUUAAUUUAAAUGGAUAUAAAUUUUGUUACACCCUUGAGUUGGAUCUAUUUGCACUCCAACUGUUGGAUGAUGAUGAGGACAUACAUAUGAUGUUAUCCCAUAGUUAUGAUUAUGCUCGUAUUUAUGUACUAAAAUGGGCUCGAAGAGUAAAAGUUGAAGGAGGUAUAGUCAAUGUGCAAAAUGAUUAUUGGUAAGUGAUAUAUGUUGUAUUAGUCAUCAUUAAUUCCAUGAUGCAAGUUGCUUAUAAUAUUACUUAACUGAGUGUGCUAUAAAAUACAGUCAUAAUAGUAUAGAGGAGACACAAAAUUCAGUUGCAUCAUGUCAAGCAAACAAUGAGUAUAAUUUAGGACUUUCUCAAGGCUUCAUAUCCAGAUGUGCAGAAACUAAAGUUAGGCCACAUGAGAUAAGUCUUUGUCCUCAACUUAUUAUUGGGAGUGUGCAUAGUUUUCCUAAUGCAGAUGAAUUUAGAAAUGCAUUAUAUACGAUGUCAUUAGUUGGUAGAUUUCAAUACAAAUUCAAAAAGAACUCUCCAAAGUGAAUAUCUAUGUGUUGUUCAGUGGAUGAGUGCCCCUUGAAUAAUAACGUCUCAUUCAAUAGGCACAACUAACAUUUUGAAGGUUAACAUCUUCAAUGAUGUACACAAUCAUUAUGUAGAUGUUGAGUGUUCAAGUCAUCCUUUAAUGCGGGGAAGGAGAGGUGCUCGUGUCAUAGAGCAAGUAAUAAGGGCAACCCCUUAGUAUUUGCCCCAUCAAGUUUGCAAAGAUUUCAAGAGUCGGUAUGGUGUUUCAUUGAGUUAUAAGCAAGCUUGGAUAUACAAAGAAAUGGAAAAUGAGAGAAUAUAUGGUCUUCCAGAAAACUCGUAUAUGUUGUUGCCAUGGUUAUGUCAAAGAUUGGUAGACAUUAAUCGAGGGACGAUUUCUUAAUGUACCAAACAAAAUGGGCAUUUUUGGCAAUUGUUCAUUGCACAUUCUUCUUCAAUUCAAGUGUUUUUAAUGGGUUGUCGACCUGUUAUUGCAAUUGACUCAACCCAUUUGAGUGGACUUUAUAGGGGCUCCUUAUUUUCUACAACAACUUAUGAUGCUAAUGAUGACAUGUUCCCAAUAUGGUGUUAUAAGUUCAAAAAACUAUGAGAAUUGACUAUGGUUUUUGUAGAAAUUGAAGGGCAUAAUUGAAGAUAAAGAGGUAGUUAGAUAGGCAUCAAGAAAUCCUUCAUAGUGUUUCUCAACUUUUUAGAGUAGAAAAUCAUGCAUAUUGCUAUCAUCAUGUGAAGGAGAAUUUUAGUAGCUAUAUGACGAAACAUAGUAUGAAGGAAAAGAUAAGUAAAGAGGAUGCAUUGUUGCUACUUGAUAGUGUUGUGUAUGCUAGGUUGGAUGACGAUUAUGUUAUAGCCAUGAAAAAAUUGAAGACAUAGAACAGUGACCUAACGAAGUGGGUUGAAGAGAACAGUCCACAACAUUGGGCAAUGUCAAAGUUUGCAAAAAAAAAAAAAAAUGAUGGGAUAAGAUGACACUAAUCUUGUUGAAUCAUUGAAUGCUUGGUUGAAGGAGGAAUGUCAUUACACAAUUUUGAACUUAGUAAUGACACAUAUGGAUAAGUUUUCUCAUCUAGCAUGUGAUCAUGUGGUUGCCACAGAAAAUUGGAAAGCUCCAAUUGGCCCAAAGAUCGAGGAAAGUUGUUGGAAAACAUUAUAAAGAGUGAGUCAUUUCCUGUAUAUCCCUAUGUUGGUGGUGUGUUUAAGGUAUUCAAUAUGAAGGUAUAUGUAAAUGUGAACUUGAGAGAGCAUACAUGUACUUGUAAGGCUUGGCAAAUGGUCGGAAUACCUUGUGAGCAUGCAUGUACAGCAAUACGCAAGAUGAAAUAGGAUGUUUAUGAAUAUGUUGACUCAUGUUUCAAGCUUCCAAUGCAAGAAUUGAUAUAUUCUGGACACUUCAAUUCAAUUCCAAAUCACAAUAUGCCUACCAUUGAUGCUGAUGGAUAUGUUUGUGAUGCUCAAAGUCGCUUAUAUCCUUCACUUAAACCUCCAUGCUCAAAAUGAUCACUUGGAAGGCCUCGACAUUGUCAAAUAGAGUCUCAAUUUAUUUCAAAAAGACUCAUCUUCUGUUUGUGAUUUCAAGUUGCAAGCCAUAAUCGAGCUUCAUACGAAAAUCCAUUACUCGAUUCAUGAUUUUAGUGUUAUGCUUGUAUGGUGGCAUGAUAUUUUUUUAUCUUAUUUUGAUUCUGAUGAUAUGUGUGGUUUAUGAAAUUAGAAUUUGUAAGAAUUUUUUUUGGAACUUACUAAUAGUUUACUUGAUUGUCAUGACGAAGAUUUUUGUAUUACAUAUGCCAUUAUUUUAGACUUAUGAUCUUAUCAUUAUUUAAGGUGGUUUGUAACCAUGUUUUUAAUGUUAUUUACAAGAUCAUUAUUAACUUUGUACAUGUUCAUUACCUUUGUUUAACUUGUUUUCUAUUGAAAUACAGGUUACAUCAUGACAUCUUCAAGUGCUUCAUUUAGAAAUACUAGAGGUAAUAGUAGAAACGGUGAAUAUCUACUAUAUCAUAACUAUAUGUGUAAAUGUUCACCAAGACAGAGGGCAGCUGUUAGAAUUUUCGAAUCAAAGAAUAACCCAAAUAGGUUAUAUUAUUGUUGUCAAUAUGAAAAUACUAGAGAUGAUUGUCAUUUCUUUAAAUGGGCAUCCCCUUAAGGAUUUGGUGAUAGCAACACCUACCAAGAAUCACAAGAGGUUGUUCAAAGAAGAAUAUAUGUCGUGAAUGAAGAGUUAAACACAUUUUAACAAGAAUUGAGUUCAUGUAGAAAGUAAGUUUAGUAAGACUGCUUUUAUUUUUUGUUCUAUGUUUGAAAAUUAUUUAAUCAUACACUUACUUCAUGUCUAUUACGUUUUGGAUUAUAUAUGUAAUGCUUAAUUACAUUGUACUUUGAUGUAUUUGUAUUUGGAACUAUUUUUAAUAGGUUAAUUAUAUCCAUCAUGUGGAUCUGUGUUAGAUUUUUAAUUGUAAUAGUUCACAAAUUUUCUACCACUUUUAUUACAUUUACAACAUAAUUUCACUAACAUUACGAUAAAAAAACAUUAACAGUAUGAUAAAUUAUAACAUAAACUAACAAAGCGAUCUUUUGACUAAAUACAUUCCAAUUUGUUGGGUUGAUUACCAAUUUCUUAUAUAUAAUGGUUCAACAAAUGUGAACCUAUUGAAAAGCAAAAAGGAAAAGUUGAUUGAAAAACUUGGUGGUCAUAUUGACCCGUUUUUUUAAAAAUUUAUGUUUGUAAUUUUUCAAGAUGAUUAACAUAAUGUGUUUCAAAGGCAAAUACCAAUGUAUAAGACUUGAAGGAAAAUCAAAUCCUUCUCACCAAGUAUGUCUUAAAAUAAUUUUUUUUGAACCUCAAAUUAGAAAUGUCUUCUUAGCUUUGAUAAUGAUAUUUUGCAUUUUUUUAAAAAAAAUUGCAACAAUUUGAAAACAUUAUAAGAUAGAGUUAUUUAUAAACUUAUUUUUGUCUACAAAUAAAUUAUAAAAAUAUGUGAAAUUAAUUUAUUAAAUUAAAAUCUAUUUCUUAUUUUUCUAACUUUUUUCUUCUAAUUUUUUCCUUCAAAUGAACUCAAAACGGUAGCUUUUAGCACGUAAAGGUAGAAAUAUUAGGAAGGUAUAUAACGAUGAUAAAAUAGGCAAUCAUCAUUUUCCACUUGCAAGAAAAUCAUAAAAUAGGCAAUGGUCAUUUCAACAUCUAUAUCAUUCAUCAUAAUAGUAAAUUUGGAAAUGGAACUCCAUCAAAUUGUGAAAAAAAUCAACUAUUAUAAACCAAAAACAAAAAAAAAAACAAAAAAUAAGGAAAUCAAAAUAGAACUUCCACUUUGAAACUAUUGCUUGUAUGAACUAUUAUCCACCGGCUAACUUAACAGAAUUGACAUAGCCAUAAACCUAAUAUACAAUAAUCAUUUUGGCAAUCUAGAAUAAUCAAGCAUAAUUUCAAAAUGUGAUUCUCAUGCUUACAAUGUUAUAGACCAAACAAACUAAUACAAUGACUUUUCUCAACUGAUACAGUCUUAAAUAAAUCCUAUUUCAGAAAUAGCAUAACCCAAUUGCCUAAUGAAACAACAUCACUGAUCCAUCAACCGGUAGACAUUUUCCCUGAUUUCAUUUUUUGGUAACAUUAUCAAUUGUGUUAGGAGUUUUUCCCUGUACUUCAUGACCUUGUCCUAUACAAAAGAGUAUAUAAUAAAAUAUUAAUGAAAAUUAAUGUUAUUUUAUUAAACAUAAAAAAUAAAAAUAUAUUGUGUUUAGCACAAUAUAAUACAUUUGCAAUUGUACGAGAAAGUCCACCAUUACCCCAUAAUUGCAUAAGCUUGAUUACAAAUAUGUCAUAAUCCAUCCUGCAAGUAGUAAUUAAGGAAAUUAAAAGUAAAUUUUGCAUCAAAUCAAUAAAUUUAGAACCUCAUUUUAUUUCCAUAGGUAAAGAUGAAUAAAAUUCUUGCAACUUACGGAUUCAAUUGUUGCACAACUUCUAGAACAACGAAUUCGAAUUUUUUCAUGUCCAUUGAUGGUCUUCUUUCUUGAAUCCCAAUGACAGUUGACAGAACGCUCACCUUAACACAAAAUAAAAUUAUAAAUAUGAACAUCCCUAAAAAAUAAUGACAACAAUUCACAUAAGUAAUUGGAUUAUAACUAUAUUUACUAGUUUCUCUAUGAAGACAUCCAUUCGCUUUUUCCUUUCUUUAAUCAAUGAAUCCAACAACUCGAUUCUUUUCGCAUGAAUAUUCAAAAUGUUUAAAUACCAACGAUUUCUCCCACAUAUUGGUAUGAAUAGCUAAAAAAGAAAAAAAAAAUCAAUGAUUUUAUCAAAUUAGUUGUGUUCAUGUAUUUCCUGCACUAUACUUAAAAAUAUUCAACUAUAGAUGACUUUCAUUAAAUUAAAUAAAACCUGUUCAUAUGUGUACAACCAAGUGUUUUUGAAAAAUUUCCAUAAAUUGUCACAUAUGUAUUUUGGAGAUAAUGUACCCCUCUUAUUUUCUACAUUAGACUAUAAUAAAAAAAAAUACAAAACAUACAUUAGAUUAAAACAAUCUACUUAAAACAAGAAAACCAAUCUAUAAUUCUUACAACAUAUCUUACCGCAAAGUGGAGAGAUAAGAAAUGCUUCUUAUUUUCUCUAUCCUUAUCAUUCAAAAUUCGACAAAGCAUGGUUACAACCUUCAUAUAAAUUAAUGAAAAAUAGAAAUAUAGUUUUAGAGUAAUUUUAUCCUAACUUCAUAUAACUAAAUAUGAAUACCUUAUUGUCAACCAAUUUGUCGGGUCCUAAGCAUUUGAAGUCGAACCUUAUCAAGAAGAAAUACAUAGAAAUAAUUAUGAUGUUACAAAUUAAAACUAAUUAUUUCAAAUGAUUGUCUUAAUUGUACUUGUUUAUACUAAAUCAAGUUCAACUUGACCUUUCAUCACAUGUAUCGUCCAAUGCAUAUGCUAAAACUUAUUUUGCUACAGAUGAAGACGUUGAAAAUUUGGUUGAUGGUUGUACCAUGUAUGGUGAUUGUAGGGUAGUAGCAUGUCGACGUAGCCAAUAUGAACAUAAUGAAGGAUGUUCAGUCCGGUAAGGAAUAAUAACAUUCAUCUGAACUUCAUCCUCAACUAUAUGUAUAGAAAAUAAGGAAAAAAAAUUCAUUAACGAAAAUAACAUGCACAAGAAAGACUAGCCAUUAUUAUGUACACAUUAAUAUUUUGAUAUUAAAAAUUACUAUAAAAAAAUAAAGAUGCAAAAAGUAUAUUGUUAUGUUGCGCUACUAGGUGUGAGGUCGAUGAGCUUGCAUUAUCUUCAACAUAAGCGGAACGAUCAUUCAGUGGUGAUCCAUAUGCUAAUUUCAGAAUGCAUAACAACCAAAAUUUAUUUAUUUUUUUUUUAAAAAAUAUAGAACAUUUGUAAUUAAAUUAAAGUUAAUAAAAAAAUUAUAACGACUAGUGCUAUAAAAACCUUACUACCAUGUGGUGGUGAUGGGAAAGAUUCGUUGAUAUCAAGUUGGUUAUGACUUCCACUUUGAUGAGAAGGUGAUGGGGUUUUGUUUUUAUUAUGGCACUUUGCUAUUUUAUCAAUUGCUCCUCUCAUUGUUCGAAGCAAUUGGUGAAUGUUUCUCCGCUACAUUAUACUUUACUAUAAUUUCCUACAAAAUGGUACAAAGUGUAAAACAUGUAUAUUACUAUGCAUAACGUAUUUGGUUUACUCUUUAAAUAAAAGAAUAGAUGUAGAAGGUUCUCACAUCACUAGUCUCUUCUUCAACUUCAUAUACUGGAUUAGUAGGGUCUUCAUGCGCAUCUUCUCCCCUUUCAUCUUCCUGAACCUACAAUAUUAAAAAGAAUAUAUAAUUUUUUAAAAAUUUAUUUUUCAAAUAUGAAAAUAAAAAGAAAAUGUAGAAAUAAAAUUGUCCCUUACAUUGGCUAGUCCAAAGUCACCAUAAUCUUGCAACUUUACAUGCACCAUUUUCUUCAUCAGAUCAUCAUUCCACACGGCACAUAUGGGGAUGGUGUGUGGCAACAACAUAGUUGGAAUGUAGAAUUUAUUUACAUUAAAAAGUUGAUACACAAAUAUUCCACACAUCAAUAUGUUAUUUAGAAAAGACUUGUUAAAACAUAGAAAAUGAUAUGGAAACCUUCAGCAUUUAAUAUAUAAAAAAAGAAGAUAUUUACUUGCAAAAAAAGAAAGCAACCUGUAAACCAUGAGCCUUUACCUAAUUGAAAAUGUCUAAUUCUAGCAACCAAUGUGUCAAGUACAAAUUGGCCCCAAUUAACAUUGAUGUCAAAGUUUCCAACAAGCAAAGUACACCACAACUCAUGACUACCAUCCAACUUCGAUGUUGGAGCAAGUAAUGUAGCACAUGAGAAGAUGAUAAAUUUUUUUUUGAAGUCGCCCAUGUUUUCCAUUGAGAUUAACCUAUCUCUAAGGACUAAUAGGUUUUUCAUCCUAUUAUUCCUAUUGGUAUGUGAAAGUAAGAGCUAGCCUCCUACUAAUAUAUGGAUUUUCUAGAAUUUCAUCUUACAUCAAAACAAGUGAUUGGAAAUUGUCUUUCUUGUCUUAUGUCUAACCUAUGGUGGGCUAUAUUGAAAUGAUUUAUCAUCUAUCUACAUAAGUUAUGCCUUAGUUCUAUAGAGGAGAGCUGAAUCAAUCCACCAAAGCCAAUAUAUUGAAUUAUAGUUUUUUUUUCAUCACCUAGAUCAUCAAGUAGAUGUCUAAGUUUUUUGGUGGAGCAGAGACUAUUUAUUUUGACCUCCUAUAGAAGUAAAUAAAUGAUAUUAUAAAAUAAAAAUUAAUACAGUAAAAUUAAACAACAAUAUCAAACAUUAAUAUAGUCAAAAUAACAUAAUACUAAUUAAAAGAAUGUUCAAACAUGGUGGUAUCGUAUUGUUUUUUUCCUUUUAUCCAUGUAUUAUGAUCCACAUUGCACUAUAGAAUUUAUAACAAAUAAUCAAUUGUCAUAAUAUUAAAAUUUUAAAUGUACAAUGAAUAAAGUAAUGUUGUAAUAUGUUGUACUUCUAGUGCAAUUGUAUUGUAAAUGUAGGAUAUUUGUAUUGUACCCUUAUUUAUUUUGGUGUAACUACUAUUAGUGAUCCCAAAUAUAGUUGCAUACAUGAUACUAUAAACACACUGAGCCAUUGUAAUAGUGGAUAACAAAUUUUGGUUGUUUGAUGGUAAUCCAAUAUGUACACAUUGUUAAUGCUCAUCAUGGGUAACCUUUUAAACUAUAUAUAAUUUAUAAAAACUAAUUAUGAAAUUUAAAUUAAGCUAGAUUUUGAUUUGAACUCAUUAUAAAAUUUUAAAAGUAUAAUAAAUCAACUAUUGUUGUAAUGUGUUAUAUUUUUACUAUAAUUGUAUUGUAAAUGUAAUGCAUUUGCGUUGUACCCUUAUUUAUUUUGGUGUAAUUAUUGUUAUUGAUCCCUAUUAGAAUUAAGUUAAUUUUUUCAUUCCUACAUUUCCAUUCUUAUACCUCAAUAUUUUAUAAAAAUUGACAAAUGCAUAAACUUUCUUUUUCAAUGAUCUAUCCAUUAAGGAAGUUGAAAAUACAAAAUAAAUCAAAUAAAACCAAGUAGCAAGUAUCCAAUGAGAAUUGCACACAGAUACUCAUAUAGGAAAUCAAAAGCAUAAAUGAUACAUACAAAGAGAACCAAUUAUGGUGCUUUGACUCAUCUAAAAAUAUUUGACUAGUUGGGAUUUAGGUUUUCUAUAGGUUUAAUUAUACAAAAGAUAAUCAUACAAUGGUGUUUAUAAAAGAGUGUUCGAUGCUUUUAGCUUUAAUGGGUCUAAUUUUUUGACAAUAAAACUCAAUGUAAUGAUAAAGAGUUCAUAGGUCCAAUUCAUAUGUAUACAAAUGAUUUUCUGUAUGUUUUUAAUUCAAUGCACUAGAGCAUCUUGAACUAGAUAGAUAAAACAUUAUUACUUGUGGGUAAUCAGCUAUAUUUUAUAAUUCCUCAGUUAGGAGGAUAAGGAAUGUUUAAGGGCAACCAAGUCAUGGAAUUUAAAGGAUAAUUUUUCGUUUUAAAAAUAAUUAUUAAUACCCUAUUGGUAUUAACACAUCAUUAUUAGUACAAGAGGAAUAACACACAAAUGUUUAUUCAUACUAAUUUGAAUUCACAAGACUUGUAGUUUUUGUUUUAUAUACAAAAAUUAUUAAAUAAUUUCUAUAUGGUAGAUGAAUGAUAUAAAUAUAUUGAUAUGAUGUGUUAAUACCAAUAGUGUAUGAAUAAACAUUUUUAGAAUUAUUACUUUUGUAAUCAAAUAUAGGUACAACAUAAAUGCAUUAUACUUACAAUAUAAAUACACUAACGUUACAAUACAUUACAACAAAAUUUAAUUUAUUUAUGUUUAAUUUUUUCAUAUGCUACAUGUCCCCUAGCCAUCCAAUAUGGUGUUUGAUAGCUCCCAGAUUGAAUGCUAGCCUUGUUUUAUGGACACCUAGGCAUUGGUGGGGAUAGUGAAGAAAAUGAUUACCAUGUAAGCUUUGAAAGUAAUAAGGUAAUGUUGGUGGAACUUGGAACCACUAGAAAGUAUAGAUGAUUCCUUUUUUACUAGAAAAUGAGUGCAAUGGCUUUGGAAAAAAGAGUGCAGGAUGACUCAGUGGAUAUGAGGAAAAAAAAUGGGAGAAUUACUGGAUAGGGUGGGUUAAAUAGGAUAAUUACUAGGCAGGGUGGUCUCUUAUGAUAACUAUUAGAAAGGCCAGUAAUAUGCUUAAAUACCAAAAAUGUCCUUCAACUAAAAGCUUUCAAAAUUCAAAGCAUUUAAAGCAUUUCACUUUUUGUCACAACAUUUAUGGUACAUGGGCCCCAUAUUUAUUGUAAUUAUUGACAUUCAAAUUUUGGGUUUAAUCCUUAUCGUUAUUCUAUAUAAUGAAAGUAUAAUUUGUUAUUUAUACUAUUUAAAACAAAAAUAAUUCUAAAAAAUAUUUUGGUGUUGUUUAAAUUUGUUAUUUUAAUCUUACAGCUUUAUUAGCCUAAUAUACAAAUAUUCAAUCAAAUAACACACAAUUAUUCAAUGGAAUAACAUGGAACUAUUCAUUGGGUAAUAUAGCACAUGAAAAAAAUUAAAGAAAAAUAAAUUAAAUUAUGUUGUAUUUAAUUUCAUUAAAUUAUGAUCAACUCCUAUAGAUUCUUGUCUGACAGAAGAACCUUAUGGUCCUGCUCGGACACAACUAUCUCAAACAACUUGUUGAGCUGGACGAAAGAAGCUUUUUCUACCCACUCCACAAGACGACCCCUCUUCUCCUUACCCGCACCACACAAACAGAGGGAUCAACAAUAAGUUCAUAGCUAAGAAGAACCAAUUGCAAAGAAUGGACAAAGGUUACAGGGAUAUAUCCUACUCGGAAUCUCUAACGAGCGUCGUGGAUAGAAGACUCUGUCUGGCCCCUCAUACGGACCACUCCAGGGUCCAAAGAUAAGGACAUGCCCCUUUGUUCCACCCUUGUUCGAUUCUGGGAGCUCGGUCACUAGCUGGAGGGAAGAGAUGUUAGCGAACAUGCUAAACAUUUCCUUCUGACUCAUCUUCACCAUGUAGAUGAACAUAACUUCUAGCAAGAAAAGGUUUAGCUAGUAAAACAUGUCUAGGAUGCUGCAUCACAUCAACACUCGGACAACAUUUGGAUGGAGGAAGGCUAAAGGUAUUUGGGUGAAGUGGAGAAACUGCUCGAAGAGAGGGUAGAGGUAGACGGAGCCCUGAAUUAAAUUGCUCCUUGCUGAAGUACGUCGCGUUGUGGGACUAUUUUCGGAGGACAAAGGCUCACCAUCUACUAGGAGAAUAGCAAUUUUAUCUGGGAUGCGAAAGCGAGCCUGGAACUCCUGUUCGAAUAGAAGAUUGACUGGGUGCUCUAACCUAAGGAACCCGACUCCAGUGCCCUUCCGUCCACCUUUAUGGGCCCUACCACCUCUGUUGGUGGAAGCAUCACCUCCCAUUACCGACAUGCUGAUUAGUUAUAGGUCGCGUGGAAACUUGCGUAGGACAAUGUAGAUUGUUAGAAUCAGUCACCCAACCUGUUCGCCGUUAGGCGGUGCCUCAGUUGUACAACAAGGAACCUAAACGGAUCGAAAGUCCAAGUCUAAAUGGCUCACCUAACAAAACUUGCAGAGCAAGCCUUAACCCCAAGAAAGGUCUUUCGCGUCAUACUGACACGACAGUUGUAAGACGAAAUGCCUUAAUCAACCAUUUAGUGUACCGACAAUGAAGCAAUAAAUAAGGGAAUUUGAAAAGCCCUAGGUUCGACGGACGCUACAAUCAUCUUCUCCAAAGCAAAAAAACACAAGAAAACCCUCAAAUUUGGAUUCUAUGACGUCAAUUUUCUAUCUAAACUCAACAAUUAUCGGUGCGACGCCCAAAGUGAACAAUAAACAGAAAAGGAAAAUGACAAACAAGGGAAAGCUUACUGAGAUCAAAGGAGAGCGUUUGCUAGCAAAAAGGAAUUUGCCUGAAGCAGGCCUAAGAAUGGCGACAAGAAUGACAAAGAACGAGCAGCGAACGACAUUGCAACAACAAAGAUGCAGGAAUUGAGAAGAGAAAGCUCCAAAGCAGGAAAAAUAAAAAAAUAAACCAAAUGGUGUGGGCCCCCCUAUUUAUAGGGACCCAAAACCCUAGAAUCCUAAAAGAUAAGUUGCCUGGAAAUGCAUCCCGAAGCAGUGUGCUGUCUGACAGUCAACCUCAAUGGAUGCAACCCCUCAUUGCCACUUUAAGUGACACGUGUUCCAAAGUGCCCAAGUGACUUGAAGAGACGUAUAACUCAUUCCACCUCUAUCCGUUGAUGACUUGAAGAGACGUAUAACUCAUUCCACCUCUAUCCGUCGACUACUUGAUCGGAAACAGGUAGACGGAUUAAGGGGACAUUGUGGGGGGUUCCCUUCCACGUGUCCAUUUCCAGCCCAGACACUUUGGUCGUCUAGGAAAAGUAUGCAACCCAACUGGAUCGUUCCAUCCAGACCAAGAAAAUUUCCGUCUGGCACCAAGAGUGAGAAGGUUCCUUUCCCCCAUGGGACCAGACGACAUUAGGAGUUUGGACUCCCAAAUAGGAAGGAUUGUCCAGUCAAGUCCAACAGACCUCUAGCAUGCAUGAUCAUUCACGCUUGACAUUUGAGUGGUGGACGAGACUCCAUUUAGCCCACAGGUCCAUGUCAAUUAAUUACUGCACAUAGUCUUAAACAUCAACAAGCUGAGGUGCUGGUAGCUACAUGAUCCAAGAUCUUGGCAAGUCAGCAGAUGGCACUUGCUAGCCGCCCUUGACAGUGAUGAUUGCCUAGCCGCCCAUGGGACAACCAUCAUUAUAGAAGAAAGACAGAGUGCCAAAUCAGCACUACAGUGGUGGUGCCAUCGACUCUAUAUAAACCCUUUAAAAAGCACAAACAAGGUAUGUGCACACAUACGUCAAUUCUCUCCCACAAAACAGCUUGAGCUAUUCUUGUCUGACUUAAGCUUCAAAGGGCUGUGCUCAGACCACCCGUCCGGACAUCCUUUUCUGCUGGAAAGAAGCCUGUCCAGUUUCAUUAUUGCUAGACAGAUUCUUUAAGAGACACGAGGAAAGAAAGAUGGUCGUCUGACUUUAGUCAACCUAGAUAGACUUGACUCCAAUUGGCUUAGUAUUAACAAAUACUAGAUCAUUAAGUUUAAAUGUAUACUUUUUUAUCAUUAAAAUAUAUAUUUUUAAUCUUAAUAAUAAUUUUCAAAGCACAUAAACUUCAAUAGUGCAAUUUUAUUUAGCAAUUAUGACACUAUAAAAUUGAAAUUGCAUCUGGAAAUUGCGGUUUCACUUAAUUUUUAUUUUUAUUUUAAAAAAAAUGAUGAUAUGGCUCCUCUUUGGCAACAAAAAGAGCAUUUUAGACAAAAGUUUAGGAAAGUGGUUAAAAUUUUUUUUUCCCCUCAUAAUAGGGCUAUUUUGGCCCAAAACUCUUAAAAAACCUUCCAAAGUUUUUUCCAAAGUUUUUUUUUCCUUUUUCAUUCUCAUUAAUGCCUAAUAUUGGAAUGAAAACAAAUAAUUAUUCAAACCUUAUAGUCCUAGGUACAUUCAAAUACAAAAAUCAAAAUCAUCAAAUCCAUUUCUAUUCAAGAAGUAGAAAUGGAAACAAAAUAAUGAUUCUCUUUCCCCAUUUUUAUGUACCAAACAUGGCUUAAACAUUUGAGAGAAGAAAAUGAUUAAGAUUCUUUAUUAUACAUGCUUCCUUCAAAAUAAAAAUAAAAAUUAGGCAUUAAUUUCAUGCAUUGGUAAUGAUCAAAUUGAACCUAAAUAAAUCAAGUAUUAGGCGAACAUCUAAAUAAACUUGACUUUAUUAGUACAAACAUGAAAAUAUUUAAUGUGGGGUUAUAUAUCCAUGUGUAACAUGAUUGAAUUCUAUUCAAAUGUGUAAAAAUAAAUAACUAAAUAAUUACAUACCUCUUUUUCCGGCUUUGCUCAUGCCAUUAAGAUUUUUCACCCACAAAAAACAACCUAUAUUACAAAAAAUGAAACAAGAUGAGCAACAUUUUUAAUGCUGAAGCAAAUGUUCAAAUUAUAAAAUUAUUAUCAUUAGACAAAUAUUUUUUUAAACAUAUGAGCAAGCUAAUAGAAAAUAAUAAAUAUAAAGAACAAAGAUUUUUUAUAAUGCUUAUAAAUAAGUUAAAACAACAAAUAAAAAAAUAUUAAUUUACUGAAAAAUCUAAAUUUAUGAAAGGUAUUAAGAAUCCAUUGUGUAAGUUGAACAAUUAAAUAGGAAUUUAAAAUUAAACUAUUAUACCUUAAAUUGGAAAUAGCUAGAUACUUGGUGUUAUCAGAAUCUUAUCUCUACCCUUCAUAGAUCAUAAACAAAUUAAAGAAAAAAAUAAAAUUAAAAGGAAUAUUUAUUUCGAGCCCUUUGAAAUACUAAAAGCAACCACUUUACAAAAUUGUAUUCAUGUCAUGUAACUCACAGGUUUUUCUAUAAAAAAAAGAAAAAGAAAAAGAAAAACCACAAACUGUUGAUUGUCUUGGAGUAAUUCAAAGAAUAGCCCUCAAUGUAUCAUAAAUUCAAAUUAAACCACAAAAUCAAAAGAAUGUAAAACUAAGAAUAUAUGUACCUCCAGGAGUAGGAGCCGUUGAUGUUGGAAGUUUGAUCUUCCAAAGAGCUUUAAGAUGUGAUUGUGCUUCAAGAGAACUUCCAAAGACCCUAAAGGGCCUUUUUCUGUAUCCAAUGUUUUGAUCCCCUCUCAACCAACAGUACAAGAAUAUAGCUAAUCGUAAAAGAUUAAAGCUAACCAUAAAAGACUCCGACUCACCUCCAUACAUGCUUCUGAUUUUUUCCAAGAAAGAAUGAAAGAGAGAUGCUUCUGAGAGGAGAGAGAGGAAAGAAUCGUUUAUUUCCCAAAGAGACAUUCAGACUUCUUCCAAAGGAGGAUUUAAUCAUUUAAGUUAACUGGGAAUGGAUUUAAACAGCUCCAUUGGAAACUGUAAAGGGGACAAAAUGCAACACCAUUGUGGGAAACGACACAUCUGUAGUGUUGGGGUUUGUGGUAUUGGAACUUUCAGAUAAGGAAUUUGAAAAUAUUUAAAUAUAAAAUUUAAAAAUAAAAAAUUGGUCGAAUAAGAGAGUCCUCUCAAUAUAAUCUUUAUGAAUAAUAAGGAAAUGUUUGCAUGAAGAUCAACCCAGUAUGAUUUGUAUGUUCUUAAUUUUCAUAAAGAAAUGUUUAUCGAAAAAAGAGAGUUCAAAGAUAUUUCUGAACAGAGAGUAGAUACAGAAGACCCUUAUUGAAUGUAAGGUUUCUUCUGAAAAGAGACGAAGUCGGUCAACAUUUCUGAAAAUUCUGAAUGAAGAGGACUUUGAGUUGAGUUGAUGGGGAGUGGAGCAGUUUAUUGGGACUUCAAGAGAAAUAUUUUCUGUCUUUCACGUUGCCCUUUCAGCUGUCUCCACUCGCAACUUUUCAACUUAUCCUUUCUUCCGAUAUCAUUCAAGUUAUACACUACAAUCAAACCUACUACAUUAAAAAAAAUAAAAUCAUAAGUAGCCAGAUUCAAGAGGUAGUGUAAAGCGUAGUAUGUUAAUUUUGACCAAGUGCACUUUCCAAUUCUUAUACAACAGUCUAUAUAUUACAAGAAAUUAAAGUGAGAAAAGGAUUAAAAUUUUAAAAACAUGGCAAUAAUAAAACCCCAAGUAAAUUUCUAUUUGAAAGUGUGUCAAAAUUUGCCUCAAAUUGCCUUUUGAAUUAACUUUACUAUUAUUAUAAUGGAAAUAUAAAUUUUAAAAAGAUUCUCUAUGAUUAUAGGAUUUAAUUCUAAUGCUCUUAUAAGUAGCCAAGGGUCAUUGGACUCAUGGCAGCACACAAACAUAUCCCCUUGUAUCUAUGAAAAUAGUCAUGCAAAAUACAAAUAUUCCCUCGUACAUACUUAUUGUGUUACAACAUGUGUAUGAAUGUGUAUUGUCAUCUUAAGCAAACUAAUGUUGCUGUCAUUUUUUCUUGGACGGUAAGCUCAAUUUUUUUUUUUUUUUUUAACAAUAUAAGGCUAUAUAGCAGAUUCAACUGAUAUUUUUUUCAUCUUGUCCUACAUAUGAAAAUUAUAGGUUGUUCAAGUAUCCUUGUUGAAUGCAAUUGAUUGACAAAAAAUCUUAUUUAUGUAAAUUCUCAAAUACUUACAACAACAAUCAUUUGUACAAAGCCCAAACCCCCACCCUGUCUUCAUGAACUUCAUAACAAAAUACAAUAAUCCUCCCUAUGAAAUAGGAACAAUUAAUUUAAUAUCAGUAAGUCCAUAUUGCUUUCAACAUCAUGCACAAGGAGGGAUUUGAAAGUUUGUCGUUUUAUACAAUAGAACCAUCUAGAGGGAGGUUGAAUAGAUAAUCUUUUAUUAUUAGCUCAAAAACUUCAAUUUUAUUUUAUUUUUUUGAGUUAUAUAAUUGUGAAUAUUUAAAGAUCUUAUAUCAUAAAACUACUUGGAGGAGAUUUAAUGUCUUCAUGUAUUGGUAAUUCUAGGUUGAAAUUUUCAUUGUAUUCGCCUAACUCAAUUACUUCAAAUCCUUCCUCAAACUCUUGUCAUUCUUAAAUUGCUCAUAAUUGGAGAUUGUUAAAUGAGAUAGUUAGUGUUCUUAAGGCGAUUGAUGAUAUUAAACAUUGAUCAAUUGAGUUUUAAACUUUUAUUCUUUUAUUGAAAAUUGGAGUUGAAGUUUAAGGAUAUCAAAUUUUGUAUUUAAAACAUUUGGAUCAAUUACUGAUUGAUCAUGCUAAAAGGUAACAAUUUAUGUUAUAACAAGAACUUUACAAUCUCAUCUUAUCAAUUAGAAUUCGAUCAUAUCUAUAAAAUCUUCAUUUUUUUUUUCAAACGAAUUUAAGUUGUUAGAUGGAGAUUAAAACCUUUGUAUUUAAGCCAUUUUUUUAGAAGAGGCUUUAACAAUUGUAAGAGCUACAUGGCUUUCUUAAGCUUCAAAUUCUUUAUCUAUUUUGGGAUGCUUGGUUUGAAAUUUUUUUUAUGGCUUUUAAGUUAAAAAUCUUUCAAUAUAGGUUUCAUCCACACUAUUGCAUUUGUCAUAUUUAGGAUAAAAUCUAAAUAUCUUCUUGUAUAAAUUCAAGAGAAGAUCGGAAGUUUGGUGUGAAUUCUAAGUAUGUUCUAAAAGAAGAAAGUGUGUAACUUAAGUUUGAAGGUAUUAGGCAAACAAUUCUGAAGAGAAUUGAAGGUUUGAAUUAAGUAAAUCCUUGUCUUCAGUGUAUGUAUUUUUAUUGUCUAUUGGCCUGUGAUAUUUUACCUUUUCAAAGGUUUUGUGCAUUAAAUCUUGUUGUUAUUGUCUCUUUAUUUCUAUCUUAUAUUUCAUUAGUCUAUGAUUUGUCUAUGCAAGUUCCAUUGAUUUGUUAUAUAUGUUGGUUGAUUGAGAAAAUGAACUAAAAUUUGAUCAUUUAAACUUUGGCAUAGUAUGAAAUAAUUUAUGAUUUAGUAUUAAUGAGAAUUGAAACUUUGUAAAUUAUUAAAACUUUGCAGAUUUGGGCUCGAAUGUUGAAGCAUCUCUUAAAGGCAGCUGAGGUGCUCUCAACACUUGAGUAUCCCUUGAUAGCACUUGAGCAUCUUUUUAAGGCUCUAGGGUAUACUUGAAGCUUUUUGAUUAAAAUAAACAUCUAAUUUUUCAAUUUUCAUAAUGUCUACUUCAUGUAUUCUUAAAUCAUCAUUAUUCUUUUUGUAACUCCCAAUAUUUAUCUAUAUUUUCUCAAGUCGAUUGUACAACAACCUUGCAUCUUCAAAAGAAGUGUAAGUCAAUGAAACCAAAUUGCGAACCUAAUCUAAAUAGAUUAAUGCACCACCACUUUAAUUAGGAUAUAAUUAAUCAAUUUCAAAAAAUAGCAUUUAAUCAUAUAAGGAAAUAUAUGAUUUAUGUUUAAAAAAAACCACCAAUAAAGCAUCCUAGAGACCUUACAUAUAUAAAAAUCACAAGGUUCAUAGAUUGUUAAGUUAAAUCCACUAAAUAUGAAGAAUAAGUAUAUAGAUUUACCUAGUAAUUAUUACUCUUCCUUAAACUUAUAUUGUCAGUCACCAAUUCUCAAUUCCAUGACAUAGUUACCUCCAUGCUGCAUGCUUAGUGGAUUGCUCAUGGCCUUGAGGAAAUGCAAUAGACAAUGUGAACUACAAACAAGGCAAGCUCAUUAAGAUGUUCCUUUUUAGUGCAUAAGGUGUGCAAUAAAAUGAGAUUGAGAAUCCUAUACUUUGAGAGAAGGAUACUACAGUAAAAAAUGGUACCAAAUACUAUUGAAUGACAACACAACUCUUAUCGCUCCUUUAUUUUUAUUUUUAUUUGUGAUUACAUCGCUUUUUGUUUUGAUAUCAACAUUAGAAAUAAAAAAGUCUCAUAUUUUUUUAGUGCUUGCAUAUUGAAGGUUCGUGCUAUAAGAGUUUGAAAAACUUGAACAAAAACUCCCUUGAAUGAUGUAUCAAAGCUCAAUGUAUCAAUGUUAACAUAAAAGUUCGAGUAGAAUAGGAUAACAUUUCUAUGUCAUAUGAAGAAACAUACUAAAAGGGAACCAUGAAUAUGAUUGGAGAAAAAUAUAAUAUAAUUUAGAGGAUUAUUAUAGUCUAUUGGUCAUAUUCAAAUGGAAGUAAUAUGGUAAUCAAUAUUUCUAUGUCAUUUGAAGAAAUAUAAUAAGAGGGAACCAUGCAUGAAUAUGAUUUGAGAAGUAUAUAUUAUAAUUUAGAGUAUUAGUACCUUAUAUUGGUUAUAUUCAAAUGAAAGUAAUAUGGUAAUCAAUAUUUAAUCGAUAAGGAAAUAGGUUAUGAACAAGUCAUUAUAACUACCUCAAAAAUCAAUAAUACAAGGAUGAAAGAGGUAUACUGAGGAAGGUUCACACCUAAAGGAUCACUUUAUUAGCACAAGUAGGAAAAUGUUAACAUAGGGUUAUGCAUUUAAGUGUAACAUGAUUGAAUUCUAUUACAAUGUCUAAAAUUUAAAUAAUUACAUACCUUUUUUUUUUUUCCUGAUUUUGCUCAUGCCAUUAAGAUUUUUUAUCCACAAGAAACAACCUAUAUUAUAAAAACUGGAAAAAAAAUUAUCUUAUUUUAGAAUAGUAAGAAAUUUAGGGUUCUUAUAAAUAAAAAAGAAUAUAAUUGUUUAAUACUUAAAAAAAAAAUAUUCCAAAGUUGAGAAUCUAAGAGCCUAUUUGGUUGUGUGAUUUAAAAAUAGUUUUAUGUUUUUAAAAAUAGCAAACUGUUUUUAAAAUUUUCCAACAUUAUUUGGCUGUCAUUCUCUAAAAACAAUUUUUAAAAAUAAACUGAAAUAGAGAAUAUUUUUUAAAGAAUAAGUAUGAGCUGUUUUCACUAAUUUUUAUAAAUAAAAGAAAAAUAUGGAUCCGUUUGGUCAUUUUUUUUAAAACUUGUUUUUAAAAACUGUUUUUUAUUCUUUAACUUAAAAAUAAUUUUUAAAAACAAAUUUAAGAAAAUAUGGCCAAACAGACCCUAAAUAUUUACAGUAAUUUUCUAGUUUUUCAUCUCAUAAGCAAUUAAAAUAUAAUAUUUCACUAUUAACAUAUUAGAAAUGCAUUAUCAACUUUUUAAGUGAUACAACAUUUUGCAUAUUAAAGGGAAUGUAGAAUUAUAAAAUUAUUAUCAUAGGACAAAUACCUUUUUAAACAUAUGAGCAACCUAAUUUUGAAAAAGAGAAAAAAAUGAUAAAGAGCACAAUUUUUUUUAUAGUGCUUAUAAAUAAGUUAAAACAAAAGUAAAAAAAUAUUAAUUUAUUAUAAGGUAUAUUUAUUCCAAGCUCGUCGAAAUAGAACAUCCGUUUAAUAAAAUUUGUAUUCAAUUCAUGAAACAAUUGAAUACAACUCAUGCGACUCAUUUUUAUUUAUUUUUCUCAAAAACAGGUUUUUUAAUUGAAAAAGAAAAAAGACAAAUUGUUGAUGGUGUUGAAGUAAUUCAAAGGAUAGCCCUCAAAGGUGGGUACCAAAAACCACAACAUCAAAAGAUGGUAAAGCUAAGAAUAUAUAAAGAGCCGAUAUAUUAAGUAGGAUUUUUUUAUAAGAGUAUGGUAGUUUUAAAAAAUAAUUCCUAAACUAUUGUAGUGGGAAAAACAAUUCCAAAUCUAAUGUAGUUUUUUCCAGGUAGGAAAUAUGAUUUUUUUUUUUAAAAAAAAAAAUCAUCUCUUCAAAAGAUGAUUGAUGACCUUUUAAAAAAAUUUUUAAAAAAAAAAUUGUCUUUCUAAAAUAUGAGAAUUGUCUCUUGAAGAUACGAUUUUGGCAAAAUAAAAAAUUGAGAAAUGAGAAAUGAGAAAUGACGAUUUAAAAAAAAAAAAAGAAAAACAACAACAACAACAAUAUAAAGUGAGAAAUCAUUUCUUCAAAAGAUGAUUUUUACAAAUAAAAAAAAAACUUCAAAAAUCCAUUUUUCCAUUCCUUAUUAUAUUUAUACAAGAAUACAAUUAUUGUUAUUAUUAUUAUUAUUAUUCAUAUUAUAUAUAUAUAUAUAUAUAUAUAUAUAUAUAUAUAUAUUAUAUAAAAUUAAUUAAUUUUAUUUACUAAAUUUAAUAUAAGAUAAAUAAUAUUUAUCUAUUAUUUUUUUUCUUUCACUUCGGAAUUAAAAAAAACUAUCAUCAAUUUACGUGAAAAAUGAGUUUAAAAAAACAAUUUUGUUAUUAAUUUAUUAAAUUAUUAUUUACAAAAUAAAUAAUUUUGUUUUGUUUUAAUUUUUAAAUUAAUUUUAUUAUAUAAAUUUUAAAAUUAAAAAUAUUAUUAAAAUUUCACGAUAAAAGGAAUAAUUUCACAUAUUUUUAGGAGAAUUUUACUUAACACAAGGCCUCCACUACACUCAUCAUUUAUCGUAGUCCAACAAUGCACUACACCCAUAGCCCAUAGGAGAAUCUUACCUACUGCACUCCAUCGCUUCACACACUAUUACACUACAAUUCCAUUGCAGCACUCAAACAAUUUGACGAGAGUUUGAGGUGUUGUCAUUUCUUCUGAAAUGUUUGAACACUCCACCAAUUUGACCGUUUCAAGUAUUGUCAUUUCUUCUUAAAUAUUCAAAUGUUAUAUAUAUAUAUUUUUAAACACCCCCCCCCUAUCCUGCACAUUAUACCCGUCCUACAUCUUCCCAACUUCACUUUCAAUAUAAAUCGGCUUCAAACUUCUUUAUCCUCAUUUUCUCUUUUUGUCCCAUUUGAAACUCAGUUUUUCACUUUCCAUCACUUUUAUUCAUAUUCCUCAUUUCUUUGUGUGGAACUUCUCUACAUAUCUCCUCUCUUUUCUUUGGAUGCUCAUGCUGCUUAUCUUAAAAGGUAAUGUUUUUGCUUUAUUUUUAUUUCAAGUUAUUUUGCAAUAUAUGGUUUUAUUAUUAUAUAAGCUUUUAAAUUUAUUUGGAUUAUGUAAUAUUUGUUUGAAUAAUAUUUAUUGAAAAUUCUUAUUUUAAAUAGAUUAAAUCAUUUAAAAAUAAAUAAAAUUUAUAUUAUUUUAUUCCUAGGUAAUAUUUUUGCCUUUGUUUCACAUUUAUUUUGUAAUGCAAGAUAGAUAUUUAUUGUUAUAUAUAUUUUUUAAUUUAUUGGAUUUAUGCUAAUUUUUUUAGAAUAUCAUUUGUUGUAAAUUAUCAUUAUAUAGAGAUGAAUGGAUUAAAUUAUUCAAAAAAUAAAAGUAAUAUUAGUUUAUUUAAUUAAUAUGAAAUAAUAGGAUUAUUGCAUAUGUUUAUCAAUCAAAUAAUAUGCUUUAUAAAAUAUUAAAAUUGAAAAUUAAAAAUAAAAUAAAAAUAUUAGUAAAAUGAGAAUGGGAAAUAAUAAUAAUAAUAUAAUAAUUAUAUAUCUAUAUAUUUGCAUAAAAUAUGAUUUAAAAAAUAUUAAAUCUAAAAAAUAGAAAUACAACAUUAUUUUAAAUUAUGAAUUUAUCCUAUAUAUUUUUUUAAAAAAAGUUAAUGUUAGUCUUAUAUCAUUGAAAAAAUUGUUGUAAAAUAUUGAGAUGUAAAAAAAAAAUAUAAAUAAAAGUAGAAAUAAAACUAAAAUGUUAUUUGAUUUAUUUAAAUGAAUAUAAUAUAUAAACUAUCACAGGCCUAUAGACAAUAAAAAAAAAAAAAAAACACUAUGAAAAAAAUUAAUUGAAUACAAGGAUUUACUUAACUCAAACCUUCAAUCCUCUUUAGAACUGUUGGCCUAGUACCUUCAAACUUAAAUUACCCACUUUCUUCUUUUAGAGCAUACGUAAAGUUCACACCAAGCUUUCGACCUUUUCUUGAACCUAUACAAAAAGAAAUUUAGAUUUUAUCCUAAAGAUGACAAAUGCAAGAGUGUGAAUGAAACCUAUAUUGAAUCAACUCAUUUUGAAAGAUUUUUAACUUAAUUAAACCCAUAAAAAAAAUUUCAAACCAAACAUCCCAAAAUAGAUAAAGAAUUUGAAGCUCAACAAGGCCACCUAGCUCUUACAAUUGUUAAAGCCUCUUCUAAAAAAAAGGGCUUAAAUACUAAGGUUUUAAUCUCCAUCUAACAACUCGGAUUUGUUUGGAAAAAAUGAAAAUUUUAUAAAUAUGAUCGAAUUGUAAUUGAUAAGACGAGAUUGUAAAAUUCUUGUUACAACAUAAAUUUUUACCUUUUACAAUGAUCAAUUAGUAAUUGAUCCAAAUGCUUUAAAUACAAAAUUUGAUAUCCUUAAACUUCAACUCCAAUUUUCAACAAUAGAAUAAAAGUUUAAAACUCGGUUGAUUAAUGUUUAAUAUCAUCAAUUGCUUUAAGAACACCAACUAUCUCCUCUAACAAUCUUCAAUUACGAGCAAUUUAGGAAUGACAAGAGUUUGAGGAAGGAUUUUAAGUAAUUGAGUUAGGCAAAUACAAUGAAAAUUUCAACCUAGAAUUGCCAAUACACAAAGACACUAAAUCUCUUCCAACUAGUUUUACGAUAUAAGAUCUUUAAACAUUCACAAUUAUAUAACUGAAUAAAAUAAAAUAAAAAUUGAAGUUUUUGAGCUAAUAAUAAAAGAUUAUCUAUUCAACCUCCCUCUAGAUGGUUCUAUUGUAUAAAACCACAAACUUUUAAAUCCCUCAUUGUGCAUGAUGUUGAAAGCGAUUUGGAUUUACUGAUAUUAAAUUAAUUGUUCCUAUUUCAUAGGGAGGAUUAUAAUGUUUUGUUAUGAAGUUCAUGAAGACGGGGUGGGGGUUUAGGCUUAGUACAAAUGAUUGUUGUUGUAAGUAUUUGAGAAUUUACAUAAAUAAGAUUUAUUUUCAAUCAAUUUCAUUUAACAAGGAUUCUUGAACUACCUGUAAUUUUCAUAUGUAGGACAAGAUGAAAAAAUAUCAGUUUAAUAUGCUAUAUAGCCUUACAUUGUUAAAAAAAAAAAAAAAAUGAGCUUAUUGUCCAAGAAAAAAUGAGCUUAAGAUGACAAUACACAUUCAUACACAUGUUGUAACACAAUAGGGAUGCAAGAGGGAAUAUUUGUAUUUUGCAUGACUACUUCCAUAGGUACAAGGGGAUAUGUUUGUGUGCUGCCAUGAGUCUGAUGACCCUUGGCUAAUUAUAAGAGCAUUAGAAUUAAAUACUAUAAUCACAUAGAAUCUUUUUAAAAUUUAUACUUCCAUUAUAAUAGUAAAGUUAAUUCAAAAGGCAAUUUGAGGAAAAUUUUGACAAAGUUUCAAAUAGAUAUUUACUUGGGGUUUUAUUAUUCCCAUGUUUUAAAAAUUUUAAUCCUUUUCUCACUUUAAUUUCUUGGAAUAUAUAGACUUUUGUAUAAGAAUUGGAAGCAGCACUUGGUCAAAAUUAAUAUACUAUGCUUUACACUACCUCUUGAAUCUGACUAAUGAUUUUUUUUUUUUUUUUGUAAUAUGUUUGAUUGUAGUGUAUAACUUGAAUAGUUAUAGUAUUUCAAGGGAGGUAAUGGGUGAAAUUUUAAGCUGAUUUGUAUUUAAUUUAAAUCUUAAGAAAAAUGAAUUUAUUUUAACUAAAUUUUGAUUUAUUUAGAAUAGCGUAAAACCAUGAACAUGUAAUAAAAUCCUCGAAGUAUAAUUUUUAUAACAAAAAAAUAAAUUAAUAAUUGAUUAAUUAUUAAUUAAAACUAUAGUUGAUAAAUCAUUUUUGACAAACAAGUUCUAAAUUUUUCCUCAUAAAUAGUAGUGAUUAUAGGGAAACAUUGUUUGAAAUCAUGGUGAAAAUGUUUGCAUGCUAUUCAUCGUGAUGGAUUAUUUUAUAGAUUUAUAAUGAAAUUUUGUUGUGCUAUGUUGGCUUGCUCUAAAUAGUAAUUAAGAGAUGGUGGGUAGACGUUUAUACUAAUAAAUUUUUAAUUUAUGUAAGAUAAAAUGUUUUGUCAAAUGCUUGUUUUAAUGCAUGGGCAGUGAAAUAUCUUUCAUUAGAGUAUUUCCAAUCCAAAAUUUUAAAAUAUUAAUAUUAAUUAAAAUAUUUUAGUAUAGUGGCUUAAUAUAUAUUAUGUUAUUAUUAUUUGAACUCAUAAAAUAAAAUUAAUACAUAAAAUAAGAUUGAAUUGGUUUUACAUAUGAAAUAACAUUUGAGGGUAGUUUUGAAAUGGUUUUUUUAUAAAAGGGAAUUGGAUAAAAUUUUAAAAAUGUCUAAAAUAUUUUAACAAAUCAAUUAUAAUAUAUUUAUAUUCGUUAGAAAAAAAAAUGAGUUUUGACAUAUUCAUAUAAAAAUAAUUAUAAAAUAAAAAUUCUUUCAAAAUAAUACAAAUUUUUUCAAAAUAAUUCAAAUUUUAUAUAUUUAUCAAUUCAAAAUAGUAUUUUAAAAGGUAAAAGGUAGUACAUAUAUAAUUGUUUAAAUAGUAAAAAUAGUAAUUUUAAUAAAAAAAAUGUAAAAUAUUAAUUAAUUUUAAAUAAUUAUAUUUUAUAAAUUUAAAUUUUUAUUUUAUAAUUUUAUUUGUUGGGAUGGUCUGGUACAAAAGAAAAGUUGCAAGACACAGCUCAAAGGGCAGCGUGAUAGAGAGAAAAUAUUUGUUGAAGUCCCAAGAAACUGGUCCGCUGCCCCAUCAACUCAACUCAAACUCCUCUCCAUUCAGACUUUUCAGAGAUGUUGACCGACUUCGUCUCUUUUCAGGACUGGAGACAGCUGAAAGGGCAGCGUGAUAGAGAGAAAAUGUCUGAUAAAAUCCCAAUAAACUGGUCCGCUGCCCCAUCAACAACUCAAAGUCCUCUCCAUUCAGACUUUUCAGAGAUGUUGACCGACUUCGACUCUUUUCAGAAGAAACCCUACAUUCAAUAAGGGUCUUCUGGAUCACACUCGGUUCAGAAAUAUCUCUGAAUUCUCUUUUCUCGAUAAAAGGUCUUUCAGUAAAUUAGGCUUGUAGGAAUUAAUUUUGGUCUUCUCAGGCUUGGUGGUAGAAUUAAUAAUAAAAUUAAUAUGAAAAAAAAAAGAAAAUGAAAAUUAACAAGAACAUACAGAUCAUAUUGAGCUGUUUAAAUCCAUUCCCAGUUAACUUAAAUGGUUAAAUCCUCCUUCGGAAGAAGUCUGUGUAUGUCUUUGGGAAAUCAACAUUCUUUCCUCUCUCUCCUCUCAGAAGUAUCUCUCUUUCAUUCUACGGAGGUAGAGUCGGAUUCCUUUAUGGUUAGCUUUAAUCUUUCACGAUUAGGUUUUAUUCUUGUAGUGUUGUUUGAGAGGGGAUCAAAACUUUGGAUGCAGAAAAAGGUCGUUUAGGCUCUUUGGGAGCUCCCUUGAAGCACAAUCACAUCUUAAAGCUCUUUUGAAGAACAAGCUUCCAACAACAUCAAUGGCUCCUUCCCCUGGAGGUAUAUAUAUUCUUAGCUUGACAAUCUUUUGAUUUUGCGGUUUAAUGUGAAUUUAUAAUACAUUGAGUGCUGUUCUUUGAAUUACUUCAAGGCAAUCAACAGUUUAUGCAUGUUUUUUUUCAUAAAAAAAAACUUUUUUGAGAAAAAACGAUGAGUUACAUGACAUGUAUACAAUUUUGUAAAGUGGUUGCUUUCAGUAUUUCGAUGGGCUCGAAAUAAAUAUGCCUUAAUUUGUUUAUGAUCUGUGGAGGGUAGAAAUAAGAUUCUGAUAAACACCAAGUAUCUAGCUAUUUCCAAUUUAAGGUAUAAUAGUUUAAUUUUAGAUUCCUAUUUAAUUCUUCAACUUACACACUGGAUUCUUAAUACCUUUCAUAAACUUAGAUUUUUCGGUAAAUUAAUGUUUUUUUAUAUGUUGUUUUAACUUAUUUAUAAGCAUUAUAAAAAAAAUCUUGGUUCUUUAUAUUUAUUAUUUUCAAUUAGCUUGCUCAUAUUUUUAAAAAAGUAUGUGUCCAAUGAUAAUAAUUUUAUAAUUUUAACAUUUGCUUUAGCAUUAAAAAUGUUGCUCAUUUUGUUUCAUUUUUUGUAAUAUAGGUUGUUUUUUGUGGAUGAAAAAUCUUAAUGGCGUGAGCAAAGCCGGAAAAAGAGGUAUGUAAUUAUUCAAUUAUUUAUUUUUACACAUUUGAAUAGAAUUCAACCAUGCUACACAUGGAUAUAUAAUCCCAUAUUAAAUAUUUUCAUGUUUGUGCUAUUAAAGUUAAGUUUAUGUAGAUGUUCGCCUAAAACUUUAUUUAUUUAGGUUCAAUUUGAUCAUUACCAAUGCAUGAAAUUAAUGCCUUCUCUCAAAUGUUUAGGCCAUGUUUGGUACAUAAAAAUGAGGAAAGAGAGUCAAUAUUUUGUUUCCAUUCCUAUUUCUUGAGUAAGAAUAGAUUUGAUGAUUUUGAUUCUUAUAUUUGAAUGUACCUAGGACCAUAAGGUUUGAAUAAUUAUUUGUUUUUAUGUCAAUCUUAAGCAUUAAUGAAAACGAAAAAGAAAAAGAAAAACUUUGGAAGGUUUUUUAAGAGUUUUGGGCCAAAAUAGUCCUAUUAUGGGGGAAAAAAUUAUUUUAACCACUUUCCAAAAAUUGUCUAAAAUGCCCUUUUUGUUGUCAUAGAGAAGCCAUGUCAUCAUUUUUGCCACAUGUAAUUUCAAUUUUAUAGUGUUGUAAUUGCCAAAUAAGACUUCAAUAUUGAAGUUUAUGUGCUUUUAAAAUUAAAAAUAUAUACUUUAAUGAUAAAAAAAUUAUACAGUUAAACUUAAUGAUCUAGUAUUCAAUAAAAAUAAAUUGAUAAUAAUAAUAAUAAAUUAUUAUUUUAUUUAUCAAUAAAUUAAUAUAUAAUUUUAAAAUAAUAAAGUUAAACGUCAUAGACAAACUUAAAAUAAAAUGAAAAAAAUGUAAGUGUAUGAAGUUAAAAGUGCAAAUGCAGUUCCAUUUUUUUGACUUUUUGCCCUAUUGAAUUUCAUACUCUUGAACUUUUUAAUUUCACAUAUUUGCAUGUUUUUUAUAAUAAUAAUAAUAAAAAAAUAUUUUCUUAUUUAUUUAUCAAUUUAAAAUAUUUAAUUUAUUGAUAAAUUAAAUGUUAAUUUAUUAGUAUUUUAACAAAUUUUUCUCUAUUGAAAUAAUAGUAUCUUAAGUUUCCGUAUAUAAUUUUUUAUUAUUAGUUUAAAGCAUAAUUAUUUUUAAUUUCAUGUAAGAAUAUUAUUAAUUGUACAUACACAAUAUAUAUGCUUUGAAAAUAUAUUUCAAAAUUAGUUAAUGAAAUUAAUUUGAAUAAUAUGUUAAGUGUACACACAAUCUAUUAUUAUUAUUAUUAUUAUCAAUUUAUCUUUCUUGAAGUAAUACUAGAUAUUUAAGUUUAAACAUAUAAAUUUCUUAUUGUUAAAACAUGUUUUUUCAAUUUCAUCAGUAAUUUUUAGUUUAAUAUAUUUUUUAUUAUUAAAUUUUAGGAAGAAUUAUGCUUUGGACCUAGUUAGGCUUGAAAAUUGGCCUUCAGUCCAUGUCACCUGGCCAAGCCUAAGACCUACCAAAAGGCUAAAAAUUAAGAAAAAAAAGGAUAUUAUCCUUCAAUAUUUCCUAAUAAGCUCUUUGUUGAUUAUGAAAAAAAAAAAAAUACAGGGUGGAAUUUCAACACAUGGUUGUAUUGUUGCCUAAUGACCCAAUUAUUUCCCAAAUCUUUGAAAGGAGAAAGCCAAAAAUCCUCAAAUAUUUUAGUUCAGUCCUAGUUUCCAAAGAAUUGAAUGUCGUUGUCAUGCCCUAUCAUGGUAGCCACACUUAAAUUGUUGUUGCUCCUAUAGGCAUCGCCAUUGUCAGGGUCGCGUUCUCACUCUUUCUCUCCCUAUCUUUCCUUAAUUGUCAUCUCCAACCAUUAUUUUGUGAUUCAGAUCUCUCGCUCCAAUGAAUCCAAACCACCACACUCUUUUCAUUUGUCUUGAGAUUUUAGAUUUUCUAGGUAUUGAUUAUCGCUUCUUUGUAGUUUUUAUAUUUGUUUUUCCUUCAUUUGGUUGCCAAGAAAAUAUUGGAAAAUGGACAUGGACCUUGUGUUUGAGUGGUUGAUUUUCAAUGCCUAAUGCAUUUGUUUGAGGAUUUUUUUUAUUUUUUUUAUUAAUGGUAGUUUAUUUUGUCUUAUAUGCAAUAGACGAUGUACAUUUGUUUUGGAUGGUGGAGUGUUUGAUAGGAUGAUAGGUUUUGCUUCUUGUUUAUUUUGUUAAAUUUAUGGAUUUGUGUAGGUUGUCAAUGAAUCAUAUUAGGGAAGGUUGAGAGUCUUCCAUUGGUGGUUGGACGUGAUUGACAGGAGGAUUUUUUCAGAUUGUUUUUGAUUGAUGGCAUGAUUUCGGAAAAUAAAAAGAAAACAACAACCUUAGUCUUGAUUAUAUUAAAUGGUAAAUUCAUGUAUACAUUAUCUUGAAGGAUGUAUUGUCUCUAUUGAACAAUAUGAUAUUUUCUAUCUAGGUUUUCAUUAAUUUGAGUGGUGGAUCGAUUUUAUUUGAUGAUAUGUAUGAUGUUUUUUCCCAUUGGACCAACUUAGUUUUUUUAAUAAUAGAUCCUGGUGAUAGAAUUUUGCUCACAUUAAUUCAUAUGGGAACAUUAUGUAUUCUAAAAUGAAAAUAAUUUUUGGAUGACAUUGAAUAUGAAUAAAUUGUGCUUUCUAUUUGGAGAGGUGUGUUGUCUAAUAAGGUUUAAUUUUUUAUAGUGUUUUGAUGUUGUGGAUUUUUCUUUGAUUUCAAUUUGUGUCUUGGUGGUUAAAAUAGGCUUAAGGUAAUUGCAUUGUUUGGAUGACAACAAGUGAUGCAUGAUAUAAAAUUUGAGAAAAGUGUGGGUUAUGUUUGCUCAAUAAUAUGAAACUGGUGUCUUAUGUUUGAAUAGGUUGAUGGGCGCUACAAAUAGAAUAUAUUGUUGCAUUUUCGUGAAAGGUAAAUUUAUCCAAAAAAAAAAAAUGAUGGGUAGAGGGAAUACGUAGGUAGAAGAAGCAAAGAUAUUCACAUAUAUAAUGGAAUGUCAUUUCAAGAAUUCACUCCAAGAGUAUUAAAGAAAUUUAACAUCUCCCCUUAAGUGAUGAAAAUGCAUUAUGCCCUCAAGUUUAACCCCAAAGUCAUCCAAGAUUUAAAAGAUGAGGAUGAGUUAGAUAAUGUGGUUUCCCAUGGUGAUGACAUAGUGGAGUUACCUCAUGUGGAAGCUAUUGAAGAAAAUAAGGAAAACUGUGUUUCCAGGUUGCUAUUAGGAAGAUAUAUGGUUUUGGAAACCCAUGUAAAUGAAAUAUGAGAUAUCCCUGUUAAUGAGAAAAAUAUUACAUUUCUCAUGUACUAUAUACUAUUUAGGUAUGCAUUUCCAAAAUUGCCCUUUAAUGUUUCCCUGUCAGAAGCCAUCGGUGUCCAUGUUAUCAGGCAGGUGCACAAUUUAAUAAAGGCAGAAUUGUGUUUUGGGUUCAGUUGGGCCCAAAAAUUAACAAUUGGUCGAUAGAUGUUACAAAAUUAAGCCCAUCACCCAAGCAAAGUCUCAAAAUUGAUAAGAAGGAUAUCUCAUGUAUAAUCUACCGAAAAUGCCCUUUGCUGGGUAUUAAAAAACUAAAAUCCACAUUGGAUUUCUUUUUUUGUUUUCCCUAAAUUGGAGUCUACAUUAGGCGUUUUCACAUUCCCAACUUCGUCCCUCGCUUUCGCCCAAAGAAUGCCCUAAUCCUCUGUGCCAAUCUCGUUAUCUCUCAAUCUUGUAUAUCUCGGCCAUCUGAUUUUAGGUGUAGGUAGUGGAGUUUUUCAUCUCUAUCAAUCCAUUGGCAUCAAUGAUCACCAUUGGAUUUGGGUUCCGUGGCGAAGUAGUUGAUAGUUGAGGUUAGUAGGUUCAACAAUUUCAUUUUAUGCUUCAUUUUAGCUAUCCGGACCAUUUGAUUUCAGCCCAAAAACAUUUCCUUAAUUUAUCUCACGAUUUCAGUUUGUCGUAUAUUGUUUCCUGAUCGAUCCCCACUGGUGGUGCCCUCUGUGCUGAGCAUUGUUGGAUAUUUGAUGUUAGGUGGGACUUUCUGGAGGUUGCUUGCUGUUUGAACUGAGAAGGGAGCUUUUCUUCCCAUUAGGUAAAAUAGUCUUUUUUUUGAAGCUUAAACCCCGUCACUGAUGUUUUUUGGUUUAACAUAUAUUUUUUUUGGGUAUUUUUUGUUAAUCAACUCUUUAUUUUGUGUGGAUGACUUGAUCUCUUGAUAACCAUCUUUCAUUGUGGGUUAUGGUGUUUAUAAGACAUGACUCACAGUUUGAAAUAGUGAGGAUCUUCAUGUGUUAAUUGCAACUGCAUGCCGUGGUAUCAACAAUUUUUGUUUAGAUAAUUAUGUUUGUGUUCAAUUUACAAGAUUGAUAGGCUUGACAUGGAAAACACACUUUUUUUUUUAUUAACCUGUGAUGUCACCAUGAUUGACUUGUUUCUCCAUCAAUAUGACAACCCGCAAUUGGCAUGAACGAUAAUGGUGAUGAUGAAGAUGACAUAAAAAUAUUUUUUGAUUUUGCCUGCAUUUUACUUGGUUCACUGAUGUUUGUUUGAUUUAGCAUUGCAUACUCAUUUAAGAAGUUUGUUUUAUACAUGCAAUUUGAUUCUAAUAUAUGAAUAGUCAAUGCAAAUUGAUUUUCCUUUUGCAGACAUAUUUUUCCUCAUUUGGUUCAAAUAAAAUCUUUUAGCAUUAUAUUGACUUCCUCGUGUGGCAGUCUAGUUAAGUACGAUACUUUGUUUGUUAACUUUCUUCGAUUAAACCUAAGUUCUGGUGACCCUAUAGUAUGAGAUAUUGUGGGCUACUUAGUAUGUGUAGAUAGAUUAUCAUUUCCAACUUCAUGAAAUCUGUAGCUAACAUGAAUAUAAAUGGCAAAUAAAGAAACAAAUAAGUUCAAAGCCAGUUCAAUGACCCUUAAUUCUAUUAAAUCAUACCAGCAACUAGGGAUUCAAUAUUGUAAGGGUUUGAUGAUUCGUCACCGCCCCGUACACAUGUGGAGUCUGAGAGUGGCCCGACAAGUAGUCAUGUACGCAGACUGUUUGUUACUUUACAAAUUAAAUCCAUUUGAAUGCCAUUACAAUUAGGUUUACUUACUGGAAUAUUGUAAAUCAUUGGUUAUAAAUAUUUUCUUUAAUAUUUUUAGAGUAAUUUAUCUGUAGGUAAUUCGUUAACAUGUCAUAGGAAAUAUUGGAGAAGUACUAUGCAGCAGAACGCGUAAUAAAUGCAUAUCAAAAGGGCAUUCAGUAGCAGCACAACCACAAAUCCGACAGUUUGCCAUCAAGAUGGACCUCAAACAAGCAGCUGCAAUUAUAUUUGAUGGGGACUUGGACCCGAGGUAUGUUAUAGCAUAUAAUACUCCACUUUCAAAUGUAUUCACCUAUAAAAAUUUGGUAUUACCCUAACAUAUAUGGUUUUGUUGACAGCGAGGAACUUGUUUCAAUGCAUGACACGAGUUUAAGCAGAGGUAACUUUGCCUUUUUCCAAGGAGAUAAUUGGAUUGGCAAUGGUGUUAAUAUAUCAAUUUCUCCAUUACUUUGCAUUAUUUUUAAUUUAAUAUUCAUGUAACAUCUUGUCAUUAGUUAAUCUGAAUAUUGCUUACAUAUUAAUCAUUUCUUGUCUUAGGUCGUGGAUGUGUAUUGUAGAAUGUUGCAAUUCAACGAUGUAUCAAGGACCAAACUCUUUCUUUCUCCAUACAUAGCUGUAAUGAAGGGCUUUUAUGGACAUUACAUUUGAAUGAUUUGUUGUUAUAACAUGUCGAGAAGUUUGGCUAUCUUUUAAAGCUUAAACUUUUUUCAUAUGAUAUGCAGGAAGUGGUCAUGCGUUCCAACGCCAAACAUUUGAUGCACGACGCAGUAAUUGCCCGUUUUGAGCCAUAUUUGUANNNNNNNNNNNNNNNNNNNNNNNNNNNNNNNNNNNNNNNNNNNNNNNNNNNNNNNNNNNNNNNNNNNNNNNNNNNNNNNNNNNNNNNNNNNNNNNNNNNNUAGAUGUUUCGUAUCAGAAUGUUAAUGAGGUCAGCUUAAAUGCAUUGUUUUAUGUUUGUACACUUGUCAUCUCCUUCACUCACUAUAUGUUGUAAUCCAUUGUAAGUGGCAUCAUGUAGGUCUACUUACCGAUUCUUCUCAAAAACCAUUGGAUGCUUUAUGUGUAUGACUUGCAUAACAAACGAAUCUAGAUCUUGGAUUCUCGACCUGGAAGGAAAAGGAGUUGUAUGAGUGGAAUACAACAAAAUUUGGUAAAGUAGCUUGUAGUUUCAUAAUCUUUGUUGCUUGCAUUGUACAUAAGAUGGGAAGUUUGAAUGUACUUUGUUUGAUUGUUUAAGGUGAAGGUUGUUCUAUAGCUUGUUGGUUAUAAGAAAGAAAUGGUGGAUGUAGACUUGAAGAUGUUCCGUUUUGUCAUGCUAGAUGUACCAUGUUAGCCAAAUGAGUGAGUGUUUACUUUGCAGUCCGUAACUAGCUUUAAAUUUGAUUGCAAGGCAAUUUUAUAUUAUACUUGCCAUGUCACGCAUAAUAAAUAAUUACUCGUUACUUUGUGUGUUAGCAAUGACUAUGGAGUAUUUAUUAUGAAAUUCAUGGACAACUGGUCAAAUGGAGGACUCUCCAAAUCCAUCGAUGUGGUAUGUCCAUACACGAUUGUAAUAUACCAUUAUUAUAUAAAAGUUGCAUACCAUGACCAAAAUAUUUAACAUUUCCUUAUAUGUCUUUUAAACAUGAAUGAAUACAGGGCAAGACUAAGAAGUAUAAAUUAUAGAUAAUGGAGAGAUUGUUGCUUUCAUCACAUAAUGCACAUCGACAUCGAUUUAUGGCGGAUUGAGGGAGACUGUUAAAUUGGAUGUGCCGAGGAUAUUUUCAGAUGAUUGUACAUUAUUUGCUCAAACAUAACUCUUUCCAAUGUAUCGCAAAUAUUAUGACUUAUAUAUAGAAGUUAGUGAUGAAUUCACAACUAAGGUUAACAACAGUAUGAUUCAUGUUUAAAGCAAGCAAGUUGAGUGUGGAAAAACCAUUGGCUUCAAAAUUAUUCACAAAUGAAAUAGGGUUGAUACUUCAAAUGUAUACAGUCUACAAAGUUGAGUAGGAAGAGGACUCGUACUUUGAUGGGUCAUUAUAGUCAAGCAUUACUACUACAUUUUACAUUUGAACUUAAAUCACAACUUUUACAUUUGGAACACAUUGAUCGGUCUUGAUGGUACAUCGAUCGGGCAGAGAGGACAAGGUCUGUUACUUUCAGUCCGCUUGAUUGGGACUCGAUCGGGACUCGAUCAGUACUCAACCGGGAAAGAUGAACCGGUCGACCGGUGCCUAAAAACAUCAACCGGUAGUUUUUACCUAUUGGAUGAGAGAGAGAGUUCUCAACUGGGCUUAGAUCGGUUCGUGAUCGGAUGUCGACUGGUAAGAGGGUACCUCAAUCGGGAAGGCCAAGGCACUGGAUGAGAGAGAGUAUGUUUGUCACCCCUCAUCCUGGUCUCAACCGGUCGAGAGGCCCUUCGACCGGUUGAGCGAAUUUGUCCAAAACACAUAUUUUUGCAAAUCUUGUCUUCUAUGAUUGUAGUUGUGAUUGUUCUGUGUUGUUCUAUCCAUUAAAACUCAUAUUAGUUAUUUCACUAUUUUAAUGUAAAGUUAAAUAAAAAAUAUAGAAAGUGACAUUGGUUUGUAAGUAAUUUUAAUUAUUAUUAUUUUUAUAUUUUCACUAUUAAAUCAAAUAAUGUACUUGUUUUUAUUAUUUAAAGAAAUAAUUAUAUAAUUCUAAAAACAAAUAUUACAGAUUUUAAAAGUAACUUUUGAUUUAAAAAUGGAUAUUUCCCUAAAGGAAUAUUAAUUUACCUCAUUCUAGUAUAUGGUUAAAUAAUAAAUAAAUGAAUAGUUAAGAGUAUAUUUUUUAUGAGAACUUUAGUUUGUGAGACUUAUUUAAAUCUCUCAGAUGGUGAUUCAUGGGAAAUUUUCACAACUCUACCUCUUUGGGUAUAUGUAACUCGGGUAAGACUUAAUAGUGCAAUAAGUUAAUUUAUAAUUAUGUAUCUAUUUGCUUUCAUUUGUUUUUAGAAAUGUUAAAAUGUUUAAAUUCCCCAAAAUUGUAAAAUAUACUUUGAUUUGUUCCUUAGUUUAUUAAAUAAAUCCAAUUUUGUGCUAAAAUUGAAAAAGAAAUGGAGAAGAAUAAAAGAUCCUUAGGAAAAAAAUUGUUUAGGUAAAAUCAUUUUCACAUGUUUAGUUUUAUAAUAAAAAAUUGAAAUAAAAUAACAUAUAAUUAAAAUUAAUUUAAAUUUUAUAUAUAUUUAAAUUAUUUAAAGUAUCAUCAAAAUCAUUUAUUGAAUUUAAAUCUUUUUUUUAUUUUUUUUAUUUUUCCUCUCAAUAUAUAUAUAUAUAUAAUUAUUUUUAUAUAUUAAUUCAAAUUCAUUUAACUUAUUUUAAUUUGCAAUGUAAAGAUUAAAUAAUGUGAAAAUAUAUAAAUUUUUAAUUAUAUUAUAUUUUAUUUGGUUUACUCAAUAGAACAAUUAAAUAUGAAAAGAUUAUUUUUCUUAGUAUUUUUUUUUCUUAGUACUUUUCAAGAACCAAACACAACCUUAUUGAAUCUAACAUAUUGAGAUAAAACCCUUUAUAAGAAGGAAAAAAAAAAUACUAAGUAAAUUUUUUAAGCUUCCAUCCAAACUAAUUAAGCCUAUGAUAAAUAGUAAUGAUCCUUCUAUUGAUGCAAUUCAAAUUCAUUUUGUAGAAAUCCUAAGAAGUUACAAAUUUAUAUUACAAAAGAUGAUCUAAGUGUGCUUAGAAAUAAAGGCUUAAUUAGUUAGUUAAAAUUUUGCCCCUUCAAAUUAUCUUAAUUUUUUACCUUGAAGCUUGGACUCUUAAAUCAUGUUUAUUUGUUUCGUGGCAUAGGGUCAUUUAGCAUGUAUCUGACAUUAUUUUUAGUGAAACUAUUUUUAAAGAUUCACAUGAUUAAAAACGCUAUAAGUGAUUUUUUAUACAUUUUUUAAAACUAAAAGCACUUCAUAGAAUUAUUAACAAAUGCACUCUUAGAGUACAUUUGGCACUACUUCUAAUAAAAGUGUUUUCUUCUACAAUACUUAUGUGCAAAACUCUUUUGUGAAAAACGCUUUUAUGAAAAUCUAGAAAAGUGAUUGUAAUAGUGCUUUUGAUAAUAUAUUGCAUAAGUACAAAAACACUUUUAAUCGUAAUAAAUUACUAAAAAUGACAUUUAUUACAAAAAGAAAAUAUUAUAAUAAACCAAAAACGUUUAUUACAAACAAAUGUAUAAGCAUUUAUAUUGUUAAAAAAAUUAAGAAAAUUAUUUUUAUUAAAAUGAAGUGAAAGAGAAAAAGAAGACUGACAAGGAAGAGGAGAAUGAAAAGGAAACUGAUGCUAGCGGGAAAUGAUCUUUUAGGAAUAUAUGAAAUUUUUUGAAGUGUUUUUUUUUUAAAGAAACACCUCCCAAGUAUUUCUCUAAAAAACACUUAAAGUGUUUUUCUAAAUUUUGAAAAGUGUUUUUUCAAAAUUUUUCCUAUUUAUUUAUUUUUUAUUAGGAUGGGGAUGCCAAUUAAUACAAAUAAUCCAAUGAAGUUGGAAUUGGAAUGAUUCGUCCAAAAACCAUUUUGUUGUUACCUUUACGGGUAUUGAAAAAUAUUUUUCGCUGUAGAGCUCUUUCACAAGUAUAGUUUUAUAAGACUGGGCCUAGUUUCCAAAAUAAAGACUAAAUAAAUAAAUAAAACAAUAAAAAAAUAGAAUUUAAAAUUAAUAAAUUCUUUUUAUAAAUCAUUAUAAAUGAAUUCCAGUUUAAUUUUUUUUAUGUAAAGAUUAGAUAAUUUAACAAAAUAAAAGCAAGUAAUUAAUUUCUCAUAUAAAAAAAUGAACAAACAAAUAAAUGAAAUGAUUAAACAGGCGGUCAAUCGGUUCUAGACCGGUCAAGUUAUUGGUGGGGUUGUCUUUUGAAAUACCCCUCCUGUGCAUCAUUUUGACAGUGGAUUCCUCUCAAGCUUCAAGGGUUUUGCCUAUUCAGCUUCAAAAGACCACUUUCAAUGCCAUUGCAGCUAUUUCAUGGCUUCAGAGUGAGUUUUGAAGGGUGCAAACUGAUAUUUGGGACGUAGGGCGUGGGUAUUAGAAGUGAUCCUCCUUCAACACGAGUCAUAGGCGGUUUCUCACCUGUUCCCGCGUGCCAAGCCUCUUAGAUUGGGAUUGUUAUCACUUUGGUCUGGUCACUUAUUUCUUUACCACCCUCGUUCCCUUCAGUUUUACUCUCUAAUGGCGCCUAGGAGAGAGACGACUGCCUCUAGGGCACAGGGCAAGCGCCCUGCUAAGCCAUCUCAGCCCGAUGAGGCGGAGGCUCCCCGAAAGGCGAGGUUUGACACCGACCUUUUCACUUCCAUGGAGGAAUAUCAGAGGUACAAGCAGAAGUUUGCCCAGAGGAAGGUUGUUCCAGGGAGAAAUAUUAAUUUCUCCCAACUACAACAUUUCGGCUUUGAGGGACUCUUCCCACGGAUGGGGUGGUUGCCCUUAAUGACUAUUUCAGAGCCAAUAUUUCUGACAUUAGUGAGAACAUUCUAUUCAUGAGUGACAUAUGGACAUGGAGGACCGAUCAUUUCCACUGUUAGAGGUGUGCAGAUCAAGCUUGACCUAGAGAGCACAUGCCUCAUUUUAGACAUCGCUCCAGUUGGACUCAGGGUUUAUGAGUCCAAGGCUUGGCCCACUUUGGCGGGUUUCAAGCCUACAGAGGCUAUUAAGAGAAUGCGCGGCCUUGCAGAUGCCCAGGGGAUGGGCAAACCAUCGGCACAUAGCCUGCCAGUGAGAUGCCGAGUCCUUCACCUCAUGAUCUUGUACAUUCUCUUGCCAUGAGGCGGCCACCGAGAUGAGGUCUCCUAUUUAGAGGCAUUCCUCAUUGAUUCGAUUAUGACGGGGAGACGGAUUGAUGUCGGAUAUCUCAUGAUGAUGCACAUGAUGGCAUGCUGCGAGAGCUCCAACCGCAUUGUCCCUUAUGACCGAUUUCUCACACGAGUAUUCAAGGAUGCGGUCAUGAUACAUACGAUGAGCAGUCAUUGGACCGGAUGAAGUUUUGAGAAGGCUCCCGAUGGCUCAUGGAUUAGGAAAGCGAAGAGACCAAUAGCACAACCUGGGGGACAGGGAGAGGUACAUCCUACAGUUGAGGAGGAGGCCGAGAUUCGGGAGAUAGAGGGUGGGGUCGACCCUCAGAGAGAUUUUGACCAUAGAGAGACUAAGUUUGAUAUCCCUCCACAGCAGUCCUAGGGUGGCUAGUUGGGGGAGACUUUAUCAAAGCCGAUGAUGUUUGAGCCAGUUUACACAGUGGGACCAUCUUCUCAGCCAUCAUUCAUUGAGGCUCCCCAUGCGCAGACAUCACCUCAUCAGGCUCUUUACGGUCCUGGUCAGGCGCCUUGGAUGGAUUUAGCUGCUCAGAUCAGCUCACUUGGCACUCACAUGGAGGAGCUUGUAGUUGUUAGCGAUACACAAUUCUACUCCAUGGAGGAUUGCAUGGAUCAGCAGCAGGCUACGUUUGAGCAUAUCCUCCGGAGGCUUGAUCGCCAGGAGAGUCAGCAUGAGGACAUGAUGGCUUACCUCCGCUCCGUGUUUCCACCACCACCACCUUCUCAACCUUGAUACCAUCGAGACCCCCUCGUUUAUUUUUAUGUUGCAAAAGCGAGAGAUAUUUAGGAUUAACAGACGUAUAUGCAGAUCAUUAUCAUAUUUGUUUCAUAUGUCUAUGUUUCCUGUACAUUUCACUUGACUAUAUAUAUAUGAUAUCCUUUUGUCUUAUUUGAAUUAUAUGAUUGGACACAAAUGUAUUCACACGGGGAAGUUUAAAGGAAAAGACUAUAUUUGACUUUGAAAAUUAAAAAUUUAUGAAUUUUUCUUAUUUACAUGAGAAAUCUAUAAGGAGAAGAGAAUGUAACUAUUGAGGAAUGCAGUUUAUCUCGACUUUUCAUAUCUGCGUUUGAGAAAGUGAUAAUUUAGUCUCUCUUCAUGAUCAAAUCCUUGAUUGGGACAGUAUAUUGUCACGGAUGGAAACACUUCUUAGUGGAUUUCAGGUAUAUUAACUCAUUCUAGGAGAACAAUAUUUAGUUGUAUUCUCUUGCAUUUAACAUCUCAUCGUCUAUAACAACAUAGGAAGGCAUACUGAUUAUAUUUGUUGGCAACCAUCAACAUAUUAGCUAUUUAUGAGGAUUUUACAUCCAAAAACACCUAGUAAAUGGAUAAGCAUAAAAUAAGUGUUAGAUAUUUAUGAUGGAAGAGUAAAUCCUCAGGCACAACUCACAUAAGAGCACAUGCUUGGAUCACAGUGGAAAGCUAUGAGAUAUUAGUACACGUGUUAGAAUCAGGUCACUUUUGAUGAGGGAAUUAGAGCCGUCCAACUCUAGAAUUGUGAAAAAGUAAAAAAAUAUACAAACCCACCACAACAAAUUUUAUUGAUGUUAGUAUAAACAAAAUUACAACCACAAGAAUUUAUAAUGGGGUUAGAUUUCACAAAAAGGGAAAAAGGAAAGAUUGUGGUUACUGAGUGGUGAUGGCACGAGUUCCACUCCUUAACCUCCCCCCACCAUCCUUCUUUAGUCGAUUAAGUAUAUCCCAAUCUAUUUAUUUUCUUUUUUAUAUCACCAAAAUACAUUUUAAUUCUCCUAUUUCAUAUUAAUUAUUGUUAACAAAUUCAAUAAAAAAAAUAUGAGAGAAAAAAAAAAUAUUUUUAUAUCCUUCUCUAAAUUGAUUUAUUUAUAAAAUUUAAAUAAUUUAAAAAUUAUCAUUUAUAUUAAAUGUUUUAAAAAUUGUGAUUUUUGAUUUAUUUUUUUAAACAAUUUUUAAAAAGAAAUUUGAGAAUAAUUUUUAAAAAUUAUUCUAUGAUUUUUGUAGAACAAAUUUUUUUUGGAAAGUUAAAAUAUUUUUAAUAUUUUUAAAAAUAAUUUUUAUAUUCAAUACUUCAUUUAUGGUUCAUGAAUUUGGUGUGUGCUCUUGGGAUUCUUCAAUAUUGUGAUAUGAAAAGAUCAAACAUAGAAAGAGUAUGUCUUGUAUAUUUAAUUCCAAUGUGUAUGGAAGAAUUCAUGAACCAUAAAUUUUGUAGGGUAGUAGACAAAAUUCAACAUCCAUUUCAUUUCAAUGUUUUCAAAAUAGUUUCGUUAUGACCAAGGGGCAUGAAUCAGGGCUCAUGGGUGUGACAAGAAUGAUUGUUUCACUCACAAUGUCAUCUACAAUGCAAUGUUUAUUUCUCUCUUAUUUCUUGUUUAAGACUAUGUGAUGUUCAAUAGGAUUGUGAGGUUAGAGUUUUACAUUAAGGUUGUAAAUUUGUUUUGAUACUCUAAUAAUAUGUUUCAUCCUUUAUAAAUGUUGUUUGCUCGGAAUUCAUUAUGACUUCAAAACUGAUGUAUUUAUAAGAAUUUACUACAUAUAUAGAAUUAAAAAUUUCUUUUUCCUUAUGAUAUGAAAUAUUACAAGGGUUAGGAAUUUGAUAUUCUCUUUCUAAGAAAAAAAUUUGUUAAACCAAUUUAAUGGUAUCCUUGGAAUACCAUCUUCACUCCAAGGUAACAAGUGAAGUGAAGAUCCAAAUGAGAGGAUAGAGGUAUUUAUUGAAUAAUCUUGGUAAUUUGGUAAGGUAAGUUAUGCCUUUUAUACGCGUUUUCUGAUCAUUGUGCCCCAAAAGUUAAACUUCCGGAAACAUGGACCAACAAUAUGUAUCAAGUUAAAGUAAAACCUCAAGCUUUCAACCUAUCCAUCUCAUCAUCUGUUCCGAUCGAGGGUAUGAGCAACCGGUCGACCAGUGAGGGAACCGAUCGACUGAUUGAGUUCCGGUUGAGUAUCGGUCGAGGAUCUGUCCUCCAUCUCUCUCAUCUAGUUGGUUGCUCUUCUUGGUUGGAGAGUCAAUAUUUUAUGACUUUGGUUUUGCAUUUUGUUAGGUUAAAUUAUGAACUAGUAAUUGGUUGUUGAAAUGAGAUGGCUUUUUAAGUUUUCACUGUGAUUGGACUUGGAUCCAUGUUAGAAGGGCUUGACGCAGGGCCAGUGAAGGGGAUAAUACAAGACACCAUUCGAAAGUUAUCACUGCCCUCACACAAUGGCUAUAGGUUACUUCAAUAUGUAAUCGUAUAUGGAAGGGGCCCUUCCAAUUAUAUCCAAUUAUAGUAUGGUUAUAGAAUGCAUUCAGAUAAUUUUUCAAGAUUCUAAAUACAACAAGUAAUUGUUCAACAUGUCCAUUAUGCGGGACUGAAGCUUUAUUAAUAAUGCAAAUGUGAAGACUUAAGUAAUGGUAAUAAUUAAAAAAACAUUAUGAAUUUUGUAUAUCAAUUGAUAUUGUUUUUUUUAUAUAUAUAUUUAAUUAAAAACUCCUAAAACAAGUAUGAUAAGAACAUCUUAAUUUAGUUUUGUUCCUUGUAGUCUCCAAUUUCUCUUUCCUCAGCUGCAACAACCAUCAACUCAUCAAAGUUCUCGGUCUUUCGAACCAAAAUUUCAAUCUGAAAGCGAACAAAACAAAGAGGGUAAUGUCAGUCUUGCAUCCUCCAAGGUGCCUUGAAACUGUAGCAAUAACUGAGUCAUAAUAAAUUAAUAUGGCCUAUUGUCACAACUUGGAUGUUUCCUUGUUGUUUUUUAAACACACAUACAACACUUAGAUAAGUCAAGGCAUUUUGAAGUUAUUAUAUCACUCGAAAUUAGUUUGUCAUGCUAGGCAACAUUAUAUGACAUCGAAGGUAAGGAGGAUGAACAUAGGAAGAAUGGAGGUUUGAAAGAAUAUAGCUUUAAUUAAUCAAAGGUACAUUACAAUGUUUUGGAAGUUUUCAGUACUUUAUAGCACCCUUAAAUAAGCUCAAUUAGGACAGUUUGGGCAUGGUGCGAUGCUACAAUCUGGUCGAGCUUCUAAACCAAGCUUGGUCCAACCAUCAAUCAACAAAUAACCAACCAAAGCAUCAAGGUGAUAUGCUAAACCGACAAACAACCUGUUUUAAAAUCCAUGAUCCUAGGCAUAGGUUGAAGAACAACGCACUAAGUUACACACAAACCAUUGCCUUUGCAGGUGUAAACUCUAGCAACUUCAUGAAAGCAUGCAUGGUUAUGUAGACACUAAUAGAAACUUUACAACUACACGAACUUAAUUUUGGAGGCUAUGUAAAAUUCAACGCUCAAUGAGGCAUGAUAAAACAUGACAUCAUUGCUCCAUUAUUGAAUUACCAAUAAGCAUAUGACAUAACUUUCUAUCAGUGAAAAUGGGGAAAAUGAAACCCAAUUUAGGUUCCCAUUCAUCAUAAGUGUGCUAGCACAUUCCAAUGAAUGUGUAUGAAGGGAAAUGAGGAAUGAGUACGAGGAAUGUCCCCCUAUGAAAAAAGAAAUGAGCAAGGAAUUUUUUGAAAAAAAUUUGAAAUCCUUCAAGAUAGGUAGCCUUGUACACACUUGUAUAAUUAGCACAUUUGCAUUGUACACUUAGUGUAAAUGCCUUGUACAGUAAUGAAAUCUAACAUAGGAACGAUCGAACAAAAGCAUGUGGGUGGGUAAACAAUGGUUCCACUCUCAUGGAUAAAAGAAAAUGAGGAAAAAGUUAACCCUCGUUUUGGUUCAUAUGCAUCAUUAGUAGGGGAGCUACUAGAAUGAAUUAACAUGGUAGACAUCAAAUAAAAUGCGUGCAAUGAGUGUGUUGUCAAGCAAUAUGUGUGAGGAAUGUCCCCCAUGAUUGGAAAAAGGUAAAUGAGUAAGUUCUUCAAAAUCACUUGAAAUCCCUUAAGAUACACACCCUUGUACACCCUUGUACAUUUAGUACAUUGUCCUUGUACACUUAGUGUAAAUGCCUUGUACAGUUGGAGAAAUCCGACAUAGCUACAACUGAAUGAGUGUAAAUGGGUGGGUUAACCACUUCCCAAUGUCAUGGUUCAGUGAAAAGGGGGAAAAUGAAACCCAAUAUAAGUUCCCAUUCAUCAUAAGUGUGCUAGCACAUUCUAAUGAAUGUGUACGAAGGGAAAUGAGGAAUGAGUUUAAGGAGUGUCCCCUUAUGAAAAAAGAAAUGAGCAAGGAAUUUUUUGAAAAAAAUUUGAAAUCCUUCAAGAUAGAUAGUCUUGUACACACUUGUACAGUUAACACAUUUGCAUUGUACACUUAGUGUAAAUGCCUUGUACAAUAACGAAAUUUUCAAACAUGUGAAAUUCCAUUUUUUAGGAGAUAUUUUCCAACGGAUUAACUGUAUGUUUCUUCAAUUUACUUAGCCUGUGCUUUAUUCCUAUGAGCCAAGAUGGAUAUGAUCAAAGCCUCAUUUAUACCCCACCCUGCACCCAAAAACACGUUAUUAAGUUCAAAAUUUUUUAAGAACACCCCAACAUGAGAUCAAAACGGAUGUCUUUCCUCAAACCUUGUACUGAUCCAGUAAACAAACAUCCACCACAUCAUCAAAGGAACUAACAUGAUCAAAUUAAAAUGUGAGAAAAAAAUAAUUCACACCCACCCUCAUUUCGAUUUGGGAAUGAUGAUGAUAAAAUACAUGCAAAGGCUUUUCUGAGUUGCUUAGAAUCCUCAGUUGCUGAAGAAACCGAUUGGGGCACAUUCACAGUUGACUUUGUCUUUGACCAUGGAGUUUACGGAGAGAGAGAAAGGGGUAGGAGGGUGGUGACUCCUUUUUUCCAUUUAUUUCAGAUUUUUCAGUUAGAUGACAUGGCAUUUCAAGUUUAACAUCUAUGAAACCACUUUAAUUUAUAACCAUCUGACUUGGAAAUAAUGAAGAGCAUAUUGGUUAGUUAAUAUCUCAUAGCCUUUCUAUUAAUUUUGUAACAUCUAUGGACCAAUUGUUAAUUUUUGGGCCCAGUUGGGCCCAAAACACAAUUAUCCCUUUAAUAAACACCAAAUUUUGAAACUUGAAGUUAUCAAAUUUGAAACCCACAAAACACCCGACCCGAGAAACAUUUUAAAGUUGAGAAACUCUCUCUACCACUUCUUCUCGUUUUACCCUAGCCCAAUCUAAAAAAAAAAUCCCAUUUUCAUAGCUCGUUUGUUACACGAAAGUAGACAACCGAUCUGUUUAUUGACAUCCUGACCAGGUGAUGGAUGCCCAUCUUCCCAAAGCCAUCUCCAUUUGAUUUUGGCCUAACCCUAGUGUGUCUCUUUUCACGAUUUGACCACCCAAACCUGAUAGGCAUCUUCUAAAAACCUUCAACGAAGCCAUAGUCGAGGCAUAUCUUCAUAUUUCUUCAUCAAAGGUUGAACUUUUUUAAGGUUUCUGGAAACCGAAAUGGAGCUUCAUCUUGCUGUGGAUUAAUCAAUCACAAGUGAGUUUUCCAUUUAAGGAUAUGUUUGGUUGUUGAGAAAAUAUUGGGGCCGAAGGUGUUAUAUUUUAGGGUUUGUUGUAUUUUGAUUAAUUUUCGCAUGAAUGAAGAUGAGGGAAAAUUUGUUUUGGUUAAAGAAAUUUUCAAAUGGACCGACUCUUUUUGAAUCGGUUUCUUUCUGAAUUUAAAGCCACCCAGUUUUCCCUUUUGUUUUUUUGGAUAUUUUUUUUUCAAUUUCUUUAGCUUAUUUUUCUAUUUCUAUUUCGAGGAAUAUGUUGAUAUGGAUUCUCUUUUUGUUUCUGUUCAUAUCCAUAUGAGUUUAGUGUGAAAUCAAAUCUUGAAGUAGGAUUUUGAUGUACAGAGAAGGGUCAGGGUAAGAGGGUUUGAUUUGGGUAAUAUGGGCCUAUAAUUAUUUGUCAUGACUUUCUUUUCUAUUUGCUUCUUUUGUUUGUUUGCAUGAUUCGAAUCAAUCCAAAAUCCAAAAUAUCUUCUUAGGUUUUAAAUUUUAUAUUUGUUUGUUAAUUUUUGUUUUAAAUUUUGAUGAUGAUUCAAAUUUAAUUCCUAUUUCAUCAUAUACUUGUCCUUUUGAGCCUUCUAUUUACUGGAUAAAAAGUGGAGAGGGGGCUUGUACCCUCAACUCACCAUACUCUAUUUCAGGUUUGUCCGUUAAGGACACAAAUAAGUUUCUGAAUGUCCAUUGGGACCCCAAAAGAGGCAAAAGAUUGAGGCGUCAUAGGUUGGAAACCUAAAAAGUAUCUAGAUGAAAGAAGGGGUUUGAUGGUAACCAUCCAGAAAAAGCAUUUGUAGAAACUGGGUUUUGUUCAGAAACAAACUCAGGCAGAAUUAUUAAUUCUAAUAAAAGAAGCACAACCUGGAAAUAUGUUGAUGGAAAAUGUUGGAAAGAAGACUAAGAAACUGACCAAAUUAGGUCUUAGACAAAUCAAAUCACUGAACACCAUCAUACUAAAGUCCAAUCUCAGCUAAAAUUGGGCUUUUCAACAAGUUCCAAAUUCAAUACAAUGCACGUUCCUCCAAAUUUUUUGUAACAAGACUAUAAUGGAAUUCUAACACUAACCUAAAUCAUGCCUGGCUCACUCAAUAACAAGACAAUGAGUGAAAAUCUUAGGGAGAUUAAAGUUCUACUUGUGAACAAGAUGAAGAAAUUCACAAAAUACAACUUAAUAUCCUUUUUUCUUAGACAUCAGUCACUUAUAAAUCUAAAGGUUUUAGGAAACAACUUCACCAAUGUCCUAAUCUAUGAGUCCCAAACUUUUCAACUUCACCCAACAUAACCAUGACCACAUGACAUGACAAGGGUGUGGGUGUAUGAUCCUUGGUGGAUACUUGUACUUUGCAUCAAAUAUUGACUACUGCGAAGUUUUUUUUUUUUCAAAAAUAGGCAAUAAAUGGAAAAAGAAAGAGUUUUUUUUUAUCAAGGAUAUGUUACUUUUUUCUUUCUUAUUGAGUAAUUGAUUUUUUUUCUUUGUUAUGCCACAUCUAAAUACCAUUCAAGAUCCUUUUCCAAACGAGUCACUAUGUUGUAGAAUUUGAAAUAUGAAGGAUCAAACACCUACACACACACACCAGCACAAUGCCCAUACCUGAAAAGUAACAUAGGUGCUGACAAUUAUUAACUCAAUUAUGAUUUUUUAGUGGCACACAUGGUCUAGUGGUAAAACCGCAAGCUUGGGGUGAAUUGUAAACUCAAACAACCUGGCUUGACUCUUAUAGGCAUUCAAACACCCAGAUUUACUAGAUAAAAGUGUUCUAUGAGUGAUUGCAUGUAUUUUUCAUUUUUCCUGUUUCCCCAACUCAGGAGAAAUUCUCAAACACAUUUUCAGAUAGAAGAAUAUUUUAGGAGGGUUUCUACUAAAAAAUCUUAUGCAGGUUUUAGGUUUUUUUUCCACCUAAAAAUAAAAUAGUCAUUCUAAUUACUUGUAAGUUACUAAAUGUUAGAUUUGGUACAAGGCAAGACAUAGCUAGAUGUCCACUAGUAUAUUAAAUCAACAUCAUACCCAAAAUAGGCAAUUAUUGUAAAUUCUGAACUACUAAAAUUUAGAAAUGGGAUCCCUGAUCCACCAUUCCAGUUUGUUAGAAACCUUCAAGAUGGGAGUUAGAAAUAGUGGAAGCAUUCCUUAAGUAGAUUCAAGACACGAAGGUAAGAAGAGAAUGUUAGGGCAAGUUAGUUUCGAGAUUUAACAAGAAUGGGAAGUUCUCUAUAAAAUCCUUUCAUGGACCAUUAGAGUUAAGUUCUCUAGUCCCUUUUUACAUUAAACACAUAAAACUUUCGGAUCCUCCCAUUCUUCUUUUCAAGUGAAGGACUAAAAAUUUGCAGGAAGAAAUGAUGAUGUAUCACCCACAAAUUGAGUGCCUUUUUGGUGCUCAAUUCAUUCAACUGAACUUGUGAGAAUGAGAGAUUUUUUAGAUUGUCUUUCCUUGCAACUGGAAUAUACUAAUAUUCUUAAGAAUAGGGUAAAUCUACACAGUCAAGGCAUGACAACAAUACCAUGGAUAUAUGAAUCAUUCCAUGGAAUAUGACUAUGAUGUUUUUCAAGAUAAUCUUCCAAAAGGGGAAAAAAAAUUGUGACUAUAACAUGGCCAAUUGCUAAGGGGCUUUUUGAACUUUGCUGCGUGUCAAUUUUUAGCUCAUAGUUCAAUUCGCAUACAAAUUAAAUUAAUCUUUAUUCAUGUUGGUGUGUUUUGCAUAUGCAUUUUGGGAGCAACUAAAGGUGGUUGCGUAGAGGAAGGUGUGGAUUUUGUUAUAUUUUGUGCACUUUGAACCACUUACAACAUUCAAUUCUUUGGUCAUGAUUAAGAUAACAAAUACACAUUAUUGCUUAAGGGCUUUUAAUUGAUAGGCUAUAUUUAUGCUAUACUUGUUUUUUUUUUUUUUCAUUCUAUAAAACUUUUAUGACGUGCUUGGAUGUCCUAUUAAGCAUAAAUCAUUGAAGUAUGUUGUUGAUUAACAUAUGAAAUCAACUCACAUUGUUAUUUGAGUAGCCUUAUUUUUAAUUUCCAUGGCAUACUGCCUUUCAAUUUUUCUUUCCCUAUUGAAUUUCUUGAUUAGUCUAUUAUCUGUGUUUGCUUCAUCUUUAGAUUGAUUUUCUAACUUUAAAUAUAUGAAAAUGACAUUGUAUUGCUUCAUUUUAUUGGAUAACACAUUGUGCUUAUUCUCUACAUGAAUUUCUAUAUAUAUUCUAAGAAUAUCAAGGUUGGAUGGGUUGCAUGUACCUUAGUUUGUGUUUAAGUUGCAAACAUUUCAAUGUUACCCUCAUAUUGUCAAGAUUAGGUUAUAUAUGUUGAUUACGUUUCGAAGAUGGGUUAAGGUGCCUCAUUAUUGUACUUGACAUGAGCAUCUCCCUUAUCUUAUGAUAUAUCAAGGUUUUGGGGAAGAAUUACAUUUAUUAAUAUUACCUUAUAAUGUAAAUUGGCUAUCAUAUUGAUACUCAAGUUUCUCGAACUCACUAUCGACCUUAACUGCUUACCAAACCUUAGGUACUUCCAAACUCAACCUUAGGUAGUACAUUAGUUAAGUGCAAAACUAAAUGCCAAAAUAAGUCAAAAACGUUAUUUAAUCCAACAUCAUUAUAAUUACUAAGUGGUCCUUAAUACAAAGAAAUCUUAUAUUCAUACAUUAUCCCUAAUUAUUUUUGUUGUCGUUUUGUUUGUAACAAGUUUUUAUGUACUUAAGGAGAUGAAAUGGUACAUGUUAUGCUACAUUCAUGAAGAUGGUCAGCUAGUUAAGUGUGCUGAUGGGUUUGUAGAAUAUCAAGGUGGUCGGACCGAAUGCAUUAUUGUUAGCCCGCAUGUGUCAUAUAGUGAUUUCGUUUCAAAAUUGUGUGAUGAACUGAACAUUUAUCGAAAUUCAAUCAAAUUGGAAUUCAAGGUCAAGUUUGACCCAUCAUGUCUACUAACGUUGCAUGAUGAUGCAACCAUACUUUAAAUGUUUAGAUUCAACGAAAUGUUUUGUUGUGUCUAUGUCUCACCAUCAAGUGAAGUUUCUGCAACCUGUAUCGCACCGACUAGGUGCAUAUAACCUUACCAACAUCACAUUCACUUUGUCUAAUAACUUUUGAAAUAUAUGUAGAUGGAUGAAGAAUUUGUUUUUAUGUUUUAUUUGUAGUGCCCCUACCCCUAUUGUUGGUUCGAAUUUGGCAGAAGUAGUUUCCUCUAGUGAUGAUUCGCCAAUGGAUAUCUGUAAUGACUCUCUUACAAUCGAGUCAUAUGGGUUUUCCCAAAGAUGUGCCGAAUCAAAUAUACUUGAACGUGACUCAAGGCGAUUUGAAAAUUCCAUUAUGGGUAGUGGACAUACCUUUCCCAAUGCGGUCGAGUUCUGUGAUGCCGUGUAUUUGAUGUCAAUUGCUAGUAGAUUCCGUUAUUCCUUCAAGAGGAAUAGUACGAAACACAUGACAGUAGUUUGCACAGUUAAUGAAUGUCCUUGGAAAGUCAUCGCUUGUGCAGUGUGGGAUUAGAACAUCGUUUAGGUUCACACUUUUCAAAACGUCCAUAAUCAUAGUUUGGAACAUUUUCCACAUCCCAACCUUUAGUGAGAUCCAAUCGUGCCUCAUUGCUUAUUGAUGAUGUCAUACGGUCUACUCUCGAUUACCAACCUCGCCAAAUUUGUAAGGACUUCCAAAGGCAACAUGGAAUAUAAUUGGCAUACCUUCAAGCCUGAAAUAUCAUGGAGAAGGUGAAUGAACGCAUUUAUGAAGAGUCCAAAUAUUAUUACAAGUUAUUGCCUUGAAUGUGUGUGAAAAUGGUUGCAACAAAUCCGGGAAGCAUUGUUAAGUUGAGGCAUUCAAGUGAUGGGCAUUUUAAGCAACUCUUUGUUGUUCAUUCGGUAUUUAUCCAAGGGUUUGCAAUGGGAUGUCAGCCAAUCAUUGCUAUUGACUCCACCCAUAUGAGUGGCACAUAUAAGGGUGUGUUAUUUUCGACCACGACAUACGAUGCUAAUGACUUUAUGUUCCCCUUAGCCUUUAGUGUGAUGAGCUUAGAAAAUUAUGAGAAUUGGUCAUGGUUUUCGCAAAACUUGAAGAAGGUUGUUGGAGAUAAGGAAGUCGUUAUUAUCUCGAAUAGACAUCCUGCCUUCCUUCGUAGUGUUCCUGAAGUGUUUGGGCUUGAAAACCACACCUAUUGUUAUUGUCACUUGAAGGAGAAUUUCAGCUCUUUUUUAAGCAAACAUAACAAAAAAGGGAAUAAAGGUAAAUAAAAUGCACUCUAAUUCCUUGAUAGUAUUGCAUAUGCAAGGUUAGAGCACGAUUACAAUGUUUCCAUGUUUGAACUACAAAAAUACAAUGACACUUUAGCCACAUGGAUAUAAUAGUAAACAUGUUUGGACCUCCUAAUUCGGAUAAACCUAUAGCCAAAGCUUUAGAUGCCAAAUAGGGUUAAAUAAGAGAAAAAUGGGGGAGGUGUUAGUGUGGCAUAAAAGGAGGAAGACGAAUAAAUUUUUUAUCCAACUUUAAUAAGUUGGAAAUGGUUGUAGAUGUUUUUAGCUCUAAAUACAACAACACUUAUAUUUAAAUUAAUGGUAAAUAUCCAUAUUUUCCCUUUAAUUAUGUUCCUAUGGACGGAGGGUAGAGAACCUCAUGGUUAUCAAAACCACUUAGGCAAUAAUCUGAACCUACAGUUAGAGAAUUGUUAUUUCAGUAGUUAGAUAUUUGAACCUUUUUUUCAAGCAUGGCAAUGCAAAAAUUAGAAGGCAAUAACAAAUGUAGACAUAGUUAGUUGUCCCUAUGAUAAGCAUUAACUAAAGCCUCCAUCCCCAUUGUCAAGUGGCUCUACUACCAUGUGCCACCAUAUUAAGACGAAAAUAAUUUGUGGCUUGCAUACUAAUUUUAAGGUGGUCAUCUUGCAAUUCAAUGUACAAGCCAUGCCUUAAAUAUUAUCGAUUCACCCGAUUCCAUGUCUUAGAAGCACUUCAAGAAUGCAAAACACCAUCUUAGGCACCUUAAGAAUGAGACUUUGGUCAAAUGAUAAUACAUCAUAUUCCAGUACUUUAAAAAAACAAGAUUUCUUUGAUUUUGUUCAUGCAUAGAUUGAUGGUCUUCUACAAUUUCUACUUUCUUCAUGUUUGCCUUAACAAAAAUUACUAUAUUUUGUUUGAAUGAUAGUAAGCUAUUUGUAACUCACAAAUUUUGAGUCCUACGCCUAUUUCCACUUGCAUGAAGUGUGUUGCCAAUGGAUGGAUCUAUGUACAACUGAAGAAACUUUCACUCGAAAACACCAAAAGAUUUCUCAAUAGCAUGUAUAAAAAAUGACCACAGUUGUGAAGCUAUGAUGUUUGUACUGCAUAUUCCUAUAGAAUAAAAUACAUUGACCAAGACAUUAUUGAUAUACUUUAAAAGUGAAGCUAUGAUGGAUGGAUAAUUUUUGAAGGUUAAAAUUGAAUUAUUUUACUUUGUCAAUUUUCAACCCCUUGUCUCCACUGCCUUUUGUAUAGUUACUAAAUGGGGUCAAUACUUAAAGUUGGAAUUUUAAAAAUUUUGUGGCUAAUGAAUUCUUUUGGUUUUAGAUUGCUUCUAUGCCUAAAAUUUUCAUGAAUCAUGCUUUAAACACUCAUUAAAAUAGGUACAUGCUUAUCAUUAAGACAAACACACAUGCAAUUGAAUUGAUAUAUGUCGUACCAUAUCUUUUUUAUCAUCAUAUAUGUUAUUUAUUUUCCUUUUUUCUUCUUCAUUGUAUUUCAAUACUCCAUAGAAGCUAAUUUUUUUAGUUUGCUUAUGCUUGUUUAACAAUAUUUUCAUGCAAUAUUGAGAACUUGUGGGUAACACUAAUGAAGGUUUUUGGAAAGCAUUUAUAGAUGGAGCUUCAACAGUAGCUAGAUCUAGAGGGAAAUUAUGAGCAUUGCGUUCAUGCAUAACUUCCAUACCAAGGUUAGCACGGUUGAUAAUAUCAACCCAAGUAUUAAUUACACGACUUUGGCUAUCAACUACAGAUUGGUUGAAAUUGAAACCAUUUAGGUUGAAAGCCAUAGUGCUGAUACCUAAAGCAGUGAACCAGAUACCUACUAUAGGCCAAGCAGUUAGGAAGAAAUGUAAAGAACGAGAAUGAUUGAAACUAGCAUAUUGGAAGGAGUAUCGUAAGUGUUUCCCGAUAGGAACAUCCAAGAAUUUGAUCAAGUACUCUUCGCGCUUUGUGAGCAGACAUAGAGAUAGAUUGACUUAAAGCGUAUACUUCUGUUUUUAAUUUUAUAUCUUCUUUUUCUCUUGUAAAUAUAAAUGGGUCUUUAUUUAUGUUCCUUAACAUAUUUUUCAUAAGGUUCACCUCCCACUAAUGAAUAAUGAAGGAUAAGUAUCGUUAUUUUAAUGAUGAGAUCUAUUAUAAUUUUUUGCGUUACUUAUGUCCAGUAUCUAGUCAAAUUGGAUUCUAUUAUUCUAAUAGAAAACUAUUAAUGCAUUCUAUGACAUUGACAUUUAAAUCUGGCAAUAGUGACACAGUCACACCACUCCAAUUUAGAUUGAAAAAAACAAAGAAGAGAAGGGGUAAAGUCAAAUAAUCUUCUUCACAAUAUACAUACUAUGUAUAGAAAUACGGUACAAUUAUUGCAACAAAAGAUUCCCUUUUUAUGUGGAAAAGGCCCAUAUCAAUAAUUCUGAUUUUAUGUAUGGACAAUUCCUCAAUAUUUUGUUCAUUCGCAAGAAAAUAUUUUCUUUGUGCGGCAGUAAAAAAAAACAUGCUUUUUUGGGGAGAGAUACUAUUUCACCAAUCGAGUCACAAGCAUCUAACAUAUUCAUACCUAACAAUUUUCCACAAAGUGGUGACGAAACAUAUAACUUGUACAAAUCUUUCCAUUUUCCAAUUCGAUCCAAUCCAUUCGUUCGUAGAGCUAUUGACUCGAUCGCAGACAUUUCUGGGUUCAAGUAUAUCUUGUCUUUACUAAGAAUUAUUUUCCUUGGUUAACACUAAUUGUAGUUUUGCUGAUAUCCGCAGGUUCCUUAAUUUUUUUUCUCCCUCAUAAAGGAAAUAAGGUAAUUAGAUGGUAUACUAUAUUUAUAUGUAUGUUAGAACUACUUCUAACAACCUAUGUAUUUUGUUAUCGUUUCCAAUUAGAUGAUCCAUUAAUCCAACUGGUGGAGGAUUAUAAAUGGAUAUUCUUAGUUUAUCCAUUUGCACUUGUAAUGCAUGAUUUAUAAUAUGGUUCAAGGUGAAGUUAUUGGUAGAAAAAUAAAGACUAAAGAGUUUUGAUGAUGGGCUUUUAGUAAGAAAGAAAGUAAGCCAUGAUAAUCGUGAAUUGUCAAAGUACGAGGCUAAAUUUGAGUAGCCUAAGAGGAGAGAGGGGUUGGAGAAAGUUGAAGGAUCAAGGUUCUAAGAGGAAAGUUUACAUAUUCUUAGAGAACCACGUGAUGGGCUCAAGAGCACUUUCAAAAUAGAAAAAGUCAGUCCCUUCAAAGCAAAGCCUUUGAGUUCUCUGUAUGAAGCUUAAAGGGAACAAGCCAUUUUUGAGACGAAAGUGCCAACUGAUAGGAGGCUUGUAAAGCCCAAGGCUUAGGAUUUCCUUGACUCAAGAUGCGGAAAUGAUGACAUGUGCCUUUUGGAUAUGCUUAAUCUCCCUCUUUCUCGAUCAAUUUGAAAUGAGUCCAAUAUAUGCUCUGUAUAUCUUGUCUAGACAUACUUCCAACACUAUUCAUCAAGCCAAAUCCUUGAAUAAAUCAUAAAUAUAUAUUGAUGGGAUGGAUACACUAAACACAUGUAGGAGUGAUGCAAUGCUAAAGUGAUAACCACAUUAUUGCCGAGUAGAAACUAAGUUGACCUAGCUAUUCAAUUAUAUUUAUAUGCAUGAUAAGUUCUGUUUUAUUUAAAGUAUCAGGAACUCAAUUUUGACCAAAUAUAAAGCAUCGAAUAUGUGGCCAAACAAAUCAUCUUGGUAAUGUACUACGUAUGCUCUCUUUAACAUUUUAUCUUCAAUUGAAGUUAAUGACUAUGUAGUCCACAGUAGUUGAUGGCUACUUUAUCCAAGGUUGAUGUUGAGCUAAAUUUAUUAAGGCUAUUUUGGACACACCAUGUAAUAUGUUUCUAUCAUGGAUUUGCUCAUUUUCUUACAGAAAACCCAUAUGAUGACAAAAUUUGUUUUUGAUAAUUAAUGUUUCUUUAUGAAAACAUUGGUGGCUUGCUCCAAUCACGAAUAGGUUAUGGCACAUUUGAUGUGGGCGUGAAUGCACUUGCAAGAAUGCAACUUGUCCAUAUGAGUUUUCUACAUAUAGAUAUGAUAAACAUACUGAAGUCUGUCUGCAUUAAUAGCUGCAUUCAAGACUCUAUGCUAUCCUAUUUUUUCCUUUUUCCAAUUUUAUGGCCAAAUGAUGUGGAAAGUAUGGUGGAGUAGUGGCUUCUGUUAGUGAUUCUUAUCAUUGUGAUGAAACAAAAGAACUAAAAUAGUCCUACAAGAGCCUUUAAUAUAUGGCAAAGGAAAUUCUUCAUGGAUAACUUACAUAUGAAAGUUUGAACAAAUUGAAAUGUUCUAAUAAACAAUCAAUGGCAAGACCUAAAUAUAUAGCAUCUUUUAUGUGAAAAUCUCAUCUUAGUCCCUAUGCUCUCUUGACCUUUUAUCUUUAGUCGAAGUCAAUUGAUUAUGUACUCCAUACUCAAAGGUUACUUUGAACCUUCAUCCAAGUUUUAUUUUGAACCAAGUUUCAUAAUAAAGGUCAUUUUAAACACAACACUUGAUAAGUUUCUAGCUACUGAUCUACUCCUUAACUUUAAGAACUUAAGUCUAGGACAUCUUGGGUUCCACUUUGAAGUAACGUGGCUGCUGUAUUUGCAUUGCAUCAUACUCUUAGAGUGGAAGAAUACAUUUUUAUGAAUUUGUAUCAAAUCCUCGUAAUAUUAUGAUAAAUCUUAAAUGUUAAAAGGUAGAAUCAUCCGGAAGUGAAUAGGCUAAUUCAGUAAUAUUCUACCUAUCUAUUUAAAGUGUUAGUAGUCACAAAGGAGUUGGUAUGUAAAAUCGAGUGGAAGAGACCCACCUCAUGUAGGAGAUAAUUUCUAUUCCUUAACAUAAUCGAGUGGGGGUUAAAUAAGAAUCACAUAAUUUUGUUUUAUGCUUAUUAACAUAUGUGCACAUUUAUAUUAUAGGAGUGGUGUGCCGCAUGUUGAAUGCAGAACAAACACGACCAUCGUGAGCACACUACUUUGACCCAUCAUUCUCAAUGAGGCCUGAAUUAGACUUCUUUAAUGCGUUUCUCAAUUAUUUUUAAUUGGACACUAUGUGGUGAGCCGUAAAAACACUUGUAUAGGUGGUGCUGGGCAGCCUUACAAACAAGGCUAAAAAACAUGAAAUAAGAGACAGAUGUCGGAUGUUUCUUGAUGCUGAAAUUGUGGGACACGAUUUCUCAACUUGUGAGUUGGUACUAAAAACUUGUUAAAAUGGAAUCAUAGCCAAUUAUCGUUUUUAUUUAUUAAAAAUAUGAUUUUUCCCUACUGACCUAUUAAUGGAAAUGUCCUCAAUCCUUAUGCGAUUUUUCUUUCCAGUGUGUGAUAGCAACCAUUGGCACAUCCACGUUAUAAAUAUUCCAGUAGCGCGAGUUGAAAUAUUAUUUUCUUUGCCUUUACGAAAGGGUAACAACAUAAGUGUCGUAAUGAGAAGAUUGUUUGAGGCAAUUGAUAAAGCCUUCCAUGCUCAUGGCAUGCAUAGGCAAUUGGAGGCGUUUAAAUUCGUGCAUGUGCAACCCCAGAUUGUGCGGCAAUGAAAUGGAUAGAUUACUUUCGUUGUGAUCAUUUUCGUAUAAUGAACUAUGUGAUAGUAAUGUAGUUGCAUUUUCCGCUUGUUGUAUGUAUAUGAUUGGUGAAAUGCAAUUGGUGGUGUAGAUAUGAUUGUGGGAUGUUCGCUAUCAAGUACAUGCAAUAUUGGUACGGGGCCACACUAGCACAUUCAAUUGCGGAGGUAAGCACAACCAAUACAUUAUUGUUUGGUUUUGCGGAAGUUAUUCCAUACCAGGCUAUGAUUUUUUUGUGCGUUGUAUAGGACAAGAUGCAUCUAUACAGAUUGAGGCUUGUCGUGAACUUGCUUACCAAUGAGGCAAACAAUGCUAGAGAGAAGGUCAUAUAGGCAUGUCCAAUGUGAGGUAUGAGGGUUUUGCCUUUUUUGUUAGUUUCAAUUUAUAAUAAACUCAAGCUUGCCUAUAGCAAACCAAAAUCUUCCUUUCCACAUCACCCAUGUGAUCAUACAUCCAUUUGAAAGUGAACCUGCAAAUAUGAAGGUUGCAUAAAGUUGCAAAAAGGUACUGCAUUUCUACCAAUCAAUAUUAAGCUUUUGGCAUAUGUUUCCAAUGAUUAGCACUUGUUGAAACAAAAAAAAAAAAUGAUAUUCCAUGCAUGAGAUGCUUAGAGAAAUUGUAAAUAUAUUGAGAUGUUGCCUUGAUAUUUUAGUUAAGAACUAAAUAAUUAAAAAGAUUUUUAUUUUUUUAUUUUAUUUUAUUUUAUUUUUUUACUUAAGUCCCUUGAUUCGUUUAUGUUAGAAUUUCCAACCGAGGUGAUUUGGGAAUUUCCAGCUCCCAUGACAGUGGGAUUUUUUGCUUAGGAAGCGGCUAAGGGUAAGAUUUUGACUAAGGACCAACUGAUGAAAAGAGGUGUCAUUUAGCAAAUUUUUGUUAUUUGUGUGAAAAAAAAGGAAGAGCCAGCCAAUUACAUUUUGAUCCACUGUAGCCUAGUCAUAAUCUCUAGCAUUUUGAGCUCUCUUAGUUUGGACUUUCUUGGAUUAUUCCUAGGUCAUCCAAAAAGGUCUUAUUAGGGUUGCAUGGUAGACUUGUUGGGAAAAAUCACAGAAAAGUUUCGACAGUAGCUCUCCUUUGCUUAUUUUCAACAACAUGAAAAGAAAAAUUAGGGGAUUUACAAAGUUUUGGAAUUGUCGGUUCAAACUUUAGAGGAGUUUUUAAUUCAUUCUUUCUUCUAGUGGUCUAAGUAUUUCGAUUUGCAUCUUUUGUUUUUGUUGAGUUUCAUAGAUGGUUUAAACCCUUACUAAGAUUCUAGUGCUAGCUUAUUGAGUCCUAAUGGGCAUUCAUUGUAUACCUCCUGUGUAUAUGGGUGGCACUCCAUUUCUUAGGUGUCUUUUAUAAUAAACUCUUUCUUAUUGAGGAAAACAAACAAACAAACAAAUUAAGAGCAAUUCUACUGAAGGAAUCCAAUAAAAAUAUGGCAAAGUAAUUUGUAAUAGAUUAGGAUAUUGGGACAGUGUCUAAAGAGGAAACUUGUUACCAAAUCAAUAAAGAGAAUGAAAAACAGUAGGAACUUUUAACACUUAACUCAUUAUCAAAGACUAAACGAUUAAUGUCAAUGUUUAACAAAUUAAGCAACUGUGCUAUAAAAGAAUAAGAUAGAAAAGAGGAAUGACCACCUAAAUAAUAUGGUGUCCUAAUGUGGGGUCCUGAUUGCACUGAGACCUUCUUAAAGAAGUUAAAUUUAAAGGUUCUAUUAUUUAACUCAGUCCCUUGUAUCUUAACUUCAUACAUAUAAAACUAGAAAAGUUUUUCUCUACUUAAGUGUGAGAAAUGACUAGUUUGAAGGGUUGAAAUGUUGAUAUUCAGAAUGUUGUCUUUUGUGGCUAGUACAGUUGAUUGUCAUAUCACAUGAAGGCCCUGAUGCAAGGGAGAAACAAGAAGAUCUUGGUAAAAUGGAUGAAGGGUAUUCCAUAGAUCAUGAAGUAGAAUCAUGGAAACUUGUCACUCUAUUUAGUGCUCUAGACUUUCUGCAGUCUCAAGUCACUUCUGUUAGCUUCUUUGUUCCAACAAUCACUCAUAUUUUGAAAUCAAUGGUUUCACAAUUUACAACAUUGAAUUUUUUCUUUAAUAGCUUCCACUUAAACACAUCUUGUAUAGAUUUUAUGUGUAAAGGUAGAAUGUAACAUCACAUGGCCUAAUACUCCUUAUGUGUCAACAUGGCCAUGUUUUACAUGUACAUAUCAUCAACAAGACAAGUAGUAUGCUUAAAACCUUAGGACAUAGUCAUGCUUAGAUAUCAUUUGAGAUUUCACAUGGAAAGUGAGAACUAUUGCUUCCAUUGCUCUAACUUAUGCUUAAGACAAUAAUUUUUUAGGAGAAGAUUAUAAUGUAAUUCUUGAAAGAAUGUGAGUUAUUGAAAUUAUAUAUACACACAUGGACGUAUAGAUAACAACUAUUUGAAUGCUAGUUUGAAUGACAUAGGACAUUGGAAAUAUGACGCAUAUAGAAGAUUAGGACCAUACCUUUUGACAUAAUUAGUUUGGACUUCUUGGAAAACUUCGAUCUAUAACCAUCCAAUCUUUUGAGCAUAUCAAAAUUUUCUUAUUGGAUUUUAUAUGGAGGCAUUGCAUUUCCCCUUAUAAAUGUUAUGCUUGAUUAACAACCUUCAGAAUCAAUAUAUCUUGAAUAAGUUCAGAAAAAGCCCAUCUUCUUCUUUAUCUCUUCUUAUUCUUCUUCUUCUUAACUUUCUUCCUAUGGUUAUCUUUUAGUUCAAGGCUGGUGGAACAAGUAGUAGAGUGUAAAUGGCAAUAGGCUUUAUCUAGUCUAAACUAUAUAAAAAACAAGGUUUUAUGACAUCCAUCUUGCAGAUUUUUUUAGUGUCAUCUUUCUUUCUAUGUAAACUAUUUGCAUGUUCCAUUUUCAUAAAAAUAAGUAAGAUAACGAACACUAAUUUUGAUCUAUUGGUAUAGCGCAAAAAAAUAUGGAUCAAUACCUCCAACCACACCCUUCCCACCAACAUGAAGCUCCUUCACCAACAUAUUUCAUCAUUUUUUAUUUAUGAAUUAUGAUUGUUUAUUUUUUUUUAAAUUAAAUAAAAAUAAAUAAAUAAAAUAAAGAAAGAAAAAGAAAAAUAAUUUGUUAGCAUUGGUUGCUCGAAAAAUUGUAAUCCAUCAUAAUUGUUGAUUUCUCUACCAUGUAGAGCUUAAGGGAAAGACUUAAUAAUAAAGGGGCAUACAUUGUUCUAGGGCCUCCUACUUUUGUUGAUCCAAUUUUCCACAGCUUCAAAGUUGUAACUCUAGGAGCCAAGUUAUGGAAUACGAAAUCCAUUUACUGUUGUUUCUCUUUUAACUAGUCUAAAUGAGAAAGAGAAAGGAAAAGAAAAUAGUAAUUUUGAAAAAUAAAAUAAAAAUAGACAUUUACGAAACUUUUCCUUUGUUUGUUUGGAAAAAUAAAAAGGUUCCUAGUUGUAACACAUCAAAAAUGUUAGACCCAUUUUUUUGCAACAGAUUGGAAAAAAUGAAGAUGGUCAAGCAAAUGAGAGGGAGAAACAUAGAAAAUUUGAAGUGUGUCGAAAGAGAGAACAGGAAAUAGAGAAGAGUGUUAAAUGACCUUGUUAUCGCAACUGAGCAUUAUCACUGCAGUGGCUGGAUCAUCGAGUCUACCAUGGACUUGGGUUAGGAUUCUGAUUGUAGAGGAGCUGAUUGAUGGUGUGUUUUGGUUGUUGCCUAUCUGGUACAAUGCUUUGUAUUUUUCUGUUAGUGUUGAAGAGUAUUUAUGUAAAGUAUGUAAAAGAAUAUAUUUAUUUAUUUAUUUAUGAUUGUUAUAGUUAUAUUUGUUUGAAAUUGUUUUGUAGUAACGAUCAAUUAAUCAUUAUCAAAGAGAAGGAUAAAGGAGUGAAGAUAAAUGAUGAUGUAAGAAGUAAUACUAUUGUGGCUAAUAUAAUUAAAUUUUAAAAUUUGAAUUUGAAGUAAGUGAAAAAUUAAUGCAGUUGAGGAAAAAAUUGAGCAAGAAGUGGAAUGCACUUUCAAAAGUAGAAAAAGAAGAUUUCAUGACAAAGUCAAAAGAAAGUUCAAAACAAUAUUUGCUUCAAAAGGGUGUGGGUCCAAAGGUAAAUUUUUUUGUAAUGAAUAAAAAAUUUGAUUACUUAUGUAUUUGUUGCAAGUUAUAUUAAUGCAAACAUGUUUGAUGUUUGUGUAUCUUUUCAGUUAUAUUUUCAGACUUGAUGCUCACCCGGGCGAGUGAUUAGAGUUAUUGAAGAAUUAGAACCAAAGCAAAAAGUAGCCAUAGAAGAAAGAAGAUUUGGUAACCUCUUACAACUUUGAUGUAGGAAAAUUGAUCAUGGGUUAUGUCUUUGGUUGAUAAAUAGUUUCAAUCAAAACAUUCAUAUGUUAGAGUUGUAUAAUACCUGUAUCAAAUUAUUUUCGAUUGAUGUUGAAUUUAUUAUGGGAUUGAGGACAAGAGGGUUGAAGAUUGACGUGAACAAAGAUGUUAGCAAUAAGAAUUAUUUAUGUAAAAAAUAUUGUGAUAAAAAGGGGCAAUUACCAUUAGUGGUGUUAGAAAAUCAAAUUAAGGAGGUAAAGAAGGUGGAAACGAUUUCAAAGUUUGUUUUGUAUUAUUUGUGUUGGGUGCAUUAUUGUACUUAAUAAUGAAGCAUUUUGUGAAACGUUCUUUCUUACAUCUUAUGGAAAACAUCGAUUCAAUAAAGAAAAUGAAUUGGGCUGAAUUUGUGUUUUCUUAUCUUAUGCAUGGGAUUGAAGAGUUUAAGAGGAAACAACAAAGUGGGGUUUCUGGUUACUUAUUCUUUGUUAUGGUAAUGUCCUUAUACAUAAUUUACAUCAUAGUGAAUUUUGAAUUUGUUAUAAUAAAUUUUGUGAACUAAAUACAUAUCUAUGUAAAAUAUAAUUGCAGUUAUUCUACCACGAGCAUAUAUCUUUCCAACAGAAAUUUCCACCGCUAUAUACUCGACCUUUUCCUCGGAUUAUUAUUCCUUGGGGAGAUGAUGAAGUACUGGAUAUGAAACAAAGAUUGAAAAAAAUCGGUGGAUAUGCAAAUGACAAUGUAAGUUAUAGUUUUGAAAGUCAUUUAAUAUUUGUUUUUGUUUUUUAGCGAUUUUAAAUAGGAUAUGUGUGAUAUAUUGAUGAAUAUAUUGUAGGUGAAAAUAUGAGUGAUACAAAAUGAGAUAAGGGAUUGGGUUGAUGAAAAUGAGAUGACAAUGGAGGGGGAGAAUGAGGAGGAUGAGAAAUUUGAAAUCCAUCCAAACAAAGAUGUUAUUAAACGAGUAAGUUUUACAAUAUUCAUCAUGAGUAUAAAUAUUAGUAGUGAACCCUUGUAUUAUGAUGUUAUUAAUCAAGUUCCUAUAUAUCACUAGGUUGAUGGUGGGAGCUUAAUGGAAAUGGAUAAAACAUUUCAACAAUUAAAGACAUGUAAUUUAUUUGUGUCAUGUUGCAAGUAGUAGUAGUUGUGAAAAAGUUUUUACUAAAUUUGAGGAGAAAUAUACAACAUUGAAAGGACUCUUCCUUGGGUCAAGAGAAAAACCUUUGAGAGAGCUCGAGGAGAGAACGAAGAGUGACAUUCUUUCAUCUGAGAGAAGUUUGGAAGAGAAGGAUGAUAAAAAAGGAAAUGAACAUUAUGUUGACACUUUGUCAAUUGACAAGUUACGCACUAAGGAUGUGAAUGGAAAGAAUGAAGAUGCAUGUGCUACAUCAAUUGAAGUGCAUAUCAUUCCCGAUGAAAAUGUAGAUAUUUUACCACUUUCAAUCAAAAGAACUAGAAAAGAUUAUGGAAAGGUAUAUAUAGUAUAAAAAAAAUUAUUUUCGUUACAAUUACUUAACCAUUACAUAGUAAAUAUAUGUAUAUUAAUGACAUUUUCCAUAUUAAGAACCAUUACGAGCACUAUGUGGUAUUCCCUGCCAACCCUUUGAGCUACGUUAUCAUUGAUUUCUUCAAAAAAAGGAAGAUUUUAGCCGGUGAAACCCAUAACUGAAGACCCUUAUUGAAUGUAGGGUUUCUUCUGAAAAGAGACGAAGUCGGUCAACAUAUCUGAAAAGUCUAAAUGGAGAGGACUUUGAGUUGAGUUGAUGGGGCAGCGGACCAAUUUAUUGGGACAUAUUUUCUUUCUAUCACGCUACCCUUUGAGCUGUCUCCACUUCUGAAAAGAGACAAGUCGGUCAACAUCUCUGAAAAGCCUGAAUGGAGAGGACUUUGAGUUGAGUUGAUGGGGGCAGCGGACCAGUUUAUUGGGAUUUUAACAUAUAUUUUCUCUCCAUCACGCUGCCUUUUGAGCUAUCUCUUGCAACUUUUCUUUUGUACUAGACUCUCGCAACAAAUAAAAUUAUAAAAUAAAAAUUUAAAUUUAUAAAAUCUAAUUAUUUAAAAUUAAUUAAUAUUUUACAUAUUUUUUUUUAUUAAAAUUACUAUUUUUACGGUUUAAAUAACGUCUUAACAAUAUAAAUACUAUUUUUUUACCUUUUUAAAUACUAUUUUUAAUUGAUAAGUACAUAAAAUUUAAAUUAAUUUGAAAGAAUUUUUAUUUUAUAAUUAUUUUUAUAUAAAUACAUCCAAACUCAUUUUUUUCUAACGAAUAUAAAUAUGUACGUAUAUAUAUUAUAACUGAUUCAUUAAAAUAUUUUAGACAUUUUUAAAAUUUUAUCCAAUUCCUUUUUAUAAAAUACCAUUUUUUAACGUUGAAGUCAUUUUCAAAACUACCCUCAAAUGUUUUUUCAUAUGUAAAACCAAUUCAAUCUUAUUUUAUGUAUUAAUUUUAUUUUAUGAGUUCAAAUAAUAAUAGCAUAAUAUAUAUUAAGCUACUAUACUAAAAUAUUUUAAUUAAUAUUAAUAUUUUAACAUUUUGGAUUGGAAAUACUCUGAUGAAAGAUAUUUUGCUGCCCAUGCAUUUAAUCUAAAUAUAUUAAUGUACCAUCACUUUAAUUAGGAUAUAAUUAAUCAAUUAAAAAAAUAGCAUUUAAUCAUAUAGAAAUAUAUGAUUUAUGUGAAAAACCACCAAUAAAGCAUACUAGUGACCUUACAUAUAUAAAAGUCAUAAGAUUCAUAGAUUGUCAAAUUAAAUCCACUAAAUAUGAAGAAUAAUUACAUAGAUUUAGCUAGUAAUUAUUACUCUCCCUCAAACUUAUAUUGUUAGUCACCAAUUCUCAAUUACAUAACAUAGUUACUUCCAUGUUGCUUAGUGGAUUGCUCAUGACCUUAAGGAAAUACUAUUGAAUGAUAACAUAAGGUGUGCAAUAAAAUGAGAUUGAGAAUCCUAUAAUUUGAGAGAAGGAUACUACAGUAAAAAAAAAUGGUACCCAAAUACUAUUGAAUGAUAACAUAGCUCUUGUUGCUCCUUUAUUUUUAUUUAUUUAUUUAUUUAUUUAUUUAUUUAUUAUUAUUAUUAUUAUUAUUAUUUUGUAAUUAUCUCUUUUGCUGUUUUGAUAUCAACAUUAGAAAUACAAAAGUCCAAAUUUUUUUUUAGUGCCUGCAUAUUGAAGGUUCAUGCUAUAAGAGUUGGAAAAACUUGAAUAGAAACUCCCUUGAAUGAUGUAUCAAAGCUCAAUGUAUCAAUGUUAACAUAAACAUUCGAGUAGAGUAGGAUAACAUUUCUAUGUCAUAUGAAGAAAUAUACUAAAAGGGAACCAUGAAUACGAUUGGAGAAAUAUAUAUUAUAAUUUAGAGGAUUAUUAUGGUCUAUUGAUCAUAUUCAAAUGGAAGUAAUAUGGUAAUCAAUAUUUCCAUGUCAUUUGAAAAAACAUAAUAAGAGGGAACUGUAGGGAAUCCCCCAGACGUCCACGUGGCACACCAGCCCUAUCCGGACAUCCACGUGGUGCACUAGCUCUAUCCGGGUUUCCCCCUUGUAGGGAACCCCCCAGACGUCCACAUGGCAACCCCAUGUGACACGUGGCGCGCCAGCUCUAUCCGAGUCCCCCAGGGGGGCACACGACACUCUCAAAUAUUCUACCCGAACGACGCUCUACUUUAUCCGGAUAUAUUGUCCGGAUCAUUAGCCGUAAAACGCAAGCCAUGCUGAGUCACCUCAGACAACCUGUCACAGCCCGCAUUCCGCUGCCUACAGAGCGAAAGGACAGGAGUGAUGGCAAGUCACCUCCCACGAUUUCUGACAGCCGCCUGCAGGGUGAUGAUGAUUCUGCCAUCACCUCAAGGACAUCAUGACAAGCCAAAAAGUCUUCCCACCAUUAAAGAGGGGAGCAGAACUUCUGACACUAUAAAAAAGGGCCUUCACGCAAAGAGGAAGGUAAGCUAUUUGACUCAGAAAAAGGGCAACAGAUUGAUCCUUUGGGCCAUGGCUAACAAAACCAUCGGAGGGUGUGUCCGGACACCCUGUCCGGACAACUUUUGCAGGAUUGACUGAGCCAGAAAUCAUCCUUGGUUGAAAGCGCGCGUCCCCUUGGCAUCUACGUGGAUCCCUGGGACACGAGGCAUCAGCAGGAACCAUGCAUGAAUAUGAUUUGAGAAAUAUAUAUUAUAAUUUAGAGGAUUACUACCUUAUAUUGGUUAUAUUCAAAUGAAAGUAAUAUGGUAAUAAUAUUUAAUCGAUAAGAAAAUAGGUUAUGAACAAGUCAUAUUAUAACUACCUCAAAAAUCAAUAAUACAAGGAUGAAAGAGGUAUAGUGAGGAAGGGUCACACCUAAAGGAUCACUUUAUUAGCACAAGUAGGAAAAUGUUAACAUAGGGUUAUGCAUUUAAGUGUAACAUGAUUGAAUUCUAUUACAAUGUCUAAAAUUUAAAUAAUUGCAUACCUCUUUUCUGAUUUUGCUCAUGCCAUUAAGAUUUUUUAUCCACAAGAAACAACCUAUAUUUAAAAAAAUGAAAAAAAAAAUCUUAUUUUAAAAUAGUAAGAAAUUUAUUGUUCUUAUAAAUAAAAAAGAAUAUAAUUGUUUAAUACUUAAAAAAAAAAUCCAAAGUUGAAAAUCUAAGAGCCUAUUUGGUCUCGUGUAAUUUAAAAAUAGUUUUAUGUUUUUAAAAAUAGAAAACUGUUUUUAAAAUUUUUUAACAUUGUUUGGUUGUCGUUCUCUAAAAACAAUUUUUAAAAAUAAACUGAAAUAGAGAAUAAUUUUUAGAGAACAAGUAUAAGUUGUUGUUACUAAUUUUUAUAAAUAAAAGAAAAAUAUGGAUCCGUUUGGCCAUGUUUAUUUAAACUUGUUUUUAAAAACUAUUUUUAUUCUUUAAUUUAAAAAUAUAUUUUUUUAAAAAAAUUAAGAAAAUAUGGCCAAACAAACCUUAAAUAUUUAUAGUAAUUUUCUAAUUUUUCAUCUCAUAAGUAGUCAAACUCUAAUAUCUCACUAUUAACAUAUUACAAAUGCAUUAUCAACUUUUUAAGUGACACAACAUUUUGCAUAUUAAAGGGAAUGUAGAAUUAUAAAAUUAUUAUUAUAGGACAAAUGCCUUUUUAAACAUAUGAACAACCUAAUUUUGAAAAAGAGAAAAAAAAAUUAUAAAGAGCACAAUUUUUAUUUUAUUUUUUUAUUUUUAUAGUGCUCAUAAAUAAGUUAAAACAACAAAUAAAAAAUAUUAAUUUACUAAAAAAUCUAAGUUUUUGAAACGUAGUAAAAAUCCACUAUGUAUGUCACACCCCAAGACCCACUCCAAGGGCAUCACAGUCAUUUCACACCUCAAACCUGAAGGCUUAAAGUAUAACUUGACUCAAACAAUCAUAUUAUAACUAGAAGUAACCAAUUACCAAAAACCUGUUCAGAGUAGCAGAACAAAUUCUAAAAUCUUCAAACUUAACUUUAAAACUAAGCAUCCAUCAACCAAAAUCCAUUAUCCAAAUAGAUUGCAAACUCAAAUAAAUCAAGUGCUAACCAAAUUUUCAUAAUCUCCAAAUCUCAACUUCAAACUUAUCAAAAAAAAUAUUUAAAAGUGCAAUAUCUAAAUAGCUUCCAAAAACCAUACAAUCCAAAUGAACAUAAACUUAUAAGCUAACAAUGUCCAAAUAAUAUCCUAAGCAAAAUCCUAAUAAUGACCAUUCCCCGACCUAGCCAUCACUCCUCGCCCGAACUAAGGGUGCCUGAAAGUAAUCAACAAAUAGGAAUGAGCUCCAAGCCCAAUAAGGAACAUUAAUGUAGUCCAUGGAUCAAAUAUUUCAAGUUCACUUGCAAAAUAUGAGAUAUUAUAACCAAUUAUUUUCAUAAACCUUUGAGUCAGUUUUGCCAAUACAUUCAAAACUUUUAAUUGUACACUUUCAUUUCUGAUUCAAGCAUUUUCAUAUCAAAUUCAAUCAAAACAUUCAAAUUAUUUAUUUACUUUGUUCAUCAAACAUCAAAUGGUGCCCAAUUAGGUGUGACUUUUCAAAUAGGUGGCUAGCCUCAAAUUGUUCCUUUAAGGUGGGUGGAACCAAACACUGCUAGUAUUAGUAACCUCUAACCAAACCCCUAGAGGUUGGGGUCCAAAUCAAUUACAUUUCCCACCAAGAAAUGUAAAUGUCAACUAUUAUAUCUCGUUGACAAGGGUCAAAUAAACCAGAGUCAAACACUUAUUUCAAUUAUUCAAAUUUGCAAAACAUAAUAUCUCCACAUUUCUCUAUUGUAAACAAAAUAUAAGGUUCUAACAUACUUUUCAUGCAAAAUAUAUUUGAUUUAUGCAUAAAACGAAUAAUAACUCAAAAUGUUUCCAAAUGAUGUAUAUAAAAAUGUGUUUCUAAAAAUAAUAAUAACUGCAUUAAUUUCCCUUACCUCAAAAGAAGUCCUUGAAAACUUGGAAGAAAAAUAAUCCUGAAAAUUUACUCUUUACCUAACAAAAUAUAAGAGAAAUAACAAUUACUAUUUAUCUAAAAUUAUAGGUUUGACAAUUCUAAAAUUUUAGGUAUUCAAAUUAAUGUUUUUAAUUAUGAAAGAUAAUUUAAUCUAUUCAUAUUUAAAAAAAAAUUAAUAAAUUUUUAAUUCAUAUAAAACUUAAUUUAUUUUUAAUUUAUUUCUUGGGACACAACUUAAUUUAAUUAAACUAUAAUUUAUUUCACUAAUUAAUUUCUAUGUUAUUUAUUAACUUACACUCGUUAUUAGUAUAAUUAUAAUACCAAAAACUUUACUUUCUUUUAUUUAUAAAUUAUAUUUUCUCACUUUCAAGUUUUUUUUUCACCAAACAUAGCUAUACACAACAACUCUCCAUCAUUGCUAUAUAUAUAUAUAUAUAUAUAUUAACCACCCCAAUACCAUCCGUACACAUAUUCUUUUAUUAAAUAAUACAGUACCCAUCAAAGUCUAAUAACACAAAGCCCUGCCAUUAUUAAAUAAUACAGUACUCAAUACUCAAGUACCCAUCAAAGUCUAAUAAUACGGAGUCCUGCUACUAUUAAAUAUUACAUACCCAAGUAUCCAUCAAAGUCUAAUAAUCAAUGUUUUAAAAAUCGGACCGGAUCGGCCGGUCCGACCAGUCCAACCGUCGACCAGUCACCAUUCCGGUCCGAUCCGGUCAUUUGGACCAGAUUGAGAUCGAAUCGGGGUUGAACCGCUUGAACCGGCAAUUCAACCGGUGAACCGAACGAACCAGUCGGUUCAAAUGAUUUUAAUUUUUUUUAAAAAAAAUUACAAAAUGAAAAUAUUAUCCUCUCAUUGAUGGAAGGAUUCCAUAAAAUUUAAAUGGUUUUUACUAAAGCACAUGUUGGGCCCGUCUUAUGACACAGCCCACAUACCCAUUCCACUUACUGUGGGCUGAGUUUUGAGCCCACAAGACCAUCUAAAGCCUUUGUUGAGGAUGGCUUUUAUAGAAGUCAUUUGACUCCUUGUUCCUCUCAAUUUUUGAUGUGGGAUUGCUAAAUAUCAAAGAAAAAAACAUAACAAAACUCCAGCAAGAAGUUUUGAACCUUGGACCAGCCCCUGUACUAUAUUCCACCUAGGACACCACUCGGCUACAUGUAUUUUAUUAUCUAAUAUGCCAAACAAAACAACACAUAUUAGAUUUUAAAUUUUUUUAUAAUAUUAAAUAAAAAUAAUAUAAUAUUUUUAAAAAUUAUGAAAUUAGUUUAAAUUUUCAUUUUUUUAUAUAUUCACAUUUAAAUAUUAUACAUAUUUCAUUUAAUAAAAUUUAAAAUAUUAAUAUGAUUUAAUUUGAUAAUAUCAAAUAUAUAAAAUAAUAUUAUUGAUGUUUAAUUUAUUCAUAUAUAUUUUAAAAUUUUUAUAAUUAUUUUUAAUUUUAAUAAUAUAUAAAUUAUAUAUUUAUGACGUCACCGGUUCGAUUCCGGUCCGACCAGUGAACCGUGAAUCGGUAACUUUUCCGAUUCAAUCACCGGUCCGGUUUUGAAAACAUUGCUAAUAAUAGAGUAUGUGAAAAUCCACCAACUAGAUUUCAACCAUGAAAUCCUUACAAAAAAGGUUGAUGCACAAUUCCUACACGCAUGCAACCAGUGCACACAUGUUUUUUUUCACCAACCUUCUAUUUUCCAAUGCACACGAGUUCUUUUUUUUUUUGUUAAAUCUAAUCUCUUAAGCCACAAUUAACAAUAUAUUUAUUUAUUAUUAUUUAAAAAAAUAAAUAAAUUAACCCUAGUCUAAAUCGAAAUCUUCCCAAGAAUUUUUUUUUUUCCCCAUCUAAAAAAACUUAAGAUCUCCCAAAUUCCAACAAUAAAUCAAAAUCUUAAAAUUUCACUAUUUUGAUAUUAAAACAAAUUAAAAAAAAAUAAUAAACUAACCCUAAUCUAGAUUUGGGUUUUCCAAAAAAAAUAUUUAAUGUGCUUAAAAUUAACUAAUGAAUCUAAAAUAUUAAUCUAGGGGUUAGAAUCUUACCUAUAGAGAUCUGUUCUUCAAACCCUGAAAUCUGACUCCAAUCUUACAUUCUCAGGAACUCUCUGCAAACAAGAACACGAUUCAGAAAAGAACAAGAAGAACAGAAUUCGAAUUUAUACAUAGGGUAUUUAUUCGUAAAAUUACCUUUUCACCCCUCUUCCAUUUUAUUAAAUUAAUUAAUUAAUUAAUUUAAUAUUGUUAUUAAUAAGAAUUUCCUAAAAAGAAACUUGGGCGUUACAGUGUAAGUUGAACAAUUAAACAAUAAUUCAAAAUUAUCCUGUUGUAUUUUAAACUGGAAGUAGCUAGACACUCAUGGGUUUAUCAAAAUCUUGUCUCUAUUCUCCACAGAUCAUAAAUAAGUUAAAGAAAAAAUAAAACCAAGAAGAAAAAUGUACUAUAAGGUAUAUUUAUUCCAAGCUCGUCGAAACAUUGAGAGCACCUAUUUACAAAAUUGUAUUGAAGUCAUGUAACAAUUGAAUCCAACUCAUGCGACUCAUUGUUUUUUUUUUUUUUUUUUUUCUCAAAAAUAGAUUUUUUAAUUGAAAAAGAAAAAAGACAAAUUGUUGAUGGUCUUGAAGUAAUUCAAAGGAUAACCCUCUAAGGUAGGCACCAAAAACCACAAUGUCAAAAGAUGGUAAAACUAAGAAUAUAUGAAGAGCCGAUACAUUAAGUAGGAUUUUUUUAUAAGAUUACGGUGGUUUUAAAAAUAAAUUCCCAAACUAUCGUAGUGGGAAAAAUAAUUCCCAAUCUAUCGUAAUUUUUGCUAGGUAGGAAAGAUGGAUUAUUUUUUUAAAUCGUCUCUUCAAAAGACAAUUUAUGACCUUUUUAAAAAAUUAUAAAAAAAAUAAAUCAUCUUUCUAAAAUAUGAGAAAUUGUCUCUUAAAGAUACGAUUUUGGCAAAAAAAAAAAAAAAAAAUCUUAAAAAAUCCAUUUUUACAUUCCCUACUAUACUUAUAUAAUAAUAUUAUUAUUAUAAAUAUAUGUUAAAAAAUAAUUUAAUUUUAUUUACUAAAUUUAAUAUAUAGUAUAAUAUACUAAAUUUAAUAUAAGAUAAAUAAUAUUUAUCUUUUUUUUUUCUUUCACUUUGAACUAUUAUCAAUUUUAUGUGAAAAUGAGUUUUAAAAAACAAAUUUGUUAUUAAUUUAUUAAGAAAAAAUAAGAAGUGAGAAAUCAUAUGACUAUUUUCACAAAAAAAUUAAAAAAAAUUCAUAAAAAAAAAGAAGAAAAAUUCAAAAAUCUAUUUUUCCAUUCCCUACUAUACUUCUACAAUAAUACAAUUAUUAUAAAUAUAUAUUAUAAAAAUAAUUAAUUUUAUUUAAUAAAUUUAAUAUUUUUCUAUUUUUUUUCUAAAAAACAAAUUUAUUAAAAAAAUCAAAAAUUGAGAAAUCGUCUCUUGAAGAGACGAUUUUCACAAAAAAGAAAAAAGAAAAAUUCAAGAAUCCAUUUUUCCAUUCUCUAUUAUACUUAUACAAUAUACAAUUAUUAUAAAUAUAUAUUAUAAAAUUAAUUAAUUUUAUUUACUAAAUUUAAUAUAAGAUAAAUAAUAUUUAUCUAUUAUUUUUUUUCUUUCACUUUGGAAAAAAAACUAUUAUCAAUUUAUGUGAAAAACGAGUUUAAAAAAAAUGAAAAAAAUAAGGCAUUUAAAGCUUCCAACUUUUGAAUAUCACUUUUUGCAUUCCAAAGGUUGUCUAAAAUGCAUUUUACUUCUAAUUACAUUUCUACGAGAUUUUUUUUACAUUUUCAUGAAUUUUGAUUAAUUUUAGGUCUAUCAAUUUUUUUUUUCAAAAUAUCUGUCUAUAUAUAUAUAUAUAUAUAUACAUAUAUGAUAUAUCUUAUAUAUCUGUAAAAUUGAAGUACCAAUAUAUUUGUAAUUAUCGAUAUUUUCAUCCUUGAUAUGAAUAAUGUUAUUGGCUUUUUAUAAUCAUGAUAGUAGGUGACUUUGAUUCUUUAAUAUUAAAAACAUUUGAUAAUUAAGGAAAACAAUGGUAUUUAUAUUUAUGAUAUAGUGUCUUUGAAUUUCAGGGCUUUUAUUUGGAUAUAUAGUUUUUGAAAAAUGAUUUCUUUUUUUUUUUUUUAUUGUUUUUUAUUUGAUUGAUUUUCUUCGAACCUAUGACAUUAAAAAUUGAAAAAAGAUAAAAAAAAUUUAUAUAAAAUUUUUUUUCUCAAAUUUUUCUUAAUAAAAAAUAGUUAAUCAUUUCUAAUUUUAAGUGUAUUAAAUUAAUUUUAAAGACAUAUUUUAUUAUUUUUUUCAAAUUACUUUAGUUGUUUAUCAUUUAUAAUUACUAAAUAAAAUAUCUUAAUACAAAACUUAUUACUAUUUCUUUUUAAAUUGAUUAAUACUCAAAAAAUUAUAUCUCUUAAUGUUCAAAUUUUUAUUGAAAUUUAAUUUAUUUUUUUAUAUUUUAUUCCUUUCACAGUGAAAUUUUAAAUUAAAGAUUAAUAUUUUUAAUUUUAAAAUUUAUAUGAUAAAAUUAAUUAAUUUUAAAAUUUAUACAAUAAUACAAUUAUUAUAAAUAUAUAUUUAUAAUAAUUGUAUUAUUGUAUAAGUAUAAUAGGGAAUGGAAAAAUGAAUUUUUUUUGUUUUGUUUUGUUUUUUUUUUGUAAAAAUCAUCUCUUAAAGACAUGACUUCUCACUUUUUGUUUUUUUAAAAAAAAAAAUAAAUUAAUAAUAAAUUUGUUUUUAAAAUAAUAGAUAAAUACUAUUUAUCUUAUAUUAAAUUUAAUAUAUUUAGUAAAUAAAAUUAAUUAAUUUUAUAAUAUAUAUUUAUAAUAAUUGUAUUAUUGUACAAGUCUAGUAGGGAAUGGAAAAAUGCAUUUUCUUUUAUUUUCUUGUGAAAGUCGUCUCUUGAAAAGACAAUUUCUCACUUUUUUUUUUGUUUUUUUAAUAAAUUAAUAACAAAUUUGUUUUUUUUUAACUCAUUUUUUCACAUAAAAUUGAUAACAAUUUUUAUUUUUUUAAAUUUAAAAAGUGAAAGAAAAAAAAUAAUAGAUAAAUAUUAUUUAUCUUAUAUUAAAUUUAGUAAAUAAAAUUAAUUAAUUUUAUAAUAUAUAUUUAUAAUAAUUGUAUUAUUAUAUAAGUAUAGUAGGAAAUGGAAGACUGGAUUUUUAAAGUUUUUUUUUUGUGAAAAUCAUCUCUUCAAGAGACGAUUUCUUACUUCUCUCUCUCUCUCUCUCUCUCUUGUUUUGCCAAAAUCUUGUCUUCAAGAAAUGAUUUCUCAUAUUUUAGAAAUUGUGUCUUGGUGUUAUAAAUUGUCUUUUUGAAGAGACAAUUUAAAAAUAAAAAAAAAAAAAUUCUCUCUUUCCUACCUAGCAAAAACUACGGUAGAAUUGGAAUUAUUUUUCCCACUAUGGUAGUUUAGGAAUCGUACUCUUAUAAAAAAUCCCAUUAAGUUAUGUUGGUUUGAGUUAAUAAUUUUGUUCUAUUAUUUUGACAUAUGAUUUUUUUUAAAAUUGUAUGUCUUACUUUCUAUUGAAGGUUUAAGGUUGUUUCAUGAUUAACCGAAAUGACACAAGUAAAUAAAGGUCAGAAAAACACUAAUAGGAUCUAUAUAAUACUUGUAGUGGACAGAAGAUUUUUUUAAGAUUGACCAAAAAUGUUAUUAAAAAAAAAUUAAGGACACUCGAGUCCUAAUGGAAAAAUUCCAAUUUUGUGUAAUUCAAUUAAUUUUAUAGUUAUAAUUAGAUUAAUUAUAUAAUUGUAGUUAUAUUUAUUUUACAAUUAUAUUUAAAUUUAUUUGAAAAUCUUAAUUUGAGUUUACUAGAUAUUUGUAUUAUAUAAAUAUCUUGUCUAAUUAGGUUUUUUGUCUUAUACAAAUAAAAAAAAAAAAACCUUAUUAGCUUUCUUAUUCCUAAAACUCUCAAAGGAAUUCAAUUUACUCCUACCAAGUUGUAAAGACAUUUGCAUCCCCUCAGGUGUUGAGGUGAGAUUCAUUGGAAGGACACAACAUGUUACAUCGUGGAUGUAGAAUGCAAUGUAAGCAAGCAUUGGAGAGUAAGUCUUAGGGUAAUGUUUUUCAAGUAAAUCUACGUAUUAUAUUCGCAUAUAACGGAAUAUAGAUUUAAAGUCUCUAACCUAACUCAUUGGUUUUUUUUUUUUUUUUUUUAUCUCUGCACAUUGUGAGAAGGUUUUCUUCAUAAAAAACUCUUUUUCAAUAUUAUGUUUGAUUGUUUUUUAGGCUUCUCUAAUUUAGAAUUGAGAUAGUUUAAUAAUUAAAUAUAUUUAAUUUAAGGCUUAAAAGGGUUAAACACCUAUUCACCCCUAGGUGUCAUACUAUAUCAAAUAACUUUCAAUGUUGGUGAAAGUUUCUUCUUCAAAAGAGCUUUAACACGUGAUUGUUCUUCAAGGGAGCUUCCAAAGAGCUCAAGGGGCCUUUUUCUUAUCCAAUGUUUUAAUCUCACUCUCAACCAAUGGUAAAAGAAUAAACUUAAUCAUUAAAGAUUAAAUCUAACCAUGAAAGUAUCCAACUCACCUCAACAUAUGUUUUGGAUUUUUUUCAAGAAAGAAUGCAAGAGAGAUGAUUGAGAUGCUUCUGAGAGGAGAGAGUGAGGACAUAUAAAGGACGUUUUGUGCAAGUAAAGAAUCAUUUAUUUUCCAAGGAGAUAUACUUGCUUCUUCACUAAACUGGGAAUGGAUUUAAAUAGCUCCAUUAGGAGUGUAAAUGAAUAAAUAAAAGAAAAGAAAAAUGUGUCCAACAAUUUAUUGAAACCGUAAAGUGAAAGUAAUACAAGACCAUAAUGGGAAAUCCCACAUAUUUAGUAGUAUUUGGGCUUUGUUGUAUUGAAACUUUGGUGUAAGAAAUUUGAAAAUACUUCUAUAUAAUUAUUAAAAAAAAAAAUAGUAGAAUAAGAUAGUCCUUUCGACAUAAUUGAGGCAUUAAAUUUAAGCACUCUAAAGUUAUCAUCUUUACAAAUAAUAAAGAAGUUUUUGCAUCGAGACCAAUUGAAUAUGAUUUGUAUAUUCUUAAUUUUCAUUUUCUUAUCUUUUGUCUUCCUAUACCUACAAGCCUAUUUAGAGAAAGACCUUUUAUCGAAAAAUGAGAGUUCAGAGUUAUUUUCCUUUGAAAAGAGAGUGGAUCGGAAGAUCUUUAUUGAAUAUAGGGUUUCUUCUAAAACAAGAUGAAGUAAAUUAGCAACUCUGAACAAUCUGAAGGAAAAGGAAUUUGAGUUAAGUUGACGGGGUGUGCGACACUUUAUUGGGACUUUAAGAGAUAUUUUCUCUUUCACGCUAUCCUUUGAAAUUGAGUUGUGUUCGCUUUCAACUUAAUUUUUUCUCUCUGUUUUUCUAAUGAAAAUAUAUCUUUUGUUGGGGGAAAAUAUUUUUUUGAAUGUAUAUAUUCAAAUGGAAGGUAAGCGAAAAAAAAAAUGAUAAAAAAUGGGUGUGAUGAAAUUUCAAAUUAUUGAUCAUCAUAUGUAUUUAACCUAAAUCUUAAAAAAUUAAAUGCAAUUAACUCAUUAAAUUUGUUCAAUAAGACUUUUUAUAAAUAAUUUUUGAAUCAUGUAGCAUCCAAAACAAAAAACUUUGUAAAAGAUAUAAUUAACGAUAACAUAAAAUUAUUAAAAUAUUUAAAAUUAAAUAAUAUAAAGAAACAAUAAAAUGGUUCAUUUAUGUUGUUAGAACCAUUGUUUUAAAAAUUGGUCGCUCCGAUCGAUCGGAUGGUCCAUCAAUGCCCUUUCCAGUCCGAUCUAGGGAAAUGGACAGAGACAACCGACGAUCAGACCAUCGACCAUUCUUCAUGGACCGGUCAAGGUCAAAACCUAAAUGGGCUUAAUCCAUUCAUUCCUAACCCGUUUGCAAGUAUAAAUACCUAUCUAUUGGCCCAAAUUCAUUCAUUCCAAGCCCAUUUGCUUGUUCUCAAGAUCUACAUGAAUAAAUACCCUAUAAGUGGUUUAUAGAUUUCCGAUGUGGGAUGGGUUUUGAUAAUAAUGAAAGGAGCUUUGCAUGGUGGGGAAUUGAACCUAGGACUUAUUUUUAACAAAAUGAUAGCACACCACUAUGCUACAAAGCUAUUUGAUAAAUAUCUAUAUAUCUGUUUUUUUAAUUUCUAUCAUAUAAAACAUUUAAACAAAUAUAAAUAUUUAUAUCUACUAUUAUUUUUAUAAUAAUUAUUAAUUAUAAACAUGAAAAUAAUAUAAAUUAAUCAAUAUAAUAAUUUUUAAAAUAACAAAAUACAUAGAUAUAUAAUUAAAUUAAAUAUUAUAAUUUUCUUUUCAUAUUUAAAUAUUAUACAUAUUCUAUUUAAUAAAAUUUAAUAUAUUAAUACAUUUAUAUUUGUAUUUAUCAUUUAAUUUGACAUAUUGAACAUAAAAAAUAAAAUAUUAUUAAAAAUUUUAAUAAAAUAUAUUUUAAUUUAUUAUAAUUUUAUUAAAAUAUAAAUUAUAUAUUUAUAAUGUCAUUGAUUCGAUCGCGGUUUGACUACUGGUUCAACUAGUGAAUCGUGAACUGAUAACUUUUUCGGUUCAAUAUUCGGUCCGAUUUCGAAAACAUUAGUUAAAACUUUUUUAUUUAUAGAAAAUGCUAAUUAUGCUUUAAAGUUGUAGGAUGUUAAAAGCCCAAAUACAUACCUACAUAUUUUCUUAUUUAUCUCCUAGUAUCUUUACCAAGUGAUAGAUAUAUUGGUGGCCAAGCAUUAUCAUCAUCAUUAUUUAUCUCCUAACAUCUUUAUGAAGUGAUAGGUGUAGGAAGAGUGUAAAUAAUUUUUAUUUUAUUUUAUUCUAUUAGUUUUAUAUUUUUUGGGAAGAUUCCUAUUGAGAAUUAUUUUUAUUUUAUUUUAUUCUAUUAGUCUUAUAUUUUUGGGAAGAGUCUUAUUGGGAUUGUGCUAGUGGAGUCCCAUUCCUUUUAUAAGUAGAAUCCCCUUCCACUUUGAGUCAUGUUUUAAUUACAAGUAGAUUCACAUUAGGACUGUGUUAGUGCCUAUAAAAGCAAGUCACCUUUCACUCUCUAUAUACCAAUACCAAUUUUUCAAAGAAUUUUUCAGAGAGUUUUUCAAAGAGUCUUUUCAUACAUCUAUCUGGAUGAUUUUUUUCAAAAACCUAAGCUGUAUAUAUCUCGCUUAUAGAGUACACCCAAGGCGAGAUUUGGGUGUUGAAUCUCGGAGAUAGACCAUUGGUACCCUAGUGUACCAAAUUUGUCUUCGAGGAUGGUGGAUCUAUUUCAAGGACAGUGUUUGUCAUGCCUUAGUCAAUAAGUUUUUCUUCUUAUUAAUCAUGUUCUUUGUUUGUGUCUUUUGGGCUAGUAAUUUGUUUCCAUAUCCUUAAUCCAACAAUCUUGAAAUAUAUCCAAAUGUAAGCUUCUCUAGUUCACACCAGUCUUGAGACCUCUAAAAUUGAUCCCUUCAAUGGGACAUUCUUUAAGAAAUGGCAGGAAAAGGUUUUCUCUACAAUUGAUAUAAUGAAUUUGGGACACAUUUUGACUGACCCAAUACCAGAAGAUGGUUCUCAUUUGUUACCAACCUGGGAAACUGGAAAUAAACAAGUUAGGCAUGCUAUUCUAAGUACCCUUUCUAAUGAAAUUUUUUAUAUUUAUUGUCAAUUUAAAGUUGCAAACGAAACUUGGGAUGCAAUGAAUAAAAAAUAUAGUUUGGAAAAUGCAAGAACUCAGAAAUAUGCCAUAGGGAAUUUUAAAAUUUUCCAAAUGACUGAGGAUAGAGAUGUAUCAUCUCAAAUCCAUGACUACCACUUGUUAAUUAAUGACUUAGCUAUUGAAGACAUUAAAUUACUCGAACAUUUUGUAGCUGGUUAUUUAGUAGAGACUUUUCUAGAGUCUUGGAAAGACUAUAAAAAUAACAUGAAACAUAAAAGAAAACAAAUGUCCCUAGAGGAUGUCAUAAUCCAUAUUAGGAUUGAGGAACAAAACUGAAAUAGGGACAAUGCUGAGAAAGUUAAGGAAUUGUCUUCUAAGACUAAUGUAGUAGAAGAAAAACCUAAACCCCAAAAUAAUAGGUCCAAGAAACAAACUCUAGGAACAAGCCCAAUGCAUCAAACAAGAUCCAAAACCCAACUAUUAAAAAAAAAAAAGAGUAAGGAUCUUGUUUGACUCUGAUAAAAUAGUUUUAACCAAGAAUGAUGCAUUUGUGGGGAAGAGCUAUUGUAAUAAGGGUUUAUUUAUGUUGAAUGUUUAUGAUAUUAUCAAUAAUAAUGCAUCUUUUUUUUUUUUUGCUUACAUAGUUGAUUCUUGUGAUAUUUGGCAUGGUAGACUAGGACAUGUGAACUUUUCAUAUAUGAAGAAAAUGGUUAAAUUGAGUUUAAUCCCUAAAUUGUCCUUAGAAAACCAUGGAAAAUGUGAAUCUUGUGUAGAAUCUAAAACCAUAAAGAAAUCUUGCAAAUCAGUUGAAAGAGAAUCAAAUCUACUAAGUUUAAUACACAGUGACUUAGGAGACCUAAAAAAUACAAUGACUAGAGGUAAACGAUUCUACAUAACUUUCAUAUAUGACUACUUAAGGUAUACAAGGGUAUAUCUUAUGCUUUCAUCAAGUACAAAAAUGAAGUGGAAAAUCAACGAAGUAAGAAAAUUUAAAAACUUAGAACUGAUAGGGGAAGAGAGUAUGUGUCCAACCCCUUUAAUUCUUUUUGUGAAGAUCAUGAGAUCAUUCACAAAACCACUCCUCCUUAUUCCCUGAAGUCUAAUGGAGUAGUAGAAAGGAAAAAUAAGACCUUAAAAGAAAUGAUGAAUGCAAUGUUGGUAAGUUCAGGAGCACCCUUGAACUUGGGAGAGGAAGCUAUCCUAUCUGCAUGUCAUAUUCAAAAUAGAAUACCUUAUAAGAAAACUGGAAAAACUCUUAUGAGUUGUGGAAGGGUUAUGCACCUAAUAUAGCAUACCUGAAAGUGUGGGGGUGUUUAGCUAAAGUUCUCUUCCUUGAACCUAAAAAAUGAAAACUAGGUCCUAAAACCUUUAAUGCAAUGUUACUAAGUCAGAAAACAGUCUUGUAGAUGUUAAUAUUAUAAUGGAAACAAAGAAUGCAGAUUUCUUUGAAAACAUAUUUCCUAUGAAACUAAAUGGUGAACAACAAGUUUAAAAAACAAGUAGAGACAAGUCUAUUGAACCUUUUGAAUUUGAACCUAGAAGGAGUAAAAGUGAUAGGAAAGAAACAAACCUUGGAGAUGGUUUCUACACCUUCCUAAUAGAUGAGGACCCUGAUCCUACAAAGAAGCUAUAACUUUUCCUGAUGCACCAUUCUAGAAGGAUGCCAUUAAUAGUGAAAUCGAAUCAAUCAUGUAUAACCAUACAUUGGAGUUAGUAGAUUUACCUCCUGGUGCAAAGACUAUUGGCUGUAAGUGGAUCUUUAAAAGAAAGUUAAAACAAGAUGGGUCCAUAGAGAAGUAUAAAACUCAUUUAGUUGCCAAAGGCUUUAAACAAAGGAAUGAUGUAGAUUACUUUGACAACUUUGCCCCUAUGACUAGAAUAACAUCAAGUAGAGUAUUGAUCGCUCUAGCUUCCAUUCAUAAUUUGGUUAUACACCAAAUGGAUGUCAAGACUGCAUUCUUGAAUGGGGAUUUGGAAGAGAAAAUUUAUAUGGAACAACCUGAGGGUUGUGUAGUUCCAAGGAAGGAGAAAAAGGUGUGUAAGUUGGUUAAAUCACUAUAUGGGUUAAAAAAAAGCUCCCAGACAGUGGCACAACAAGUUUGAUCAUGUGUUAGUAACUAAUGGAUAUUCCAUUAAUGAUGCUGAUAAGUGUAUCUAUAAUAAGUAUGAGGAUAACACAUGUGUAGUCAUUUGCCUUUAUGUUUAUGACAUGCUGAUCUUUGGAACUAGCCUAGAGAUUGUGUGUGAGACCAAGAAAUACCUAGGUCCUAAGUUUGAUAUGAAAGAGCUAGGAGAGGCAGAGGUGAUUCUAGGAAUUAAAAUAACUAGAACACCUAAUGAGCUUAAAAUUUCUCAAGAGCACUAUGUUGAAAAGAUCCUAAGGAAGUUUGAACACUUUGAUUGUAAACUAGUGUCAACUUCUUAUGAUCCUAGCUCACUGCUGAAGAAAAAUAGAGAACAUAGUGUUGCCCAAAUAGAGCAUGCUCAUAUCAUAAGGAGCCUAAUGUACUUGAUGAACUGUACCAGACCUGACAUUGCUUAUGCAGUAGGUAGAUUGAGUCGAUACACCCAAAGUCCUAAUUAGGACCAUUGGACUAUUGUUCCUAGAGUCCUUAAGUAUUUGAGAGGCACCAUUAACUAUGGUUUGUGCUUUAGUGGAUUUCCAAGUGUCCUUGAAGAAUUUAGUGAUGCAAAUUGGAUCUCGGAUUCAGAUGUGAUGAAAUCCACUAGUGGAUAUGUUUUCAUCUUUGGUGGAAGUAUAGUUUCUUGGAAGUCUACCAAGCAAACUUGUAUUACUUGGUGUACUAUGGAGGCUAAGUUUAUUACCUUAGAAAAAACAAGUUUUGAGGUUGAGGGGCUUAGAAACCUCUUAGCAGAUAUCCCUUUAUGGAAGAGACCAACCCCGUCUAUGUCUAUGCGUUGUGAUAGCCAAGCUACAAUUGCUAAGGCUAAGAGUAAAAUAUUUAAAGGGAAGAAUAGGCAUGUACGGCUAAGGCACAAUAUUGUGUUGUAGCUUCUUGAAACAGAGGUUAUAUCCUUAGAAUUUGUGAGGUCAAAGUUGAAUUUGGCCGAUCCUUUGACCAAACCACUAAAUAAGAAACUAGUGGAAGAAACAUUGAGGGGGAUGGGGCUUAUGCCUAUUACAGAAGUCAAGAGGGGGGGGGGGGGGGGGGGGGGGGAACCCCCCCCUUUAAAAAGGAAAUUCCCUGAAGAGGGUUCUAUGGGGAAAAAAAAAACCCUUUUUGACUUGGGGCCCCUAUCAACCCUAAUUUUUGAAAAUCUUUCCCUUUUGGGGGAAAAAAAGCGGAUUUCCCCUUUUUUAAGGGUGAAAGUUUUCCCCUUAAAAAAAACCCAAUUCCCUUGGGGGAAAAUGUUUAAAAGGCAAAAAAACUUGGGGGGUCCCCCCAUAUGAAAAGGGGGGGGGGGCCCCCUCCCUUGAAAAAUUAGGGAGUUUCUCUAAAAAUUUCCUGAAAAUCCCAAAAAAAGCCAUGACCCAUUUUUGCCCACCCCUUUUNNNNNNNNNNNNNNNNNNNNNNNNNNNNNNNNNNNNNNNNNNNNNNNNNNNNNNNNNNNNNNNNNNNNNNNNNNNNNNNNNNNNNNNNNNNNNNNNNNNNGGGGGGGGGGGGGGGGGGGGGGGGGUAACCCACCCUAUUAGAAUGGAAAUUCCAUGAAGUAGGUUCAUAUGGGUAAUAACAAAUCACUUGUUGACUUGAGGUCCUAUAUCAACUCUAAUUGUAUGAGAGUCUAUCCUUAUGGUGUAGAUAGAGCGUAUUCUGCAUUGAUUAAGGUUGAAUGUUUACUCUUAAUGAAUACCAUAUUCCUUAUGGAUGAUAUGUUUAAAUGCAUAAUAUACUUGAUGGAUUCACCUAUAUGAGAGUGGAGGUGGGGCCGCUUCCUAUGAGAACUUAGGUAGUUUCUCUAGAAUUCUCAUGAAUAUCCAAGUAGAGCGCAUGACCUAUUUGUGCCAACCCGUUUUGUACAACUCGUAGUGUAGUUGAGAAAACCAAUGUGGAUAAAAUUCCAUUGAGUUACAUUAAGAAACACUGGUUCAUAGAAAUUUAUUUUCACCCUGUUUUGUAAUUCAAUACUUAUUUGUCCUAAGACUAGUUCAUAGCCUUUGGGCACCAAUACUGAUGCAUUGGAUUCUUUUUUCCUAAAAAUAAAAAUAAAAAUAAAUAAAUAAUCAUGUUUACACUUUGUGGGAGAUUGUAGGAAAAGUAUAAAUAAUUUUUAUUUUUAUUUUAUUUUAUUCUAUUAGUCUUAUAUUUUUGGGAAGAGUCCUAUUGGGAUUGUACUAGUGGAGUCCCAUUUCUUUUAUAAGUAGAAUCCCUUUCCACUCUGAGUCAUGUUCUGAUUACAAGUAGAUUCCCAUUGGGACUGUGUUAGUGGCUUAUAAAAGCAGGUCACCCCUCACUCUCUAUAUACUAAUACCAAAUUUUCAGAGAAUUGUUUAGAGAGUAUUUCAAAUAUUCUUUUCAUACAUCUAUCUGGAGAAAUUUUUUCAAAAACCCGAGCUGUACACAUCUCGCUUACAGAGUGUACCCAAGACAAGAUCUGGGUGUUGAAUCCUGGAGGUAGACCACUAGUACCCUAGUGCAUCGAAUUCGUCUUCGAGGAAGGUGGAUCUAUUUUAAGGACAGUGUUUGUCACAUCUCAGCCAAUAAGUUUUUCUUCUUAUUAAUUCUAUUCUUUGUUUGUGUCUUUGGGGCUAGUCAUUUGUUUCCUUACCCUUAAUCUAACAAUAGGUAUAUGGGUGGCCCAAUCAUCAUCAUCAUUAUCAUCAUCUUUAAGAAGUGUAAAAUAAAUUUCCAUAAUAUUAUAACUAUUCAAGUUAUACACUACAAUCAAACAUAUUACAUUAAAAAAAAAAAAUCAUAAGUAGCUAGAUUCAAGAGGUACUGUAAAACAUACCAUGUUUUGACCAAGUGUAGCUUCCAAUUCUUAUGUAAAAGUCUAUUUAUUACAAGAAAUUAAAAAAGGAAAAGGAUUAAAAUCUUAAAAACAUGGCAAUAAUAAAACCCUUAGCAAAUAUCUAUUUGAAACUGUGUCAAAAUUUGCCUCAAAUUAACUUUUGAAUUAACUUUACUAUUAUUAUUGUUGGUGCAUAACCUUUUUGGAUGUGAUGAUCCAGUGACUAUCCAAGUCGCUAGCCAAUCUUCUAAUGUCACCUCCUCUAUUGGUGGGUGAUUUGGCUCUCUAGGAAAAUGAUCCCAUUUUUUCCAUGUUCUUUUUCCUCCUUUAUAGGCUUGAGUUAGAUGUUGGAGGUUGCGUGACAUACACGAUUAGCUUAGUAGGUUUGUGUUAGGCGGCGUGUGGCUGACUAGCCCUGAUGCUUCCUAUUGAUGUGAUAAAAUGAGGUUUUCCUUUGAGAUUUGUUCCUCAUACACAUCUUGUUGUUGCCUUCAGUAUAUGUGCUACAUGAUCCAUUUUGGUGGCUGAACAACUUCUUCCUAGUGACCAAUUUUUUAUUUUUUUAAAGAUCGAUUGGGGUAGGCUCUCAGAUCUCUCAGAUCAUUGUAGGUUUAAAUGGAGUCAAGAUGACCUCUCGACCUGGAGACAAUAUUCAACUGAUAUAACAUCUGGGUAUCCCUUCUCGCAAAAAUUCGGUACCCUCAAAAGACAGCUUUUGUAGCAAUAUUCGUCAUCCCCAACCUAAACAAGUACGUAGACCCACAUGUUGGUUGACUUCUAUAGUUGGUACCUUCAUUGCCCCAUUUCUUCAUGACCAAGUAGGUUUGGGACGACGUGCGUCAGGAGCUACUUGGGCUUGAAACCUUCGUGUUGCAAUCCUAGGAAGACGGUAGGUCAUACAUGCAUCACCUUGAGGAGUGGCAACAUUAGGGGAUUUUCACAAGGCGACACAAUGUGCACAACCGUUUUUUUAUUUUUAUUUGGGAAUUUUGCUUUGUUUAGGAACUUUGCUAAAAUGGGCACUUGACCUUGAUGAACAUUUUUCCUAGAUGGACACUCGACCUUGGUGGGCAUUUCACCUAGAUGGGCGCUUGGCCUUGAUGGGCAUUUCGCCUAGAUGGGCACUUGGCCUUGAUGGACAUUUUGUCUGGAUAGGCACUUGGCCUUGAUAAGUAUUUGCUUAGAUGAGCAUGUCACCUUGUUAAGCACUUGGCCUUGAUAGACAUCAUCUAGAUGGGCGUUUUGCCUUGAUGUGCACUUGGCUUUGAUGAACAUUUUGCCUAGAUGGGUAUUUUGCCUUCUUUGAUCUUUCGUAGGUUGGAACUCUAUAGGUGGUGGGGUUGUGUUUUGGGUUGUAUUUUCCAGGCGCACAGGUGUAGGGGUAAGGAAAUGCUACCUUUCCUCCUGGUUUUAGCUCCAAAUGUGCUUAUUGCCAUGCCACAGUUUUCUUCUCGAGACUUGAGUAUGCUUGUAAGUAUUGUUCUGCUUCUUCUUGUUGUGUUUAAGGGUAAGUUGAGUUUUUUUUUGUACUCUUACAUUUUCUCUCCAUCUUUCUUUAUCUUUAUUCUGUUGUACAGAUGAAGUGUGGCAUCAAGGAUUUUAGUAGGCGAAAGGGUGAGUUUCACUACCAUAUUGCUGAAACUGACCAACUGAGGCAAGUCGAGUACUUCUUUUGCACCUAAGGCUUUUGGUCGGGUGCUUUCUUGGCACCUGACGAUUUGGCUGAGUGUUUCUUGGAACCUAAGGCUAUGGUUGGGUGAUGUUUGGCACCUAAGGCUUUUUGGUUGAGUGCUUCAUUGACACUUAAGACUUUGUUGGGCGCUAUGCUUAGUUGGGUACUACUUGGACACCCUAGGCUUUGUUGGGCACUAGGCUCAUCUGGAUGCCACUUGGGCACCUUAGGCUUUAUUAGGCUCUAAGCCUGGUUGGGUGCUACUUGGGCACCUUAGGCUUUGUUGGGCGCUAGGCCCAGUCAGGUGCUACUUGGGCACCUUAGGCUUUAUUGGGCUCUAAGGUUGGUCGGGUGCUACUUGGGCACCUUAGGCUUUGUGGUGCUCUAGGUCCAUCUAGGUGCUACUUCGGCACCUUAGGCUUUAUUGGGCUCUAAGCUUGGUCAAGUGCUACUUGGGCACCCUAGGCUUUAUUAGGCUUUGGACUUGGCCAGGUACUACUUGGGCACCUUAGGCUUUGUUUGGCUCUAGGCCUGGCUAGGUGCUACUUGGGCACCCUAGGCUUUAUUGGGCUUUAGCCUUGGCCGGGUGCUACUUGUGCACCUCAGGCUUUGGGCUUGGCUGGGUGCUACUUGGGCACCUUUGACUUUGUUAUGCUCAAGCCCUGGUUGGGUGCUACUUGGGUACCUUAGGCUUUGUUAAGCUCUAGGUCUGGCUGGGUGCUACUUAGACACCUUAGGCUUUUUGGGUCUAAUUGUGGACCCGCAUUUUUCACAUGCGUCUCCACUCGAUCGGCGAGACUCGCUUUUUAUUUGUGAAAAAUUAAUUUUUGGAAAAAAGUUGGAGCCGCCACUUAUUUUAUUUUUAUUUUAAAGGGAAAAUAAAACAAGAAAGAAAAACCCUAAAUGUGACUCCAUAAUUUUUGGAAAAAAAAGCAUGUCUUCGAAAAACCCGAGUCUAAGUCCGGGGAUCAGGUUACUUAUUGGGAAGGUACCUUUAAAAGGUAGCACCCCUCUAAGCCCUACAAAGGUCUCUACUGACAACGUUAAGGGAAGUGUGACCAUUAAUCAGUUAAUUAUAGGUACCUAAGUAGGCUAGGUGAUUUCAAAUAAAAUAGCAUGCCAAACAAGAUCAAAUCACAACAAAAAAAGGUUAGGGUGCGUACCUGGUCUGCCUCUCAAGCGCUAUCACAAAACAUAAGAGUUAGUGUAGAAAUCCAUCACACAACAUAUAUCUUGCCGGGGAAAAAUCUAAUAUAUAUUUAAACACCCAAGAAUCACAUCAUGCAUGGAUAUAGUCACCCAUAGCAUACGUGUGCAUAGAAUUCUCGAAAAAAANNNNNNNNNNNNNNNNNNNNNNNNNNNNNNNNNNNNNNNNNNNNNNNNNNNNNNNNNNNNNNNNNNNNNNNNNNNNNNNNNNNNNNNNNNNNNNNNNNNNNNNNNNNNNNNNNNNNNNNNNNNNNNNNNNNNNNNNNNNNNNNNNNNNNNNNNNNNNNNNNNNNNNNNNNNNNNNNNNNNNNNNNNNNNNNNNNNNNNNNNNNNNNNNNNNNNNNNNNNNNNNNNNNNNNNNNNNNNNNNNNNNNNNNNNNNNNNNNNNNNNNNNNNNNNNNNNNNNNNNNNNNNNNNNNNNNNNNNNNNNNNNNNNNNNNNNNNNNNNNNNNNNNNNNNNNNNNNNNNNNNNNNNNNNNNNNNNNNNNNNNNNNNNNNNNNNNNNNNNNNNNNNNNNNNNNNNNNNNNNNNNNNNNNNNNNNNNNNNNNNNNNNNNNNNNNNNNNNNNNNNNNNNNNNNNNNNNNNNNNNNNNNNNNGGUGCCUAAUGGGCCAAGUGUAUCUAAAAGCUAUCCUAAAAAAAACAAGAAAAGCCUAAGUCUAAGUUAGGGCUGCCAAGGGUCACAAUAAGGGAUCAAAUAAUCCCUCAACCAAAGUCUCCGAGGUGACUCAGAGAAAGGUAAGUGGUAUGAGUAGCCAUGGGCCAUCAAGGAACUACUGUGGAACACUAAAAAUGAAUUUAAAGACAUGCGAUAAAGGGACAAAAUUGAGGGUCUACAAAUAUGCCCCUCUUUGGUAUAGAUCACGAGUGUAGAGAAUGUGAGUAGAGAUACGAGUAAUGAGCAGAAUGAAGUGAACUAUACCGAAGAAUUAAAGAAGGACCAGAGAUUUUGUCGUAGCACAUGAAGAGGUAAGAUUAAAAGAUGGGGUCUCAACGAUAUGGACGGGACAACUCUAUGUGGGGGAAUGACAAUAAAGAGAGAACAGUAUGUGACGAGUAGCACAAAGAUGGAAAGAGGUGAAAAGGAUGAUUCAAAGUCAUGGAUGACAUGAAUGACUCUGGAUCAUGGACAAGGUGAAUGACUCUAGAUCCAAAAUAGGAUAAAAGACUCUGGGUCAUGAGCUCAGGGCUCUAAUCGGAAAGAAUGACUCUGGGUCGAGAUGGAAAAUGACUCUAGGUCGAGAGCCCUAGGCUCUAAAUGGAAAAGAAAUGACUCUGGGUCAAAAUGGAAAAUGACUCUGGGUCGAGAGCCCUAGGCUCUAAAUGGAAAAAGAAAUGACUCUAGGCUUAAUGGAAAAUGACUCUGGGUCGAGAGCUCCAGGAUCUAAAAUAGGAAAGAAUGACUCUGGGUCGAAAUGGAAAGUGACUCUAGGUCGAGAGCUCCAGGCUCUAAAAUAGGAAAGAAUGACUCUGGGUCGAAAUGGAAAAGUGACUCUGGGUCGAGAGCUCCCAGCUCCAAAAUAAGAAAGAAUGACUCUGGGUCGAAGUGGAAAGUGACUCUGGGUCGAAAUGGAAAGUGACUCUGGGUCGAGAGCUCCGGGCUCUAAAUGGAAAGGAAUGACUCUGGGUCAAAAUGGAAAACGACUCUAGGUCGAGAGCUCCAAGCUCUAAAAUAGGAAAUAAUGACUCUGGGUCGAAAUGGAAAAGUGACUCUAGGUCGAGAGCUCCCAGCUCCAAAAUAAGAAAGAAUGACUCUGGGUCGAAGUGGAAAGUGACUCUGGGUCGAGAGCUCCCAGCUCCAAAAUAAGAAAGAAUGACUCUGGGUCGAAGUGGAAAGUGACUCUGGGUCGAAAUGGAAAGUGACUCUGGGUCGAGAGCUCCAAGCUCUAAAAUAGGAAAUAAUGACUCUGGGUCGAAAUGGAAAAGUGACUCUGGGUCGAGAGCUCCCAGCUCCAAAAUAAGAAAGAAUGACUCUGGGUCGAAGUGGAAAGUGACUCUGGGUCGAAAUGGAAAGUGACUCUGGGUCGAGAGCUUCGGGCUCUAAAUGGAAAGGAAUGACUCUGGGUCAAAAUGGAAAACGACUCUAGGUCGAGAGCUUCAGGCUCUAAAAUAGGAAAGAAUGACUCUAGGUCGAAAUGAAAAGUGACUCUGGGUCGAGAGCUCCGGGCUCUAAAAUAGGAAAGAAUGACUCUAGGUCGAAAUGGAAAGUGACUCUGGGUCGAGAGCUCCAAGCUCUAAAAUAGGAAAGAAUGACUCUGAGUCGAAAUGGAAAAGUGACUCUGGGUCGAGAGCUCCCAGCUCCAAAAUAAGAAAGAAUGACUCUGGGUCGAAGUGGAAAGUGACUCUGGGUCGAAAUGGAAAGUGACUCUGGGUCGAGAGCUCCGGGCUCUAAAUGGAAAUAAUGACUCUAGGUCGAAAUGGAAAGUGACUCUGGCUCGAGAGCUCGGGGCUCUAAAUGGAAAGGAAUGACUCUGGGUCAAAAUGGAAAAUGACUCUGGGUCGAGGGCUCCGGGCUCUAAAUAGAAAGGAAUGACUCUGGGUCAAAAUGGAAAAUGACUCUGGGUCGAGAGCUCCGGGCUCUAGAUAGAUAGCCGAUCAGGAUACUUUCCGACUCAAGGUGUCGGGUCGAGGCCACUCACAAGUGGCUAGAAUGAUGAAAACGAAACAUCUCAGGGAUGAAUGAUGCAAAUGACUCCGGGUCGUGAGCUCAGGGCUCGGGGUGCUAUGAAUGACUCUGGGUCAAGAUGGAAAAUGACUCUGGGUCGAUGAAUAGCUCAGGGCUAUGAGCUCCGGGCUCUAUGACUGAUCGGCUAGAAGGAGAAUGCGAUACGCAAACUCCAGGUCAAACCACUCAUGGGCGACCAAGUGAUGAAAGCUCAGCUAAGAGCUGGAAAGACUCUGGGUCUAUAGGAAAUGAUAACUCAGGGCUAGCGGGCUCAGGGCCUAAGGGAAAAAGGAUAGGUCAGGGCUAUAAGACUCAGGGUCUAGAAGGAAUGGAUAGCUCAUGGCUACGAGGCUCAGGGCCUAAAAAAAGAGGAUAGCUCAGGGCUAGUGGGUUCAGGGCCUAAGGGAAAAAGGAUAGCUCAGGGCUAUAAGACUCGGGGUCUAUAGGAAAUGAUAGCUCAGGGCUAGCGGGCUCAGGGCCUAAGGGAAAAAGGAUAGGCUAUAAGACUCAGGGUCUAGAAGGAAUGGAUAGCUCAUGGCUACGAGGCUCAGGGCCUAAAAAAAGGAUAGCUCAGGGCUAGCGGGCUCAGGGCCUAAGGGAAAAAGGAUAGCUCAGGGCUAUAAGACUCGGGGUCUAUAGGAAAUGAUAGCUCAGGGCUAGCGGGCUCAGGGCCUAAGGGAAAAAGGUAGGCUAUAAGACUCAGGGUCUAGAAGGAAUGGAUAGCUCAUGGCUAUGAGGCUCAGGGCCUAAAAAAAGGAUAGCUCAGGGCUAGCGGGCUCAGGGCCUAAGGGAAAAAGGAGAAGACCAACUCGAAAGUGGACAUGAAAUAAAUUGGCUCAAAGCCAUUUACUCAAAAGGUCAAGGGUCGGACUACUGAAACCAAGAAGGGAAAUAUGCCCCAGUAUCCAGGGUGCUCACACUGCCGAAACAACCAGUAAAUCAAUCAUCCGCUGAAAUCAAUGGGUCAAGAACCAAUACAUCAUGACAAACCUCUGAAAAGUCUAAACUGAAGAAACCCUCUAUGUCUGAAAAGCUACUCUGUCGGUGAAUCUCAAAAGGUAAAUCUCAAAGAGUGUGUAUCAUGGCUCAUCUAAAAGUAAACCUCAAAGUGCAUAAAAUGCUGCUCAUCUGGAUAAUCCAAUCUGCAAGGUAACAAUGACGAAAACAAAUCUGUCUUGUGAACAUCUGGCUAAAGGAUCUCGGGUGAAACCUGACGUGAUCCAUCUCUAUCUCAAAAAAUCCAUGUAGGGAGGCCCUGAUACAGUCGAUCGUCGGAAGCUCUGGGCUAGUGCUCAAUCUAAAACCAAGCUGGCCACUGUCUCAAUCUCAAAGAUACUCAAAGAGAAUGGGGGAAAUAUGCCCCAGUAUGAGAUCCGAUAUCAAAUUCAUGAGGUAAACAACCGACACCAAUCAUCUAUCCUCAUAUCACUACCCAAAAAAAUCUCGUAAAGGAGAGGGGAAUAUGCCCCAGUAUGGAUAUCUGAUGUCAAAGUCAUGAGCUAAACAACAACAAUGAUCAUCCAUCUAUAUACCGCUGCCCGAAUAAAUCUCGUAAUGGAGAGGGGAAUAUGCCCCAGUAUGGAUAUCGGAUGUCGAAGUCGUGAGGCAAACAAACUAACAAUGAUCAUCCAUCCUCGUACCGUAUACAAUAACAGAUAAGAAUCUCGGAGGAAGGGGGGAAUAUGCCCCAGUGUGAAUAUAUGAUGCACAACCAAAGGAUGAAUCCAACAUCAUCAAUCAACUAUCCUCAGCUCAACAAUAAUCCGCUAAGAAGUCAGAAUGAUGUAUCAACCAAUGCCUCAAGGGAGACACUCUAAAUCUAAUCUCAAAUGAAUAGCCAAAAUGAUGAGGAAUGUGGUAAUCUCAAAAGUAGAAACAUGUCUCUGAUGAAUCCCUGACUGAAUCUGAUAGGAAUCUGGUAACCUCAAAAUGGGGAAAUAUGCCCCAGUAUGCCUGGUCUAUACACUGCACUGAAAACUGCCUCCAACUCAGUAAUAAUCCACUAGUCUAUCUCAGAAGUACUCCGGGAAUGGAACCACUAGGGGCUCAACGAUGCUCCACUAGAACUGAUAUAGUCUCAACAUACCUCACUAGGGAUCUCUGAUCGGUGAAAAUACCCAGACUCAAAGAAAGUGCUCCACUAGGGGCUCAUCUCAGCCAGAUGAAAGGGGAAUAUGCCCCAGUAUGGAUAUCUAAUGCACAACCAAAGGAUGAAUCCAAUAUCCUCAAUGAACUGUCUCCAAACCCAAAAAUCCAUCAAACAUCAAUAUGCCAAGCAAGAGAGAGACCAAAUGCUUCCAAAAGUAUCUUCCAUAAAAGAAAACAUAGUAACGACCAAACUUCAACCAAUCUACCAAAAACCUGUCCAAGUGAAGACUGUCAAAGAUAACGUCUGAUCUCGUGGCCUCAGGGUGGUCUUAAGACACGGGACGUAACGUAGGCCAAGGUGAUAGGGUGAAAGAAAUGAAGGGAAACUAGGCUCAAAUACCCAAUGAUCAAACUCGUACCCUCGUGUACAAGAUGUAAUGCAUAGAAAAAUCUCAUGAGUCAUGGACUUAGAAGUAACCAAAGGGAAUGCCGAUAACGAAAUGAGAGAAAGGAUGAAUGGUCAAACCAUCAAUGGAAUAUGUGAAUGAUGUGAAGAAGGUAUCAAAUCAGUAAUGGGUAUCAAUAUGUAGGGAAUGAAUAAAAGGUGAAACAAAGAUCUGGAAUGAGGUAAUGGGAUACAAAAGAAAGCAAUGAGAAAGUGGAAUGAGUGAUGAUCAACCCAUGUUAGUACAAUAAAGGAAAGUCAUAUCACCAAUGAUGGAAUGGUGGGUAUAAGACAAUGAUCCGGAGACCCUAGUAAAAAGGUCACUCAUCUCUCAUACCUAAUAUAUAUCAAUCAUGAUCCAAACAACAUAGGAUCUCAUAGAACUCUCACAUGAACCCUCGACACUCCAAAUGCAUAACAAGAGUGACUCAAGGACUGAAAAACUCAUAAAAAACUCACAAAAACCCACAACGACAAAUAUACCCAAUAAAUGAACCUCAAAAGGUGGCAUAAAUGCCCAAUGGAACAAGAUACCAUACAUGAGCAUAUUAUUGCGCUUUUCUUUUCUUUUUCUUUUUUCUGAUUUUUGAUUGAUUUUUUUUUUGAUUUUUUUUUAUUUUGAUUUUUUUUUUGAUUUUUUUUUUUUUGCGCAUGCUCUGAUCAUCAAUAAAUCAAACUCCAAUGGAAAAAUAUAAGGAAUGAACAAACUCUCUCUGACCACUGAUGAAUACAUGAACCCCAACCCAUGAGACAACCUCUCAAACUAAGAUCUCCGAAUCAAUGUCAAAUGAUGGAAUGAAUAGAGUGAUAUGACUGCCUUCUUUGCACUAAGACGUGAAGAAUCAUCAACCCAAGGAAGAGAAUAAUAAGAUGAAGCAAAUAAUGAUAGAGAAAAGAAAGAGAAUGAAUAUAUGAUGAUAAUAAAAUAGAACAAAUAGGGUGAUAAGAGGAUGGUAACAAAAUGAGAAGAUAGACCUGUAAGUCUAAAGCUCAUGAGACUUUCCUACCAAAGCAUGCAUAUACAUCAAAGGGCCCCAACCCGGGUAUAGAAAUGGUAAUCAAAGCUAUAAGAAAGAAAUAAGGCUAUAACAUACCACGCGAAGCUCAAUGGGCUAGCAACGGUCUAAUAUAUAGAGGUGAUAAAGUAUGAGGCUAACCGAAAUGAUGGCCACCCAUCCUGCGACCACAGUCUCAAACAUAAUACUUCUUUAGUUGAUCCACGUUGGUAGGCUCUGAAAAUUGGUUUCCAUCUAAGUCUGUCAACCAUGCAGCCCCUUCUGGAGUCAACUCCCGGAUAACAUAAGGCCCACUCCAACUAUCAUCCAACAUGUCUAUCUUAGGCCCAUCAUGAAGAAAACCAUGUCAAUCAAAGCUCCCAUCUGAGAAAAAUUAACGUCCUCUAUAAGAACUCUCAUCUGAUAAACUUUGACUCAUAAUCCACUAAACUCAUCAUAUGUACGAAGUCACCCUCAACAAUGUCACUGGCUAACUGGGUGGUGGGGGUGGUUGGUAAUGAAUCAUACGACAUCUCAUCCUGAACUGGAUACUAUCUAUCUCACUGUCCAUCAAUCCUCUGGCUCAAACCUGCUAAUGUCUCUUGAAUAGAGUCAUGGUGACUGUAAGUCGAUCAACUGUAUCAUACUGAGGAUCCAUACCUGACUUCUUUGAAACCUUGACCAAUCUAUCUCCAACUCUGAUAUAAAAAGUCGAAUCCAAACUGAAGCGAGUAACAUUCCUAUAAGGUACAAAGACGCGGAAAGAGAAAUGACAUGAAGGAAGCUCAGAAGAGGUGGAAACACACUAAUCACAAUGCAGAAAGGUGGCCCAACUGAGACUCAAACAUGUACCAAUCUCUGAGCACACCAAAAGGAGACCAUGAAGAGGAUAACUGAACCCAAUUGUGACCAAGGCAGCUCUGAAGGUCCACAGAUGCACCCACGUGUAGGAGUGAAAUCUUAAUUGGAUCUAGGCUAACCUACAAGGUUGAGUUGGCUCUAUAGGGUAAAAUGGGUGGGUCAAAGGAUCCCUAGUAGAAGCGAUUGUACCCUCCGGCGGUACGCAACCCUCUGCACGCCUCCAAGGAGACGGGGUGCUUCCAUGCAAGGUGGUCAUCACCUCCACACAUGCACUUCCUCGCGUUCCCAGGGGGUUUCUUAAUGGUGAAGGCUCUCCCAUCUCUCAACACUCAAGGAUAAUCUAAAGUGCACAAUGAAGGAUGUGGGUGCAUUCGAAAAACCUAAGAUCUAAAGUGAGAUAGUGAAUGAAGAUAAGCAAUCAUACGAACAUGCAAGAGAAAAGGUUGUCAUGCAACAAGCAGCCAUGCGAAGCAGAUAAAUAUCAAACAAUCAAAGUCCUAUCUAGCAUAUGUGAGAGUGAAUCAUGCUAAAGUGAACAAACAGUUAAGUGAUCACAUCAAACAGUCAUGCGAAUCAAAUAAAUAGCAAACAAACAAAGUCAUAUCUAACAUAUGUGAGAGUGAAUCAUGCUAAGUGAGCAAAACAAUCAAGUGAUCAUUCAAGGCAAUCAUACAUGUUAAGAUAACAAACCAAACAAGCAAGCAAAUCGAAUCAUCUUGCCUAAAAAAGGAGGUACCCACUGAUCGACCAAUUAAACGCCACAUUUUCCUCAACUAGUGUUCAAGCUUGAUCCUCAAAAUCCCCAGUGGAGUCGCCAAUUUGUGGACCCGCAUUUUUCACAUGCGUCCCCACUCGAUCGGCGAGACUCGCUUUUUAUUUGUGAAAAAUUAAUUUUUGGAAAAAAGUUGGAGCCGCCACUUAUUUUAUUUUUAUUUUAAAGGGAAAAUAAAACAAGAAAGAAAAACCCUAAAUGUGACUCCAUAAUUUUUGGAAAAAAAAGCAUGUCUUCGAAAAACCCGAGUCUAAGUCCGGGGAUCAGGUUACUUAUUGGGAAGGUACCUUUAAAAGGUAGCACCCCUCUAAGCCCUACAAAGGUCUCUACUGACAACGUUAAGGGAAGUGUGGCCAUUAAUCAGUUAAUUAUAGGUACCUAAGUAGGCUAGGUGAUUUCAAAUAAAAUAGCAUGCCAAACAAGAUCAAAUCACAACAAAAAAAGGUUAGGGUGCGUACCUGGUCUGCCUCUCAAGCGCUAUCACAAAACAUAAGAGUUAGUGUAGAAAUCCAUCACACAACAUAUAUCUUGCCGGGGAAAAAUCUAAUAUAUAUUUAAACACCCAAGAAUCACAUCAUGCAUGGAUAUAGUCACCAAUAGCAUACGUGUCCAUAGAAUUCUCGAAAAAAAGAUGAGAAAGAGCGUACCUGGAUAGCAAGCUAAAGCGUCUUUAUGGGAAGCAAGGUUAGCCCAAUAAUAGAUUCAAAAUAAUCUCAUAUAUACCACAAAGAUAAAGCACAAUUAAUUAAAUAUCAAACAAAAAGUAUUGAAGAAAAUAUCAUGGAUGUCGGGCCCAAAAGCCAUGUAACCAUGCAAGUCAUACAAGUCACGCUGAAAAUGUCCAAAUGGGCCAAGUGUGCCUAAACGGGCCUAUGAUGAAAUUAAGUGGGCCUAGGGUGGUGCCUAAUGGGCCAAGUGUAUCUAAAAACUAUCCUAAAAAAAACAAGAAAAGCCUAAGUCUAAGUUAGGGCUGCCAAGGGUCACAAUAAGGGAUCAAAUAAUCCCUCAACCAAAGUCUCCGAGGUGACUCAGAGAAAGGUAAGUGGUAUGAGUAGCCAUGGGCCAUCAAGGAACUACUGUGGAACACUAAAAAUGAAUUUAAAGACAUGCGAUAAAGGGACAAAAUUGAGGGUCUACACUAAUGCUUCUUCAUACCUAAGGUUUUUUUUUUUCUUUUUUUUUUUUUGCGGUCAUGCGAUGCGUAACAUAUUUGAUUUGAAAAAUACAAUAGUUGACGAUAUUGCUUCCCCACUUGGGGAUCUUUGCUUUUAGAUGGAUUAGGCCAUUUGGUAAGACUAGGAAGUUCUUCUUUGGUAGUCUCGCUAGCGCCUCUUUGUCCACUGAUAGUGUCUGGGUAGCUGCAUCGAGUCAAGCCACCAAGAUCUAGUUCUCCCUUUUGAUUCGAUUAACAGUUCUUCUCAAUUUGUCCAGCUACCUUCGAUACUUUGUUAGCUACGGUUCAUUUGUUCGUUGUGGCCACUCAUAAGUUGUUGGGGUGACAUGCUCACCAUCAACGUAGUUAGCUGCCAAUGUAGUCACCAUGGUUGGCUUUUGUUUCAUUCCCAUAGACGAUGCCAAUUGUUGGUGCACAACCUUUCUAGGUGUGAUGAUUUGGUGACUAUCCGGGUUGCUAGCCAAUCUUCUAUUGUCACCUCCUCUAUUGGUGGGUGUCUUGGUUCUCCAGGAAAAUGAUAUUUUUUUUCCUUGUUCUUCUUCCUCCUUUAUAGGCUAGAGUUAGACGUUGGAGGUUGUGUGGAGUACACGAUUAGCUUGGCAGGUUUGUGUUAGGCAAUGUGUGGCCGACUAUCCCUGACGCUUUCUAUUGAUGUGACAAGAUGAUGUUUUCCUUAGAGAUUUGUUCCUCAUACAUCUCUUGUUGUUGCCUUUGGUAUUCAUGCCACAUGAUCCAUGUUGGCAGCCUAAAAACUUCUUCCCAGUGACCAAUUUUUUAGUUCUUCUAGGAUCAUGUUGGAGUGGGCUCUCGGAUCACUAUAGGUUUAAACAGAGUCGGGAUGACUUCUCGAUCGGGAGACAAUAUUCAGCUGAUACAACAUCCAGGUACCCCUUCUCGGCAAAAUUCAGCACCCUUAGGAGGCAGCUUUUAUAGCGAAAUCUGCCACCCCCGACCCAAGUAAGCAGGUAGACCCACAGGUUGGUUGGCUUCUAUGGUUUGUACCUCCAAUUAUAAUGGAAGUAUAAAUUUUAAAAAGAUUCAGUGAUUGUAGGAUUCAAUUCUAAUGCUCUUAUAGUAGCCAAGGGUCCUCGGACUCAUGGUAGCACACAGACAUGUCCUCUUCUAUCUAUGCAAAUAGUCAUGCAAAAUACAAAUAUUCCCUUAUACAUUCCUAUAGUUUUACAUGUAUAUGAAUUUAAUUAUUUUAUGUUCUGACUAGUGAAGCAACCAUAUUUCCCCAUUUUAACCUCGCUACUGCCAUUGAUGCGGUAGUAGAGUAUAACUGGCACAUAUAGAUAUGUCGAAAGAGCAAUCGAGAGCAGAUAGCUUCAAAUUCUGAAUGUGAAGUUCAGUUGGAGACUGGUUUUAUUAGCCUUUUAGAUAUGAUUUGAACCUCUAUUUUAGACAAGAACCUGGAGCUUCUGAAUAUAUGUAGUACAACUCCUUUGGUCAUGUAUAUAUGUGCAUAUUGCGUUGAGAUAGACAACAUACAAUCACUUGGCAACACGUACAAUAUUAAAACUUUCAGAAUAUCACAAAAUUUGAUUGAUGUCAAAGACUCAUUCUGGACAUUUAGGAUAGGAGGUUACAAUAAAGCCAUUAACUGUACACAUAAGUUCAUUUGCAUGAAUUGGGAACCAAUUUAGAAGGUCAAGUAUAUUCGCUGUCAACAAGAAUGACGCUACUGAGGAGGAACCCAGUUUGAUCAAGAUUCUAGCAUCAAACAACAGAGUCAAAGUCAAAUCAAGAGCAACGUUCCAACUUGUCAUGAAGACCAAGAAUAGUAAUUGCUUUUGAGCAAGCAGUGAAAUUAUUUGCAAUCAGACAAUCAUCUUCUUCUUCAAGAAAUGCUGUAAUGAAAUUCUUACCAGUUGUCUGAUUCUUCAAAACAUGAAGUUAGCAAACAGAUUGUUCAUAUAUAAUGUCAGCUGGCAUAAAUGUAGUGUUCAAUCACCAAGCCACAAAGAUGAUACAACCGAACAGUUGCAGCAGGAAAACUUGGUUGUUUAUUCAAAAUCAAGUAAAUCUCUAGGUCCCUCAUACCACGAUUGCUCCCAAUCUUCAGGUCUUGGCGUAGACAAUUCCUUCCUUGUCUAUGUGGACAGAACAAUGCUUGCUGUUCUAGUUGUUGUCUUUCACCAUGGUCUGUAGAAAAAAUGUCCAGAAAAACAACUAAUGAUCAGUAGAAGUGUAAAAGGGAAGAAAGAAAACUACUGAUAGAUUGGAUCAGUCAUCUUCUUCAUUAGAUCAUUAUAAACAGUUGGCUUUGAAAAAUUUGAAGUUAAUCAACUACAAUCAUGACACAGAUUUAUUUUUCCUAAAAGAAUGUAAAUGUAUGGUUUCUCUUUGAGUACAGCUCUCUACAGCACAAAAAUAAACAAAUACUGUGGUCAAAGCUGUCAAUCAAAAUCCCCCUAUCCAGAAUGCAUGGCAAUGGCUGAUCCAAAUGGCCAUGUACUAGUACACUUACUAAGAUUUCCUUCAAGAAUCAUGUACAAGUGACCACCACUGUUCUCGGUGUCCAGAGGCAGUUUUCCAUACUCAUCUCCUUCUCCAUGAGGCUCAUGUAGUUAUUGGAAGGAUUCAAUAAAUAAUCUCGAAACCCAUGAGCGUUUUUGGCCCAAAGAAAUUCAGCAUAUAACAUAAUUUUUUGUAUAUAUAUAAGUUUAUGAAAUAACCAUGAUUACUAGAUGGGAAAAGUGUGUUUUCAUCCUCUGAUAUGACUAUAUCAGUAAAAUGAGAACCAACUUUUCCUAUUUCAAAUUAAGUCACAUCAAAUUAAGCAGACUCUGAAAAAUACUGAUCUCCAUCUCAUAGUUUGUGAAUGGAUCAUAGACUGAAAAUGAAUUAUAUGUAAUCUACUUAAUUUACCAAAGGUAAUGAAAUCUAAUUUACAAUCAAAUUAAUUAAGAAACUAAGAUACUAAUCACUACCAUACGUACAUAAAUCAUAUAACAUUUCUGUAACAUUACUUUUCUUCAAUAUCAAGAACCGAAAAAAAUUAUAAGGCAAUCAAAUGAAACAAACCAAGAAAACAACAAUAUUAAAAGAGUUAUGAAAUAUCACCAGAUGAUAAUUAUUUUGUCAUAACAUAGUGAACAACAUAAAUUAAAAUCUUGAAAUGUCACCAUAGCCAACCUAGUAGAAAUGAUUCAUCAAAAUAUUUGAAUGUGAGAUCUUAAACUGGUGUUUGACCAAUAAAUAUGGUAAUAAACAUAUAUUAAGUAUAUAUGAAGUGACCAAGCUAAGAUUUGUAUCAUGUUAUUGUAGGGAAUCCCGAAUCUCUUUGUUCCUUAUCCUAUGAUUAGGCUAGGUACAUACGAAUCUUUCUAAGUUUUUCUAAAUCGUAUGAACAAUGGAAAAAUUGUGUUUUAAAAUAAUAAGAAGAAAUAGAAUUUGCAUUAGAAAACAUUACCUUAGAUUUGGAUGUUCCCAAAUCUAAUUCACGUAGUAAAGGAGAAGAUCGAAGAUCUUCCACCAGAUGACUUUUCCUUGAUUUUAGAUCUUAAUUGGUGAGAAGGAAGGAAGACUAAAAAGGAUAUGGUUCUCUCUCUCUCUUUGAAUAGUGAAAGAUGGCUCACUUCAAAAAAGUAAUGAAAACCUUAUCAUUUAAGGGAUAUUUAUAGGGUUCCCUAAUUGGGUAUAAGUGACUUAAGCGUACUAAAGGCUUGAAUCAUUUAAUUUAGCUCAGAAUGAGUCUUAAUUGAUUAAUUAACCUAACAUAGUUAUUUAAUUAAUUAAUUAGCUAAAUUUGGAGACUUUGUUCACUUACCCCUAUGCAACCUUGCAUAAUUACCAAAACACCCUUAUACGCAAAAGUGAACCAAGAGUUGUGUCAUCAAGGUAUAUGAGCUUAGGUGGACACCAUUGAGACCUAUAGGACAGUACUAGCUACCCCAAAAUCUAAUUUUGAAGUUGAUUUAACAUUCCACUAUAGAGAAUCGAUUGCACUAUAAUACCUUAUAUAAAUAACAAUGAGUACUGUUGUGAACAAGUCAUCUACUUACAAUGAAUCCAUUUCUUGAAUUUUUUUUGCAACUCUUAAUGCACUCAAGUCCUAUACAAUAUAAGAUAUGUAUAUCAAAAUGCUUACAAGGUAUAAUGUAUAGGAUUAGGAUAAAUAAAAGUGAACUAAAAGUUUAUUAAUAAAUAAUAAAAUUUUAAAUUUAUUACAUAAUGUCAUUCUUUUAUGAAACCUUUAAAAUAGUGAGAGCGCCCUUUCAUAAUCAUGAAUUAAACUUUAGUUUCAACUUCUAUCAAAGGCUAAAUGAGAAAAGCUAUCAUAGAGGAGGCCUCAGCCAAUGGGUAAGAUGCACUGUUAUACCAAACAAUAAGUGGAAAAUACAAUUUUAUUAAUACUUGAGACAAAAAAAAGAAAUAGAAGGAUGAUUUUACACUCAAACCAAGCAUUUAUUUAUAAUGAAGUGCAGUCUCCAAACGCACAUGUGGACUUAUUGGAAAAUCAUACAAAUUAUUGAAGGACGACCUUAGCUAGGCUAACAGUCUCCUAAAUAGGCCAUCUUUUAUAUAUCUUUGCAUUCAUCCAUCUCCUCAUUGUCUUUGAUUUUAGAUGGUGAGGAUGUGAAAGUAACAGGAAGCAGUGGACGAUUGUUCACAGUGAGGCUUAGCACAUCAGCUCUCGAAUAAUGUCCUACCACAUCGAACUGGAACUUUGCUUUAGGAAUCUCUCCACGAACAUCUACAUAUCAAGUGAUCAUAAAAAUAUUUCAUCAGUCCAUGAUAAAUAUCAUAGAAUAUCAAGUCUUCGAUAAAACUAAGUUUGCAGUCCUCUUAAACCUAAAGAAUCGACUCAUUUGCCUUAUCUGCAUACUGAAAUAUUUGGAUAUAUAAUUGGAGAAGUCAGGGCCAUACCAAGAUCAGCUGUGAAGAGGCCUUCUCCUUCAUAAUUCGGUCCUGCUAGAAUUUCGCCAUGGGGCGAAAUGAUGACACUACCUCCAGCCCAAACAAUAGAAUCUGGAGUGACAUCUUCUUCUGUAGGACUGUAAAGAUACUCAGGUGGAGGUGGGUAAUCUUUCCUCCGACAGAACUGGAUGGGUGAAAGAACAUAGCAUCCACCCUCAAUAGCGACGUGUCUCAUUGUAGCUACCCAUGUAUCCCCGGAAUCGGCAGUAGGAGCACAAUAUAUCUCAAUACCUAUAUAGAUGUACAUUCGUAUUUUGUGAUCAAUCAAUCCCAUAUCAAAGCCAUAAUGUAUUUCAAGCCAAAUCAUAUUAGUUAGUGAAGAAAAAGAAAUGGUAAAAGACAUACCUUUGCCAUACAUUGCUGUCCUGAAAAGUGGCAUUCUAUUUUCCCAACAAAUGACCGAACCAAGUUUUCCAUAUGGAGUGUCAUAAACUGGAGUUGUCGAGCAAUCUCCGAAACCCCAGAACAGCCGCUCCCAAUAUGUUGGCAUGAGUUUCCUAUGUUUUCCAAGGUAAUUACCUUCAGGAUCAAAGAAGAGAACUGUGGAAUACAAUGUGUAUCCAUCUCUCUCAACAACGCCUGUCACUAAGUAGACUUUGUAUUUCGCAGCCAUUGAUGCCAAUCUAUCCGCUUCAGGUCCUGAAAAUACAUUAAUAUGAGAUCAAAGAUGAAACAUGUAAGCUGAUCGUUCAUCACAAAGCAUAAGUAUAAUUUUUUUCUUGGUUCAUUCAUCAAACGUGUCUUGUUUCAAUAACUAAUUAAGUGGUUCAGUUCUUUAGCUAUUUAAGGGAGAAAGAGAGAGAUAACUGACCCGGCACAUUAAUGGCAGAAGCAUGGUACUUGCGGAAACUUUCUUUCCCUCUUGGCGACUGGUCGGCAAAGUUGUAUCCCCGGGGAUACCCACCGAUAAAUGCUUCAGGAAACACAACCAGUUGGGAUCCUAGUGCAGCUGCUUCUUUCAAAAACCUCUCAGCCUUAUCUGCUCUCAAAAUCACAUUGCAAGAAUUAAUAAUCCACGACUUAGAAAGUAAAUGAAUUGGUUGAAUGGAGAGAAUGAAAAUUAACUUCAAGGGAUCCCGAAUGACUUUUUGGUUGCUGAGAAAACUCAAGGAAAAAGAGACCUAGAUGAAACUUGAAACUCUCAUAUUUUCAGCUGUUUUGUAACUAAGAAAAGAGAAACCACCUCAACCCAACUCAUUAAAAUAAUUGUAAAAGCAGUAAUUCCUUGAUUGGCAGCUGAAAAUAUGAUCAGGGUUCAAUCAUCCUUUUCUUUUUUUCAGUCUCUGACCAACCAAUUAGAUCACAUAUUCCAUUACACAAGUUGCACAAUUGAAAGAAAUGGUACGUUACCUAGAGUGGCAGGAGUAUCAUAAAAGAUACUAGAAGCUUGAACAACGGUGGCUCUAACAGUUGAAGACAUUGCAGAAAUCGUAUGCUUUUUCGUUUCCCUUUUGUUUGAGGAUUCCUUACACAACGUUCAGUAUAUAUAUUGCCCAUGAACAUGAGGUUCUUCUGCCAUUACUUGAACGAGACGAAGAGGCUGUGAAAAGUCUGCCUUGGUUUUCUAUAUUUAUUGUGAGCUUUUCUCCUCAUCACAAAUUUUGAAGUUAUCCGCAGACAUUGUGGACCAGCGACAUGACUUGUACAAAUUGAAAAUGACUGUGAUCUGUGAAAAGUAAUUUAAGAUAAAAUUCAAUUCAUGGUUUGAUAGUUUUAGACAAACAAAACACAAAGGUGAACACAUACCCAAAUUAUUAGGCUUUUAUUUUCAUUUCUUUUAUAUGUAUAUAUAUAAUGUAUAAGUUGCUAUGAUUAUUUGAAUUAAAGAAGGGACCCGCCCACGUGCAUAGUGGUGGCUGAGGCCUUUUGUGACCUCAAAAUAAAAGAAAAAAAGAAUAGUCAUUAAAAGCACAAGAUAGUCAUUAAAAGUACAUAGUGUUAUAGUUUUAGACGCCCAAAAGAAGUCUUUUUGUGCCUUGUAAGAAUCAAAAUAAGUUUUAUCGCUUUCUUUUUUUUCUACAGGUACGAUGAUUAUCUUUGAACGAAAAGAGGGAGCCGCCCACAUGCAUGGAUUCCAUCCAUCUAGCACACAGAUAAAUUGUCAUUUGUGGCUUGAGGCUUUCUAUGACUUGUACUAUAUAUCUAUAAAACCCAGCAUAUAGCUAACAACUGGGUCCGACCUCAUGUAUUGGUCCCUACCAAAAAUUAAUGAGUGAUUCAAUGGCAGCUAUGGUAGAAAAAUAAAAAGGGAGAACUAUGCUUACCCUCACGUUGAUUCAAGCAAAUAUAUUUUUUAGGAAUUCUAAUUUUCAUAUUUCACCCAAAACGCAUAAUCAAUAAAUUUAUCCUUCAAAUAUGUAUUUUAAUAACAACCAAAAUGAGAAUUCUAUAGUUAUCCCUUAUAAAAUCUUUAAUAUGACAAGUCAUCAUUUGAUCUGUUUGAUAUCCUCUCCAUAUCAUGUAUUUGAUAUCCUAACUUUGACAUUUUUUUAUUUAUAUACGCUGAAGUGAAUACACUUUCAUAUUUCUUUUCGUUCUUUUAAUAUUUUCAUAUUUAUUAACUUAGUCAUUUUUUUGAAACAUUAACAUAAAAUUAUAAUAUAUGAUCAAUAACUAAUGAGAACAAAUUAAACAUAAAUAUAAGUAUGAAAUGGACAGAAAAUAAAAAUUUUAUCCUACAAACAAUACACUAAAUAGUUUAAAAUAUUAAUUAUAAUAAUAUAUUUGAUACUUUAGGGUUUAGAUUAAAAAAUUAUGUUUUACUUUUUAGAGGCUAGGAUAUAGGAUUUCCAUUAACCAAAGAUUUUUUGUAUGAAUCCUAAAUAAAAUGUGCAUUUAUUUUGCAAAUUCUUAUCAUAUAUAAUUAAAAUAAAAUAAAUAUAUUUUUAUCAUAUUAUUUUUAAUUUUUAUUAUUUUGUGUCAAAAUCAUAGUCAAUGAUGGUGGUUUUUGUUAUGAUAUAGCUCUUAAAAGGAUGUUAUGAUGUAAUAAAUAUGAAGUUUAUUAUUUAUUUAAUGGUAUUUUGAUUUCACUUUUAUUAAUCUUUAUUUCAUGCAUUUUACCUUAUGAGUAUUCUAGCCUGACAUUUCUUGCACUAUACAUAACUUGGGUGCAUUAAAAAUUGCAAGAAAGAUCCAAGUUAUAGGUUCCUUGCAAGUAAAUGAUUUGUUCACAACUGCUUUGUGAACUUAAGUGAUCCAUUUGAUGUCAUAGUUCACUACCUCUUCAUUAGAGGAAUGAUUGAUCUUGACUAUCGAGAUAGAGUUCUCAUGGUGAGUACACUAGUAUGAUGAGUUAUGAUGUAAAGUUGUUGGAUAGUCAUAACUUCACUAAGUUGUUAUAUUGUAUUGUUUUCUCAACCUUGAGAGAAUAUUGAACUUGUGCCAAAGUUUGUAAUUAUUUGACCUAUGGGUGAGAUCCUAAAGUGAUAAUAUAUUCCUUACGAAUUGGGUCACAGUAGAUAGAAGUCGGUAGUAAUAAGUAUUCUCAAUAGAGACAUCAUGAAAUCUCAUGGAAUUUGAGAUAGUGUUGGGUGAUAAUAAGGACAUGUAAUCAUGAAAUCUAUGGUUGUAUUAAUUCUUUAAAUGAAAUUUGAUAUAUGCUUUUGUGAGUUAGAGUAUGUUAGUUGAUCAUAUAAUAAGAGAAUAUAUAACUCAAGGAUGGUAAGGUAAUAUUGAAAGGCAAAUAACUUUCACCUUAUUAGAUUAUAAACACCAAUUCAUGGGGAGACUAUAUGCAAUAGAUAGCAGGUCAUGAAGUUAAGCAUUUUGUGUCUUUUUGUAAUACACAUAGGGCAUUGAAAUGUAAUUGACUUUCUAUAGUAAGAUGUUGAGCCAACUUUAAAAUUGGAUUAUAAAGGAGCCAAUACUAUCUUAUGGGUCUUAGCGGUCCUCGCUCAAGUUUAUAUAUCUCAAUGACAUGGUUUGUGAGGGUUGGAUUGACUCAUGAUUCACUUAUGUGCAAAAAGGCGUUUUGGCAAGUAUGCAUGAAUGCAUAAGAGUUUGUUGGGAUAAAACCUUAUAAAUCAUGAGAUGAUGUAAUAGAUUUAGUUUCAUUAAUAAAUUUAUUUAUUUACUAUUCUAGUUCCCUCAUAUUAUCCCAUUGUCAUUAAUUGGUUAUCGGAGUAUUUACACCCAUAUCACUUGCAUUGUACAUGACUUAGGUGUAUUAGGAGUUGAACAAAAAAUCCAAGUCAUGGGUUUUUUGCAAGGUGAUAAGUAGUUUAUAGUGGGUUCAUGGAUUUGAGCAAUUUAGUAGAGACUAUAGUAUACUACCUCCUAAUUGGAAAGAUAAAUUGUCUUAGUCACCGAGAUGACUUUCCCAUGAUGAGUGAAACAAUGUGUAUGGUUACACAUUGGACAUGACCUAUGGUGAAUUAUGACAUUAAUUUUUGGGUAGUCAUGAUUUACCAUGAUACUAUAUUAUAUAAACUCUCAACCUUGAGAAGAUAUUGAGUUUGUGCUGAAAUCAAUAGGAAACUUCGAUCUAUGGGUGAGAUCCUAGUGUGGUCAUAUAUUCCUUAUAAAUUGGGUCACGGUUGAUGAAGAUUGGUGGCAACAAGUGUUCUUAAUAGAGAUACCAUAAUAUCUUAUGAGAUUAAGAGAACGUGUCUCUUGGGUGAUCCUAAAGACAUGUGAUUAAGAUGACUACGACCAUAACAAUUCCUUUAGUAGAAUUUGACAUAUGCUCUUUGUAAGCUAGAAUAUGUCAAUUGAUCACUUAACAGGAGGAUUUGUAACUCAAGGAUUGGAGAGAUAAUUUUGAAAGGUUGGGAUCAUUACCUUGUUAGAUUACAAACACUAGUUCAUGGGGAGUUUACAUGCAGUGGAUAGUAGGUCAUAGACCUAAACUUUGCCUUGUUGUAAUUAUAUAGCAUAUUAGAGUGUAGUUGACUCUCUUUAGUAGGGUGUUAAGUUAACCUUAGAAUUGGAUUCAAAGUGAGAUAGUAUUUUCCUAUAGGUUCCAAUGGUCCCUACUCAAUUUGGUGUCACAUUUGUUUGAGGGAUUUUAGGUUUGUAGUUAACAAGUGUGCAUAAGGGGGAAUUUAAUAAAAAUACAAGGUUGGACUAGAUCUUGUGAAUAGACUUUCUAGAUUGGCAUAAUUUAUUAAUUGGAUUCUAAUAGGGCUAAUUAAUUAAUUAGGACCUAAGUGAGCUAAAUUAGGUAACCUAAGCCCAAUUUGGGCUCAAGUCACUAAAGUUCACAAGGAAGCUUAUAAAUAAUUAUUUAAAGCCCAUUGGGUUUUAUGAGUGACUUAAGCUUGCCUUGGGUUUGGGUAACUUAUUAUAGCCUAAAAAGGUUCUUAAUUGAGGGCUUAGAUUAAUCAAUUAGCUUAGUCCAAAAGUAACAUUCACCAAAUUUAUUGGAAACUUUGAAUUACUCCAUUUCAUGAUCCAGGAUCAUAUAGGGUGCAUGCAACUAUCCUUAGGCUUCUCUAGAUCUAAUGCAAUGGAAAAUAUGGAUAUAAAAUCCAUAAAAUGUACUAGAUUUAUAGAUUAGAACUCAUACCUAUGAUUUGAAUGUUUCUAAAUUAAAUCUAAUCCCUAAAAAACAUCAAAGAUGUUUUAAAAGUCAUUUAUUUCCACCCAAUCUCUCCUUUCACAAAUAGACCCUAGCAUAAAAGAAGGGUAGGCUUUUGUCUAUCUUUUUUGAAGGUAGCUAGGGUUUUCUCAUUCUUUUAUGGCAUCAAACUCUUAGACUUUUACUUUUUCCAUUCUCUCCCACAUGUCUAGAGAGAAUCUAGUCCCCACUCUUCUAGAUAUCUAACAUUGGAGUUCGUAGCUUCAAUGAGGAGCCAUCAAAUAGAAAACCAAUAGGUUUGUGAGAUUUUCGAUGACCCCUACACAUUUAAUAACCUCCUUGACUGCAAAAAUUUGAUUUGGGAACAUCUAGAUCUUGGUAAAUACUUCUAAUCUAUAGAUCUAGAUCUAAUUUCUAUUUUAAAGGUGAUUUUUCUUUCAUUGCUAGGGUCUAGAUAAGCCUAGGAAAGUCUGCAUGCACUUAACGAGAUCUAGGGAUAGGGAACUUAGUGAUUUAUGCUUUCUUGUAGUUGGAGCUUUUUGCUUUUGAUUUUAACUUGAGUGUACUUUUGGCAUUUUCUUGCUUAAGCUUUUAAUUUUUUUGAAUGAUGUACAAUGCAUUUAUUUUUUUAGAGGAAUGUAUUUAUUUUUCUUAAUGAUGUACUUCCUUUUUUGAAGGAUAUACUUAAUUUUAUAACAAAUGUAUUUAAUUUUUCUAAAGAAUGCACUUAUUUUUCUAAGGGAUCUAGUUGUAUGGCAUAAGAUGUCCUCUCAAGCAGAGGUGGAGGUACUAUAGAUUUUGUAAUAGGCACAAUGAUUACUAAGGUGGUAUGUGAUGGAGGGAUUGGCAUAAAAGCCUGAAGUAAGGGUGUGUCUAAUAAUAUAAAUGGCUCGAGUAAGUAAAGAGCAAAUGGUGUGGAAAUUCAAGUAGGGAAGAAAGGGUUGGUAUGGAUUCAUCGGGGGAAGGAAAUGUAGGUUCCAUGAUACAGAUGCCUGAAGUAAGGGAAGAGUAGAUAAUGUGUAAGCCCUAAGUGGGGGUUGUUGAUGCCAGGUUAACUAAGGAUGGAAUCCCUUGGUUGUGGUAGCAAAAAGGUUCUGUCCAAAAGUCGGAGACUAGGCUUUCGCCUUCCCUGCACAAAGAUGUCCUGACACACUCUCCAAAACCUAAGUCAGACUUUGAAGUGGGUAGGAACCCUUAGAGAGAGAGAGAGAAGAUGAGAAAGUCCUUAGUAUUGCGUACUUGGGUUCUGGUUCCAGGAGGGUUUUUAUAGUGUCUAGGAUGGAGUCACUAUUGUGUUGAGUUAACAUCUUGACUUUUGCCGUCAGAUGGCAUCACAGUGGAUGGUAGGGUAAUCAUCACCAUUUAGGCGGCUGGCAGGGGUUUCUAGUGGGUACGUUAUGAUGGUUUACCUGUCACCUCAACCUAUUGGAGGUAUGGGGCAGUGUGUGAUAGUCGUUUGAUAUGAACGUGGAGACAAGGUAAGAUCCCAUCACCCAUACUUUUGUUAGAAAAAAAUGAUUUCCUGCAGCAAGGAAAUAGAGCAACCAGCCGGAAUGCACUGACAAUUUAAGGGAGCCUAGUAUUGCCGAUUGCUGGCAUGUAUAGUCCAGACUAGGACCUUCGAGUUUGAUGAUGAUCGUCCGAACAACAUUGAGAUGAGCGCCAUGUGGGCCAGUAGUGGUCUACCACGUGGGGGAAGAUCUCCACAGGGGUGACAAGGUUGGAAUGAAGGUAUUAUGGAAGAUGAAAUAUAAGUCUAUGACAGCUUUGAUUUGGUCUGGACUUCUAUUCCCUUUUGUGUGACCAUGAAUCCCAGGAAUUUGCCUGCGCUGACCUCAAAGGCACAUUUGGCCGGGAUCAACUUCCUAUUGUAAUUUCUCAUUAAGCGAAAGGUCUCUUCUAAAUGUUGGGCAUGUUUUGACCUGGUUUUGCUUUUUACCACAAUGUCAUCAAUGUAUACUUCCACUAUGUGGCCGACUAGUGGCUUAAAGAUCUUCUUCAUCAGCCUUUGGUAGGUGGCUCCCGCGUUCUUGAGCCCAAACGACAUGACUUUAUAGUAGUACAAUUCGUGAGGCAUUACAAAGGCGGGUUUUUUUUUCAUCCGACUAGAACAUCGAAAUCUGAUGAUAGCCAAAGAAAGCAUCUAUGAAAGAAAACAUCGUGUGUCCAGCAGUAGACUCGAAUAUCUGAUCUAUCCGGGGUAACGAAAAACUAUCUUUUGGACAUGCGUCAUUCAGGUUGGUAUAAUCAACACAAACUCGUCAUUUACCUCCAUUUUUUUGGGACCACCAUCACGUUUUCCAGCCAUUCCAGAUACUCUACUUCCCUUAUAAACCCAUCCGUGACCAACUUCUCUAUUUUACGUUGGAUAAUCUUCUGUCUAUCCGGAUGGAAGCAUCGGACUUUCUGUCGAACACGUCACGAGGAAGGCAUAACAUUGAGCUUGUGAGAGGCUACCGAUGGAUGGAUUCCGGGCAUAUCAGAAUAAGUCCAUGCAAAAACUUCUUUAUUCUGUUGAAACACUCCUUGGACUGCUUUAAGCUCUUUAAGUGCUGGUAAGGAGCUGACAUAGGUAACACGGUAGUUAUCCUGAGAGAGAACCAACGGUAGGAGUGGGUCAGCCGCCGACGGAUCUCUUUCUGUCGGGCUCUGUAAUUGCUAUUGUUCCUCCGUGUCAGUUCGUUUCGUAAGUGGCUUAAAAACACUUAUGGAUCCGGAUUCUUGCGCCACUUGAUGACAUUGUCGUGCUGCUAGCUGGCUUCCAAAGAGGUUGAUCGGUGCCUUCUCGAUUAAAUAGCUCACCAUUUGGUGAUACAUAGAGGGGAUGACCUUCAUACUGUGCAGCCAUGUGCGCCCCAUGAUGGCAUUGAAAAUGGACAAGUCUUCCACUACUAAGAAUUGCACAUUCUAGACCAUUGACUCGACUUGGACGAGUAGCACAAUGUCUCCUAGAGAAAUUGUUGAGGCCCCAUUGAAACCUGAUAGUACAUGUCCGGGAUUCUCUAAGGUGGAUGAAGAGAAUCCCAUCUGUUUGAACGCGAACAUCUAUAACAGGUCAUCCGAAUUGCCCGGAUCAACUAAAAUCCAUCUUACGUCAAAAUCAUUGAUCCCCAACAUCAGGAUGAGGGCAUCUUCAUACGAUUGUAACACUCGGUUGGGGUCCAUUGGAGGGAAGGUGAUUACCCCAUUUAUUAGGCACGUGUCCUCAUCGGGCAAGCCAGGUUGGAUGGAGCUAACCUGCUUUCUUACAGAGGCUGGUUGAAGUAAUCUUUGCCUCUUCUGUUUAGAGUUGUAUUUUUCAUCAAUGGAUACCCAAUGAAUGUAGUUGAUUAUGGCUCUAGGAGUUGCUGAAGUUGUGAGGGUCGUGGUGGCUGGACUUCAGGUUCCAUCCCCACGUCUCCCAUUUGAGUGGACGUACUAUUUCAGAUGGCCAACUCUUAUUAAUUUUUCCAGUAAGUAGUCGAGGCUUCUGCAUUGUUAUGUGGUGUGACCAUGGUCUUUAUGGUAAGCGCAAUUUCUAUUCUGAUCCCAUUUCACCGGAUCUGUCUUAAUUGGCUCGGGCCAUUUGAAAUUGGACAAAUCCUUGAUCAUGGGGAGGAGUUUGUUGUAUGAGAUAUUGAGGGGAGUGAGACUAGCUUGGGUUGCCUGUUGUCCAUCCUACCACUUACCAGUUUGUAUGCAUUGUUUGCAGGCUUAGAGCUCUCGACUGAGUUGUUCCUAGCAUUUUGAUUGGUGACCAGGACCUAUUGGGUAGCUGUGUGGACAUCGUUUCAAGCAUGGAGUACUUGUUUGCUCGUUUGAACAAAUCGUCCAUCGUUGCUGGAGGUUUUUUGGCAACAGAUUCAAAAAAGGGUGUACCCGGGCAGAUGCUUCUUUUGAAAAUUUGAAGGACGAUGUCUAUGCUACAAGGUUCUACUUGAAGCACAACAUGUCCGAACCUCUUUACAAACUCUCUCAAUAACUCAUUCUCCUGCAUCUUUAUGAUUUGCAAAGUACUGAUGUUCUGCUUAUGCCGUGCUAAGCACAGAUACUGUCCCACAAAGGCCUCCAACAAAUUCUGAAAAUUAUUCACGGAAUUCAUCAGAAGGCGAUGGAACCAUGAAAGAGACUAGCCAUGGAGGUUAGCUUGGAAGACCUUGCACAACAACGCAUCAUUCCCUAUGUCAAGGGUCAUGAGUUGCCUAUAAUGCAUGAUGUGGUCAAAUGGAUCGUUGGUUCCAUCGUAGGUAGAGAAUUUUGGAACCAUGAACCCUCUUGGAGAGUUGUAGUUGAUGAUGUAAGGGUUGAAAGGUGUGGAGAGCAUGUCAUUCGGUCGCCUACUGACAGAGCAGGGGGAACCCUUGUUGACCGGAUCCCCCACUAGUUGUUGUGCUAGUAGAUGGAUAAGCGAGUCUUUUAUAUCUAGUACAGCUGAGGGUCCAGGACAUGCCUCCUGAGCCGUCGCUACAUGCGGUUUCCCCUCCAUAUUGGGCAUCUAAGGCCCUAACCUUGCGAGCAUUGCAUCCGAUAGCUAGGACUUCUUAUCGUGUUUCCUUUUUGCUGAGAGACGAGUGGAGUCGAAGCUUUCAUCCUACGGUGCGUGACAAGCUGGUGGGGAUCGUUUCUUAGGCUGCAUUUCUUGUUCAUUAGAGGGGAACUCUGCAUACCCAGGAUAUGUCACCUCAUCGUUUUGCCUGGAGUUCGUUUGCUGACUUCUAGGUUGUAGGCUCCGAGGAGGGUCUGAUGAAGACACCUAAAUGCGCAACACUUCGUUCUCUUCCUUGAGUCUCCUCGUCUCAUGGAGCAGGGCUUGCAGUUAUCUCUUGUUCUCGUGCUAGUGUCUUUCCAUACUUUCGCACCAAUUGAAGUAGCCCUCGCUACCCAUGGCUGACGAUCGACUUUUAGAGGGUGUUGACAUCUUUAUUUCAUUCCCAUAGACGACGCCAAUGUUGACGCUAGGUCAACUAAGGAUGGAAUCCCUUGGUUGUGGCAGAAAAAAGGUUCUGUCCAAAUGCUGGAGACUGGGCUUUCGCCUUCCUUACACAAAGAUGUCCGGACAGGUUGUCCGAACACUCUUCGAAGCCUAAGUUAGAGUUUGAAGUGGGUAGGAACCCUUAGAGAGAGAGAGAGAGAGAAAAGAUGGGAAAGUCUUUAGUAUUGCAUACCUGGGUUCUGGUUCCAAAAGGGUUUUUAUAGUGUAUAGGAUGGAGUCACUGUUGUUCUGAGUUGGCAUCUUGGCUUUUGCCAUCAUGAUGGCAGCACAGUAGAUAGAUGGCAGGGUAAUCAUCACCAUUUAGGCAGUUGGUAGGGGUUGCUAGUGGGUACGUCAUGAUGGUUUGCCUAUCACCUCAACCUGUUGGAGGUAUGGGGCAGUGUGUGAUAGUCGUCUAAUAUGGACGUGGAGACAGGGUAAGAUCCCAUCGUUCAUACUUUUGUUAGAAGGAAAUGAUUGCUUGCAGUCGGGAGACAAAGUAACCAUCCGGAAUGCACUGGCAAUUUAAGGAAGCCUAGUACUACCGGUUGUUGGCAUGUAUAGUCUAGACGAGGACCUCUGAGUCUGAUGAUGAUCGUUCGAACAACAUUGAGAGGAGUGCCAUAUGGGUCAGUAGUGGUCUCCCAUGUGUGGGAAGGGUCCCAUAGGGGUGACAAGGUUGGUUGAAGGUAUCAUGGAGGAGGAAAUAUGAGUCCAAUGAUGUUGGUGACUCAACUCUUGUGUGGUUGGGAGGAGGGUGGUGUAGAUGAUAUGAAUCUCAUGUAAGGGUAAAAGAGGGAUAAGUCUAAUGAUAUAGAUGAUCGAAGCAAGAGAAGUACAAAUAACUACAAUUUUUAAUUUUUUUUAUUUAUCUUAAAGGAAAGAGAACAUUUUAUUUAAAAUUAAUAUACAAAAUCACAUGGUUGUAUCAUAUUUUAAUUUUUUUUUCAUUUAUCAUAUAACCAAUUUUUAAUUUAGUAUUUCUUUUCUAACUAUUUAAAAAUGUUAUUGAUAUAAAAAAUUUUAAAAGUCAAAAUUUAGUAUGAACUAAAAAAAAUUAAGUCCAAAUAAAAUUAGUAUUAAAUAUUUAAUACAAAUUUAUAUGAAAAAAUAGAUUUUCUUCUUUAUUUUUAUACACAAAAAUUUAAAAAUUUUAACUAAGCAAAGAUUUAGAACCAUAAUCAAGUUAAAACCAUAAGUAAAAAGCUAAAAUUAUCAUCAUAAAUUAUAAUUUUAACAUGAAAAAUUAAAAAUUAAAAAUAAUAUAAACAUAAAAAUAAUAUCAUAAAGAUAUUUUUACUUUAUUUAGAUGUACUAAAAUUUACAAAAUAAAUAAACAUUCUUUUAGCAUUUAUAUAUAUAUAAAAAAUCUAUCAGACAUAUCUUUUAUCUUAAAUCUCUAAAUAAUAAAAAUCUAAUUUUUAAAUCUUAACCCUACAUUGUGAAAUGUAUUUUUAUAAUUAAUAUUUUAAAUAAUCGAGCAUAUUAUUUGUAGGAUAGCAUUUGUCUUUUUAGUUCAUUUUAUAUUUAAUUUAUUCUCAUUAAUGAUUAUUAUAUAUUAUCAUUUUGUGUCUAAUGUGUUCAAAAAAUGAUUACAAUUAAUGAAUAUAAAAAGAUGAAUAAGUGAAAAGAAUAUGAAAUUAAAGAGCUUUCAUAGGAGAAAGUGUGUCCACUUGAUCAUAUUAAAAAAAAAAAGGUUGAAAUGAAAAGAUAUCAAACACUUCAAAUUAUGAUUUAUCAUACCACAUAUUAAAAUAAAAAAAAACAAUUCAUUUAGCUGUUAUUCAAUUGCAUAUUUUAGAAAUAAUUUUAUACGUUGUUUUUUGGGAUGAAUGACAUUUGAAAGUUGGAAUUCCUAAAAAAAAUAUACAUAUAUUUUUUUGAGUUAAUGUAUGUAAGCAUAAUUCUCCCAAAAACUGGUCAUGCUUCAUCAUAUUGUAUGUUUGUUUUUAUAAUGUGUGGUUAUUCAUCUUUAUAUUUGUGUAACGAAUUGAUAUUUUUAAAUUAAGAGUAUCAAUUGACAAGUAGAUGAAUCAAUUGAUUGGGCAUCUAAGAGACUUAUGUGUAGAAGACUAAAAUUAUAAAUGGGGAGUUAGAAAAUUUUCAUUUAUAUGAAGGUGUUACAACUUUUGUAAUCCUAUUAUUAUGAGAUUUAAUUUGUACAUAAAGUUUAUUAGUAAUGGAAGAAGAUGAAAAAGUAUAACCUAUGCAAUUACAUAAAUGCAUUCAAGUUGGUAAUCCACAAUUAUCCAUUAAUUUGUACAUAAUGUUUAUAAAUAAUGAGUAUAACUCCCAUAUAAUCUUUGAUGCAUGCAAAGACUAAGAGAUAUAAAUCUCUUUUAUAAGAUUAAGGUUCCAAGUCAUACUCUUAUUCUUAUGUCUUUUUGUUGUUUUACUUAGAACAACAUAUGACACAUAAGUGACUUGUCUACUAUAUGACAAUAAUGAGUUGAAGAUCUUAACCAAAACAAUUCAUAAGAUGACUUAGGCUCACUUCGAAAGUAUUAUCGAUAUCAUGGAUGAAGGUAAGAAUAUGGUCAUUAUUUUAUCAUUGCUUUAGCAUUUAUAUCUAUUAUGUUUUAUGCAUCCAAAAUUGAUUUUUCAAAAUAAUUAUUUUCACAUAAAGUUUAGUUAACACAUGCUUUUUUUUAAAAAAAAAAAAUUUAAAAGUUUAAAAAUAAAUUUGCACAAAUCACUUUUAAAUGUUUUUUUAUAGAAAAAAAUUAAAAUAUGAAAGAAUCACAUAUUUUUUCAACUUUGAAAAAUAGAACUAGUAAACAUAUUUAACAUUUAUAGAAAUAAAAAAUUUAUUAAUAUUUUAAAAAUAAAUAAAUAAAAGCAAUGGUGUAUACGAAUAAUACCUUAUUCACCCAAUUUAAUUAUCAUAUGCCCUAAGGACCAAAGUGCCUAACUAAAUUUUUGCUCAAGGUACAAUAAUGCUAAAAAAUCUUUAAUCAAAACAUGGAUCUCACUCUUACUUCUUCCCACCACUUUAAUUUUACCUAACCUCACCCGCAGAAGUUCGUUCAUGUCUUAACUUGAAUCAAGUAUAACUUGUUUGUCUAGUUUGAACCUCAUGUUGCUUAAGUCCCAAAAGGAUAAAAUUUCUUUCAGAAUAUAAUUAUGCACAAAAUCCUCAUUAGGGUUAGAGUUUGCUCCUUCAUUAAUUAUUUAUAAUGGUUUAGGGUCAUAAUAACAUACUUUAUUAUGUUAAAGCGAAGAAUGAUCAAGAGUCCAAGUACUAACAAAUGGCACUUAUGAACCAUAGGUUGAGGAAGUGGCUUGAGCCCAAGCUUGGGGCUUAGGUUAUUUUUUGUUUAGGCAAUACUUAAAUCCAAACUUAAGGGUGACAUUAGAAACAUAUUUCAAUCUCAUAUUUUAUCAUCUUAACUAUUGGACCUAAUUGCACUCAGCAUGGAACUUGUUUAUGCAUUUUGGGAAUCGCAUGCAUUUUAGUACCAAAAUAGCUAUGCAACUUUUUUUUCCACCUAAUUAAGUUCAAAAUUAAGGGGGUGUUUGGUAAAACUUAAUACAUUUUACUAAUGACUUAAAUUGACUUUAAGUUAAAUUAUAUUUAAGUUGUUAACUUAAAAUUUAUUAUUUAAUUCUUACUUUAAGUAUUAAGGUUGUUUAAUAAAAUUAACUUAAAACAUAUUUUAAAUUAUCAAAUUAACAUAUUUAUCAUCAUAAAUUAUAACUAGGGUAUGAAAGGUUGAGUAACAAUGGAGGUGGUGGAGUAGCAAAGGAAAUUGUGGAGGUAACUAGGACAAAGGAGGAUAAAAAAGUAACAUGAAGACAUAAAUUUCAAAAUAAGUUAAUUGUUUUUACUUAUUUCUUAAAAUUAUUUUUGGCUUUAAGUCACAUCAUUAAAUUAUUUUAGUAAAUAUACUUAAUAACCAAAAUUAAGUUAUUAAGUCACUUUAAGUUAUUAAGUUAAUUUACCAAACACCUACUAAUUUUCAAAUUCUAAGUUUAGCUUUGCUUUGUAGUGAAUGCAUUUAGGAUUAUCAAAGAGGUCAUCAAGGGUUUCAAACAUAUUCUAUUGCUCAACUUCUCUAAGAGGGACUUCAGAAGAGAAGAUCCCACAAUUCUAGUUUUGUAUUCGAUUAUAUGUAUCCUACCAUAUGGAGACGGUUCCUCAGCAUGCUGACUUAUUAUUAAGGGUUUCAUGUGAAUUACGUACGCAUAAUAUAACAUAUACAGUUGGAAGAUAUCUCGAGAUUCUGAUUUUAUAUCUGGCCCUCAAAAUUCCCUUGGCAUGCUGAUAUGUCAACUAUUGAAAAGCCUACAUGACUUGUAUAAUUUGAAAAUGACUUCAGUCAUGUGUAAAAAAUAAUAAGAGAUAAGUUUUGAUUAAGGCAGCGAAAAGUAAUUGUGGACUAAUUGUGGACUAACUACUGACUUGUACAAUUUGAAAAUGACUUCAGUCAUGUGUAAAAAAUAAUAAGAGAUAACAUUCAUACAUAGUUUUGAUUAAGGCAGCGAAAAGUAAUCACUGUCAGGUUGUGGACAUUCCACCUAGCUAUUGGAAAGUCUGCACCCAUUUUCUAUAUUCAUGAGCUUUUCUCCUGUUCGAAUUAGUUUUGAAGUUAUCUACAGACAUUAAUUGUGGACUAACUACAUGACUUGUACAAAUUGAAAAUGACUUCAGUCAUGUGUAAAAAAUAAUAAGAGAUAACAUUCAUUAAUUGUGGAUAAAUUGUCUAUAUGACUUUAAAGAAAAAAAGGUCAUAUAAAAACUGAUUGCCUUGUGGAUACGCCUACCAGUAGAUAGCUGAGAACAAGGUCUAACUCUCAACCUUUUGCACUGCCUCUACAAAGGAACACAAAAUUGAGAGAUUCAAAGGCAGCUAUGGUAUAAAUACUGUUUCAUAAAUUACUUUUCAAAUUUAAUUUGGUAGCAAAAAUAAAAAAUAUAAAAGCAUAAAAAAUUUCUUUCAUUCCCAAAAUUUUUGCAAAUAAAAUUUUAAAGUAAUAAAUUAAGACCUUGACUCUUUUCACAUCUUAUUCUCAUUUCUAAAAAAGCAAUGAUAGUAAUAAUCUUAUCUAUAAAUUUUAAAUGAUGUAAGAUCAUUGAAUUUUUAUUUUCUUUUAUCUUCUUGUUAUGUAAUUAUCAAACAUAUUUUUUUUAAGACAAGAAAAAAAUUAGACCAAACAAAUAUAUUUGAUAUUUAUAACAAUUGAAAACAUAAUUCGUAUUUUUCAUUUUAAAAAAUAAUAAAAGCAAAGGUGUAUCAAAACAAUACCUCAUUUGCUUAAUUAGUUAUCACAUUUCCUAAGUACAAAAGUAGGCAAGUAAAUUUUUGCUCAAGUUACAAUAGUGCUCAAAAUCCUUAUCCAAGACUUAGAUCCUAUUUCACAAUUGUUUUUUAAAAUAGUUUUUUUUCUUCCUUAAAACAAAAAAACAAGAAAAUAUGUUUGACAACUGGAAAAUAAGGUUGUGGACCCCGUAUUUCCCUCGAUGUGUUCCCAUUCAAUGGCGAAACUCGUUUUUUUUUAUUUAUUUGGUGAAAAAUCGAUUUUUAGAAAAAAGACUUGGAGUCGCCACUUAUUUUUGUUUUGUUUUUAAAGAGUAAACAAAAUAAGAAAGAAAGCUCUGAGUGUGACUCCUUAUUUUGGAAAAGGUGGUAUGUGAAAAACCAAAUAUGGACUCAGGGGUCAGAUUACUUUUCGGGAAGGUGCGGUAAAAACCGUAACACCCCUCUAAGUCCCUAAAAACAGGUCUCUACUAAUAAAAUGAAACAAGUGUGAAAAAAGAUUGAUCAAUUGUGGAUACCAUACAGUAAUCGAGAGUGUGAAAGCAAGACACGCGUGAUAACAAAUAAAUAAAUAAGCAUAAUCGAGUACGAAGCAUACCUUAAUCGCAAACCGAGAGCUAUUAUAAGAGACAAGAUUAAUGCACAAAUAUGGGAUAAUCACAUGCAUGUCAUAGAGUGAGGCAAGCCAAUCAAGUAUAACAAUCAAUCGAUCAAUGGAAAAUCUCAUAUGUUGGGCCCCACCAAAGCCCGAUUUAUCUUAGCAUAGAUUAACUCCAUAAAUUUCUUUAUUUGAAAUUAUAGAAUUAUUUAUGCUUAUUAAAAAUGUGAAAAUCAGAAAACUAUUAAAAAUCAAGGAGAAUUUAUGAAAAAUGUUUGUCGGAAAGAUAUGUGGCGACCAAUUUUAUUAAAAAUGGAAAAUAUUUAAAAUCAAGAAAAAAAGAAAAAGAAAAAAAGAAAAAAAAAGAAAUGAAUAAAAUAUAAGAAAAUAAAAAAUAAAAAAUAAGAAUGAAAAUAAAAAUAAUAAUAAUAAUAAACAAAUAAAAUAAAAGAUGCAUGACCAGUGGAAAGUGGUAGAGAUUGACUUAUUAGAAUUGGAUUUAUUUAAAACCAAGAGAGAAAAAUUGAAGAAUUAAAACCAUUUGAAAAACAAGAUUUUUUAUUUUUUUUUAUAAAAUUGAUUUUUGAAGGCGUGUAUGAAACUAUAGGAGAUGAGACACGUGUCUUAAGGAUGACCUAUCAAAGGUGGAUGCAAGGGGUCUUGUGCAGUACUGGUGGUCGAAUAUGGGAUACCAACAACUGAGAGGGCCCAGAUGACUACUGUGGGUCCGGAUGGUACAGAAUGUCUCUUUCCUUGUGGACCCCUGCAUCCCUUUCCAGCCUAAGUCAACCCCCGAAGCUAUCCAAUUCAGCCAUUUGGGUCCGAAAAUCCUCCUUAGUUUUGAUGUUGAUAUCACCAUCUUCUUCAACCUCAACUCUUCCAACAUCAGGUAAGCCAUAGCCAUGGCAGUGACCUACGGAUAAACGUUACCUCCCCACCCAUCCGGCACCAGAUUAAAGCCUGCAGAAUGCGGCUUCCCCUUCAGCCCUACUGACCGGAGCUCCGAGAGCCGCCUGAUCACUAUCCCAAGGCUCACAGCGUAGUAGUACCCGAUGAAGAUCUGUCACGGGCUCCACCGUUCCACCUCAUACCACGAUUUGCACACCACAAAUAUCACGUUUCGGUCCUUAUCGAUAGGAAUGAAAGAAAACACAUUCUCCAAAACCUCUUCCGGAAACGAGUACGCCAUUAAAAAUUUUUUCUUGGAGUCCCGAAUUCACAAACAAACCCUAAACCGGACUUUUCGAAGUCUCAAAUCUGAGAUGCCAUUAACAAGCUCAGUUGCAUAAUACAUCUUUCCGUUCAUUUCCCCAUUGGCUUUGUCCCUGAAGUAUUUGCAGCCCGACAGCUUGUAGGGGAACCUCACUGACAUAUCGUGUUCGGUCUUCUCACUCACCACGACAAGGCGAUAAAGAUAGAGUUGGAAAGGCGAAUCAAGAGGCAGCUUUAAGUGAUCGAUUUUAGAGAAAGAACCCGCUUCCUCCAUUCCCUCAUUGGAUGAAAUUUUGGAUAAUCGUUCACCAAUUCUAACUUUCAUCUUCACCAAGUCUCGAUGCUUCUUCUUUAAUAAGUGCAACGAAUCUGCAUGUCGGGAGACCAAAUUCUCACGACGCAUAAUAAAAGAAUUUGCACCCGCCGUUACCGAUCCUUCUCCUUUGAUACCAACUCAUCCAUAACUAUGUCAUUUAAUCACUUCUCCAUUUGACCAUCCAUUCCGAACAUGCCCAGAAAAUCAUUGCUACUUGUUAAGAUAUUAGGAAUGCUUUCCUUAUAUCAUUUUUUCCUUAUGUCAUUCAGUGUUAGGAUAUUAGGAAUGUUUAGAUAUUAGGAAAGUUAAGAUAUUAGGAAUAUUGACAUAUUAAGAAAAUUGAGAUAUUAAGAAUAUUGAGAUAUUAGGAAAGUUGAGAUAUUAGGAUAUUAGUUGUUAUUUCCUUAUAUUAUUCUUUCCUUGUAAUUCUUUCCCAUUCUUAGAAUGGUGAUUACCCUCUAUAUAUACUCUGUACAUGAACGAAUGAAAGUAUGAAUGAAAAACUACCAUUCAUCAAUUUGAAGAUGGUAUCAGAGCCAUGGAACUGAAAUCUUGGAUAUUUUGUUGGUAAGGCCAACCAUCGUCCCUCCUUUGCGAGAGAAAAAAGAAAAAAAUGAGUGAAAAAAAUACUAUUGUUUUUCAAUCUGAAGGUACUUUCAAUCCAGGAAUUAUUUUGAAUGAAUCAAACUAUGACGUUUGGUCACAACUCGUGGAGAUGCAUAUUGCCGAACGGGAAAAACUUUCCUACAUUCGAGGUAAGAUAAAUCUACCAAAAGAGUCAAAAGAUGGAUAUGAAAAAUGGUAUGCUGAGAAUCAAAAGGUGAAAAGAUGGUUGUUAAUGUCCAUGAGUCCAGAAAUUAUGAAGCAUUACUUACACUUACCCACCGCUCAAGAAAUUUGGAGUGCAUUAUCAAAGGCCUUCUAUGAUGGAAGUGAUGAAUUACAAGUUUUCACUUUGAAUCAAAAAGCCUUCACUGCCAAACAAAACAGCAGGUCUCUUUUUGAAUAUUAUGGGGAGUUAACUGAAAUUUUUUGCGAAUUGGAUCAUUGGGAUAAGGUAGUCAUGAAAGACCCUGAGGACAUUGCAGCAUACCGGAAAUCCAUUGAACGACAACGGGUGCACAUCUUUCUUGCUGGAUUUGGUGGUGACUUUGAGCAAGUUCGAGGAGAGAUUCUACGCAAAGAUCCUCUUCCCGAUUUGGAAGAAUGCUAUGCAUUGAUUCGACGAGAGGCAGUGCGUCAUGCUAGUAUGAAAGCAGAAUCUGACAACCCUGACACCUCAGCUAUGGUAGUCCGACAACAAUCAACCCGAAAUUGGCAGGACCAAUCCAAGACCAACUAUCCUAAGACAAACCCUAAUAUUGAUAAGUCAACCUUCAAAUGCACUCACUACAAUAAGGCUGGUCAUACCAAGAGUCGUUGCUUUGAAAUUGUGGGAUAUCCAGACUAGUGGGAUCACAAUCGUGAUCAAUGGAAGAAGGAUUCCAAGAAAACCUCAACUGCAGCUGUUGCUAAAAUAAAAACAGAGGCUAAUGUUGAUGAGAAAGCCUCUGCAUUGGUAGCCGCUACAGAUUAUGGUGGUAAGUUUUUAAAUACUUCUACACAUGUCAUUAAUAGUGCAUGGAUAAUUGAUUCUGGUGCUAUAGAUCAUAUGACUUUUGAUUCUAGACAAGUCUCACCCCUUAGACCUUCCUCACAAAAAAUUGUUUACACAGCCAAUGGUAACAUAACCCCAGUCAUUGGGGAAGGAUCCUUAACUCUUACUGAUACUUUGAAUUUGGAUUCUAUUUUAGUUGUUCCAUCCUUAAAUUACAAUCUUUUGUCAGUUUAUCAAAUCACUGCAGCCUUAUCUUGUAUUAUCAUUUUUUGGCCUGAAUGUUGUGUUUUUAAGGACAUCCAAACAAGACAGACGAUUGGUUGUGGUAUUAAGCGGGGAAAACUCUAUUAUUUGGACUUGCAGUAAAAGGAUUCAAAUAAGUUGUGACAAACCUUGAUGGCAGAUGGAUCUGAGGGGGAGAAGAAAAAGUCUGAAAUUUGGUUGUGGCAUCGACAUCUAGGAUAUGCUUCCUUUGGUUAUUUAAAAAAAUUGUUUCCUAGUUUGUUUGCAAAGAGUGAUAUUUUUGGUUUCGGUUGUGAUAUUUUUGAAUUGGCUAAAAGCCAUCGUGCUUCGUUUCCAUUAAUUUUGAAUAAAAGUCCGUCUCCUUUUAUGGUUAUACAUUCUGAUGUUUGGGGCCCAUCCAAAGUCCCAACUUUGAGUGGUUCGCGUUGGUUUGUUACUUUUAUUGAUGAUUGUACCAGAAUGACAUGGUUAUGCUUGAUGAAGACCAAAGAUGAAGUGAACUUGUUGUUUCAAAAUUUUCAUAAAAUGAUUUAAACUCAGUACAAUGCAAAGGUUCGGGUUCUGCGUAGUGAUAAUGGUGGAGAAUAUCAGAGUUUUGAUCUUCAAAAGUAUUUGGAAGGACAUGGCAGCAUUCAUCAAACUACUUGUUCCAAUACACCCCAGCAAAAUGGAGUCGCUGAACGAGAAAAUCGGCAGUUGUUAGAGGUUGUUCAUGCUUCCUUGAUAGCAGCAAAAAUACUGAUAUCUUAUUGGGGAGAAGCAAUCAGAUCUACCGCAUACUUGAUCAAUCGGGUACCUUCUAGCUCAAUUAACUUCCAAACACCUUUCCAAGCUCUUACUAAUGCCAUAGUUGCCCCAACCAUCCCAAAUCUACCUCCUCAUGUUUUUAGUUACGUUGCAUUUGUGCAUCUACACAAACACCAACGCACCAAGUUAACUUCUCAUGCAUUGCAAUGUGUGUUUGUUGGAUAUGCAUUGCACAAAAAGGGAUAUUGAUGUUACCAUCCUCCAACUCGACAAAUGUUUAUUACAAUGGAUGUGGUGUUUCAUGAAGAUUCGAUGUAUUUUUCAUCUAAGUCUGAACUUCAGGGGGAGUACCAUAAGGAAAUUCAGACUCUCAAUUAUGAUUAUCAUAUCUCUGAGGAUGAGGAAUCUGGAAAUCUGAACUAGUGAACAAGGAAGCGGGUGAGUUGGAUAUGAGUGGUCAACAAUUUGGGUCCGAAGAUGUUUUCACUGAAAUACCAAACCAAUCGUCGUCUGUUGAGGGUGUUCUUAAUUUGGAACCCGAUCCAUUCAUGAAACGGUUACCACACCAUCAUAAUAAAGGUAUUCCUAAACCCACAUAUGAACCUGAAUUGUCUACCAAAGUCAAAUAUCCCAUGAGCAACUAUGUGUCUAACCAUCGUUUGUCAGAAUCAAAUAAGUCAUUUGUAAAUCAAUUAUCUACUGUAGCAUAUUCCUAACAGUNNNNNNNNNNNNNNNNNNNNNNNNNNNNNNNNNNNNNNNNNNNNNNNNNNNNNNNNNNNNNNNNNNNNNNNNNNNNNNNNNNNNNNNNNNNNNNNNNNNNGCAACCAAUUCGAUUGUUUUGUGAAAAUAAAGCCGCAUGUGACAUUGCUAAUAAUCUAGUACAACAUGAUCGUACAAAGCAUGUCGAGGUGGAUAGAUUCUUUAUUAAGGAAAAGUUGGAUGACAAGAUUGUGGAAUUGCCUAAGAUUCGAUCAGAAGAUCAAUUGGCCGAUAUCCUCACCAAAGCUGUCUCAAGUCAAGUAUUCUAAAAAAUUUUAGACAAGUUGGGCAUGUGUGACAUCUAUGCACCAACUUGAGGGGGAGUGUUGAGAUAUUAGGAAUGCUUUCCUUAUAUCAUUCUUUCCUUAUGUCAUUCAGUGUUGGGAUAUUAGGAAUGUUUAGAUAUUAGGAAAGUUGAGAUAUUAGGAAUAUUGAGAUAUUAGGAAAGUUGAGAUAUUAGGAUAUUAGUUGUUAUUUCCUUAUAUUAUUCUUUCCUUGUAUCAUUAUUUCUCAUUCUUAGAAUGGUGAUUACCCUCUAUAUAUACUCUGUACAUGAAAAAAUGAAAGUAUGAAUGAAAAACUACCAUUCAUCAAUUUGAAGACUACUUCAUGUUCAACACUUUAAAAAAAAUGACGAUGUCAGGUGUGGUGUUGAAUACAGGAUGAAAAUGAGGAGCACGAUGGUGAGAUAAGUGGAUUGACGGGCAUUAAAAAGAAUGGUGACAUGUAUGGGUAUGGAAAAUGUGGAUCAUGAGUGGUUGAAGGAAAUGGUGAAAACGGUGGGAAAGAUAAAGUUGUGUGCAUAGUAAGGGUGUUGGCUGCUUGCAGUGGGUAAGAUUGAUGAAGAAAAUGGGCAUGAUGAGUAGGAGGUGCAGAGCAAUGAAGAUGACCUUGCAUAGGGGAAAAAGUGUGGUGGAGAAAUGGGAAGAAUGAAAACAGGUAGUGAGAGAAACAGAAAUGAAAGGUGAUCAUGCAUGCAUGAGGAUAGAUGGGUAGCGAAGGAAGUGGGUUUACAGGGUGCUGAAAGAAAUGGGUGUGUAGGUUGAAUGGAAGGUGGAGAUGUGGGGCGUGGUGACGGGUAUGAUUGACGGGCUCGGUGGGUAUGAGAAGAAGGAAGAUUGGAUAAUAGGAGAAAUGGGUAUGGAAGAUGGCCAUGUUUGCAUGAUUCCCAUGCAUGUGUGGAGCUUCAGGCGUGCACGUGAGAAAUGAUAGAAAUGAGGUAAAGGUUGGUUGGAUGAAUGAUGAGGGNNNNNNNNNNNNNNNNNNNNNNNNNNNNNNNNNNNNNNNNNNNNNNNNNNNNNNNNNNNNNNNNNNNNNNNNNNNNNNNNNNNNNNNNNNNNNNNNNNNNNNNNNNNNNNNNNNNNNNNNNNNNNNNNNNNNNNNNNNNNNNNNNNNNNNNNNNNNNNNNNNNNNNNNNNNNNNNNNNNNNNNNNNNNNNNNNNNNNNNNNNNNNNNNNNNNNNNAUGGUAUAGGAGAAACGAGCAUGGGGUUGGUAAGAUGGGUUAGUGUGGCCAUGUAUGGCCAUGCAAAGGUGGGAAGCAAUGAGAUUGAGAAGAGUGAAAACGGGUAGAGAGAAAAAUGGGUAUGAAAGAUGAGUAUGUGAGGAUUGAAAAUGGAAUGAGGUGUGAAAGUUUUAGAAACUAGGUUUCAGAAAACCAAUAUUUCUCAUUGUCUAUUACGAAAAGAUGAUAAGUGCUUGUACACUGAUGUUUUUUAUAUUUAUAUCUACAACAACCUAACUAACUAACUUCCUACUUCAAGACGUUCUUAACCAGCUUUUGUUUGUUGCAGUUGACCCUGGUUUGUUGCAGCUGAUCUCGGUUUGUUGUAGCUGACCCUGGACAGUUACUUUCUUGUUGAUUAGCUAGGUAUUGUCUAUCAUCCCCCCGCAAGCUCAUAGGGGAGGGAACAACAGAAAGCUUCGUUCUAAAACUAAGGAACUGGGAGCUUGAAAUAUUUUUAGUGAAAAUGUCAGCAACCUAUUCAGAGGAAGGAAGAUACUGAAUGAUGAGCUGUUUACGAAGAACGUGAUCCCAUAUAAAGUGAAGAUCCAUUUCAAUGUGUUUGGUCCUAGCAUAGAACAUGGGAUUUGCAGCCAAGUGAGCUGCACUUUUAUUAUCACACCAAAGUAGAGGUGGAGAGGAGGAAAGAGACAAAGUUCCUAUAAAACAUAUUGAAUCCAAAUAAUCUCCGAAGUAGCAGACGUAAGAGCACGAUACUCAGAUUCUGCACUGCUGCGAGACACAACCUUUUGUUUCUUGGAAGACCAUGACACUAAAUUCGGACCAAGGAAGAUGCCAUAGCCACCAGUGCUUCUUUGUCAUCUGAACAAGAUGCCCAGUCGACAUCAGUAUAUCCAUGAAUAUCCAACGAGGUGGACUACUGCAUUUGAAUGACAUAGGAUAAAGUGCCUUUGAGAUAUCGCAAAAUCCGUUUCACAGAAAGUUAGUGAGUAGUAGUGGGCGUAGCCAUGAAUUGACAAGCUUUAUUAACGACAAAAGAAAUGUCCAGUCUGGUAAGGAUAAGAUACUAAAGCGCACCAACCGUGUUGCGAUAUAAGGCGGCAUCCGAGAGAGGUUCACCAUUAAGAUGAGAUAACAUUUGUCCUAACAAUCCCGGAGUAGUAGCAGGGUUGGGGUCUAACAUGGCUAUGCGAGUUAAAAGGUCUUGUAUGUACUUGUGCUGACUGAGAUGAAACAUAGUACCAUAACGAACGACUUCAAUGCCCAGAAAAUAAUUGACAUAGCCCAGGUCACGAAGAGCAAAAGAAGAAUUGAGUUGAGUAAUAAAUGAGGAAACCUAAGCUGAAUUGCUACCAGUUACUAGUAUGUCGUCUACAUAAAUGAGUAAAAUAAGGACAUCAUGUGUUGAAUGAUGAAUAAAUAUCGAGCUGUCAGCUCGAGAAGCUUGAAAUCCCCAGCCAAGAAGUGAAGUGUUGAGUUUGGUAUACUAUGCCCGGGGGGCCUGCUUAAGGCCAUAUAAAGCCUUGUUAAGCUUGCAAACAUGAGAAGGAAAUUGAGAAUUGAUAAAGCUUGGGGGUUGAUGCAUAAACACAUGCUCUUCAAGAUCUCCAUGGAGAAAGGCAUUCUAAACAUCAAGUUGGUGAACUGACCAUUUAAAUGAGAGUGCAACUGCAAGUAUAAUACGGAUAGUAGAAGCCUUGACAACUGGACUAAAAGUCUCAAAAUAAUCGAGAACCAGAGUUUAAGUAAAUCCUUGUGCAACUAUCCGGGCCUUAUAACGAUCAACUGUUCCAUCGGGUUUAUAUUUGAGUUUGUAGACCCAUUUGCAACCAAUUAUAUUGCCAUUGGAGGGUGGUGGAACAAGAUGCCAUGUGAUGUUUCUUUGGAGAGAAAAAAACUCUUUUUCCAUGGCAAGAACCCAAUUUGAAUCUUUAACAGCCUAUGUGAAUGUAGUAGGUUCAGAAAUGUGAGAUGAGAAGUAGGCCUUCUUCUUGCUAAUGCCAUUCUUUGCAUGUGUGACCAUGGGAUGCUGAUUAGUAGGGUGAGGUUCAAAAGUGGAGAUGUUAGCAAAAGGAACUUGUAUCAGGUUUGGUAAAGAAGUAGUGGAGGAAGGCAUAUUAGUUAAUGGUGGGCUUGAAGUGGAAGGAGUUGUAUGGGAAGGUAGUGAGGACAUGGGAGGAGAUGAGCAAGGAAGAAGGGCUGGAGUGGGGAAAAUAACUACAUAUGAGAUUGAUCCAGAGUAGACUGAAAUGGGAACACCGUUUCAUGAAACACAACAUGCCUAGUAACAUAGAGACGGACUGACAAGGGGUCAAGACACAUAUAGCCUUUGUGAUCGAAACUAUAGCCAAGGAAGACGCAUUGAUUGGAGCGAUAGGAGAGUUUAUUUUUGUUGUAUGGUCGAAUAUAAGGGUAGCAUAAGCAACCGAAAAUUUUAAAGAUGUGAUAAUUUGGUGAUUUGAUAAAAAGAAUUUGAAAAUGAGAUUGAUAAUUGAGAACCUUAGUAGGUAGCUGAUUUAUAAGGAAAAUAGUUGUAUGAAAUGCAUAUAGCCAAAACUUGAAAGGUAAUGAUGCGGUGGCUAAUAAAGCAAGACCAAUUUCAAUUAUAUGUCGUAAUUUGCGCUUUGCUCGACCAUUCUGUUCAGGUGUGUAUGGACAAGAAAACUGACUUUUAAUACCAUGCAUAGCAAGAUAUGAAGAGAAGGCUUUAAAUUCACCACAAUAAUCAGACUGUAAACAUUGUAUCCGAGAAUUAAACUGAUUUUCAACUAGACUUUUGAACUUUAUGAAUACAGAUAAUGCUUGAUCUUUGUUGUGCAAUGGAUAAAUCCAAGAGAAACGAGAGAAAUCAUCAACAAACAAAAUGAAGUAGCGUGCACCAGUUGUGGACGGAAUGGAAGCAAGGCCCCAAAGAUCAGCAUGAAGUAAAGCUAAAGGAUGAGAAGCUCUAGAAACAGACACAUUGAAAGGCAAUUUAUGACUUUUUGCAAAUUGACAAGCACAAUAGACGUUGUUUUUAUGGCAUUUAUGUGAAAUAUUACAAGAGGUAAGAAUGUGUAAAGAGAUUUGCAUCCCCUCAAGUGUUGAGGUGAGAUUCAUUGGAAGGACACGAGAUGCUACAUCAUGGAUGUAGAAUGCAAUGUAAGCAAGCAUUGGAGAGUAAGUCUUAAGGUAAUGUUUUGCAAGUAAAUCUACUUAUUACAUUAGCAUAUAAUGGAAUAUAGAUUUAAAGUCUCUAACCUAACUCAUUGGUUUUUUUUUUUUUUUUUUUUUUUAUCUCUACACAUUGUGAGAAGGUUUUCUACAUAAAAAACUCUUUUUCAAUCUUAUGUUUGAUUGUUUUUUAGGCUUCUCUAAUUUAGAAUUGAGAUAGUUUAAUAAUUAAAUAUAUUUAAUUUAAGGCUUAAAAGGGUUAAACACCUAUUCACCCCUAGGUGUCAUACUAUAUCAAAUAACUUUCAAUGUUGGUGAAGUUUCUUCUUCAAAAGAGCUUUAACACGUGAUUGUUCUUCAAGGGAGCUUCCAAAGAGCUCAAGGGGCCUUUUUCUUAUCCAAUGUUUUAAUCUCACUCUCAACCAAUGGUAAAAGAAUAAACUUAAUCAUUAAAGAUUAAAGCUAACCAUGAAAGUAUCCAACUCACCUCGACAUAUGUUUUGGAUUUUUUUCAAGAAAGAAUGCAAGAGAGAUGAUUGAGAUGCUUCUAAGAGGAGAGUGUGAGGACAUAUAAAGGACAUUUUGUGCAAGUAAAGAAUCAUUUAUUUUCCAAGGAGAUAUACUUGCUUCUUCACUGAACUGGGAAUGGAUUUAAAUAGCUCCAUUGGGAAUGUAAAUGAAUAAAUAAAAGAAAAGAAAAAUGUGUCCAACAAUUUAUUGAAACCGUAAAGUGGAAGUAAUACAAGACCAUAAUGGGAAAUCCCACAUAUGUAGUAGUAUUUGGGCUUUGUAGUAUUGAAACUUUGGUAUAAGAAAUUUGAAAAUACUUCUAUAUAAUUAUUUUUUUUAAAAAAGUAGAAUAAGUUAGUCCUUUCGACAUAAUUGAGGCAUUAAAUUUUAAGCACUCUAAAAUUAUAAUCUUUACAAAUAAUAAAGAAGUUUUUGUAUCGAGACCAACUGAAUAUGAUUUGUAUGUUCUUAAUUUUCAUUUUCUUAUCUUUUGUCUUCCUAUACCUACAAGCCUAUUUAGAGAAAGACCUUUUAUCAAAAAAUGAGAGCUUAGAGUUAUUUCCCUCUGAAAAGAGAGUGGAUCAGAAGAUCUUUAUUGAAUAUAGGGUUUCUUCUAAAAUGAGAUGAAGUAAAUUAGCAACUCUGAACAAUCUAAAGGAAAAGGAAUUUGAGUUAAGUUGAUGGGGCGUAUGACACUUUAUUGGGACUUUAAAAGAUAUUUUCUCUUUCACGCUAUCCUUUGAAAUUGAGUUGUGUCCGCUUUCAACUUAAUUUUUUUCUCUCUGUUUUUCUAAUGAAAAUAUAUCUUUUGUUGGGGGAAAUAUUUUGUUGAAUAUAUAUAUUCAAAUGGAAGGUAAACGAAAAAAAAGUGAUAAAAAAUGGGUGUGAUGAAAUUUCAAAUUAUUAAUCAUCAUAUGUAUUUAACCUAAAUCCUAAAAAAGUGAAUGAAAUUAACUCAUUAAAUUUGUUAAAUACCACUUUUUAUAAAUAAAUUUUGAAUCAUGUAGCAUUCAAAACAAAAAUUUUGUAAAAGAUAUAAUUAACGAUAACAUGAAAUUAUUAAAAUAUUUAAAAUUAAAUAAUAUAAAGAAACAAUAAAAUGGUUCAUUUAUGUUGUUAGAACCUUUGUUUUAAAAACUGGUCGCUCCGAUCAGUCGGAUGGUCCAUCAAUGCCCUUUCCAGUCCGAUCUAGGGAAAUGGACAUAGACAACUGACAAUCAGACCAUCAACCAUUCUUCAUGGACCGGUCAAGGUCAAAACCUAAAUGGGUUUGCCCAAAUCCAUUCAUUCCUAACCUAUGUGCUUGUUCCCAAGGUUUGCAAGUAUAAAUACCCAUCUAUUGGCCUAAAUUCAUUCAUUUCAAGCCCAUUUGCUUGUUCUCAAGGUCUACAGGUAUAAAUACCCUAUAAGUGGUUUAUAGAUUUCCGAUGUGGGAUGAGUUUUGAUAAUAAUGAAAGGAGCUUUGCAUGGUAGGGAAUUGAACCUAGGACUUAUUUUUAACAAAAUGAUAGCACACCACUAUGCUACAAAGCUAUUUGAUUAAUAAUUUGAUAAAUAUCUAUAUCUCUGUUUUUUAAUUUCUAUCAUAUAAAACAUUUAAACAAAUAUAAAUAUUUAUAUCUACUAUUACUUUUAUAAUAAUUAUUAAUUAUAAACAUGAAAAUAAUAUAAAUUAAUCAAUAUAAUAAUUUUUAAAAUUUUAAAAUAACAAAAUACAUAGAUAUAUAAUUAAAUUAAAUAUUAUAAUUUUCUUUUCAUAUUUAAAUAUUAUACAGAUUCUAUUUAAUAAAAUUUAAUAUAUUAAUACAUUUAUAUUUAUAUUUAUCAUUUAAUUUGACAUAUUGAACAUAAAAAAUAAAAUAUUAUUAAAAAAAUUUAAUAAAAUAUAUUUUAAUUUAUUAUAAUUUUAUUAAAAUAUAAAUUAUAUAUUUAUAAUGUCAUUGAUUCGAUCGCGGUUUGACCAUUGGUUCAACUAGUGAAUCGUGAACUAGUAACUUUUUCGGUUCAAUAUUCGGUCCGAUUUUGAAAACAUUAGUUAAAACUUUUUUAUUUAUAGAAAAUGCUAAUUAUGCUUUAAAGUUGUAGGAUGUUAAAAGCCCAAAUACAUACCUACAUAUUUUCUUAUUUAUCUCCUAGUAUCUUUACCAAGUGAUAGAUAUAUUGGUGGCCAAGCAUUGUCAUCAUCAUUAUUUAUCUCCUAACAUCUUUAUGAAGUGAUUGGUGUAGGAAGAGUGUAAAUAAUUUUUAUUUUUACUUUAUUUUAUUCAAUUAGUUUUAUAUUUUCUGGGAAGAUUCCUAUUGGGAAUUAUUUUUAUUUUAUUUUAUUCUAUUAGUCUUAUAUUUUUGGGAAGAGUCCUAUUGGGAUUGUGCUAGUGGAGUCCCAUUCCUUUUAUAAGUAGAAUCCCCUUCCACUUUGAGUCAUGUUUUGAUUACAAGUAGAUUCCCAUUAGGACUGUGUUAGUGGCCUAUAAAAGCAGGUCACCUUUCACUCUCUAUAUACCAAUACCAAUUUUUCAAAGAAUUUUUCAUAGAGUUUUUCAAAGAGUCUUUUCAUACAUCUAUCUAGAUGAUUUUUUUCAAAAACCCGAGUUGUAUACAUCUCGCUUACAGAGUGCACCCAAGGCGAGAUCUGGGUGUUGAAUCCCGGAGAUAGACCAUUGGUACCUUAGUGUACCGAAUUUGUCUUCGAGGAGGGUGGAUCUAUUUCAAGGAUAGUGUUUGUCAUGCCUCAGUCAAUAAGUUUUUCUUAUUAAUUAUGUUCUUUGUUUGUGUCUUUUGGGCUAGUCAUUUGUUUCCAUACCCUUAAUCCAACAAUCUUGAAAUAUAUCCAAAUGUAAGCUUCUCUAGUUCACACCUGUCCUGACACCUCUAAAAUUGAUCCCUUCAAUGGCAUAUUCUUUAAGAGAUGGCAACAAAAGGUUUUAUCUGCAAUUGAUGUAGUGAACUUGGAACACAUUUUGAUUGACCCAAUACCAGAAGAUGGUUAUCAUUUGUUACCAACCUGGGAAUCCGGAAAUAAACAAGUUAGCAUGCUAUUCUAAGUACCCUUUCUAAUGAACUUUUUGAUAUUUAUUGUCAAUUUAAAGUUGCAAAAGAAAUUUGGGAUGCAAUAAAUAAAAAAUAUAGUUUGAAAAAUGCAGGAACUCAGAAAUAUGCCAUAGGGAAUUUUAAAAUUUUCCAAAUGACUGAGGAUAGAGAUGUAUCAUCUCAAAUCCAUGACUACCACUUGUUGAUUAAUGACUUAGCUAUUGAAGACAUUAAAUUACCCGAACCUUUUGUAGCUGGUUAUUUAGUAGAGACUUUUCUAGAGUCUUGGAAAAACUAUAAAAAUAACAUGAAACAUAAAAGGAAACAAAUGUCUCUAGAGGAUGUCAUAAUCCAUAUUAAGAUUGAGGAACAAAACCGAAAUAGGGACAAUGCUGAGAAAGUUAAGGAAUUGUCUUCUAAGGCUAAUGUAGUAGAAGAAAAACCUAAACCCAAAAACAAUAGGUUCAGGAAACAAAACUCUAGGAACAUCCCAUGCAUCAAACAAGAUCCAAAACCCAACUAUUAAAAAAAAAAGAAAAAAGAGUAAGGAUCUUGUUUGACUUUAAUAAAAUAGUUUUAACCAAGAAUGAUGCAUUUGUGGGGAAGGGCUAUUGUAAUAAGGGUUUAUUUAUGUUGAAUGUUUCUAAUAUUAUCAAUAAUAAUGCAUCUUCUUCUUUUUCUGCUUACGUAGUUGAUUCUUGUGAUAUUUGGCAUGGUAGACUAGGACAUGUGAACUUUUCAUAUCUGAAGAAAAUGGUUGAAUUGAGUUUAAUCCCUAAAUUGUCCUUAGAAAACCAUGGAAAAUGUGAAUCUUGUGUAGAAUCUAAAACCACAAAGAAAUCUUGUAAAUCAGUUAAAAGAGAAUCAGAUCUACUAAGUUUAAUACACAGUGACUUAGAAAACCUAAAAAAUACAAUGACUAGAGGUGGUAAACAAUUCUACAUAACUUUCAUAGAUGACUACUCAAGGUAUACAAGGGUAUAUUUUUUGAGAAACAAAGAUGAAGCAAGAUAUGCUUUCAUCAAGUACAAAAAUGAAGUGGAAAAUCAACUAAGUAAGAAAAUUAAAAGACUUAGAACUGAUAGGGGAAGAGAGUAUGAGUCCAACCCCUUUAAUUCUUUUUGUGAAGAUCAUGAGAUCAUUCACAAAACUACUCCUUCUUAUUCCCUUGAGUCUAAUGGAGUAGCAAAAAGGAAAAAUAGGACCUUAAAAGAAAUGAUGAAUGCAAUGUUGGUAAGUUCAGGAGCACCCUUGAAUUUGGGGGGGGGGGGGGGGGGGGGGNNNNNNNNNNNNNNNNNNNNNNNNNNNNNNNNNNNNNNNNNNNNNNNNNNNNNNNNNNNNNNNNNNNNNNNNNNNNNNNNNNNNNNNNNNNNNNNNNNNNAUAUUCAAUAUAGAAUACCUUAUAAGAAAACUGGAAAAACUCCUUAUGAGUUGUGGAAGGGUUAUGUACCUAAUAUAGCAUACCUGAAAGUGUGGGGGUGUUUAGCUAAAGUUCUUUUCCCUAAACCUAAAAAAUGAAAACUAGGUCCUAAAACCUUUGAUGCAAUGUUCAUUGGCUAUGUUGAGAAUAGUGCGACAUAUAGGUUUCUUGUUACUAAGUCAGAAAACAGUCUUGUAGAUGUCAAUACUAUAAUGGAAACAAGGAGUGCAGAUUUCUUUGAAAACAUCUUUCCUAUGAAACUAAAUGGUGAACAACAAGUUUAGAAAACAAGUAGAGACAAGUCUAUUGAACUUUCUGAAUUUGAACCUAGAAGGAGUCAAAGUGAUAGGAAAGAAACAAACCUUGGAGAUGGUUUCUACACCUUCCUAAUAGAUGAGGACCUUGAUCCUAUAAAGAAGCUACAACUUUUCCUGAUGCACCAUUCUGGAAUGAGGCCAUUAAUAAUGAAAUCGAAUCAAUCAUGUAUAACCAUACAUGGGAGUUAGUAGAUUUACCUCCUGGUGCAAAGACUGUUGGCUGUAAGUGGAUCUUUAAAAGAAAGUUAAAACAUGAUGGGUCCAUAGAGAAGUAUAGAGCUCAUUUAGUUGCCAAAGGCUUUAAACAAAGGAAGGAUGUAGAUUACUUUGACAACUUUGCCCCUGUGACUAGAAUAACAUCAAGUAGAGUAUUGAUCGCUUUAGCUUCCAUUCAUAAUUUGGUUAUACACCAAAUGGAUGUCAAGACUAUAUUCUUGAAUGGGGAUUUGGAAGAGGAAAUUUAUAUGGAACAACCUGAGGGUCGUGUAGUUCCAAGGAAGAAGAAAAAGGUGUGUAAGUUGGUUAAAUCACUAUAUGGGUUAAAACAAGCUCCCAAACAGUGGCGCAACAAGUUUGAUCAUGUGUUAGUAACUAAUGGAUAUUCCAUUAAUGAUGUUGAUAAGUGUAUCUAUAGUAAGUAUGAGGAUAACACAUGUGUAGUCAUCUACCUUUAUGUUGAUGACAUGUUGAUCUUUGGAACUAGCUUAGAGGUGGUGUGUGAGACCAAGAAAUUCCUAGGUCCUAUGUUUGAUAUGAAAGACCUAGAAAAGGCAAAGGUGAUUCUAGGAAUUAAAAUAACUAGACCACUAAUGAGCUUAAACUUUCUCAAGAGCACUAUGUUGAAAAAAUCCUAAGGAAGUUUGAACACUUUUAUUGUAAACUAGUGUCAACUCCUUAUGAUCCCAUCUCACUGCUGAAGAAAAAUAGAGAACAUAGUGUUGCCAAAUAGAACAUGCUCAGAUCAUAGGGAGCCUAAUGUACUUUAUGAACUAUACCAGACCUGACAUUGCUUAUGCAGUAGGUAGAUUGAGUCGAUACACCCAAAGUCCUAAUCAGGACCAUUGGACUUUUGUUCGUAGAGUCCUUAAGUAUUUGAGAGGCACUAUUAACUAUGGUUUGUGCUUUGUGGAUUUCCAAGUGUCCUUGAAGGAUUUAGUGAUGCAAAUUGGAUCUCAGAUUCAGAUGUGAUGAAAUCCACUAAUGGAUAUGUUUUCAUCUUUGGUGGAAGUAUAGUUUCUUGGAAGUCUACCAAUCAAACUUGCAUUACUCGGUGUACUAUGGAGGCUAAGUUUAUUGUCUUAGAAAAUGCAAGUUUUGAGGCUGAGUGGCUUAGAAACCUCUUAGCAUAUAUCCCUUUAUGGACAAGACCAACCCUAUCUGUGUCUAUGCGUUGUGAUAGCCAAGCUACAAUUGCUAAGGCUAAGAGUAAAAAUAUUUAAUGGGAAUAAUAGGCAUAUACGGCUAAGGCACAAUAUUGUGCGGUAGCUUCUUGAAACAGAGGUUAUAUCCCUAGAAUUUGUGAGGUCAGAGUUGAAUUUGGUUGAUCCUUUUACCAAACCACUAAAUAAGAAACUAGUAGAAGAAACAUCAAGGGGGAUGAGGCUUAUGCCUAUUACAGAAUUCAAGAGUGGUGGUAACCCAACCUAUUAGAAUGGAAAUUCCAUGAAGUAGGUUCAUAUGGGUAAUAACAAAUCACUUGUUGACUUGAGGUGCUAUAUCAACUCUAAUUGUAUGAGAGUCUAUCCAUAUGGUGUAGAUAGAUUGUAUUCUAUAUUGAUUAAGGUUGAGUGUUUACUCUUAAUGAAUACCAUAUUCCUUAUGGAUGGUAUGUUUAAAUGCAUAACAUACUUGAUGGAUUCACCUAUAUGAGAGUGGAGGUGGGGCCCCUUCCUAUGAGAACUUAGGUAGUUUCUCUAAAACUCUCAUGAAUAUCCAGGUAGGGCGCAUGGCCUAUUUGUGCCAACCUGUUUUGUACAACUCGUAGUGUAGUUGAGAAAACCAAUGUAGAUAAAAGUCCAUUGAGUUACAUCAAGAAACAUUGGUUCAUAGAAAUUUAUUUUCACCCUAUUUUGUGAUUCAAUACUUAUUUGUCCUAAGACUAGUUCAUAGCCUUUGGGCACCAGUACUGAUGCAUUGGAUUAUUUUUUCCUCAAAUAAAUAAAUAAUCACGUUUACACUUUGUGGGGGAUUGUAGGAAAAGUGUAAAUAAUUUUUAUUUUUAUUUUAUUUUAUUUUAUUAGUCUUAUAUUUUUGGGAAAAGUCCUAUUGGGAUUGUACUAGUGGAGUCCCAUUCCUUUUAUAAGUAGAAUCCCCUUCCACUCUGAGUCAUGUUCUGAUUACAAGUAGAUUCUCAUUGGGACUGUGUUAGUGUCCUAUAAAAGCAGGUCACCCCUCACUCUUUAUAUAUCAAUACCAUUUUUCCAGAGAAUUUUUUAGAGAGUUUUUCAAAUAUUCUUUUCAUACAUCUAUCUAGAAGAAUUUUUUCAAAACCCCGAGUUGUACACAUCUCGCAUACAGAGUGCACCCAAGGCAAGAUCUCGGUGUUGAAUCCUAGAGGUAGACCACUGGUACCCUAGUGCACCGAAUUCGUCUUUGAGGAGGGUGGAUCUAUUUUAAGGACAGUGUUUGUCACGCCUCAGCCGAUAAGUUUUUCUUCUUAUUAAUUAUGUUCUUUGUUUGUCUUUGGGGCUAGUAAUUUGUUUCCAUACCCUUAAUCCAACAAUAGGUAUAUGGGUGGCCCAAUCAUCAUCAUCAUUAUCAUCAUCUUUAAGAAGUGUAAGAUAAAUUUCCACAAUAUUAUAACUAUUCAAGCUAUACACUACAAUCUAACAUAUUACAUUAAAAAAAAAAAAAUCAUAAGUAGCUAGAUUCAAGAGGUAGUGUAAAACAUACCAUGUUUUAACCAAGUGUAGCUUCCAAUUCUUAUGUAAAAGUCUAUUUAUUACAAGAAAUUAAAAAAGGAAAAGGAUUAAAAUCUUAAAAACAUGGCAAUAAUAAAACCUUAGCAAAUAUCUAUUUGAAACUAUGUCAAAAUUUGCCUCAAAUUAACUUUUGAAUUAACUUUACUAUUAUUAUUGUUGGUGCAUAACCUUUUCGGAUGUGAUGAUCUAGUGACUAUCCAAGUCGCUAGCCAAUCUUCUAAUGUCACCUCCUCUGUUGGUGGAUGUCUUGGCUCUCUAGGAAAAUGAUCCCAUUUUUUCCAUGUUCUUUUUCCUCCUUUAUAGGCUUGAGUUAGAUGUUGGAGGUUGCGUGACAUACACGAUUAGCUUAGUAGGUUUGUGUCAGGCGGCGUGUGGCCAACUAGCCCUAAUGCUUCCUAUUGAUGUGAUAAGAUGAGGUUUUCCUUUGAGAUUUCUUCAUCAUACACAUCUUGUUGUUGCCUUCAGUAUUUGUGCUACGUGAUCAAUUUUGGUGGUGCGACAACUUCUUCCUAGUGACCAAUUUUUAAUUUUUCUAAGAUCGAUUGGGGUAGGCUCUCAUAUCAUUGUCUCAGAUCAUUGUAGGUUUAAAUGGAGUUAUGAUGGCUUCUCAACCUCAAGAUAAUAUUCAACUGAUAUAACAUCAGGGUACCCCUUCUCGCAAAAAUUCGGCACCCUCGAGAGGCAGCUUUUGUAGCAAUAUUCGUCAUCCCCAACCUAAACAAGUAGGUAGACCCACAAGUUGGUUGACUUCUAUAGUUGGUACCUUUAAUGCCCCAUUUCUUCGCGACCAAGUAGAUUUGGGACGACGUGCGUCGAGAGCUACUUGGGUUUGAAACCUCUGUGUUGCGGUCCUAGGAAGAUGGUAGGUCAUACAUGCAUCACCUUGAGGAGUGGCAACACUAGGGGAUUUUCACAAGACGGCACAACGUGCACAACCAUUUUUUGAUUUUUCUUUGGGAAUUUUGCUUUGUUUAGGAACUUUGCUAAAAUGGGCACUUAACCUUGAUGAACAUUUUUCCUAGAUGGACACUCAGCCUUGGUGGGCAUUUCGCCUAGAUGGGCGCUUGGCCUUGAUGGACAUUUUGCCUGGAUAGGCACUUGGCCUUGAUAGGUAUUUGCCUAGAUGGGCAUGUCACCUUGUUGGGCACUUGGCCUUGAUAGACAUAUCAUCUAGAUGGGUGUUUUGCCUUGAUGGGCACUUGGCUCUGAUGAGCAUUUUGCCUAGAUGGGUAUUUUGCCUUCUUUGAUAUUUCGUAGGUUGGAACUCUAUAGGUUGUAGGGUUGUGUUUUGGGUUCUAUUUUCCAGGCACACAUGUGUAGGGGUAGGGAAAUGCUGCCUUUCCGCCUGGUUUUAGCUCCAGAUGUGCUUAUUGCCAUGCCACAAUUUUUUUCUCGGGACUUGAGUAUGCUUGUAAGUAUUGUUUUGCUUCUUCUUGUUGUGUUUAAGGGUAAGUUGAGUUUUUUUUCGUACUCUUACAUUUUCUCUCCAUCUUUCUUUGUCUUUAUUCUGUUGUGCAGAUGAAGUGUUGCAUCAAGGAUUUUAGUAGGUGAAAGGGUGAGUUUCACUACCACAUUGCUGAAACUGACUAACUGAGGCAAGUCGGGUACUUCUUUUGCACCUAAGGCUUUUGGUCGAGUGCUUCUUGGAACCUAAGGCUAUGGUCGGGUGCUGUUUAGCACCUAAGGCUUUUUGGUUGAGUGCUUCUUUGGCACUUAAGACUUUGUUGGGUACUAUGCUUGGUUGGGUACUACUUGGGCACCCUAGGCUUUGUUGGGCACUAGGCCCAGUUGGAUGCCACUUGGGCACCUUAGGCUUUAUUGGGCUUUAAGCCUGGUUGGGUGCUACUUGGGCACCUUAGGCUUUGUUGGGCACUAGGCCUAGCCAGGUGCUACUUGGGCACCCUAGGCUUUAUUGGGCUCUAAGGUUGGUCGGGUGCUACUUGGGCACCUUAGGCUUUGUUGUGCUCUAGGCCCAGCUAGGUGCCACUUUAGCACCUUAGGCUUUAUUGGGCUCUAAGCCUGGUCAAGUGCUACUUGGGCACCUUAGGCUUUAUUGGGCAGCCUAGGCUUUAUUGGGCUCUAAGCUUGGUCGGGUGCUAUUGGGCACCUUAGGCUUUAUUGGGCUUUGAACUUGGCCAGGUGGUAAUUGGGCACCUUAGGCUUUGUUGGGCUUUAGGCCUGGGUGGGUGGUAAUUGGGCACCCUAGGCUUUAUUAGGCUUUAGCCUUGGGUGGGUGGUAAUUGGGCACCUUUGACUUUGUUAUGCUUUGGCCCUAGUUGGGUGGUAAUUGGGCACUUUAGGCUUUGUUAAGCUUUAGGCCUGGUUGGGUGGUAUUUAGACACCUUAGGCUUUUUGGGUUUAAUGGUUUUUCAUACCUAAAAGUUUUUUUUUUUUUUUUUUUUUUUUUUUUUUUUUUUUUUUUUUUNNNNNNNNNNNNNNNNNNNNNNNNNNNNNNNNNNNNNNNNNNNNNNNNNNNNNNNNNNNNNNNNNNNNNNNNNNNNNNNNNNNNNNNNNNNNNNNNNNNNUUGCUUCCCCAUUUGGGGAUCUUUGCUUUUAGAUGGAUUAGGCCAUUUGGUAAGACUGGGAAGUUCUUCUUUGGUAGUGUCACCAGCGCCUCUUUGUCCACUGAUAGCGUUUGGGCAGUUGCAUCGAGUCAGGCCACCAAGAUCUAGUUCUCCCUUUUGAUUCAUUUAACAGUUCUUCUUAGUUUGUCCAGCUACCUCGAUACUUUGUUAGCUACAAUUCAGUUGUUUGUUGUGGCCACUCAUAAGUUGUUGGGGUGACACACUCACCAUCAAUGUAGUUAGCUGCCAAUGUAGUCACCAUGGUUGGCUUUUGUUUCAUUCCCAUAGACAAUGCCAAUUGUUGGUGCACAACCUUUCUGGAUGUGAUGAUUUGGUGACUAUCUAGGUUGCUAGCCAAUCUUCUAUUGUCACCUCCUUUAUUGGUGGGUGUCUUGGUUCUCUAGGAAAAUGAUAUAUAUAUUUUUUUCUUGUUCUUCUUCCUCCUUUCUAGGCUAGAGUUAGACGUUGGAGGUUGUGUGGAGUACAUGAUUAGCUUGGCAGGUUUGUGUUAGGCAGUGUGUGGCCGACUAUCCCUGACGCUUCCUGUUGAUGUGACAAGAUUAUGUUUUCCUUAGAGAUUUGUUCCUCAUACAUGUCUUAUGGUUGCCUUUGGUAUUCAUGCCACAUGAUCCAUGUUGGCAGCCUAAAAACUUCUUCCCAGUGACCAAUUUUUUAGUUCUUCUAGGAUCAAUUGGGGUGGGCUCUCAGAUCACUGUAGGUUUAAACAAAGUCAGGAUGACUUCUCGAUCGGGAGACAAUAUUCAGCCGAUACAACAUCCGGGUACCCCUUCUCGGCAAAAUUCGGCACCCUUAGGAGGCAGCUUUUAUAGCGAAAUCUGCCACCCUCAACCCGAGUAAGCAGGUAAACCCACAGGUUGGUUGGCUUCUAUGGUUUGUACCUCCAAUUAUAAUGGAAGUAUAAAUUUUAAAAAGAUUCAGUGAUUGUAGGAUUCAAUUCUAAUGCUCUUAUAGUAGCCAAGGGUCCUCGAACUCAUGGUAGCACGCAGACAUGUCNNNNNNNNNNNNNNNNNNNNNNNNNNNNNNNNNNNNNNNNNNNNNNNNNNNNNNNNNNNNNNNNNNNNNNNNNNNNNNNNNNNNNNNNNNNNNNNNNNNNNNNNNNNNNNNNNNNNNNNNNNNNNNNNNNNNNNNNNNNNNNNNNNNNNNNNNNNNNNNNNNNNNNNNNNNNNNNNNNNNNNNNNNNNNNNNNNNNNNNNNNNNNNNNNNNNNNNNNNNNNNNNNNNNNNNNNNNNNNNNNNNNNNNNNNNNNNNNNNNNNNNNNNNNNNNNNNNNNNNNNNNNNNNNNNNNNNNNNNNNNNNNNNNNNNNNNNNNNNNNNNNNNNNNNNNNNNNNNNNNNNNNNNNNNNNNNNNNNNNNNNNNNNNNNNNNNNNNNNNNNNNNNNNNNNNNNNNNNNNNNNNNNNNNNNNNNNNNNNNNNNNNNNNNNNNNNNNNNNNNNNNNNNNNNNNNNNNNNNNNNNNNNNNNNNNNNNNNNNNNNNNNNNNNNNNNNNNNNNNNNNNNNNNNNNNNNNNNNNNNNNNNNNNNNNNNNNNNNNNNNNNNNNNNNNNNNNNNNNNNNNNNNNNNNNNNNNNNNNNNNNNNNNNNNNNNNNNNNNNNNNNNNNNNNNNNNNNNNNNNNNNNNNNNNNNNNNNNNNNNNNNNNNNNNNNNNNNNNNNNNNNNNNNNNNNNNNNNNNNNNNNNNNNNNNNNNNNNNNNNNNNNNNNNNNNNNNNNNNNNNNNNNNNNNNNNNNNNNNNNNNNNNNNNNNNNNNNNNNNNNNNNNNNNNNNNNNNNNUUCUAUCUAUGAAAAUAGUCAAGCCAAAAAUACAAAUUAUUCCCUCAUACAUUCUAUAGUUUUACCAUGUAUACGGAAUUUAAAUUAUUGUACUAGUGAGUAGAAAGUGAGUUAAGGUCUUCGACAACAAGGUCUCCAAGCAACCAUAUUUCCCCAUUUUAACCUCGCUACUGCCAUUGAUGCGGUAGUAGAGUAUAACUGGCACAUAUAGAUAUGUCGGAAGAGCAAUCGAGAGCAGAUAGCUUCAAAUUCUGAAUGUGAGGUUCAGUUGGAGACUGGUUUUAUUAGCCUUUUAGAUAUGAUUUGAACCUCUAUUUUAGACAAGAACUUGGAGCUUCUUAAUAUAUGUAGUACAACUCCUUUGGUCAUGUAUAUAUGUGCAUAUUGCCUUGAAUUCAUUCAAUAAUUCAGCCAUUGGGAUAGACAACAUACAAUUACUUGGCAACACAAUAUUAAAACUUUCAGAAUAUCACAAAAUUUGAUUGAUGUCAAAGACUCAUUCUGGACAUUUAGGAUAGGAGGUUACAAUAAAGCCAUUAACUGUACACAUAAGUUCAUUUGCAAGAAUUGGGAACCAAUUUAUAAGGUCAAGUAUAUUCGCUGUCAACAAGAAUGACGCCCUCCGAUUUAAGAUCUCUACUUAGGAGGAGCCCUGUUUGAUCAAGAUUCUAGGAUCAAGCAACAGAGUCAAAGUCAAAUCAAGAGCAACGUUCCAACUUGUCAUGAAGACCAAGAGUAGUAAUUGCUUCAGAGCAAGCAGUGAAAUUAUUUGCAAUCAGACAAUCAUCUUCUUCUUCAAGAAAUGCUGUAAUGAAAUUCUUACCAGUUGUGUCUGAUUCUUCAAAACACGAAGUUAGCAAACAGAUUGUUCAUAUAUAAUGUCAGUUGGCAUAAAUGUAGUGUUCAAUCACCAAGCCACAAAGAUGAUACAACCGAACAGUUGCAGCAGGAAAACUUGGUUGUUUAUUCAAAAUCAAGUAAAUCUCUAGGUCCCUCAUACCACGAUUGCUCCCAAUCUUUAGGUCUUGGCGUAGACAAUUCCUUCCUUGUCUAUGUGGACAGAACAAUGCUUGCUUUUCUAGCUGUUGUCUUUCACCAUGGUCUGUAGAAAAAAUGUCCAGAAAAACAACUAAUGAUCAGUAGAAGUGUAAAAGGGAAGAAAGAAAACUACUGAUAGAUUGGAUCAGUCAUCUUCUUCAUUAGAUCAUUACAAACAGUUGGCUUCGAAAAAUUUGAAGUUAAUCAACUUCAAUCAUGACAGAUAUUUAUUUUUCCUAAAAGAAUGUAAAUGUAUGGUUUCUCUUUGAGUACAGCUCUCUACAGCACAAAAAUAAACAAAUACUGUGGUCAAAGCUGUCAAUCAAAAUCCCGCUAUCCAGAAUGCAUGGCAAUGGCUGAUCCAAAUGGCCAUGUACUAGUACACUUACUAAGAUUUCCUUCAAGAAUCAUGUACAAGUGACCACCACUGUUCUCAGUGUCCAGAGGCAGUUUCCAUACUCAUCUCCUUCUCCAUGAGGCUCAUGUAGUUAUUGGAAGGAUUCAAUAAAUAAUCUCGAAACCCAUGAGCGUUUUUGGCCCAAAGAAAUUCAGCAUAUGACAUAAUUUUUUGUACAUAUAAGUUUAUGAAAUAACCAUGAUUACUAGAUGGGAAAAGUGUGUUUUCAUCCGCUGAUACGACUAUAUCAGUAAAAUGAGAACCAACUUUUCCUAUUUCAAAUUAAGUCACAUCAAAUUAAGCAGACUCUGAAAAAUACUGAUCUCCAUCUCAUAGUUUGUGAAUGGAUCAUAGACUGAAAAUGAAUUAUAUGUAAUCUACUUAAUUUACCAAAGGUAAUGAAAUCUAAUUUACAAUCAAAUUAAUUAAGACACUAAGAUACUAAUCACUACUAUACGUACAUAAAUCAUAUUACAUUUCUGUAACAUUACUUUUCUUCAAUACUUCCCCUGAUCAAGUUACAUAUCAAGAACUGAAAAAAUUGUAAGGCAAUCAAAUGAAACAAACCAAGAAAACAACAAUAUUAAAAGAGUUAUGAAAUAUCACCAGAUGAGAUCCAACAGUAAAUUAAGAAACUUUAUAUAAUCUUGCUUACCUUAGGGCCAUGUCUGGAGGAGUUCCAAUUGUAGGCCUAGGGCCAAUGUUGAUAGGCAGAUGCCCAGAUCUUAGACACCCUCAAGAUGAACAGUAGCAGCUACUCUAGGCGCUCCUACUGCACAGGCAAAAAACAAGUUAGUCAAUGUUUCUUGGCUAUUGGCUUUGGCUUGGACCUUGGUGGUUGUCAAUUUUAGAUAAAUAUGUUAAUAAUCCAAUGAAUAUAUUCCAAGAUUGAUGAUAUAUAUGCAAUAUAUCAAUUUGGAAAUGUCGAUAUAAACAUUUAAGGAAUUUAAAUUAGUCAAUUUUCAACAAUCUAGCACUCAAAAGUGUACAAAAUGAUUAUAACUUGAAAGUUUGAAUAUAAACUGAGGUACAAUAUUCCUAGAGGCUCAAGUCUCCCUAGAAGAAGGCAUCACAUCACAUAUUUAUGUGGCCUUAUGUUUGAGGUAAGCACCUUAUCUAUUGGCGAGUUCAUCAAUAAUAAGCUUUUUGCAAGAAAUUGGAGACCUAAAAUUACUCUAAUACUCCUUUUCUUGAAUAUUAAAUUUUCUUAAAAGUGUUAUCGAUUAUCAAACAUUUUUUUCAAUGGUGGAAACUAGUUUGCUACCAAAGUGAAGGUCAAAGUCCUAAUUAUCAUUUCGCUAAACAAUGUAAUAUAUUAUUAUACAAUUAUUGCUUUUAAAAGAAAAUUUACAAGCCAACCAGCAAAAUUUAUGAUUAUACCUUUUUCCGACUUCACUCACGCCAUUGAGCUUUAUAAUUUGAUGAAACAAGCCUAAAUCAAAAUUAUACAAAAAAAAAAAAAAAAGAAUCGGAGAAAACAAACUUGUAAGCACUAAAUUUUGUACUUGAAAAGAGGAAAUAGGAUGCCAAUUGUAGGUUUAAUUUAAAGAAACCUUAAAAAUAUUUUUAAAAUUAUAGGAAAACCCCUGUACCUUAGAAAGAUUGGGGCGAACAGUCUACCUUUUGGCGAUGUUCACAUCUUGAGAGGAAUGACUUCUUUCUUAGUAGAUCUGAUGAUGGUGUUGAUCUUUGGGAAGAGAUGAUUAGAAGGCUGCGUUGAAUUUUAGUGAGUGAGAGAGAAAAGAACACCCAAAACCCUAAAGCAAAAAAGGAAUUAAUAACUUAAAUAGAUUCCAUUUUUUCCUUAUGACGUGUCUACCUUAGUAAGGUUUUUAUGGCAGUGAUACCAUUUGGAUAAUUAAGUCAUUGAUUUUGAUGGAUCUUUUCCAUUUGAAUUUUUAAUAUAUAAACUUAAUCUUUUUACUUGGGGUAAUAUAUUUGGUAUUUUAUUAUUUACUUUUUAAUAAUAUGCUUUUAGUAGAUUGUUUAACUAUGUCCUAGUGUAAUAAGUAGUCUUGCAUUACAUUAUCUACUAUGGAGUAGGAGUGUGUUGCUUGUUCAAGGGAUGUAUGGGAAGUUGUUUAUUUGAUGAUAUACUUUAACACUUAGAGUCACGACUUGAGCUAAUAAGUUUAUCAAGAUCUAAGCAUUGAUGGUGUUGCUACUCUAUUGUAUAGCAAGGAUCCAAUUAGUCACAUUGUAGGACAAAACACUUAUAGACAAUUGAUUCUACUACAUUCAAGAUAUUGUUGCUUAAGGGGAGGUAGAGUCAAAACAAGUAGACAAUUGAUACAACUACACACACAACAUAGAGACAAAACACAUGAAUAAUACUAUGGUUGAAUAAAUUAAUUGGAUGACAUCAAGCUAACAUUGAUCUAGUAUAAUUAUUUUGGAGCCUAAAUGAGGAGUAUGAUGAUGAGAUGAUAAUUAUUUUGUCAUCAACAUAGUGAACAACAUAAAUUAAAAUCUUGAAAUGUCACCUUAGCCAACCUAGUAGAAAUGAUUCAUCAAAAUAUUUGAAUGUGAGAUCUUAAAUUGGUGUUUGACCAAUAAAUAUGGUAAUAAACAUAUAUUAAGUAUAUAUGAAGUGACCAAGCUAAGAUUUGUAUCAUGUUAUUGUAGGGAAUCCCGAAUCUCUUUGUUCCUUAUCCUAUGAUUAGGCUAGGUACAUGCGAUUCUUUCUAAGUUUUUCUAAAUCGUAUGAACAAUGGAAAAAUCGUGUUUUAAAAUAAUAACAAGAUUUAGAAUUUGCAUUAGAAAACAUUACAUUACAUUUGGAUGUUCCCAAAUCUAAUUCACGUAGUAAAGGAGAAGAUCGAAGUUGUCAGAGGUCUUGAACACCCAAGAUCUUCCACCAGAUGACUUUUCCUUGAUUUUAGAUCUUAAUUGGUGAGAAGGAAGGAAGACUAAAAAGGCUAUGGUUCUCUCUCUCUUUGAAUAGUGAAAGAUGGCUCACUUCAAAAAAGUAAUAAAAACCUUAUCAUUUAAGGGGUAUUUAUAGGGUUCCCUAAUUGGGUGUAAGUGACUUAAGCGUACUAAAGGCUUGAAUCAUUUAAUUUAGCUCAAAAUGAGUCUUAAUUGAUUAAUUAACCUAACAUAGUUAUCUAAUUAAUUAAUUAGCUAAAUCUGGAGACUUUGUUCACUUACCCCUAUGCAACCUUGCAUAAUUACCAAAACACCCUUAUACGCAAAAGUGAACUAAGAGUUGUGUCAUCAAGGUAUAUGAGCUUAGGUGGAGACCAUUGAGACCUAUAGGACAGUACUAGCUAUCCCAAAAUCUAAUUUUGAAGUUGAUUUAACAUUCCACUAUAGAGAAUCAAUUGCACUAUAAUACCUUAUGUAAAUAACAAUGAGAUGCUAAGUGGUCGAGCCCAUGACUUAUUAUCCAUUGCAUUCAGUCUCCCUAUGAACUGGUGUUUGUAGUCUAAUAAGGUGAAAACUAUCAACCUUUCAAGACUACUUCUACUAUCUUUGAAUUACAAAUCCUCUUAUUAUGUAUUUAAUUGAUAUAUCUUAACUCUCCAAGAGUCUAUGUUAAGUUCCAUUUAAGAAACUACUAUGACCAUAGUUUACAUGAACAUACCUCCUUAAGAUCACUUAAGGGGACACUCUGUCUCAAUCCUAUUAGAUUUCAUGGUACUUCUAUUACAAAUACUCAUUGUUACAGACUUGCAUCAAUAGUGAACCAAUCCAUAAGGAACAUAUGAUUAGCUUACGAUUUCAUUAGUAGGUCAAAGUCACUACUAACUUUAACACAAAAUCUAUAUUCUCUCAAGGUUAAGAGAUAAAACAAUGAAGCAACUUGGUGAAAUCAUGACUAUUUGAUACCUUUAUGUCAUGAUUCACCAUAAGUCUUGUCUAAUGUGUAACCAUACACACUAGUAUACUCACCAUGGAAAACCCAUCCUUAUAACCAAGACCACCCAUUCCUCUAAUUAUGAAGUAGCGUACUAUAACCUCUAAAGGGUUACCUAAGCCUAUGAAUUGGUUGUGAACAAGUCAUCUACUUACAAUGAAUCCAUUACUUAAAUUUUUUUUGCAACUCCUAAUGCACUCAAGUCAUGUACAAUACAAGAUAUGUAUAUCAAAAUGCUUACAAGGUAUAAUGUAUAGGAUUGGGAUAAACAAAAGUGAACUAAAAGUUAAUUAAUAAAUAAUAAAAUUUUAAAUUUAUUACAUCAUGUCAUGCUUUUAUGAAAUCUUUAAAAUAAUAAGAGCGCCCUUUCAUAAUCAUGAAUUAAACUUUAGUUUCAACUUCUAUCAAAGGCUAAAUGAGAAAAGCUAUCAUAGAGGAGGCCUCAGCCAAUGGGUAAGAUGCACUAUUAUACCAAACAAUAAGUGAAAAAUACAAUUUUAUUAAUACUUGAGACAAAAAAAAAAAGAAAAAAAGAAAUAAAAGGAUGAUUUUACACUCAAACCAAGCAUUUAUUUAUAAUGAAGUGCAGUCUCCAAACGCACAUGUGGACUUAUUGGAAAAUCAUACAAAUUAUUGAAGGACGACCUUAGCUAGGCUAACAGUCUCCUAAAUAGGCCAUCUUUUAUAUAUCUUUGCAUUCAUCCAUCUCCUCAUUGUCUUUGAUUUUAGAUGGUGAGGAUGUGAAAGUAACAGGAAGCAGUGGACGAUUGUUCACAGUGAGGCUUAGCACAUCAGCUCUCGAAUAAUGUCCUACCACAUCGAACUGGAACUUUGCUUUAGGAAUCUCUCCACGAACAUCUACAUAUCAAGUGAUCAUAAAAAUAUUUCAUCAGUCCAUGAUAAAUAUCAUAGAAUAUCAAGCCUUCGAUAAAACUAAGUUUGCAGUCCUCUUAAACCUAAAGAAUCGACUCAUUUGCCUUAUCUGCAUACUGAAAUAUUUGGAUAUAUAAUUGGAGAACUUAGGGCCAUACCAAGAUCAGCUGUGAAGAGGCCUUCUCCUUCAUAAUUCGGUCCUGCUAGAAUUUCGCCAUGGGGCGAAAUGAUGACACUACCUCCAGCCCAAACAAUAGAAUCUGGAGUGACAUCUUCUUCUGUAGGACUGUAAAGAUACUCAGGUGGAGGUGGGUAAUCUUUCCUCCGACAGAACUGGAUGGGUGAAAGAACAUAGCAUCCACCCUCAAUAGCGACGUGUCUCAUUGUAGCUACCCAUGUAUCCCCGGAAUCGGCAGUAGGAGCACAAUAUAUCUCAAUACCUAUAUAGAUGUACAUUCGUAUUUUGUGAUCAAUCAAUCCCAUAUCAAAGCCAUAAUGUAUUUCAAGCCAAAUCAUAUUAGUUAGUGAAGAAAAAGAAAUGGUAAAAGACAUACCUUUGCCAUACAUUGCUGUCCUGAAAAGUGGCAUUCUAUUUUCCCAACAAAUGACCGAACCAAGUUUUCCAUAUGGAGUGUCAUAAACUGGAGUUGUAGAGCAAUCUCCGAAACCCCAGAAGAGCCGCUCCCAAUAUGUUGGCAUGAGUUUCCUAUGUUUUCCAAGGUAAUUACCUUCAGGAUCAAAGAAGAGAACUGUGCAAUACAAUGUGUAUCCAUCUCUCUCAACAACACCUGUCACUAAGUAGACUUUGUAUUUCGCAGCCAUUGAUGCCAAUCUAUCCACUUCAGGUCCUGAAAAUACAUUAAUAUGAGAUCAAAGAUGAAACAUGUAAGCUGAUGGUUCAUCACAAAGCAUAAGUAUAAUUUUUUUCUUGGUUCAUUCAUCAAACGUGUCUUGUUUCAAUAACUAAUUAAGUGGUUCAGUUCUUUAGCUAUUUAAGGGAGAAAGAGAGAGAUAACUGACCCGGCACAUUAAUGGCAGAAGCAUGGUACUUGCGGAAACUUUCUUUCCCUCUUGGCGACUGGUCGGCGAAGUUGUAUCCCCGGGGAUACCCACCGAUAAAUGCUUCAGGAAACACAACCAGUUGGGAUCCUAGUGCAGCUGCUUCUUUCAAAAACCUCUCAGCCUUAUCUGCUCUCAAAAUCACAUUGCAAGAAUUAAUAAUCCACGACUUAGAAAGUAAAUUAAUUGGUUGAAUGGAGAGAAUGAAAAUUAACUUUAAGAGAUCCCGAAUGACUUUUUGGUUGCUGAGAAAACUCAAGGAAAAACAGACCUAGAUGAAACUUGAAACUCUCAUAUUUUCAGCUGUUUUGUAACUAAGAAAAGAGAAACCACCUCAACCCAACUCAUCAAAAUAAUUGUAAAAGCAGUAAUUCCUUGAUUGGCAGCUGAAAAUAUGAUCAGGGUUCAAUCAUCCUUUUCUUUUUUUCAGUCUCUGAGAAACCAAUUAGAUCACAUAUUCCAUUACACAAGUUGCACAAUUGAAAUUAAUGGUACGUUACCUAGAGUGGCAGGAGUAUCAUAAAAGAUACUAGAAGCUUGAACAACGGUGGCUCUGACAGUUGAAGACAUUGCAGAAAUCGUAUGCUUUUUCGUUUCCCUUUUGUUUGAGGAUGCCUUACACAAAGUUCAGUAUAUAUAUUGCCCAUGAACAUGAGGUUCCUCUGCCAUUACUUGAACGAGACGAAGAGGCUGUGAAAAGUCUGCCUUGGUUUUCUAUAUUCAUUAUGAGCUUUUCUCCUCAUCACAAAUUUUUAAGUUAUCCGCAGACAUUGUGGACCAGCGACAUGACUUGUACAAAUUGAAAAUGACUGUCAUCUGUGAAAAGUAAUUUAAGAUAAAAUUCAAUUCAUGGUUUGAUAGUUUUAGACAAACAAAACAAGUCUUUUUUGCCUUAGAAAAAGGCCUCAACCAAUUAACACACAUACCCAAAUUAUUAGGCUUUUAUUUUCAUUUCUUUUAUAUAUAUAAUGCACAAAGAUAAAUUGUCUUUAGUGUUAAAGCUGAGGCCUUUUAUGACCUCAGCCAUAAAAGAAAAAAAGAAUAGUCAUUAAAAGCACAAGAUAUUUGUCAUUUUUUUUUACAAAAACGACUGAGUCGUACAUAGUGUUAUAGUUUUAGACGCCCAAAAGAAGUCUUUUUGUGCCUUGUAAGAAAACCUCAGCCAAUUCAAGAUGAUCAUCUUUGAACGAAAAGAGGGAGCCGCCCACAUGCAUGGAUUCCAUCCAUGACGUGUACUAUAUAUCUAUAAAACCCAGCAUAUAGCUAAAAACUGGGUCUGACCUUAUGUAUUGGUCCCUACCAAAAAUUAAUGAGUGAUUCCGUCACCCCAGAAUGAAAGGGGUGAUCUCAUAGUUCUUGGUCUGUGAAGAUGCGUUGUUAGGUGCUCCAUUUUAUUUUCCCAUUGAGGCAGAACCUAAACGUUACUAACAUGUUUACUUUCAUUGUGGGUAAUGUGUUUGGGUUCAAAGGCAGCUAUGGUAGAAAAAUAAAAAGGAAGAACUAUGCUUACCCUCACGUUGAUUCAAGCAAAUAUAUUUUUUAGGAAUUCUAAUUUUCAUAUUUCACCCCAAACACAUAAUAAAUAAAUUUAUUCUUCAAAUAUGUAUUUUAAUAACAACCAAAAUGAGAAUUCUAUAGUUAUCCCUUUUAAAAUCUUUAAUAUGACAAGUCAUCAUUUGAUCUAUUUGAUAGCUCUCCCACUUUUUUUUUUUCUCCUCUUCAUCACUUUCUCCAUAUAAUGUCUUUGAUAUCCUUUCCAUAUCAUGUCUUUGAUAUCCUAACUUUGACAUUUUUUUAUUUAUAUACGCUGAAGUGAAUACACUUUCAUAUUUCUUUUCAUUCUUUUAAUAUUUUCAUAUUUAUUAACUUAGUCAUUUUUUUGAAACAUUAACAUAAAAUUAUAAUAUAUGAUCAAUAACUAAUGAGAACAAAUUAAACAUAAAUAUAAGUAUGGAAUGGAGAGAAAAUAAAAUUUUAUCCUACAAAUAAUACAUAAAUAGUUUAAAAUAUUAAUUAUAGUAAUAUAUUUGAUACUUUAGGGUUUAGAUUAAAAAAUUAUGUUUUAUUUUUUAGAGGCUAGGAUAUAGGAUUUCCAUUAACCAAAGAUUUUUUGUAUGAAUCCUAAAUAAAAUGUGUAUUUAUUUUGCAAAUUCUUAUCAUAUAUAAAUAAAAUAAAAUAAAUAUAUUUUUAUCAUAUUAUUUUUAAUUUUUAUUAUUUUGUGUCAAAAUCAUAGUCAAUGAUAUUGGUUUUUGUUAUGAUAUUAGCUCUUAAAAGGAUGUUAUGAUGUAAUAAAUAUGAAGUUUAUUAUUUAUUUAAUGGUAUUUUGAUUUCACUUUUAUUAAUCUUUAUUUCAUUCAUUUUACCUUAUGAGUAUUCUAGCCUGACAUUUCUUGCACUAUACAUAACUUGGGUGCAUUAAAAAUUGCAUGAAAGAUCCAAGUUAUAGGUUCCUUGCAAGUGAAUGAUUUGUUCACAACUGCUUUGUGAACUUAAGCAAUCCAUUUGAUGUUGUAGUUCACUAUCUCUUCAUUAGAGGAAUGAUUGAUCUUGACUAUCGAGAUAGAGUUCUCAUGGUGAGUACACUAGUAUGAUGAGUUAUGAUGUAAACUUGUUGGAUAGUCAUAACUUCACUAAGUUGUUAUAUUGUAUUGUUUUCUCAACCUUGAGAGAAUAUUGAACUUGUGCCAAAGUUUGUAAUUAUUUAACCUAUGGGUGAGAUCAUAAAGUGAUUAUAUAUUCCUUACGAAUUGGGACAUAGUAGAUAGAAGUCGGUAGUAAUAAGUAUUUUCAAUAGAGACAUCAUGAUAUCUCAUGGAAUUUGAGAUAGUGUUGGGUGAUAAUAAGGACAUGUAAUCAUGAAGUCUAUGGUUGCAUUAAUUCUUUAAAUGAAGUUUGAUAUAUGCUUUUGUGAGUUAGAGUAUGUUAGUUGAUCAUAUAAUAAGAGAAUAUGUAACUCAAGGAUGGUAUAGGUAAUAUUGAAAGGCAAAUAACUUUCACCUUAUUAGAUUAUAAACACCAAUUCAUGGGGAGACUAUAUGCAAUAGAUAGCAGGUCAUGAAGUUAAGCAUUUUGUGUCUUGUUGUAAUACACAUAGGGCAUUGAAAUGUAAUUGACUUUCUAUAGUAAGAUGUUGAGCCAACUUUAAAAUUGGAUUAUAAAGGAGCCAAUACUAUCUUAUGGGUCUUAGCAGUCCUCGCUCAAGUUCAUUUAUCUCAAUGACAUGGUUUGUGAGGGUUGGAUUGACUCAUGAUUCACUUAUGUGCAAAAAGGCAUUUUGGCAAGUAUGCAUGAAUGCAUAAGAGUUUGUUGGGAUAAAACCUUAUAAAUCAUGACAUGAUGUAAUAGAUUUAGUUUCAUUAAUAAAUAUAUUUAUUUACUAUUCUAGUUCCCUUAUAUUAUCCCAUUGGCAUUAAUUGGUUAUCAAAGUAUUUGCGUCCAUAUCACUUGCAUUGUACAUGACUUAGGUGUAUUAGGAGUUGAACAAAAAAUCCAAGUCAUGGGUUCUUUGCAAGGUGAUAAGUAGUUUAUAGUGGGUUCAUGGAUUUAAGCAAUUUAGUAGAGACUAUAGUGUACUACCUCCUAAUUGGAAAGAUGACUUGUCUUAGUCACCGAGAUGACUUUCCCAUGAUGAGUGAAACAAUGUGUAUGGUUACACAUUGGACAUGACCUAUGAUGAAUUAUGACAUUAAUUGUUGGGUAGUCAUGAUUUACCAUGAUACUAUAUUGUAUAAACUCUCAACCUUGAGAGGAUAUUGAGUUUGUGCUGAAAUCAAUAGGAAACUUUGAUCUAUGGGUGAGAUCCUUGUGUGGUCAUGUAUUCCUUACAAAUUGGGUCACGGUUGAUGAAGAUUGGUGGCAACAAGUAUUCUUAAUAGAGAUACCAUAAUAUCUUAUGAGAUUAAGACAACGUGUCUCUUGGGUGAUCCUAAAGACAUGUGAUUAAGAUGACUACAACCAUAACAAUCCCUUAGUAGAAUUUGACAUAUGCUCUUUGUAAGCUAGAAUAUGUCAAUUGAUCACUUAAUAGGAGGAUUUGUAACUCAAGGAUUGGAGAGAUAAUUUUGAAAGGUUGGCAUCAUUACCUUGUUAUAUUACAAACACCGGUUCAUGGGGAGUCUACAUGCAGUGGAUAGUAGGUCAUAGACCUAAACUUUGCCUUGUUGUAAUUAUAUAGCAUAUUAGAGUGUAGUUGACUCUCUUUAGUAGGGUGUUAAGUUAACCUUAGAAUUGGAUUCAAAGUGAGAUAGUAUUUUCCUAUAGGUUCCAAUGGUCCCUGCUCAAUCUGGUGUCACAUUUGUUUGAGGGAUUUUAGGUUUGUAGUUAACAAGUGUGCAUAAGGGGGAAUUUAAUAAAAAUACAAGGUUGGACUAGAUCUUGUGAAUAGACUUUCUAGAUUGGCAUAAUUUAUUAAUUGGAUUCUAAUAGGGCUAAUUAAUUAAUUAGGACCUAAGUGAGCUAAACCAGGUAACCUAAGCCCAAUUUGGGCUCAAGUCACUAAAGUUCACAAGGAAGCUUAUAAAUAACUAUUUAAAGCCCAUUGGGUUUUAUGAGUAACUUAAGCUUGCCUUGGGUUUGGGUAACUUAUUAUAACCUAAAAAGGUUCUUAAUUGAGGGCUUAGAUUAAUCAAUUAACUUAGUCUAAAAGUACAAUUCACCAAAUUUAUUGGAAACUUUGAAUUACUCCAUUUCAUGACCCAGGAUCAUAUAGGGUGCAUGCAACUAUCCUUACGCUUCUCUAGAUCUAAUGCAAUGGAAAAAUAUGGAUAUAAAAUCCAUAAAAUGUACUAGAUUUAUAGAUUAGAACUCAUACCUAUGAUUUGAAUGUUUCUAAAUUAAAUCCAAUCCCUAAAAGACAUCAAAGAUGUUUUAAAAGUCAUUUAUUGAACAAUUUUCCACCCAAUCUCUCCUUUCACAGAUAGACCCUAGCAUAAAAGAAGGGUAGGCUUAUGUCCCUUCUUUUUUAAGGUAGCUAGGGUUUGCUCAUUCUUUUAGGGCAUCAAACUCUUAGACUUUUACUUUUUCCAUUCUCUCCCACGUGUCUAGAGAGAAUCUAGUCCCCACUCUUCUAAAUAUCUAACAUUUGAGUUCGUAGCUUUAAUGAUGAGCCAUCAAAUAGAAAACCAAUAGGUUUGCAAGAUUUUCGAUGACCCCUACACAUUUGAUAACCUCCUUGACUGCAAAAAUUUGAUUUGGGAAUAUCUAGAUCUUGGUAAAUACUUCUAAUCUAUAGAUUUAGAUCUAAUUUCUAUUUUAAAGGUGAUUUUUUUUUCAUUGCUAGGGUCUAGAUAAGCCUAGGAAAGUUUGCAUGCACUUAACGAGAUCUAGGGAUAGGGAACUUAGUGAUCUAUGCUUUCUUGUAGUUGUAGCUUUUUGCUUUUAAUUUUAACUUGAGUGUACUUUUGGCUUUUUCUUGCUUAAGCUUUUAAUUUUUUUUGAAUGAUGUACAAUGCAUUUAUUUUUUUAGAGGAAUGUAUUUAUUUUUCUUAAUGAUGUACUUUCUUUUUUGAAGGAUAUACUUAAUUUUAUAACAAAUGUAUUUAAUUUUUUCUAAAGAAUGCACUUAUUUUUCUAAGGGAUCUAGUUGUAUGGCAUAAGAUGUCCUCUCAAGCAGAGGUGGAGGUACUAUAGAUUUUGUAAUAGGCACAAUGAUUGCUAAGGUGGUAUGUGAUGGAGGGACUAGUAUAAAAGCCUGAAGUAAGGGUGUGUCCAAUGAUAUAAAUGGCUCAAGUAAGUAAAGAGAAAAUGGUGUGGAAAUUCAAGUAGGGAAGAAAGGGUUGGUAUGGAUUCAUCGGGGGAAGGAAAUGUAGGUUCCAUGAUACAGAUACCUAAAGUAAGGGAAUAGUAGAUAAUGUGUAAGCCCUAAGUGGGGGUUGUUGAUGCUAGGUCAACUGAAGAUGGAAUCCCUUGGUCGUGGCAGCAAAAAGGUUCUGUCCAAAAGUUGGAGACUGGGCUUUCACCUUCCCUGCACAAAGAUGUCUGGACACACUCUCCAAAACCUAAGUCAGACUUUGAAGUGGGCAGGAACCCUUAGAGAUAGAGAGAGAGAGAAGAUGAGAAAGUCCUUAGUAUUGCGUACCUAGGUUCUGGUUCCAAGAGGGUUUUUAUAGUGUCUAGGAUGGAGUCACUAUUGUGCUGAGUUAACAUCUUGACUUUUGUCGUCAUGAUGGCAGCACAGUGGAUGGCAGGGUAAUCAUCACCAUUUAAGCGGUUGGCAGGGGUUGCUGUGGGUAUGUUAUGAUGGUUUGCCUGUCACCUCAACCUAUUGGAGGUAUGAGGCAGUGUGUGAUAGUCGUCUGAUAUGAACGUGGAGACAAGGUAAGAUCCCAUCCCCCAUACUUUUUUUAGAAAAAAAUGAUUUCCUGCAGCAGAGAGAUAGAGUAACCAUCCGGAAUGCGCUGGCAAUUUAAGGGAGCCUAGUACUGCCGGUUGGUAGCAUGUAUAGUCCAGACUAGGACCUUCGAGUCUGAUGAUGAUCGUCCGGACAACAUUGAGAUGAACACCACAUGGGCCAGUAGUGGUUUGCCACAUGGGGGAAGAUCUCCACAGGGGUGACAAGGUUGGAAUGAAGGUAUCAUGGAAGAGGAAAUAUGAGUCUCUGACAGCUUUGACUUAUUUCUUAAAAUGAAGAUAUAAAUUGUUUUUAACUUUAAGUUACAUCAUUAAGUUCUUUUAAUAAAUAUACUUUACUUAAUAACUAAAAUUAAGUUAUUAAGUCACUUUAAGUUAUUAAGUUAAUUUACCAAACGCCUACUAAUUUUCAAAUUCUAAGUUUAGCUUUGCUUUGUAGUGAAUGCAUUUAGGAUUAUCAAAGAGGUCAUCAAGGGUUUCAAACAUAUUCUAUUGCUCAACUUCUCAAAGAGGGACUUCAGAAGAGAAGAUUCCAUAAUUCUAGUUUUGUAUUCGAUUGUAUGUAUCCUACCACAUGGAGACGAUUCCUCAGCAUGCUGAUUUAUUAUUAAGUGCAUGUGAAUUACGUACGGAAUUCCAAUUGAUAUGAACAUAAAAUUAAUUGAAUUAUGUGACAUUUUUUUUACGCAUAAUAAAACAUAUACAGUUGGAAGAUAUCUCGAGAUUCUGAUUUUAUAUCUGGCCCUCAAAAUUCUAUUUCACUGUCAGGUUGUGGAGCAUAUCCCUUGGCAUGCUGAUAUGUCAACUAUUGAAAAAUCUGCAACCAUUUUCUAUAUUCAUGAGCUUUUCUCCUGUUCGAAUUAGUUUUGAAGUUAUCUACAGACAUUGAUUGUGGACUAACUACAUGACUUGUACAAAUUGAAAAUUACUUCAGUCAUGUGUAAAAAAUAAUAAGAGAUAACAUUCAUUAAUUGUGGAUAAAUUGUCUAUAUGACUUUAAAGAAAAAAAGGUCAUAAAAAAACUGAUUGCCUUGUGGAUACGCCUACCAGUAGAUAGCUGAGAACAAGGUCUAACUCUCAACCUUUUGUACUGCCUCUACAAAGGAACACAAAUUUGAGAGAUUCAAAGGCAGCUAUGGUAUAAAUACUGUUUCAUAAAUUACUUUUCAAAUUUAAUUUGGUAGCAAAAAUAAAAAAUAUAAAAGCUUAAAAAAUUUGUUUCAUUCCCAAAAUUUUUGCAAAUAAAAUUUUAAAUAAAUUAAGACCUUGACUCUUUUCACAUCUUAUUCUCAUUUCUAUCAAAGCAAUGAUAGUAAUAAUAUCUUAUGUAUAAAUUUUAAAUGAUGUAAGAUCAUUGAAUUUUUAUUUUCUUUUAACUUCUUGUUAUGUAGUUAUCAAACAUAUUUUUUUUUAAGACAAGAAAAAAAUUAGACCAAACAAAUAUAUUUGAUAUUUAUAACAAUUGAAAACAUAAUUCGUAUCAUUUUAAAAAAUAAUAAAAGCAAAGGUGUAUCAAAACAAUACCUCAUUUGCGUAAUUAGUUAUCACAUUUCCUAAGUACAAAAGUAGGCAAGUAAAUUUUUGCUCAAGUUACAAUAGUGCUCAAAAUCCUUACCCAAGACUUAGAUCCUAUUUCACUUUUUUUCUUCCUUAGAACAAAAAACAAGAAAAUGUGUUUGACAACCGGAAAAUAAGGUUGUGGACCCCGCAUUUUGCUUGAUGCGUUCCCACUCGAUGGUGAAACUCGUUUUUUUUAUUUAUUUGGUGAAAAAUCGAUUUUUAGAAAAAGACUUGAAGUCGCCACUUAUUUUUGUUUUGUUUUUAAAGAGUAAAUAAAAUAAGAAAGAAAACCCUAAGUGUGACUCCUUAUUUUGGAAAAGAUGGUCUGUGAAAAACCAAAUAUGAGCUUGGGGGUCAGGUUACUUAUUGGGAAGGUACGGUAAAAACUGUAACACCCUUCUAAGUCCCUAAAAAUGGAUCUCUACUAAUAAAAUGAAGCAAGUGUGGAAAAUGAUUGAUCAAUUGUGGAUACCAUACAGUAAUCGAGAGUGUGAAAGCAAGACACGCGUGAUAACAAAUAAAUAAAUAAGCACAAUCGGGUACAAAGCGUACCUUAAUCGCAAGCCAAGAGUUAUCAUAAGAGACAAGAUUAGUGCACAAAUAUGGGAUAAUCGCAUGCAUGUCAUAGAGUGAGGCAAACCAAUCAAACAUAGCAAUCAAUCGAUCAAUGGAAAAUCUCAUGUGUUGGGCCCCACGAAAGCCCGAUUUAUCUUAGUGUAGAUUAACUCCGUAAAUUUCAUUAUUCGAAAUUAUAGAAUUAUUCAUGCUUAUUAAAAAUGUGAAAAUUAGAAAACUAUUAAAAAUCAAGGAGAAUUUAUGAAAAAUGUUUACCGGAAAAAAAUGUGGUGACCAAUUUUAUUAAAGAAUGGAAAAUAUUUAAAAUCAAGAAAAAAAAAAAAGAAAAAUAAAAUAAAAUAAAAUAAAAUAAAAAAUAAAAAUAAAAAUAAAAAUAAAAAUAAAUAAAUGAAUAAAAUAAAAGAAAAUAAAAAAUAAAAAAUAAAAAAUAAGAAUGAAAAUAAAAAAAUAAUAAUAAUAAACAAAUAAAAUAAAAGAUGCAUGACCAGUGGAAAGUGGUAGAGAUUGACUUAUUAGAAUUGGAUUUAUUUAAAACCAUGAGAGAAAAAUUGAAGAAUUAAAACCAUUUGAAAAACAAGAUUUUUUUUUUUUUUGAAAAUUGAUUUUUGAAGGCGUGUAUUUUCCUAUAGGAGAUGAGACAUGUGUCUUAAGGAUGGCCUAUCAAAGGUGGCCAUGCAAGGAUCUUGUGCACUGGUGGUCGAAUAUGGGAUACCAACAACUGAGAUGGCCCAGAUGACUACUGUGGGUCCGGAUGGUUCAGAAUGUCUCUUUCCUUGUGAACCCCUGCAUCCCUUUCCAGCCUAAGUCAACCCCCGAAGCUAUGCAAUUCAGCCAUUUGGGUCCCAAAAUCCUCCUUCUUAGUUCUGAUGCUGACAUCACCAUCUUCUUCAACCUCAACUCUUCCAACAUUGGGUAAACCAUAGCCAUGGCAGCGACCUACGGAUAAACGUUACCUCCCCACCCAUCCGGCACCAGAUUAAAGUCUGUAGAAUGCGGCUUCCCCUUCAGCGCCACUGACCGGAGCUCCGGGAGCCGCCUGAUCACUAUCCCAGGGCUCACAGCGUAGUAGUCCUCGACUCCUCGAUGAAGAUCCGUCAUCGGCUCCACCGCUCCACCUCAUACCACGAUUUGCACACCACAGAUAUCACGUUUCGGUCCUUAUCGGUAUGAAUGAAAGAAAAGACAUGCUCCAAAACCUCUUCCGGAAACGAGUACGCCAUUGAAAAUUCUUUCUUGGAGUUCCGAAUUCACAAACAAACCCUAAAUCGAACUUUUCGAAGUCUCAAAUCCGAGAUGUCAUUAACAAGCUCAGUUGCAGAAUACAUCUUUCCGUUCAUUUCCCCACUGGCUUUGUCCCUGAAGUAUUUGUAGUCCGACAGAUUGUAGGGGAACCUCACUGACAUAUUGUGUUCGGUCUUCUCACUCACCACGACAAGGCUAUAAAGAUAGAGUUGAAACGGCGAAUCAAGAGGCAGCUUUAAGUGAUCGAUUUUACAGAAAGAACCCGCUUCCUCCAUUCCUUCAUUGGAUGAAAUUUUGGAUAAUCAUUCACCAAUUCUAACUUUCAUCUUCACCAAGUCUCGAUGCUUCUUCUUUAAUGAGUGCAACGAAUCUGCAUGUCGGGAGACCAAAUUCUCACGACGCAUAAGAAAAGAAUUUGCACCCGCCGUUACCGAUCCUUCUCCUUUGAUACCAACUCAUCCAUAACUAUGUCAUUUAAUCACUUCUCCAUUUGACCAUCCAUUCCGAACAUGCCCAGAAAAUCAUUGCUACUUCCUGUCCAACACUUAAAAGAAAAAUGACGAUGCCGGGUGUGGUGUUGAAUACAGGACGAAAAUGAGGAGCACGAUGGUGAAAGUGACCAUGCAUAGGGGAAAAAGUGUGGUGGAGAAAUGGGAAGAAUGAAAACAGGUAGUGAGAGAAACGGUGUAACAUAAUGUGCCUAUGCUGUGUUAGGUUAUAUAUGUAAAAACAACUUUUUUGUUUUUGUUUUGAGUGGUUGUCAUGCUUCCACGUGGAGAGAUUUACACAAGUUAAAUCUCUUUGCAUCUGGUUUAAAUUCUGGUGUCUGUACAACAAAAAAGUGAAGAACCGAGAAUACAAAGUGAAAAGAAAUAGGGUCCUCUGUUUUUUUGGGACUGUCUUAACUCCUCUGUUCCAGGUCUGUUACAAGGUGUCACUCUUCCAUUUUUUCUUUCUAUAGCCUUUCUCUGUUUUAGGCUGAAACUGCAGCCAACAUAAUUGGUAUUAGAGCAACCCAUUUCACGAAUCCACCUCUCAAUCUAAUCUUCGAUCCACCUUGCUGUUUCCAAUAUGAUCUAAUCCACUUCUUCUUUUCAAGCCCUUUUAUUUCUUAAAACAUGCCUCUUGUGUAUGGAAUUUUAAGAAAUUUCCUCUGUUUUGGAAAGAGAGGAUACUAGGGUUUCUUUUAAUCUGAAGACCAAAAUCCGAACCUACAAUGUAGCUGAAUUGGUGAUGUUGCUGUGCAAUCAGAUUCUGUCUAGAAACCCUCAAUCCUGAAGCAGACGGACCAAGGACUUGAAGGGUAGAUCAAUGGCCAGCACAAGUGUUACAAGUAUGAGUUCUCAACCUUCUUCUAUUCCAUUAUUUGAAGGAGAAAAUUAUGACUUUUGGUGCGUAAAAAUGAAAACUUUAUUUGUCUCAAGAUGUUUGGGAUUUGGUUGAAAAUGGUUUUGAUGAACCUCCGGUUGAAAAAGAUCAGUUGAAAGAAUUGAAAAAAAUGGAUGCAAAAGCUCUCUUAUUUAUUCAACAAGGUGUUGGUAAUAACAUCUUUCCAAGAAUUAUGAGAGCUUCAAAAGCUAAAGAAGCAUGGGACAUCCUUCAACAGGAGUUCCAAGGAGACAAAAGAACCCAGUCAGUAAAGCUUCAAGCUUUAAGAAGAGAGCUGGAAAAUAUGAAAAUGAAGGAGAAUGAAACUCUAAAUGAGUUUUCUUCCAAAUUUAUGGAGUUAGUAAAUCAGAUGAAGUCAUAUGGUGAAGAAAUUAGUGAUAAAAGAAUCGUUGAGAAACUUUUAAUCAGUCUACCUGGCAAAUUUGACCCAAUUGUGGCUAUGAUUGAAGAAACAAAAGAUCUCUCACUGCUCAGUGUACAAGAGCUAUUUGGGUCUUUAAAAACUUAUGAAUAGAGAUUGUUGAGGCAUUCUGAAAAAUCAGUAGAAAGUGCAUUCCAAUAAAAAAUAAGCCUUAACUCCAGAAAUGUUGAAAGGAAACCUAUAAGCAAUGAAAAUAAAAGUGAUUCAUCUAGAGGUGGUAGAACUGGAUGAGGAAGAGCAAAAGGAAGAGAUGGAAGAGGUAGAGGAAGAUUCAGCUAUGGAAGAAAGUUUACUAACGAGGAAGGCUCAUCAUUCUCAAAGUGUAAUAUUUGUAAAAGAAGUAGUCAUGUUGAAAAAGAUUGUUGGUUCAAAGGGAAGCCUCGAUGCUUCAAUUGUAAAAAAUUUGGGCAUGUUAAAAAAGAUUGCAGAUUUAAGAACAAUCAACAAGCAAGUUGUGCUGAGGAGAAAGAGGCUGAUGAAAACAUGUUUUAUGCUUGUCAAAGUGUUGCUGAGCAAAAGAAUAAUGUGUGGUUCCUUGACAGCGGCUGCACAAACCACAUGACUGGUAACAAAAAUAUUUUCCUUGACAUGGAUACAACCAUCAAAUCAUAAGUCAAAAUGGGUAAUGGUGAUUUAGUGAAUGUUAAAGGGAAAGGCACAGUUGGUAUCCAAACUAAAGUGGGAACCAAGUACAUCAGAGACGUUCUUCUUGUACCAGCCUUAGAGCAAAAUUUGUUAAGUGUGGGACAGCUAGUAGAGCAUGGGUAUAAACUUCACUUUGAAAAUAAUGAGUGCACCAUUUAUGAUAAGGAGCAAAGAAGAAAUUUAGUGAAGAAGAUAAAGAUGGAGAAAAAUAGAAGUUUUCCAAUUGUCUUCAAAUAUGUUGAAAAUGUGGCUUUGAGAAUGGAAGAUGUUGAAGAAGCUUGGUUGUGGCAUAGAAGAUUUGGGCAUUUGAACUUCAAUAGCUUGAAGAUGCUUUGUCAAAGGAAGAUGGUACAAGGAUUGCCAAACGCCAUUGAAGAAAAGAAUGAAGUAUGUGACGGUUGUGCUCUUGGGAAGCAUCAUAGACAAUCAUUUCCAAAGGGAGUCGCUUGGAGAGCAAAGAAGGUAUUGGAGUUAGUUCACACUGAUAUAUGUGGACCCAUGUCUACACCUUCUCAAGGCAACAACAAGUACUUUGUAUUGUUUAUUGAUGAUUUUACAAGAAUGACUUGGGUGUUCUUCAUGAAGCAAAAAUCAGAAGUGUUCUCUAUCUUUAAAAAAUUCAAGAGUUUUGUUGAAAAGCAAAGUGGUUGCUACAUAAAGACCUUGAGAAGUGACAAAGGAAUGGAAUAUACUUCAAGCCAAUUUGGUAAUUUUUGUGAAGAUGAAGGGGUUGAGAGACAGCUUACUGUUGCAUAUACUCCUCAACAAAAUGGAGUAGUUGAAAGGAAAAAUCAAACGGUUAUGGAAAUGGCCAAAGCUAUGUUAUAUGAGAAGGGUUUGCCUAAAAUUUUUUGGGCUGAAGCAGUUAACACUGCUGUGUAUCUUUUGAAUAGAUGCCCAACAAAAGCAUUAUUGAACAAAACUCUGAUUGGAGUAUGGAGUGGAAGAAAACCAUCUGUUAGACACUUCAAAGUGUUUGGGUGCUUAUGUUAUUCACAAGUUCCAAAGGAAAGAAGGAGCAAGCUGGAUGAAACAAGUGAAAAGUGCAUCUUCAUGGGUUAUAGUUCACAGUCAAAGGGUUAUAGGUUGUAUAAUUUGAAAACCAACAAGCUGAUCAUAAGUAGAGAUGUUAUUUUUGAUGAAAAAGCUGCUUGGAAUUGGGAAGAAGGUAAAAUUCUGAAGAAAACAAUUCUUGUUGAUGAACUUCAAACAAAAGCACCAGUUGAAACUGGAAAUGGCAGCACUUCAACUUCAUCACCUCAAGAAUCUCCAAGAUCAGUUCCAUUAUCUCCCUCAAUUGAGUCUCCAACUUCAAGCUCGUCGUCACCAUCCUCAACUCCAAGAAAAAUGAGAAGUUUGACUGAUGUUUAUGAGAGAUGCAAUUUGUGCAUUGUUGAACCUCAAAGUUUUGAAGAGGCAAUAAAAGAUGAAGAUUGGAGGAAAGCAAUGGAAAAAAAAAUUGAUGUCAUUGAGAAAAAUGAAACAUGGCAGCUGGUUGAAAAGCCAAAAGACAAAGAAAUCAUUGGGGUGAAAUGGAUUUUUAGGGUGAAAUGGAUUUUUAGGGUGAAAUACCAUUCUGAUGGUAGAGUUCAAAGGCUUAAAGCUAGAUUGGUUGCAAAAGGCUAUUCACAACAGCCGGGUGUUGAUUUCCAUGAGACCUUUGCUCCAGUUGCUCGCCUUGAUACUAUUAGAACUAUUAUUGCAGUGGUUGCUCAAAAAGGUUGGUUGUUGUACCAACUUGACAUAAAAUCUGCAUUUUUGAAUGGAAAGCUGGAAGAAGAGAUCUAUGUUGAACAACCUCAAGGAUUUGUUGUUGAUGGAGAAGAAAACAAAGUUUACAAGUUAAAGAAAGCCUUAUAUGGUUUGAAACAAGCUCCCCGUGCCUGGUACACUCAAAUUGACAGCUACUUCAUUGAAAAUGGUUUCAUUAGAAGCAAAAGUGAGCCUACCCUCUAUGUGAAGAGCAAAGAUAAUUCCCAAAUCCUUAUUGUUGCUCUUUAUGUUGAUGAUUUGAUUUUUACUGGAAAUGGUGAGAAGAUGGUUGAAAAAUUUAGAAAUGAAAUGAUGAAAAAAUAUGAAAUGAGUGAUAUGGGAUUGUUGCAUUAUUUUUUGGGAAUUGAAGUCUAUCAAGAAGAAGAUGGUGUGUUUAUUUGUCAAAAGAGGUAUGUUGAACAUAUCCUCAAAAAGUUUGGCAUGGCUGGUUGUAAUCCUGUAUCUACUCCUUUAGUUGUGAAUGAAAAGUUGAGGAAAGAAGAUGGAGGGAAGAUGGUUGAUGAAACUCACUUUAGAAGUCUUGUUGGAAAUCUGUUGUAUCUCACUGCAACUAGACCUGACAUCAUGUUUGCAGCAAGCUUGCUGUCAAGAUUCAUGCAUUAUCCUAGUCAUUUACAUCUUGGAGCAGCAAAAAGAGUCUUGAGAUAUUUGCAAGGCACGGUUGAACUUGGAAUAAAAUAUUUCAGGAAUAUUGAAGUGAAGCUAAUUGGCCAUUGUGAUAGUGAUUGGGGUGGCUGUAUUGAUGACAUGAAAAGCACAUCAGGCUAUGCAUUCUCCCUUGGUUCAGGUGUUAUGUCUUGGGUCUCAAAAAAGCAAGGUUUAGUGGCUCAAUCCUCUGCUGAAGCAGAGUACAUUUCAGCUUCAUUGGCAACUUCUCAAGCAAUAUGGUUAAGAAGAAUUUUAGAAGACAUUAAGGAGAAGCAAAAUGAAGCAACACAUCUACUUUGUGACAACAAAUCUGCUAUAGCCAUUGCAAAAAACUAUGUUUUUCAUAGUAGGACUAGGCAUAUUGCAGUGAAGUAUCAUUUUAUUAAAGAAGCUAUUUCAGAUGGUGAGGUUCAAUUGAUGUACUGUAAAUCAGAGGAGCAGGUUGCUGAUAUCUUCACUAAAGCAUUGCCUUUGGAGAAGCUUGUUCACUUCCGAAAGCUUUUGGGAGUAGAGGAACAUCACAUUAGGGGGGAGAAUGUAACAUAAUGUGCCUAUGCUGUGUUAGGUUAUAUAUGUAAAAACAACUUUUUUGUUUUUGUUUUUGUUUUGAGUGGUUGUCAUGCUUCCACGUGGAGAGAUUUACACAGGUUAAAUCUCUUUGCAUCUGGUUUAAAUUCUGGUGACUGUACACAAAAAAAGUGAAGCCGAGAAUACAAAGUGAAAAGAAAAAGGGUCCUCUGUUUUGUGUGGGGACUGUCUUAACUCCUCUGUUCCCAGGUCUGUUCCAAGCUGUUACUCUUCCAUUUUUUCUUUUUAUAGCCUUUCUCUGUUUCAGGCUGAAACUGCAGCCAACAAGAAAAAAGGUGUUAAAACCCAUUUACAGAUAAUCCUACUUUUUCAAGCAGAGUAGUAGGAAGCCUAGAGAGUAUCGAUAGGAAACAUGCAAGUGAGAUGGGUUCAGUUACAUAUAACUGCUCAUGCCUUCUGCUCAUGUUCUGUCCACAGUAUUUAUGUUUAGUAAGCCAUCNNNNNNNNNNNNNNNNNNNNNNNNNNNNNNNNNNNNNNNNNNNNNNNNNNNNNNNNNNNNNNNNNNNNNNNNNNNNNNNNNNNNNNNNNNNNNNNNNNNNAUGGCUGGUUGUAAUCCUGUAUCUACUCCUUUAGUUGUGAAUGAAAAGUUGAGGAAAGAAGAUGGAGGGAAGAUGGUUGAUGAAACUCACUUUAGAAGUCUUGUUGGAAAUCUGUUGUAUCUCACUGCAACUAGACCUGACAUCAUGUUUGCAGCAAGCUUGCUGUCAAGAUUCAUGCAUUAUCCUAGUCAUUUACAUCUUAGAGCAGCAAAAAGAGUCUUGAGAUAUUUGCAAGGCACGGUUGAACUUGGAAUAAAAUAUUUCAGGAACAUUGAAGUGAAGCUAAUUGGCCAUUGUGAUAGUGAUUGGGGUGGCUGUAUUGAUGACAUGAAAAGCACAUCAGGCUAUGCAUUCUCCCUUGGUUUAGGUGGUAUAUCUUGGGUCUCAAAAAAGCAAGGCUCAGUGGCUCAAUCAUCUGCUGAAGCAGAGUAUAUUUCAGCUUCAUUGGCAACUUCUCAAGCCAUAUGGUUGAGAAGAAUUUUAGAAGACAUCAAGGAGAAGCAAAAUGAAGCAGCAUAUCUACUUUGUGACAACAAAUCUGCUAUAGCCAUUGCAAAAAACUAUGUUUUUCAUAGUAGGACUAGGCAUAUUGCAAUGAAGUAUCAUUUUAUUAAAGAAGCUAUUUCAGAUGGUGAGGUUCAAUUGAUGUACUGUAAAUCAGAGGAGCAGGUUGCUGAUAUCUUCACUAAAGCAUUGCCUUUGGAGAAGCUUGUUCACUUCCGAAAGCUUUUGGGUGUAGAGGAACAUCACAUUAGGGGGGAGAAUGUAACAUAAUGUGCCUAUGCUGUGUUAGGUUAUAUAUGUAAAAACAACUUUUUUGUUUUUGUUUUGAGUGGUUGUCAUGCUUCCACGUGGAGAGAUUUACACAGGUUAAAUCUCUUUGCAUCUAGUUUAAAUUCUGGUGUCUGUACAACAAAAAAGUGAAGAACCGAGAAUACAAAGUGAAAAGAAACAGGGUCCUCUGUUUUUUUGGGACUGUCUUAACUCCUCUGUUCCAGGUCUGUUACAAGGUGUCACUCUUCCAUUUUUUCUUUCUAUAGCCUUUCUCUGUUUCAGGCUGAAACUGCAGCCAACAAAUGGGAAUGAAAUGUGAUCAUGCAUGCAUGAGGAUAGAUGGAUAGCGGAGGAAGUAGGUUUAUAGGUGCUGAAAGAAAUGGGUGUUUAGGUUGAAUGGAAGGUGGAGAUGUGGGGCGUGGUGACGGGUAUGAUUGAUGGGCUCGGUGGGUAUGAGAAGAAGGAAGAUUGGAUAGUGGGAGAAAUGGGUAUCGAAGAUGGUCGUGUUUGCAUGAUUCCCAUGCAUGCGUGGAGCUUCAGGCACGUGAGAAAUGAUAGAAAUGAGGUCAAGGUUGGUUGGAUGAAUGAUGAGGGUGGAUGUGUUGGUUUUGAAACCAGAUAAAUAAAAGAAAAAACGGAAGCCAAAAAAAUUUUCUCAAAAUUUUUUCUCAAUGAUCAAUACUUGUAUUAAUUUAAUGAAAUAACAAAUAUAGGUAAAUUAGAAUUGUACCUUGCGAUUAGGCUGAUAAAUUUGAACUUCACCAAAAGGAUCUUAGAAUUCCAAAUCCUCUAAAGCACCAUGGAUCUUUCUCUAACGUUCUCCAAAUUAUGAUGAACUCAAAACGAGUGGGCGUUUUUCAUUCUUGGGUUUUUUUCUCACACAACUUAAUAUAUAUUGAAAACUUGUAUUCUCUUCCCAUCAUCCGAGAAACAUUGAGAAAAAAAAAAUUUAAUACCACGAAGAAAAAAAAAUAACUGACAUGUUUUGAAUUUUGAAAAACAUGGGAGAGAAUAUCUCUCCCCAUGAUCCCCACUUAAAAAGUGUUUCUUUGAAUUUUGAAAAACAUGGGAGAGAAUAUCUCUCCCCAUGAUCCCCACUCAAAAGGUGUUUCUUAGGGAAUACAAGUAAGUGUGGUUUUCACCACAUUGUAUCAAAAAAUAUUUUAAAUAAUCAAAUUAUAAAAUAAAUAAAUCAAAUCAAGAUUGUGUGAAAUUAAUUUAGAAUUUAAAAUUCCAAAACUAAUAAAAUCAACCCAACAUAAAAAAAUGUUCAUAUAAUUUUAAUGGAGCCGUUGAGAGGAACUAUGGACAUUAUAAUUUUAAGCUCCAAUAAUUUUGACAAUUAAUUAACAACUUAAUUAAAAAAUCAAAAUUAUUAAUUCCAAAAUUACUCCACUAAAAAUUUGGAAUUGCACUCUUAAAAUUAUAAAAUUAAAUAUAUUCAAAGGAUUUGAAUUGCCCAUUGAUAUAGUCACUACAUAUGAGUCAAUCCUCCAUAAACGGUUCAUAAUUAAAGCUAGGUUUUUCCGUUAACCUCUUUAAUUAUAUCUUUCUCCUUAAGUGCCAUUGGUUCUCUAAUGAAUAAUAUAUUUAUGGUCUAAUCAUAAAUUGAGCGCUCUUAUCAUUCAAGGCCCGAACCAAUACUUAUGGGAACCGUCCAUCUGACUUCUUAACGAAGGAAUGGAUUUCAUCUUGUAUAUUAAUAUUCCCGGCUAUUUAUUUUAUUAUACUUCCAAUACACCAAGAAUUUGACACUAUGUAUUUGUGUCAUUACCCGGUAUGUCAAAAAAUACAAUAGAAUAAAUAGGAGUCUAUUAAUCACUCAGAAUUAAGAUCAAUGCAUAUAUGACCAUCAUUGAUUAAUAUUAAAUGCUCUAUAUUAUAAUGGAAUUUAUCAGAGAUUCAUAAUUAAUCGUGUUCCAGUCCUAUAUAAUCAAAUUAUAUAAAGCGCUUUCAAUCUAAUAAUCUCAUUAUUAACAAUCCGGAUAAGAUCAUUUCAUUCAGAAUGUAAUGAACCGCGCUAGUAAUUUUAAAUUAAAGAUCCCAUCUUUAAUUUUUAAUUACGAACAUAUUAGAUUAUUUUACUUUAAAUAUUAUCCUCUUGUAUAUAACACUUAUAUACAAUAUUUAAAGUUUCAAUUAAAUAAUCUAGGGUUUUCGAUAUUUAUAAAGCAUCUAUAACAUGCAUGCAACAAUAAUAUUGAAAUAAUUCCUUAAAAAAAUAUUAAUAAUCAGCAAAAUAAAAAACAUCUCAUUUGUUUAUGGGCACAUAUUCCAACAGGAUGGUAUAGGAGAAACGAGCAUGGGGUUGGUGAGGUGGGUUAGUGUGGCCGUGUAUGGCCAUGCAAAGGUGGGAGGGAAUGAGAUUGAGAAGAGUGAAAAAGGGUAGAGAGAGAAAUGAGUAUGAAAGAUGAGUGAGUAUGUGAGGAUUGAAAAUGGAACGAGGUGAAGGUGGCCAUGUGCAUGAGAUUUUCAUGUACAUAGAAAAAUGAAGGAAAUGGGUAUUAGUGAGAGAAAUGGGUAUGGUGGAGUGAAGGAUGAAAGGGUGGCGGGAUUAGAUGGGCAUGGAUAGUAAGAGGUUAAAGAUGGGGAGGAUGGGUGUAGUGGUGAAACAGUGUGCAUGAAGGGUACGUGGUGUAGAGGGAUAAAUGGGUUCAUACGUUUCAAGGAAAGGGUGAUAUGCAUGGGAGGUUAUGAAAGAUAAGUAUGGAAAUGGGCAUGAGAAGGUGGGCAAUAUGGGUAGGAUGAGUUCGAUGGGUGUGAAGCGAUGGGUUUGAUGGAGGAUAGGACGGAUGAGAGAUGAAGGAUGAAGUGGGUUAGAGAGUAUUAAAGAAGUGGUGGUGCAUAGAAGGUUAGGGAGAAUGAGGGGAUGAGUUUGGGUGUGAGUAUGGUUACGAGCAUGGUGGAGUGAAGGAUGGAGUACAAAAGUUGCAGGAAUGAUGAGAUGAGGUGGCCAUGUGUAGGAAUUCCAUGCAUGUGGGUAGGAAACAAAUAGCUGGGCAGCAAGGUGAGUGACGACCUGAAAACUCUCAUCAUCAAGAGCAUGGGUGGCAGUGGAACAAAUCUUUUCCUCAAACCUUUCAGCAAUUUUCCAUAUCUCACAUAGUUCCUCGGAAUCAGACCUUAACUGAUCUAGCUGGCAACUCUUUGAAGGGAUGAGUCAUAAGGUUACAUACCAAAGAGAUUCUUAUGGUUCCACACCUCAGAGUAUAGUUCCCGUACCUAAGAACGCCUGAACAUCAGGAGCAGAGGGAAAGUAGCAAAGACGGAGCAUAGAUGAAGAAAAUAAGAUUAACCAUCAAAAGCCACACUUCGUGUCCUAGUCAGUGGGCUUAAAGAUAGGUGGAUUAAAAGAGUUUCUAAAUGGCGCGAAGGAGAUAAAAUGGAGUUGAAACAAUUUUUGAACACAAACAGGAGCAAUAGAGGAACUGUCAACUAUGAAGAAAAAAAAACCAUAAAUCAUCCAAAGAUCAACAGCAACACAUCUAAAUAAUAGUAGAUGAAAAGAAAAGAAAUAUACACAGUGGAAGACUUACUUCUGGGAAAAUGUUGGAGGUCCUUCUUCUCUGCUUCUUCUUUUUCUCUUCUCCCACAACUCAUUUUUCCCUCAACUAUUUUAUUUUUCUCUUCCAGAACCCUCCGGAACCAAAGGUGUCCCCCCCUCCAGAUACUACCCCUCAGUUCAAAAAUAUCUCAUGUCUCUCUGAACACACUCCUCUCUCUCUUCGAUUCCCUCUCAAUCUUCUCUGAAAAAAAAACUCUCGGCCCCCCUCCAAAAAACGCCUUUUUUUCUCUUCCCUAAGCUAUCUAUCCCCUUGUUACAACCCACAAAAAUGUCUUUCUUGUCAUGUAGCCCCAUUUUCUGUUCAGUUCUGUCUCCUCUCUUCAAACGGUUGUGUCUCCCCUUUUUGAAACAACUCACCAUCAGCUGCUUUUCUUCCUACUUUCCAUCCCGUCUAGCCACCCAAAAACAACUCAUUCCCAGUCCUCUUUGGCUGCCCAAGAACGGCUCACCCAUCAUCCGCUUUCUUCACCUUCCGUCUUCUUUGGCUGCCCGAGAACGACUCCUUCUCAGGGUGGCCAGAAAAAUAAAAAAAAAUAAUAUGAAACCCCUCCAUCUCAAGGGUCUACAAAGGUGUUUUCAAAAAACAUAUAUUAGUUGUUUUUAGUUUUCUUCAUUAGCUUGGUUGUUUUAAAAAAAUAAUUAUACAAAAAAAAUGAUUAAAAAUAUAAUAUUAUAUACAAAAAUUAUUUAAAAAUUAUAUGCAUGAGUUUUGGAAAGUCUUGCAAAAUAAGCAAAGCUAUAGGAAAAAUAUGCAAACAAAAAUUUGUAUUAAAAUCAUUGGGGGCGGACAAUAUUUGUGGAAAAAUAUUUUUUGCCAAAGAAUAUUUUUUAAAGAUCAAUUGAAAGCCUAAAGCGACUUGUUCCCAAAUGAAUUUAUUGAAUGGUGAAGAGCAUGUAUGUUGCGAUUUUUUGGAUUUGUAGGGGGUAUUUUAUAAAGCUUUUUUUCUCUUUGUGAAACUUCUUUUCAUAUGUGAAAUUGUUUUAUUUUUUUAUCAUUUUCAUUGAAGGAAGUUGCAGAUAUUUAUAGAUGAAAUUAAAAAAUUAAAUUUAGAAUUUCUAAGAUUUGAUUACUUAAUUAAAAAAAUUGGUUUCUUAAUUUUAGCAACUUGUCUUUUUCAUUAAGGAAGUUUGCUAACAAGAGAUUAUUUACUUCUCAUUUUCUUUUGACUUCAAUUGGAAGAUUUGUUUCAUUUGUUUAGAAAAUUUGCCAACGAGAAAAUAUUGAUUUCUAAUUCUUUUUUAUUUCAAUUUUUUGAUUUGAUUUGAUUUUGCAAGACUUUAUUGUAUAGCCUUCCAAAUUUCGCUACAUGCCAUUUUUUGAAUCAAAUGCCACAUGUUCAAUAUAUAUGACUCAUCACUUAUCAAGCCCAAAUUUUGUUGAGCUAAGGAGUUACAAUUUUGAAGACUAAUUUGGUAGUAUUUUAAUCCACUAAAAUUUUUUAUGUUUACAAAUGCCCUGAAGACAGAUCACACACAUACAUUGCCAUGUAUAAGAGGUGAAUCUUGAAGUUAGCCAUUUGAAUCUUCCAUAUCCUUCUUUGAUUUUAUUUUUUUCGAAGAAAUAUUUUAAUAGGAAAUUUCCUAUUCAAAAUACUUUUCUUCAACUUUUUCCAAACACUACUUUAUUUAUUUAUUUAUUUAUUUAUUUAUUUAUUUAUUUAUUUGCCUGGUAUCAAAGAAAGACCUUGUGUUAAUGGGAAAGCUUCUUAUUUGAAUAUCUAUUUUCUUUUCUCAUGGUAUUUUCACUUCCAAUUUGCCAUCCUACAAUAAGUCCUUCACCCUAGCUUGGUCAAUUGCAUCUUAGACUUGUUCACAUGCCUUUAACUUGUAAUUCAAGUUCCAUUUUUUUUUGUUUAAAAAAUAAUACAAUAUAUUUGAGCAAGACCUUAAGCAAGAGAAGAGAGGUGGAGGAUGGAGCACCAGCUAACCUUAGGGCAAGAUCUUGAGCAAGAGAAGUAAGGUGGAGAAUAGAGCACAAACUUCUUUAGAGUAUGGUAGGCAUGUCGUCACAGAGUUAUCUUCCACAUGGAGCAUGGUAGGGCAUUAUAUAUAUGAUAGGGUGUGCCAUCAUGUAACAAUGAAGAACAACAAUCCAUGGUGUACAAUUGGGAACAACAAUUCAUGCUAUCAAGAUUCACCUGUUUUUAUUUAUUUUUUAUUUUUUAUUUUUAUCCCUAUCUCCACCCUCGACUCCAUUUUUUUUUUUUUCAAGUUUCUAGAUCCCUUUUGAUUCUUUCUCAUUUUCUUUUUUCAACUCUUUUUUUCCCUCCUUUUUUAAGCAUUGUUCUUAAGGAAAAAAUAUAAUUUACGAGUACCUGGAUUCUAUUCGAAUAAAAAAGAGCCAUUCACAUGCAUGGAUUAAAUAUAUAUCUCAUGGAUACAUUGUACUUAGCCACGGCUGAAGCUUUCCACUAUGACUUAGAAACAAAAAAAGAAAGAUAUGAUUAAAAAACUGAUUGGCAUGUGGCUGUGCUUGCCAGUAGAUGGCUGAAAAGUAGUUCUGACCUUUUGUUUUGGCCUCUACUAAGGAACCCAUUAUUGAGAGAUUUAAUGGCAACUAUAUAUGGUAUAAAUAAUGUUUCAUAAAGUACUUACACAUCUUAUUCUCAUUUCUAUCAAUGCAAUAAUGUAGACCCCCAUGUGGGGCUUGAUCUGCUGCAGCACAUUUGGCCACGUGUCACUCUCCGAUUGGCCAUCAUGGAUGCUCUUGAAGGCCAAUCUGGGGUCGACACGUGUCAUCAUGGAAUCAGACAAAAAUCUUUUUUUGGCUGUUAUUUGAGGGAGAAAAGCGGCUGCAUGAAGGUGGUGGUCUGGCCGUUUUGAGGAGUGCUUUUGGGAAGGCUGCAGGGUAGUGGUGCAGGGGGUGUCGUCUGGCAGCUGCAUUGAGAGUGAGAGAAAAAGGAGGGGAGAGACUGAGAGGGCAAGUGUUCACUGUCGUUUUGGCAUUGGGAGAGGGGGGUUUUUUUUUUCUAGAGAGAACAGAGAGCUAGAGGGAGAGUAAGAGUUUUGCUGGAAGGGAUUCCUUGAGCUGAGGCUGCCGGAGAGAUAUUUUGAGAGGGAGAGGUUUUUGGUGGCUGUUUUUCUGCAGGUCGUAAGGAAAACAGCCAGAGAGCUAGAAGGAGAAAGGGAAAAGAAAAAGCUAAGAAAAACAAAGCAGAGAGCUUUAGUGAGAGAGAGGAUUCCAGAGAGCACUGAGAGGAGAGGUUGCAGAGAGGAGUCCAGGGAGAGUUUCCAUUAGAGAGAGAAAAACAAAGGAAGAAGAAGAAAGGCAAACUGAGAGAGAGGGAGGAGAGAAACAGAGUAAGCUACAGGAGGUAUGGAGCAGAAAGAGUGAAGUAGAGCAACUCGAUACCCAUCUGGUCUUGCAAGAAAGAGGUGUGUUCAGGAUUUGAGAGAGGAGCAGGUGGGAUUAGAGAGGGUUCUUUGGCAGCUGCAGGGAAGACAAGGGAGGAUCUCCAAGUAAGUUUAUCAUGGUUUUCCAGUCUUUUUCUUAUUAUGAUAAUUGAUCCAUUAUUCUUCCUGCUAUUUCUGGGUAUUGUUUGAUGGCUUGAGCGUGGAUGCCCCCCAUUGUUUGAUUUCUAUUGGUUUCAUGGUAUGAAUGUGGAUUUAUUGUUAUAGUUUUUUUUGUCUCUCUUUCCUCUUGGGUUUUGCUGGAAAAUAACCUCACUCUAUUUCAAUUCCACUGUGAAAUGCUUGAGAAUCAUGACUUGUUCAUAUUGGCAUGAAUUUUCCCACCUAGUUAGCAGGCUCCCUGAUAACCCAUGAAGUGGAGCCUCAUUUGAUGAUAACUUUAUUUUGUUUUUCUUUUAUGUUCUGUUUUCCAUGGCUUCUUCUUUCUUGUGGCUCUUAUCUAAAUGCAUGGGAUGUGAGGAAAAGACCAGGAUCUUCAAGAUCUCCAAGCUGAAGAUGUUAUCAAGGAGCAAGCAAGUCAGACUUCUGUAUAAGUUCCACGACCCUAGGGAAAUGGUCUGAGAAGGUCUCUCGUGAAGCUAUGUAAGGUUGGCCGGAAGAGUCUUUCUAUGUUUCAACAAGCAGUUUCUGUGGACUUAGUUGGGUGCUGGACUUGGGUUUUAAAUGGUGGCCAGUGGAGAGCUUUUCGAAAAUCUCUUUCUAUUCAGGAUAAAGAGGUGCUCAAAGCCCGGGAUUUUGUUUUGAGUGAGGCAAGGAAGUAUGAAAUCGGGUUCAUAUUGUCAUUAAGUAAUAAUUGGGGAGAAUAUGGUGGCAAAGCAUAGACAACAACAGGCUCCCUCUGGUCACGGUACUGCUGAAAAUAAGGAAAGAGUCUUUCCAUGCUGGCAUGAGUGUUGAUGAAACCACCAUUACCCUACUCUCGCAUGGCUAUCUAUUUGCCCAGUUUCUCAUACCCACUUUCAUAUUAGCCUUCUCAAACCUCCCAGCAUGCUGUUUUUUUUUUUUUUUUUUUUUCUUGAAAUCUCACGGAUCAAUUCAUUCUUCUAUGCCCUUUACCCUUCAUGCAUACUAUUUUACCACCACAACCAUUAUCCCCACUUUCAGCAUAAUACCGAAAAUGCCCAUCAAGCAUUUUUUUUUCAUUUCAUAUUAUCCCUUCCACUAAUUUCCCACUCCCUAUUCCACACCAUACCCCCCGUGGUAAAUAUAGUCAAUGUUCUGACCCAAUUUUUUUUUUUUUUCUUUUAUCCCAUGCACGGAUCCACCUUUAAUAGACCCUACACAAUCAUCCCUUGGGACCCGAACUCACAACCCGUUUUCACUAUCAUCCUUCUCGCUCCUCUGUUUGUAAGUCAUUCAUGCCACUUUCCAGUUUUGAUAGAAAUGGAGCAGUUCCAUUGAUGUUUGCAGGGCUGCAAAUAUUCAUACCAGUAGGUAACCAUGCUAUCUCAGGACUGAAGUCUCGGAUCUUGGAAGGGUUCUCGCAGCGGGGUUACAGCGUUUUGCUCUCUUCACGAUCCGUGACUGCAGCAUAGUCGUGGUUUCCAAGUACAAUAUGGCAAUGGAAGUCAUUCAAGGGCUUUUGAAUGCAUAAUCAGUCGAUGGAGAUAUUCGGAAACAUGCAGAAGAGAGUUUAAAACAGUUCCAGGAGCAAAAUCUUCCAAAUUUCCUACUAUCUCUUUGCUUUGGCAAACUUUACCGAUGGUAUGGAGCGUGAUUAUAUCAUGAGAGUUGUCUGUGAAGCAACUCUGUCUCCUGAAGUCAAGAUAUUAAUAAAAGAGGUAGUGAACAUCCAAAGCAAGGAGAUGAUGAAGACGCUGAUGCUUCAGAUGAGAACUACAAUGGUUGAGGCAGAAAUUGAAGAUUGGACAAGGGAUUAUAGCAUCCGUACCUUGCUGAAGUUGCCAUGGAUAAAGGGCCCCUCUUCCAUCAAUUCAAACAGGGAUUACCUUUUGUUCUUUUCUGAGAGUUACAGAUUUUAUGGGAUGCAAUUGGGGCCCGCCAUGCAGCAUUAUUGACGUCAAAUUCACAGCUACAUGCUGAUAGUUUGGAUGAUAACAUGUGCGGCACAACUGUAAUAACAGUAUUGAUUCGUGGUCGGGCUAUAUAUGUUGCUAACUCAGGGGAUCCCAGAGCUGUUACAGUAGAAAGAAAAGGGAAGGAAAUUGUAGCUGUUGAUUUAUCAAAUGAUCGUUACCAUCCAUGCAGACUCUUGGUGGAUGACAUGUCCAGGGAAGCAUUUCCAGAAUCCUGAUGUGUAAAGGUAUAGCAGGAGGGAUGGUUGGAGAGUUGCAAGGGUUACGUCGCCCACUCAUUUGAGGUUUGAACUUGAUGUGCUAGCAUUCUCUGGUGCUACUUUAAUAAGGGUUUGGGUCACUUUGCUCUUCCCCCAGUGAAGCUGUGAACUGCCAUCUGUCACUUCCUCAAGUCAUUAUAACCCCGGUCGUGGUCUUCUCUCCCGUGCUAGGUCUCUCAGACUUCCUCAGGGCAUGCCUUUUUUUCAUUUUGCCUAUUCCCUAUUAUUGUUACUAUUAUUAUUUUCAUUUCUCUUUUUAUUAUAUUAAAUUUAUUUCACCUUUUAUUAUUAUUAUUAUUUUCUUUAUUAUUAUUAUUAUUUUAUCCUUGUUGUUUUCAAAAUAAUCCAUCAAAUUCCAGCUUUCAAAGGGUUUUCCAAAUUCCAUUUUUAUAAAAUUUAUUUACUUUUAAUUUUCAUCUUUAGUUUUUUUAGAAUCCCUCAAAAAUCUCAUUUCAAAUAAAAUUCACCGCCAUUUUUUGUUUUGGCCAGUGACUUUCACAAUUCCUCUGAUUUUCAAAAUGUUUUAAAUAAGCUAGAAUCGAAUUCCGUAAUUCCUAGUGAUGGAAUUUAUGGAAUUAAUUCAUGCAAAAAUGAAUUGGGCUUUGGUGGGGGCCCUACAUAUGAGAUUUCAUGAUUGAUUGACUGAUUGAUUCAUUCAUUAGCUAUAUGUGAUUGAUUUACUCUGUUUCUUGAUAUACACAUUAUCCUUCUGUGUUUGUUCACUAACCCUGUUUCUGAUAGCGCGUUACGGCUCGCGGCCCAGGUACGCACUCUCUAUACCUAUUCUGUUUUUUUUUAUAAGUGUAAGAUGGAUUUGAGUAUCCAUUGAUUUUUCCAUUGAUUGUCAUGUCAGCUUCAUUUUAUUAGUAGAGACCCGACUUUAGGGACUUAGAGGGGUGCUACGGUCUUUACCGUACCUUCCCGAUAAGUAACCUGACCCCCGAACCCGAUCCGGUUUUUCAUAGACCGCCUUUUCCAAAAUGAGGAGUCACACUUAGGGUUUUUCUUUCUUAUUUUGUUUACCCUUUAAAAAUAAAACAAAAAUAAGUGGCGACUCCAAGUCAUUUUCAAAUAAUCAAUAAAAUCAAUUUUUCAAAAUAAAAAUCGAGUUUCACCAUCGAGUGGGAAACACAUCGAGCUCAGAAUCGAAAAUGCGGGGUCCACAAAUAAUCAUAAUCAUCUUAUCUAUAAACAUGGCCUAGAGCCACAGAGCUGCCUUUUCUUUAGUCCUCGAGCCAUUUCAGCUAAAAGUAGUCUUUCCUUAGCAUUUCCGGUUCUAAGCUCCCAUUUCUUUAGGCCUUGAGGCAUUAAUUUUCAGCCCAGAGCUGCUUUUUCUUUCGGCCUAAGCUGCCUUUCUCUAGCAUUUUCAGCCCAGGGCUACCUUUCCUAGGCAUAUUAGCCCAAAGCUUCUAUUUCUUUAGGCCUGGAGCCAUUUCAACCUAGAACAUUUGUUUCUUUAGGCCUUGAGCCCUUUUCAACCCAGAACUGUCAUUUCUUCUAAAUAACUUCUCUUUUAAAAAAACUUCAAUUUUUCUUUCCAAUCACAAAUUUUAAGGCUUUGUUCCAGGUUUCAAGAAGCUGGUAAAAAUCUUCUAUUUAACAUUUCAGCAGUGAAUCGAAUUCACGAAGGAAAAAAAAAAUCUUGACGGCAUAAAGUAGGACAUGGGAUAGUUUGAAAUGCGUAAUUUUCAUCAUUCAAAUGUAAAACAUAUUAACUCUAUUUAGAUACUUUAACCAUUUCAAAUACUACAUACAUGUUCUCUUCAUUUUUUUUCUCUCUCGCAUUUUCCAUCAAAUUUUUCAACAAUCAAACAUAACCUUUAAAAAACAGAUAAUUUUACUUAUUUUGAAAGUGCUUUACAUAUAGCUUCUAUGAAAAGCUGUUUCAUGUUAAUUUAAUGAUGCACUUAUAAUAUUAAGAUUGCCCUUUCAUAAUCAUGAAUUAACCUUUAGUUUCAACUUCUACAAGAGGCUAAAUGAACAAAGCUAUCACAGAGGAGGCCUCAGCCAAUGAGUCAGAUGCACUGUUGUACCAAACCAAGGAUUUAUUUAUAAUGAAGUGCAGUCUCCAUAUGCACAUGAGACUGCAUUUACAGCAAAAAGACAAGGAAAUUAACAAUGUUGGAAUUACUGGAAAAUCACACAAAUUAUUGAAGGAGGACCUUAGCUAGGUUGUCUCCUAAAUUGCCCAUCUUUUUAUAUCUUUGCAUUCAUCUAUCUCAUCAUCGUCUUUGAUUUUAGAUGGUGAGGAUGUGAAAGUAACAGGAAGCAGUGGACGAUUGUUCACAGUGAGGCUUAGCACAUCAGCUCUCGAAUAAUGUCCUACCACGUCAAACUGGAACUUUGCUUUAGGAAUCUCUCCACGAACAUCUGCAUAUCAAGUGAUCAUAAAAAUAUUUGAUCAGCCCAUGAUAAAUAUCAUAGAGUAUCAAGUCUUCCAUAAAACUAUGUUUGCAGUCCCUUUAAACCUAAAGAAUUGACUCAUUUGCCUUAUCUGCAUACUGAAUUAUUUGGAUAUAUAAUCGGAGAAGUUAGGGCCAUACCAAGAUCAGCUGUGAAGAGGCCUUCUCCUUCAUAAUUCGGUCCUGCUAGAAUUUCGCCAUGGGGCGAAAUGAUGACACUACCUCCAGCCCAAACAAUAGAAUCUGGAGUGACAUCUUCUUCUGUAGGACUGUAAAGAUACUCAGGUGGAGGUGGGUAAUCUUUCCUCCGACAGAACUGGAUGGGUGAAAGAACAUAGCAUCCACCCUCCAUAGCGAUGUGUCUCAUUGUAGCUACCCAUGUAUCCCCGGAAUCGGCAGUAGGAGCACAAUAUAUCUCAAUUCCUAUAUAGAAUCGGUGUUUUGUGAUCAAUCAAUCCCAUAUCAGAGCCAUAAUGUAUUUCAAGCCUAUUUAGGCUAAAACCCUAAUAACUUAAAAAAGAGUACUGAAGUAUUUCAAGCCAAACCAUACUAGUUAGUGAAGAGAAAGAAAUGGUAAAAUAUAUACCUUUGCCAUACAUUGCUGUCCUCAGAAGCGGCAUUCUAUUUUCCCAACAAAUGACUGAACCAAGUUUUCCAUAUGGAGUGUCAUAAACUGGAGUUGUCGAGCAAUCUCCGAAACCCCAGACGAGCCGCUCCCAAUAUGUUGGCAUGAGUUUCCUAUGUUUUCCAAGGUAAUUACCUUCAGGAUCAAAGAAGAGAACAGUGCAAUACAAUGUGUAUCCAUCUCUCUCAAUAACACCUAUCACCAAGUAGACUUUGUAUUUCGCAGCCAUUGAUGCCAAUCUAUCAACUUCAGGUCCUGAAAAGAUAUUAAGUGGUUGAUUCAUCAAACGUGUCUUGUUUCAAUAAUUUAUUAAGUGGUUCAGUUCUUUAGCUAUUUAAGGAAAAGAGAGAGAGGUAACUGACCCGGCACAUUAAUGGCAGAAGCAUGGUACUUGCGGAAACUUUCUUUCCCUCUUGGCGACUGGUCGGCGAAGUUGUAUCCACGGGGAUACCCACCGAUAAAUGAUUCAGGAAACACAACCAGUUGGGAUCCCAGUGCAGCUGCUUCUUUCAAAAACCUCUCAGCCUUAUCUGCUCCCAAAAUCACAUUGCAAGAAUUAAUAAUUCACGACUUAGAAAGUAAAUUAAUUGGUUGAAUAGAGAGAAUCAAAAUUAACCUCCAGACAUCCCAAAUGACUUUUUGGUUGCUGAGAAAACUCAUGGAAAAAGAGACCUAGAUAAAACUCGGAACUUUCAUAUUUUCAGCUGUUUUGUAACUAAGAAAAGAGAAACCACCUCAACCCAACUCAUCCAAGUAAUUAUUCCUUGAUUGGCAGCUGAAAAUAUGUUCAAGCUUCAAUAAUCCUUUUCUUUCCUUCAGUUUCUCAGCAACCAAUCAACUCACAGAUUCUCUUACACAAGUUGCAGAAUUGAGAGAAAUGGUACGUUACCUAGAGUGGCAGGAGUAUCAUAAAAGACACUAGAGGCUUGAACAACGGUGGCUCUAACAGUUGAAGACAUUGCAGAAAUCGUAUGCCUUUUCGUUUCCCUUCUGUUUGAGGAUUCCUCACACAGCGUUCAGUAUUUAUAUAUAGCCCAAAAGGUUCUUCUGCCAUUACUUGAACAAGACGAAAAGGCUGGGAAAAGUCUGCCUUGGUUUUCCAUAUUGAUUUAAGUUAUCCGCAGACAUUGUGGACCAGCCACAUGACUUAAAACAAAUUGAAAAUAACUGAGUCAUCUGUGAAAUAUAUAUAUCUGUGAAAUAUAUAUAUAUAUAGAUUUCAUCUUUUAUACUUGAAUCAUCUCCCCCCUCCUUUUUUUUUUCCUAGUUUUGGCCUUAUUUUUUAAAAAUAUAAUAUUUAUUUUACUUUUAAUCAAUGGCUCAUAUUUCGAACAAGUGCGCCAGAUUUUCUGAAGUUGUAUAUAUAAUAAUCUGAUAGUGAUUAUAUUUGGAUAAAAAGAGGGACCCGCCCACUUGCAUGGAUUCUAUAUAGGACACAGACAAAUUGUCUUUAGUGGCGGCUGAGGAGGCUUUCUAUGACUUAAAAAAUAAAUAAAACAAAAAUAGUCAUUAAGAAAUCAGUGCCAUGUAGUUAGUGUCCGCCACUAUCUACACUUUCUUUAAAAGAACAAAAUUGUCAUUUUUUUUAAUCUCAGAAAUCACUGAAUCGUACAAAAUAAUAUAAGAUAAGAUUCAAUUCAGUCUUUUUUGGCCUCAUAAGAAAACCUUAGCCAACUCAAGGUGACCACUCCAGAAUCAAAAUAGGUUUUCUUUUUCUUCAAAAAAAAAAAAUAUAUAUAUAUAUAUAUAUAGUUGGUGAAAGAGGGUAUAAACAAAUAUAUGCAAAAAAAAAUUAUGAUGAUUAUAUUUGAAUAAAACAGAGGGAGCCCCCACAUGCAUGGAUUCCAUCUAGCACCCAGAGGAAUUGUCUUUAGUGGGGGCUGAGGCUUUCCAUGACUUAAACUAUAUAUAUAGGUAAAAACUAGGUCUAACUUUAUGUAUUGGACCCAACCAAAAAUUGAGUGAUUGAAUGGCAGCUCUAGUAAAAAAAUAAAAAAGGGAGAACCAUGCUUACUGUCACAGAAUGCUUGAAAUGAGCCCCCUUAUGGGUUUAUAUAGAGUUCAAGAAGCUUCUAGAGACUCCUAGAGCCAUCUACACUAAGUCAUUGAUGGGAAGAGUGUGGAAGGUUCUAGAGAUGCCUAGAGAUGUCCACACAUCUCUACACUAUAGUGGAAGGCAUGAGAGGAGUCCAAGGUUUUCUAGAGAAUUCUAGAAAUCUCUUAUAUAUUCUUGUACAUAGGUUUGUAUAGGAUAUUCUAGAAUCUUCUUGAGUUCUAAGGAACCCUCCAAGGUUCCAGAGAGUUCCAUUGGUAUCUAUAAAUAGGUGAGACCCUCAUUUGGCCAAUACACCACCCAAGAACCUAAUCAACCAAGCAAGUGAGUUCUCAAAGCACUUGUAAAGGUUUCCUUUGAGCAAUAAAAGCUUUCAUUCUUUAAGAGUUGCCUACUACGCCUUCUAAAGCUUCCAAGUCAUGAGCAUCUUAGCCUAGCAAGCUAAGCAUUGGGAGUAACGCUAACUUAGCAAGAUCAAGUACCUUGACUUGUCUAAGUGCCACAUGAGCUUAGGAAAAGAUUAAGUCUGUGACAAGUGGUAUCAGAACACGACUACGAAGCGGGCAUAGUAAAGGAAGCAUGUCGGGUUCCAAUGUAGAAGAGACUAGUGAGCAAAUCCGUGGGAGGGAGACCGAGCCUGCUGCACGGGGCAGGGGCGGGGAGGAUAAGUCUCGUGAUGUCGUUGCUAACAUGGAGGCAAGCUUAGUUAAGGUGCAUCUAGACAUGGCGGACACUCGGGAGGGGUUGGACUUGAUCGAGCAAGGCAUGAAGAAGGGCUUAGAGGAUCUAAGGGAGUAGAUCCAAGACGUUUGUGAGGGGAUGUUAGUCUCACAAGUUCAGCCAGUGUCACAUGAGGAGUUUGUGUCCUUCCAAGAAAAGGUCUUGAGCAUGCUUGCUAGCAUGGAGUCAAGGAUAGAGGCCUUGGUCAUUUGAAUGGAGUCCCGAGACCAAGUUAGGCAAGAGUUGGCCAUCUACAAGGAUGCUGUGUUGGCACGGGUCAUGGCCAUCCAGGAGGUAUCUAAGGUGGAGGAGUCGAAACCACAAGAGUUUAGUGGCAAGUGGGAUGCCAAGGAGUUGGACAACUUCUUAUGGCAUAUGGAGAGAUACUUUGAGGCUAUCACACUAAUUGAUGAGGUGGUUAAGGUAAGAACUGCAACCCUUUACCUUACUGACACAACUACUCUAUGGUGGCGUCGGAGGUUUGCCGAUAUGGAGAAAGGCAUUUGCACCAUAGUGACAUGGAGGACUUCAAGAGGGAAAUCAAGAGGCAGUUCUACCCCAAGGACGUGGCAUUUGCACCAUAAAAAUAUUACCAUAUUCAUUUUUAUGUUGAAUUUAAAUGUUUAAUAAUUUGUUAAAAAUAAAAUAACGUAAUUAUGAUAUAUGAUGAUUUUUUUUUUUUGUUAAUAAAUAUGUUUUCAAAUUUUAUAUCAUUUUUAUUUUUAUUUUUUUUCCAAUUCUAUUUUUAUCUCAUAUUUAUUUUCUUUAAACCCAAAAUUGUUGAGAAUGGAGGAAGAAAGAAGGCCACAACCGGUUCUUUCCUUAAGUGGUUAAGUUGAAUUUUUAUUUCAAAUUUAAAAUGGAUGGCCAAGAUGUAAUCUUGGACAUCCAAUGGCUUGAAAAACUUUUUCGGUAUGUACCGAAGAGGUACCGUAGAAUUUUCUAUAUAAUAAUCUACAAGUUACGAUAGUGAUUAUAUUUGGAUAAAAUGAGGGACCCGCCCACUUGCAUGGAUUCUAUAUAGGACACAUAAAUUGUCUUUAGUGGCGGCUGAGGCUUUCUAUGACUUGAAAAAAAAAACUAAAAAUAGUCAAUAAGAAAUCAGUGCCAUGUAGUUAGUGUCCGCCACUAUCUAUACUUUCUUUAAAAGAACAAAAUUGUCAAUUUUUUUUUUUUUAUCUAAAAAAUCACUUAAUCGUACAAAAUAAUAUAAGAUAAGAUUCAAUUCAGCCUUUUUUGGCUUCAUAAGAACACCUUAGCCAACUCAAGGUGACCACUACAGAAUCAAUAGAGGUUUUCUUUUUCUUCACAUAUAUAUAUGGUGAAAGAGGGUAUAAACAAAUAUAUGCAAAAAAAUAAUCUACAGGUAUGUUGAUUAUAUUUGAAUAAAACAAAGGGAGGCCCCCACAUGCAUGGAUUCCAUCUAGCACCCAGAGGAAUUGUCUUUUGUGGGGGCUGAGGCUUUCCAUGACCCAAACUAUAUAUAUAGGUAAAAAUUGAGUGAUUGAAUGGCAGCUCUGGUAAAAAAAAUAAAAAAGGGAGAACCAUGCUUACACUCUCGUUCAUUCCAACAAAUAUAUUGUUUAGGAAUUCUAAUUUUAAUAUUUCACCCCAAAUACAUAAUCAAUAAAAUUAUUCUUCAAAUAUGUAUUUUAAUAGCAACCAAAUUGAGAAUUAUAUAGUUAUCCCUUUCUAAAAUCUUUAAUGUAUUUGAUAUCCUCUCCAUAUCACGUCUUUGAUAUCCUACCUUUGACAUUUUUUUAUUUAUAUAUGUCGAAGUGACGAGACUUUCUCUACUCAACCUUUUUCCUUUCAGAUUUCUUUUCACUCUUUUAAUAAUUUCACAUUUAUUAACUUUAAUAAUUUUUUGGACACAUUAAAUAUAAAAUUAUAAUACAUAAUAAAUAACUAAUUAGAAUAAAUUAAAUGUAAAUACAAGUAUGCAAUGGGUAGAAAAUGAAAAUUUUAUCCUAUAAAUAGUACGCUUGAUAGUUUAAAAUAUUAAUUAUAAUAAUACAUUUGAUAAUUUAGGAUUUAGAUUUAAAAAUUAUGUUUUAUGUUUUAGAGGCCAAGAUAUAAGAUUUCCAUUAACCAAAGAUUUUUUUUAUGUGAAUCUUAAAUAAAAUGUUUGUUUAUUUUGCAAAUUCUUAUCAUUUGUAAAUAAGACAAAUAUAUUUUUAUCAUAUUAUUUUUAAUUUUUAAUAUUUUGUGUCAAAAUCAUCAUCAAUGAUGGUAAUCUUUAUUAGGAUAGAACCCUUAAACGUAUGAUAUGAUGUAACAAAUAUAUAGUUUAUUAUUUAUUUAAUAAUAUUCAAGUUUCACUUUUAUCUAUCCUUAUUCCAUGUAUUAUAUCUCAUGAGUAUUCUAGCCAAACAUUUAUUGCAUUAUACAUGACUUGAAUGCAUUAGGUAUAGACCCCCCAUUUUGUUCUCUUAGCACAUGCAUUAUGAGGUGUUCUUUCAAUACUCCACAACAAUUCCCUAGUGUCCCAUUACUACUCAUACUUUUUGAGCCACCUUGGAGACUCUGGUCGAGGGAUUUAUAUGGCUCCUCAUUGUGACCAUUGGUAACCUUGAGUUAGAUUUAGGUUAUUUUUUUCCUUUUUCUCUCAUGUUAGCCCUUUUAGGUGCACUUUCCGUUUUUAGGAUAGCAUAUUAGGCAUUUCCUAGGACACCAUGCCCCACUUAAGCUCUUAGGCACGUUUUACAUUAGUUCACCCAACCCCCUUAGGUUCACUUAGAUAGAUUUUUUAGGCUUAAUGUACUUAGGUUUGUUUUUUGAGUUGUGAUGGCAUGAUUCUGAGUUUAUGUGAGUAUUUAGUUUGAUUUUUUUUUUUUGUUUUUUUAAUUGCUUCAAUAUUUAGUUAUGAGAUUUUGACAUUUCAUUUUGUUUCAUCAUUAAUUACACUAGAUUAACAUUUGAAUUUUGAUUGCAGUAUUUAGCAUCUAUAUUAUUAUUAUGAAUUAUUUAUUUAUUUUUUGUCUAUUUUUUAUAUUUACUUAUCUAUUUAUUUAUUUGUUAAAAAAAUGCAUGAGGUUGCAUUUUAGUUUUUUUUUUUCCAAAAAUUGCAUGAAUUGAUAUUCAAAUUUCCUUAUAGAUGGAUAUGAGUUAUUUUAUUUUAAUUGGGUUUGGGUUGUCAUUUCUCAUUUUUGGGCUUUGUUUGUUUUGCAUGGGCCCAAGAGUUUUCUUAGGGUGGAAGUCUUGAAAGCUAUAUAAAAAGGGCACAGAAGCCCUAGGCAAUAGGGAGGACAAUCAAAGAGAGAAAAGGUGUUGCUACUUUAUUCUUUUUGUGCGUGUGUGUGUGUGGUUUCUUUCUUUCUUGAUUGUAUAUUGUUGGUGAGAGAGAAUUUUUCCUUACUAUGUAUCUACUAUAGGGCAGUUCAUUUGUUUUUUUAUAUUGUAUUCGUAUGUUGGAGUUGCCUUUGGUUCGGAGAGUCUAGAUCGAUUUAGGGUGGCAUUCAAGUAAGUUAUUUCUUCUUCAUCUCUUUAUUUGUAUUAUGUUUUUGUUCUUUUUAGGAUUUCUUAGAUUUAUCUUGUUUUAUAUUUAUUAUAUUUGUAAGCAUUUUGGUAGUUGAAUAUUUUAGCCAUUUCAUUUAUUCAAUUCUUUGCCUAUUUGAGUUAUAUGUUCAUUAUACUCUAUAUUUUGUAUGUAUGCACAUUUGCUAAACUUUUUCUACCCAUCUAUAUGUUUGUCAUGUUUAUUUAUUAUUUUGUUGAUAUGUGUUGACAUGUGUUUCUAUAUGGUCAUGCGAAAUGAAACAAAAUAGGCUUGGUUGCAGCACACAAGGGAAACGUGAAAAGUGAUUUCGCAUGACCAUGCGAAAUUUUCGCACAGUCAUGCGAAACCCUCCAAGAAGAUGAAAAUGAAGCUGAUGGACUUUCCACUUCGCACCAUCAUGCAAAAUUGCUAGGGGCUCGUGCAAAAUGCAUUUUCUCCAUAUGUUGUUUCAAGUUUUCUAUAUUUGUGCAAUUCCUGUCCUAAAUUUUCUAUAAUUUUGUUUAUGUUAGUCUUGUUGCCUCAUUUUUCAUUUUGUCUUAAUUUUUGUAUAAUUCUAUUAAUAUUAGUCUUGUUGCUUCAUAUUUCAUUGUCUUAAAUUUUUUAUAAUUCUAUUUAUGUUAGUAUUUUUGUCUCAUAUUUCAUUUCAUGCCAUAUUUGGGUUUUGAUUUAUUUUUCUGGCUUGAGUUUUCUUUCUUUUUUUCUUUUUUUUUACUAUGCAAUAAAAAUUUCAGAAAAAUCAGUUUUAAUAAAAUUUCUAGAAAAAUAGUUUUUAAUAAAUUCCAAAACGGUUUUCUUUAAUUAAAAAUCUAGAAUUUUGUUUCCCAUAAAAUGCAAAAAAAAAAUUGUUUUAAUAAAAUAAUAUGGAAGAACCAUUUUUACUAAAUUCAGAAUUUUGGUUUAAUAUAAAAUAAUUCAAAAAAUCAUUUUUUUUUAAUAAGUUCAUAAAAUUCAUUUUUUUAAUAAAAUAAUUCAAGAAUUUCAUUUUUUUUAAUAUAUUCGGUAAAUGGUUUUUAAUUUAAUAAUCCAAAUAUUCAUUUUUUAACAAAUCCAGAAAAUUGGUUUUUUAAUAAAAAUCCUCAAAGUUUGUAAAGUCCUAAAAGUUUGUUUGAUGGAAAUUUUGAAAUUUGUGUUUUAAUAAAUGUUCUUUAGAAAAUCAUUUUUUUAAUAAGUUUGAAAAUUCUAAAAUUUGUGUUUUAAUAAAUGUUCCUUAGAAACUCAUUUUUUUAAUAAGUUUGUUAACUGAAAAAUUGUGUUUUAAUAAAUAUUCUUUAGAAAUUUUUUUUUUAUAAAUAAGUUUGUUAAUUGAAAAUUGUGUUUUAAUAAAUGUUCUCUAGAAAAUCACGUUCUAAUAAAAAUUAUGAAAAUUUGUAAUAUCCUAAAAGUUUGUUUAUUGAAAAUUCUGAAAAUUCUAUCUUAAUAAAUGUUCUUUGGAAAGUCGUUCUUUAAUAAAAUUAUACAUUAUGAAAAUUGUGUUUUAAUAAAUGUUCUUUAAGAAAUCGUUUUUUAAUAAAUUUGUAAAUUCUAAAAAUUGUGUUGUAAUAAAUGUCCCUUAGAAAAUCGUUUUUUUUAAUAAGGUUGAAAUUUUUGAAAUUUGUGUUUCAAUAAAUAUUCUUUAGAAAAUAAUUUUUUUAAUAAGUUUGUUUACUAAAAAUUGCGUUCUAAUAAAUAUUCUUUAGAAAACCAUUUUUUUUAGUAAGUUUAUUUACUAAAAAUUAUAUUUUAAUAAAUGUUCCUUUAAAAAAAAUCAUUUUUUUUAAUAAGGCAUAUUUAAUGAAAAUGCUUAAAAUAAGUGUUUAAAUAAAUAUUUUCAAAGUUUUUCUUCAUAAAAGUCGUGAAAGUCAUAAAAGUCAUAAAAGUUCUCAAAUUUGAUUUAAUUAAAAUUUUCAAAAUAAAUGUUUUAAUAAUUGUUCUCAAAGUUGUGUCUUUUAAAUUUACUUAAAGUUUGUCUCAGUAAAAGUUUUAAAAGUUUUAAUAAGUGUCUUAAUAAAUUCUCAAAAUAAGUGUUUUAAUCCUAAAAAUUCUCAAAUUUUGUUUUUAAUAAAUUCCCAAAGUUUGCCUUAUUAAAUUCUAAAAGUUGCUUAAUAAAAACCCUCAAAGUUAGUCUAAAAAUCCACAAAGUUGUUUUCUCGAAGUUAGUGUUUUAAUCAAUGUCUCUCUUUUCAAAUAAAUUUGAUUUAUAAAUAUUUUUUUCACAAAUAAAAGUUGAAAAAUUUUGUUUUCUUAAUGAAUUGAAAUUUGGUUCCUGUCAUUAAAAUAAAUAAACCAUUUUUCCUUGUAAAAAUAUUUUUUUUCCAAAAGUAGAACUGAUGUUUCUUUAUAAUUAUCGAAUCUUCCUUUUUUUUAAAAAAAAAAAUAAAGUCGAAGCCAAUAUCAUUUCUUUGUAAAUAGAAGAUCAAAUUGAGCUUUUCUUUUUAAUAUAUUUGAAUUCAAUCAAAAUUAUUUUAAUAAAAUCAAGAAAAGUCUUCUUUUUUUUUAAUUAAUUUUGGAUGUGAAUAAAAAUCGAGUCUUUUGUAAAUAAAUUGAAACUUUGUGAGUAAAUAAGUUUGAAAUCUUUAAUUUGGAAUUGUUCCCAAUAUAAAUAAAUUUCUUUUGAACUUCCUUUGAAAUGUUGCAACUUGAACAAAUAAUUAAAUUAUAUUUUGUGCUCUUCACAUUCAUUAAUUGUGUACAUUCUUGUGUAAUCUUUUUCUCAUCUCAUGACUUAUAUGUAUCUUGUUGUCCUGUUAUCAGUAUCCUCAAUAAAUUAAUCAAUUCAUACUGACUCGUUUUGAUUUAUGUUUGCAAUUUUUCAAGAUGAUUGACAUAAUGUGUUUCAAAGGAAAAUCAAAUCCUUCUCACCAAGUAUGUCUUAAAAUAAUUUUUUUUUUUUUAUAACUUCAAAUUAGAAAUGUCUUCUUAGCUUUGAUAAUGAUCUUUUGUAUUUUUUUUUUUAAAUUGCAACGAUUUGAAAACAUUAUAGAAUAGAGUUAUUUAUAAACUUAUUUUUAUGUACAAAUAAAUUAUACAAAUAUGUGAAAUUAAUUUAUUAAUUUAUUAAAUUAAAAUUUAUUUCUUAUUUUUCUAAUUUUUUUUCUUCAAAUGAACUCAAAAUUGUAGCUUUUAACAUGUGAAGCUAGAAAUGUUUGGAAGGUAUAUAAUAAUGAUAAAAUAGGCAAUCAUCAUUUUCCACUUGCAAGAAAAUCAUAAAAUAGGCAAUGGUCAUUUCAAGAUUUGUAUCAUUCAUCAAACUAGUAAAUUUGGAAAUGGAACUCCAUUAGAUUGUGAAAAAAAACUACUAUAAACCAAAAAAUAUAACAAAGAAUAAAGAAAUUAGAAUAUAACUUCCACUUUGAAACUAUUGCUUGUAUGAACUAUUAUCCACUUGCCAACUUAACAGAAUUGACAUAGCCAUAAACCUAAUAUAAAAUAAUCAUUUUAGCAAUCUAGAAUAAUCAAGCAUAAUUUCAAAAUGCGUCUCUCAUGCUUACAAUGUUAUAGACCAAACAAACUAAAACAAUGAUUUUUCUCCACUGAUACAAUCUUAAAUAAAUUUAUUUUAGAAACAACAUAACCUAAUUGCCUAAUGAAACAUCAUUGAUCCAUAGACCAGUAGACAUUUUUCCUGAUUUCAUUUUUUGGCGACAUUAUCAUUUGUGUUAGGAGUUUUUCCUUGUACUUCAUGACCUUGUCCUAUACAAAAGAGUAUAUAAUAGAAUAUUAACGAAAAUUCAUGUUAUUUUAUUGAACAUAAAAAAUAAAAAAUAUUGUAUUCAACACAAUAUAAUACAUUUGCAAUUGUAUGAAAAAAUCCAUUGUUAUCCCAUAAUUGCAUAAACUUGAUUACAAAUAUGCCACAAUCUGUUCUACAAGUAGCAAUUAAGGAAAUUAAAAAUAAAUUAUGCAUCAAAUCAAUAAAUUUAGAACCUCAUUUGCUUUCCAUAGGUAAAGAGGAAUAAAAUUCUUGCAACUUAUGAAUUCAAUUGUUGCAAAACUUCUAAAACAACGAAUUUGAAUUUAGUCAUGUCCAUUGAUGGUCUUCUUUCUUGAAUCCCAAUGACAAUUGAUAGAACGCUUACCUUAACACAAUAUAAAAUUAUAAAUAUGGACAUCCUUAAAAAAUAAUGACAACAAGUCACAUAAGUAAUUGGAUAAUAACUAUAUUUACUAGUUUCUCUGUGAAGACAUCCAUUUGCUUUUUCCUUUCGUCAAUCAAUGAAUCCAACAACUCGAUUCUUUUUCUAAUGAAUAUUCAAAAUGUUUAAAUACCAAUGAUUUCUCCUGCAUAUUGGUAUGAACAGCUGAAAAAGAAAAAUAAAUAAUGAUUUUAUCAAGUUAAUUGUGUUCAUGUAUUUCCUGCACUAUACUUAAAAAUAUCCAACUAUAUAUGACUUUCAUUAAAUUAAAUAAAACAUGUUCAUAUGUGUACAACCGAGUGUUUUUAAAAUAUUUUCAUAAAUUGUCACAUGUAUUUUGGAGAAAAUGUACCCCUCUUAUUUUCCACAUCAAAUUGUAAUAAUAAAAAAAAUACAAAACAUACAUUAGAUUAAAACAAUCUACUUAAAACAAGAAAACCAAUCUAUAAUUCUUACAACAUAUCUUACCUCAAAAUGGGGAGAUAAGAAAUGCUCCCUAUUUCCUUUAUCCUUACCAUUCAAAAUUCGACAAAACAUGGUUACAACCUUCAUGUAAAUGAAUGAAAAUUAGAAAUAUAGUUUUAGAGUAAUUUUAUCUUAACUUCAUAUAACUAAAUAUGAAUACCUUAUUGUUAACUAAUUUGUCGGGUCCCAAGCAUUUUAAGUCGAAUCUUAUCAAGAAGAAAUCGUACAUGGAACACAAUAUUUGGCUACAUAGAAAUAAUUAUGAUGUUAUGAAUUAAAACUAAAUCUUUUAAAUGGUUGUCUUAAUUGUACUUGUUUAUACUGAAUCAAGUUCAACCUGACCUUUCAUCACGUGUAUCGUCCAAUGCAUAUGCUAAAACUUACUUUGCUACAAUGAAGACGUUGAAAAUUUGAUUGAUUGUUGUACCACAUAUGGUGAUUGUAGGGCAGUAGCACAUCGACGUAGCCGACAUAAACAUAAUGGAGGAUGUUCAGUCUAGUAAGGAAUAAUAACAUUCGACUUAACUUCAUCCUCAACUAUAUGUAUAGAAAAUAAGAAAAAAAAUUCAUUAACGAAAAUAACACACAGAGGAAAGACUAGCCAUUAUUAUGAACUCAUUAAUAUUUUGAUAUUAAAAAUUACUAUAAAAAAAUAAAGAUGCAGAAAGUAUAAUGCUAUGUUGCGCUACUGGCUGUGAGGUCGAUGGCCCUGCAUUAUCUUCACCAUGAGCGGAACGAUCAUUCAAUGGUGAUCCAUAUGCUAAUUUAAAAAUGGAUAACAACCAAAUUUUAAAAAAAAAUUAUAGAACAUUUGCAAUUCAAUUAAAAGUAAAAAAAAAAUUUAACAGCUAAUGCUAUAAAAACCUUAUUACCAUGUGGUGGUGAUGGGAAAGAUUCAUUGAUGUCAGGUUGGUUAUGACUUCCGCUUUGAUGAGAAGGUGAUGGGGUUUUGUUUUUAUUAUGCCGCUUUGCUAGUUUAUCAAUUGCUUCUUUCAUUGUUCGAAGCAAUUGGUGAAUUUGUUCCUCCACUACAUUAUACUCUGCUAUAAUUUCCUACAAAAUGGUACAAAGUGUAAAAGAUGUAUAUUAUUAUGCAUAACAUGUUUGGUUUACUCUUUAAAUAAAGGAAUAGAUGUAAAAGGUUCUCACAUCACUAGUCUCUUCUUCAACUUCAUCUACUGGAUUAGUAGGGUCUUCAUGUGCAUCUUCCCCCCUUUCAUCUUCCUGAACCUACAAUAAUAAAAAGAAUAUAUAAUUUUUUUAAAAUUAUUUUUCAAAUAUUAAAAUAAAAAGAAAAUGUAGAAAUAAAAUUUUGUUCCUUACAUCGACUAGUCCAAGGUCAUCAUAAUCCUGCAACUCUACAUGCACCAUUUUCUUCAUCAGGUCAUCACUCUACAAUGCACAUAUGGGGAUGGUGUGUGGCACCAACAUAAUUGGAAUGUAGAAUUUAUUUACAUAAAAAAGCUCAUACACAAAUAUUCCACACAUCAAUACGUUAUUUAGAGAACACUGUUUAAACAUAGAAAAUGAUAUGGAAACCUUGAGCAUUUAAUAAAAAAAGAUAUUUACCUACAAAAAAAAAAAGGUAACCUGUAAACCAUGAGCCUUUACCCAAUCGAAAAUGCCUAAUUCGAGCAACCAAUGUGUCAAGUACAAAUUGGUCCCAAUUAACAUUGAUGUCAAAGUUUCUAGCAAGCAAAGUACACCGCAACUCAUGACUACCAUCCAACUUCAAUGUUGGAGCAAGUAAUGUAGCACAUGAGAAGAAGAUAAACAAUUUUUUAAAGUCACCCAUGUCUUCCAUUGAGAUCAGCCUAUCUCUAAGGAUAGAUAGGUUUUCCAUCCUAUUAUUCCUAUUGGUAGGUGUAGACACUCCAUUUUGUAUAUCUAGUACUUGUCCUAUUAUGUGUUCGUUUGGUACUUUACAACAAUUCCCUGGUAACCCAUUAUUACUCAUGUAACUUAUCUUUUAUGAGCCACCUUGGAGACUCUGAUUGAGAGAUUUAUCUAACCUCAUUACAACCCUUAGCAACCCUAAUUUAGACUUAGGUAGUCAAUACAUGUCUAGCAUAAUACCCUAAGCUCCCAUUUUUACAACUUGGAGGGCUAAAUUGGGUAAAAUAUAAGAAUGUCAAAUAACAUGUAUAUGUGAAAUAUGGACAAAAAAAAAGGAAUAGAUAAAGGUAAUGAUUAAUUAUAUUUAUUAAGAAUAGUGAUUAACUUAAAAAAAAAAAUAGUUAACUUUUGUGAAAAUAUCCCUUAGAAAAGAUCAUGACUUUUAUGACUUCAUUAAGGUAAAUCAAUCAAGCUUCAAGAGCAAUUAUCGAUAAUAUAUUUGGAAAUAUGUAGUAUUAGCAUCCUUUUACAUCUCAUAGAUUGACAUUAUAGAAGAGAAAUGCAAUUAGUAAUUAUAAGGAAUAAAUGUUUUACAUAUGAACAAUUUGAUUAAAGAUGGAUAAAAGAGUAAAGAGUUUAGAUUAGAGAGAGAGAGAGAGAGAGAGAGAGAGAGAGAGAGAGAGGUUGUGCCUUACAAGAAAUGUCUAAACUAAAUAUAGGAUGUAUAUAAGACAUACUAAGGCCAAAAGAAAGAUAUAAAGAACAACUCACACCUAAGUAACAUGAUCAAAGCUAUUUAAAUGAAUCCUCAUUGCUUCCUUACCUAUACAUACAUCUAAAUUGUUGUAAAGGAUUGUAAAUAUUAUGAGUUUGUUCUUUUUUAGUACUACUUCAUUACUAGUGGAAUAAUGGACAAAUGAGUACAUUGUAUUCAUAGCAAUUUAGAUUAUAUUUUCAUAAGGUGGUGAAACAAACAUAUAUGGUAUCCUUCUCAACUCAACUUAGGAAUAGGAAAUAAUAACAAAAACAAUUAUAAGCUAACAAAAUUCAUAUAUAUAGGUAUAUAUUCAUGUGAGAGGAAGCCAUAUAGAAUCUUUACAUUUCAAAAAUCAAGUAAACUUUAAUUCAAGAAAGCAACUUAAAUGUAGGUAAGUCUUCAAAAAGUUUAGAAGAAGAAAAAAAUGUAACCUCAAUAACUAUCCACUUGAGCUAUUUUUUAGAUCAUUUCUUCUUUUGAGAUACAAAAAUUCGAAACCCCCUGCAAAAAAGAAGAUUACAUUAGUGUUUAUUUUGAAACAUGAAAACUAAAAUUAUGGUAGACUUACAUGUUCACAAUAUCUUUUAUAUCUUGGUAUGGUUGUUGUAAUAGCAAGUCUAAAUAGUAAACUGUUUGUAAUUUGAGGUCAAUUACAGCCAAAACCCAAUGAAACCUACAAUAUAUUAACAUAUAAUUUAGAUAAAUAGCAUUUAUAAGGCUAAGAAAUUAAAAACAAUUAUAAUUAACAACUUACCUUGGGUUAUACGGAAGAAAAAUCAGAUCUGCCAAUUUGGAGUCAAUUAGGCGAUCAACAAUGAUCUUUGCUCUUUUUUCAAUUUUUGGGGCUAUUGUUCUAGCCUUAGACACCAGUCCUGGAUGAACAGAUAUAAUUUUCUCAUGUAGUGUAUCAUCUAGAUGUUCAUGCAACCACCUAAUGAAAUAUCACCCAGUUUAGAAUUACUUAAAAAAUAAAAAAAAUAAACGGUUUCUACUUAUUUAUAUCAUGAAUAUAACAUAAAGAUUUACAACAAAAUCUCACCAAAUAUAGAAACAUAUACAAUUCAUAGUCAACUCUUUUGCAAAAAUUACAUCAUUCAUUUCAGUUGUCAAGAGGAAGAUUUGAAAUUUCAUCCCAAAAACAUUGAUUGGAAAGUCAACUUUGGGUGCCAGUUUACCCUCCAACAUUGUUGAAACUGUUUUAAAAAAUAAUUGUAUAUCUCUUGGAUUCUCAUAUUUGAUUUUCUUUGGGGAUGCUUGUAUCUUAUUCAUUUUAUUCUUCCUCUUGCCAAAAUCCUAAACACAUAAAUAGAUGCAUGACAUUAAAAUGAAAAAUAAAUAAACCAAGAGUGUAGGAAAAUAUAACUCAACUUUGAAAGUUUGGGUAUAACGUUAUUCCCCUCAACAUUUUCAUCAUUUAUCACAAAUGCAACAGGCCACAAAACCUCAUAUCCAACACCCUCCCUUAUUGUACUAAUGUUUUCAGAAAGUGGGAAUGAAAGAAGUGCAUUAGGUUGAAGAGGGUAAAGAAUGACCACUAAUAUAUCAGUUCUAUCAAUGGAAAUGUUUGAAUCUCACAAAUAAGUUCCAUAUGCAACAAUGUUUUCUUCAGUUUCAAGAGCUAAUUUGCAUUUAUAAACCUGUAAAAACAUAUUUUCUAAUCCUUCGUCUUUCAUUAUAGUUAUUUUAUAUAUUGUUUUUAUAAAUUUAACUUAGGAAAAGCCAUAUAUACCUGAGUUAGUGGAGAAGCUUUUUGAGUCCUUUCUGCUGAUAGGUUCUCCACAUGAGCACUAUAAUGAGUCUUCUCUCGUAUUUCUUCAUGUUCCAACAAUUGUUUCCUUAUGUUUGUGCUGCUCACUUCAGAGUGGGGUGUGAGGGGUUCUUUUUUUUUUCAGCUUUCAAAGAAAUGAUCUCUUCUUCCAAGCUUUUUACUUUCUCCCUUAGCAUCCUUUGACAUUCCUCUUCUUCAAGAGUUUUUAUGGGUUUUAGUGUGUUGAAUAAUUGUUUGGGAUUUUUUUUCCCACCUUUUCCUCUAACCCGUCCAGGAUGCUCGGAUGUACCCAAUGCUAAAGUGAGGAUAUCCUUUUGGCCAACACAUGUGAUCUUCCCUUCCUCAACAGCCUUUGCCAACUCAUCCUCCAAAAAUAUAUAAGAUGCUUCAAGAGUCAUAUUUAAUAAAAUAAAAAAACAAAUGAAAUUGACUAAAACUAAGUAUAGGUUUGACAACUUACAAUCUUUUCCGCUACAGGCCUCGUAACAUCAUCAUAUUCACCUUUUUUCAAUCUUUCUAGCUUCCACAAGACCCAUCUAUCAAUAGGUUUCCUUGAACCUGUCUUUUGCAUCUAUCAAAAAACAAAAAAGUGAAGCAAUUAAACUUUACAAAAGUAAAUGUCCAACAAAAUAAAAUACACUAAUUCAACUUACCAAUUCUUCUUGAAGUCUUGCAUAUCAUUUCCUACUCACUCAAUGAAUAUAAACGUAUUUUGCCCUCCUUUCUUUUCCUUUUUUUGGUUUAACUUGAAACUCUAUUGACAACCUAUUAGCCACUAACUUUCUCCAGUCUUCAAUUGGAAUGUAAUUAUAUUCAAUUGGUGGCUACAAAAGGUACUCGGGCUUAUCCUUAUAAGGCAGGUGUGGACCCCGCAUUUCGAUGGCUCGAAUGCGUUCCCCACUCGAUGGCGAGCUCGAUUUUUAUUUUGAAAAAUUGAUUUUUAUUGAUUAUUUGAAAAUGACUUGGAGUCGCCACUUAUUUUUGUUUUAUUUUUAAAGGGUAAACAAAAUAAGAAAGAAAAACCCUAAGUGUGACUCCUUAUUUUGGAAAAGGUGAUCUACGAAAAACCGGAUCGGGUUCGGGGGUCAGGUUACUUAUCGGGAAGGUACGGUAAAGACCGUAGCACCCCUCUAAGUCCCUAAAGUCGGGUCUCUACUACUAAAAUGAAGCUGACAUGGCAAUCAAUGAGAAAAUCAAUGAAUACUCAAAUCAAUCAUGCACAUAUAAGUAUCAAAACAUGCGUAUAGCAAGACCAGAAUAAGGACAGAUGCGUACCUGGGCAACGAUCUUCAAUGCGCUAUCAAGAAGUGAGAUUAGUGCACAAUUAAAGGAUGGUCACAUGCAUAUCAUAGAGCAGAAUAAAUCAUGUAUGGCACCCAAAUCAACCAAACAAUCCAUCAAUCAUAAAAUCUCAUAUGUUGGGCCCCCACCAAAGCCCGAUUGAUUUUUGCAUGAAUUAAUUCCAUAAAUUCCCUUGCUUGGAAUUACGGAAUUUUAUUCUAGCUUAUUUUAAAACAUUUUGAAAAUCUGAGGAGUUGUGAAAAUUGCUUGUCAGGGAGAAAAGUGACAGCAAAUUUUUAUUAUAAAGUGGAAACUUUUGGGAACCUAAAGAUUCCAAUGAGGAAACAUGAGAGAAUUGGAAUUAUUUGAAAAACCAGAUUUUUGAGAAAAUGCUUGCAAAAUGGGAUUAGGAACAGUUAUUAAAACAGAGAAUGAGGAAGUAAAAGGUGGUGGCACAUGGUCAAAGGCUGCAUGUCCUAGGUGGUCAUGCAAAGAAGCGGUCUCCUGUAGCUUUUGUAGGGUCCAUUCUCUCCCCACUUCUCAUCCCAUGAGUUCUUUACGAUCCAGUAAGGCCUGCCCUUCAUCCGGAUGGGAUCAUGGCCUGUUGAACCAUGCCCCACCAGUAACACUCCAUGAGCCAUCAUCUCAGAGCAUAUGUAUGGGCGUGACACUUCCCCAAUAUGUGUCUGCAUGAACACUGUAUUGAUGCCCACUACCAUUUGACCAUUUUUCACAAGAUUAGCAGCCAUCUGAUCUUCAUCAAGGAAUGAACCAAAAGCUUUGGCUGCAUCGGGCUUCUGGAGAAGAACUGUUUUGAUUGCAUUCAAUAUCUCAUCCACGGAUCUUCCUGUGCUAAUGUAUUCUGAAAUAACCUCCCAUCUUCAAGACAUUCCUCUGGGAUAUUUCAGCAUCCCUUUUAUCAAGAGCCCAACUUCUUCUCUAUCCCAAGGUUUCUCCUUAUAGUGUGAUCAAAAGAAUGAAGUUGGGGUCACUGAAUUCACCUUCCACUGAAGAGUAGAAAGCAUCAGAAGCCCUAUCCUCUGAAACGUCUUCACUUCAAGCACAUAUUUUAUCUCCUCCACCUGCAGGUCCAAGAGAAGAGGAGCAUCGGUUUUACUGGAGCUUGACUUUCUCUUCUCAGGGGCAUUUUCCUCAUGGGGACUCUCUAUCUGAUCUGUUGAUGCAGCUGCACUUUCUCCCUCAUUCUCAUGGCCAUCUAAUCUGCUUCCGCGGAUGCUGCAUCUGACACCACGGCCUCUUGAACGCGAGUGGAAUCCAGCUGGCAAUGGACCCAAUGGAGGCCUCUCAAUGGGUUUACUUUAAGAGCUUCUUGAGGGCCCAAAGGAUAUUGCAGGACCCGGACUUAGGACGCCAUCUUAUCCGUGUCAUGCUGAGGAAUUCGUUCUUUGUGGUAUCAGAUUGGCUACAGGAGGCCUUAUAGAAGUGAAGCUAGGGAUAUCUUCAGAAAUGGAACUUGGACCCUUCCCUUUGACAGGUUCAUCUCCAUGAGAACCAAAUUUUAUAAGCUCGGUAACUCCAGGUUGUUGAAUGAACUUCCCAGUCUCCUUGUCAUGCAACAAAGCACUUUUUGCUUCAGUUUCAGUCUCCACAGGUGCCGGGGCCGCUUCAAAUCCCACAACCUCCAUGAAUUCACCAUGCUCCUCCAAGAAAUAACCAACAACACUAGGUAGCAUUUCCAAUUCACUUCACGACCUUGGAAUGAGCAGUUGCUUUAUCAGUUUCAUGGCAGAGGGUGAGCACUGGAGCUUUCCUCUUGACAACACUUUACCUGGAAAGCGGAGAGUGGAUACCGGUAAUCCAUGAUAAAUAGAAACUUCCCCACUUUUCCGGACUGGAGGUGAUCUCCUCAUGUUGCUGGCCUAUAGAUCCAUCUUCUGGAGAAAACACCAGUUGAAAAUUAUCCACUGAAGCAACUGUCACUUGUCCACGGAAGUCCGAGCACCAGCAUACCCAGAUUGGUGGUUUUGGAAUAUAGGUUUGAAGAGUUUGAUGGGUGUGCAAGGUGUAGACAUGGGGCAUGAUAGCAAAGUGGUGAGAUGAGGUGAUAAUGAGUGUAAAUAGGCUUAGAGAGAAAGGUGAAUAAAUAUGGUGGGGGAGUAGACUGUUGACAAUGGGUAUGUAUGAGUCCUAUGCCUGUGGGUAUGGUGAGAGAUGAACUGCAAGUGAUGGGCAUGAUGUGGUGUGGGGUGGAUUAGUGGGAUGACAGUAUACAAAGAGAGCGUGGUGUAGAGAGAGAAUGCAAGAUGAUGAGUGCAUGUGUAGAUAUGGGUGUGGGCAUGGUGGUAUGAAGCGUGUGGUGGAUGAUGGACUGAAGGUGAUGGGCAUGACAAUGGGCAUGAACAGGGAUGGAGUCAUGUGGGCACGAGACGAGCAUGAGCGCGGAAUGAGUGUGAUGCAACCAUGCAUGGUAUGAAAAGGGUUUGGUGUAGUGAGAGAAAGUAGAUUAUUGGUGAUGGGUAUGAAUAAUGGCCGGGUUUGCAUGGUCCAUGCACUUGGAUGGGUGAGUUUGGGGAUGCUAGCAGAAGCCUUGGAAGGAAUACGGGCAGCCAUGCACGCGUGGGGUUUCAUGGAUAUCGAGUCAGGGUAUUUUGCUGGAGGAAGAGAGCAUGGGUCUGCACAAUAUGGGGAUUGGGAUCUCCUACGGACUCCCUAGCUAAUGGAGUUGUGAAAGGGAGACCAUCUGCUUUUCCGAUACCAGAUUAUGGGAAGUUCAGUGAUGGCUUCUCAAAAAUGGACCUUGAUGUUAACAAACCACCCUUGGGCAAUUUAGCAAUCCCUUCAUUCUCAGAAGACUCCGUCUCCAACAGACCAUAAUGAUACUGAACUAAUCCAUGUGAAACGGACAAGAAAGGCUCUGCUCGUGAAUGUUCCCUGGCAUAACCUCCUCUAGAAUGUCAUCAGACGAAACAAAACUAGAGAACCAGGUAUCUAGAACAAGUAAGUCUUCUCACUGGGCCAAACCCUCAACAAGCCUGUUGCAUUUCUCUGAUUUCUCCCACUGUUCUGCCAAAGUCUUUAUUUAUAAUAUAAUGGUUUAGAAAUAUCCUCCAUUAAUCACUCUGCCUUUGACCAACCCUGGUUAAGGAUCCAUACAUCAAAUCUGAUUACCACUUCUGGCCCACAACCGCUCGAGUUGAUAAUGAUUUUCCUCCAUAUCUACUCCUGUUCAUCUUCAUAAAAUUCCUUGGAAUCAUCAGUAUACUCACUGCAAUCUGUGGUAAAGACCACCACAUCCUCAUCGACAUCUUACUUUUUUCCUCUACGAAUGGCGCCUCACACUACUCACUAUUCUUUGGAUCUGAACCACUUUUUUUUUUUUUUUUUUUUUUUCAAAUAUUGGAUGUCAAGCCUCAACAGCAUAUAGUAGUCAAUUUGUACCAUCCCCAAUGUAUGGUAUGCAUGAUGCCCCGUGCUCAAAUUGCUCAAAAAGAACAGAGGAAUAUAGCUAAGAAAACAGGGCAUAGGAGAAAGGAACAAAAAAUAAAUCAAGGGCAACUGCAUUUCAGGACAUAUCAAUGUGUUCCCACUGGUGGAUGAAAGAUAUGAACAAAUUCAAAACAAAAAAUACGCCACAUAUGUUCAGGUGCCUAGCAACGAAAUAUGAUGCAAGUCCUCACCCAUUUUCUUAAACCAGGUUAAUGAAACAGCGAAAGGAUUAACAUCACAGAUGGAAACAUGACAAAUACAAACAACAUAUACACCCAGUGAAAUGAUAUUCAGAAUAAUGAAAUCAUACGGCUAAAUAUAAGCAUACCUGAAUGUGAUAGAUGUCCUACCCAGCUUUUCUUACUUUCUCUCUGUUUUCCUUGCCUUUCUAGCUCCGACAAUCGAAUCACCUUCUCUCUUACUCUUCUUUUCUCCCGCUUGAAAAACCUCCCUCUGGAAAUAUAUCUCUCCCCCAGCCAGACGACACCCACCUGCCUUGCAGUUGCAAGCCUCCAUUACCUUCAGAUUUUUCUGCCACCUUCCUCUUCUAGGCCCAUUUCCCCACUACUCUGCACCACUACCUUGCUAAUAACAGAAGACGCUCCUCAAUACAACGGCCUGCAGAUCCUCAUGCCACCUGUCAACCUUCCAUUGGCACUUCAAAAACAACAUACGAUUCUGCAUUGCCCUCUCAAAAGGAGACACGUGAUUGAGCAAGGCUCUUCCACGUGGCCAAAACGGGUAGCUGCAUGAAAGGCCCCAAAUGGGGGUCUACAAAUAUGCCCCUCUUUGGUAGAGUUCAUGAGUGUAAAGAACAUGAACACUGGAGUGAAAAGUAAGUGUGAGUAGUGAGUGAAAUGAAGUGAACUCUACCGAAGAAUCAAAGAGACCCCCAUAGGGAUAUUGGUGAAACGCGAAGUCACCCAGGCUAGUAGACGAACACAAAGGCUCUAAUCCUAAAAGAGAAAGAUGUCACAAAAUGCCUCUGCGGCCAUACUAAGGAUCCAAGCUCCCUCUAAGAUGUCUCCCGAAAGUGACUCGAAAAACCAAAUGCUAGAGGUGAGUAACGGUCGAGUCACCCUAGGGUACGGACAAGAAUGCGUCUAAAGGAGACUGCCCUAUGUGGACUACAUGAUGAAUACACGAUAAGCACAAAGUAACGAAGUGAGGAGGACGAUAAUAAGUGCAAAUCCAAUGAAGGUGAGACACGCAAUGCCACUGAAUAGGAAUGCUAGGAGCUGUGACUCUACAUGACAAGAUUGACUCUAAACACUAAACUAGGAAACAACGGCUCUGGAAGCCAACCAAAAACUAACUCUAAAAACUAAACUGAGAAUAACAGCUCUGGAAGCAAACCAAAAACUAACUCUAAAAACUAAACUAGAAAACAACAGCUCUGGAAGCCAACCAAAAACUAACUCUAAAUGCUAAACUGAGAAUAACAGCUCUGGAAGCAAACCAAAAACUAACUCUAAAAACUAAGCUAGAAAAUAACAGCUUUGUAAGCAAACCAAAAAAACUAACUCUAAAAGCUAAACUAGGAAACAACAGCUCUGGAAGCCAACAAAAACAAAAAAAAAACAAAAAAAAAAAAAAAAAAAAAAAAACUAACUCUAAAAGCUAAACUAGGAAACAACAGCUCUGGAAGCCACACAAAAAAAAAAACUAACUCUAAAAGCUAAACUAGAAAAUAACAGCUCUGGGAGCCUAAACAAGACGACAGUAAUGGCUCUGGAAGCCUAAACAAGAUGACAGUAAUGACUCUGGAAGCCUAAACGAGAUGACGGUAAUGACUCUGGAAGCCUAAACAAGAUGACAGUAAUGACUCUGGAAGCCUAAACGAGAUGACGGUAAUGACUCUGGAAGCCUAAACAAGAUGACAGUAAUGGCUCUGGAAGCCUAAACAAGAUGACAGUAAUGGCUCUGGAAGCCUAAACGAGAUGACGGUAAUGACUCUGGAAGCCUAAACAAGAUGACAGUAACGGCUCUAGAAGCCUAAGCAAGAUGAUAAUAACGACUUUGGAAGCCUAAACAAGAUGACGGUAAUGACUCUGGACGUCGAAACUAAAAAGUGAUGAUGAUGACUCUGAACGUCAAACUGAGAAGUGAUAAUGAUUCUGAACGCCGAAACCGAGGAUGUGACUCUGAAUGUUGAUCUGAAAAUCGAUGAUAGCUCUGAACGCCGAAACUGAGAAGUGAUGAUGAUGACUCUGAACGUCAAACUGAGAAGUGAUAAUGAUUCUGAACGCCGAAACCGAGAACGCGACUCUGAACGUCGAUCUGAAAACCAAUGACGGCUCUGAACGCCGAAACUGAGAGAAGUAGUGAUGAUGGCUCUGAACACCGAAGCUGAGAAGUGAUAACGACUCUGAACGCCGAAACCGAGAACGCGACUCUGAACGUCGAUCUGAAAACCGAUGACGGCUCUGAACGCCGAAACUGAGAGAAGUAGUGAUGAUGGCUCUGAACACCGAAGCUGAGAAGUGAUGAUGAUGACUCUGAACGUCAAACUGAGAAGUGAUAACGACUCUGAACGCCGAAAUCGAGGAUGUGACUCUGAAUGUCGAUCUGAAAACCAAUGAUAGCUCUGAACGCCGAAACUGAGAAGUGAUGAUGAUGACUCUGAACGUCAAACUGAGAAGUGAUAACGACUCUAAACGCCGAAACCGAGGAUGUGACUCUGAAUGUCGAUCUGAAAACUGAUGAUAGCUCUGAACGCCGAAACUGAGAAAUGAUGAUGAUGACUCUGAACGUCAAACUGAGAAGUGAUAACGACUCUGAACGCCGAAACCGAGGAUAUGACUCUGAAUGUCGAUCUGAAAAUCGAUGAUGGCUCUGAACGCCGAAAACGAGGAUGUGACUCUGAAUGUCGAUCUAAAACCCGAUGAUGGCUCUGAACGCUGAAACUAAGAAGCGGUGAUGGCUCUGAACGCCGAAACUAAAAGGUGAUGGUGUCUCUGAACGACGACAAAUGGAAAAGUGGCUCUGAACGCCGAACUGAAAAAUGUGACAUGAUGACUCUAAAUGUCGUAAACCGUGAAUGAACGGCAGCUCUGAACGCUAGACUGCAAGGAAACAAUGAGGGGGAAAUAUGCCCCAGUGUGGCAUGCCGCUGCAAACCUCAAACUACUAGAAAUGGCUAAAAGGGACUCUACGAGUCUCGAACGACGCACCACUGAGAGCUCAUGUCAACGAAGAGCUUAGGAACAAUGGUCAGUGAGGCGAAUACAAUAUAUCUCGGCUGAGUGAUGGAAACUGCGAUGGACAUGUGAGAGAACGAUCGGCUCCAUGGCUAAAUGAGGGAAAUAUGCCCCAGUAUGGCAUCAGAUGUAUCCGAUCUAUCCUGAUAACCCGAGAAUAGCACCGAUGGGACGCGUAACAGAUCUGAUAUGUACCCCACUGAAAUGAUGACGCGGGAAAUCCAGGCACCUAAGAUAACCCCAUCCAGGAAUCACGACUAUAUCAAAGAGUAUGAAUCUGGCUGAACGAAGUCAAGAGAGGCUCCUCGGAGUAUCCGGACAAAAUGAAAUCAAUCAUCAACCUGGCGUGUAUCUCAUGGCCGUGGAUGAUCAUGUAAACCAGUGGGGAUCUAUAAAUCUCGAUCAAGAUGGGGAAUAUGCCCCAGUGUGGCAUCGAAAAUGUAACAUGUCAAAAAAAAUCAGAUGAACUCAAAUCAUCUAUGCCUGCAACUGGCUAGAUGGCUCUCGAUAGACUCCACUAAGGAAUCAUCGUGAGGAUUGCGAAUAUAUCAUCAUCCCUGCAUACAUCUCGCAAAUAAGGAUAAGCACGCAACUCCCUCAUGAUCUGUAAAUCUCAUCCGAACGGAAAUAUGCCCCUGUAUGGCAUCGAAAUGCAGGAUAGGUCGGAGAUCAGAUAGCAUGGAAUCAUCUAUCCUAUAACAUGUGACCUCUGCGAAGAUCCAUAAAAAUCCUCCGAAACGGAAUAUGCCCCAGUAUGGCAUCUGACGUGCGACAAAUCAGGAAAAAACAGGUGACAUCGAAUCAUCCCUCAUCAAACACGUGAUCCUGGUAAUCCAAACACGGUCGAAACGGAUCUAAACAUCUGAGAAGUGUCUCCCAGAAGAAGAUGCAUGGCAAAUAUCUGGAUGUCGACUGAAUCUCAAACACCUGUCCACAUAGAAGCCGUAGAAGACGAUAUCUGAUCCCAUGGCCUCAGGGUGGUCUUAAGACACGGGACGUAAUGUAGGCUAGGGUGAUAGGGUGAUAGAAACGAAGGGAAACUAAGCUCAAAUACCCAAUGAUCAAAACCCAUGCCCUCGUGUGUGAAAUGCAACAUGUACAGAAAAUCCUGUGAGCCCUGGACCUGAGGGUGUCUAAUGUGAAUAUGAUGUCAAUGAGGAAACAAGUGAAGCAAAUCAAACUGAUAAUGAGAUAUGUAAUGGUGAUACGAAGGGAAUAUCAAACCCGAGAUGGGUCGUGGUAAGAAAAGAAUAAGAAGUGAAGUGAGAAUGACGAAUCAGAAGCGAAAACGAGGACGAUGAUAAUGAAGCGAAUAACAUCAAAAGGAGUGAUGAUCAACUCUGAUCAGACAUGGAAUGAUGUCACAUCAACUACGAACAUAAUGAUGGAACGGACAAUAACCCAGAGCUCCCAAAAGAAAGUCACUCAUCUCGCUCACAAAAUAUGCAACAAAAUGAAUACAAAGCCUGAGGGAUCCCGGGAAGCUCACAUACGAACUCCCGUCAACAAACAUACUCGAUCAAGUGGCCCUCGAAUAUCAAUACAUACACUCAGUGAUGGAUAACAAUACAUACCUGGUUUUUAUUUCUUUUUCCAUUUUUUUUUUUCUUUUUUUUUUUUUUUUUUUUUUUUUUUUACCCCCAAAGAUGACAUCAAAAAAGGAUAACAUACUCUCAAAUGUCAAUGUAACAUGAACUCUCUCUGAUGAUGUGACUUUCUCAAACUAAGGAUCCCUGGACCAACGUCCGUAUGAUAGAUAGUGGAAAUGACAUGACUACCCUCCAUGUAGUGAACUGAGGAAGAUCACCCCUCGGGGUGAAAGAAGAUGACGUGAAACGAACAGUAGAUAAGAUAAAGAAAAUAUGAUGAAUAACACGAACAGUGAGAUGAGAUGAAAUGCAAUGAUGUAGUGGCGAGCACAGAUAAUGAGAAGAACGUGCCCCUAGGUCCAAGGCUCAAUGAAACUCUCAAACAAUGCAUGCAUACACUAAAGGGCCCCAAUCCCGGUGUGAAAAUGUGAGCAAGGCUAUAAGAAAUGAAGGUUAUGAUGCGCGUGCGAGGCUCAAAUGGGCUAGCAAUGGACUAUAUAUAUCAGAAACGGGAUAAAGGGAUAUAGCUAACCGAAAUGAUAGCCACCCAUCCUGCGACCAUGGUCUCAAACAUAGUACCUCUUUAGCUGAUCCACAUUAGUCGGCUCUGAGAACUGGUUUCCAUCCAAAUCCAUCAACCAUGCGGCGCCCUCUGGGGACAACUCUCUGAUGAAGUAAGGCCCGCUCCAACUGGGUCUGAACUUCCCUCUAGGAUCUCUGAUCAAUCCUCUGAUGACUCUCAAAACUAAGUCACCUACAUGCAGUGGUCUGGGCUUGACCCGCUUUUUGAAAGCGCGGGCCAUCUUCCUCUGAUAUGCACGAACAUGGUCUGCUGCUCUCAAUCUCCUCUCAUCUAGGAGAUUGAGCUGAUCAAAUCGAGCCUGAGCCCAAUCCGUCUCGGGAAUCUGCUGCUCCAAGGCUACCCUCAAUGAACCCAUCUCGAUCUCAACUGGUAGCACUGCCUCCAUACCGUACACCAAUGAGUAGGGUGUGGCUCCUGUAGAGGUGCGAAAAGAAGUCCUGUAAGCCCAUAGUGCGAAAGGAAGCUUCUCGGACCAAUCCCGAGAAGUCUCAACCAUCUUCCGCAAUAUCCUCUUAAUAUUCUUAUUCGCGGCCUCUACUGCCCCAUUCGUCUGCGGCCUGUACGCAGACGAUCUAUGAUGCCGGAUGCUGUAUCUCUGUACUAAGGUGUCAACCUCUGCUCUGAAAUGCACCCCUCUGUCUGAAAUAAGCUCGUGAGGGACUCCAUAGCGACAAAUGAUGUGCGAUCUAAUGAAACUGGCAACUCCAGAUGAUGUCAAUCUCGCAUACGAGGCGGCCUCCACCCACUUGGUAAAGUAAUCAAUAGCUACCAGGAUGAACUCAUGACCACUGGAAGAUUUCGGCGAAAUCUUCCCGAUGAUAUCGAUACCCCAUACUGAAAACAGCCAUGGUGAAGUCAAUGCAUGCAACUCUGAGGGCGGCACGUGAAUGAGAUCUCCGUGUAUCUGACACUCAGGACAUCUCUGGACGAACUGACAACAAUCCGUCUCCAUAGUCAACCAGAAAUAGCCGGUCCUCAUGAUCUUACGGGCCAACAUAUGCCCUCCCAUAUGUGGUCCACAAACUCCCGCAUGAACCUCUCUCAUCACUCGAUCGGCAGAGGCACGGUCUAAACACAACAAUAGCAUCCCGUCAGCUGAUCGUCUAUACAGCGUCUCGCCGCAAAUGACGAAUCGGGCAGCCAACUGUCUCAAUGCUCUCUUAUCCUUGGCCGUGGCGACCUCAGGAUAUACGCCGAGUCUCAAAAAGUGAUAUAUGUCGUGAUACCAUGGCAAACCAUCAUUUGGCUCUACAUCAUCAAUCAAACAACAAUACGCAGGAGCAGAUCUCGACUCGAUCAACAAUGGUCGAACAGUGGCAUCGGCGGGAAUGUCGAUCAUGGAAGCUAGAGUAGCUAAAGCAUCAGCAAACUGGUUCUGCGCUCUAGGCAGAUGUGUAUAUCUCAUAUCCUCAAAUCUCGCGACCAGUAGCUCCAAAUACGCGUGGUAAGGCCUAAGCUUCACAUCUCUAGUCUUCCACUCGCCCUGUAUCUGUCUCAAUACCAGAUUGGAGUCACCAAACACCUCCAUCUGUCUAAUCCCAAGCUCGAGGGCUGUCUCUAACCCCAAGAUACAUGCCUCAUACUCAACAAUGUUGUUCGUGGCCAGAUGUUGAUUCGAGAAUGCCAAACGAACAGAUCUGGGAAUGUGAUCACCAUGAGGGGAUAUCAACAAAACGCCUAUCCCGUAUCCAGAAUGGUUGGCUGCACCAUCAAAGUACAUGCGCCAACCCGACAGACUAGUCACAGCUGCGACAUCCUCGUCUGGAAAAUCAUCGUCAAUAGCUCUGGCAUCAGAAACUGGUAAUGAGGCUAAGUGAUCUGCGACAAUGCUCCCUCUGAUGGACUUCUGAGUGACAUAAUGAAUGUCAAACUCAGUCAGAAGUACCAGCCAUCUCAUAAGGCGACCAACUAGGUAUAUCAAGACGAGGAAUCAAAGGUCCGAUCCUACAAAGCACGAAGAACGGAAUAAGGAUAUGGCUCGGGGAAUGUAUAGAAGAAAAGAUAAUCUGAACGGGAACAAGCAAAGCAUCCAAGUGAAGAUGAGCGGUCCGACCGUACUCAAAUUCGUCCUGAUCUCAGUGCACUCUCAUCUGGAGACUAAACAGAGGGAAAAUCGGAUCCAAAACUACGGCUACAGAGGCACGGAAAGCCCUCAGAUGCACCCACGUGUAGGGAGGGAAUCCUAAUCGAAGGAUCUAUGGCUCAACCUACAAGGUCAAGGUGGCUCUAAAUGGAUAAGGGUGGACUUUAAAAUAUCCCUAGCAGAAGCGAUCAUACCCUCCGGCGAUACGCAACCCUCUGCACGCCUCCGAAGAGACGGGGCGCUUCCAUGCAAGGUGGUCAUCACCUCCACACAUGCACUACCUCGCAUUCCAGGGGGUUUCCUAUGGUGAAACCUCUCAAACUCUCAACACUCAAUAGUCUACUAGCGUGCACAGUGAUGGUGUGGGUGCAUCCGAAACCCUAAGAAGCUAAAGCAGGAUAUGAAACACACUGGCCACAUAAAUAUCCAUGAAACCUAGCUCCGGGCUAUACAGGUCUUCAAUGAUCGGACUCCAAUCGACAUCAAAGUGUCGCUCUCCUCCAGAANNNNNNNNNNNNNNNNNNNNNNNNNNNNNNNNNNNNNNNNNNNNNNNNNNNNNNNNNNNNNNNNNNNNNNNNNNNNNNNNNNNNNNNNNNNNNNNNNNNNAGGCAUGUCAAGAAUGGCUCUAAUCUUGUCCGGAUCCACCUCUAUGCCUCGCUCACUGACUAUGUAUCCCAAGAGUUUCCCAGAAGUCACUCCAAAAGUGCACUUCUUGGGAUUCAGUCUCAAUCUGAACUGUCUGAUCCUCUCAAAGAACCUCUCAAGAGCUGCCAAGUGAUCUGAUCUAUCUCGGGAUUUCACUAUCAUGUCGUCUACAUAAACCUCGACAUCCCGAUGCAUCAUGUCAUGGAAGAGUGUGGUCGCUGCCCUCUGAUAGGUGGCUCCUGCGUUCUUCAAUCCGAAUGGCAUGACUCUAUAGCAAUAAGUACCCCACUCGGUAAUGAAGGACGUCUUCUCCAUGUCCUCUGGAGCCAUCAAGAUCUGACUGUACCCGAAAAAUCCGUCCAUAAAGGACAACAUCGAGUGACCUGCUGUACUGUCAACUAGCAUGUCGAUGUGUGGGAGAGGGAAAUCAUCCUUAGGACUGGCCUUGUUGAGAUCUCGGAAAUCAACACAGACUCUCACCUUGCCAUCCUUUUUAGGAACAGGGACGACAUUGGCCAGCCACUCCGGGUACUCGACCACUGAUAGAAACCCCACACUGAGUUGCUUCUGAAUCUCCUCUUUCACCUGCAAGCUCCAACGAGGGUGCAAUCGUCUCAACUUCUGCUUAACCGGUCUGGCAUGGGGCAGAAGUGGCAAACGAUGCUGGACGAUGGAUGGAUCAAGGCCCGGCAUGUCCUCAUAGGACCAUGCGAAAACGUCCAAGUAGGAUCUGAGCAACUGGAUGAGACUAUCUCUCUCAUCUGAGGAUAAAUCUGACCCGAUCCUCAACUCCCUAGGCUGAUCUGCGGUGCCGAAAUCAACAAUCUCUAUGUCUCCUAUAGCAGGUGAAACCCUCUGAUCAACGGGAUCCGAAUCGGAAACAGAAGAUGAGUCAUCAUCUGAGUCGUGCUGUGCAAUCUCAUCAUCAAUAUCAAAAAUCUGUGGUGUGGGUGAAGAUGGUGCAGAUAAAUCAAUAUCCCAAGAGACAGGCAGAUACUCAAAAAUGCUCAAAUCCAUAGAUGAAACAUCGGAAACAAUGUCAGAACAGGAGACGAACCCCGACAGAAUGUCAAAUGAAAGAGGUGGGUCCACAAAGUCGGACGCUCCCUCAACAAUGCCAACAUGGCUAUCAAUCAAAUCAUCAAAAACUAUAGCAUCCUCAACAAUCUCCAGAGUAGGGGUUGUCUGGAUCUCCUCAACGAUCUCGAUGAAAGACACCCCGAAAAGAUCGAAUGGUGAAGUGAGCCCAGGAUGAACUCUCUCCUCGAUCGGGCUCAAGCUCAGGGCGAGCAUCUCGUCGAUGUACUCGUCGUGUGGGACGGCUCCGUCCACUAUGUCUUCGACCCCAGCAAAGGUCCCAUGCUCAUCGGUCUCGUCCGGGAAGCAAAGCGUCAUAAGGCUCGUGCGAUCUGGAGACGAAGGAGCAAUCAACACAGAAGUCGAAGAGCCAGGAGCUCCGUCUCUCAAUCGUAACUGCUGGACAAGGCGCUGAAGCUCGACCUCCUGAGUGGUGCUAAGUCCUCCAAUGAUCAUGUCCGAACGGGUCAAUGGCUCUGAUGCCCUCACAAAAUAAUCAGAUAAGCUCCUGGUGUAUGGACGAAGAGGAUAGUAGAAAGGUGUGUGGGUCAGUCGAGCUCUCACUCUCUCCUUGCGCAAACGCGCCAUGUAGAGAUAAUCGGCCUCAGUGGGGAUGAACCCAAGUCCGAACGGUACGUCGUGAUCAGGGAUGGCUAUGAACUCGCUCGGUCCAUGCUGACGUCGACCCAACCCCAUGCCGGGUAGAUAGGACAUACUCCGCAUGAUAUCGAGCACCACUGUGCUCCCAUGCCGGUCAAAGGACAUGGCCACAAAAUCCCGGCAGAAAUCCUCUAUCUCCACAGUCUGCACCUCAUCGAAGGUGAAUCCAGUCAGAAAAAGAUCGUCAUCAGUGUGACUAAUCUCGAGCACAAGCUCGGCAGCAAUGAACAUGUCUCCCACAGACUGCACCACGACGACCUGACCAUCGUGAAUAAACUUCACCUUCUGAUGAAGGGAAGAAGGAAUGGCCCCGACUCUGUGGAUCCAUGGUCGGCCCAGAAGCAGGUUAAAGGAUGUAGGAAUCCUCAAAACCUGGAAUACAGCGACAAAAGUGGCCGGACCGAUCAGCAACUCGAUCUCCAAUGUACCCAUGACCUCCCUCCGAGUACUGUCAUAUGCGCGAACGGUCUGAGUAGUGGGACCAAAAUCAGAAGGAGCGUAUCCAAGGGCGAUGGCAGUGGCAAGAGGACAUACGUUCAGGGCCGAGCCAUUGUCCAAGAGGACAGAUGGGACUCGGCGGCCUGAACAGCCAACAGAUAUGUAGAGUGGGCGAGUGUGGUCUGAGCCCUCCGGUGGCAAGUCAUCAUCGGAAAAGACGAUACAAGUGGCUCUGCCAACCGUCAUCAUAUGAAUGAGUCCCUCGGGAGUGGUCGUGGUAUCAACUCUGAUCUGGCUCAGAGCUCGAGUCAGUGCAUCCCGAUGAGUACUGGAGGACGCUAAAAGGCUCCAGAUAGAAAUACGAGCCUGAGUGCUCUGCAACUGCCUCAAAAUCUCAUCAUUCUCUGCUCUGACCUCCUCCUGGGAUGACGUAUCCCCUAAGGGUCUAGCGGCAGCGGCUGGAGGUGGCUGUCUCACUACUCUCCCUCCCCGGAGGAUAUACUGAACGUCCGGAGUCUGAGGAUCAUCACUGUGUGGAGCCUGAACCUCCUCAACAUCUGGGAUCAGAAUGUACGGCGCCUGAACGCUAUAGCGCGUGAAUGUCAGAGGCUCGGAAGUGGCUGCCUGUACAGAUGCUGCCUCAGGAACUAAUCGGAAUGGAGCAGGAAUCUGUGGCUCUAGGGUCACCCCACUCGUCUCAUAAAUCCCAGCUGGCAUGAUAGGCUCCGGGUCUGAAUCAUCCCAACUCAACAUAUGGACAUGAUCAUCAGUCUCAUCGAAGUCCAAGAAAUGAAUACCACCGGCUGGUGGAGGAACUGCAUGUGUGGUGUGGGUCGGCAACGGGUUUGUGGUCACACUCGGCUGACCCAAGUGUACCAAACCCUGGUCUAUCAGAUCCUGAAUAGCAUGCCUCAGAGCGGUGCAUCGAUCGGUCUCAUGUCCAGGCCCCUGAUGAUAAGCACAGUGUAAGUCCAUCCUAAACUGAGCUGGAAUCGGCUGAGGUAGUGGUCGAGGAGUGAGAGCAGUCAAUAAACCAGCCUCCGUAAGCUUCCGAAGAGCCUGGCUCAACGGCAUGCCUAUCUGCGAGAACUGCCUCUGCGUCCUCAAAGCGAACGGAGCAGAAGUCUGCUGGGCUCCAGGUCGGGGAUAAGGCGCCGCAGGUCUCGCGGUGAACUGAGCAGCGUAGCAUGGCUGCCCUGUGGCUGUGUAGGAGACCGCGGGUCUCUCAAUGCCCUGAGUGGCAUAAGAAGGUAAAACCAAUGUCUGUGGCAUGUGCGUCUGAUCGUAAGCCGGCCGAGGUGCCCGUGGCCUGUACUGAUGAGAUGCGUAGGAAGAAUGAGGCUCGGAAAACUGUGGGAUCGGCUGAUGGCGUCUGAGAGGCCUCUGACUGGAUGAACUGAUAGCACCAACCUCUGUCGGUCUCGGUCCUACGAAUGGUUUCUUCCCCUUAACAUCACUAGGGGAAGAAUCUGCCCAUAAACCUCUCGUGAUGCCGUCCUCGACAUCAUACAAAGCCAUAACCAGAGACCCAAAAUCUGUGAACGGGACCCCGACCACAUGUCUGGCGAUCCCCGGCUGUAGGCUCCUCAAAACCAUCUGAAUCUGGUCUCUCUCUGAUGGUCUAUCCACUAUCUCAGCUAUCUUCCCGCGCCAGCGGGAAAUGAAAGAAGAAACGGACUCCUCUGUCCUCUGCCUCAGAGCCUCGAGCUCUCUCCUCGAUACGUCUACAACAGUGUUAAACGAAAACUGUCGUAGGAACUCCUGGGCCAAGUCAUCCCAUGUACGGCGUCUCGAGGACUCUAGAGACGCAAACCAGCGCUGAGCCGCCCCACUCAAAGAUAGGGGGAAAAGAGUGAUCAUCUGAGGCUCGUCCAGUCCAUGAGCCCUCAUCACGGUGCUAUAAAGUCUGAGGUGGAGGCGCGGACAACCAAUACCAGUGUACCUCUCAAUAUCUGGCAUCCUGAACUUAGCCGGCAAGCUGGCUACCGGCAUAGCCCCAAAAUCAUCCCAAACAACGGAUCCAUCUGACACUCUCAUCUGUCUCAUACACUGCUCGAUGCGGUUCAUGCGCGCAUGCGUGUCAUCAGCGACAACGGCCUGGGCGACUGCAAGUGGAGCGAUCCCAGAAUGCCCGUGUAAUACAUAUGGUGAUGUCUGAUGCACUGAAGGAACUGGUGGGGGUGGUGGAGGUGGCACCGGGUCAUAGGAUACCUCGUCCUGAGCGAUAUGUGGCCUGCUCUGCUGGUCAUUGAUCUCCUGCCUAAGGCCAGCCAGAGCCUCCUGGAUAGAAGCCAUGGCAGUCGUGAACUGAUCGACCGUGACAACCUGCUGAUCCAUAUCUGGUGUAUCUGAAACCCGAACUAAUCUGCCCUCUACUCUGAUCCACGAAACUAUACCCAGACUGAGAGUAAAAAUCCUGAUCCUGAAAGUACUCCUCCUCUGCUCUGAUCCACAAAAGGUAUAUCAAGACGAGGAAUCAAAGGUCCGAUCCUACAAAGCACGAAGAACGGAAUAAGGAUAUGGCUCGGGGAAUGUAUAGAAGAAAAGAUAAUCUGAACGGGAACAAGCAAAGCAUCCAAGUGAAGAUGAGCGGUCCGACCGUACUCAAAUUCGUCCUGAUCUCAGUGCACUCUCAUCUAGAGACUAAACAGAGGGAAAAUCGGAUCCAAAACUACGGCUACAGAGGCACGGAAAGCCCUCAGAUGCACCCACGUGUAGGGAGGGAAUCCUAAUCGAAGGAUCUAUGGCUCAACCUACAAGGUCAAGGUGGCUCUAAAUGGAUAAGGGUGGACUUUAAAAUAUCCCUAGCAGAAGCGAUCAUACCCUCCGGCGAUACGCAACCCUCUGCACGCCUCCGAAGAGACGGGGCGCUUCCAUGCAAGGUGGUCAUCACCUCCACACAUGCACUACCUCGCAUUCCAGGGGGUUUCCUAUGGUGAAACCUCUCAAACUCUCAACACUCAAUAGUCUACUAGCGUGCACAGUGAUGGUGUGGGUGCAUCCGAAACCCUAAGAAGCUAAAGCAGGAUAUGAAACACACUGGCCACAUAAAUAUCCAUGAAACCUAGCUCCGGGCUAUACAGGUCUUCAAUGAUCGGACUCCAAUCGACAUCAAAGUGUCGCUCUCCUCCAGAAUGCUCCCGUACAUCGAUAUAGCCCGUUGCUAGACCCUACUCCUAAUCUCUGGCUCGGUCAGAGAGCAAACACACAGAAGGUCUCACACUUGCAAUAGUGAGAACCGGGAUGAAAGGAAUGACCGAAACCAAGAGAGUUGGAGGUAAGGGGAUAUAUGUGCGGCCCACAUAGACAGGCAACAUGCAAUCAUGCAGAAGGAAGGCAGUCACGUGUCAUACAGUCAAGCAAAGUACAGGAUAUAUCACUCAUGUCCACACAAAAAGCUACAACUAUCAGGAUGAAUAGCUAUAUGAACAUCAUGCUCAAAAGACGAUCAAGAUAAUAUGCAAGUCAGAGAAAACAACACAGCAAGUCAAAUGAUAUACACCAGUGAAUCCAUGCAUGUGAGGUGAGCAGAAUAAUCAGGAAGAAACAGAAUCGCUAUACCAAGCAAAACAAGGUGAGCAACCUAUGAUAAUCGGCAUGUCAAUGUACCAAACUAAUAUAGCAAUGAAGUACAGAAAAAACGACAUCCGAAGCCCCAAAUCAAGAUGAUCAAUCAUAUCAAUGUCACAACACAAUAUCCAAGCAUACAUCAAAAACUCCCAAUGUGCAAUCAAGAGACAAGUACUCGCUGAUCGACUCAUCAAAUGCCAUGUUUGCUUCAUCUUAAGUUCAAGUUUGACCCUCUAUAGUUCCCCAGCGGAGUCGCCAUUUUGUGGACCCCGCAUUUCGAUGGCUCGAAUGCGUUCCCCACUCGAUGGCGAGCUCGAUUUUUAUUUUGAAAAAUUGAUUUUUAUUGAUUAUUUGAAAAUGACUUGGAGUCGCCACUUAUUUUUGUUUUAUUUUUAAAGGGUAAACAAAAUAAGAAAGAAAAACCCUAAGUGUGACUCCUUAUUUUGGAAAAGGUGAUCUACGAAAAACCGGAUCGGGUUCGGGGGUCAGGUUACUUAUCGGGAAGGUACGGUAAAGACCGUAGCACCCCUCUAAGUCCCUAAAGUCGGGUCUCUACUACUAAAAUGAAGCUGACAUGGCAAUCAAUGAGAAAAUCAAUGAAUACUCAAAUCAAUCAUGCACAUAUAAGUAUCAAAACAUGCGUAUAGCAAGACCAGAAUAAGGACAGAUGCGUACCUGGGCAACGAUCUUCAAUGCGCUAUCAAGAAGUGAGAUUAGUGCACAAUUAAAGGAUGGUCACAUGCAUAUCAUAGAGCAGAAUAAAUCAUGUAUGGCACCCAAAUCAACCAAACAAUCCAUCAAUCAUAAAAUCUCAUAUGUUGGGCCCCCACCAAAGCCCGAUUGAUUUUUGCAUGAAUUAAUUCCAUAAAUUCCCUUGCUUGGAAUUACGGAAUUUUAUUCUAGCUUAUUUUAAAACAUUUUGAAAAUCUGAGGAGUUGUGAAAAUUGCUUGUCAGGGAGAAAAGUGACAGCAAAUUUUUAUUAUNNNNNNNNNNNNNNNNNNNNNNNNNNNNNNNNNNNNNNNNNNNNNNNNNNNNNNNNNNNNNNNNNNNNNNNNNNNNNNNNNNNNNNNNNNNNNNNNNNNNNNNNNNNNNNNNNNNNNNNNNNNNNNNNNNNNNNNNNNNNNNNNNNNNNNNNNNNNNNNNNNNNNNNNNNNNNNNNNNNNNNNNNNNNNNNNNNNNNNNNNNNNNNNNNNNNNNNNNNNNNNNNNNNNNNNNNNNNNNNNNNNNNNNNNNNNNNNNNNNNNNNNNNNNNNNNNNNNNNNNNNNNNNNNNNNNNNNNNNNNNNNNNNNNNNNNNNNNNNNNNNNNNNNNNNNNNNNNNNNNNNNNNNNNNNNNNNNNNNNNNNNNNNNNNNNNNNNNNNNNNNNNNNNNNNNNNNNNNNNNNNNNNNNNNNNNNNNNNNNNNNNNNNNNNNNNNNNNNNNNNNNNNNNNNNNNNNNNNNNNNNNNNNNNNNNNNNNNNNNNNNNNNNNNNNNNNNNNNNNNNNNNNNNNNNNNNNNNNNNNNNNNNNNNNNNNNNNNNNNNNNNNNNNNNNNNNNNNNNNNNNNNNNNNNNNNNNNNNNNNNNNNNNNNNNNNNNNNNNNNNNNNNNNNNNNNNNNNNNNNNNNNNNNNNNNNNNNNNNNNNNNNNNNNNNNNNNNNNNNNNNNNNNNNNNNNNNNNNNNNNNNNNNNNNNNNNNNNNNNNNNNNNNNNNNNNNNNNNNNNNNNNNNNNNNNNNNNNNNNNNNNNNNNNNNNNNNNNNNNNNNNNNNNNNNNNNNNNNNNNNNNNNNNNNNNNNNNNNNNNNNNNNNNNNNNNNNNNNNNNNNNNNNNNNNNNNNNNNNNNNNNNNNNNNNNNNNNNNNNNNNNNNNNNNNNNNNNNNNNNNNNNNNNNNNNNNNNNNNNNNNNNNNNNNNNNNNNNNNNNNNNNNNNNNNNNNNNNNNNNNNNNNNNNNNNNNNNNNNNNNNNNNNNNNNNNNNNNNNNNNNNNNNNNNNNNNNNNNNNNNNNNNNNNNNNNNNNNNNNNNNNNNNNNNNNNNNNNNNNNNNNNNNNNNNNNNNNNNNNNNNNNNNNNNNNNNNNNNNNNNNNNNNNNNNNNNNNNNNNNNNNNNNNNNNNNNNNNNNNNNNNNNNNNNNNNNNNNNNNNNNNNNNNNNNNNNNNNNNNNNNNNNNNNNNAGAAAGGUGAAUAAAUAUGGUGGGGGAGUAGACUGUUGACAAUGGGUAUGUAUGAGUCAUAUGCCUGGGGGUAUGGUGAGAGAUGAACUGCAAGUGAUGGGCAUGAUGUGGUGUGGGGUGGAUUAGUGGGAUGACAGUAUACAAAGAGAGCGUGGUGUAGAGAGAGAAUGCAAGAUGAUGAGUGCAUGUGUAGAUAUGGGUGUGGGCAUGGUGGUAUGAAGCGUGUGGUGGAUGAUGGACUGAAGGUGAUGGGCAUGACAAUGGGCAUGAACAGGGAUGGAGUCAUGUGGGCACGAGACGAGCAUGAGCGCGGAAUGAGUGUGAUGCAACCAUGCAUGGUAUGAAAAGGGUUUGGUGUAGUGAGAGAAAGUAGAUUAUUGGUGAUGGGUAUGAAUAAUGGCCGGGUUUGCAUGGUCCAUGCACUUGGAUGGGUGAGUUUGGGGAUGCUAGCAGAAGCCUUGGAAGGAAUACGGGCAGCCAUGCACGCGUGGGGUUUCAUGGAUAUCGAGUCAGGGUAUUUUGUUGGAGGAAGAGAGCAUGGGUCUGCACAAUAUGGGGAUUGGGAUCUCCUACGGACUCCCUAGCUAAUGGAGUUGUGAAAGGGAGACCAUCUGCUUUUCCGAUACCAGAUUAUGGGAAGUUCAGUGAUGGCUUCUCAAAAAAUAUUGGUCCACCUUGAUGUUAACAAACCACCCUUGGGCAAUUUAGCAAUCCCUUCAUUCUCAGAAGACUCCGUCUCCAACAGACCAUAAUGAUACUGAACUAAUCCAUGUGAAACGGACAAGAAAGGCUCUGCUCGUGAAUGUUCCCUGGCAUAACCUCCUCUAGAAUGUCAUCAGACGAAACAAAACUAGAGAACCAGGUAUCUGGAACAAGUAAGUCUUCUCUCUGGGCCAAACCCUCAACAAGCCUGUUGCAUUUCUCUGAUUUCUCCCACUGUUCUGCCAAAGUCUUUAUUUAUAAUAUAAUGGUUUAGAAAUAUCCUCCAUUAAUCACUCUACCUUUGACCAACCCUGGUUAAGGAUCCAUACAUCAAAUCUGAUUACCACUUCUGGCCCACAACCGCUCGAGUUGAUAAUGAUUUUCCUCCAUAUCUACUCCUGUUCAUCUUCAUAAAAUUCCUUGGAAUCAUCAGUAUACUCACUGCAAUCUGUGGUAAAGACCACCACAUCCUCAUCGACAUCUUACUUUUUUCCUCUACGAAUGGCGCCUCACACUACUCACUAUUCUUUGGAUCUGAACCACUUUUUUUUUUUUUUUGUUUUUUCAAAUAUUGGAUGUCAAGCCUCAACAGCAUAUAGUAGUCAAUUUGUACCAUCCCCAAUGUAUGGUAUGCAUGAUGCCCCGUGCUCAAAUUGCUCAAAAAGAACAGAGGAAUAUAGCCAAGAAAACAGGGCAUAGGAGAAAGGAACAAAAAAUAAAUCAAGGGCAACUGCAUUUCAGGACAUAUCAAUGUGUUCCCACUGGUGGAUGAAAGAUAUGAACAAAUUCAAAACAAAAAAUACGCCACAUAUGUUCAGGUGCCUAGCAACAAAAUAUGAUGCAAGUCCUCACCCAUUUUCUUAAACCAGGUUAAUGAAACAGCGAAAGGAUUAACAUCACAGAUGGAAACAUGACAAAUACAAACAACAUAUACACCCAGUGAAAUGAUAUUCAGAAUAAUGAAAUCAUACGGCUAAAUAUAAGCAUACCUGAAUGUGAUAGAUGUCCUACCCAGCUUUUCUUACUUUCUCUCUGUUUUCCUUGCCUUUCUAGCUCCGACAAUCGAAUCACCUUCUCUCUUACUCUUCUUUUCUCCCGCUUGAAAAACCUCCCUCUGGAAAUAUAUCUCUCCCCCAGCCAGACGACACCCACCUGCCUUGCAGUUGCAAGCCUCCAUUACCUUCAGAUUUUUCUGCCACCUUCCUCUUCUAGGCCCAUUUCCCCACUACUCUGCACCACUACCUUGCUAAUAACAGAAGACGCUCCUCAAUACAACGGCCUGCAGAUCCUCAUGCCACCUGUCAACCUUCCAUUGGCACUUCAAAAACAACAUACGAUUCUGCAUUGCCCUCUCAAAAGGAGACACGUGAUUGAGCAAGGCUCUUCCACGUGGCCAAAACGGGUAGCUGCAUGAAAGGCCCCAAAUGGGGGUCUACAGCAGGAUAUACUUUUUCGUCAAUGUGUGCCUGAAUGACCUAAAACUAGUCCCAAUUAAUGAUAUGACAUUGUAUUUGCUAUUCUCAUCAACCAAGAAUACACCCGAAAAUAUAAGAUCUUGAUUAUUUAAUAAGCAUGUAAGGUAUACACAAAAUAUAGGAAAAUAAUUUAAGUACAUUACUAUAUACCUUAUAAGAAGAUCUUGAUUAUUUAAUAAUCAUGUAAGGUCUACACAAAAUAUAGGAAAAUAAUUUCAAUAGAUUACUAUAUACCUUAAUGCAAUCCCAUAAUUUCUCCUUCAAUUCCACAGGCAUUACUCUCCAAUCAAUAUGAUAUACUGGCACCAUGGUUUGUGUUAGCACCCCCAAGUAUGAUACAAGUUGUACAUAUCCCUCACCCACUCCCUCACCAUCAUCAUUAUAUUGAAUGUCAAUUUUCACUCAUUCACUUCUCUUUUUAGCAAUUUCAGGUUUUACAGUUGGGCCUCUAAACAUUUUUGGUGAAGUAAUCUUCUGUUUUCCUUCCUUUCCAUCCAUCUACAUGACAAUCAAAAGAAUAUGAUCAAUCUCAUAAUACAUAUAUAUAUAUAUCUUACAUUCAAAAGUAAAGCAUGAUAUUUUAAUAGUUACCUACUCUUUAUCUCUUCUUGGUUGAGACAUCUGUAAAGAUGUUGCACUUUUUGGCCAAGUUCCAAAUAAUUAAGAAUUAUGCACUACUAAACAACACUUGAAAAUGUAUCUCAACUAAAUCUAAAGAAAUUAGUUACAAAAUGAUUUCAUAAGUAGGAAUAAAUCAUUGUUGUACAAAACUUGCAAUACAUGAAAAUUAAUCUUAAAUCUCAAUAUAUAUAAAUAUGAUACUAACUGAAUUUAUUUAAAAUAGCUUAGCAAGUAUAUAAUAGUAAAAAUAUAUUUGAGAAUAAUAAAAUAAAAACAUAACAUUGUUGAGCAUCACAUUGUAGAUUAACAAUAACUCAAAAAUCACAUAAUACACUUAGUAGUCACAAAGCAUAACCCCAAAAAACAAAAACAAAAAACAAGAAAAUUGUAGACCCUCAAUUUUGUCCCUUUAGCACAUGUCUUUAAGUUCACUUCCAAUGCUCCAUAGUAAUUCCUUGGUGGCCCAUUGCUACUCAUACUACUUACCUUUUUUUUAGCCACCUUGGAGACCUUGGUUGAGGGGUUUAUCCAACUCCACAUUAUGACCUUGGCAGCCCUAAUUUAGACUUAGCCACUUUCCUGAACGCCUUAGGCCCACUUAGGUACACUUGGCCCACUAGGCGUCACCUUAAGCCCACUUAAGCACUUUUAAACCCAUUUUUUAUAUGACUUGCAUGAUUGCAUGGCCUACAUGACUUGUGUGGCUUAUAUGGAUUUCUUUAUUAUUUAAUUUCAUUUUAUUUUAUUUUAUUAUAAGUUUUCUUGGCUUUUUGGGCAUGAGGAAAGGGUCUGUCAUCUAUUUUGAAGGAGAAUCAACAGAAUUUUGAAAAAGAGGAGAUUUUGUUUUUAUAGGGAUAGCACAUAUAUUAUUUUCAUGGGGAAAUCGGUUACAAAAGGGAAAAAACUAAGAAAGGAAAGUGGAUUUCCUUUUUGGAUCACAAAAGUUUUUUUGGAGGGAGAUUUUUUUAUUGUCUUUGUAGAGAGACACAAAAAGGAAAAAAGGAGGGGAUUUUCCUCUAACAUAUUUGGGGGGGUUCUUUGGGAAGGCUGAUCUACGCAAAAAAUGAGAGGAAAAAAAAGCCACAGAUUAAGGGGGAAGGGACUCACGGAUUUGGAGGAGGAUUUUCUCCAUGGAUGAAGGGGGAAGGGACUCCCGGAGGAUUUUCUCCAUGGAUGAAGAGGGAAGGGACUCACAGAUUUGAUGAGGAGGAUUUUCUCCAUGGAUGGAGGGGAUGGGUAGCAGAAGAUGAGAGGCUGCUUCGAUAGUGUGAAUUUUUCUGGAAAGGGCCAAGGACCAUAGGAGAGGAUCAGGGACAGAGGCACUAUUACUUUGAGAAGCCCAUGAGUUCUUGAAGUCUCCAACAUAUCCCUUGAGGUAAGCUCUUUAGUGUGAAAUCCAAUUUAUUUUAUUUUCUCUGUUUCUUUUCCUCUUUCUUCUAUUGUCAUUAAGAUUUGCUACUGUUGAUUUUAAGUGUUUCAUAAAUUUGCCUGACUUCUGAUCCCAUUGUUGCUUCUUUGUUUGUGUUCAAGAAUCGUUCAAUUCUUCUUUGUGAUAUUUCAAAACCCUUUUAUUCCACCUGCAUUUAAGCCCACCGAUUCAGACAUGAAGUGUGGCUUUUUGAUAGUUCUUAUUUUCUUCAUUUAUGUUCUUUCUUUCUUUAUUAUUUUUUUGGCUAUUUUCUCCUUGCUCUUGGUGUUUGCACAUUCUUGGGCAUGGGACUACACACUUGGACGUCAAACCAUGGGAUGAUGAAACUGACAUGAAAGAGCUUGAGGCAACAUUAAUCAAAUCAAGAUUCGUGGCAAGACUAUGGCUGCUAUAUUGAGUUAGAUGUUUUCCAUAUGGGUUUGGUUCUCUUUCAUGAAUUUGCGGUUGGUUUAAAGUCUCCAAUUUUCUAUAUGGGAGAAGCAAUAUUAAGUAUUUUGGAUAUCUAAGUUUGUCUCUACUUCUGCAUUGAUUAUAUGUUGUGAGCAUGGUGGGUUUGUGAGGAAGGAAAUGUGUAUCAUUGGGGAAUUUUAAUCUUCAUAGAAUUACCACCACAGAGGACUACAGUGGACUAGGACAUGGUUAUAAAGAAUCCAGGCUAGUUCCCCAGUCUGUAAUUGCAUUGAUCAAUGAUAUUUUUGUCCAGUGGUUCAGUCAUCAGUAGUCACAAUUGCUUGUCCAAUGGUUCAGUCAUCAGUAGUCACGGCCGCUAAAAGGGGGAGGUUAACAACCAAAAAAAAAGAAGUGGCAAUUCCUGAACUAGAGCCUCCGAGAUGGUUUGUUAUAGACCUGCACUAUGUGAACUGGGGAACUGUUGUCUUUCUUCUGUUUAGUGUGGAAGUUGUACUACUUAAGCAAAUGAGAAAAAAGGGGUUUGAUAAUGGGUGUAUGGAAUGCUCCUACAUCGGUAAGAAUAUUUCAGGGUCUUCUCUCGCUGCUGAUGUUCUGGACUAAGGCAAGGAAGAGUGUUUUCUCAUCUAUGAUACUAUUCCCAAUGGAAGCUUGCUGCAAUAUCUGGAUGUGAUUGAUAACAAUGGGAAGGUCCUUGAAUAGUCUACUAGAGUUUCUAUCAUCAACGACAUUGCCAAAGGUGCCAGGUAUUUACAUGAGAAGAAAGUGAUUUAUCAAACACAACAUGGGCCCUACAAAUACUAGAAUGAAGAUGCAUCCAGAAUGAAGACCUCCUAGAAUCCAUACAAUGUUCCAUUGAAACAGUCGAAGUCCACUCCUUCAUUGAUGUUGGUAACACAACACGCAAAGCCUGUACUCAAGCUUCUCUAGUCUCUCCUCAAAUCCUAAUGCCCAACCUCAGUGGCUUAAUACAUCUGAAACUGAUGCCAAACGGAUCCCUGAUGAAGGAAAUUAUGGAUACAUACAAAAGAUUUAAGAAUCAGCUUCAUCAGUACAAGCCCCAGAAGCAGUUUGCUGGAAAUGUACUUAAGCUCCAUGAGCAGACCCGUAAGUUGCAGUCGUGUCUUUGAUCGAGUUAGUAAGCUGCUCUCCCUCAAGGUUCGAACCAGAUAAAGGCAACUGGAGUUACUGCUGGUUACACUUUAACUUCUUCAUGGCCUAUACAGUUGGAAUUGCAGAUGAUAUGCAAGUGCUCAUAUUGAUGGUAUCGCUACAAAAUACUCCGAAAUUGUCGAAACAAAAGUUAUUCAAGCAAAGAUGGCAAACUGCAAUGAGAGUCUAUUGAAGAUCUCAGAGAUGAGAGGUUUGCUGAGUUCAAUAAAGAUGGCAAGUAACUUGAUGCCGAUGUUCACCUCAAGCACGUUCCGCGAUGGUCAUGCUGCUGCAUAUGUAGUGAUUUUGAUGGAAGACAGUAAGCCCAUUGGUGAGAAAUCGUUUUAUAACUUCCCAGAAUGCUUGGGAAGCAUCCCUGCUGUUUAAAUGAACUUCCCGAGAAGUGCUUGUGUAACUUGCUAAGCUGGCUACCUGAGUUGAACCACUGUGAUAUCAGUGGGGGAAAGAAACAACAAAGGCUCAACGAAGAGAUUGUACCCCGGGAGUUCAGAACUGGUGGUUAUGCGUGACGUUAUUCGGGAUUUAUAAUCGAAAAGGCUUCCUACAUGGCCAGAAUACAGAGGAUGAUUGGUUUGGGAUUGAAAAGAAGAUGAUCAUUAUUCAUCAGCUUCAUCCAAUUUUGGAGACUUUCAUGACAAGAUUGUGGGUUGAAGCUGGUCAUGUCUUUUCUUCAAAACAAAUCUUGUUGCCUGCCAAAAGAGGGCUCAUUUCUCAUGUCAUAAAAAAUGCUCAUGUCCUUGGAGAAAUUUGUGAGAUAAAAUGCGAUUAUAGUUUGCUAGCUAAAACUCAUUUCCAAGGUGCCAAUUAAAUCAACUGCCAAAAAGUUCACAGAGCACUACUCUUUGGGAUUUCAAUUCCUAGUGAUAUUGGAUAUAGGGAGUUUGUUUGUGAUAUUUUGUUCGAGAUAGAGUCUAAAAACGCAGGUUCUUCUGACAUGAAAGCCAUUGAAAACUGACGUGAGCCACCGAACAUUUCUGCUCAUGACAAGAAGAGUUGUAGGAAAAGUUGGCCAGGUUGUCUGAUGACCAUUGAUGUCCAAUCAGUUCAACAUUUUCGGCUACAGUAGCACCAGUUGUGAGUGGCUUUCUCAAGACAUCGUUCCUGAUUCCUGAAAGCAUUUCAGAUCAGUAUGAGACUUCAAGAUGGAAAUUAAAGAAUUUCCCAUGACUGCCAGAUUCGGUAGUUUGAUUUGAACAGAAUGGCGUCUCGUGAUUUUUGGAAUCAUGCAAACGAAUACACCCAACAUUGCAAAUGGAUCAAUUUCCUAUGACCUGGAAUCUCAACUAACUCUCUGGGUUAGAGAAUUCCAGUCGUAGCCAUGUCAUGAUACUACAAGACACCAGAAUUUAAAUUCAAGCAGCCAUACAAGGUUUCUUCCAAGCUGAUAGCACCACCUAGCACAGGUUUUGAUACCUUAACCUGUGGACAGAGUUUGCUUUUGGGAACAUUCCAUAUACUCGAAAUGGCAUCAAUGUCUUCUAAGUCACUACUUUUGGAUCAGUAUUUAGAGCUAGAUCUUAAUAUCGUCAUGCUAAAUUGUUGCUUUUGGUUUCAGAGACAUGAAUUGCUUGGAUAAUGCAUCCGGCUUGGCAAUUAUAAUUGUAAUGUCAGUCAUCACCUGCCUAAUGUCUCUAGUUACUGGAUUGUGUUGGCACCAGAACAUCUCCUCUAUAAUUGGCUUCAUAUUCUUCUCUGGCGUAAUUGAAGCUUUCUACUUCUUGGCUUUUCUCAUCAAGUUCCUGGAAGGAGCAUGGAUUUCUAAGCCACUCCUGAACAUGCAUAUAGGAAUGGAUGACGAGUCCAAUAAUCGUGACAUGGUGAAUUCUAGUUUAGAAAUCCCUAAUGCAGGUGAUGGUCAUGCUAAUGCCUUUCAUGCUAGCGUUGAUAUUGAUAUGAAUGGUGCCAGCGCUGAAGAUCAAACUGAGUAAAUUGGGUCUACUGCUGAAUAUGGUACGGAUGAACGACAAUCAAGGCAAAACACUAGUUUUCUUGCUACUGAGAUCCACUACUCAUCAAAAAAACCUAUCCCAAAUCAGUCCAACAAAAGGUGGGAUCUCUUUUUCCUUAAUUUUGCCUUUUUUUAAUAGGCAAAAUGAGCAUAAACAAUACUUUAUAAGGUGUCAAUGAAAAUAAACGUUCUUUGCCAUCUCAAAACCUUUUUAUAAGAUGAAAAUUAAUGUAUCCAUCUAACCUCUUAAGUUGUUCCUUCAUUGCAGGAUCUAAAUCAUCAUCAAUAUCUCCAUCUUCCAAACUAUGAUUAUGGUGGUUUUGAAAAGUGUGAACCUGAACAAUGUUCGAUUCCCCAAUUGCAUGAGCUAUGACUUUCCAAGGACAUUCAUUAACUGUGCAAACAACUGUCAUGUGUUUCCUACUAUUCCUCUUGAAGCAAUAACGGAAUCUACCAGUAAUUAACAUCAAAUAAACGGCAUCACGGAACUCGACAGCAUUGGGGAAGGUAUGUCCACUACCCAUAAUGGAAUUUUCAAACCGCCUUGAGUCACGUUCGAGUAUAUUUGAUUCCGCACAUCUUUGGGAAAACCCAUAUGACUCAAUUGUAAGAGAGUUAUUACAGAUAUCAAUUGGCGGAUCACCACCGGAGGAAAGUAGGUGUGCCAAAUUCGAACCAACAAUAGGAGUAGGGGCACUACAAAUUUAAAAAAAAAAAAAAUAUAUAUAUAUAUAUAUAUAUAUAUUCAUCUGUCUACAUAUAUUUCAAAAGUUGAUAGACAAAGUGAAUGUGAUGUUGGUAAGGCUAUAAGUACCUAUUCGAUACUAUACAGGCUUCAACAACUUCACUUGAUGAUGAGACAUAGGCUCGACAAAACAUUUCGUUGAAUUGAAUAGUGCAGGCAUGUGAUAUUCUAUAUAGGAUUGGUGAAUAGUCUCAUAGUCUAAGAUCAUGUUUGGUAGAGAGACAAAUGGAACACAGAUUUAUGAGAGGACAAGAUUGAAAGUUUGCAUAAAGCAAUUCUCUAAAUUAAGGACAUUUUGAAUAGUUCACUAGGAGAUUACAAGAGGAAAGAGAGAAGUAUGGCUUACAAGCCCACCAUGCUUAUCUCGAUGUAUUUGGAAGUGAAGCAAUAAAAGAAUCUUUGAUGAUGUUGAUCAAUCAGAAUUGUAGCUGAACAAUGUUUUCCUAAAUUUUUUGUUGAAUGGUCUGCUAGAUCAAUAGGAAAUAGAAGCCUUUCUUUUGUAGAUUUCAUUUGAUAUUUCAGCUAGUACUUUAAGGAUCAAGGAGUUUUAUUUUCCCCCUUUUUUUUCUUUUAAAAUCCUUAUGAACAUCACAAGUACAAAGGAAGUGCCCUCUUCUUAGCAAUUGUUUCACAACAUUUUACGUAUCAAAACAUUUUUUUUCAUUCUCCAAAAUGCCAAAAAAAUAAUGUCCAAAACAUUGAUUUUUAUUUUUUUAUUAAUCAAUUAAAUAUAAUUUAAAAUAAAAUAAUUAGAAUUAUAUUUUUUUAAUGAUGAACCUUAACUAAUUUAAAUUAAAUAUAUAUUAUCAAAGAGUACCAUAGUCCAAUGGUAGCAGGGAUUGAACCCAAGCCACAAUUUUGAUUUAAUAAAAAUUAAGAUGGCUAAUUAAUAAUUAAUAAUUAUUUAUAUGGAGCAAAUUGUUCUCAUGAUUUGUUUCCCCUUUUGUUUUUUUUAUCAUACUAAAUCUAAAGCUCAAAAGGGUCAUCCACUUCUCUCACUCGGGCAUCAAGGAGCCCUUUUCUGAAGUUGCCCUCCAAACGAGAGAAUCCCUAAAAAGGCCCUAUUUUCCUCUGCAACUCUCAAUCCUUGUAGGUACUAAUCUAAUCACAUUAUUAAUUUUUUUUUAAACCCUCAUUUGAUUCCCAAGAAAAUCCAUCCCCCAUUUGAUUUCCGGGAAAAUUCAUCCUUGUUUGAUUUUCGAGAAAAUCCAUGCAAAACCCCAAGGAAAACAAAAAAAAAAUGCUUUUUUUUCCUCCCUAUGUUUUCUAGAUCUGUUCUAGGGGUCUCUUUGCUUUUGUGCCAUUGGGUUUAAAUUUCACAAACCCUAAAUCCACGAUUUUUGAGCUAGGUUGAAAAAUAUAACCUUUGCCUGCAAAUCGUGAUCAGAUUACCAAAUAGCAUCUUAUGUUUUUUUUUAUAUAUAAAAAAAAAAUUUGGAUAGAUUUUGCAUCAUGCAUGGGCUAUGCUGGUAGGAAAUAUCGGGAAAUUUCCCGAAAAUACGAUAAAAAAUACCGAUAAAUACCAAAAUAUUUCUCGAUAUUUCAAACACUAGUGGUUCUCAAAUUUUUUUUCCUCAAUGAUUCCCCACAAACAACCGUCUUGUAAACAUAAAUAUUUAAGAUAUAACAAAAAAAAAUCCCCAAAUAUUCUAAAUCACGGGGUCGUGAACAAUGCAAAACAACCUUCAGCCCAAAUAUUUUCUCAACAGCCAAACAAAUCCUUAAAUGGAAAACUCACAUGCGAUUAAUCCAAAAGAAAGAGGAAACUCCACUUCGGUUUCCAGAAACCUGAAAAAUAUUCACCUUUGAUGAAGAAAUAUGAAGAUAUGACUCAACUUUGGCUUCGUUGAAGGUUUUUGGAAGAUGGCUAUUGGGUUUGGGUGGUCAGCUCGUGAAGAGAGACACUAGGGUUAGGCCAAAAUGAGACGAAAUGAGAGGAAGUGAAGAGUCAUGAAAAUGCAGAGCAAACGAGCCAUGAAAAUGUAGAUUGGGUUAGGGCAAAAUGAGAGGAAGUGACAGAGAGUUUCCCCAAAUUUCAAAGUUUAUCGAGUCGGGUGUUCUAUGGGUUUUGCAAAUUUGAUAACUUUUAAGUUUUUGAUUUUCGUGUUUAUUAAAGGCACAACUCUCGGGUGACAUGGACACGAGUGAUGGUUGCUGAUAGGGAUGCAUGGAGGGGUAAUUUCGAAAAUCCAAUUAUAAAUUGUAUAUAAUGCAUGAAAAGGAAAAAAUUUCUUGAAAUAGUGGACAUAUCUUGGGUUAUGCAAACUUGGGUUUUGAAAACAAUAUUAUUAGGAAAUGGGGCUCUCGAAACACAACUUUCCCUAUUUUUUAUAUUCCAAAUAUAAUAGUUCAUGUUAAUUAAACUAAUUAAAUAAUUUAAUUAAGUUAAUUUUUUGAAUCUAAAUCUAACGAGAUUGAAAUUAACUAGUUGAAUCUAAUUCUUACUAGUUUGAAUGUGAAAAUAAAAUUAAAUAAUCAUCUAAAAUAUAACAUAUCCAUCUAUAAUUAAAUAAUCAAAUUAACCUAAGCUUAUUCAAUAAAAAUAUACAAAUUAAUUACAAUUGAAUGUAAAAAUAAUAUUAAAUCAUCCAUAUUGAAAAUAUACUAAUUAAUUGAAAAUACAUUAAUUAAUUACAAUUGAAAACAAAAUUAAUUACAAUUUAAAACAAACAUACCUUAAAAUAAUUGAAUAAUUGAGCAACCUUAGAAAAUUUUUGAGCAAUAAGAGAUCAAAUAAAGAAUGAAAUUAAAUGUGGAUGAAAUGGAUGCAAAAUGAGUUAUUUAUAGGAAAAUUUUGGGCCAAAAUAGCUAUUGAUAGAUGAUUUCACUAUUGAAAAACAGUUUUGGCCGUUGGAUCAAAAUCAGGGCGACAUAUGACCAUUGGAUCAUGAAAUAACCAUUGGAAUAUCAUCCCAACGUUGGACCAAACCCAAAUUCAAUCUGGGGAGUUAGAUCAAUGCAGGCAUGAUGUAGGCCGUUAGAUCACGCUGAAAAGAGGAGGCAAAUUUUCUUUAAAAAAUCGACGAUUUAUCACCGAUAUAUAGACGUUUUUCCAACAUCAGUGAUGAUUGAUUGAUAAAACCGUCAAUUUAUCGCUGAUCAGCGAUAUAUCGACUAGAUUUUGGCAAUUUUUUGUUUUUUUGCCUCUUCGAUAAAUCCCCACAAAAUAUCGUGUUGAAACUCUCCGAUACACGAUAUAUCGAUGACAUACCGCCGAUAUAUCUUUGUGUUCCUAGUGAGGUUGAUGAUUUACUAAUAUGUUUCAAGUGCACAAUGAGGGAUUAAUUCUUAUUGCACACUAGGGCAUAGCCAUUUUAAAUAUCUUUAUCAAAGUUAGUGGUUUGAUUUUUAGAGAACACUUCUUAUUUGUUGAUAUUGCUAUCACCUACAAAGUAUGGUUUUAUACAUCCCUAAUUCGAAACAACAACUAUCCAUUGCAUUUGAGCAAGGUGGAGAUGUUGUUGGUUAUUAUUGCAUGCUAGGGCAUAGCCAUCAUCAUGGUUUUCUAAUCAAGUUAAUGAUGCAUUGACAUUAUGACGGAUUGAUCUAGUUUGGUUGUCUUCAUAGUUUAUUUUUGUCAAUGAAUGGCAUUGUCAUGGAUGAUUUAAAUACAUUAAUUCGAACACAUUCAUUUUGAAAACAAUCCAUGAACACAUUCCAAAAAAAGAAAAAGGGUAUCUAGGGAAUGGAUCAAUGCAUGUAUACUGAUUAUGUUCUAUAUCAUUGCACUGAGAAUAAUGAAUAGGUCUCUUAUGACUGCAUUAUGAUUCGAUAAGACAUUGUCAUAGUCUCCUAAUAGAUGUUUUACUUUAGGGCUUUAAGAGAAGGAAAUGAUCAAGCUUCUUUAUCAUGCAUGCAUGCUCUCAUCAACACAAAGUUGAGGCAUGUCAUUCAUCAAUAUAGAUCAGAAUGAGCCUAAAUAAAUCAAAGUUCUAAGUGGAAAAUGUUCAAUAUAGGGUUAUACAUCUAAGUGUAACAUGAUCGAAUUUUAUUCAAAUGUAUAAACUAUAAAUGAUUACAUACCUUUUUUUUUUUCCGAAUUCGCUCAUACCAUUAAGAUUUUUCAUCCACAAGAUACAACCUAUAUUGCAAAAAAUUAAAAAUUAAAAUAAAAGUGAAAAAAAAUUGUAUUAGAAUAUUAAGAAAACUCUACUUAUAAAUAUAAAAGAAUCCAAUUGUUUAAUAUUAAAAAAUCUCAAAUUUAAAAUCUAAAUAUUGAGGGUAAUUUUCUAUUUUUCCAUCUCAUAAUGAAUGAAACUCUAAUAUCUCCCUGCUAACUUACUAAAAGGGUCAUUAUCAACAUUUUUCACCUUAGAGCGAAUGUAAAAUUAUAAAAUUAUUAUCUGAGAACACCCACUUUACAAAUUAGAGAAAAAAACCUAAAAUAAAAAGGAAAAGUAUACCAUAAGGAAUAUUUAUUUCAAGCUCUUUAAAGUACUGAGAGCACCCAUUUUACAAAAUUGUACUCAAGUCAUGUAACAUUUGAAUCCAACUCAUUGAAACUCAUCAUUUUGUCUCAAAAAAGGUUUUUCAUUUUUUUAUUAUUAAAAAAAACCAUAAGCAGCUGAUUGUAUUCAAGUAAUUCAAUGGAUAGCCCUCAAAGGUAGGCAUCAAUUUAUCAGACAUUCAAACUAAACCACGGCAUCAAAAGAUUAUAACGAUAAGAAUAUAUAUACCUCCAGGCGAAGGAGCCAUUGAUGCUAUUAAAAGUUUGUUCUUCAAAAGAGCUUUAAGAAGUGAUCGAUUGUUCUUCAAGAGAGCUUCCAAAGAGCUUAGGGGGCUUUUUCUGUAUCCAAUUUGUUGAUCUCACUCUCAACCAACAGUAAAAGAAUAAACCUAAUCAGGAAAGAUUAAAGCUAACCAUAAAAGAACCAAACUCACCUCAGUAUAUAUGAGUUGGAUUUUUUUCAAGAGACAAUGAAAUAGAGAUGCUUCUGAGAGGAGAGGGUGAGGACAUGCAAAUGAGGAUUUGUGUGAAGAAAGAAUCGUUUACUUUCCAAAGGGACAUGCGGGCUUCUUCACUAGGAGGAUUUAAGUCAACUGGGAAUGGAUUUAAACAGCUCCAUGGUAACAAAAAUAAAUAAAAAAAUAAAGAAAAAUGUGUCCUCCAACAGUUUAUUGAUACAGUAAAGUGGACAUAUUACACUACCAUUAUGAGAAAUGACACAUUUGAAGGAGAGAGUCUUUUGAUAUAAUUGAGGCAUUAAAGUUUAAGCACUCUAUCUAACUUAUAAUCUUUAUAAAAAAGAAUUUCACGGAGACCAACUCAAAUGUAUAAAUAGCUUAUACAUUCCAACAUAAAGCAACAGCUGAUGGGAAACUGUGACUUCAAGGAGUUUUGGGCUGAAAGAAGGGGAAAGUCCCAUUAUGGUUUUUAGUCGAAUAAACAUGUUGACAGAUUCACACAAAAUCGGGCGGUUCGUCUGAUUCGACGGUCUAACUCUCUGGUUAGAUGAUUCAAUGGCGAUUCAAACUCAGAACAGUCCAUUCCGGCGAAUCAGACCGAAGGUCGGACCGAUUUUAAAACUAUGCAUUCACCAACGAAUCUGAGAAAAUCAAAAUUAAUUUUUACAAGCCGAAUUCAUAAGAAGACGAGAAAGGGAGUCAUCUCUGAACAGUAGACACAGAAGAACUUUAUUGAAAUUGGUGUUGCUUUUUGAAAGAGACGAAGUCGGCCAGCUACUUGGAAAGUUUGACUGGACAAGACUUUGAGUUGAUUUGAUGGGAGGUGGAGCAGUUUAUUGGGACUUCAAAAAUAUUUUUCUCUUCCAACCGUCCUUAGAUUUAAAAUAUUUUUUAUCAAAAUAUUUAUUUAGAAUUUUUUUCUUAAUGGAAUCACUUAUUAAAUACUUAAAAAAAAUUAAUAAAAUUUCCUUAAAAGUUUAAACAUCAUAAGAUAUUUAAAUUUUUGAAUGACCAUGUUUCGUAUUUAUGCCCAUAAUAAUUUCAUAUUAAAUUAAAAUAAAAUAUUUUUAUUUUAGUUAUUAAAUAAUAAAUGAUAUUUAAAUUGAAUUUAUAAUUAAAUGAUUAGUAUCAAAUUUAUUUCUUUUUAAGAUAAACAAAACAAACUCUACUAAUACUAAUAGUAUUUUGAUCAAACCUGAAGCAAUGGUCAUUGUAAGUAUAUUUCCCACCAAAAUAAUAUAAAAGUAAACAAUAAUACCCUUAUUAACUAAGGACAAAAUAAAUUGGAGUUCAACUAUUUUUUUAUUUUAUCCAAAUUUACCAAAAGACAUAAUAACUCCAUUUUUUUUUCGAAUUUAAAGAUUCAAAUAUGACAAAUAUAUAAGAAUUUAUAUAAUUUAAAAUAAGAUAUAAAAAACAAUUUUUAAAAUUUUCUAUUAAUUUUUUUUACCUCAAAUAAGCACUUAAUUUUUUUUUAGAGCAUUUACUAUAAAAGAAUUUAAUUCUCACCUAAAUAGAAGUAAAAAAUAAUUAUUAUUAUUAUAAAUUAUUUAUCUAAAAUUAUAGUAUGAAAAUCUUAAUAAUUUUUUAUAUUGAUAUUAUUAUUUUAAAUUUUUAUUAUUAUUAUUAUUAUUAUUAUUAUUAUUAUUAUUAUUAUUAAUUUUAAUUCAAUUAAUUAAUUUAUAAAUUCCUAACUUAUGUGAAACUUUUAUUUUCUAAAUUUAUUUUUACGAAUCUUCUAUUUUCUUUAUUUAAUUAAACUAAAUUUCUUGGAAACCUAUUUCUUUUAUUAGUAGAACUAAACUUAUUACUAUUAUAAAUUUUAUUACAAUCAUUCAACAUGCUUAAUCCUAUUAGUAUUUUUAUUAUUCUUUAUUAUUACUAUUUCUAACACAUUCUUACUCACGCACAUUAUCAUGUAUCAAUCACUUUCCAUCCACUGUAAUUACGUAUCUCUUUCACUUUUCCUAUAGCUAUUUUUUUUUCUUUUUACUUUUUUUUUCUUAUUUUCAUAUUAAAUCCACCGCCAUUUUUUUGUCUAAACACCUACAAGCACGCGCAGAGUGGCCACCCAACCCAACUCAUUCCUUGCAUCAUCAUAUCAUAUGCACAUAAUGCAACGUCUCCUCAGAGGAUGAUGUUAAUUGUCAGUUGUCACUCAUCAUUUCAUACUUAAAUGCCAUUACAAAUAGAAUUAGUCCAAGAUCUUAUUGAAAAUCUAGUCUCUUCUAAAAGGGAGAAUUGUGUUUUGGGUCCAGCUGAGCCCAAAAAUUAAGAUAAGGUCUAUGUAAUUGACCUAAUUAAUGAUAAGGAUAUUAGAUGUUAACAGACGAAAAGACCCUUUACUUUUUCAACUCAAAUGGUUGUAAAUUAAUGGGUUUCACAACUGGUAAACUUGAAAUGUCAUGUCACCAGAGUGAAAAUUUUGAAUCUUCCUACCCCUUUCUCUCCCUUCGUAAACAACAUAUGCACAAACGAUGUCGACUAUGACUGUCCCCCAAUCGCUUUCUUCAACAGCCGAGGAUUGUGAGCAUUUCAGAAAAGCUUUUGUAAGUAUUUUAUCAUGAUCAUUCCCAAAUCCAAAUGACGGGGGUCUGAAUUAUUUGCUGAUAUUUUGAUUUGAUUAGGUUGAGGCGUUUAUAGGUAUUUUAUCAUCAUCGUCCAGAGUGAAUAAAUGGGUUUCGUCCAAACGGUGAGCUUUGGGGAAGAAUAUUGUUCGGUGAUGAUGCAAUUAAUCUGGAAUAGCUAUCCUUCGGAUCAAAAAUAUUUUGAAAGCAAAGAAGUUGGUCAACCUAACGAAACAGAGAAAAUGAAGAACUCCAAUGAAGAUAUAAACCGGCCACAACUGUGGUCGUGAUGAUGGCAGUGGCCCAACAACCUCGUGUGAAUAUGGAAAUAUGUUAAAUAGGGUAUAUGCCUUAUUGUUGGGUAAGUUUCCAUUUUAUAAAUUGAUGGCUUCCACCAACUGCUAUGUCCACCAAUUGACUACUCAUUGUUAGCAUAUCAAACAUCUAUGUAGUCCAUCAGCUUCAGUUUUAGUGGGUUGUGGGCCAUAUGGUGCACCAGUUGGACAAUGCAAAACCUCCGUUCUCUUUGAUGAGUCCAGACCUCUAAAAAGCCUCGAAUGUAACUAUUGUUCUGUGGCUGACAAACACUGGGCAAGGUGUAUAUGCAUAAGGUGUUGUGUUCCUUUGGAACAUUCUAGGUUAUUCCAUUUUUUACAUUUUUCCUUUUCGUUUUGUAUACCUUGACCUGGUUACAUGAUGCAUGCACAGUUAAUGCUACUUUUGGUCUUAUUGUCUUUCUAUGUGGCUGGAGACUUUUGUAAUCAGGCUUUAUAAGCUCUAGAGGCUUGGGGCUCAUAGAAACUAAUAUCAUGAGAUUAAUUUAGGAUCCACUCUCUCAGAAUCUCUCUUGCUCUUUGUGUUAGCUGUAAGUUCAUGACUAUUUCACAUUCUAUUAAAAAUUCUAUUAGCUAUCUUGAUUUUAUCAAAAUCAUUCUGCUUGAAUUCCUAAAUUUUCUUUUUGAAGAUUUUUCUUGUCUUAGCCCACUCCACCCAACUUUUCCUUUCUUGUUCUUUUGAUUAGUAUCUGAAACAAUUUUUAUUUCGUUGAUCAAUGUAUAUUCUUGCAACAAAUGAAUUAAAAAUUUAAUUUGUGCCCAAUUAGUUUGGUGUAAAUUUCAUCCACAUUUAUCUCAUGUAAUUUUAAUUGGAAAUAUUUGGUGUUUAUGGGAAUAAACAGGAAGCUUGAAAUUGCUAAUCAUUGGCAUUAAAUUGAAGCAGGUUUAGAAAUGAAAGUUCUGGAUCAGGAAAGAAUGGAUGAGAAGGAGAAUUGCGGACAGAAGAAAAUAAUGUCUCCCUGUUUGGCUCUGAAGAAUUGCUUGGAGGAGAAAAGGGUGACUACUCUAAAAGUCAGCCACAGUUAGAAGCAUUUUGGUCUUCUUUAGAGUUUCCUCGUAAAUUAUAGACAAUUGUUAAGCCUGGUGCCACAUGUGAUGUUUAAAAAGUUGUUCACUAGUUGAAUGGAACCCAUCUUUAGGCAUGUUUUUUAUUGAAUAAAAUAUAUGUUUGAAUAAUAAUUUGCCAUGCUUAACAUAUAAUCUUCUUCUGAAUUCUAGUUGGAAAGUUGGAAUUAGCUUCGAAUAGUUUCACAUUAAUGGACAAAUUGCUGUUUUUUUAAUUUUCUUGUAUUGUUAAAAAAGUAUAGGGAACAAAUUGAUACUUCAAUUUUUCCUUAUUUUAUUAACCAAAAGAUUGCAAACAUGAUUAACCUAUGCAUGAGCAGACAUUCAAUAGUGGUUGUAUGGAAUUUUUGUCUGUGUACAAGACAUUUACACUAAGUGUACAAGAUAUAUGUGCUUAAUGUACAAGGGUGUACAAAGGUACCUAUGUUGAAGUAUUUGCAAUCGUUUUAAAAUCAUGUCCAUUUUGAAAGGAUGAGGAACAUUCCCUCACACACAUUCCUUGAUCACGCACUCAUCCUGUUCAAUUUUAUUACUUCAUACAUGUUGAUUGGAUGACCAACCACAGUAAUGAUGAAUAGGAACCUAUAUUGGGUUUUACUUCCCCCUUUUCCCUUAGGCAUCACAUUGGAACAUGAUAGCUCACCCAUAUGCACGCUUUUAGUUUUAGGUAUGUCAAAUUUUUUCCAUUGUAUAAGACAUUUAAACUAAGUGUACAAUGCAAAUGUGCUAACUGUACAAGUGUGUACAAUGCUACCUAUGUUGAAGGAUUUCAAAUGGUUUUGAAUAAAUUGCUUGCUCAUUUAUUUUUUUUAAGGGGGACAUUCCUCAUAGUCAUUCCUCAUUUCCCUUCGUACACAUUCAUUGGAUGAGAUAACACACUUAUGAUGAAUAGGAACCUAAAUUGGGUUUCAUUUUCCCCCUUUUAAUUGAGCCAUGACAUUGGAAUGUGGUUAACCCGCCAAUAUGCACUAGUUCUAUUCUAGCUAGGUUGAAUUUUUGCAAUUGUACAAGGCAGUUACACCAAGUGUACAAGACCAAUUUACUAAAUGUACAUAGGUAUACAAGGGUGUCUAUCUUAGGGGAUUUCAAGUGAUUCUGAAGAACUUCCUAUCUUACUAUUUCCAAUCGUGGGGGACAUUUCUCGCACAUAUUGCUUGACAACACACUUAGUGCAUGCAUUUUAUUUGAUGUCUACUAUGUUAAUUCCUUCUAUUAGCUUCCCUAGUAAUGAUGAAUAUGAACCGAAAUUAGGGUAAAGUUUUUUUUCAUUUUCCUUAAUCCAUGAGAAUGGAAACAUUGGUUACCCACCCAUAUGCACUCGUUCGGUUGUGCCUAUGUGGGAUUUUGUGACUGUACAAGGCAUUUACACUAAGUGUACAGUGCAAAUGUGCUAACUGUACAACUGUGUACAAUGCUACCUAUGUUGAAGGAUUUCAAAUGCUUUUGAAAAAAUUGUUUGCUCAUUUUUUUUUCUAAGGGGGACAUUCCUCAUUUCCAUUUCUACACAUUCAUUGGAUGAGAUAGCGCGCUUGUGAUGAAUAGGAACCUAAAUUGUGUGUCAUUUUUCCCCUUUUCAAUGAGCCAUGACAUUGGAACGUGCUUAACCUGGCCAUAUGCACUAGUUCUGUUGUAUCUAGGUGGAAUUUCUGCAACUGUACAAGGCAUUUACACUAAGUGUACAAGGCCAAUGUACUAAAAGUACAAGGGUGUACAAAGGUGUCUAUCUUACUUUUUCAAAUCGUGGGGAACAUUUCUCACACAUAUUGCUUGAUAACACAUUCAUUACAUGCAUUUUAUUUGAUGUCUACCAUGUUAAUUCAUUCUAUUAGCUUCCUUAGUGAUGAUGAAUAUGAACCGAAAUUAGGGUAAACUUUUUUUGUCAUUUUCCCUAGUCCAUAGUAAUGGAAACAUUGGUUACCCACCCAUAUUCACUUGAAAAUAUGUACCUAUUAGGGAUUUGGUGACUGGACAAGGCAUUUACACUAAGUGUACAAAGCAAAUGUGCUAACUGUACAAGUGUGUACAAGGCUGCCUAUCUUGAAGGAUUUGAAAUGCUUUUGAAAAAAUUGCUUGCUCAUUUAUUUUUUCUAAGGGGGACAUUCCUCAUUUUCCUUUGUACACAUUCGUUGGAUGAGAUAGCACGCUUAUGAUGAAUAGGAACCUAAAUUUGGUGUCAUUUUUCCCCAACUCAGUGAGCCAUGACAUUGGAACGUGGUUAACUCGGCCAUAUGCACUAGUUCUGUUGUAUCGAGGUCAAAUUUCUACAACUGUACAAGGCAUUUACACUAAGUGUACAAGGUCAAUGUACUAAAAGUACAAGGGUGUACAUGGGUGUCUAUCUUACUUUUUCCAAUCGUGGGGAACAAUCCUCACACAUGUUGCUUGAUAACACACAAUUGCAUGCAUUUUAUUUAAUGUCUACCAUGUUCAUUCAUCCUAUUAGCUUCCCUAGUAAUGAUGCAUAUGAACCGAAAUUAGGGUAAAAUUUUUUUUCAUUUUCCCUAGUCCAUGGUAAUGGAAACAUUGGUUACCCACCCAUAUUCACUUGAAAAUAUGUACCUAUUAGGGAUUUGGUGAUUGGACAAGGCAUUUACACUAAGUGUACAAAGCAAAUGUGCUAACUGUACAAGUGUGUACAAGGCUGCCUAUCUUGAAGGAUUUGAAAUGCUUUUGAAAAAAUUGCUUGCUCAUUCCUCAACUGAAAUGAUAAUAACCUUUCAUUGAUUGAUAUCCACGUGGGCCCUCCUCAUGAUUGUCUUCAACCUGAUAAAGGGUAUGUGUUUUUUUUUUCCCUUAGUGAGAAAGCAAAUAAAGGCAUAAUAGAUAUAUGAGUGUGUUGGCUACUAAGUAGGUACUGGUUGGUGUUUGAUGAUGUUAAAAGCCUUUAUAAAGCAGCCUCUAGUAAGCACUGAUUUUGAGAUUUAAGUUCUUUUGAAUUUGAUCAUUUUUCCCUUUCUUUUCCAAGGUUUUUCUUUCCACCUUGGUUUUGUGAAGAAAGCUUGCAUUAUUGGAAUGAUUGUUAUUUAAUGUCGUUGCAGUUGCAAAUGACACAGCUAUUCACCAAAUCCCAACCUCUGUUUUGAAUCUGAGACAAGGUUAACAAUUCGUAUAGUUCAAGUUCUUCAUGGCCUUCUAGAGAGUGAGCAUGCAGCACAUGCAUAAGCAAACAAUAGGGCAAAAGCUCUUUCUGUUCAACUACAAUCCACACAAGGAAAACUUGAUUUACUUCAGCAACAAUUAACAUCAGUUUCUUUGAAUAAAACAGCAAUGGACGGUAAGCUCAACACUGCUUCCCAUGGAAAAUGUUUGAGAGUAGAUGACUUUGACCUGACUAUUGAAUCUGUUGAAGAUAUGGAUGGUAAUGAAAGAAUAACAAGAGAAAAUAAGAUGUCAACGAUCACAACUAGCCCUCUGAAGUUCACGCAGUCAGAAGAUGGUGUUUAAAUAUUUAAGGCCAACGAGGACAACAACAGCCAACAUACGAACCUAGAGGACUAUACAAAAUUCAUUGUGCUGAAACUUAUGAAAGAACUCACAAAACAUCAUUAUGGGGCUGAGCUGCUUCAGUUCAGGAAUCCCAACAAGAGAAACAUCUUGCUUUGUAUGAGAAACACGUGCUUUAAAAAUUGUAACCUGUCUAUAAUCUAACAAGAAUUGACUUGAUAGAUUAGCUUUUUAACCAAGUACUUAGUGCUGAAGAAGGUGUUUUGUGCUUGAACGGUGUCAUUCCCAUUAGUCCAAAAUUUUGGGAUGAUGAUCGCCAUUUUUCGAUGUGCUGAAUGAUUACUUUUAAGGUGUGGAGCUACUGCAUUCUGAGAAUGGUUAAUAAUAAUUUUUAAAAUCAUACAUAAUAAAUUUGAAAAUAAAGACUAAUAAUUUUCAAGUGAUUAUGGAUUAUUCUUGAGUUCCCCUUUUCUCUUGUCUGAACUUGCUAGUUCCCAAUACUAAAGUAGGAGUCCAGGGAUAAUUUCAACACAAAUAUUAACUAUAAGUCUCUGACAAACCUUAUUCUUAUUACCACCCAACUAACCUAAGGGCAAAGUGGGUUCUUAUUACCAAGCCAUGAGCAAUUUUGCCCACCAAAAAACCUAGGACAAAAAAGGGAAAAAGCCACACCAACAUGUAUGAUAACAAAUAAGAGCAACCAUACACUCUAUUAGGCAUAGACAUCUAGGUUAGUGUGGAGGUACUCUUCCACAACCUUGUACAUCCCCAUGGCCUUGUCUUUGCCGGUCUUGAUGUCCUCGUCCUUGAGCUCAAUAUUUGAGUGAUAAUGGCUAGUCAUCUUGCACAUAGAGCCUGAGCCCGAUGCCUUGAACUUUACCUCGUUUGAAAUGGCCUUGUUUUUACACUCUUAAUUGCCUAAAUUUCCUUUCUAAGAGGCUUCAUUUUCCAAUUCUAUUUCCUUUCACACCUUCAAUGGGAAUUUAGGAGACAACUUUUAGUAUUGUGUCUUAGUUUGAUUGAAGGUAAAAUUGAAACCCAUAACAACCCUGACUUGUUUGAACCCCAUGUCAGAAAAAGUAAAAAGAAAAACAACAAAGUGUAUAGAUUCUUCAAAUAGAUGUAUCUGUAAUUGAAACAAAACAGGUGGAACACACCCGUGAACUCACCAUUAACAUUACAAGCAACUAGAAUUAUUGCUGCCUUGAACUAGAUAUCAUAGAGAACACCAAAAGAAAAUAUCUAUAUAUAAAACAUAAAAUCUUUGAGUAAUCACAAUGCUACUUUCUAUUCCUAAUUUUCCGCUUCCCAUCUGUGGGAACUGGGUGCCUUCCAUUCCUGUGCUGUAGGGUCCCAACCCCAUUUGAUAGUUUCCAUGAUGGUGAAGGGCCCACGGUAGAAUUCAAAUUCCUGCAGGAAAAUUUUGAGAACAUUUUGUCAGUAUACAUGGGAACUUACUAGGUAACAAUAGUUGAAAUGAGAAAUAAAUCAGUUUGCAUUACCUUAGUUCUGGACUAUUUGCUGGCUUUGUAUUAGGUUUCUUGAUUUUUGACUCAAUCCCAUUAAUCAUGCAAAUUAUAUUUGCAUUAUUGAAUUGCCAAAGCAAAACGGCAUCAGAAGAAGCACUGAUGGCAGCAUCCUCAUGCAAAUCAUCAUUAUUAGCAAUGUCAUAACGAUUGUUUUCCAUGAAUAUGUUAUAUGAUUGAUCCGGGAAUAGCUUUGAAGAAUUUGAAAUAAGUUUUUGGUAGAAAGCAUCAGGCAAGUUCCUAUUCUCUGUUUCCCAACAUCCUAAAGGGUUUGGAACUCUAGGUACAACAUCUUGCUUAUUCACCAUAACCAUAUAUACCCACUAACUAGAGCCAAUGUCUUUGUCGUCCUCCAAAUAAUUUUGCACAUUACUAUUGACUGGAGGCCAAGGAGGUGAUUUCCCUAGUAACUCCUUAAGAUCAAAGCUUUGGUUCUUUUGCCUCAUCAUGGAAUUGCUGCGUGCCUACAUAAUCAGAACAUCAAACUUGAAUUCUGGUUUCACAAAGACUUGGAUGCAUAAUAAUCAGUCAACUAAAAUAAAGCCAUUGUUUGACAUCUACCUAGACCACAUCUAUGUGGAACCUAAUCAUACAUGAACUAGAAAUUACUUUUUAUGAAAAUUUCCAAUGAAUGUGAUAUAAUACAUAGUUUAUGAUCAUCUUCAAACUUAGGCAUGGCGUGUCAUGAUUAUCAAGAAAUAAAGGUUCCCUCACCAUCAUCAAUUUGCUAUCAUUCAAGUUUAAAUACACUUAUGUUAUUAUUCAAAGCUAAAUAUCAAUGAUUGGGGUAAAGAAAGAGGAAUAUCUCAUCAUGAUUAAAAAAAUAUUUACCUCGAUGUUGCUUGCAUCCCACAUUGGUUGCCUGCAACUAUUUUGAUCAUCUAACAUAUCUCCAGCCCGCUUGUUACAAUGAAAAGGUGAUAAAUCACUGGUUUUUGUUAUGUAUCUUUCAGAACUGUUUGUUUUGGUUCUCCUUUUUCCUUGCCAGAGCUGCCUUUAGAGUAGCAAUCUGAAAUAAUAGUUCAAAGUUUUCAGAAGAAUAAAUAAGAAUUGAGAAGAAUGAUAAAUAAUGAGAGCAUUCAGAACCUGUUCUUUCAGCUCUUUCACAUCUACACUAUCCUUGUUUACACGAGUAGCACUAAGUUCUACCGUGGCAAAUUGCUCUGCAAAUUUAACUGUGCUAAUUGUUUCUCCAUCCGCAUCCAGUUCAGGGCUAAUGUGAACAAACAUUAGUGUCUUAGCUUGCCCCCUUAAAGAGAAUUACAAUCUAAAAGCCAUAUUAUAAUUUUAAAAAUAAAAUUAAAGAAAACAGAAUCAAAUAUGAAGUUCAUACUCUGAAAAUACAUUAGUUUAUUCUUACCAAGUGAGUCUUGAAGAAGUUCUGUUAGUUUACUAUUCCUAUAAGGGACAUGUGGACUCUUCUGGGCAAGGGAAGAGAUGACAUCCCCUAGAGCAGAGAGAGAUCUGUUAAUAUGAUGUUCCUCCUUUAGUCUAUCUCCAGUGACCUCAGAUUUGUCUACUCUCCCACUGUCGGCCAGAUCAACAAGAUGCAUACAGCCAUGAAGAAUAGUUCCUGACAUCAAGUCUCUUCCCUGAACAUGAACAGUUAGGCAUAUGCAAGUUGAUUGAAAAUCAAGUGAGCAAAACCAAUAGAGAUUACUAAAAGAGUAUUCCUAGAUAAAUAUAUAAAGGAAUAUGAUCAUACCUAUGAGAGCAACUAUUAUGGUUUCAUAUGUUCACAAGUGGUAGAGAACCAGGGUUUUAAUUUCUAUGCAAUUUUGAAAAUUCAUUCUAAUAAUAUUUAAUUCUCCCUGUUUACUUACAAUGCAAUGACAAUCAACUUAAGUCAAAAAGCAGUCAAACUCCUACUAAUCCCAUAAUCCCAGUGUUCAUUUCCGCAUGUGGCACCAUAAAAAAACAUUUAAAGAAGUACGUUUGUCCACCAUAAAUUACAUACAAAUGUGCUAACUUUAUACAGUCUCGUCACAAAUUACAAUCCCCAUUAAUCCAUUCAGACACGGUCUUGGUGUGCAUUUUGUGCUGAAAACAACAUACUCCCCAUAAUCUUCAACCUAUAAUGUUUCAAUUUCCCCUGCAUUCAUUCAAGUUGAUAGCAACAAAUCAGCAAAUUAAUUAAUUAGGCUUUUGUAACUAUUUUAACAUUAAUGAGAUAGUCAUAGAUAAUUCCUCCUAUGUACCACAUCGAUUGAUUUGGAGAACCUGCCCAUUGACCACAACUCCAUGAAUUUCAUUACAAAAACUCCGCAAUCGUGCCUACGUCAAUAUCAUUAUCAAAACGUUAUUAAGUAUGGAAUUAUAAAUAAGAGAGGAACUUAAAAUAAGUUGCAAUCCAUUUUAACAUCAUCCCGGACUGCAAGGUCAAUACUCACUCAUUAGGUUGGAGAGGUACAUCAGGUGUUAGGAAAUUGAAUGUCCUCAAAUCAUAAGGUGAUACCUCUUUUUUUUUUGUGCAGCCAACCAUAGGACAACCUUAGCCUGAAACAUUUAUUAACACAACAAUUGAAAUUUUUAUGGGAAGACAUACUUAACAAAUUAUUAGUUGUUACUUGUUACUUUACCAAAUUUUGUUGAAUUCCACUCAAAGUUGUCUUCUUCCUACCAGGACAAGAAUCUAGCAAUUGGAUUCUCUUGUUUGAUAGGUCAUAUAUGCACAGUGUCCAAUGGUUCUUUAUGAGAACCGGUAAGAAGACCUACACCAAUAGACUGCCAUUAAACAUACAUUUAAAUAUUGUACCUUCAUGCAAUAAAAAUACAAAUCCAAGCAUUAAACACAGGAAUCCACCUUGUUAACAUUGACAUAUGGAAUAUCCAUCUGAUACACAUGUGGUUCAAAGCGUCCUAUAACUGCCUCCCUCACUAAGUGUUUUGCCUAGGAGUGGAUUACCAUUUCCUGCAUAUCAAAUAGGGGAUAACAUCAGGUUUGUCAUUGUAGGUAAUGCCUGGUUCAAGACAUGAAAUAAAGUUAAGCAAUGAUUUAAUGGAAUAGUCAUCAUUACAGCUAUGUAGGGGGAUAGAAACAGUUUCGUCUUCGGUUUAUGUUCAUACUGCAACAAUCUACAGUAGGCAUCGACGACCUGAUUUUGUAGAUCAUAAAAGUGUAAGCAACUAAUUAUAUUAAAGCCACACUUUCACUUUCAAACUUAAAAUAAUGCAUAAAGAGGGAUAAGAAGUCAUAUGCACGUCGUUCCCUAUCCAACCAUUCCCUUCGAAACAGCCCAAAUUGCCUCUGGUUAGGAUAGUGUCAUGCAUAGACACUAGUUCCUCACUAUUGCAAACACAUACAAUUUAGUUUUUGUGUUAUCACUAUCAUACAAUGAGAUGAGUGUCUCUGAAGUAUGUUACCUAGCAUCCAAAUCCUCUCUAAAUACCAGUGCAGCUGCUUGUUUUAAGUCCAUUCUGAUGGCAGAUUGUUUAGUUUGUGGUUGGGAUAUGUAUGGGGACAACAGGUUUGGAGCCAUUCAACGCACUCGUCGUCUCUAGACGUUCCUAUUUGUGGGGACAACAUUACCUUUUGGUUCUUCUUCACCAUCUGCAAUACGAGAUUUAGAACUAGUCAGCAAAGGUAUACAUUAUGAUUGAGUACUUGAGUUGUUAACCAUAUGGGUGUUUGCAUAAAUUUUAUCACUUACCGCUUACUACAUUAAUGGGUACACUGGGCUGCAACUCAAACUCAGGGGCAACAACGCGAUCUGGUGUGUCUAUCACAUGGUCUGCAGCAUGUGAAGCCAUGUACUCAUCACCAAGAAAUGCAUGGUCAUCGACUGUGGGAGUGUUGGCUGGUGCAUCGCCAGAGUGACCACCAGCAUCUGAAUUUACCCCACUAUGUCUUCGAGCCCCUAACUUAUGCAUAAGGCCACGCAUUAUUCUCAGCUGCUACUGAAUGCCCCAUUGAUAUUGGUCGAUUGCUCGUUCCGCAUCAUGAUAUUGAUGUCAUUUUUCCUAUCACAUGAUAUUGAUGUCAAUCUUUGAGCACAAAAUAUCACAACAACAUAUUUCUUUAUAGUUAAGAAUCAAAAAUAAAUUACAAUGACAAUGAAAUGAACAUUUAUUAAUUUUUUUAAAAAUUAACAGCUUACAUCACUAUUUUCAGCAUCAACAUUUGUGUCAUGGUCCACAUUAGUCUCUACCUCCAUAGUUCUUUCUACAGUUGGAGAUCUCUAGGACGCCUAUAAUUAGCAUUGAAGAUUAGUAAUUAAAUAAUGAGUGUUAUGCUAGUAAUGACAAUAUAUUUAUGCAUGCAUCACUUACAAAAUCAACCUCAGCAUGUCCGAAUGCUCCAAACUCCUUUAUCUUAACGACUAGUCGCCGCUUAAUCAAAUCAUCAGUCCAUGUCAAUGCUAGGGGCACUAUAAUGGGGACUUGAACUGAAGGAAUUUGGAAUUUAAUGACAUAAUGCAGCUGCAUAAUAAAUACAAACAUCAGUAGGCAAAUGUUACUUAGUUGUGCAAUAAAAUUAUAUAAAAAAAUGGAAGACAAAUACUGAAUAAGUUCAUUACCUGUAGAAAUAAAACACAGCCAUGUACCCAAGAGGUGUUAGACUGUUGGUAUCGCCUAAUUCCCUUAACCAGUUGGUCAAGCACAAACUAGGCCCAAUUAACGUCAUUUCAGAAUCCAUCCUCAUGGAUGGUAUGCCACAAGUUACGGCAACCAUUGAGCCUAGACGUGGGGGCCAACAAUGUGGCACAUGCGUAGUAAAUGAAUGCUCUACGAAACUCCUCGCCUACAGGUAAGUUCAGGAGUUUCUCCUUGCAUGCCCGAAUAGUCCUAAAUGGAUGCUCUGAUGAUGUAAAGGUCACCUGCAGAAUCCGCCCUUCUGUUGGGAGGCCGAAAAUGAGGCCAACAUUGAUGGCUGUAACAGGAUAGUGUUUCUAAGCUGAGAACUCUAUCCGUCUAAAUCCAACAUUGAAAUGUUGGAUUAGAAAGAUACAGAUGUUGUGGCGCACCUCUGUGCAAUUUAAGUUUAAGAGACCUCCAAAUUGGAGGUCUCUUAUGGCUUGUAUUUUUUCCUCUGGUAAACGGUUGCAGAGUUUCUUAAAUCGUGCAGUUGAGCAUCGUGUAAACAUUGAUGGGCCCUGCAUGCAAUGUUUGACAACAUGGCCAUGUUAGGAAUAGCAACAUCAUUGCAGUUGGUAAUGCAAAAAAUAAGUGAAAAAGUAAAGAUGUCAUUUCUCAUAGUUACAAAGACUUGUUUGCUUGUAUUUAGAAAUAAUAUACAGCAGGGUAAGACAUGAGAUGGGGUUAGGUGCUAUUGACAGUGAGAUAUCCUAUAAGAGAGAGGAUUGUUAGUUUAUGAAUAAGCUUAUAUAGAAUAGACAAUAACAGUAAAACUGUACAGAAUAGACUAUAAAAGUACAAAAAUAAAUAUGGGAAUAUUACAUGAUAUAUAAAAGAAGGAAAUCAAGUCAAUUUAUGGAAAUAAAUUGACUAAUUCUAUUAGAGAAAGAAACCAUAAACAAAUCAAUGAAUAAUCCUAUUUAAUUCCCAUUUAGAUUGUAAGACAACUUGAUAGAACCAAAAUCAUUGGUAAUGAAUUUGUGAUCUUCAACAACAAUGAACAAAUGGAGUAAACAGAAAAUGCUAUGGAAAAGUAGAUUUCUUUCAUUGCCUUAACAUGGUUACAAUAAAAUGCUUGAGAAGGUGGAAAUAAAAGCUCACUAACUCAAAGGCCUUUUCUUCGUAUUCCCUCGCACACACUAGGUUUUGUGUCAGGAAUAAUCUUUGCAAUAAUUGUAUUCCCCCAAGUGUUUUCCACUAUACCUAACAACAUACUGGUUGCUAAGGGCCUUGCAUUCAUGGAUGUGAGCAAGGAAAAAAACUUAAAGAGAUCUCUUUGUUUUCCCUGUUCUUUUCAUUCUUCUGGCUAUUUAAAAGGGGUCUAACCUGCUCCUUUUGAUACUUCUGACAGACACAAAAUCUUGAGGAACUACUAGAGCAAGCACUUUGCUAUUGCCAUUGAACAUGGACAAGGUUUGGAAUCCAAGCUUCCGUUGAGAGUAUUCCCACAUGGUAAUUACUAUCAUUGAAUAAUUGUACACUAUCUUCUAAUACCAUGAAUCAUGUGUUCGGCCGAAGUUAAUUCAUACCUAAGUUGUUAGCUGAGUGAGGAUCCAUGGGAAAAUAAAUGAAAACUAGGACUCUAAAUCUAAACUUCUGAAAGUUUUGAGGCUUGAAUCUGAUUCACUGGGCAUAAUAAUCUAAAAUUUGCAAAAUAGAGGAAGUGGUCAUUUCAAAUUAGGUACUGAUACAAUAUGAACUGCUACUACAUAAUUUUUUGUAGAAUAGUAAACAAAGAGUAUCUUUGCCCUUGAAAACAAGAAUAAAUAAGGUGAAUCCAUGAGUCUUGGAGAAUUAAAUGAAUGAAGAGGAGUUUGGAAACCAUAAACUCCAACUGGUAGAUGGCCAAUACAACAAGAACAUCAACUAAGGUAAUAAACAUCAAACAUAGUUUCAAGUAGAGGUUAUGACACUGCUUGUUACACUUGAAACUUCAUCAGCAGUUCUCCUUCAUUACCACAACAGUUUAACUAGCAUUAAGUUAUGUUUUAUGCCAAUGCAUCAGUCUUAAAACCAAAACAUAGUUCACAACAUACACUUAUAAUAUCCUGCUUAAUUACAAGUUUUUUGUUUGCCUAAGAAAUCAAAAUUUUAAUAUCAGGCAGGACUCGACUAGAGUUUCAACAGCUUGGUUGCAUACCCAUUUACAGAUGCCAAAUUAUUAGAUAUUUGAGAAUAUUCUGAGGCUUUAAUUUCAAGACUUAAACUUCAAGAAUUACAAAAAUCUUUAGAGAGAGAGGACUUAAUUAUUUGGACAAUAUUUACAACAACAAUAAUAAUCAUCAUCAUCAUGAAGAUUGAUGUUUCAGUUCUAAUGUUUCAGUCAGUUCAUGCACCAAAUCUUCUAUCAAUUUCACAUGGAGCCGACCUAUUCAUCCACAUUCACAUUUGGUUGAGCGAGAUAUUGGUCCAACACAUUAAAAUACUGCCCCAAAAGGAGAAUUUCUGCCUUAUCGCCCUGGAAUCCCAACUAUUUAAUUGAAUUUUUUUUGAGGUACAAGUCAAGAAAACUUCUGCAAGGGAUUACAAUCAUAUGUGCCAGAUUUUCACAGAGAGCACCAUUUCAUAUGUUUUAAAGGCUGGAUAUACAGUUGAGAGAAUUAGAGUGCGUUUGGAAAUGUUUUUUCUCGAAGUGUAAUUAAAUAAAAAGUUUUCCUUUCUCAUAGAUUAAAAACAUAAAAUAUGAAAUUUUUGAUAAAAUGGAAACCACUAUUUGGGGUGGGUAAGAAUAGCUAAGAGAUUGUAUGCAACAAAAAUCAUGAAGUUAGCUCAAAAUGGGAAUGAAAUUUUUAUUCCAUUAUAGAGUAUUAAGUGCAACCAAAUAUUGAAAUGAAUCUUUGUUAAGAUUUUCUAGAUACCAUUCCAUUCUUAGCAAAGGAACAGUCUUAUUAAUUCUAAAGUAAGUGUUAAGUACCUAAAGGAGAACAAAAAUAAUAUAAAAGAAAAAAAUUUUAAGAAAAUAAAUUGUAAACAUUUAUUUAUCUUCUUUUCCUUGAUUUUCUUAGCAAUCAAAUAAGAAAACAAUUUUAUAAAGUUAGAAAUAGAAAAUAUGAAAUUAAUAAAAUUGAAAACAUUAUUUAGAGGUGGAAUGAGAAAAACUUAGAGAUGUUGAUGAAAUAAAAAUAAUGAAUUAAAUUAACAUAAAAUUGGAAUGAAAUGUUCAUUGCAAUUCAACUUAUUAAAGUACAACAAAUAUUAGAAUGAAUAUUCAUUACCAUUCUAUAACUAGGAAACAAACACAAGACGAACUGAAUGCCUCAAGCAACAUCAACUAUCCAUUAGUUUGAUUUCCAGAAACUAGAAAUCCAAGAUUCACCUAGGAAAGUGUAAGAAGUGAUCUGAAGUAAAUAGAAAUCUUUAGUGCCAGUUAGAAAGUGAGGCUACUAGAUUAGCAGUAAUCUCUAUAUCUGAGCAGCUCUUGACAGUGAACCGAAGUUGAGCGUAAAAAAUAACUCUUGGUCCGUAUAGAAAAUCAAAUUUCAUUUUUUCACUCAAAUAAGCUAAACAAAGGCCAAAGAGGAAAAUAAACACAAUCAAAUUUCAUUCAUUUGGAGAUUUAAAAUUUGGGGAAAGAGACUCACUUCCUAGGGUUAUUUAUCAUUAGUCUCUGACAUGCAAUUUUGAUUCGAGUAUGGCAAGGAUUUCGGUGAGCGAGUUGGUUGUUCAUCAGCAAUCUAGUUGCUGACUCAGCUCCUAAGGUUUUAUGCCUUUGGAAGAAGAGUUCAAUGGCCAUCACUAGCAACGUCUCUCAACAUUGAGGGUUGAAAAGAGUGAAUAGAAGAAAAAUGUCAAACAAUUAGUAAGAAAACAAAAUCACAAGUCAUUUGAAGAUUCUCACCAGUGGGUUCUUAAUAGUUUAAAGUAAGGAAGUGGCUCUUAGUGGGUUAUUGGCUAAAACUGGGGCUACCUAGUAAAACCUGUUGAACCGAUUCCAAACCGGUUCAACCGAUUGAGAAAAAUUCUAAAAUUUAACAAAAGAUUCCUCGAAGAAUAAGGAAUCCAACAAAACAAAAAAAACAGCGCUCAAUUUCGAGCUUGGAUGAGGGAGAACCGGUCAAAACAAUGCAAUGUGUUUAUAAAACGGGGCUGCUUAGCAAAACCUGUUUAACCGGUUCCCAAACGGUCCAACCGAUUGAGAAAAAUUCUAAAAAUUUACCAGAAGAUUCCUCGAAGAAUAAAUAAUCCAACAAAAAAACGACACUCAAUUCUGAGCUCGAAUGAGGGAGAAUCGACUAAAACAAUGCAAUGUGUUUAUAAAACGAGGCUGCCUAGCAGAACCUAUUGAACUGGCUCCCAACCGAUUCAACUGAUUGAGAAAAUUUUUGAAACUUUACUAGAAGAUUCCUCGAAGAAUAAGGAAUCCAAAAAAAAAUGAAUCUCAAUUCCGAGCCUGGAUGGGGGAGAACCGGCCGAAACAAUGCAAUGUGUUUAUAAAAUGGGGUUGCCUAGCAGAACCUGCUGAAUCGGUUCCCAACCAGUACAAUCAAUUAAGAAAAAUUAUGAAACUUUACCAAUAGAUUCCUAAAAAGAAUAAGGAAUCCAACAAAAAAAACGACGCUCAAUUCCAAGCCCGGAUGAGGGAGAAUCGGCUGAAACAAUGCAAUGUGUUUAUAAAAUGGGGUUGCCUAGCAGAACCUAUUGAACCGGUUCCUAACCGGUACAACCGAUUGAGAAAAAUUCUGAAACUUUACAAGUAGAUUCUCAACCGACAAAACAGCCUCCAUACCAUACACUAAAGAGUAAGGUGUAGCUCCUAUGGAGGUGCGAAAAGAGGUACAGUAUGCCCACAAUGCAAAAGGAAGUUUCUCUGACUAAUCUCGAGAAGUUUCAGUCAUCAUCCUGAAAAUUCUCUUAAUAUUCUUAUUCGCAGCCUCUACUGCCCUGUUGGUCUGUGGCCUAUAUGCUGAAGAUCUAUGAUGUCGGAUGUCAUACUUUUGCAACAAAGUAUCUACCUCAACUGGGAAGUGCACCCCUCUAUCUGAAAUUAAUUCAUGGGGAACCCCAUAGCGGCAAAUGAUGUGUGACCUGAUGAAACUAGCAACCCUAGCAAAUGUCAAAGAAUAAGGAAUCCAAAAAAAAAAAAAAAAAAACGGCGCUCAAUUCCGAGCUCGGAUGAGGGAGAACCGGCCAAAACAAUGCAAUGUGUUCCUUGUAGAAGGCCAAACCCGAACCACCCAACCUUAUUAAAACUAAGGCCACGGAUCUCAUUAAACAACCAACAAUGCAGCCUCCCUGAACUCAAGAAACCCAACUGGAAAUUCAGCCACACAGACAUCCACAUGCGGCCACCUAAAUCUCCUGAAACCAAACUGAAAUUUCAUUCACUUGAAGCCUUCCACCUACAGCUACUUAAAUCCCAUGGAACAAACUGAAAUUUCAGCCUCCUAUAGCCUAUGAAUCCAGUUGAAAUUCAGCCACCUAUAGCCCCCUCUCCCCAAUACAACUACUGGAAUCACCAAGAAGCAAACCGAAAUUUCAGCCACAUGGGGCCUCUACAUAUAGCCACAAGACCCAGGGUUUAAGUCCAGAUUAUUGAUGGGUAGCCCCAAAUUUAAAAAACAGAGAAGGUCAUGGAGACCCUUUCUCAAUACAAAGCAAAGGAGGUUUCAAGAAAAACCAAGUGGCAGAAAUGCCCAUACCAACAUAGCCACCUGAAUCUAGCAUUUAAGAAGUUCCUCAAUCCAAAGCUACAAGGCCAUAAGAAUCCUUCCCUUAACAAUCAAAAGGUCACAAUGACCUUCAACCAAAACCAAAACUAAUGAAGGCAGUGACCCUAUUACUCACACAUCAAAAGUAGGUCACACACCCCCCAAUUCUUUAUCAGAACCAACCCAAAAUGAGACAUCCACAACUAACAUAAAAAAUGAAACAUGCAAUAGUUACAUAUCAAGAGCAUCCAUAAAGCUUACCAGAUUGUUCUCCCCUCAAGCAGAAAUUUGCUUGGCUUCAAGGCCGUCUUUCCUUCAAGUUCUCACCAAUCAAGAGCUCCUUACUCUCUUCCCUCUUUGCUCACUUCACGUGCACCCAAAACUUUCUUAAAUGCUCAAAACCUUCUCCACACUCUGUUCUUUUCCCUCACCAAACUUGGACAAAGUUUUGUCCCUUAGAAAAAAAUGCAAAGGAAAAGGUCCUUCUCUAUUUCCAUUUUGCCUUUUUAUACCAGAACCCCUGCUCCUCCCACUUCCACCUUCGUUUUUCCCUCUUUUAGCUCUGGAAAGUGCCCCCAUCAACCUCGGAAUCCAUCUCCAUAAACACUCCUCACAGUCACGAGGUGAGCUGUUCUCUCCACAUUUACUCCAUUGCUUCACCACCAAGAAUCCAUAUGGAUUCAUGGUGGGCUAUAAGGAACCUAAACCAAGGCUCAAAAUGGACCCAAAAUAUUUCCCAAGACCGAUUUGGAGCUUAUGGGCCCUAGUCAUGUAGGAUUUGGGCCCCAAAAUCAGUGCUCUAUACAAGUUGGCCCAACGAAUUGGUUGAACCAGUUGAUAAAAAAAUUGAAAUUUUGACAGAAUAUUCCUUGAAGAACAAGGAGUCCAUAAAAAAAAUGGUGUGUGAUUCUGAGUUCGGAUGAGGAAGAUAUGAUCGAAACAAGCUCAAGUGCUCCGUAUUCGAACCUGCUCCUAUGAACUCUGGCUAAACUAAAGAUUUGGGGAGAUCUCACUUCCUUCUUUUAGCAUGAUGUGAAAAACUAAGGAAUUGGUCAUGACAACACUCCAAAAUGAACUACACACUCACACUACAUUGGANNNNNNNNNNNNNNNNNNNNNNNNNNNNNNNNNNNNNNNNNNNNNNNNNNNNNNNNNNNNNNNNNNNNNNNNNNNNNNNNNNNNNNNNNNNNNNNNNNNNUGACAACACUCCAAAAUGAACUACACACUCACACUACAUUGGACCGCAGAUGAACCUACACAAGGCUCGAAAAUCGAUCAAGCCCAAAAGGGGGUCAUGGUGGUGCCAUAAGGAAAAAAUUGGGUGCAUGUGACAUCCCUAAGAUAAAUGCAAGUGUCGAAGGACAAAAUUGAGGGUCUACAGUAUUACAUUUUUCAAAGAGAUUAUGGAUGUCAUGGAAAACUCUUUAAAGAUCUCAAAUUUAUCAAAUAAUCAAUGGCUCGAUGAUAAUACACUGUUGUUGAUUCCAAGAUUUUCAAAUCCGAGUGGGCUGAUGGUGACUCACAAAACUGUUCUUCAAUUCUGUGGUUCAAAUUAGUGGACUUCUUUAAACCACCUUUCAAAUUGGACAGUUGCAUAGAGGACAAAACUGCUUUUGAUGGAUUUAAAGCUCUUCAAAUCCAUGAACUUCAAAGGUUUUUAGAUUCGUCCUCAAAGCCUAUAUAAGGCCCCUAUUUCUCUUUAGAAGGCAUCAACAUUUUAGUAGGAAAAUUGAGAGCAAACAAGUGAGAUAUCCUCUUGAGUGAAUGACCUUGUAAUUGAGAAAACUCAAAACUCUCAAAGUGUUUGUAAGGCAAUGUUUGGGCCUCAAAUGAAAUGGUAGCAAGGGAGAAAAUCAGGAAAGAGAAAAACAACCAAUGUCUAGGGCUAAAACCAAAUGCUUUGGAGGUAGUAAAAUUAGGGUAGGAUACGUGGAAUUCCAACUUAGAUUUUUGUGAUUUUGUUUUUUCAUAAUCAGUAAAGGCCAUUUUCGAAAAUAUUAAAAAUUCAUAUUCUUCUUCUCAAUUUUGACACUUCCUUUAGGUCUUAGGCUUAAAUGACGAGAACUUAUAUGGACCAAAGAUUAAUUUUUGGGCCUAGCUGGAUCCAAAACACAAUUCUCCCUAUAUUAUGUACACCUGAAACAUUUUUCAAAUUAAUUUUAUGAACUAAUUUUGAAAUAUAUCUUCAUAGCAUCUACACAAAGCAUAUAUAUUGUGUAUGUACUAUUAAUAAAAAUUUGUUUACAUGAAAUUAAAAAUAAUCAUGUUUUAAAAUAAAUAAAAAAAUUAUAUAUGAAAACCUAAGAAUAUACUAUUAUUUCAAUAGAGAUAAAAUUGUUAAAAUACUAAUAAAUUAAAUAUCUUAAAUUGAUAAAUUAUAUGAAUAAAUAAGAAAAGAAAAAAAAAAUAUAAAAAAACAACAUGCAAACAUGUGAAACUAAAAAGUUCAAAGGCAUGAAAUUCAAUAUGGCAAAAAUUCAAAAAAAUGGAACCACAUUUGCAUUUUUAACUUCAUACAUUUACAUUUAUUUUAUUUUAUUUUAAGUUUGUCUUAUUUAUAUGUUAUACAACUCUAUUAUUUUUAAAUUAUUAAUUUAUUGAUAAAUAAAAUAGUAAUUAUUAUUAUUAUCAAUUUAUUUUUGUUUAAGUAAUACUAGAUCCUUAAGUUUACAUGUAUAAUAUUUUUAUCAUUAAAGUAUAUAUUUUUAAUUUCAAUAAUAAUUUUUAAAAGCACUGAAACUUCAAUAGUGAAGUCUUAUUUGGCAAUUACAACAUUAUAAAAAUGAAUUCACAUCUGGCAAUUGAGGUUUUAACUUAAAUUUUUUUUAUAAAAAUGAUAACAUGGGUCCUCCAUGUCAACAAAAGGGGCAUUUUAGACAAAAGUUUAGGAAAGUGGUUAAAAUAAAAUUUUCCCCAUAAUAGGGCUAUUUUGGCCCAAAACACUUCAGAAAAAAAAAAAAAACUCCUAAAGUUUUUGUUCCUUUCUCAUUCUCAUUAAUGUCUAAUAUUGGAGCGAAAACAAAUGAUUAUUAAAACCUUAUAGUCCUAGGUACAUUCAAGCACAAGAAUCAAAAUCAUCAAAUCCAUUCCUAUUAAAAAAAAAUUGGGAUGAAAACAUAAUAUUGAUUCUCUUUCCCCAUUUUUAUGUACCAAACAUGGCCUAAACAUGUGAGAUAAAGAAAAUGAUCAAGCUUCUUUAUUAUACAUGCUUUCUUAAAAGAAAAAAAAAAAGUAGGCAUUAAUUUUAUGCAUUGGUAAUGAUCAAAUUGAACCUAAAUAAAUCAAGUUUUAGGCAAACAUCUAAAUAAACUUGACUUUAUUAGCACAAACAUGAAAAUAUUUAAUAUGGGUUUAUAUAUCCAUGUGUAACAUGAUUGAAUUCUAUUCAAAUGUGUAAAAAUAAAUAAUUAAAUAAUUACAUACCUUUUUUUCCGACUUUGCUCAUGCCAUUAAGAUUUUUCACCCACGAAAAACAACCUAUAUUACAAAAAAUGAAACAAGAUGAGCAACAUUUUUAAUGCUAAAGCAAAUGUUAAAAUUAUAAAAUUAUUAUCAUUGGACACAUACUUUUUUAAACAUAUGAGCAAGCUAAUUGAAAAUAAUAAAUAUAAAAAACAAAGAUUUUUUAUAAUGCUUAUAAAUAAGUUAAAACAACAAAUAAAAAAAAUAUUAAUAUACUAAAAAAUCCAAGUUUAUGAAAGGUAUUAAGAAUCCAGUGUAUAAGUUGAACAAUUAAAUAGGAAUUUAAAAUUAAAAUAUUAUACCUUAAAUUGGAAAUAGCUAGAUACUUGGUGUUUAUCAGAAUCUUAUCUCUACCCUAUACAGAUCAUAAACAAAUUAAAGAAAAAAAAUAAAAUUAGAAGGAAAAAUAUACUAUAAGGCAUAUUUAUUUCGAGCCCAUCGAAAUACUGAGAGCAACCACUUUACAAAAUUGUAUUCAUGUCAUGUAACUCACUGUUUUUUCUCAAAAAAAGUUUUUUUUUUUUAUGAAAAAAAAAAAAAACAUACCUAAACUGUUGAUUGUCUUGAAGUAAUUCAAAGAAUAGCCCUCGAUGUAUCAUAAAUUCACAUUAAACCACAAAAUCAAAAGAUUGUAAAGCUAAGAAUAUAUAUACCUCCAGGGGAAGGAGCCAUUGAUGUUGAAAGCUUGUUCUUCAAAAGAGCUUUAAGAUGUGAUUGUAAAGCUAAGAAUAUAAAUUCACACUAAACGACCUUUCUCUGCAUCCAAUGUUUUGAUCCCCUCUCAAACAUUAACGCUAACCACUACCUCGGUAUAUGCUUCGGAUUUUUUCCAAGAAAGAAUGAAAGAGAGAUGCUUCUGAGAGGAGAGAGAGAGGACACAUUUGUAAAGUGGACGUAAUACAACCUCUACCAUUAUGGGAAAUGACACAUUUGUAGUAUCGGGGUUUGUGGUAUUGGAACUUUCAGAUAAGGAAUUUGAAAAUUUUUAAAUAUAUAAUUAAAAAAAAAAUAGUCGAAUAAGAAAGUCCUUUCAAUAUGAUCUUUAUGAAUAAUAAAGAAAUGUUUGCAUGAAGAUCAACUCAAUAUGAUCCGUAUGUUCUAAUUAAUUUUCUUUUUCUUUUUUUUUUUUCAUAUUAAUUUUAUUAUUAAUUCUACCACCAAUCCUGAGAAGAUCAAAAUUAAUUCCUACAAGCCUAAAUCAUUGAAAGACCUUUUCUCGAGAAAAGAGAGUUCAGAGAUAUUUAUGAACCGAGAGUGGAUACAGAAGACCCUUAUUGAAUGUAGGGUUUCUUUGAAAAGAGACGAAGUCGGUCAACAUCUCUGAAAAGUCUGAAUGGAGAGGACUCUGAGUUGAGUUGAUGGGGCAGCGGACCAGUUUAUUGGGACUUUAACAGAGAUAUUUUCUCUCUAUGACGCUGCCCUUUGAGCUGUCUCCACUUGCAACUUUUCUUUUGUACCAGACCAUCCUAACAAACAAAAAUUUAAAUUUAUAAAAUAUAACUAUUUAAAAUUAAUUAAUAAUUUACAUUUUUUAAUUAAAAUUACUACUUUUAAUGUUUAAUAACAGUUUUUUAAUGAUAUAAGUAUUAUUUUUUAUUAUAAUAAAUACUAUUUUUAAUUGAGGAGUAUAUAAAAUUUGAAUUAUUUAAAAAAAUUUUCUAUUUUAUAAAUAUUUUUAUAUAAAUACAUCAAAACUUUUUUUUAUUUUUUCAAAUGAAUAUAUAUACAUAUAUAUAUAUAUUUUUUAUUUUUUCAAAUGAAUAUAUAUACAUAUAUAUAUAUAUAUAUAUAUAUAUAUAUAUAUAUAUAUAUAUAUAUAUAUAUAUAUAAUUGAUUCUUUAAAAUAUUUUAGACAUUUUAAAAUUUUAUCCAAUUCCUUUUUAUAAAAAACCAUUUUUUAACAUUGAGGUCAUUUCCAAAACUACCCUCAAAUGUUAUUUCAUAUGUAAAACCAAUUCAAUCUUAUUUUAUGUAUUAAUUUUAUUUUAUGAGUUCAAAUAAUAAUAGCAUAAUAAUAUAUAUUAAGCUACAAUACUAAAAUAUUUUAAUUAACAUUAAUAUUUUAACAUUUUGGAUUGGAAAUGCUCUAAUGAAAGAUAUUUUGCUGCCCAUUGCAUUAAAACAAGCAUUUGACAAAACAUUUUAUCUUACAUAUUGGCACAACAAAAUUUCAUUAUAAAUCUACAAAAUAAUCCAUCACAAUGAAUAUGCAAACAUUUUCACCAUGAUUUCCAACCAUGUUUCCCUAUGAUCACUACUAUUUACGAGGAAAGAUUUAAAACUUGUUUGUCAAAAUUGAUUUAUUAAUUAUAGUUUUAAUUAAUAAUUAAUCAAUUAUUAAUUUAUUUUUUUUGUUAUAAAAAUUAUACUUCAAGGAUUUUAUUACAUGUUCAUGGUUUUACACUAUUCUAAAUAAAUCAAAAUUUAGGUAAAAUAAAUUCAUUUUUCUUAAGAUUUAAAUUAAAUACAAAUGCAGCUUAAAAUUCCACCCAUUACCUCCCUUAAAAUACUAUAACUAUUCAAGUUAUACACUACAAUCAAACAUAUUACAAAAAAAAAAAAAAAUCAUUAGUCAGAUUAAUUCAAGAGGUAGUGUAAAGCAUAGUAUGUUAAUUUUGACCAAGUGUUGCAUCCAAUUCUUAUACAAAAGUCUAUAUAUUACAAGAAAUUAAAGUGAGAAAAGGAUUAAAAGUUUAAAAACAUGGGAAUGAUAAACCCCAAGUAAAUAUCUAUUUGAAACCUUGUCAAAAUUUGCCUCAAGUUGACUUUUGAAUUAACUUUACUAUUAUAAUCACUACUACAAAAAUAAUAUAUGAUGUUACUAUUUAUGGUGUCGCAUUUAAAAUAAUGACACCAUUGAACUUAAAAUUUAUAAAGGUGACACAUCAUAUAAAAAAUCUUCAAUUAGGAUAGUUAGAUGAUGCUAAUUUCAGAUUUACGGUGUCAUUUUUUGGAAGUGACACCAUAUGAAAUAAAAAGUUUUAAAUUUUAUAACUCAAUGGGCCCUUUUUAAAAAUAGUGAGUAGGAACAAUUUAUGAAAAGUCCAUUGUUUCCAUAUAUACAUUAACUAAUAUAAAAGAUCUUGUUGCUUAACCCUAACCAUCGUUUUCUUCUCUUUCUUCUCACACCCAUGGUCGGCACACCCAUAAUUGAUAUUCUUUGCUUCGUAAAAUCUCGUGUAAGUCAAAUCUCUUAUCUAUCAUCUUCAUUUUUUUUUAUUAAUGCAAAAACUUUGUAGUAUAANNNNNNNNNNNNNNNNNNNNNNNNNNNNNNNNNNNNNNNNNNNNNNNNNNNNNNNNNNNNNNNNNNNNNNNNNNNNNNNNNNNNNNNNNNNNNNNNNNNNNNNNNNNNNNNNNNNNNNNNNNNNNNNNNNNNNNNNNNNNNNNNNNNNNNNNNNNNNNNNNNNNNNNNNNNNNNNNNNNNNNNNNNNNNNNNNNNNNNNNNNNNNNNNNNNNNNNNNNNNNNNNNNNNNNNNNNNNNNNNNNNNNNNNNNNNNNNNNNNNNNNNNNNNNNNNNNNNNNNNNNNNNNNNNNNNNNNNNNNNNNNNNNNNNNNNNNNNNNNNNNNNNNNNNNNNNNNNNNNNNNNNNNNNNNNNNNNNNNNNNNNNNNNNNNNNNNNNNNNNNNNNNNNNNNNNNNNNNNNNNNNNNNNNNNNNNNNNNNNNNNNNNNNNNNNNNNNNNNNNNNNNNNNNNNNNNNNNNNNNNNNNNNNNNNNNNNNNNNNNNNNNNNNNNNNNNNNNNNNNNNNNNNNNNNNNNNNNNNNNNNNNNNNNNNNNNNNNNNNNNNNNNNNNNNNNNNNNNNNNNNNNNNNNNNNNNNNNNNNNNNNNNNNNNNNNNNNNNNNNNNNNNNNNNNNNNNNNNNNNNNNNNNNNNNNNNNNNNNNNNNNNNNNNNNNNNNNNNNNNNNNNNNNNNNNNNNNNNNNNNNNNNNNNNNNNNNNNNNNNNNNNNNNNNNNNNNNNNNNNNNNNNNNNNNNNNNNNNNNNNNNNNNNNNNNNNNNNNNNNNNNNNNNNNNNNNNNNNNNNNNNNNNNNNNNNNNNNNNNNNNNNNNNNNNNNNNNNNNNNNNNNNNNNNNNNNNNNNNNNNNNNNNNNNNNNNNNNNNNNNNNNNNNNNNNNNNNNNNNNNNNNNNNNNNNNNNNNNNNNNNNNNNNNNNNNNNNNNNNNNNNNNNNNNNNNNNNNNNNNNNNNNNNNNNNNNNNNNNNNNNNNNNNNNNNNNNNNNNNNNNNNNNNNNNNNNNNNNNNNNNNNNNNNNNNNNNNNNNNNNNNNNNNNNNNNNNNNNNNNNNNNNNNNNNNNNNNNNNNNNNNNNNNNNNNNNNNNNNNNNNNNNNNNNNNNNNNNNNNNNNNNNNNNNNNNNNNNNNNNNNNNNNNNNNNNNNNNNNNNNNNNNNNNNNNNNNNNNNNNNNNNNNNNNNNNNNNNNNNNNNNNNNNNNNNNNNNNNNNNNNNNNNNNNNNNNNNNNNNNNNNNNNNNNNNNNNNNNNNNNNNNNNNNNNNNNNNNNNNNNNNNNNNNNNNNNNNNNNNNNNNNNNNNNNNNNNNNNNNNNNNNNNNNNNNNNNNNNNNNNNNNNNNNNNNNNNNNNNNNNNNNNNNNNNNNNNNNNNNNNNNNNNNNNNNNNNNNNNNNNNNNNNNNNNNNNNNNNNNNNNNNNNNNNNNNNNNNNNNNNNNNNNNNNNNNNNNNNNNNNNNNNNNNNNNNNNNNNNNNNNNNNNNNNNNNNNNNNNNNNNNNNNNNNNNNNNNNNNNNNNNNNNNNNNNNNNNNNNNNNNNNNNNNNNNNNNNNNNNNNNNNNNNNNNNNNNNNNNNNNNNNNNNNNNNNNNNNNNNNNNNNNNNNNNNNNNNNNNNNNNNNNNNNNNNNNNNNNNNNNNNNNNNNNNNNNNNNNNNNNNNNNNNNNNNNNNNNNNNNNNNNNNNNNNNNNNNNNNNNNNNNNNNNNNNNNNNNNNNNNNNNNNNNNNNNNNNNNNNNNNNNNNNNNNNNNNNNNNNNNNNNNNNNNNNNNNNNNNNNNNNNNNNNNNNNNNNNNNNNNNNNNNNNNNNNNNNNNNNNNNNNNNNNNNNNNNNNNNNNNNNNNNNNNNNNNNNNNNNNNNNNNNNNNNNNNNNNNNNNNNNNNNNNNNNNNNNNNNNNNNNNNNNNNNNNNNNNNNNNNNNNNNNNNNNNNNNNNNNNNNNNNNNNNNNNNNNNNNNNNNNNNNNNNNNNNNNNNNNNNNNNNNNNNNNNNNNNNNNNNNNNNNNNNNNNNNNNNNNNNNNNNNNNNNNNNNNNNNNNNNNNNNNNNNNNNNNNNNNNNNNNNNNNNNNNNNNNNNNNNNNNNNNNNNNNNNNNNNNNNNNNNNNNNNNNNNNNNNNNNNNNNNNNNNNNNNNNNNNNNNNNNNNNNNNNNNNNNNNNNNNNNNNNNNNNNNNNNNNNNNNNNNNNNNNNNNNNNNNNNNNNNNNNNNNNNNNNNNNNNNNNNNNNNNNNNNNNNNNNNNNNNNNNNNNNNNNNNNNNNNNNNNNNNNNNNNNNNNNNNNNNNNNNNNNNNNNNNNNNNNNNNNNNNNNNNNNNNNNNNNNNNNNNNNNNNNNNNNNNNNNNNNNNNNNNNNNNNNNNNNNNNNNNNNNNNNNNNNNNNNNNNNNNNNNNNNNNNNNNNNNNNNNNNNNNNNNNNNNNNNNNNNNNNNNNNNNNNNNNNNNNNNNNNNNNNNNNNNNNNNNNNNNNNNNNNNNNNNNNNNNNNNNNNNNNNNNNNNNNNNNNNNNNNNNNNNNNNNNNNNNNNNNNNNNNNNNNNNNNNNNNNNNNNNNNNNNNNNNNNNNNNNNNNNNNNNNNNNNNNNNNNNNNNNNNNNNNNNNNNNNNNNNNNNNNNNNNNNNNNNNNNNNNNNNNNNNNNNNNNNNNNNNNNNNNNNNNNNNNNNNNNNNNNNNNNNNNNNNNNNNNNNNNNNNNNNNNNNNNNNNNNNNNNNNNNNNNNNNNNNNNNNNNNNNNNNNNNNNNNNNNNNNNNNNNNNNNNNNNNNNNNNNNNNNNNNNNNNNNNNNNNNNNNNNNNNNNNNNNNNNNNNNNNNNNNNNNNNNNNNNNNNNNNNNNNNNNNNNNNNNNNNNNNNNNNNNNNNNNNNNNNNNNNNNNNNNNNNNNNNNNNNNNNNNNNNNNNNNNNNNNNNNNNNNNNNNNNNNNNNNNNNNNNNNNNNNNNNNNNNNNNNNNNNNNNNNNNNNNNNNNNNNNNNNNNNNNNNNNNNNNNNNNNNNNNNNNNNNNNNNNNNNNNNNNNNNNNNNNNNNNNNNNNNNNNNNNNNNNNNNNNNNNNNNNNNNNNNNNNNNNNNNNNNNNNNNNNNNNNNNNNNNNNNNNNNNNNNNNNNNNNNNNNNNNNNNNNNNNNNNNNNNNNNNNNNNNNNNNNNNNNNNNNNNNNNNNNNNNNNNNNNNNNNNNNNNNNNNNNNNNNNNNNNNNNNNNNNNNNNNNNNNNNNNNNNNNNNNNNNNNNNNNNNNNNNNNNNNNNNNNNNNNNNNNNNNNNNNNNNNNNNNNNNNNNNNNNNNNNNNNNNNNNNNNNNNNNNNNNNNNNNNNNNNNNNNNNNNNNNNNNNNNNNNNNNNNNNNNNNNNNNNNNNNNNNNNNNNNNNNNNNNNNNNNNNNNNNNNNNNNNNNNNNNNNNNNNNNNNNNNNNNNNNNNNNNNNNNNNNNNNNNNNNNNNNNNNNNNNNNNNNNNNNNNNNNNNNNNNNNNNNNNNNNNNNNNNNNNNNNNNNNNNNNNNNNNNNNNNNNNNNNNNNNNNNNNNNNNNNNNNNNNNNNNNNNNNNNNNNNNNNNNNNNNNNNNNNNNNNNNNNNNNNNNNNNNNNNNNNNNNNNNNNNNNNNNNNNNNNNNNNNNNNNNNNNNNNNNNNNNNNNNNNNNNNNNNNNNNNNNNNNNNNNNNNNNNNNNNNNNNNNNNNNNNNNNNNNNNNNNNNNNNNNNNNNNNNNNNNNNNNNNNNNNNNNNNNNNNNNNNNNNNNNNNNNNNNNNNNNNNNNNNNNNNNNNNNNNNNNNNNNNNNNNNNNNNNNNNNNNNNNNNNNNNNNNNNNNNNNNNNNNNNNNNNNNNNNNNNNNNNNNNNNNNNNNNNNNNNNNNNNNNNNNNNNNNNNNNNNNNNNNNNNNNNNNNNNNNNNNNNNNNNNNNNNNNNNNNNNNNNNNNNNNNNNNNNNNNNNNNNNNNNNNNNNNNNNNNNNNNNNNNNNNNNNNNNNNNNNNNNNNNNNNNNNNNNNNNNNNNNNNNNNNNNNNNNNNNNNNNNNUUGAUAUACAAAUAUUAUUGGAUGAUGUAAUAUGUUACAAAUUAAUUCAUAAGCAUUAUGAAAAUAUAAGUUAAAUGUAAUAUGAUUAUUAUAUUUAUGGACAAUUUACACAGGUUAGUCUUAUUUAUUAAUAAGCAUUACAAAAAUCUACAAACUAAUCAACAAAAAACAACCAUAUCUUCCAUAAUCAUUUACAAUGAUGUGACACCAUAAAUUAAAGGUGAUACAUUUAACGUGACACCAUAACUCAAAGAUGAUGCAUUUAAUAUGACACCUUAUAUAUUUCAUACAACUCUAUAUCAAAUUAAGCAUCACUAAAAAUAUAUGGUGUCUCUUCUAAAUGUGUCACCAUUUAUUUGCUUUGGUGUUGCUUCCAAAUACAUCACCAAUUGAUACCCUCUAUGGUGUCAGUGGAUAAGGUGACGCUAUGUUGUAGUGACACCCUAUGUUUAUAGUGACUUAUUAUAAAUGUCACCAUAUAUCUUUUUCCUUGUAGUGAAUGGAAGUAUAAAUUUUAAAAGGAUUCUCUGUGAUUAUAGGAUUUAAUUCUAAUACUCUUAUACGUAGCCAAGGGUCAUUGGACUCAUGGCAGCACACAAACAUAUCCCCUUGUAUCUAUGGAAAUUGACAUGCAAAAUACAAAUAUUUCCUCUUACAUCCCUAUUGUGUUAUAGCAUGAGUAUGAAUGUGUAUUGUCAUCUUAAGCAAACUAAUGUUGUUGCCAAUUUUUCUUGGACGCUUUUUUUAAAAAUAAAAAUAAAAUAAUGUAAGGCUAUAUAGCAGAUUCAAUUGAUAUUUUUUUCAUCUUGUCCUACAUAUGAAAAUUACAAGUAGUUCAAGAAUCCUUGUUGAAUGAAAUUGACUGAAAACAAAUCUUAUUUAUGUAAAUUCUCAAAUACUUACAACAAGAAGCCCAAACCCCCACCCCAUCUUCAUGAACUUCAUAACAAAAUACUAUAAUCCUCCCUAUGAAAUAGAACUAAUUAAUUUAAUAUCAAUAAAUCCAAAUUGCUUUCAACAUCAGGCACAAGGAGGGAUUUGAAAGUUUGUGGUUUUAUACAAUAGAACCAUCUAGAGGGAGGUUGAAUAGAUAAUCUUUUAUUAUUAGCUCAAAAACUUCAAUUUUUAUUUUAUUGUAUUGAGUUAUAUAAUUGUUAAUGUUUAAACAUCUUAUAUCGUAAAACUACUUGGAGGUGAUUUAGUGUCUUUAUGUAUUGGCAAUUCUAGGUUGAAAUUUUCAUUGUAUUCGCCUAACUCAGUUACUUCAAAUCCUUCUUCAAACUCUUGUCAUUCCUAAAUUGCUCAUAAUUGAAGAUUGUUAAAGGAGAUAGUUGGUGUUCUUGAGGCAAUUGAUGAUAUUAAACAUUGAUCAACCGAGUUUUAAACUUUUAUUCUUUUGCUGAAAAUUGGAGUUGAAGUUUAAGGAUAUCAAAUUUUGUAUUUAAAUUAUUUGGAUCAAUUACUAAUUGAUCAUGCUAAAAGGUAACAAUUUAUGUUGUAACAUGAAUUUUACAAUCUCAUCUUAUCUAUUAGAAUUUGAUCAAAUCUAUAAAAUCUUUAUUUUUUCCAAACAAAUCUGAGUUAUUAGAUGGAGAUUAAAACCUUAGUAUUUAAGCCCCUUUUUUUUAGAAAAGGCUUUAACAAUUGUAAGAGCUAGGUGGCUUUCUUGAGCUUCAAAUUCUUUAUCUAUUUUGGGAUGUUUGGUUUGAUUUUUUUUUUUAUUUUUUUUUUAUGGGUUUUAAGUUAAAAAUCUUUCAAAAUGAGUUGAUUCAAUAUAGGUUUCAUUCACACUCUUGCAUUUGUCAUCUUUAGGAUAAAAUCUAAAUUUCUUCUUAUGUAGGUUCAAGAAAAGGUCGAAAGUUUGGUGUGAACUUUAAGUAUGCUUUAAAAGAAGAAAGUGGGUAACUUAAGUUUGAAGGUACUAGGCAAACAAUUCCAAAGAGGAUUGAAGGUUUGAGUUAAGUAAAUCCUUGUAUUCAGUUUUUUUUUUCAUAGUGUUUGUUUUUUUUUAUCAUCUAUAGGCCUGUGAUAGUUUACCUAUUCAAAGGUUUUGUAUAUUAAAUCUUGUUGUUAUUAUCUCUUUAUUUCUAUCUUAUAUUUUCAUUAGUCUAUGUUGUGUCUAUGAAAGUUCCAUUGAUUUGUUAUAUAUGUUGGUUGAUUGAGAAAAUGAACUAAAAAAUGAUCAUUUAACCUUUGGCAUAGUAUGAAAUAAUUUAUGAUUUAGUAUUAAUGAGAAUUAAAACUUUGUAAAUUAUCAAAACUAUGUAGAUUUGAGCUCAGAUGUUGAAGCAUCUCUUAAAGGCAGUUGAGGUGCUCUCAACACUUGACUAUCACUUGAGCAUCUUUUUAAGACUCUAGGGUAUGCUUGAAGCUCAACUUCAAAAUUUUAUUUUUUGAUUAAAAUAAACACCUACUUUUUCAAUUUUCAUAUUGUCUACUUCAUGUAUUCUUAAAUCAUCAUUAUCCUUUUUGUAACUCCCAAUAUUUAUUAGCAUCUUUCUGAGUUGAUUCUACAACAAUCUUGCAUCUUCAAAAGAAGUGGAAGUCAAUGGAACCAAAUUGUCAACCUAAUCUAAAUAGAUUAAUGUACCAUCACUUUAAUUAGGAUAUAAUUAAUCAAUUAAAAAAAUAGCAUUUAAUCAUAUAAAGAAAUAUAUGAUUUAUGUGAAAAAACCACCAAUAAAGCAUCCUAGAGACCUUACAUAUAUAAAAGUCAUAGGGUUCAUAGAUUGUCAAGUUAAAUUCACUAAAUAUGAAGAAUAAGUACAUAGAUUUAGCUAGUAAUUAUUACUCUCCCUCAAACUUAUAUUGGUAGUCACCAAUUCUCAAUUCCAUAACAUAGUUACUUCCAUGCUGCUUAGUGGAUUGCUCAUGACCUUAAGGGAAUGUGAUAGACAAUGUGAACUAAAAACAAGGCAAGCUCAUUAAGAUGUUCCUUUUUAAUGCAUAAGGUGUGCAAUAAAAUGAGAUCGAGAAUCCUAUGCUUUGAGAGAAGGAUACUACAGUAAAAAAUGGUACCCAAAUACUAUUGAAUGACAACAUAGCUCUUGUUGCUCCUUUAUUUUUAUUUAUUUUAUUUUUUUAUUUUUGUAAUUAUCUCUUUUUUUGUUUUGAUAUCAACAUUAGAAAUAUAGAAGUCCAGAAAUUUUUUUUAGUGCUUGCAUAUUGAAGGUUCAUGCUAUAAGAGUUGGAAAAACUUGAAUAGAAACUCCCUUGAAUGAUGUAUCAAAGCUCAAUGUAUCAAUGUUAACAUAAACAUUUGAGUAGAGUAGGAUAACAUUUCUAUGUCAUAUGAAGAAAUAUACUAAAAGGGAACCAUGAAUACGAUUGGAGAAAUAUAUAUUAUAAUUUAGAGGAUUAUUAUGGUCUAUUGGUCAUAUUCAAAUGGAAGUAAUAUGGUAAUCAAUAUUUCCAUGUCAUUUGAAGAAACAUAAUAAGAGGGAACCAUGCAUGGAUAUGAUUUGAGAAAUAUAUAUUAUAAUUUAGAGGAUUACUACCUUAUAUUGGUUAUAUUCAAAUGAAAGUAAUAUGGUAAUCAAUAUGUAAUCGGUAAGAAAAUAGGUUAUGAACAAGUCAUAUUAUAACUACCUCAAAAAUCAAUAAUACAAGGAUGAAAGAGGUAUACUGAGGAAGGGUCACACCUAAAGGAUCACUUUAUUAGCACAAGUAGGAAAAUGUUAACAUAGGGUUAUGCAUUUAAGUGUAACAUGAUUGAAUUUUAUUACAAUGUCUAAAAUUUAAAUAAUUGCAUACCUCUUUUCUGAUUUUGCUCAUGCCAUUAAGAUUUUUUAUCCACAAGAAACAACCUAUAUUACAAAAAAUGGAAAAAUUAUUUUAGAAUAGUAAGAAAUUUAGGGUUCUUAUAAAUAAAAAAGAAUAUAAUUUUUUAAUACUUAAAAAAAAAAUUCCAAAGGUAAGAAUCUAAAAGCCUAUUUGAUUGUGUGAUUUAAAAACAAUUUUCUGUUUUUAAAAAUAGAAAAUUGUUUUUAAAAAUUUCUAAUUAACAUUGUUGGGUUGUCAUUCUCUAAAAACAAUUUUUAAAAACAAAGUGAAAUAGAUAAUAAUUUUUAGAGAAUAAAUAUGAAUUGUUUUCACUAGUUUUUACAAAUAAAAGAAAAAUGUGGAUUCAUUUGGGUUAUGUUUUUUUAAACUUGUUUUUUAUUCUUCAACUUAAAAAUAAUUUUUAAAAACAAAUUUAAGAAAAUAUGGCCAAAAAAACCCUAAAUGUUUACAGUAAUUUUCUAAUUUUUCAUCUCAUAAGCAAUCAAACUCUAACAUCUCACUAUUAACGUAUUAGAAAUGCAUUAUCAACUUUUUAAGUGAUACAACAUUUUGCAUAUUAAAGGGAAUGUAUAAUUAUAAAAUUAUUUUCAUAGGACAAAUACCUUUUUAAACAUAUGAGCAACCUAAUUCUGAAAAAGAGAAAAAAAGAAUGAUAAAGAGCACAAUAUUUUUUUUUUGUAUAGUGCUUAAAAAUUAGUUAAAACAACAAAUAAAAAAUAUUAAUUUACUGAAAGAUCUAAGUUUUUGAAACAUAUUAAGAAUCCAUUGUGUAAGUUGAACAAUUAAACAAGAAUUCAAAAUUAUCCUAUUGUAUUUUAAACUGGAAGUAGCUAGAUACUCACGAGGUUUAUCAAAAUCUUGUCUCUAUUCUCCAUAGAUCAUAAAUAAGUUAAAGAAAAAAUAAAACCAAGAAGAAAAAAAUACUAUAAGAUAUAUUUAUUCCAAGCUCGUCGAAAUACUGAGAGCACCCAUUUACAAAAUUGUAUUCCCGUCAUGUAACAAUUGAAUCCAACUCAUGUGACUCAUUGUUUUUUUUUUCUCAAAAACAAGUUUUUUUAAUUGCAAAAGAAAAAAGACUUAUCUGUUGAUGGUCUUGAAGUAAUUCAAAGGAUAGCCCUCAGAGGUAGGUACCAAAAACCACAAUAUCAAAAGAUGGUAAAACUAAUAAUAUAUGAAGAGUCGGUACAUUAAGUGAGAUUUUUUUAUAAGAGUACUGUAGUUUUAGAAAAUAAUUCUCAAACUACCGUAGUAGGAAAAAUAAUUCCAAAUCCACCGUAAUUUUUGUCAGGUAUGAAAGAUGAAUUUUUUUUUUAAAUCGUCUCUUCAAAAUACUAUUUAUAACAUUUUAAAAAAAAAUUUUAAAUCAUCUUUCUAAAAUAUGAGAAAUUGUCUCUUGAAAAUACAACUUUGGAAAAAAAAAAGAAGAUGAUUUUCAGAAGAAAGAAAAACUAAGAAGUAAUAAAUCAUCUCUUGAAAAGACGAUUUUUCACCAACAAUUUUCACAAAAAAAAAUUCAUAAAAAAAAGAAAAAGAGAAAACUUCAAAAAUCCAUUUUUCCAUUCCCUACUAUACUUAUACAAUAAUACAAUUAUUAUAAAUAUAUAUUAUAAAAUUAAUUAAUUUUAUUUACUAAAUUUAAUAUUUUUUCUAUUAUUUUUUUCUAAAAAAAAAAUUAUUAUUAAUUUAUUAAAAAAAUAAAAAAUUGAGAAAUUGUCUCUUGAAGAGACGAUUUUCACCAAAAAAUAAAAAAAAAGAAUAAAAAUAAAAAUUCAAAAAUCAAUUUUUCCAUUCUCUGUCAUACUUAUACAAUAAUAAAAUUAUUAUAAAUAUAUAUUAUAAAAUUAAUUAAUUUAUUUACUAAAUUUAAUAUAAGAUAAAUAAUAUUUAUCUAUUAUUCUUUUUUCUUUCAUUUUGGAAAAAAAAUAUUAUCAAUUUAUGUGAAAAAUGAGUUUAAAAAAUAAAUUUAUUAUUAAUUUAUUAAAUAAUUAUUUACAAAAUAAUUAAUUUUGUUUUUUUAUUUUAAAAUUAAUUUUAUUAUAUAAAUUUUAAAUUUUAAAAUAUUAAUCUUUAAGUUAAAAUUUUACUAUAAAAAAUGAAUAAUUUCACAUAUUUUUAGGCGAAUUUUACUUAUCAUAAGGCCUCCACUACACACAUCAUUUCCCCUAAUCCAAUAAUGCACUACACCCAUAGACCAUAGGAGAAUCUUACCUAGUACACUCUAUCACUUCAUACACUAUUACACUACAAUUCCAUUACAACACUCAACCAAUUUGACAAGAGUUUGAAGUAUUGUCAUUUCUUUUUAAAUGUUUAAAUACUCCACCAAUUUGAUCGUUUCAAGUAUUGUCAUUUCUUUUAAAACAUUCAAACGUGUGUAUAUAUAUAUAUAUACACACACCCCAUAUCCUACACACUAUACCCAUUCUACCUCUUCCCAACUUCACUUACAAUAUAAAUCAAUUUCAAACUUCUUCAUCCUCAUUUUCUCUUUCUUCCCCAUUUGAAACCAAGUUUUUCACUUUCCAUCGCUUUUAUCCAAAUCUCCCAUUUCUCUUUGUGGAACUUCUGGGUAUAUCUCCUAUUUUUUCUUCAAACACUCACACUGUUUAUCUUGAAAGGUAAUAUUUUUGCUUUAUUUUUAUUUCAAAUUAUUUUGUAAUAUAUGGUUUUUAUUAUUAUAUAAGUUUUAAAAUUUAUUUGGAUUAUGCAAUAUUUGUUUGAAUAAUAUUUAUUGGAAAUUAUUAUUUUAAAUAGAUUAAAUCAUUAAAAAAUAAAUAAAAGUUAUAUUAUUUUAUUUUUAGAUAAUAUUUUUGCCCUUGUUUCAUAUUUAUUUUGUAAUGCAUGAUGGAUAUUUAUUGUUAUACAUAUAUUAAUUUAUUGGAUUUAUGUUAAUUUUUUUAGAAUAUUAUUUGUUGUAAAUUAUCAUUAUAUAAUUCAAAAAAUAAAAGUGGUAUUAGUUUAUUUAAUUAAUAUGGAAUAAUAGGAUUAUUGAUUAUGUUUAUCAAUCAAAUAAUAUGUUUUAUAAAAUAAUAAAAUUAAAAAUUAAAAAGAAAAUAAAAUAUUAGUAAAAUGAGAAUGGAAAAUAAUAAUAAUAAAAUAAUUAUAUAUCUAUGUAUUUGCAUAAAAUAUUAUUUUAAAAAUAUUAAAGUCUAAAAAAUAGAAAUACAACAUUAUCUGACAUUAUGAAUUUAUUCUAUAUAUUUUUUUAAAAUUAAUGUUAGCCUUAAAUCAUUGAAAAAAUUGUUGUAAAAAUAAAAAUAUAAAUAAAAGUAGAAGUAAAACUAAAAUGUUAUUUGAUAUAUUUAAAUGAAUAUUUAAAUGUAUAGAAUAUAAAAUAAAAAAGUAAUGGUGUAUAAUAUAAAAUAGUAACCGUGCGUAUUAAAUGUAUAUAAUAUGUAAAUUUAUAUUUAAAAUGUUAAAUAAUAGCCAUAUUGUGGAUCCCGCAUUUCGGCUCAUGCGAUUUCCACUCGAUGACAAGUUCGAUUUUUAUUCGAAAAUGAUUUUAUUUAUUAAAAAAAAAUAUGACUUGAAGUCGCUACUUAUUUUUGUUUUAUUUUUAAAAGGGUAAACAAAAUAAGAAAGAAAACCCUAAGCGUGACUCCUUAUUUUGGAAAAUGUGGUCUGUGAAAAACCGGAUCAGGCUCGGGGGUCAGGUUACUUAUUGGGAAGGUACGGUAAAGACCGUAGCACCCCUCUAAGUCCCUAAAGUCGGGUCUCUACUAAUAAAAUGAAGCUGACGUGGCAAUCAAUAGGAAAAUCAAUGGAUACUCAAAUUAAUCAUGCACAUAUGGGAAUCAAAAGCAUGCAUAGAGAAUGAACAGAACGGGAGUGGAUGCGUACUUGGAACAUGAACGAGCGAUACGUUAUCAUAAAAAUAGAGUCGGUGUACAAUAAAGAAUACAAAACAUGUCACAUGCAUUACCAAACAAUGAUUAAGCUGUUCGAGGGAGGAUUGAAAUUUAUUCGAGGAUUGGAGUCUUAGAGAUUAUUUAAAAAUCGAAUUUUUAGGAAUUAAAUAUAAGAAUGAGAAUUUUAGAAAUUAAAUUAGAAAUAAAUUGGGACUUCGAGAUUUAUUCGAGAAUUGGAGAUUUGCAAAAUAAAUUUAAGGACUGGAAUUUCUAAAAUUAAAUUUGAAAGAAAUUGGAACUUUGGAAAUUAUUUGGGAGUUUGGGAUUUUUAAGAAUUAUUUGAGAAUGAAUGAAAAUUCGAUUUGAAAGAAAUUAGAGUUUCAAAAUUUACUUGAAAGUGAAAUUUUAGAAAUUAAAUUCGGAAUUAUGGAAUUUUUGGAAAAUUAAGUCUUAAAAAUUUGAAUCUUGGAAAGUUAAAUUUAAAAUUAGAAUUUGAAAAUUAUUCCGAGAAUUGAAUUUUGAAGAAUUAAAUCUAAAAAUUGGAGCUUUGGAAAAUUAAAUUAAGAAUUUGAGUUUUGAAAAUCAACUUUAGAAAUUGAGGAUUCGAAAAAACAUUCAAAAGUGGAGACCUUGAAAAUUAGAUUUAAGAAAAGAAUUUUGAGAAAUUAAACUUUGGGAAUAAAGAUUUUGAAAGUUAAAUUCGAAAAUUAAAAAAAAAAAAUGGAAAGUUAAACCUUGAUAUCAAAGAGGAAGAAUUUGAAUAAAUGAAUAAAUAAACAAAUAUAUAUAUAUAUAUAUAUAUAUAUAUAUAAAAGAAUAAAAUGGAGGUGGUCGUUGGGGGUGCGGGCCAAGGGUGGCCCCGUGAAGUGACAUGAUCACCUCAUGAUUACCAUCUCCCUAAACUUUAAGCUCCGCCAUACCAAAUAACCGCAAUCAGUCCAACGGUCUCUGAUGAUCGAGAGUUGUUUCAUCAAGAGAGGGUAUUUCUCCAUUGAUUUUAGGAACAUGAGGAAUAGAGACCAUCUGAUUUAAUAUUUUGCCUACUUCACCAUCGAGUGCAUUCUCAUCUGUCAGAUCUAGAGAAUAUGACCAACCCUCCCCAUUGUGUGACUUUUCGUCAGGACUAGAACAUGAACUAGAAAGUCCCAUACCAUCUAUAUCUUUCUGGCCGCUCUCAUGCCUAAAUCCAUAAUUUUCCAUAGAUUGAUCGGGCCAUUCUUUUGGAAGAAUAGAUACUUGCAAAUCCUCUACCACUUCAUGUGAAAAUCUAGCUGUUUCGUCAAUAGCAAGUUGUGAUAGUUCUUCUUAAAGAGCAUGUUCGAUAAUCUCACCAUUCUCCGCAUUGCCACAUUCAUUAUCAUAACGAUCUUCCUUUAAAUGUUAUCCAUCAUAAUAACUUACAUCAUUUUGCACAAUGGUGCCACCAUACCCGCACUUAGAAAACGGAUCAUCAUCAGAAGCCGGAGACCCCACCGAACAACAAUAGGAUCUUGCCCACAUGCGAUCAUUUGCAAUGAUAUCAAUGUCGGCUGCAUUGAUCUUGACAGCAGCUAAUUCUUUCUCCUUCAUUCUCAUGGCAUUCUCGUUAGCAUCGGUCGACAUAAUGACAAUAAGCAGUUUUUGAGGUUCUUCUUGAAUUUUAUCAAGGAGAUAUCGUCCAUCCAUGCAGCUGCCCCAUUAUUUUACUUUGACCGGGACCUGAAAAACUUGCCUCACUAUUCAUUCCCGCAUNNNNNNNNNNNNNNNNNNNNNNNNNNNNNNNNNNNNNNNNNNNNNNNNNNNNNNNNNNNNNNNNNNNNNNNNNNNNNNNNNNNNNNNNNNNNNNNNNNNNCAAGCAUGACAAUAUUAAGAUCCAACUCUAGGUAUUGAUUCAAAAGUAGUGGCUUAGGAGGCAUCGAUAUUAUUUUGAGUGUAUGGAACGUUCUCAAAAGUGAACUAUGCCCACAGAUCGGAGUAACAAAACCUGUAUUAGGCAAUGCUGUCAGCUUGCAGGGAGUCUUUCAUGACUGCUUAAACUCGAAUUCGGGCAUCUUAAAGUACCACAACAUGGCCAUAGUUGAAACUCCCAAACCCGAAGAGAGUUAGUUGAGGUUCCAGAUAAAGAAAAUUGGUGCGCUUGAGCUCAUCAGGUGCAGAAGGUAUGACCUUAACCGAUUCGGUGGGUUUGGGGUUGUAAGGUUUAGUGGUUGGAAUGUUUUGGUAAGAAGAAUAGGAUGAGAGACUAGUUGAGCUAAGGGAUCAAAGUUGAGUUGUAUCUGAUGGGUGAUCCAGAUGACGGUUUUCUUCUUGUUAAGUGCAACAGAUGAAAAGUUGGAUGGGGUAUGAGGAGUAUUUGGCUUUUGGUUUAUGCUCGGUAUAGAACAAAUGUCAUGGGAAUGCGUUGAAAGGAUGCUAGGGAAUCGUACGUACGUGUACACAGCAUCUGCGUGGGAGGCUAGAGAAAUAAUGGGUGGGAAAAGAAAACGGGUCAAACGUAAGGGGUGAUUUGAAGAUAGUGAGAGAAUGAAAUAAGUGUGUAUGCUUGUGGUGGUUAUCGAAAAUGUGAGGGGUGGGGAGUGUGAUAGCUUCAAUGGGUAUGAGAAUAGGGAUAAGCCGACAGGGAGCACGAUAGAGGGUGGAUUUUGCAAAAGGUCUUGUGGGCCAUGCAAAGGUGGAAGAGAUGGGGUACAUGGUAGGUAUUGAAAAAUGGUGUGUGGUGUAGAGAGAUGAAACGGGAGGUGAGCAGUGAGUGGGAUGUAGGGGUAAAAGGGUGGCCAUGCACACAUGUGGAGUAAACCCAUCAAUAUUGCACUUCCCAAUUCAUCCCGUGGCCGAUGAAUACAACAUCCCGGUGCUACUUCUCAUACCCAUUUUGCAUUUUCUGAAUGUCAACACCUGAAUAUAGCUUUGAAUGCUGAAAAGGUGGCGACAAACACCCGAUCAUGAUAGGAUGAUGGCUCUGAAUGUCAAGCUGGGAAGGAAUGGUGGCUUUGAAGGCCCAAACCGAGAAGAUAUGGUGGCUUUGAAUGUCAAACUGCGGAGAAUGAUGGCUCUGAACGCCCGAAUGUGAGAACGACGGCUCCUUGAACGCCUGAAACUGUGAAGAGGUAGUGGCUCUGAACGUUGAACUAAAAAGAGAUGAUGGCUCUGAAUGUCGAAACUGAAGAUGCAAUGAUGAUGGCUCUGAACGCCGAAACUGAAAAUGUGACUCUUAACAUCAAAUUGAAAAUGCGAUGAUGGCUCUGAACGCCGAAACUGAGAAGCGACGAUGAUGGCUCUGAACGCCAAAACCAAAAAUGCGAUGAUGAUGGCUUAGAGUGCCGAAACUAAAAAUGCGACUCUGAACGUCAAGUUGAAAAUGUGAUGAUGAUGACUCUGAACACCAAAACUAAGAGGCGAUAAUGAUGGAUCUGAAUGCCGAAACCAAAAAUGCGAUGAUGAUGGCUCUGAACGCCGAAACUGAAAAUGCGACUCUGAACGUCAAGCUGAAAAUGUGAUGAUGAUGGCUCUGAACGCCGAAACUGAGAAGCGAUAAUGAUGGCUCCGAACGCUGAAAGAAAAAAUGAGAUGAUGAUGGCUCUGAACGCUGAAACUGAGAAGCGGUGAUGAUGGCUCUGAAUGCCAAAACGGAAAAUGAUAUAAUGACCCUGAAUGCCGAACUAUGAACAUGGCUUUGAAUGCCAAACUGCGAAUAAAUGGUGGCUUUGAACGCCAAACUAAAAAUAAUAGCCAUGAAUGCUAAGCAAAAACAACGGCUGUGAACGCCAAUGAUAACUAUGAAUGUCAAGCUGAGAAANNNNNNNNNNNNNNNNNNNNNNNNNNNNNNNNNNNNNNNNNNNNNNNNNNNNNNNNNNNNNNNNNNNNNNNNNNNNNNNNNNNNNNNNNNNNNNNNNNNNCAAAAACAACUGGCUGUGAACGCCAAUGAUAACUAUGAAUGUCAAGCUGAGAAAGACAACUUUAAACGUCGUAAUUGAGAGGACAUGGUGGCUUUGAACACCAGGCUGAAAAUGGAUGACUUUGAACAUCAUAACCGAUAAUGGAUGGUGGCUCUAAAUGCCAAACUGUAAGGAAAUGAUUAGGGGGGGGGGGGGGGGGGNNNNNNNNNNNNNNNNNNNNNNNNNNNNNNNNNNNNNNNNNNNNNNNNNNNNNNNNNNNNNNNNNNNNNNNNNNNNNNNNNNNNNNNNNNNNNNNNNNNNAGUCUCAUGACCCGCUCGAUGAAAUCACGAGGUUUGUCGGAGUGUCGCAAUAAGCCGAACUCCUCUAACUCAUAAUGCUCUGCCGAAAGAAUCUAUCGUCACCCCGAACGGAUAAUCCGAUAGUCUUAGGGAGUAGUCUGGUAAGAGACAUACCACGAUCUUGACAUAACAAUCUACUGAAUAGUCUUGGCUAGUGAGGCUAUCAAAACCCGAAUAUCGUGCUCCACUGAAAGCUCAUCUCGACGAAAAGCACAGGAAUAGUGACCAGUGAAGCAAAUGCAAUAUCUCUUGACUGAGUAAUGAAAACUAUAAUAGAUCUGUGAGAGAAUGAUCAUCUCCAUAGCUAAAGGAGGGAAAUAUGCCCCAGUAUGGCAUCAGAUAUAUCCAAUCUGUCCUAAUAACUCAAGAAUAACUCUAUGGGGACAUACAAAGGAUCUAACAUGUACUCCACUGAAAUAGUGACGCAGGCAUCCACGCGCCUGAGAUAACUCCUUCUAAGAAUCACGACUAUAUCAGAAAACGUGAAUCUGGCUGAAAGACUCAAGAGAGGCUCCAUGGAGUAUCAGGACACAAUGAAAUCGAAUCAUCAACCCGAUGUGUAUCUCAAAAUCGAGGGUGAUCAUGCGAAUCAGUGGGGGAUGUACAAAUCUCGACUGAAAUGGGGAAUACACCCCAGUGUGGCAUCAUAAAUGUGACAAGUCGGAAAGUCAGAUGAGCUCAAAUCAUCCAUCAUCGAAUUCGUGAUCCAAGUCAUCCAUGUCUAUAACUGAAUCAGACCCACAGAUCAAAGGGGCGUCUCCCAGAAGGAAAGCAUGAUGACAUCUAAGUGUCGAGAAGUGCAGGCCUAACUGGGCAAUUCCCAAGAGGCUCCAUUGAGGAAUCAUCAUAAAGAUACCGAAUAGAUCAUCGUCUCGAUGUACGUCUUGCAAAUGGGGAUAAGCGCGUAACUCCACCAAGAUCUAUAAAUCUCAUCCUGAAUGGUAAUAUGCCCCAGUAUGGCAUCAAACAUAUGAUAGGUCGGAGACCGGGCAACAUGAAAUCAUCUAUCAUCGAACAUGCGACAUCUGUGAAGAUCCAUAAAUCUCAUCUAAAAUGGAAAAUAUGCCCUCGUAUGGCAUCAGGUGCAUAAUAGGUCAAAAGAACAAGUGACAUGAAACCAUCUCUCAUCAAACAUGUGACCUCUGUGAAGAUCCGUAAAUCUCAUCUGAAACGGAAAUAUGCCCCAGUAUGGCAUCGGAUGUGUGACAGGUCAGAAGAACAAGUGACAUGAAACCAUCUCUCAUCAAACAUGUAAUCCUGGUCAUCCGAAUCCAUAACUGAAUCAUGCCCACAGAUCUAAGAUGUACCUCCCGGAUGGAGAAGCAUGAUGGCAUCUAAGUGCCGAGAAGUGCGGGCCUAGCUAGAUGGCUCUCGGCAGGCUCCACUGAGGAAUCAUGAUAAGGUAACGAUCAUGUCCACGUCUUAGUGAGCAUCUAGUAAGUGAUGAUGAUCGUGCAAGUCCAUGAGGAUCCAUAAACCUCUAAAUGAAAUGGGAUAUGCCCUAGUGUGGCAUCAGAGGUACGAUAGGUCAAAAAUCGGGUGACACCAAAUCAUCCAUCGUCAAACACAUAAUCCCGGUAAUUCGAACACAACUGAAUCGGACCUACACAUCAAAGAGGCGACUCCUAGAAGAAGGAAGCACGACGAUAUCUAAAUAUCAACCAGAUCUCAAACACUCGUCCAAGUAGAGGCUGUCAAAGAUGACAUCUGAUCCCAUGACCUCAGGGUGGUCUUAAGACAUGGGACGUAACGUAGGCCAAGGUGAUAAGGUGAUAGAAAUGAAGGAAAACUAGACUCAAAUACCCAAUGAUCAAAAACCCACGCCCUCAUAUAUGAAAUGCAACAUGUAUAAUGAAUCUCGUGAGCCAUGGACCUAAGGAUGCCUAACAUGAAUAUGAUGUCGAUAAGGAGACAAAUAAAGCAAAAUGAACUGAUAGUGAUAUGUGUAAUGAUGAUGUGAAGAGAGUAUCAAACCCGAGAUGGGUUGCUGUAAGAAAAGAAUAAGACGUGAAGUGAAAAUGAUGAAUCCAAAGCGAAAACGAGGAUGAUGAUGAAACAAAUAACACAAAGAGGAGUAGUGAUCAACUCAAAUCAGACAUGGAGUGAAGUCACAUCAACAAUGAACGUAAUGAUGGAAGGGACAAUGACCCAGAGCUCCUAAGAGAAGGUCACUCAUCUCGCUCUCAAAAUAUACAAUAAAAAUGAAUACAAAGCAUAGAGGGUCUCAGAAAGCUCACAUACGAACUCCCAUCAACAAACAUACUCAAUCAAGUCACCCUCGAACAUCAACAUACACACUCAAUGAUAGAAAAUAAUACACAUGCGUUUUGUUUUUUUUUUUUUUACAUAUAUACAAAUGUACACACCUUGAACAUGAACAAAAUAAGCCUAAAUAUGAUAUCAAUAAUGGAUAGACGCUAUCUCGAAAGCUAAGGUAACAAAAACCCUCUUUGACAAGAUAACCUUUUCAAACUAAGAAUCUCUGAACCAGUGUCCGUUGGAUAGAUAGUGGUAAUGAUAUGACUACCCUCCAUGUAAUGAACUGAGGAAGAUCACCACUCGGGGUGGAAAGAAUAUGAAGCAAAACAAGUAGUAGAUAGAAUAAAGAAGAAUAGAUGAAGAACACAACCAAUGAGAUACAAUGGAAUGCAGUGAUGCAAUGAUGAGAAGAGAUAAUGAGAAGAAUGUGCCCCUCGGUCCAAGGCUCAUGAAACUUCCAAACAAUGAAUGCAUACACCAAAAGGGCCCCUAUCCCGGUGUGAAAAUGUGAGCAAGGCGAUAAGAAAGAAAUGCUAUAAUGCUCAUGCGAGGCUCAAUGGGCUAGCAACAGACUAUAUAUCAAAAGGGAAUAACAAGGUAUAUGGCUAACUGAAAUGACGGCCACCAUCCUACGACCAUGGUGUCAAACAUAGUACCUCUUUAGCUGAUCCAUAUUGGUCGGCUUUGAGAAUCGGUUUCCAUCUAAAUCCAUCAACCAUGCAACAUCCUCUGGGGUCAACUCCCUGAUGAAGUAAGGUUCGCUCCAGUUGGGUCUGAACUUCUUUCUAGGAUCUCUGAUCAAUCCCCUGAUGAUCUUCAGAACCAAGUCACCUAUCCGUAGUGGUCAGAGCUUGACCUGCUUUUUGAAAGUGCGGGCCAUCUUCCUCUGAUAUGCACGAAUGUGGUCGGCUGCUCUCAAUCUCCUCUCAUCUUGGAGAUUGAGCUGAUCAAAUCGAGACUGAGCCCAAUCUGCCUCGAGCAUCUGUUGCUCUAAUGCUACCCUCAAUGAACCCAACUCUAUCUCGACUGGUAGCACUACCUCCAUAUUGUAUACCAAAGAGUAGGGUGUGGCUCCUGUAGAGGUGUGAAAAGAAGUCCGGUAAGCCCACAAUGCGAAAGGAAGCUUCUCAAACCAAUCCCGAGAAGUCUUGAUCAUCCUCCGCAAGAUCCUCUUAAUAUUCUUAUUCACGGUCUCUACUGCCCCGUUCGUCUGCGGCCUGUACGCAGACGACCUAUGGUGUCGGAUGCCAUAUUACCGCACUAAAGUGUCAACCUCUGCCCUGAAAUGUACCCUUCUAUCCGAAAUCAGCUCAUGAGGGACUCCACAGCAACAGAUAAUGUGUGACCUGAUGAAACUAGCCACUCCAGAUGAUGUCAAUCUCGCAUACGAAGCGGCCUCCACCCACUUGGUGAAGUAAUCGAUGGCGACCAGGAUGAACUCAUGACCACUGGAAGAUUUCGGCGAAAUCUUUCCGAUGAUGUCAAUACCCCAUACAGAAAAUGGUCAUGGUGAAGUCAGUGCAUGCAACUCCGAGGACGGCACGUGAAUGAGAUCUCCAUGUAUCUGACACUCGGGACAUCUCUGAACAAACUGGAAACAAUCUAUCUCCAUGGUCAACCAGAAAUAGCCAAUCCUCAUGAUCUUACGGGCCAACAUAUGUCCUCCCAUAUGUGGUCUGCAGACUCUUGCAUGAACCUCUCUUAUCACUCUAUUGGCAGAGGCUCGGUCCAAGUACAAUAAUAGCAUCUCGUCAGCCGAUCGUCUAUACAAUGUCUUGCCACAAAUCACCAAUCCGGUGGCUAACUGUCUCAAUGAUCUCCUAUCCUUGGCCAUGGCAGUCUCAAGAUACACGCCAAGUCUCAGAAAGUGAUAUAUGUCAUGGUACCAGGGCAAACCAUCAUCUAUCUCCGUAUCAUCAAUUAGACAACAGUACGCAAGAGCAGAUCUCGACUCGAUCAACAAUGGGCGAACGGUGACAUCAGUAGGAAUGUCAAUCAUGGAAGCUAGAGUAGCUAAGGCAUCAGCAAACUGGUUCUGCGCUCUAGGCAGAUGGGUAUAUAUCAAAUCAUCGAAUCUCCCAACCAGUAGCUUUAAAUAUGCGUGGUAAGGCCUAAGCUUCACAUUUCUAGUCUUCCAUUUGCCUUGAAUCUGUCUCAAUACUAAAUUGGAGUCACCAAACACCUCUAUCUGUCUAAUCCCGAGCUCUAGGGCCGUUUCUAAUCCCAAGAUACAAGCCUUAUAUUCAACAAUGUUGUUCGUGGCAGGAUGUCGAUCCCAGAAUGCCAAACGAACAGAUCUGGGAAUGUGAUCACCAUGAGGGGAUAUCAACAAGACGCCUAUCCCGUAUCCAGAAUGGUUGGCUGCACCAUCAAAGUACAUGCGCCAACCUGAUAAACUGGUCACAACAGCCACAUCCUCGUCCGGGAAGUCAUCAUCAAUGGCUCUGCCGUCGGAAACUGGUAAAGAAACUAGGUGAUCCACGACAAUGCUCCCUUUGAUGGACUUCUGAGUGACAUAAUGGAUGUCAAACUCGAUUGGAAGUACCAACCAUCUUAUGAGGCGACCAACUAAGGCGGGUUUGUCAAACAAAUAUCUCAGAGGAUCUAAAUGGGAUAUCAAGUGCACUAAAUACUCUAUCAUAUAAUGUCUCAGUUGGCGUGUGGCCCAAACCAAUGCCAAACAGUAACACUCAAUCAUGACAUAUCUUGUCUCAUAGUCUAGCAUCCUCUUACUCAUAUAAUAAAUAGCUCGGUCCUUGCCUGAAUCAUCAAGCUGAGCUAACAUACACCCCAAUGCUACGUCUGAAACUGAUAGGUAUAGGAGUAAGGGACGACCUGGUGUAGGAGGCGCCAAGACUGGAGGUGACAACAAGUACUCUCUGAUCCUCUCAAAUGCACGCUGACACUGAUCAUCCCAAAUAGUAGGUUGACUCUUCCUCAAGAGUCGAAAAAUGGGCUCACAGAUGUCUGUCAAUCUGGCAAGGAAUCUGCUGAUGUACUGAAGUCUACCUAGGAAGCCUCUGACCUCUCUCUCUAUCCUCGGUGCAGGCAUGUCAAGAAUAGCUUUGAUCUUAUCCGGAUCUACCUUUAUGCCUCUUUCAUUGACCAUAUAUCCAAGGAGUUUCCCAGAAGUCACUCCGAAAGUGCACUUCUUGGGAUUGAGUCUCAAUCUGAAUUGUCUAAUCCUCUCAAAGAACCUCUCCAGAGCUGUCAGGUGAUCUGGUCUAUCUUGGGAUUUCACUAUCAUGUUGCCUACAUAAACCUCGACAUCCCGAUGCAUCAUGUCAUGGAAGAGGGUGGUCACCGCUCUUUGAUAAGUGGCUCCUGCGUUCUUCAAUCCGAAUGACAUGACUCUAUAGCAAUAAGUACCCCACUCGGUAAUGAAAGACAUUUUCUCCAUGUCCUCUAAAGUCAUUAAGAUCUGAUUGCAUCCGGAAAAUCCGUCCAUAAAGGACAACAUCGAAUGACCUGCCGUACUGUCAAUUAGCAUGUCGAUGUGUGGAAGAGGAAAAUCAUCCUUAGGAUUGACCUUGCUGAGGUCUCGAAAAUCAACACAGACUUUCACCUUGCCGUCCUUUUUGGGAAUAAGGACGACAUUGGCCAACCACUCCGGGUACUCGACCAUUGAAAAAAAUCCUACACUAAGUUGCUUCUGAAUCUCCUUAUUUACCUGCAAGCUCCAACGAGGAUGCAAUCGUGUCAACUUCUGCUUAACCGGUCUGAUAUGGGGCAGAAGUGGCAAACGAUGCUGGAUGAUAGAUGGAUCAAGGCUUGGCAUAUCCUCAUAGGACCAUGCGAAAAUGUCCAAGUAUGCUAUGAGCAACUGGAUGAGGCUAUCCCUUUCAUCAACAGAUAAAUCUGAUCCGAUCCUUAACUCCCUAGGCUGAUCUGCUGUGCCGAAAUAAAAAAUCUCUAUGUCCCCUACAACAUGUGAAACUCUCUGAUCAAUGGGAUCCGAAUCGGAAAUAGAAGAUGAGUCAUCGUCUGAAUCAUGCUGUGCAAUCUCAUCAUCAAUGUCAAAAAUCUAUGAUGUGGGUGAGGAUGGUGCGGGUAAAGCAAUAACAUGAGAGACAGACAAAUACUAAAAAAUGCUCAAAUCCAUAGAUGAAGAGUCAGAAACAUCGUCAUGACGGGAGACAAAUCCCGAUAAGACAUUAAAGGAAAGAGGUGGGUCCACAAAGUUGGACGCUCUCUUAACUAAGCCAACAAGGCCAUCAAACAAGCCAUCAACAACUAUAACAUCCUCAGCAAUCUCCAGAACGGGGGCGACCUGGAUCUCCUCGACAAUCUCGAGGAUGGACACCCCGAAGAGAUCGAAUGGUGAAGCGAGCUCAAAUGGGGCUAUCUCCUUGAUUUGGCUCAAGCUCAUCGCGAUCAUCUCAUCAACAUACUCGUCAUGUGGCACGACUUUGUCUAAUAUGUUGCUGCUCUCGAAAAAUGUCCAGUAAUCAUCGAUCUCAUCCGAGAAGCAAAGCGUCAUAAGGCUCGUGCGAUCUGGGGAGGAAGGAGUGAUCAACGCAGAAGUUGAAGGGCCAGGGGCUCCGUCACUCAAUCGUAACUGUCGGACGAGGCGCUGAAGCUCGGCCUCCUGGGUGGUGCUAAGUCCUCCGAUGAUCCCAUCAGAUAGUGCAUGUGGCUCCGACGCCCUCACAAAGUAAUCUGUUAGGCUCAUGGUAUAUGGGUGAACAGGAUAAUAAAAUGGAAUAUGGGUCAGUCGAGCCCUCACCCUCUCCUUCGGCAAUCGCUCCAUAUUACGAUAAUCAGCCUCAGUGGGGAUGAACCUGAGUCCGAAUGCUACGUCGUGAUCAAGGAAGGUCAUGAACUCACUAGGCCCGUACUGACGCUGCCCUAACCCCAUGCCGGGAAGAUAAGACAUACCCCUCAUCAUGUCAAGCACUAGAUACUGUGCUGGUCGAAAGAUAUGGCUACAAAGUCUCGACAGAAAUCCUCUAUCUCCAAAGUCUGCACCUCGUCGAAGGUGAAUCCGAUCAAAAAAAGAUAGUCAUCAGUGUGACUAAUCUGAAGUACAGGCUUGGCAGAAAUGAACACAUCUCCUAUAGACUGCACCACAACGGCCUGGCCAUCAUGAAUAAACUUCACCUUCUAAUGAAGGGAAUAAGGAAUGGCCCCAACUCUAUGGAUCCAUGGUCGGCUCAGAAGUAGGUUAAAGGAUGUAGGAAUCCUCAAAACCUGAAACACGACAACAAAAGUGGUCGGACCAAUCAAUAGCUCAAUCUCCAAUGUACCCAUGACCUUCCUCUGAGUACUAUCAUAUGCGCGAAUGGUCUGAGUGGAGGGACCGAAGUCAGAUGGUGCGUAGCCGAGGGCAAUGGCAGUGGAAAGAGGACAGACGUUCAGGACCAAGCCAUUGUCCAGAAAGAUAGAUGGGACUCGGCGGCCUGAACAAUCGACAGAUAUAUAAAGUGGACUUGUGUGGUCCGAGCCCUCCGUGGCAAGUCAUCAUCGAAGAAUACAAUGCAUGUGGCUCUGCUGGCCGUCAUCAUAUGAAUCAAUCUCUUAGGAGAAGUGGUAGUAUCGACUCUGAUCUGGUUCAAGGCUCGAAUCAGAGCAUCACGGUGAGUGCUCAAGGAUGCCAACAGGCUCUAGAUGGAAAUACGAGCUUGGGUGCUCUGUAGCUGUCUCAAAAUCUCGUCAUCCUUUACUCUGACCUCCUCGAGAGCAGAUAUACCCUCAACUAACCUAGCUGCUACGGGAGGUGGCUGUCGCAACACUCUACCUCAUUGGAGAAUAUAAUGAACAUCUAGAGUCUGAGAAUCAUCAACACGCGGAGCCUGAACCUCCUCAACAUCCGGGAUCAAGAUGAAUGAAGUCUGGACGCUGUAAUGUGGAAAAAUCAAUGGCUCAACAAUGGUAGUCUGUACCGAUGCCGCCCUGGGAACUAAUUCGAAUGAAACGGGCAUCCAAGGCCCCAAAGUCGCUUUGUCCAUCUCAUAAAUACCAUUUGACACAAUAGGCUCUGGGUUUGAAUCAUCCGAACUAAGCAUAUGAACGUGAUCAUCAAGCUCAACGAAGUCCAAGAAAUGUAUGCCAUCGGCCGGUGGAGGAACGACAUGUGUAGUGUGGGCAGGUAAUGGGUUUGUGGUCACAUUCAGCUGACCCUGACCCAAGUGCACCAAACCUUGGUUGAUCAAAUCCUGAACGACAUGCCUCAAAGCAGUUCAUCGAUCGGUCUCACGUCCAGGCCCUUGAUGGUAUGCACAGUGCAAAUCCAUCCUGAACUGAGGUGGAAUAGGCUGAGGAGGUGGCCUAGGGGUGAGAGCAGUCAAUAACCCGGCCUCUGUAAGCUUCCGAAGAGCCUGGCUCAAUGGCAUGCCUAAUUGUGAGAACUACCUCUGCGUCCUCAAAGCAAAUGGAGCAGAAGCCUGCUGAGCUCUGGGUCGGGGAUAAGAAGUUAUGGGUCUCGUAGUGAACUGAGCAGCAUAGCACGAUUGUCCUAUGGCCUUGUAUGAGACAGGUGACCUCUCGAUGCCUUGGGUGGCAUAGUAAGGCAAAGCCAAAGUCUGUGGCAUAUAGGACUAAUCAUGAGUCGGACGAGGCGCCCGUGGCCUAUACUGCUGAAGUGGAUAUGAAGGAUGAGUCUCUAGAAGCUGUGGGACCGACUGAUGGCGCCUGAGAGGUCUUUGACUAGAAGAACCGAUAGCGCUCACAUCAACUGACCUCUGUCCUCCAAAGGGUUUCUUCCCCUUAACAUCACUAGGGGAAGAAUCAGUUCACAAUUAUCUCAAGAUGCCGUCCUCGACAUCGUACAAAGCCAAAACCAACGAACCAAAAUCUAUGAAGAGUACCCCAAUCACGUGUCUGGCAAUCCUGGGCUGUAGGCUCCUCAAAACCAUCUGUAUCUGAUCUCUCUCUAGAGGCCUGUCAAUGGUCUCGGCAAUCUUCCUACGCCAACGGGAGAUGAAGGAUGAAACUGACUCAUCUAUCCUCUACCUCAGAGCCUCGAGCUCUCUCCUUGAUACAUCCAUCAUAGUGUUAAACGAAAACUAUCAUAAGAACUCCUAGGCCAAGUCGUCCCAUGUCCGGCAUCGUGAAGACUCUAGGAAUGCGAACCAGCGCUGGGCUGCCCCACUUAGAGAUAGCGGGAACAAAGUGAUCAUCUAUGACUCAUCCAAUCCGUGUGCUCUCAUCACUGUGCUAUAGAGUCUGAGGUGGAUGCGAGGACAACCAAUGCCCGUAUACCUCUCAAUGUCCAGCAUCCUGAACUGAGCCGACAAACUGGCCACCAGCAUACCCUCAAGAUCAUCCCAAAUAGCUGAUCCAUCUGACACUCUCAUCUACCUCAUAUGCUGCUCGAUACGGUCCAUAUGUGCAUGAGCGUCAUUAGUGACUGUGGUCUGAACGAUUGCAGGUGGGGCAACCUCAGAAUGCCCAUGCAAUACAUAAGGUGAGGCCUGAGGCACCAUUGGAACAGGUGGUGGCAGUGGCUGUGGCAACGAAUCAUGAAGAGUCUCAUCAUGAACUACGAGUGGUCUGCUCUACUGGCUGCCAAUCUCCUGCCUGAGGCUAGCCAAAGCCUCUUGGAUAGAAGCCAUGACGGUCGUAAACUGAUCCACUGUAACAACCUAUUGAUCCAUACUCAAUCUCUCGGAAUACCGGACUAAUCUCCCCUCUACUCUAACCCAAGAAGACGUAUCCAGACUACGAACAAAGAUUUGAUCCUAAAAGCGCGAAGAAAUGAAUAAGGAUAUGGGACGAAGAAAGCACAGAAGAAAUGAUAAUCUGAAUGGAAACAAGCAAGACAUCUAAGUGAAGGUAGACUUUCUGACCAUACUCAAACUCAUACUAAUCUCUGUACACUUUCAAUUGAAGACUAAAAAAGGAGUAUCGGAAUCCAAACUGUGGCUACAGAGGCUUUGAAAGUUCUCAGAUGCACCCACAUGUAGGGAGUGAACCCUAAUCGAAUGAUCUACGGCUCAACCUACGAGGUCAAGGUGGCUCUAAAUGGAUAUGAGUGGGCUUUAAAAGAUCCCUUAAGCAGAGGCGAUCAUACUGAUUACUACUCAAAAAGUGCUAUUUGAUAGCUUAUAAUUAAUCCUUUUAAACACUUUUGAGUAGUAGUUUAGGCCUUUUAACUCAAUUGGCAUGUUAAGGACCCUUGAAAGGAAUUUUAAUCACUUUGUGUAAGUUUUGGUGUUUUUGUUAGUAAUUUGAUCAUCAAAGCAAGUCAAGACUGAGGAGAGCUAUGAGGAAUCUUGGGCAAAGCUUAGAAGUCAUUUGCCAAGAGUAAAUCCGGAUUGCAAGGAGAAAAAGUAAAGAGAAUCUGCCAAGAAGCAUAUUCUUGAUGACAGUCGUAUCAGCCACUUUUGGAGCCUCUUAUGAGGUCCAAUUGAUGCAUGCUAUAUACCAUUUCAAAGCUCAGGAAGUCAACAAUCCAAUGCUACAAACGGUGUAUAAUUCAGAGUUGAAACGAAGAAGUUGCAGCCAUUGCAAGCCAAUCACUCCGAGCUGAAGGAAGCAUUUUGCAAAGUGCUGCGAAAUCACCCUUUUGUUGCGAAGUGAUUCCGCAGCCUUUUUGUACAGUAGGGUGUAUUUCCUUCUGAAGUUGCCCGACAUAUACCGCGAGAGGGAAGUUGGGAACCUCAAGGUGGAAGCCAACUUCGCAGCCCUGCGAAGAUAGCAUGUUGUUGCGAAAUGAUUUCGCAGCCCUCUUGAGUGUCUGAGAAAUCUCGCAGACACCAUUUUCUCUUGCGAAAUGGUUCCUGGAGCCUCCCGAUAUUUGCUACCGACAUUGGGAGAUAUUUUACAUCAGAUUUUUGUUGUCUAAAUCCCAAAAUACUCCUUGUAAGCCACCAAUUACAAGAUUCCUUAGCUUUUAAGUUAGUAAAAAGAGAAAAUAUCUAUGUAAUAAUUAGUUUUAUAUUAUGUUCAUAUAUAUACCUCUCGGGAGCCUGUUCUCAGGGAGGAGAUCCUUUUGUAAAGUUUUGGGUAAGCAAGUAAAGUUUAUUUUUUUCUACUGCCUUACCUUCUCACUUUGUAUUUUUUAGUUAAUACUAAGUUAUGAACUCUCUGAGGAGUUUUCCCCAGAGAAUGAGUAACUAAACCUCUAAUUCCUUGGAGCUAAGGUUGCCGGGGAAGGUUCCAAGUGCAAGAAUGCAAAGCUUUGUGGUUUUAGCUAGUAAUGAAGAGGAAGUGAAAUCCUUUAGUGAUUUCUAUGUUUUUAGUUAACUUAAAACACCUUAGAGUCACCUGGGCCAACACUUGGUAAGGCAAGUGAUUUCCAACCAUGGAAAUGCACUAGUUUACCCCUUGCAAGCCUCUGGUAGGUGACUUCAGGGUAGGAUUUUCUAGAAUAGCCAACACUUGAUAAGCUUUUGGACUCCAAGGAGACAUCCAUUAGUUAUCUCUUGCGAGCUUUUGACGGGUAAUCCAAGGUUAAGGAUCACCUUGAAUGGUUAAGGCUUAGUGAGAGGCUUAAACCAUUGCAAGUUGCAUCAGUGAGAGAAUUAAAGUGAAAUCUAAUUGAAGGAUGAAUCUGUACAACACCAGCUAGAGAAUUGACUAUAUGUUGAAUCUCUAACGCGAGGAAAGGAACCAUCUGACCGGAGCUAGGUCUUUUGCAUAAGGAACCACCCCAGUGAACCUAACUCUCCAAGGAAUGCUUUUCUUCCUAAGUUAUUCCGAGUACUUGUUAUGUUAGUUAGUUUAAAUCUUUACCAAUCAAAGUUUGUGUUUUAUGUCUUAAGCUAACCUUGAAAUGAAACAAGACCAAUUCACUUGGAAUUGGUAUCAUUGAUAGCUUGCUAAUCCUUCCCAGUGAACGAUCCUAGAGCCGCUAUACUAUAGUAGCUUUUUCUUUGCUACCCUAGUAUAUGGUGUUAUAGGUUAUAAAUUUUGUUGAUUACUCCCUCAAUCAAGGAGCACCAGCUGGACACGAAUCAGCUGAGACACCAAUUGGGCACGAAUCACAUACCCUCCGACAGUAUGCAACCCUCUGUACGUCUCCGAAGAGACGGGGCGCUUCCAUGCAAGGUGGUCAUCACCUCCACACAUGCACUAUCUCGACAUCCCAAGGGGGUUUCCUAUGGUGAAAACCUCUCAAACUCGCAACGCUCAAUGGUCAACUAGAGUGCACAGUGAAUGGUGCGGGUGCAUCCAAAAACCCUAGGAAGCUAAAACAGAAAGAUGAAACACACUGGCCGCACAAAUAUCCAUGAGACCUAGCUCCGAGCUAUACGAGUCUUCAAUGAUCGGACUCCAAUCGACAUCAAAGUGUCGCUCUCCUCCAGAAUGCUCCCAUACAUUGAUAUAGCCUGUCGCUAAACCCUACUCCUAAUCUCUGGCUCGGUCAGAGAAUAAGCACACAGAGGGCCUCACACUUGCAAUAGUGAGGACCAGAAUGAAGGGAAUGACCGAGACCAAGAGAUUUGGAGGUAGGGGGAUAGAUGUGCGGCCCACAUAGACAGGCGACAUGCAAUCAAGCAGAGGAAGGGUAGUCAUGCGACAUGCAGUUAAGCAGUAGACAGAAUACAUCACUUAUGCACACACACAAACUAUGACGAUCAGGAUGAAUAGCGACACGAACAUCAUGCUCAAAGACAAUCAAGAUAGUAUACAAGCCAAAGAAAACAACAUGGCAAGUCAAGCGAUGUGCAAUAGUGAGUCUAUAUAUGUGAAGUAAGUAGAACAAUCAGGAAGAAUCAGAAUCGCUAUACCAAGCAAAACAAGAUGAGCAGUCUAUGAUAAUCAGCAUGUUAAUGUACUAAACUAAUAUAGCAAUGAAGCACAGAAAAAGUGACAUCCGAAACCCCAAUCAAGAUAAUUGAUAUAUCAAUGUCCCAAUACAAUAUCCAAGCAUGCAUAAAAAAACUCUCAAUGUGCAAUCAAGAGACAAGUACUCAUUGAUUGACUCAUCAAAUACCACAUUUGCUUCAUCCUAAGUUCAAGCUUGACCCUCUAAAUGAUCCCCAACGGAGUCGCCAUUUUGUGGACCCUGUAUUUCGGCUCAUGCGAUUUCCACUCAAUGGCGAGCUCGAUUUUUAUUUGAAAAUGAUUUUAUUUAUUAAAAAAAAAAUAUGACUUGGAGUCACCACUUAUUUUUGUUUUAUUUUUAAAAGGGUAAACAAAAUAAGAAAGAAAACCCUAAGUGUGACUCCUUAUUUUGGAAAAUAUGAUAUGUGAAAAACCGGAUCGGGCUCGGGGGUCAGGCUACUUAUCGAGAAGGUACAGUAAAAACCAUAGCACCCCUCUAAGUCCCUAAAGUUGGGUCUCUACUAACAAAAUGAAGUUGAUGUGGUGAUCAAUAGGAAAAUCAAUGGAUACUCAAAUCGACCAUGCACAUAUGGGAUCAAAACAUGCAUAAAGAAUGACCAGAAUGGGAGUUGAUGCGUACCUGGGCCACGAACGAGCAAUGCGCUAUCAUAAAAAUGGGGUCGGUGUACAAUAAAGAGCACAAAACAUAUCACACGCGUCACCAAAUAGAACUUAAAAUUGUUCAAGGGAAAACUAGAUUUUUUAAAUUUUAUUUGAAAAUUGGAGUCUUAGAGAUUAUUUGAAAAUUGGAGUUUUAGAGAUUAUUUGAAAAUUGGAUUUUUAGAAAUUAAAUAUAAGAAUGAGAAUUUUAGAAAUUAAAUUUGAAAAAAAUUGGAAUUUUGAAAAUUAUUUGAGAGGUUGGGGGUUUUUUUUUUUAAAAAAAAAUUAAAUUACGGAAAUUGGGACUUUAGAAAUAAAAUUUUGAAAGAAAUUAGAAUCGAAAAUUGUUUGAGAAGCAGAAACUAUGAAAAUUGAAUAAAAAAAUUGGAAAUCUUGAAAAUCAUUUUAAAGCAUAAUUUUUAGAAAUAAAUGAAUAAAAUGAUAAUAAUAAAUAAGUAACGGAAUAAAUGCGAGAAUUGGAACAUUGGAAACUGAAAAAAAUUAAGUUCGGAAAUUGAAAAAUUGGAAUUUCAAAUAACUAAAUUUGGAAAUCGAAAUUUUAAAGAAUUAUUUAAAGACGGAAUUUCAAAUAAAUGAAUAAGUGAUUAAAUAAAUUAAUGAAAUAAUAAUAAUGACGAAAUAAUAAAGAUUAGGUAAAUAAUUGCGAAAAAUAGAAUUUUAGAGAUUGAAGAUUGAAUUUAGAGAUUGAAAAUUUGAGAAAUUAUUUAGAGAUGAGAUUUUAAAUAUAUGAAUAAGUGAAUAAAUAAAUGAACAUGAUAAUAAUAAUAACGAAAAUAAUCAUUUAACAACUGAAUGUGAAUAGUGAAAUUUUUUAGAUUGGAAAUUAAAUUUGAAAAACGGAAUAUUGAAAAAUUGAACUUUAAUUAUUAGAAUUUCUAAAAUAAAUGAAUGGAAUAAUAAUAAUAAUAAUGAAAAUAAUAUUUAAAUGAAUGAAAGUGAAUAGUGGAAUUUUUUAGAUUGAAAAUUAAAUUUGAACGUCAGAUUUUUCAAGAAUUGGACUUUAGUGAUUGAAAUUUUUAAAAGAAAUAAAUAAAUAAAUAUGGAAUAACAAUAAUAAUUAACAAAAAUAAUAUUUAAACGGAUGAAAGUGAAUAGUGAAAUUUUUUAGAUUGAAAAUUAAAUUUGAAAGUUAGAUUUUUGAAGAAUUGAACUUUAAUGAUUGAAAUUUUUUAAAGAAAGAAAGAAAUAAAUAUGGAAUAAUAAUAAUAAUAAUGAAAAUAAUAUUUAAACGAAUGAACGUGAAUAGUGGAAUUUUUUAGAUUGAAAAUUAAAUUCGGAAGUCAGAUUUUUGAAGAAUUGAACUUUAAUGAUUUGAAUUUUUAAAAGAAAUAAAUAAAUAAAUAUGGAAUAAUAAUAAUAAUAACAAAAGUGAUGUUUAAACGAAUGAACGUGAAUAGUGGAAUUUUUUUAGAUUGAAAAUUAAAUUCGGAAGUCAGAUUUUUGAAAAAUUGAACUUUAAUGAUUGGAAUUUUUUUAAAGAAAUAAAUAAAUAAAUAUAGAAUAAUAAUAAUAAUUAACAAAAAUAAUAUUUAAAUGAAUGAAAGUGAAUAGUGGAAUUUUUUAGAUUGAAAAUUAAAUUUGAAAGUCAGAUUCUUGAAGAAUUGAACUUUAAUGAUUAGAAUUUUUUUAAAGAAAUAAGUAAAUAAAUAUGGAAUAAUAAUAAUGAUUAACAAAAACAAUGUUUAAAUGAAUGAACGUGAAUAGUGAAAUUUUUUUAGAUUGAAAAUUAAAUUCGAAAGUCAAAUUUUUGAAGAAUUGAACUUUAAUGAUUGGAAUUUUUUAAAGAAAUAAAUAAAUAAAUAUGGAAUAAUAAUAAUAAUUAACAAAAAUAAUAUUUAAAUGAAUGAAAGUGAAUAGUGGAAUUUUUGAGAUUGAAAAUUAAAUUUGAAAGUUAGAUUUUUAAAGAAUUGAACUUUAAUGAUUGGAAUUUUUUAAAUAAAUAAAUAAAUAAAUAAAUAAAUAUGGAAUAAUAAUAAUAAUUAACAAAAAUAAUAUUUAAAUGAAUGAAAGUGAAUAGUGAAAUUUUUGAGAUUGAAAAUUAAACUUGGACCUUGGAGAACUAGACCUAAAAUUAGAACCUUAGAAAAUUAUUUCAUGAAUGGAAACUUGGAAAACCGAUUUUUUUUUUUGUUUUUUUAAAAAGAAAACAAAGUUUAGGUAAAUUGAAUUUUCGAGAAUCAAAAUUUUAUAAAUCGAAUUUAAAAUUAAAUUUUAGAAAAUUAUUUCGAAAAUGAUAUUUUGUAUAAUUAAAUUUAAAAUCUUCAUAAAAAUCAUAUUUGUAUCAUUAGAAAAAGGACUUAAGAGGGCCAAAUACUUGGCCCAUUAGGGCCUACACUAAUCUGGCCUAAACUUAGAGGAUGGGGCUUAAGGCCCACCUGAACCAAUCUAGGCCCACAACUUAAAGCUUUGGGAGCCCACCAACAAAAUGGCUACCAUGAAGAUCAAAGGGUGCCACCUCCUCAUUUUUUAAAAGCUAGAGGGAUGGCUAAUGGGUAGCAGGUUAGCGGUGAAGAAUAGGGCCUGCAUGUCGAUGAUGGCUGUGAUGAAAUAGAGGAAUGGAGUGGGAGUUGCUGCCCAUGAACUACCGCGCGGGCAAGCGGACAAGAGCAUGGGUGCGGUGGAGGGCUUCGUCGUCUUCACCGCCAAGCGCCACUACCUUACCGCCACAAGUGCCGGAGGAGGUGAAACAGAAAGCGGAGAAGGGGACAACUGCUCCCCCGCCGACGCUAUCGUCCAUUUUAAUGACGACUCUUGGAGGCGAACCCAGCGGCACCUCUCUCGGCCAUUUUCACGAACCCUUCACGCUCUGCUCGGAGCUUCUUGAUGCUGCCUUUGAUGCGACUUUGGAGCUACGUCGGCGUGGCUGCGGGAGUGAGGAAGACUGCCACCUUAGGAUCUUUUGGAUCGAGCGGCCCAACCUUGGCUGUUAGGCGGUAGUUGUGUGGCUGUCCAUGAAGGAUGGGAACGUGGCAAUGGAGGAAAAUGGGUACAUAAAAAAAAAGGUGGGUAUGAAAGGUAGUGAAGGCAUGAAGGGUGUUUAACUUUGGAUUUGGGUCCAUGCGCGUGGAUAAAGUUGAUGGUGAGCAUAUGUUGGAGGGGGUUCUCGGUAGACAAGAGUCUAAGAUUUUCAUGGAAGUUUCAAAUGGAUCCUCAGGAACAGAGCAGGUUCCAAAGUCAUGCUAAAUUCAUUUUCUUGCUAUACCCGGUGGGUGAGGCGAACAACGAGCAUCCAUGCUAUUAAAUGAAUAUCAAAAUAAAUAAAAAAAUUUGAUACCUUACUCAUUUAUAAGAGAAAACGAAGAAGCGAAAAAGAAGAACAAAACAGAGCAAGUGAAGCGAGCUUAGGCUCAACAAGGUCCAAUCCUCAACAAGUGACGUUCAAGACCAGCAAUGGCAAAUGAGGAAGAAUAAAAAAUAAAAAUGAAAUGAAAUAAAAGAAAUCUGAAAGCAAAGGCAUCCAAUAUGGCCAUACCUGAGUUUCCCUAGUGAAGCUUUGUCUCGCUUCCUUUGACUGGUUUUUUUCUCCAGCUGCUUUCCCCCCUUCUGAAAAGUCCUUCGUUCGAGCUCACCCUUUUUUCUCUCUCCUCUCGUCUGGCUUCUCCUCCAAGCUAUUACCCACUCCCUUGUUCACCGAUCAGCAAGCAUGUCAUCUUCAACCACCACCAUGGCUAGCAAUGCUCCUUACCACCCAUCUAUGCAAUUGGUUCUCGGCAUAAGGAAGGGUUCCCCCACUCGUCUAAGGUGCUGCCCGCUCCUCCAGGUGGUGAGAAAGCAUCCUCCUAAUGCUAUAAAAUCCCUCAAAAAAACUAAUAGCCUUUAGUUUUUAAAAAGGGGUCUACACAUUUAUAAUUACUAAAUAAAUUAUUUUAAUAUACAAAUUAUUACUCUUUCUUUUUAAAUUGAUUAAUACUAAAAAAAAAUAUAUCUCUUAAUGUUGAAAUUUUUAUUGAAAUUUAAUUUUUUUUUUUAUUUUAUUCCUUUUACAAUGAAAUUUUAAAUUAAAUAUUAAUAUUUUUAAUUUUAAAAUUUAUAUAAUAAAAUUAAUUUAAAAAUUAAAAUAAAAUAUUUAGUAGUAUUUGGGCUUUGUAGUAUUGAAACUUUGGUAUAAGAAAUUUGAAAAUACUUCUAUAAUUAUUAAAAAAAAUUAGUAGAAUAAGAUAGUCCUUUCAACAUAAUUGAGACAUUAAAUUUUAAGCACUCUAAAAUUAUAAUCUUUACAAAUAAUAAAGAAGUUUUUGCAUCGAGACCAACUGAAUAUGAUUUGUAUGUUCUUAAUUUUCAUUUUCUUAUCUUUUAUCUUCCUAUACCUACAAGCCUAUUUAGAGAAAGACCUUUUAUUGAAAAAUGAGAGUUCAGAGUUAUUUCCCUUUGAAAAUAGAGUGGAUCGGAAGGUCUUUAUUAAAUAUAGGGUUUCUUCUAAAACGAGAUGAAGUAAAUUAGCAACUCUGAACAAUCUGAAGGAAAAGGAAUUUGAGUUAAGUUGAUGGGGCGUGCGACACUUUAUUAGGACUUUAAGAGAUAUUUUCUCUUUCACGCUAUCCUUUGAAAUUGAGUUGUGUCCGUUUUCAACUUAAUUUUUUGCUCUCUGUUUUUCUAAUGAAAAUAUAUCUUUUGUUGGGAGAAAAUAUUUUGUUGAAUAUAUAUAUUCAAAUGGAAGGUAAGCAAAAAAAAAUGAUAAAAAAUGGGUGUGAUGAAAUUUCAAAUUAUUGAUCAUCAUAUGUAUUUAACCUAAAUCUUAAAAAAGUGAAUGAAAUUAACUCGUUAAAUUUGUUCAAUACCACUUUUUAUAAAUAAUUUUUUAAUCAUGUAGCAUUCAAAACAAAAAACAUAUAAUUAACGAUAACAUGAAAUUAUUAAAAUAUUUAAAAUUAAAUAAUAUAAAGAAACAAUAAAAUGGUUCAUUUAUAUUGUUAGAACCAUUGUUUUAAAAACUGGUCACUCCGAUCGGUCGGAUGGUCCAUCAAUGCCCUUUCCAGUCUGAUCUAGGGAAAUGGACAGAGACAACUGACAAUCAGACCAUCGACCAUUCUUCAUGGACCAGUCAAGGUCAAAACCUAAAUGGCCUUGCCCAAAUCCAUUAAUUCCUAACCCGUUUGCUUGUUCCCAAGGUUAACUGACAUACCAUCGACCAUUCUUCAUGGACCGGUCAAGGUCAAAACCUAAAUGGGCUUUGCCCAAAUCCAUUCAUUCCCAACCUAUGUGCUUGUUCCCAAGGUUUGUAAGUAUAAAUACCCAUCUAUUGGCCCAAAUUCAUUAUUUCAAGCCCAUUUGCUUGUUCUCAAGUUCUACAGGUAUAAAUACCCUAUAAGUGGUUUAUAGAUUUCCAAUGUGGGAUGAGUUUUGAUAAUAAUGAAAGGAGCUUUGCAUGGUGGGGAAUUGAACCUAGGACUUAUUUUUAACAAAAUGUUAGCACACCACUAUGUUACAAAGCUAUUUGAUUAAUAAUUUGAUAAAUAUCUAUAUAUCUGUUUUUUAAUUUCUAUCAUAUAAAACAUUUAAACAAAUAUAAAUAUUUAUAUCUACUAUUAUUUUUAUAAUAAUUAUACAUAUCCUAUUUAAUAAAAUUUAAUAUAUUAAUACAUUUAUAUUUAUAUUUAUCAUUUAAUUUGACAAAUUGAACAUAAAAAAUAAAAUAUUAUUAAAAUUUUUAAUAAAAUAUAUUUUAAUUUAUUUUAAUUUUAUUAAAAUAUAAAUUAUAUAUUUAUAAUGUCAUCGAUUUGAUCGCGGUUUGACCACUGGUUCAACUAGUGAACCAUGAACUGGUAACUUUUUCGGUUCAAUAUUCGAUCCAAUUUUGAAAACAUUAGUUAAAACUUUUUUAUUUAUAGAAAAUGGUAAUAUGCUUUAAAGUUGUAGGAUGUUAAAAGCCCAAAUACAUGCCUACAUAUUUUCUUAUUUAUCUCCUAGUAUUUUUACCAAGUGAUAGAUAUAUUGGUGGCCAAGCAUUAUCAUCAUCAUUAUUUAUCUCCUAACAUCUUUAUGAAGUGAUAGGUGUAGGAAGAGUGUAAAUAAUUUUUAUUUUUAUUUUAUUUUAUUCUAUUAGUUUUAUAUUUUUUGGGAAGAGUCCUAUUGGGAAUUAUUUUUAUUUUAUUUUAUUCUAUUAGUCUUAUAUUUUUGGGAAGAGUCCUAUUGGGAUUGUGCUAGUGGAGUCCCAUUCCUUUUAUAAGUAGAAUCCUCUUCCACUUUGAGUUAUCUUUUGAUUACAAGCAGAUUCCCAUUAGGAUUGUGUUAAUGACCUAUAAAAGCAGGUCACCUUUUGCUCUCUAUAUGCCAAUACCAAUUUUUCAAAGAAUUUUUCAGAGCGUUUUUCAACCAUCUAUUUGGAUGAAUUUUUUCAAAAACCCGAACUGUAUACAUCUCACUUACAGAAUGCACCCAAGGCGACAUCUAGGUGUUGAAUCCCGGAGAUAGACCAUUGGUACCCUAGUGUACCGAAUUUGUCUUCGAGUAGGAUGAAUCUAUUUCAAGGACAGUGUUUGUCAUGCCUCAUUCGAUAAGUUUUUCUUCUUAUUAAUUAUGUUCUUUGUUUGUGUCUUUUGGGCUAGUCAUUUGUUUCCAUACCCUUAAUCCAACAAUCUUGAAAUAUAUCCAAAUGUAAGCUUCUCUAGUUCACACCCAUCCUAACACCUCUAAAAUUGAUCCCUUCAAUGGGACAUUCUUUAAGAGAUGGCAGGAAAAGGUUUUCUCUACAAUUGAUGUAGUGAACUUAGGACACAUUUUGACUGACCGAAUACCAAAAGAUAGUUCUCAUUUGUUACCAACCUGGGAAAUUGGAAAUAAACAAGUUAGGCAUGCUAUUCUAAGUACCCUUUCUAAUGAACUUUUUGAUAUUUAUUGUCAAUUUAAAGUUGUAAAAGAAAUUUGGGAUGCAAUGAAUAAAAAAUAUAGUUUGGAAGAUACAGGAACUCAAAAAUAUGCCAUAGAGAAUUUUAAAAAUUUCCAAAUGACUGAGGAUAGAGAUGUAUCAUCUCAAAUCCAUGACUACCACUUGUUGAUUAAUGACUUAGCUAUUGAAGACAUUAAAUUACCCGAACCUUUUGUAGCUGGUUAUUUAGUAGAGACUUUUCCAGAGUCUUGGAAAGACUACAAAAAUAACAUGAAACAUAAAAGGAAACAAAUGUCCCUAGAGGAUGUCAUAAUCUAUAUUAAGAUUGAGGAACAAAACCGAAAUAGGGAUAAUGCUGAGAAAGUUAAGGACUUGUCUUCUAAGGCUAAUGUAGUAGAAGAAAAACCUAAACCCAAAAACAAUAGGUCCAGGAAACAAAACUCUAGGAACAAACCCAAUGCAUCAAACAAGAUCCAAAACCCAAUUAUUAAAAAGAAAAAGAAAAAGUAAGGAUCUUGUUUGACUCUAAUAAAAUAGUUUUAACCAAGAAUGAUGCAUUUGUGGGGAAGGGCUAUUGUAAUAAGGGUUUAUUUAUGUUGAAUGUUUAUGAUAUUAUCAAUAAUAAUGCAUCUUCUUCUUUUUCUGCUUACAUAGUUGAUUCUUGUGAUAUUUGGCAUGGUAGACUAGGACAUGUGAACUUUUCAUAUAUGAAGAAAAUGGUUGAAUUGAGUUUAAUCCCUAAAUUGUCCUUAGAAAACCAUGGAAAAUGUGAAUCUUGUGUAGAAUCUAAAACCACAAAGAAAUCUUGCAAAUCAGUUGAAAGAGAAUCAAAUGUACUAAGUUUAAUACACAGUGACUUAGGAGACCUAAAAAAUACAAUGACUAGAGGUGGUAAACGAUUCUACAUAACUUUCAUAGAUGACUACUCAAGGUAUACAAGGGUAUAUCUUUUGAGAAACAAAGAUGAAGCAAGAUAUGCUUUCAUCAAGUACAAAAAUGAAGUGGAAAAUCAACUAAGUAAGAAAAUUAAAAGACUUAGAACUGAUAGGGGAAGAUAGUAUGAGUCCAACCUCUUUAAUUCUUUUUGUGAAGAUCAUGAGAUCAUUCACAAAAAUACUCCUCCUUAUUCUCUUGAGUCUAAUGGAGUAGCAGAAAGGAAAAAUAAGACCUUAAAAGAAAUUAUGAAUGCAAUGUUGGUAAGUUCAGGAGCACCCUUGAACUUAGGGGGGAAGCUAUCCUAUCUGCAUGUCAUAUUCAAAAUAGAAUACCUUAUAAGAAAACUGGAAAAACUCCUUAUGAGUUGUGGAAGGGUUAUGCACCUAAUAUAGCAUACCUGAAAGUGUGGGGGUGUUUAGCUAAAGUUCUUUUCCCUGAACCUAAAAAAUGAAAACUAGGUCUUAAAACCUUUGAUGCAAUGUUCAUUAGCUAUGCUGAGAAUAGUGCGACAUAUAAGUUUCUUGUUACUAAGUCAGAAAACAGUCUUGUAGAUGUCAAUACUAUUAUGGAAACAAAGAAUGCAGAUUUCUUUGAAAACAUCUUUCCUAUGAAACUAAAUGGUGAACAACAAGUUUAGAAAACAAGUAGAGACAAGUCUAUUGAACCUUCUGAAUUUGAACCUAGAAGGAGUAAAAGUGAUAGGAAAGAAACAAACCUUGGAGAUGGUUUCUACACCUUCCUAAUAGAUGAGGACCUUAAUCCUACAAAGAAGCUAUAACUUUUCCUAAUGCGCCAUUUUGGAAAGAGGCCAUUAACAGUGAAAUCGAAUCAAUCAUGUAUAACCAUACGGGGAGUUAGUAGAUUUACCUCCUGGUACAAAGACUAUUGGUUGUAAGUGGAUCUUUAAAAGAAAGUUAAAAUAAGAUGGGUCCAUAGAGAAGUAUAAAGCUCAUUUAGUUGCCAAAGGCUUUAAACAAAGGAAAGAUGUAGAUUACUUUGACAACUUUGCCCUUGUGAAUACAAUAGCAUCAAGUAGAGUAUUGAUCACUCUAGCUUCCAUUCAUAAUUUGGUUAUACACCAAAUGGAUGUUAAGAUUGCAUUCUUGAAUGGGGAUUUGGAAGUGGAAAUUUAUAUGGAACAACUUGAGGGUCGUGUAGUUCCAGCGAAGGAGAAAAAGGUGUGUAAGUUGGUUAAAUCACUAUAUGGGUUAAAACAAGCUCCCAAACAGUGGCACAACAAGUUUGAUCAUGUGUUAGUAACUAAUGGAUAUUCCAUUAAUGAUGCUUAUAAGUGUAUCUACAGUAAGUAUGAGGAUAACACAUGUGUAGUCAUCUGCCUUUAUGUUGAUGACAUGCUGAUCUUUGGAACUAGCCUAGAGGUUGUGUGUGAGACCAAGAAAUUCCUAGGUCCUAAGUUUGAUAUGAAAGACCUAGGAGAGGCAGAGGUGAUUUUAGGAAUUAAAAUAACUAGAACACCUAAUGAGCUUAAACUUUCUCAAGAGCACUAUGUAGAAAAGAUCCUAAGGAAGUUUGAACGCUUUGAUUGUAAACUAGUGUCAACUCCUUAUGAUCCCAGCUCACUACUGAAGAAAAAUAAAGAACAUAGUGUUGCCCAAAUAGAGCAUGCUCAGAUCAUAGGGGACCUAAUGUACUUGAUGAACUGUACUAGACCUAACAUUGCUUAUGCAAUAGGUAGAUUGAGUCGAUACACCCAAAGUCCUAAUCAGGACCAUUGGACUAUUGUUCGUAGAGUCCUUAAGUAUUUGAGAGGCACCAUUAGUGAUUUAGUGGAUUUCCAAGUGUCCUUGAAGGAUUUAGUGAUGCAAAUUAGAUCUCGGAUUCAGAUGUGAUGAAAUCCACUAGUGGAUAUGUUUUCAUAUUUGGUGGAAGUAUAGUUUCUUGGAAGUUUACCAAGCAAACUUGCAUUACUCGGUAUACUAUGGAGGUUAAGUUAAUUGCCUUAGAAAAGACAAGUUUUGAGGCUGAGUGGCUUGAAAACCUCUUAGCAGAUAUCCCUUUAUGGACGAGACAAACCUCGCCUGUGUCUAUGCGUUGUGAUAGCCAAGCUACAAUUGCUAAGGCUAAGAGUAAAAUAUUUAAUGGGAAGAAUAGGCAUAUAUGGCUAAGGCACAAUAUUGUGCGGUAGCUUCUUGAAACGAAUUUGUGAGGUCAGAGUUGAAUUUGGUCGAUCCUUUGACCAAACCACUAAAUAAGAAACUAGUGGAAGAAACAUUGAGGGGGAUGGGGCUUAUGCCUAUUACAGAAGUUAAGAGUGGUGGUAACCCAACCUAUUAGAAUGGAAAUUCCAUGAAGUAGGUUCAUAUGGGUAAUAACAAAUCACUUGUUGACUUGAGGUGCUAUAUCAACUCUAAUUGUAUGAGGGUCUAUCCCUAUGGUGUAGAUAGAGCGUAUUUUGCAUUGAUUAAGGUUGAGUGUUUACUCUUAAUGAAUACCAUAUUCCUUAUGGAUGGUAUGUUUAAAUGCAUAACAUACUUGAUGGAUUCACCUAUAUGAGAGUGGAGCCGGGGCCGCUUCCUAUGAGAACUUAGGUAGUUUCUCUAGAACUCUCAUGAAUAUCCAGGUAGGGCGCAUGGCCUAUUUGUGCCAACCCAUUUUGUACAACUCGUAGUGUAAUUGAGAAAACCAAUGUGGAUAAAAGUUCAUUGAGUUACAUCAAGAAACACUGGUUCAUAGAAAUUUAUUUUCACCCUGUUUUGUGAUUCAAUACCUAUUUGUCUUAAGACUAGUUCAUAGCCUUUGGGUACCAGUACUAAUGCAUUGGAUUUUUUUUCCUCAAAAAAUAAAUAAAUAAAUAAAUAAUCACGUUUACACUUUGUGGGGGAUUGUAGGAAAAGUGUAAAUAAUUUUUAUUUUUAUUUUAUUUUAUUCUAUUAGUCUUAUAUUUUUGGGAAGAGUCCUAUUGGGAUUGUACUAGUGGAGUCCCAUUCCUUUUAUAAGUAGAAUCCCCUUCCACUCUGAGUCAUGCUCUGAUUACAAGUAGAUUCCCAUUGGGACUAUGUUAGUGGCCUAUAAAAGCAGGUCACCCCUCGCUCUCUAUAUACCAAUACCAAUUUUUUAGAGAAUUUUUUUAGAGAGUUUUUCAAAUAUUCUUUUCAUACAUCUAUCUAGACGAAUUUUUUCAAAAACCCGAGCUGUACACAUCUCGCUUACAAAGUGCACCCAAGGCAAGAGCUGGGUGUUGAAUCCUGGAGGUAGACCACUGGUACCUUAGUGCACCGAAUUUGUCUUCGAGGAGGGUGGAUCUAUUUCAAAGACAAUGUUUGCCACACCUCAACCGACAAGGCGGCACAACGUGCACAACCAUUUUUUGAUUUUUCUUUGGGAAUUUUGCUUUGUUUAGGAACUUUGCUAAAAUGGGCACUUGACCUUGAUGAACAUUUUUCCUAGAUGGACACUCGGCCUUGGUGGGCAUUUUACCUAGAUGGGUGCUUGGCCUUGAUGGACAUUUUGCCUGGAUAGGCACUUGUUCUUGAUAGGUAUUUGCUUAGAUGGGCAUGUCACCUUGUUGGGCACUUGGCCUUGAUAGACAUAUCAUCUAGAUGGGCAUUUUGCCUUGAUGGGCACUUGGCUUUUAUGAGCAUUUUGCCUAGAUGGGUAUUUUACCUUCUUUGAUCUUUCAUAGGUUGGAACUCUAUAGGUGGUGGGGUUGUGUUUUGGGUUGUAUUUUCCAGGCACACAUGUGUAGGGGUAGGGAAAUGCUGCAUUUCCUCCUGGUUUUAGCUCUAGAUGUGCUUAUUGCCAUGCACACAUGUAAGUAUUGUUCUGCUUCUUCUUCUUGUGUUUAAGGGUAAGUUGAGUUUUUUUUCGUACUCUUACAUUUUCUCUCCAUCUUUCUUUGUCUUUAUUUUGUUGUGCAGAUGAAGUGUGGCAUCAAGGAUUUUAGUAGGCGGAAAGGUGAGCUUCACUACCACGUUGCUGAAACUGACCAACUGAGGUAAGUCAGGUACUUUUUUUGCAGCUAAAGCUUUUGGUUGGGUGCUUUCUUGGCACUUGACGAUUUGACCGAGUGCUUCUUGGAACCUAAGGCUAUGGUCGGGUGCUGUUCGGCACCUAAGACUUUUUGGUUGAGUGCUUUUUUGGCACUUAAGGCUUUGUUGGGCUCUAUGCUUGGCUGGGUACUACUUAGGCACCCUAGGCUUUGUUGGGCACUAGGCCCAACUGGAUGCCACUUAGGCACCUUAGGCUUUAUUGGGCUUUAAGCCUGGUUAGGUGCUACUUGGGCACCGUAGGCUUUGUUGAGUGCUAGGCCUAGCUAAGUGCUACUUGGGCACCCUAGGCUUUAUUGGGCUUUAAGGUUGGUCAGGUGCUACUUGGGAACCUUAGGCUUUGUUGUGCUCUAGGCCCAACUAGGUGCCACUUUGACACCUUAGGCUUUAUUGGGCUCUAAGCCUGGUUAAGUGCGACUUGGGCACCUUAGGCUUUAUUGGGCACCCUAGGCUUUAUUGGGCUCUAAGCUUGGUCGGGUGAUAUUGGGCACCUUAGGCUUUAUUGGGCUUUGGACUUAGCCAGGUGCUACUUAGGCACCUUAGGCUUUGUUGGGCUCUAGGUCUGGUCGGGUGCUACUUGGGCACCCUAGGCUUUAUUGGGCUUUAGCCUUGGCUGGGUGCUACUUGUGCACCUUUGACUUUGUUAUGCUCUGGCCCUGAUCAGGUGCUACUUGGGCACUUUAGGCUUUGUUAAGCUCUAGGCUUGGCCGGGUGCUACUUAGACACCUUAGGCUUUUAAAGUCUAAUGCUUCUUUAUACCUAAGGUUUUUUUUUUUUUUUUUUUUUUUUUUUUUUUUUUUUUUUUGCGGUCAUGCGAUGCGUAACAUAUUUGAUUUGAAAAAUACAACAGUUGACGAUAUUGCUUCCCCAUUUGGGGAUCUUUGCUUUUAGAUGGAUUAGGCCAUUUGGUAAGAGUAGGAAGUUCUUCUUUGGUAGAUCCACCAGCGCCUCUUUGUCCACUGAUAGUGUCUAGGCAGUUGCAUUGAGUCAGGCCACCAAGAUCUAGUUCUCCCUUUUGAUUCGGUUAACAAGUCUUCUCAGUUUGUCCAACUACCUUCGAUACUUGUUAGCUACGGUUCAGUUGUUUGUUGUGGCCACUCAUAAGUUGUUGGGAUGACACUCUCACCAUCAACAUAGUUAGCUGCCAAUGUAGUCACCAUGGUUGGCUUUUGUUUCAUUCCCAUAGAUGAUGCCAAUUGUUGGUGCACAAUCUUUCUAGAUGUGAUGAUUUGGUGACUAUCCGGGUCGCUAUCCAAUCUUCUAUUGUCACCUCCUCUAUUGGUGGGUGUCUUGGUUCUCUAGGAAAAUGAUAUUUUUUUUCCUUGUUCUUCUUUCUCCUUUAUAGGUUAGAGUUAGACGUUGGAGGUUGUGUGGAGUACACGAUUAGCUUGGCAGGUUUGUGUUAGGCAGUGUGUGGUCGACUAUCCCUAACGCUUCAUGUUGAUGUGACAAGAUGAUGUUUUCCUUAGAGAUUUGUUCCUCAUACAUGUCUUGUUGUUGCCUUUGGUAUUCAUGCCACAUGAUCCAUGUUGGCAGCCUAAAAACUUCUUCCCAGUGACCAAUUUUUUAGUUCUUCUAGGAUCAGUUGGAGUGGGCUCUCGGAUCACUAUAGGUUUAAAUAGAGUCGGGAUGACUUCUCGAUCGGGAGACAAUAUUCAGCCGAUACAACAUCCGGGUACCCCUUCUUGGCAAAAUUCGGCACCCUCAGGAGGCAGCUUUUAUAGCGAAAUCUGCCACCCCCGACCCGAGUAAGCAGGUAGACCCACAGGUUGGCUGGCUUCUAUGGUUUGUACCUCCAAUUAUAAUGGAAGUAUAAAUUUUAAAAAGAUUCAGUGAUUGUAGGAUUCAAUUCUAAUGCUCUUAUAGUAGCCAAGGGUCCUCGGACUCAUGGUAGCACACAGACAUGUCCUCUUCUAUCUAUGCAAAUAGUCAUGCAAAAUACAAAUAUUCCCUCAUACAUUCUUAUAGUUUUACAUGUAUAUGAAUUUAAUUAUUUUAUGUUCUGACUAGUGAGUAGAAAGUGAGUUAAGGUCUCCGACAACAAGGUCUCCAAGCAACCAUAUUUCCCCAUUUUAACCUCGCUACUGCCAUUGAUGCGGUAGUAGAGUAUAACUGGCACAUAUAGAUAUGCCAGAAGAGCAAUCGAGAGCAGAUAGCUUCAAAUUCUGAAUGUGAGGUUCAGUUGGAGACUGGUUUUAUUAGCCUUUUAGAUAUGAUUUGAACCUCUAUUUUAGACAAGAACUUGGAGCUUCUGAAUAUAUGUAGUACAACUCCUUUGGUCAUGUAUAUAUGUGCAUAUUGCGUUGAGAUAGACAACAUACAAUCACUUGGCAACACAAUAUUAAAACUUUCAGAAUAUCACAAAAUUUGAUUGAUGUCAAAGACUCAUUCUGGACAUUUAGGAUAGGAGGUUACAAUAAAGCCAUUAACUGUACACAUAAGUUCAUUUGCAAGAAUUGGGAACCAAUUUAGAAGGUCAAGUAUAUUCGCUGUCAACAAGAAUGACGCCCUCCGAUUUAAGAUCUCUACUGAGGAGGAACCCAGUUUGAUCAAGAUUCUAGGAUCAAACAACAGAGUCAAAGUCAAAUCAAGAGCAACGUUCCAACUUGUCAUGAAGACCAAGAAUAGUAAUUGCUUUUGAGCAAGCAGUGAAAUUAUUUGCAAUCAGACAAUCAUCUUCUUCUUCAAGAAAUGCUGUAAUGAAAUUCUUACCAGUUGUGUCUGAUUCUUCGAAACAUGAAGUUAGCAAACAGAUUGUUCAUAUAUAAUGUCAGUUGGCAUAAAUGUAGUGUUCAAUCACCAAGCCACAAAGAUGAUACAACAGAACAGUUGCAGCAGGAAAACUUGGUUGUUUAUUCAAAAUCAAGUAAAUCUCUAGGUCCCUCAUACCACGAUUGCUCCCAAUAUUUAGGUCUUGGCGUAGACAAUUCCUUUCGUGUCUAUGUGGACAGAACAAUGCUUGGUGUUCUAGUUGUUGUCUUUCACCAUGGUCUAUAGAAAAAAUGUCCAGAAAAACAACUAAUGAUCAGUAGAAGUGUAAAAGGGAAGAAAGAAAACUACUGAUAGAUUGGAUCAUGACAGAUAUUUAUUUUUCCUAAAAGAAUGUAAAUGUAUGGUUGCUCUUUGAGUACAGCUCUCUACAGCACAAAAAUAAGGCAAUCAAAUGAAACAAACCAAGAAAACAACAAUAUUAAAAGAGUUAUGAAAUAUCACCAGAUGAGAUCCAACAGUAAAUUAAGAAACUUUAUAUAAUCUUGUUUACCUUAGGGCCAUGUCUGGAGGAGUUCCAAUUGUAGGCCUAGGGCCAAUGUUGAUAGGCACAUGCCCAGAUCUUAGACACCCUCAAGAUGAACAGUAGCAGCUACUCUAGGCGCUCCUACUGCACAGGCAAAAAACAAGUUAGUCAAUGUUUCUUGGCUAUUGGCUUUGGCUUGGACCUUGGUGGUUAUGUCAAUUUUAGAUAAAUAUGUUAAUAAUCCAAUGACUAUACUCCAAGAUUGAUGAUAUAUAUGCAAUAUAUCAAUUUGGAAAUGUCGAUAUAAACAUUUAAGGAAUUUAAAUUAGUCAAUUUUCAACAAUCUAGCAUUCAAAAGUGUACAAAAUGGUUAUAACUUGAAAGUUUGAAUAUAAACUGAGGUACAAUAUUCCUAUAGGCUCAAGUCUCCCUAGAACAAGGCAUCACAUCACAUAUUUAUGUGGCCUUAUGUUUGAGGUAAGCACCUUAUCUAUUGGCGAGUUCAUCAAUAAUAAGCUUUUUGCAAGAAAUUGGAGACCUAAAAUUACUCUAAUACUUCUUUUAUUGAACAUUAAAUUUUCUUAAAAGUGUUAUCGAUUAUCAAACAUUUAUAUCAAUGGUGGAAACUAGUUUGCUACCAAAGUGAAGGUCAAAGUCCUAAUUAUCAUUUCACUAAACAAUGUAAUAUAGUAUUAUACAAUUAUUGCUUUUAAAAGAAAAUUUACAAGCUAACUAGCGAAAUUUAUGAUUAUACCUUUUUCCGACUUCACUCACGCCAUUGAGCUUUAUAAUUUGAUGAAACAAGCCUAAAUCAAAAUUAUACAAAAAAAAAUAAAGAAUUGGAGAAAACAAACUUGUAAGCACUAAAUUUUGUACUUUAAAAGAGGAAAUAGGAUGCCAAUUGUAGGUUUAAUUUAAAGAAACCUUAAAAAAAUAUUUUUAAAAUUAUAGGAAAACCCCCAUACCUUAGAAAAGAUUGGGGCGAACAGUCUACCUUUUGGCGAUGUUCACAUCUUGAGAGGAAUGACUUCUUUCUUAGUAGAUCUGAUGAUGGUGUUGAUCUUUGGGAAGAGAUGAUUAGAAGGCUACGUUGAAUUUUAGUGAGUGAGAGAGAAAGCAACACCCAAAACCCUAAAGCAAAAAAGGAAUUAAUAACUUAAAUAGAUUCCAUUUUUUCCUUAUGACAUGUCUACCUUAGUAAGGUUUUUAUGGCAGUGAUACCAUUUGGAUAAUUAAGUCAUUGAUUUUGAUGGAUCUUUUCCAUUUGAAUUUUUAAUAUAUAAACUUAAUCUUUUUACUUGGGGUAAUAUAUUUGGUAUUUUAGGAUUUCCUUUUUAAUAAUAUGCUUUUAGUAGAUGGUUUAACUAUGUCCUAGUGUAAUAAGUAGUCUUGCAUUACAUUAUCUACUAUGGAGUAGGAGUGUGUUGCUUGUUCAAGGGAUGUAUGGGAAGUUGUUUAUUUGAUGAUAUACUUUCAACACUUAGAGUCACGACUUGAGCUAAUAAGUUUAUCAAGAUCUAAGCAUUGAUGGUGUUGCUACUCUAUUGUAUAGCAAGGAUCCAAUUAGUCACAUUGUAGGACAAAACACUUAUAGACAAUUGAUUCUACUACAUUCAAGAUAUUGUUGCUUAAGGGGAGGUAGAGUCAAAACAAGUAGACAAUUGAUACAACUACACACACAACAUAGAGACAAAACACAUGAAUAAUACUAUGGUUGAAUAAAUUAAUUGGAUGACAUCAAGCUAACAUUGAUCUAGUAUAAUUAUUUGGAGCCUAAAUGAGGGUAUGAUGAGAUGAUAAUUAUUUUGUCAUCAACAUAGUGAACAACAUAAAUUAAAAUCUUGAAAUGUCACCUUAGCCAACCUAGUAGAAAUGAUUCAUCAAAAUAUUUGAAUGUGAGAUCUUAAAUUGGUGUUUGACAAAUAAAUAUGGUAAUAAACAUAUAUUAAGUAUAUAUGAAGUGACCAAGCUGAGAUUUGUAUCAUGUUAUUAUAGGGAAUCCCGAAUCUCUUUGUUCCUUAUCCUAUGAUUAGGCUAGGUACAUGCGAAUCUUUCUAAGUUUUUCUAAAUCGUAUGAACAAUGGAAAAAUUGUGUUUUAAAAUAAUAACAAGAUUUAGAAUUUGCAUUAGAAAACAUUACCUUAGAUUUGGAUGUUCCCAAAUCUAAUUCACGUAGUAAAGGAGAAGAUUGAAGUUUUCAGAGGUCUUGAACACCCAAGAUCUUCCACCAGAUGACUUUUCCUUGAUUUUAGAUCUUAAUUGGUGAAGAGGAAGGAAGACUAAAAAGGCUAUGGUUCUCUCUCUCUUUGAAUAGUGAAAAAUGGCUCACUUCAAAAAAGUAAUGAAAACCUUAUUAUUUAAGGGGUAUUUAUUGGGUUCCCUAAUUGGGUGUAAGUGACUUAAGCGUACUAAAGGUUUGAAUCAUUUAAUUUAGCUCAAAAUGAGUCUUAAUUGAUUAAUUAACCUAACAUAGUUAUCUAAUUAAUUAAUUAGCUAAAUUUGGAGACUUUGUUCACUUACCCCUAUGCAACCUUGCAUAAUUACCAAAACACCCUUAUACGUAAAAGUGAACCAAGAGUUGUGUCAUCAAGGUAUAUGAGCUUAGGUGGAGACCAUUGAGACUUAUAGGACAGUACUAGCUACCCCAAAAUCUAAUUUUGAAGUUGAUUUAACAUUUCACUAUAGAGAAUCAAUUGCACUAUAAUACCUUAUGUAAAUAACAAUGAGAUGCUAAGUGGUCGAGCCCAUGACUUAUUAUCCAUUGCAUUCAGUCUCCCUAUGAACUGGUGUUUGUAGUCUAAUAAGGUGAAAACUAUCAACCUUUCAAGACUACCUCUACUAUCUUUGAAUUACAAAUCCUCUUAUUAUGUAUUUAAUUGAUAUAUCUUAAGUCUCCAAGAGUCUAUGUCAAGUUCCAUUUAAGAAACUACUAUGACCAUAGUUUACAUGAACAUACCUCCUUAGGAUCACUUAAGGGGACACUCUGUCUCAAUCCUCUUAGAUUUCAUGGUACUUCUGUUACAAAUACUCAUUGUCAUAGACUUGGAUCAAUAGUGAACCAAUCCAUAAGGAACAUAUCUUACGAUUUCAUUAGUAGGUCAAAGUCACUACUAACUUUAACACAAAUUCUAUAUUCUCUCAAGGUUAAGAGAUAAAACAAUGAAGCAACUUGGUGAAAUCAUGACUAUUUAAUAGCUUUAUGUCAUGAUUCACCAUAAGUCUUGUCUAAUGUGUAACCAUAUGCACUAGUAUACUCACCAUGGAAAACCCAUCCUGAUAACCAAGACCAACCAUUCCUCUAAAUAUGAAGUAGCAUACUAUAACCUCUAAUGGGUUACCUAGGCCUAUGAAUCGGUUGUGAACAAGUCAUUUACUUACAAUGAAUCCAUUUCUUAAAUUUUUUUUGCAACUCUUAAUGCACUCAAGUCCUGUACAAUACAAGAUAUAUAUAUUAAAAUGCUUACAAGGUAUAAUGUAUAGGAUUAGGAUAAAUAAAAGUGAACUAAAAGUUUAUUAAUAAAUAAUAAAAUUUUAAAUUUAUUACAUCGUGUCAUGCUUUUAUGAAACCUUUAAAAUACUAAGAGCAACCUUUCAUAAUCAUGAAUUAAACUUUAGUUUCAACUUCUAUCAAAGGCUAAAUGAGAAAAGCUAUCAUAGAGGAGGCCUCAGCCAAUGGGUAAGAUGCACUGUUAUACCAAACAAUAAGUGGAAAAUACAAUUUUAUUAAUACUUGAGAAAAAAAAAAAGAAAGAAAUAAAAGGAAGAUUUUACACUCAAACCAAGCAUUUAUUUAUAAUGAAGUGCAGUCUCCGUACGCACAUGUGGACUUAUUGGAAAAUCAUACAAAUUAUUGAAGGACGACCUUAGCUAGGCUAACAGUCUCCUAAAUAGGCUAUCUUUUAUAUAUCUUUGCAUUCAUCCAUCUCCUCAUUGUCUUUGAUUUUAGAUGGUGAGGAUGUGAAAGUAACAGGAAGCAGUGGACAAUUGUUCACAGUGAGGCUUAGCACAUCAGCUCUCGAAUAAUGUCCUACCACAUCGAACUGGAACUUUGCUUUAGGAAUCUCUCCACGAACAUCUACAUAUCAAGUGAUCACAAAAAUAUUUCAUCGGUCCAUGAUAAAUAUCAUAGAAUAUCAAGUCUUCGAUAAAACUAAGUUUGCAGUCCUCUUAAACCUAAAGAAUCAACUCAUUUGCCUUAUCUGCAUACUGAAAUAUUUGGAUAUAUAAUUGGAGAAGUUAGGGCCAUACCAAGAUCAGCUGUGAAGAGGCCUUCUCCUUCAUAAUUCGGUCCUGCUAGAAUUUCGCCAUGGGGCGAAAUGAUGACACUACCUCCAGCCCAAACAAUAGAAUCUGGAGUGACAUCUUCUUCUGUAGGACUGUAAAGAUACUCAGGUGGAGGUGGGUAAUCUUUCCUCCGACAGAACUGGAUGGGUGAAAGAACAUAGCAUCCACCCUCAAUAGCGACGUGUCUCAUUGUAGCUACCCAUGUAUCCCCGGAAUCGGCAGUAGGAGCACAAUAUAUCUCAAUACCUAUAGAGAUGUACAUUCGUAUUUUGUGAUCAAUCAAUCCCAUAUCAAAGCCAUAAUGUAUUUCAAGCCUAUUUAUAGGCUAAAACCCUAACAACUUAAAAAAGAGUACUGAAGUAUUUCAAGCCAAACCAUAUUAGUUAGUGAAGAAAAAGACAUACCUUUGCCAUACAUUGAUGUCCUGAAAAGCGGCAUUCUAUUUUCCCAACAAAUGACCGAACCAAGUUUUCCAUAUGGAGUAUCAUAAACUGGAGUAGUCGAGCAAUCUCCGAAACCCCAGAACAGCCGCUCCCAAUAUGUUGGCAUGAGUUUCCUAUGUUUUCCAAGGUAAUUACCUUCAGGAUCAAAGAAGAGAACAGUGCAAUACAAUGUGUAUCCAUCUCUCUCAACAACACCUGUCACUAAGUAGACUUUGUAUUUCGCAGCCAUUGAUGCCAAUCUAUCCACUUCAGGUCCUGAAAAUACAUUAAUAUGAGAUCAAAGAUGAAAUAUGUAAGCUGAUGGCUCAUCACAAAGCAUAAGUAGAUUUUUUUUUUCUUGGUUCAUUCAUCAAACGUGUCUUGUUUCAAUAACUAAUUAAGUGGUUCAGUUCUUUGGCUAUUUAAGGGAGAAAGAGAGAGGUAACUGACCCGGCACAUUAAUGGCAGAAGCAUGGUACUUGCGGAAACUUUCUUUCCCUCUUGGCGACUGGUCGGCGAAAUUGUAUCCCCGGGGAUACCCACCGAUAAAUGCUUCAGGAAACACAACCAGUUGGGAUCCUAGUGCAGCUGCUUCUUUCAAAAACCUCUCAGCCUUAUCUGCUCUCAAAAUCACAUUGCAAGAAUUAAUAAUCCACGACUUAGUAAAUUAAUUGGUUGAAUGGACAGAAUGAAAAUUAACUUCAAGAGAUCCCGAAUGACUUUUUGGUUGCUGAGAAAACUCAAGGAAAAAGAGACCUAGAUGAAACUUGAAACUCUCAUAUUUUCAGCUGUUUUGUAACUAAGAAAAGAGAAACCACCUCAACCCAACUCAUUAAAAUAAUUGUAAAAGCAGUAAUUCCUUGAUUGGCAGCUGAAAAUAUGAUCAGGGUUCAAUCAUCCUUUUCUUUUUUUCAGUCUCUGAGCAACCAAUUAGAUCACAUAUUCCAUUACACAAGUUGAACAAUUGAAAGAAAUGGUACGUUACCUAGAGUGGCAGGAGUAUCAUAAAAGAUACUAGAAGCUUGAACAACGGUGGCUCUAACAGUUGAAGACAUUGCAGAAAUCGUAUGCUUUUUCGUUUCCCUUUUGUUUGAGGAUUCCUUACACAACGUUCAGUAUAUAUAUUGCCCAUGAACAUGAGGUUCUUCUGCCAUUACUUGAACGAGACGAAGAGGCUGUGAAAAGUCUACCUUGGUUUUCUAUAUUCAUUGUGAGCUUUUCUCCUCAUCACAAAUUUUGAAGUUAUCCGCAGACAUUGUGGACCAGCCACAUGACUUGUACAAAUUGAAAAUGACUGUAAGAAAAUGACUCAGCCAAUUCAAGAUAUUUGUCAUUAAAAGAAUAGUCAUUAAAAGCACAAGAUAUUUGUCAUUUUUUUUUUUACAAAAACGACUGAGUCGUACAUAGUGUUAUGGUUAUAGACGCCCAAAAGAAGUCUUUUUGUGCCUUGUAAGAAAACCUUAGCCAAUUCAAGAUGACCACAGAAUCAAAAUAAGUUUUAUCGCUUUCUUUUUUUUCUACAGGUACGAUGAUUAUCUUUGAACGAAAAGAGGGAGCCGCCCACAUGCACAUAAAAAGGGAGUAAUGAGUGAUUCAAUGGCAGCUAUGGUAGAAAAAUAAAAAGGGAACUAUGCUUACCCUCACGUUGAUUCAAGCAAAUAUAUUUUUUAGGAAUUCUAAUUUUCAUAUUUCACCCCAAACACAUAAUCAAUAAAUUUAUUCUUCAAAUAUGUAUUUUAAUAACAACCAAAAUGAGAAUUCUAUAGUUAUCCCUUUUAAAAUCUUUAAUAUGACAAGUCAUCAUUUGAUCUGUUUGAUAUCCUCUCCAUAUCAUGUCUUUGAUAUCCUAACUUUGACAUUUUUUUAUUUAUAUACGCUGAAGUGAAUACACUUUCAUAUUUCUUUUUAUUCUUUUAAUAUUUUCAUAUUUAUUAACUUAGUCAUUUUUUUGAAACAUUAACAUAAAAUUAUAAUAUAUGAUCAAUAACUAAUAAGAACAAAUUAAACAUAAAUAUAAGUACGGAAUGGACAGAAAAUAAAAAAUUUAUCCUACAAAUAAUACACUAUAUAGUUUAAAAUAUUAAUUAUAAUAAUAUAUUUGAUACUUUAGGGUUUAGAUUAAAAAAUUAUGUUUUAUUUUUUAGAGGCUAGGAUAUAGGAUUUCCAUUAACCAAAGAUUUUUUGUAUGAAUCCUAAAUAAAAUGUGUAUUUAUUUUGCAAAUUCUUAUCAUAUAUAAAUAAAAUAAAAUAAAUAUAUUUUUAUCAUAUUAUUUUUAAUUUUUAUUAUUUUGUGUCAAAAUCACAGUCAAUGAUGGUGGUUUUUGUUAUGAUAUAGCUCUUAAAAGGAUGUUAUGAUGCAAUAAAUAUGAAGUUUAUUAUUUAUUUAAUGGUAUUUUGAUUUUACUUUUAUUAAUCUUUAUUUCAUGCAUUUUACCUUAUGAGUAUUCUAGCUUGACAUUUCUUGCACUAUACAUAACUUGGGUGCAUUAAAAAUUGCAUGAAAGAUCCAAGUUAUAGGUUCCUUGCAAGUAAAUGAUUUGUUCACAACCGCUUUGUGAACUUAAGCAAUCCAUUUGAUGUCGUAGUUCACUACCUCUUCAUUAGAGGAAUGAUUUAUCUUGACUACCAAGAUAGAGUUCUCAUGGUGAGUACACUAGUAUGAUGAGUUAUAAUUUAUAAUGUAAGGUUGUUGGGUAGUCAUAACUCACUAAGUUGUUAUAUUGUAUUAUCUUCUCAACCUUGAGAGGAUACUGAACUUGUGCCAAAGUCUAUAAUUGUUUGACCUAUGGGUGAGAUUCUAAAGUGAUUAUAUAUUCCUUACAGAUUGGUCACAGUAGAUAGAAGUCAGUAGUAAUAAGUAUUCUCAAUACAAACAUCACGAUAUCUCAUGGAAUUUGAGAUAGUGUUGGGUCAUAAUAAGGACAUGUGAUCAUGAAAUCUAUGGUCGCAUUAAUUCUUUAAAUGAAAUUUGAUAUAUGCUUUUGUGAGUUAGAGUAUGCUAGUUGAUCAUAUAAUAAGAGAAUAUGUGACUCAAGAAUGGUAUAGGUAAUCUUGAAAGGCAAAUAUCUUUCACCUUAUUAGAUUAUAAACACUAAUUCCUGGGGAGACUAUAUGCAAUAGAUAGCAGGUCACGAACUUAAGCACUUUGUGUCUUGUUGUAAUACACAUAGGGUAUUGAAGUGUAGUUGACUUUCUAUAGUAAGAUGUUGAGUCAAUUUUAAAAUUUGAUUAUAAGGGAGCUAGUACUAUCCUAUGGGUCUUAGCAGUCCUUGCUCAAGUUCAUAUAUCUCAAUGGCAUGGUUUAUGAGGGUUGGAUUAACUCAUGAUUCACUUAUGUGCAUAAGGCUGUUUUGGCAAGUAUGCAUGAUUACAUAGGAGUUUGUUGGGACAAAACCUUAUAAAGUAUGACAUGAUGUAAUAGAUUUAGUUUCAUUAAUAAAUUUAUUUAUUUACUAUUCUAGUUCCCUUGUAUUAUCCCAUUGGCAUUAAUUGGUUAUCAAAGUAUUUACACCCAUAUCACUUGCAUUGUACAUGACUUAGGUGUAUUUAGAGUUGACCAAAAAAUCCAAGUCAUGGGUUCUUUGCAAGGUAAUAAAUAGUUUAUAGUAGGUUCAUGGAUUUGAGCAAUUUAAUAGAGACUAUAGUGUACUACUUCCCAAUUGGAGAGAUGACUAGUCUUAGUCACCGAGAUGACUUUCCCAUGAUGAGUGCAAUAAUGUGUAUAGUUACACAUUGGACAUGACCUAUGGUGAAUCAUGACAUUAAUUGUUGGGUAGUCAUGAUUCACCAUGAUACUAGAUUGUAUAAACUCUCAACCUUGAGAAAAUAUUGAGUUUAUGCUAAAAUCAACAAGAAGCUUUUAUCUAUGGGUGAGAUCCUAAUGUGGUCAUAUAUUCCUUACAAAUUAGGUUACAGUUGAUGAAGGUUGGUGGCAACAGGUAUUCUUAAUAGAGACAACAUAAUAUCUUAUGAGAUUAAGACAACGUGUCUCUUGGGUGAUCCUAAAGACAUGUGAUCAAGAUGACUAUGACCAUAGUAAUUCCUUUAGUAGAAUUUGACAUAUGCUCUUUGUAAGCUAAAGUAUGUAAAUUGAUCAUUAAUAAGAGGAUUUGUAACUCAAGGAUUGGAGAGAUAAUUUUGAAAGGUUGCCAUCACUACCUUGUUAGAUUACAGACACCAGUUCACGGGGAGUUUACAUGCAGUAGAUAGUAGGUCAUAGACCUAAACUUUUCCUUAUUGUAAUUAUAUAGGAUAUUGGAGUGUAGUUGACUUUCUUUAGUAAGGUGUUAAGUUAACCUUAGAAUUGGAUUCAAAGCGAGCUAGCAUUUUCCUAUAGGUUCCAAUGGUCCCUGCUCAAUCUCUCAUUUAAUGGUGUCACAUUUGUUUAAGGUAUUUUAGGUUUGUAGUUAACAAGUGUGCAUUAGGGGGAAUUUAAUAAAAAUACAAGGUUGGACUAGAUAUUGUGAAUAGACUUUCUAGAUUGGCCUAAUUUAUUAAUGGAUUCCAAUAUGGCUAAUUAAUUAAUUAGGAUCUAAGUGAGUUAAAUUAGGUAACCUAAGCCCACUUUAGGCUUAAGUCACUAAAGUUCACAAGGAAGCUUAUAAAUAACUAUUUAAAGCUUAUUGGGUUUUAUGAGUAACUUAAGCUUGCCUUGGGUUUGGGUAAGUUAUCAUAACCUAAAAAAGUUCUUAAUUGAGCGCUUAGAUUAAUCAAUUAGCUUAGUCCAGAAAUACCUUUCACCAACUCUAUUGGAAACUUUGAAUUACUCCAUUUCAUGAUCUAGGAUCAAAUAGGGUGCAUGCAACUAUCUUUAGGUUUUUCUAGAUCUAAUGCACUAGAAAAAUAUGGAUAUAAAAUCCAUAAAAUGUACUAGAUUUAUAGAUUAAAACUCAUACCUAUGAUUUCAAUGUUUCUAAAUUAAAUCCAAUCCCUAAAAGAUAUCAAAGAUGUUUUAAAAGUCAUCUAUCAAACAAUUUUCCACCCAAUCUCUCCCUCCACAAAUAGACCCUAGCACAAAAAAAGGUGAAUGCUGGAAUUUUCGUCAAUUAUUGGAUCAAAACAAAAUUUAUAACCUAAUUCACUAUUCUAUAGCAGCUUGUACCCGAUCAAAAAGUGGUUUUAGUACAAACUAUUGUAGUAUAGUGGUUUUUAGGUGUCGUCCACUAGGAUGGAUUGUUCUCGGUAAUUAAGGCUUGAAUGAGAUGAUAAGAAAUUAUUGCAAUCAAGUGAAAAUGAUUUGACAAUUCAUGAUAAAAGUUCAACAUAACAAUGAUUUCAAAUUUAGAGGAAAAUGAAGGGUAAAAGAGAAGAAAAUUAAUAGAAGAUGAAAUUCUUGGAGGUAGGAUUUUCUAGAAAAAAAUUUCCACGGUGAAUAGAUGUUGAGAUCUAAUUUUCAUCAAGUUAGAUUGAAAACCUAAAUUUUCAUCUAAACCAAUUUUUGAUUUAGCUUUAGGUCUAGAUCUAAUUUCUCUUCAAAUUAGGUCAUUUAAUCCAAGAGAUCAAUUCAAAUUAUAUAUUCAAUUCAUCUUAAACUAUCUUCCAAUGAUUCACAUAAUGCAACUAUUCAAUCUCAUCAAAUCUAGCUUUAAGAAUUUGAUGAAUCUACCUAGCUUGCAUUGUAGUAAUCAUCCAAGACAAUUUGAAGAGAAAAAUCCUCAAAUUUCAAUUAAUCAAUCAAUUGGAUCAAAUUACCUUUUCAAUUCAAGCUCAUUUCUCUAAUUCACCAUAGAUUUUGCCUCUAGAUCCUCCCUCCUUUGAGAAAAAUGAGAUUUAGCCACUCAUGCUUGGAGAUUUUGCCUCACAAAACAUUUUUGGCUAGCGAGAAAAUGAAGGAAAGUGGAAAAUUCUAGAGAAAGAGAAAAUAUGGAAAAUUCUACAAUUAGAAAAUGUCUAAUUUUUUUUGAAAAUGAGUAAAUCAAGUUUCUAUUUAUAGGCCAAGGUCAAGAGGACACUUGGCAUCAUCUAAGAGGUCUUUUAAAGGCUUCUUCAUCAAGAAAUUUGGAGUUUAGUAAUAAAAUGUCCAUUUCGCAAGAGAUCCAGCACUUUCACACGAGCUCCAUCAAUUUCGCAUGAGUGUGCGAAGUGGAAAAUGCAUCAGCACCAAUUUCGCCUUCUUAGAGCAUUUCGCAUGACUGUGCGAAAUUUUCGCAUGGUCGUGCAAAAUCAGCUUCAAGAUUUCCCUUUGAGCUGUAGCCAAAAUUGCCUUCUGGUCCAUUUCAAUUUUAUACUCUGUGUUUUUGGGAUGAAUGACAUGUGAAAGUUGGAAUUUGCUAAAAAAAUAUACAUAUAUUUUUUUGAGUUAAUGUUUGUAAGCAUAAUUCUCCCAAAAACCGGUCAUGCUUCAUCAUAUUGUAUGUUUGUUUUUUUUUAUAAUGUGUGGUUAUUCAUCUUUAUAUUUGUGUAAUGGAUUGAUAUCUAUAAAUUAAGAGUAUCAAUUGAUAGGUAGAUGAAUCAAUUGAUUGGGCAUCUAAGAGUCUUAUGUGUAGAAGACUAAAAUUAUAAAUGGGGAGUUAGAAAACUUUUCAUUUAUAUGAAUAGGGUGUUACAAUUUUUGUAAUCCUAUCAUUAUGAGAUUUAAUUUGUAUAUAAAGUUUAUGAGUAAUGGAGGAAGAUGGAAAAGUAUAACCUAUGCAAUUAUAUAAAUGCAUUCAAGUUGGUAACCCACAAUUAUCCAUUAAUUUGUACAUAAUGUUUGUAAAUAAUGAAUAUAACUCCCGUGUAGUCUUUGAUGCAUGAGAAGACUAAGAGAUAUAAAUCUCUUUUAUAAGAUCAAGAUCCUAAGUCAUACUCUCAUUCUUAUGUCUUUUUGUUAUUUUACUUAUAACAACAUAUAACACACAAGUGACCCGUCUACUAUAUGAGAGUAGUGAGUUGAAGAUCUUGAGCAAAACAAUUCACAAGAUGACUCAAGCUCACUUCAAAAGUAUUAUCAAUAUCAUGGAUGAAGGUAAAAAUAUGAUCAUUAUAUUAUCAUUGCUUUAGCAUUUAUAUCUAUUAUGUUUUAUGCAUCCAAAAUUGAUUUUCCAAAAUAAUUGUUUUCACAUAAAGUUUAGUUAACAUGUACUUCUAUUUUAAAAUUUUAAAAUUUUAAAAUAAAUUUGCAGAAAUCACUUUUAAAUGUUUUUUUAUAAAAAAAAAUUUAAAAUAUGAAAGAAUCACAUAUUUUUUCAACUUUGAAAAAUAGACCUAAUAAACAUAUUUAACAUUUAUAGCAAUUAAAAAUUAAUUAAUAUUUUUUAAAAAAAAAUUAAAUAAAAGCAAUGGUGUAUCCAAAUAAUACCUUAUUCACCCAAUUUAGUUAUCAUAUGCCUUUAGUACCGAAGUGGCUGACUAAAUUUUUUCUCAAGGUAUAAUAAUGCUAAAAGAUCUUUAACCAAAACAUGGACUUCACUCUUAUUUCUUCCUACCACUUUAAUUUCACCCAACUUCACCUAUAGAAGCUCAUUCAUGUCUUAUCUUGUUUGUCUAGUUUGAACCUCAUGUUGCUCAAGUCCCAAAAGGAAUAAAAUUUCAUUCAGAAUAUAAUUAUGCACAAAAUCCUCAUUAGGGUUAGAGUUUGCUCCUUCAUUAAUUAAUUAUAAUGGUUUAGGGUCAGAAUAACAUACUUUAUUAUGUUAAAGUAUCCUAAACUUUGUUAGCAAACACAUAUGGCUGAAAGCGAAGAAUGAUCAAGAGUCCAAGUACUAACAAAGGGCACUUAUGAACCAUAGGUUGAGGAAAGUGGCUUGAGCCCAAGCUUGGGGCUUAGGUUAUUUUUUGUUUAUGCAAUACUUAAAUCCAAACUUAAAGGUGACAUUAGAAACAUAUUUCAAUCUCAUAUUUUAUCCUCUUAACUAUUGGACCUAAUUGCACUCGACAUGGAACUUGUUUAUGCAUUUUGGGAAUCACAUGCAUUUUAGUCCCAAAAUAGCUAUGCAACUUUUUUUUCCACCUAAUUAAGUUCAAAAUUAAGGGGGUGUUUGGUAAAACUUAAUACCUUUUACUAAUGACUUAAAUUGACUUUAAGUUAAAUUAUAUUUAACUUGCUAACUUAAAACUUAUUAUUUAAUUCUUACUUCAAGUAUUAAGGUUGUUUAAUAAAAUUAAUUUAAAACAUAUUUUAAAUCAUCAAAUUGAUAUAUUAUCCUCAUAAAUUAUAACUAGAGUAUAAGAGGUUGAGUGACAAUGAAGGUCGUGGAGUAGUAAAGAAAAUUGUGGAGGUAACUAGGAUAAAUGAGAAUAAAAAAGUAGAAUGAAAAUAUAAAUUUUAAAAUAAGUUAAUUGGUUUUACUUUUUCUUAAAAUUAUUUUUGAUUUUAAGUCAUACCAUUAAAUUAUUUUAAUAAACAUAAUUUACUUAAUAACUUAAAUUAAAUUAUUAAGUUGUUAAUUUACCAAACACCUACUAAUUUUCAAAUUCUAAGUUUAGCUUUGCUUUGCAGUGAAUGCAUUUAGGAUUAUCAAAGAGGUCAUCAAGGGUUUCAAACAUAUUUUAUUGCUCAACUUCUCGAAGAGGGACUUCAGAAGAGAAGAUUCCAUAAUUCUAGUUUUGUAUGCGAUUGUAUGUAUCCUACCACAUGGAGACGAUUCCUCAGCAUGCUGAUUUAUUAUUAAGUUCAUGUGAAUUACGUAUGGAAUUCCAAUUGAUGUGAACAUAAAAUUAAUUGAAUUAUGUGACAUUUUUUUUACGCAGAAUAAAACAUAUACAGUUGGAAGAUAUCUCGAGAUUCUGAUUUUAUAUCUGGCCCUCAAAAUUCUAUUUCACUGUCAGGUUGUGGACGUUCCACCCAGCUGGAGCAGAUCCCUUGGCAUGCUGAUAUGCCAACUAUUGAAAAGUCUGCACCCAUUUUCUAUAUUCAUGAGCUUUUCUCCUGUUCGAAUUAGUUUUGAAGUUAUCUACAGACAUGACUUGUACAAAUUGAAAAGUUUUAAUUAGGGCAGCAAAAGUAAUCCCUUCAAUUUUAUUAUUAUUGUUAUUAUUAUUACCUUAUAAAAAGAAUUUACCCAAUCAAAAGUGAUCGCAUAGUCAAAAUAGAUUUUAUUUUUUCUUAUCUUACAAUAAUAUAAAAAAAUAUAUAUAUACUUUCAAUCAAUGUCUCAUAUUUCUAACACGUACGCGCUCUAGAAUUUCUCGAAUUGUAGUCUAGAGUGUCAACUUUUAGUGUUUGAUCAAAAAGGCCAUAAACAAAUAUAUGAAAAAAGUAAUCAACAAGCAGAGGAUUCUUUUUGAAUAAAAAAGACCCACUUACAAGCAUGGAUUAUAAAUUGUCUUCAGUUGCGGCUGAAACUUUCUAUAUGACUUUAAAGAAAAAAGAGGUCAUAAAUAGAUAGCUGAGAACAAGUUGAGGGAUUCAAAGGCAGCUAUGGUAUAAAUAUUGUUUUAUAAAUUAAACCUUUUGUACCGCCUCUACAAAGGAACACAAAAUUGAGAGAUUCAAAGGCAGCUAUGGUAUAAAUAUUGUUUCAUAAAUUACUUUUCAAAUUUAAUUUGAUAGCAAAAAUUUAAAAUAUAAAAGUAUAAAAAAUUUGUUUCAUUCCCAAAAUUUUUGCAAAUAAAAUUUAAAGUAAUAAAUUAACACCAUGACUCUUUUCACAUCUUAUUCUCAUUUCUAUCAAAGCAAUGAUAGUAAUUGUCUUAUCUAUAAAUUUUAAAUGAUGUAAGAUCAUUGAAUUUUUAUUUUCUUUUAAACUUCUUGUUAUGUAAUUAUCAAACAUAUUUUUUUAAGACAAGAAAAAAAUUACACCGAACAAAUAGAUUUGAUACUUAGAAUAAUUGAAAACAUAAUUCGUAUUUUCCAUUUUUAAAAAUAAUAAAAGCAAAGGUGUUUCAAAACAAUACCUCAUUUGCUCAAUUAAUUAUCACAUUUCCUAAGUACAAAAGUAGGCAAGUAAAUUUUUGCUCAAGUUACAAUAGUGCUCCAAAUCCUUAUCCAAGAUUUUGAUCCUAUUUCACAAUUGUUUUUUAAAACAGUUUUUUUCUUCUCUACAACAAAAAAAAAAAAAAAACAAGAAAAUGUGUUUGAGAAUUGGAAAAUAAAGUGUUUUCAAAAAAACAUAUGUUAGUUGUUUUUAGUUUUUCUUCAUUAGCUUUUUUGAAGGUUGUUUUUAAAAAUAAUUAUACAAAUAUGAAGAAUUAUUAAAAAUAUAAUUUUAUAGACAAAAGUUAUUUUAAAAUUAUAUGCACGAGUUUUGGAAAGUCUUGCAAAAUAAGCAAAACUAUAGGAAAAAUAUGCAAAUAAAAUUUGUAUUAAAAUCAUUGGGGGCCCCCGCAUUUCGGCUCAUGCGCUUCCACUCGAUGGUGAGCUCGAUUUUUAUUUUGAAAAAUGAUUUAUUAUUUGAAAAAUGACUUGAAGUCGCCACUUAUUUUUGUUUUAUUUUUAAAGGGUAAACAAAAUAAGAAAGAAAACUCUAAAUGUGACUCCUUAUUUGGAAAAGGUGGUCUGUGAAAAACCGGAUCGGGCUCGGGGGUUAGGUUACUUAUUGGGAAGGUACGGUAAAAACCGUAGCACCCCUCUAAGUCCCCAAAAACGGGUCUUUACUAAUGAAAUGAAGCAAUCAUGACAAUUGAUAAGUAAAUCAAUGGAUACCGAAUGAAAAUCGAAACAAAAUACCCAAAUGAAUUUGAGAGACAAAGAACGUACCUGAGUGACGAGCUGAUUUAUUUCAUUGGAAACAAAGGUUAGUGAACAAACACAAAUGAUCGUGUGCAUAUCAUAGAAUAGAACAAAUCAAUCACAUAUAGCAAUCAAAUCAAUCAAUCAUAAAAUCGCAUAUGUUGGGCCCCCACUAAAACCCAUUUAUUUUUGCAUGAAUUAAUUCUGUAAAUUCCAUCACUCGGAAUUAUAGAAUUUAAUUCAUGCUUAUUUUAAAACAUUUAAAAAACAGAGGAGAUGUGAGUAUUGCUCAUCAGAAAAGAAGAUGGCAACAAAGUUUUAUUAAAAAUGGGAUUUUUGGUACCUAAAACUCUAAGGAUGAAAAUUUUGGAGUUGAGAUUAUUUAAAAAGUUAGAAUCUGAAAAAUUAUUUUUAAAAAAAGAUUUAGAAAGUUAUUUUCAAAACCAAAAGGGAGAAAUAGGAGGUGGCAUGUGGCCCAAAGGUGGCCAUGCGGAGGUGGCCAUGCAAAAACAUUUUCUUCUGGGCCAAGGGAGAGACUGCGCUAUAGGGAUCAAUGGUAUUGUUGGGCUUGUCAUAACUCUAACCAGGAUAGGAUCCCAGCCACAUAUAGCUGUAACUAGGUUGCUACAUUGAAAGAGUACCAAGAGAGGCACCCUAGCUUAACGGAGGUCAGGCCUGGUAGCCUUGCGGAGGAUAUCUCUAACCAUUGCCAGAUUUCUGAUAUGAUUCUCACUGAUGACUUCGUUGACCAACUGUUCAGCAAACUCAAUCUGUUCACUGGUACUGCCUAUGUGUGCAAUUCUCUCCAUUGAUAUGUCACCAGAAAGGAAAUGCAAAAGUAUAAACUAGAUACGAGCUCCUGUCUUGGCUUGCAUAUUUCUAAUGAUCUCACCGCCCUUACCAACUAUCAGACCAACCUUGUUGUUUGGUACUUUCAUCACGAGCUGUCCAAACCCAGUCCAACCAAUUAACCUUCAAGAAAUUAUGCCAAACCUCUUUGCUUAUAUCUGUUGUGUCAUUCCAUAAGAAUUGAACGCACCCAUAUGUAAGCACCCGUGAUGUGUCGUCACACUCCAACUGCAAAUUAAAUCGAACAAGACCUUUCAUGGAAGCAUCUCUGACAUCUAAAUGAGACCCUGUCAAACCUUGAAUUAUCUGGAGUUCAUCAAGUGCAUCAUCAAAUGCUCUUCAUUCAGAGUGUCCAACUUAGCAAUAGCUUCAUCAAAAACCUAUUUAUCCAGAUUACAAGCAUGAUCCAGGGGAUUCAGAAUCUUAUAGUAAAAGACGGAGAAGUUAAGUGCAAGCCUCAAGCAGAUAAGACGGGUUGAAGCCAAUUCCACAGCUGCAAUAUCCUACGCUGAUUUUAUAAGCUACGAGAGUGCUCUCCGUCGCCUCUCUCAUCUCGGCUCCGGUCUUGAAUGCUGAUAGAUAACAACGAUAAUCGCUCUUCAUCUUUAAACAAAGCGACUUUGGGUCACUAGCCAUAGCCGAAUGAAUAAGCUACGAAUCCAGCAGACGAAGAGUAUCGUCACAGAUGGAGGAUUGUUGAAACAUAACACGCAUAUAAUGGAAACAGACUCGUGUUGGCUCCUGCCCGCUCCCAAUGGGUAUGGCCCUCAUGCUCAUUGACAUGUUCGAAGACGUCAACAAGCGCACCAUAGACCUUCUGUAGGCAGAGGAUUGGGUUUAAUGGGUUUAGAAAGAAUUUGUGGCAUGUAUGGGUAUGGAAAUAGGUGUGAAUGAUAGCCUUGCAUGCAUGAGGAGUGGUGAAUAGGUUGAAGAGAGUGGGUUUAGAGGAUAGAAAUAUGGGUAUAGUUGUGGGUUUAGAAAAUGGGUACAGUAUUAGUGGGACGGGUAGUGGAAAAAUGGAUUGGAAGGCAUUGGAAAAUGAGGUCUCUAUGGUGGCCAUGCAUGCGUCAAAAAAUAGAAAGGAGUGCAUGGAGGUUAAAUGGAAGGAUGAAUGAUGGAAGUAGCAGCUUGGGUAGGUGUAAGCUUUGGAUUUGGGUAGGUAAAAAAAAUGAGAGAUAGGUAUGAGAUAGCCAAUGAGAGAUCUGCACCAUUUGGCAUUGUGAUCGCUCGGUUUUUGUCGUUUAUUGGAUCAAAACAAAAUUUAUAACCUAAUUCACUAUUCUAUAGCAAUUUGUACUCGAUCAAAAAAUGGUUUUAGUACAAACUACUAUAGUAUAGUGGUAUUUAGGUAUCGUCCACAAGGAUGGAUUAUUCUCGGUAAUUAAGGCUUGAAUGAGAUGAUAAGAAAUGAUUGUGAUCAAGUGAAAUUGACUUGAAAUUGCAUGAUAAAAUUCCAAAAUAACAAUGUAUUCAAAUUGAGAGAAAAAUGAAGUGUAAAAGAGAAGAAAAUUAAUAAGAGGUGAGAUUCUCGGAGUUAGGAUUUUCUAGAAAGCAAUUUCCAUGGCGAAUAAGUGUUGAGAUCUAAUUUUCAUCAAGUUAAAUUGAAAACCUAAAUUUUCAUCUAAACCGAUUUUUGAUUUAGCUUUAGGUCUAGAUAUAAUUUCUCUUCAAAUUAGGUAAUCUAAUCCAAGAGAUCAAUUUGAAUCAUAUAUUCAAUUCAUCUUAAAUUAUCUCCUUAUGAUUCACACGAUGCAACUAUUCAAUCUCAUUAAAUUUAGCAUUAAGAAUUUAAUGAAUCUACCUAGCUUGCAUUGUAGUAAUCAUCCAAGACAAUUUAAAGAGAAGAAUCCCCAAAUUUCAAUUAAUCAAUCAAUUGGAUCAAAUUACCUUUGCAAUUCAAGCUCAAUUCUCUCAUUCACCAUAGAUCUUGUCUCUAGAUUCUCCCUCCUCUGAGAAAAACAAGAUUUAGCCACUCAUGCUUGGAGAUUUGAUCUCAUAAGACAUGUUUGGCUACCAAGAAAAUGAGAGAAAAUGAAGGAAAGUAGAGAAUUAUAUAGAGAAAAGAAAUCUGAAAAGUUCUACAAUUAGAAAAUGUAUCAAAAGUCUUUAAAUGAGUCAAUCACAUUUUUAUUUAUAGGCCAAGGUCAAGAUGACACUUGGCAACAUCUAAGAGGUCUUUCGGAUGCUUCUUCAUCAAGGAAUUUGGAGAAAAUACAUUUUCGCACGAGCCUUAGCAAUUUCGCAUGAUGGUGCGAAGUGGAAAACCAUCAGCUUCAUUUUUGUCUUUCUGGAGCGUUUCGCAUGACUGUACAAAAUUUUCGCAUGGUUGUGCGAAAUUGCUUUUCACUUUUCCCUUAGUAUGCUACAGCCAAACCUAUUCUGUUUCAUUUCACAUGGUCAUGCGAAAUUGAAAAACAUGUUUUUUCGACUCCUCUUUGCAAUUCUUUCCAUUUCUUCAUUUUUAAUCCACCUCUACCACUUUCAAUUCAACUCCAAAUCCCAAUCCAAACCGAUUGCAUUGCUUAUUUCAUUAUGCAUUUGGAUCAUCAUCAACUUUAUUUGUUUUCUUCAAUUUGGUUCAUCUCUUUUGUCACCAAUUUAUCAAAAUCAUACCUUAAAAUGACUUUAAAACUUCAUAAAACUUGUUAGUAACUAUUGCAAGGGCAAAAACAUGUUAAUUGAGUGUUUUAGGCAUAAUUACUACUCAAAAGAUGUGAAAAUCAUGAGAAUUAUUAUCUAAAAUAUGCUCUUUUUGAGUAGUAAUCAUUCCCCCCAACCAACACAUUGCUAGUCCCUUAGCAAUUGUAUGACAAAAAGAAAGAAAAAUAAGGCCAAAGAAAAGAAAUCAUAACUCACAUAAGCAAAUCAUUUGAAAAAAAAAAUGUUUGAAAUUUCCAUAGCAUAAAUGGUUGAUAAACAAGCACACCCUACUAUCCAUAGGUAUCAACAAAAUCCCAACUUAUUUACUAUCUCUAAUAGAAAUAAUAUCAUGCUAAUCAAGGUAUCAAAAACAUAUCCAUCUUCAUUUCCCAAACAAUCUUUGUAAACAAGUCUUGAGUGUAAUUAAGCUAGCUCCCGAAUAUAGUACUCAAAACUAAUCCUCCCCCCAACCUAGCUCAAUUUAUCUCAAACAACAAAAAUCACUCUCUCAUAGGUUAAGAACACACCUAUCUUUAUUUUAUUAUUAUUUUUUUUACAAAUGACUUAUUGUAGGAGUGCAAUGCUAAAGGUAUCUCCAAGUAUAUGGUCCAUGUAGCGGGGAUUCAUCGAUGACUCCCAAUCAUAAGGCAUAGGGCACCAAGUUUAUAGGACUAUUUAACUAGCCACUAACUCCUCAGACUUCACCCCGGACUCCUCAAAUUAGGAUCCAAUACAUUAACACCUACAAUUGAGUUCAUACCCCACCUAUCCACCCAUGUAACAAGCAUUGAGGUCGGUGGCUCCCAACCAAAAUGGCUUAGGGCACCAGGCUUUAAAGACCUUUGGGCCAUAUACCCCUCGGACCUUGCUCAGGUUUCAAGGCAAGCAUAACUCAACAUUUUUAUUCAUCAACUCUUUUUUUUUUUUUUUUUUCAAUUGGGCACAUUGGCCUCUUUUUAAGGUGUCUCAACUCAGUUCAAGAGUAAUCAAUGUUACAAGAUAAUUAAGUCUAAGUCUUAAGGUUAGAAUAGUUUUUCAUCUUAUAUCUGGGGUCUAGAGUGCAUAGUAUGUGUCAAGACUCAAAUAGAAAUGACAAUUUGGAAAAUGAAGACUUUAAAGUCAAAUCAACUUUAAUUCACAUAACCAAUCUUCUAAGAUCAAGCAAAUAAGCUAGUAUUCUAAAUCAACUUUUUUUAAGUUAGGUUUGCUCAUUCAUCAAUCACAAAUGCUAUAGUCAUCUCAAAAAAAUCUCACCAAAUAAGUCACAAAUGUGAUUUAUGAAAAAAAAAAAUUAUAGAAAAACUAAUAACAUAUUUCCUUCUCUUCAUUUUUAACCCUCCCCCAACCUAACUUGUACAUUGUCCUCAAUGUGUAAUGAAAAUAUACAAAGAAAGGAAGGAAAGAUACCUCAAUCUCUCAUGAAUUUCAGUUUCAAUAGCUAAAACAAAAAUAAGAUCACACAUGAGAAUUGUUGGAUAUGAAUGACAUAAGAGAAGAAAAUAUGAAAACAAAUCUAUUAAAAACCAAAAAAAAAAAACUAUGUUAGAGACACAAUGUAUGGAGUAAAAUCAAGGUAUAGAUGAUGACAAUGUCCAAAGAAAACAUGAUUUCAAUGAUAAGUCAAUGAUUCUCAUGGAGUUUUUGAAAAUUUCAGACAAGUGUGCAAACUAGACAAGAAGGUGGUGUGUGUUGCAACCACUUUUUCUUUUGAAAUAAUUUGGCACAAUCAUGCGGAAAUUCGCAUGUACAUGCGAAUUGGUCAAGAGAGCUUUAUCUUAUUAUAGUCUUCAGCAUAAUUUUCGCAUAGUCAUGUGAAAAUUCGCAUGUUGAUGCGAAAUGGAUCUGAGGCUUAAAACUGUUGUAGUCAUCCACAUUAGUUUCGCACAGUCAUGCGAAAACUUCACAUGAGUGUGUGAAGUGGUCCAGAUGGCUCAUUUUACUACAGUCUUUAAGAUGGAUUUCGCAUAGUCAUGCGAAAUGCUCUAGAGGGUUCAUUUUUACAACUAUCAUUUUCAGUUUUGCACAGUCAUGCGAAAAUUUUGCAUGACCAUGCGAAUUGUGACAAAGACUCAUUUUGUACAUUUCCGAAGAUAUGAAAACUCCCCUAUUUUGGCAUGACUGUGUUAUUUUGGCAUGACCUCCCUGUUUUGGCAUGACUAUGCAAAAUGGUGAUGGGCCAUUAAAACUCUUUUUUCCUUUGCUUCAUGCAUUCCAUCCAUCCAGAAAGUCCUUCAAAACACAAGUCAAAGAAUUGAGAUGGAUUUAUUUAAUGGAAACUAAAAAAAAAAUCAAAAUCCAAAGGAAAUGAUAAACCAUUGGGCUAGCUAGCCAUUGACAUGACUAAGCCCAUUAACCUUUGCAUCAAUACUCAAUUUGGAUAUGGCUUGCAAACAAUGAAUGGACCAACUCCUUGGUACUUAAGCUUUCCCAGAAAAAUAUGUGGCUUGAAAUAACCUUCUUUGAACUUGUUCUUUUGAAUAAGUUGGUCAUGCCAUUCCUUGAGUUUCUUUUUCAUGGUCUUUGGAUUAUUUUUCAUACCAUGCUUCAUUUUUUUCACUUUCUUGAAGCUGAAAGACCAUUUCAUUAACUUCAAAGGUUGAAUUUCUUUAUUGAUCCUCCAAACUUCAAUCCGUUCAUUGGAAAUUGCUUCACUAAGUUUUGAAAAAUUAUCUUCAACCUUUUCUUUCACUAGCACUUUCAUAGGCAAUUCAAUCAAAUAAGCCUCCUUAAGUUCCUCCUCCUCCUUGGUACCAUGCUUCUUAUAUGAAUGAAAAAUGUUUAGCUCAAUUGUCAUGUUACCAAAGGUAAGUUGCAUCACCCCACUUCGACAAUUAAUUAAUGCAUUUGCUGUGGCAAGGAAAGGUCGGCCAAGUAUAAUAGGAACAUGGUUGAGUCCACUAGUUCCUUGUUUCAUAUCAAGCACCACAAAAUCAACCGGAUAAUAGAAGAUAUCGAUUUGGAUCAACAUAUCCUCAAUAAUUCCUCUUGGAAACUUAACCGAUCUAUCCGCCAAUGAAAGUGUGAUGGAAGUAGACUUUAGUUCUCCAAACCCCAAUUGCUUAUAUACCGAGUAGGGAAGAAGAUUCACACUUGCCCCCAAGUCUAAAAGUGCUCUUUUCACAAAAGUGUUGUCAAUCUUCACCGAGAUAGUUGGACAUCCCGGAUCCUUAUACUUGAUUGGGGUUUUACAUUGGAUGAUUGCACUAACUUGUUCAGUCAAGAAAGUUUUCUUUUUCAAAUGCAUCCCUCUCUUUAUGGUACACAAAUCCUUAAGAAACUUGGCAUAGGUUGGAAGUCUUAUCAUGUCAAGGAGUGGUAUAUUGACUUUGACUUGCUUGAGAACUUCAAAAAUUUCUAGAGCAUUAUUUACCACUUUCUUGGAUUGAAGAGCCAUAGGAAAAGGUGGAGCUAAGAGCAUAUCUUUCUUCUUAACCUCUUCUUUAACAAUCUCAUCUUCCUUUGAUCUAUCAUCCUCAUUCACCUCUUUCCAUUUUUCUUGUUCUUUCACAUUUUCCUUUUGUUCCCCUCUUUUAUUCUCUUUUGGUUUUGGCAUAGGUUGAUCAACUUGCUUACCACCUCUUAAGGUAAUGACUGCUUUGACUUCAUCCUUCUCAAUAGAACUUUCACUUGUCUCUCCAAUUUCAUGGACUCCACUUGGAUUUUGUUGGGGUUAUGAAGAGAAUUUUCCUUUUUCUUACACUGUAUGCAUGCUUGUGAGUUUAGAAAUAGCAAGCUGCAUAUUAUCAAUCUUUUGUGUGAGAUUGGUUUGCAAGCUAUCAAAUUUCUGAUUGAAAGAUGUCUCCACAUGAUCUAUUCUUUGGUUUACUUGAAUAUUGAUAUUCUUUUGAUCACCAAUAAAAUCACCCAAAAUUUUACUCAAGCUUACAAUAGCUUGCUCAACCAAAGAAAUUUGUUGUGGAGAGUCUUCCAUGACUUGUUGGCUUUGUGAGUAUUGACUUGAAGAAAAUUGUUCUUGUCCACAAUUCCAUGACAUGUUUAGAUGAUUCUCAACAAGUCUUUCCCCCAUAGCUAGUAUUGUAGGACAAUCACUCACUUCAUGUUCUAUAGAUUGACAAUUAGAACAUUGCUCCUUGUAAAUUGGAUUAUCAUAUAUUGCAUUCACCACAUGAAAUCCCUUAGCUUCAAGUUCCUCUAGCCUUUUUGUCAAAGCUACCAUUUUAGCUUGUAGAUCAACAUCUUCAUUCAACAUAUACAUUCCUCCAUUUGAAUUGCUUUGAGACUUGGACUUGUGUAAAUCCCUUUCAUGUGGCUCAUUCCAUGACCUUAAUAUUUUAGCCACAUAAUUCAAGAAUUCAAAAGCUUCAUCGGGACUUUUGCUCAUAAAGCCACCUCCACACAUGGUUUCUAGCAAUUGCUUCAUAGUUGGCGACAUGCCCUCAAGAAGUAACUCACCAACAUCCAUGUGUCAAAACCAUGAUGAGGACAAACAUUGAUUACUUCCAUAUAUCUUUCCCAACAAGCAUAAAAUUUUUCAUUGUCCAAUGCCACAAAGUUGGUAAUUUGCCUCUUCAAGCCACUUGUGCGAUGUAUGGGGAAAAUUUUCUUUAAGAAGGUUGUUUGUAGUUCCAACCAUGACCUUAUGGUUUGGGGCCCCAAUGAGUUGAACCACAACUUAGCCUUAUCCUUCAAUGUGAAUGGAAAAAGCUUCAAUCUCAUAAGCUCAAUGGAUGUGUUUCCCUCAUGAAAUGUAUGAAAAACCUCUUCAAAAUCCUUGAUGUGAGUAUAAAGAUUCUCAUUCUCCAUUCCAUGAAAUUGAGGUAGAAGGGGUACCAAGUGAGUUUUUAUCACAAUAGCCUCAUUAGGAAGAACUAUACAUGAUCCCAUGCCUAUCCUUUGAGGAUGCAUAUAUUCUCUCAUUGAUCUAGACAUGUGAGAAUUGCCAUUGUUUGGUCCUUGUUGAGUUUGUUGAUUUUCCCCUUGAUUUUCCAUUUCCUCAACAAUUGGAUCACAAAACAAAGAUGAUUAGCAAUAUAAGUUUUUUUUCAAUCUCUCCCUUGAAUUUUAUUCUCAAUGUAGUAUGCAAUGGAGAGCCUACAAAACAAGCUUAGAAAAACCAAAACAAACCAAGAAGAACAAAAAGAGAAAUAAAAGAUAAAAAUGGAAAAAAAAAUAAUAAUAAGAAAAAUGGAGAAUCGAUAAAGAGAACUUCACCAAUCUUGUGAUGUGGAUCACAAGGGCUAAUCCUCACCAAAAAAAAAAAUGCCUCAAUCACCUAGGCACCAUCCCCGGCAACAGUGCCAUUUUUGAUUGCUCGGUUUUUGUCGUUUAUUAGAUCAAAACAAAAUUUAUAACCUAAUUCACUAUUCUAUAGAAAUUUGUACCCAAUCAAAAAAUGGUUUUAGUACAAACUACUGUAGUAUAGUGGUAUUUAGGUAUCAUCCACAAGGAUGAAUAUUCUUGGUAAUUAAGGAUUGAAUGAGAUGAUAAGAAAUGAUUGUGAUCAAGUGAAAUUGACUUGAAAUUGCAUGAUAAAAUUCCAAAAUAACAAUGUAUUCAAAUUGAGAGAAAAAUAAAGUGUAAAAGAGAAGAAAAUUAAUAAGAGGUGAGAUUCUCGAAGUUAGGAUUUUCUAGAAAGCAAUUUCCAUGGUGAAUAGGUGUUGAGAUAUAAUUUUCAUCAAGUUAGAUUGAAAACCUAAAUUUUCAUCUAAACCGAUUUUUUAUUUAGCUUUAGGUCUAGAUCUAAUUUCUCUUCAAAUUAGGUAAUCUAAUCUAAGAGAUCAAUUUGAAUCAUAUAUUCAAUUCAUCUUAAAUUAUCUUCCUAUUAUUCACAUGACGCAACUAUUCAAUCUCAUUAAAUCUAGCAUUAAGAAUUUAAUGAAUCUACCUAGCUUGCAUUGUAGUAAUCAUCCAAGACAAUUUGAAGAGAAAAAUCCCCAAAUUUCAAUUAAUCAAUCAAUUGGAUCAAAUUACAUUUGCAAUUCAAGCUCAAUUCUCUCAUUCACCAUAGAUCUUGUCUCUAGAUUCUCCCUUCUCCGAGAAAAACGAGAUUUAGCCACUCAUUCUUGGAGAUUUGAUCUCACAAGACAUGUUUGGCUACCGAGAAAAUGAGGGAAAAUGAAGGAAAUUAGAGAAUUAUAUGAGAAAAGAAAUCUGAAAAGUUCUACAAUUAGAAAAUGUAUCAAAAGUCUUUAAAUGAGUCAAUCACGUUUCUAUUUAUAGGCCAAGGUCAAGAUGACACUUGGCAACAUCUAAGAGGUCUUCCGAAUGCUUCUUCAUUAAGGAAUCUGGAGAAAAUACAUUUUCGCACGAGCCUUAGCAAUUUCGCAUGAUGGUGCGAAGUGGAAAAUCCAUCAGCUUAUUUUUUGUCUUUCUGGAGCGUUUUGCAUGACUGUGCGAAAUUUUUGCAUGGUCAUACAAAAUUGCUUUUUACUUUUCCCUUAGUAUGCUGCAGCCAAGCCUAUUCUAUUUCAUUUCGCAUGACUAUGCGAAAUUGAAAAACAUGUUUUUUCGACUCCUCUUUGCAAUUCUUCCCAUUUCUUCAUUUUUAAUCCACCUCUACCACCUUCAAUUUAGCUCCAAAUCCCAAUCCAAACUAAUUGCAUUGCUUCUUUCAUUAUGCAUUUGGAUCAUCAUUAACUUUAUUUGUUUUCUUCAAUUUGAUUCAUCUCUUUUGUCACCAAUUUAUCAAAAUCAUACCUUAAAAUGACUCCAAAACUUCAUAAAACUUGUUAGUAACUAUUGCAAGGGCAAAAACAUGUUAAUUGAGUGUUUUAGGCAUAAUUACUACUCAAAAGAUGUGAAACUCAUGAGAAUUAUUAUCUAAAAUAUGCUCUUUUUGAGUAGUAAUCACAUUGCAACACCCUUAUUUUGUUAUACCCAUUUGUAUGCUUAUCCUUUACAUAAGGAGCUUGUCUGACACCUUUAUAGAAGCGGACAAAAAGCAUGGCUUGCUUGUAGAUCCAGUGCAACUUUCAGUAACACCCAACCCCUAUCAUUUUGACCCAAAAGGAUCUAUACCUAUGAUCAUUGAACUCAUUCCAUUUUGAGAACAAUCUUCAUGAACUCAUAAACGAAAUAACUUAUUGAAACUGAAGGUAGCACCUGUGGUAAGCCGAUUUCAAUAUAUCAUGCACACCAUAGAAAAUUGCACCUGAAGGUGCCAUACUUAUAGUGGAAGGCACCAAACCCUUGUAAAUGGAGAAGAAUCCUUCAGUUCGGAUCAUAUGGAGGAAAUGCCAAUAACACUACCCAAGGCUUUACCACCCGGUGCCACCAUCUUGGUCUGGAUUUAACAUGGUACCCAAUAGUAAGCGGAGUAUGGUAGUAGUAAUUCUAGCUGCAUCACCAGCAAUUGUCUUAAUUAGCUCAAAUAUAUGCUUCUGUUCACCAUGAACUAUAUAUUCCAGCUUUAGUCUCCUUUGAUUGCAUAUCAUUUCCUCCACAAAACUUUCGUUUACUAUCAUCAAACUGCCAUCCUAUACCACAAUGGUCCCAUCAACCCUACUGACCAUCCAAAUGUCAUUAAAUGAGCUAGAAGCUGGGGACUCUCAACAGCAAGAGCACCUUGAGGUUGAAUGAAUUUAGAAUAACCCACUGAAAACUCUUAUAUAGCUUCUUUAGGUGGAGAUGAGGAAGGAGAAUAGCCAAAAUAGAGCACAACAGAGUGAGCAAAGCAUUAAGUGGGAUCCCCCUUUCAUAUUGAAAUCAAGGGGUUCCAGCCAGUGGUGCAACAGGAGAGUUUAAAACAAAGAUCCAAAUGAGAGCAUCAAUAAACUCCCACCAUGGGAGUGAGCCAUAUUCAAAAAAACAAAUAUAAGAGAAAAGUAAUGCAUCAUCACAUACCCAGACAAUCGUCCAAUGCUUAGAAAAAAAAAAAAACCAAAACAACCAGAGAAGAUGGAAGAUAAAGAAAACAGAGUGAUGAGUGAAAAUAAUCCAAAAAGCUAUAUCAAAUGUACCUAGAAAUGCUCUUUCCAAUUUUCUUUUCUUCCCAACUACCUUCAGCAAACUAGAUUUGCUUUCUCUCCUCUGCUCCUAAUCAAACUACACCCUCAAGCAAUCUGAAAAAUGCAAUCCUCUCUCUCACAACCUCAGCGCACCAACCAUCUCUACUUCUCUCAUUGUUGCUCCAACUCCUUACAAAAAUAUCCCCUCUUUGUCUCUCCUCCCAAGCUCUUUCUCUCUCUCUCUCUCUCACUUCUCCUCAGCUAUGCUCUCUCAAUCCCUCUAAAAAAAAACAUCCUUCUCUCGCUCCUCUGUAACCUCAAACUUUUCUCUCAAGCUAAAGGAAACUUCUCCCCCCGAUAUCUCCUCUCCUCCCUAGCAACCAAAAAUACCCCUCCUCUGCCAGAAUGCCUCACCUUCUCUCUCCUACGCUCCUCCAUAACGGCCUGAAGAUUCUUAUGCCAUGCAUCAGCCGCUGAUUGCCUUCAGAAAAGAUCACUGCCUAUCCAUCCUCUCAUGCACAUGUUGCCAAAAAUAAAAAAAGGUGGUAAAGAAUGCUCCCUAAAAUGCCCUUACCUAUAAACCAAAACGAGGGUUUUACAGGCGCACAAUAUUUGUGGAAAAAUAUUCUUUGCUGAAGAAUAUUUUUUAAAGAUCAAUUGAAAGCCUAAAGCAGCUUGUUCCCAAAUGAAUUUAUUGAAUGGUGAAAAACACGUGUGUUGCGAUUUUUUGGAUUUGUAGGGGGUAUUUUAUAAAGCUUUUUUCUCUUUGUGAAACUCCUUUUCAUAUGUGAAAUUGUUUUAUUUUUAUUUUAUCAUUUUCAUUGAAGGAAGUUGCAAAUAUUUAUAGAUAAAAUUUUAAAAAAUAAAUUUAGAAUUUCUAAGAUUUGAUUACUUAAUUAAAAAAAAAAAUUGGUUUCUUGAUUUUAGCAACUUGUCUUCUUCAUUAAGGAAGUUUGCUAACAAGAGAAUAUUUACUUCUCAUUUUAUUUUGACUUCAAUUGGAAGACUUGUUUCAUUUGUUUACAAAAUUUUCCAACAAGAAAAUAUUUAUUUCUAAUUCUCUUUUGAUUUCAAUUGUUUGAUUUGAUUUGAUUUUGCAAGACUUUAUUUUAUAGCCUUCCAAAUUUCACUACGUGUCAUUUUUUGAAUUGAAUGCCACAUGCUCAAUAUAUAUGACUCAUCACUUAUUAAGCCUGAGUUUUGUUGAGCUAAAGAGUUACAAUUUUGAAGACUAAUUUGGUAGUAUUUUAAUCCACUAAAAUUUUUUGUCUACAAAUGCCCCCUCUUCAAAAUAGAUCACACACAUGCAUUGUAAUGUAUAAGAGGUGAGUCUUGAAGUUAGCCUUUUGAAUCUUCAAUAUCCUUCUUUGAUUUUUUUUUUCGAAGAAAUAUUUUAAUAGGAAUUUCCUAUUCAAAAUACUUUUCUUCAACUUUUUUCGAACAUUGCUUUAUUUAUUUAUUUUUUUUCUACCUCGUAUCAAAGAAAAACCUUGUGUUAAUGGGAAAGCUUCUUAUUUGAACAUCUAUUGUCUUUUCUCAUGGUAUUUCACUUCCAAUUUGUCAACCUAGAAGAAGUCCUUCACCCUAGCUUGUUCAAUUGCAUCUUAGACUUGGUCACAUGCCUUUAACUUGCAAUUCUUCCUCCACUUUGUCUUUUUCUUUUUUAUUUGUUUAAAAAAUAGUACAAAAUAUUUGAGCAAGACCAUAAGCAAGAGAAGAGAGGUGGUGAAUGGAGCACCAACUAACCUUAGGUCAAGAUCUUGAGCAAGAGAAGUAAGGUGGAGCGUAGAGCACAAACUUCUCUAGAGCAUGGUAGGCAUACCAUCAUGGAGUUGUCUUCUGCAUGGAGCAUGGUAGGGCAUUAUAUAUAUGAUAGGGUGGGCCAUUAUGUAACAAUGAAGAACAAAAAUCCAUGGUGUACAAUUGGGAACAACAAUUCAUGCUAUCAAGCUUCAACCUUUUUUUUUUUGUUUUUUUUUUAAUCCCUAUCUCCACCCCCCGACCCAAUAUUUUUUCAAGUUUCCAGAUUCCUUUUGAUUCUUUCUCAUUUUAUUUUUUUCAACUCUUUUUUUUCCUCCCUUUUUAACCAUUGUUUUUAAGGAAGAAAUAGAUUCACCAUCCCUUACCACAAGGUCAAUCUCCAUUGCUUGCAAAGACAAAUUUGCUUUUUGGUGUUUUUUUUCUUCAAAAAUUAUCUUAACAUUUUAAGAUAUAUAUAUAUAGAUAUAGAUAUUUAAAAAACUUAAAUAUCCAUAAUAAAAAUAAAUAUUUAAGGCUCUUGACUUGUUUAAAUUGGCUUGACUUGGAUACUUAGCGGGACCAUACUUAACACCCAUGUAGAUGAGCUAUAAUCUUGAUGGUAGGUUGUGUUGUAUUUUUUGACAUUUAAUGUGGCUUAAGAGUUAAAGUCUUCACUCAUGCAAAUUAGCUUGGUUUGGAUGCACAAUGGUCUCUAACUUCUUAAUGCUUAAUUAAACUUGGAACCAUAUUUAACACCCAUGUAGACAAGUCAUAAUCAUGACAUGGAGCACUAUUUUAUUUUAACUCUUAAUGCAACUUAAAUAUUAAAGUCUUCACUCAUACAAAUUAACUUGGGUUAGAUGCACAAUGGUGUUCAACUUGGUAAAAUUAAUUAAAAUUGAAACAUUUAACACCCAUGUAAACAAGUCAUAACUUUCACAUGGAACAGUGUUGUAUUUUUAGCUUAAUGUCGCUUAAGUGUUAAAGUCUUCACUGAUGUAAAUUAGCUUGGCUUAGAUGCAUAGUAGCAUUCAACUUUUUAACACUUAAUUUAAAUUCAUACCAUAUUGAAAACCCAUGUGGACAAGACAUAAUGAGAAAAUAAAUGGCUAAUCUAAAUAGAUAAAAAUACCUAACAAGGAAGGAGGGGGGUGAAUUGGAGUUUAAAAAAAAAAUAUAUUUUUAAACACAAUAAAAUUAAGUACAAGAAGCACAAAUAUAAAGAGAUAAGUUAUAGAAAUCAAACUCAGAUUUAUAGUGGUUCGACACUUCCUUGCCUACAUCCACUCUCCUCAAACUCCUAACCGAGUGAGGGUUCCACAUAUACUUGAAGCUUCAACCAAGCUUCUAAUCACUUUUUACACUUGGAUUUUAGCUCCAAUGGGCUCUUACACAUUCUCUUCAAGUCUCUACUCACUUGAAGAUUUUAACACACAAUUAACAGUUUGAAACUCUCAACCUAGCUCAACAAUGGCUCAAAUACAACUCAAGGCUAGGAUGAAUCACAAAGGUGCAUUAAAUAAUAUGCAAAUGAAGAUUUAAUGCACUGAGAAAAGAAUGAGAGCUUUUAUGGCAAGAACAAGUAGGUAAACAAAUCAAUGGAGGUGUUCUCUUACUCAUAAAUGAAGUGGAACUCUCAAUUUAUAGGUUUCUAAUCUCGGAAGCUAAAAAACCAAAAAGUAACCUCGAUUGGUCGAGUUAGGGGUCGACAGGUUCACUAGUCGUUAGAGCAUUAAAUGCGUGGCAGGUGAUCGUUACCCUCGACCGGACCUUGACUGGGAAGGCAAAUCUCUCAACUGGGAAAGAAAGGCUAUUGGAAGAGAGAAGGCUUUUUGCAUCUUUUGACUAGACCUCAACCGAGAAGGAGCAACUGAUCGACCAGUACCCUAGCCGGUUGAGCCGGUUGGCCAGUGCCUCAACCAAUUCACCAUUUUUUGGCCCUAAAACCUAUCUUUUUGUGGUCUUUUUUGCUUCUAACACUUAAACAAGGUCUUUAGGUAAAAUAAUAUGUCAAUUUUGAAACGCUUUGCCUAAGGUUCAUUUGAUAGAACUCGGAUUUUGAUGGAAAUGUGACUUUAAUGCGUAAACCGAGUUUUAAAAGAUGUAUGAAAUGAUAUGAAAAUUCUAAGUACACUCAUGCAUUCAUUUUACAUAGUUUUCUAUAAUUAAAAAGUCUUUCAAAAGUCUUGAUCUUGCAUCCAUUAGAUCAUUUGAUUAAUUUCCAAAUUAAUAUUUGAAAUUCUUUAUAAUUCAAACCAAUUAGUAACUUAACCAUGGUUUGUUAUCAUCAAAACAUGAUUAGGAGAACCCUUGGGCUAACACAUAACAUUGUAGCAAUGUUAUAUUUUUUACACUUAAUGCAGUUUAAGUUCUAAAAUCUUCAUUUCUAUGAAUUGGUUCACCUUGGAUGCAUAGUGGUGUCUAAAUUAUAAUACUUAAUUAAAAUUGAAACCAUAUUUAACACCCAUGUAGACAAGUCAUAACUUUGACAUGGAGUGGCAUUGCAUUUUUGACACUUAAUGCAACUUAGGUGCUAAACUUUUCACUCAUGAGAAUUGGUAUGGGUUGGAUGCAUGUGGUGUCGAACUUUUUAACACUUAAUUAAAAUUGGAACCAUAUUUAACACUAUCUAGAUAAGUCAUAACCUUGAUGUGAAGCGACAUUGUAUUUUCAACACUUAAAGCAACUUAGGUGCUAAAGUCUUCACCCAUGCAAAUUAGUUCAUCUUGGAUGUACAAUGGUGUCCCAUUUUUUAACAUAUAAUUAAAAUUGGAACCAUAUUUGACACUCAUGUAGACAAGUCUAGCCAUGAUGUAAAGUAGUGUUGUAUUUUUAAAACUUAAUGCAGCUUCAAUGGUAAAGUUUUUACUCAUGUGAAUUGGCUUGAUUUGGAUGCACAAUGAUGCCUAACUUUUUAACAUUUUAUUAAAUUUGGUAUCAUAUUUAACACCUAUGUAGACAAGUCAUAACCUUAAUGUAGAGGUGCUGUAAUAUUUUUGGUACUUAAUGCCGCUCAAGUGCUAAAGUCUUCACUCAUGUGAAUUUUUUUGGUUGAGAUGGACGUCUCUAACAUUUUAACAUUUAAUUAAAAUCAGAAUCAUAUUUAACACUCAUGUAAAAAAGUCAUAACCUUGACACAUAGUAAUAUGCAAUGUUUUAACAUUUAAUAUGACUUAAGUGCUAAAGUUUUCACUCAUGUGAAUUGGCUUGGCUUGGAUGCAUAAUGGUGUCUAACAUUUUAACACUGAAAUUAAAAUUAGAGUUAUAUUUAAUAAUCAUGUAGACAAGUCAUAACCUUGACGAGAAGCAAUAUUGUCAUUUUGACACUUAAUAUUGCUUAAAUGCUAAAGGCUUCACUCAUGCAUAUUGACUUAGCUUGGAUGAACAAUGGUAGCUAACUUUUUAACACUUCAUUAAAUUUGGAUUAUGGUUAACAUCCAUGUAGAAGAGUGAUAAACUUGAUGCAAAGUGAUGUUAUAUUUUUGGUACUUAAUAUAGCUUAAAUACGAAAAUCUUCACUUCUAAUAAUUAACUUGGCUUGGAUGCAUAGUGGUGUCCUACUUUUUAACUCUUAAUUGAAAGUGAAAUCAUAUUUAACAUCCAUUUUAUGCUAGUCAUAAACUUGAUAUAGAGCAAUGUGCAACUUUUUAACAUUUAAUGCAACUUAGGUGCUAAAGUCUUUACUCAUAUGAAUUAACUAAACUUAGAUGCAUAUUCGUUUCCAACUUUUUUAAUACCUAAUUAAAAUUAAAACCAUAUUUAAAAACCAUGUAGACAAAGGCAUAAUCUUAACAUGGAGCAGUGUAUAACUUUUAGCACUUAAUUAAAAUUGGGAUUAUACUUCACAACCACAUAUUCCUCCUCCUAUUUUUCAAUUUUUUCUUGUGGUGAUGAUUGAACUCAACUAGUUUGUCCAAGUUACCUGCAUACCUUAACAGAGAGGGGAUCAAGUCAAACUUAGUUCAAAGUAUUUUUUUAAUAUCUAACUUUUGCCAAGGCUAAUGAUUUUAAUCUUGAAAGCUUGUCUUAACUUUUGACUAUAUAUGUAGUGUUUUCAAGUUUCAAUUUAGCGACCUAUGAAUUGUACAAAUUGAAAAUGACUUCACUCAUGUGUAAAAAUAAAAGAUAUUCAUUCAUAGUUUUAGGGCAACGAAAAGUAAUCGACCCUUUUUUGCAUUAUUAUUAUUAUUGUUGUUGUUAUUAUUAUAAUUAUUAUAUUACCUUAAAAAAAAGACCUUCUCCAAAAAAUUUAAUCUACAAGUACUUGGAUUCUAUUUGAAUAUAAAAAGAGCCACUCAUAUGCAUGAAUUAAAUAUAUGUCCCAUGGAUAAGUUGUACUUAGCCACGGCUGAAGCUUUCCAUUAUGACUUGAAGGGAAAAAAAAAGAGAGGAGAAUAAUGUCAUUAAAAAACUGAUUGCCAUGUGCCUAUGCCUGCCAGUAGAUGGCUGAAAACUAGUUCUAUUCUUUUGUUUUUGCCUCUACUAAUGAACCAUAAUUGAGAGAUUCAUUGGCAACUAUCGUAUAAACAAUGGUUCAUAAAUUACUUUUAAAUUUUGAUAGCAAAGACUCAAAAUGUAAAACCAUAAAAAAUUUGUUCUAUUCCCAAAUUUUUUUAAAUAAUAAAUUAAUGCACAUGACUGUUUUCACAUCUUAUUCUCAUUUCUAUCAAUGCAAUAAUUGUAAUCAUCUUAUCUAUUAACAUGGCCUAGAGCCAUAGAGCUUCCUUUUCUUUAGUCCUAGAGCCAUUUCAGCUAAGAGUAGUCUUUCCUUAGCAUUUCCGGUCCAAAGCUUCCAUUUCUUUAGGCCUAGAGGCAUUUUCAGUCCAGAGCUGCUGUUUCUUUCGGCCUACAACCAUUUUCAGCCUGAAGCUGCCUUUCUUUAGCAUUUUCAGCCCAGAGCUACCUUUCCUUGGCAUAUCAGCCCAAAGCUUCUAUUUCUUUAGGCCUGGAGCCAUUUCAACAUACAACAUUGGUUUCUUUGGCCGGGCCUUGAGCCCUUUUCAACCCAGAACUGUCAUUUCUUCUAAAUAACUUCUCUUUUAAAAAACUUCAAUUUGUCUUUCCAAUAAAAAAAUUUAAGGCUUUGUUCUAGGUUUCAAGAAGCUGGCAUAGAAAAAAAAAAGGAAAAAAAAAAUUCUUGAUGGCAUAAAGUAGGACAUGGCCGGGAUAGUUUGAAAUACAUAAUUUUCCCCAUUCAAAUGCAAAACAUAUUAAAAGAACAUUUGGCAUGAUUUUAUGAAGUGAUUCUAUCUUUUCUAAUACUUCAAAGUUAUGAAGUGAUUCUAUCUUUUCUAAUACUUCAAAGAUAAAUUUUUUUGAAGUAUUAGAAAAAUUAGAAACAUUUCUUAAAAUCACUACCCUUAACUAUAUUUAGAUACUUUAACCAUUUCAAAUGCUACAUGUUGUUUCCUUCUACAUUUCCUCUUUAUUUUGUUUUUCUCUUACAUUUUUCCUCAAAUUUUCUAAAAACCAAACAUAACCUAAAAGAAAAGAUAAUUUGACUUAUUUUGAAAGUUCUUUAUAUAUAUAGUUUAUAUGGAAAAUUGUUUCAUGUUAAUUUAAUAAAGCAUUUAUAAUAUUGAGAUCGCUCUUUCAUAAUCAUAAAUUAACCUUUAGUUUCAACUUCUACAAGAGGCUAAAUGAAAAAAGCUAUCACAGAGGAGGCCUCAGCCAAUGAGUAAGAUGCACUGUUGUACCAAACAAUAGGUGGAAAAUACAAUUUUAUUAAGACUCUGAGACAAAAAAAAAAAAAAAAAGGAUGAUUUUACACUCAAAACAAGGAUUUAUUUAUAAUGAAGUGCAGUCUCCAUAUGCACAUGUGACUGCAUUUACAGCAUAAAGAAAGACAAGGAAAUUAACAAAUGUUGGACUCAUUGGAAAAUCAUACAAAUUAUUGAAGGAGGACCUUAGCUAAGCUAACUGUCUCCUAAAUUGCCCAUCUUUUAUAUAUAUUUGCAUUCAUCCGUCUCAUCAUCGUCUUUGAUUUUAGAUGGUGAGGAUGUGAAAGUAACAGGAAGCAGUGGACGAUUGUUCACUGUGAGGCUUAGCACAUCAGCUCUCGAAUAAUGUCCUACCACAUCGAACUGGAACUUUGCUUUAGGAAUCUCUCCACGAACAUCUGCAUAUCAAGUGAUCAUCAAAAUAUUUGAUCAGCCCUUUUAAAUAUCAGAGAGUAUCAAGUCUUCCAUAAAACCGUGUUUGCAGUCCUUUUAAACCUAAAGAAUUCACUCAUUUGCCUUAUCUGCAUACUGAAAUAUUUGGAUAUACAAUUGGAGAAGUUAGGGCCAUACCAAGAUCAGCUGUGAAGAGGCCUUCUCCUUCAUAAUUCGGUCCUGCUAGAAUUUCGCCAUGGGGCGAAAUGAUGACACUACCUCCUGCCCAAACAAUGGAAUCUGGAGUGACAUCUUCUUCUGUAGGACUGUAAAGAUACUCAGGUGGAGGUGGGUAAUCUUUCCUCCGACAGAACUGGAUGGGUGAAAGAACAUAGCAUCCACCCUCAAUAGCAACGUGUCUCAUUGUAGCUACCCAUGUAUCCCCGGAAUCGGCAGUAGGAGCACAAUAUAUCUCAAUACCUAUAGAGAUGUACAUUCGUAUUUUGUGAUCAAUCAAUCCCAUAUCAAAGCCAUAAUGUAUUUCAAGCCUAUUUAUAGGCUAAAACCCUAACAACUUAAAAAAGAGUACUGAAGUAUUUCAAGCCAAACCAUAUUAGUUAGUGAAGAAAAAGACAUACCUUUGCCAUACAUUGCUGUCCUUAGAAGCGGCAUUCUAUUUUCCCAACAAAUGACCGAACCAAGUUUUCCAUAUGGAGUGUCAUAAACUGGAGUUGUCGAGCAAUCUCCGAAACCCCAGACGAGCCGCUCCCAAUAUGUUGGCAUGAGUUUCCUAUGUUUUCCAAGGUAAUUACCUUUAGGAUCAAAGAAGAGAACAGUGCAAUACAAUGUGUAUCCCUCUCUCUCAAUAACACCUGUCACUAAGUAGACUCUGUAUUUCGCAGCCAUUGAUGCCAAUCUAUCAACUUCAGGUCCUGAAAAUACAUUAAUUUGAGAUUAAAGAUGAAACAUGUCAGCUGAAGGUUCAUCACAAAGCAGCAUAAGUAGAUUUUGUUUCAACAACUUAUUAAGUGGCUCAGUUCUUUAGCUAUUUAAGGGAGAAAAAGAGAGGUAAUUGACCCGGAACAUUAAUGGCAGAAGCAUGGUACUUGCGGAAACUUUCUUUCCCUCUUGGCGACCGGUCAGCGAAGUUAUAUCCUCGGGGAUACCCACCGAUAAAUGCUUCAGGAAACACAACCAGUUGGGAUCCCAGUGCAGCUGCUUCUUUCAAAAACCUCUCAGCCUUAUCUGCUCUCAAAAUCACAUUGCAAGAAGUAAAUUAAUUGGUUGAAUGGAGAGAAUGAAAAUUAACUUUUAAGAGAUCCCGAAUGACUUUUUGGUUGCUGAGAAAACUCAAGGAAAAACAGACCUAGAUGAAACUUGAAACUCUCAUAUUUUCAGCUGUUUUGUAACUAAGAAAAGAGAAACCACCUCAACUCAACUCAUCAAAAUAAUUGUAAAAGCAGUAAUUCCUUGAUUGGCAGCUGAAAAUAUGAUCAGGGUUCAAUCAUCCUUUUCUUUUUUUCAGUCUCUGAGAAACCAAUUAGAUCACAUAUUCCAUUACACAAGUUGCACAAUUGAAAGAAAUGGUACGUUACCUAGAGUGGCAGGAGUAUCAUAAAAGAUACUAGAAGCUUGAACAACGGUGGCUCUAACAGUUGAAGACAUUGCAGAAAAUUGUAUGUUUUUUCGUUUCCCCUUUGUUUGAGGAUUCCUCACACUGCGUUCAGUAUAUAUAUUGCCCAUGACAUUGUGGACCAGCCACUUGACUUAUACAAAUUGAAAAUGACUGAGUCAUCUGUGAAAAGCAAUUUAAGAUAACAUUCAAAAUUAAUAAGCUUUAAUUUUUAUUUAUAUAUAUAUAUACAUAAUCUACAAGUUGUUAUCAUUAUAUUUGAAUAAAAAGAGGGACCCGCCCACAUGCAUGGAUUCCAUCCAUCUAGCACACAGAUAAAUUGUCUUUAGUGGCGGCUGAGGCUUUCUAUGACUUAUACCAUAUAUCUAUACACCCCAGUAUAUAGCUAAAAACUGGGUAAUGUAUUGGCCCCUACCUAAAAUUAUUGAUUGAUUCAAUGACAGCUAUCUGAGAAAAAUAAAAAAGGGAGAACUAUUCUUACGCUUGCCUUGAUUUAAGCAAAUAUACUUUUAAUUAGGAAUUCUAAUUUUCAUAUUUUACCCCAAACAGAUAAUCAAUAAAAUUAUUCUCCAAAUAUGUAUUUUAAUAGCAACAAAAAUGAGAAUUCCAUAAUUAUCCCUUUUAAAAUCUUUAAUAUGACAAGUCGUAAUUUAAUGUGUUUGGUAGCUCUCCUUUUUCUUUUUUUCUCCUCUACAUCACUUUCUCCAUAUAAUGUCUUUGAUAUCCUCUCCAUAUCAUGUUGUUGAUAUCCUACCUUUGACAUUUUUUUUUAUCUAUGUGUUGAAGUGACUACACUUUUAGAUUUCUUUUCACUCUUUUAAUAUUUUCAUAUAUAUUUAUUAACUUUAAUAAAUUUUUGAAAACAUUAAACAUAAAAUUAUAAUAUAUGAUAAAUAAUUAAUGAUAACAAAUUAAAUAUAAAUAUAAGUAUGAAAUGGACAAAAAAUAAAAAAUUUAUCCUACAAAUAAUAGACUAUAUAGUUUAAAAUAUUAGUUAUAAUAAUAUAUUUGAUACUUUAGAGUUUAGAUUAAAAAAUUAUGUUUUAUUUUUUAGAGGUUAGCAUAUAAUAUUUCCAUUAAACAAAGAUUUUUUUAUAUGAAUCCUAAAUAAAAUGUUUAUUUAUUUUGCAAAUUCUUAUCAUAUGCGAUAUAUAUAUAUAUAUAUAUCAUGUUAUUUAUAAUUUUUAUUAUUUUGUGUCAAAAUCACAGUCAAUGAUGAUAAUUUUAGUUAGUAUAGAGCUCUUAAAAGGAUGAUAUGAUGUAACAAAUAUGAAGUUAUUAAUUAUUUACUGAUAUUCUGGUUUUACUUUUAUUAAUCCUUAUUCCAUACAUUAUAUUUUAUGAGCAUCCUAGUUUGACAUUUCUUAUACUAUACAUGGCUUAGGUGCAUUAGAAGUUGCACGGAAGAUCCAAGUUAUAGAUUCCUUUUUUAAUUCAAUAUUUUAAAAAAAAAAUUAUACUUUCAGUCAAUGUCUCAUAUUUCAAACACGUACACACUCUAGAAUUUCUCGAAUUGUAGUCUAGAAUGUCAACUUAGUGUUUGAUGAAAAAAGGUAUAAACAAAUAUAUGAAAAAAGUAAUCAACAAGCAUAGGAUUCUAUUUGAAUAAAAAAGAGCCACUUACAUGCAUUGAUAAAGGAAACUCCAACUCAGCUAGCAUACAAUCCAUGCCAAAGCAGAAUCUUUACGUAAGAAGUUGAUAAUGCAAUUUGCCAGGAAGGAAAACUACUCUCCAUAUUUGUAAUGUGGAAAAUCAAGGUUGGAAGGAAAUUUUCACUUACUUAUUCUGUAUAAUAUUCCCUUUUUUUUUUUUUUUUGUAAAGAAAGUAUGUAUUGUUUAUUUAUUUUUUAGAAAACAAUUAGUAAAGUGUGGUGCGAAUUCAACCUUUCAAAAAUAGUUUCUAUUCUUCAUGGUAUCGGAGCUAGUUAAUCUAAAACAAUCCAAAGCUUCCAUGGAAACCCCAGAAAAUGUUCUUAGCAUUCAGGCUUUUCAUCAAUGCUCGAGCCUCAUCUCCAUCAAACUGAAUAUGUCCAAUCUCCUUUUGUGGCACUCACAAGUUCUUCCUCUUGUGCGAAGCCUUGGAUUAGUCCAUCAUCUCUCUGAAAAUAGACACGCAUAAGAGGGGAUAAUGGAUAGUGAAACAAAGGAGACCUAUGAUUAGUCAAUAGAGACAUGGUCUCACAAUGAUGAUCUACUUACCUCCUGGCUUCUUGGACCCAUGACAGAAGAAGUGAUUCUUUUAUUGGAUGGAACAGAGAUUGCCUAUGAUGUUUGGAACUCUCUGGAAGAAAAACUCCUUCCAAUGACCAAAGAGAAGGAUAUGCAAUUGACCAAUAGACUCCGAGGGCUGAAGAAAGGCACAAGGUCCCUUGAUGAAUAUCUAAGGGAGUUCAAAGAAAUUUUUGAUGCAUUAGCUACAGUUAGAAAACCAGUAAGUGACCUAGACAAAGUUUUUCAACUAGCUCAAGGUCUCAUAACUAAAUACAUGGAUUUUCGGGUGGCCAUGUUAUCAAAGCCACCAUAUCCCUCUUACAAUCAAUUUGUUCUGGCUCUACAAGGGCAUGAACAAAUGAUUAUGAUAGAAAAUGAAGAGAACAAAGAGUCAAUAAACCAUGAACAAGCCUAUUUUACCCAAUGAGGAAGACGAAGAAAUCAAGGAGGAAGAUUUCUUUCUAGAGGUCAUGACUUCAUUCUAGCAAGACGAUUCAAUCACAAUGCUACCAAUGACCAAAGGCAGAAUGUUCAUCCCAACACCAGAAAUCCAAGAAAUAGCUUCAACAACCAGCUUCCACCAGAACAAAAACUCCAAAAAUCUAAAGGUACUCUUAUUUACCAAAUUUUUAAUAAAGCUAACCAUUCAGCUUUGGAUUGCUAGAACAGAUUCAACUAUUUGUAUCAAUCAGAAGAGAUUCCUCAAGCUUUGGCUGCUAUGGCUCUAAAUGAAGAAGAUAAGGAUCCUAAUUUUUAUGUGGACUCGAGAGCAAAAACCCAUAUAACAAAUGACCUAGGUAAGAUUACCCAAGUAAUUCCAUAUAAAGGGCAUGAUGCAAUUUUUGUUGGAAAUAGAGAAGCUGUAAGAAUCUCACAAAUUGGUGAAGCUAGACUAAAAACUAAACAUAUAGAUCUAAAGCUUAAAAAAUUAUUGGUUAUUCCAAAAAUUAAGAAAAAAUUGUUAUCCAUUGGACAACGUACCUCUGAUAACCCAUGCUCCAUAGAAUUCUCAUCAACUAGUUUUGUCAUUAAGGAUCAACUUCAACAAGUGCUAGCUAGAGGAACUAAGAAGAGAGGUCUCUAUGCAUUGGAGGAAAAUGUGAUUCAAGCCAUGAUAGUUACUAGGUCUAGCAAGGCACCAUAAGAAGUGUGGCAUCAACGCAUGGGGAAUCUGCAAACAAAAUCUAUAAAGCUUCUACAAGAUAAGAAUUUCAUUGAAGUAUCUAGUUGGAUGAAAUCAACAAUAGUUUGUGUUAGUUUUCAAUUAGGAAAAAGUUGUAAAGUUUCUUUUGGCUUAAAAAAUAAAAUUUCCAGCAAUCUUCUUGAAAAAAUUCAUUGUGACUUAUGGGGACUUGCACCAAAUAAUUCAACUCAAGGAUACAAGUAUUAUGUUGUCUUUAUUGAUGAUCAUACUCACUAUACAUGGCUUUAUCCCUUGAGAAGAAAAUCAAAUUUCUAUGAAUGUUUUUUGAAGUUUCAAAAUCUGGUUGAGAAUCAACUUGAAAGAUAGAUAAAAAUCUUCCAAAGUGAUGGUGGAGGUGAGUUUCAAUCAAUUAAAUUUCAAAAUCACCUAAGCAAGUGUGGAAUUUUGCAACGAGUCUCAUGCCCAUGAACUCCAGAACAAAAUGGGGUUGUAGAGAGAAAGCAUAAACACAUUGUUGAAAUGGGUUUAACAAUGCUUUUCAAUGCCAAAUUACCAUUGAGUCUAUGGGUAGAUGCAUUCCAUACUGUCGUAUACCUUAUUAAUCGACUGCCUUCCAUGGUGUUGAAAAUGUAGAGUCCAUUCUUUAUGUUUUUCAAACAAUAUCCAGAAUAUAGGAGCUUGAGAAUUUUUUGUUGUCGAUGUUUUCCAUACCUUUGAGACUACGGGAAGAAUAAAUUCUCACCUAAGAUAUCUCCAUGUGUUUUUAUUGGAUAUAGCUCUCUACACAAGGGUUAUAGAUGCUUGCAUCCUUCAACUAAAAGAGUUUACAUAUCUCAUCAUGUCAUCUUCAAUGAAAAUUGCUUUCCUUAUGCUAACUCUCUUGUUAAGAAAAAUCAUUUACAGAUUCCUAUAGAAAUGGUAUCAUUCUCAACUUCAGAUGUUUUUUGUGAGACUUAAAAAAUGGAUCACCAAACUAAGUCUUGGAAGGAGAACACUGCUAACCAAUCAAGCAACUCCAAGAAGUUCAACCAUUGGUCAUGCACUACUAGGUAAAGAAACUGGUUUAGUGUUGACGGAAGAAUUUCUACUAGUUGUAUUACUAACCAAAAUACAAAAGCAUCAUGUGUUAAUCCGACUGGAACUCCCACUACUAUUACUGUUGAAAUUUCCACUAUUGUUACUAGUAAAAAUGACCAUAAUACCGUCAUUACUACUGAAACUCCCACUGAUGUUGCUCUUGGUUCUAGUGGCCACAAUUUCAACACUGCAACUACUAUUGGAACACUCUCCUAGAUUGAGUCUACUAGUAGCUACAAGCCUGCCAAUGUUAGUAAUUUUCCUUAUAUCAGUAAGCACCUAGUAGUUGAUCUCUCUUUCCCUUAAAAAUGGCAGAAAAAUGAGCAUGUUGGUUCAUCUCCGCAAAACAAAUCCACCAGUCACAGUGUUGAUGAUGAAGUUCCUGAUAUUAGCAAGCAAAUUGUUGUUGACAUCUCUUCUCCUCAGGGCUAACACAUAGAUAACAAAGAAACUCAUAUGAUCACCAGAAGUAAACUCAAGAAUGAUCCCAGUUUAAAGUCUCAAAUGGUUACUUUUGUUGCCAUAAGAAGUAAUAUUAGUGAGCCAAAAACAUAUUGUACAACAUUGAAAAUUCCCUAUUGGUUCAAACAAUGCAAGAGGAAAUUAAGGAUUUAAUCCAAAAUCGAACAUGGGAUUUGGUUCCUAGGCCUCCAACUGCAAAUAUUGUGGGUUCUAAAUGGGUGUUUAAAACAAAGCUAAAGGAAGAUGGAACCAUAGAUAGAUACAAAGCACAAUUAGUUGCUAGAGAUUUUUCUCAAAUACCGGGUUUGGACUUUGGAGAGACCUUCAGCCUAGUUAUAAAGCAUACUAUAAUCAGAUUGAUCCUUUCAUUAUCAGUAACCUUGGGGUGGACAAUGAGGCAAUCAGAUGUUAAGAAUGCCUUCAUACAUGGGUUUCUAAAGGAAAAAGUACUCAUGGAACAACCUCCAGGAUUUAUAAACAAGGACUUUCUGAAUCAUGUCUACAAAUUGAAUUGUUCUCUUUAUAGCCUUAAGCAAGCUCCAAGGGCCUAGUUAAAUAAACUAUUUCAAUGUCUUCUUCAUCUGGGGUUUUACUGUGGUAAAAUAGACUCGUCUUUAUUUAUUCUUCGCAAAGGUCAGUCUAUUGUUUUGCUACUUAUCUAUGUUGAUGAUAUUAUAGUCACAGGCAAUGAUAACAACAUCAUUAGUGACCUCAUCAGCACCCUGAGUAGUGAAUUUUCUCUCAAGGACUUAGGAUUUUUGCAUUAUUUUUUGGGAUUGGAGGUUAAAUAUCUUCUUAAUGGGUUGUUUCUUUCUCAAACAAAGUACACUAGAGAUCUCCUAGAGCACACAAAAAUGAUGGAGUGUACUCAUAUCAACACAUCCAUGGCUCUUAAGUCCAUCAUCACACCUUCUGAUGAACAACCUAUUGAUCCUACAUGAUAUAGGUAACUUGUUGGAUUCCCCUAAUAUUUAACCUUCACAAGGCUUGAUUUUGUGCAUGCAGUAAACAAGGCCUACCAACAUUUCCAAGCACCCACUAAAGUUGACUUGCAAGCUGUCAAACGCAUCCUUAGAUAUUUGAAGGAAACAAUGGAGCAUGGAAUCAGGUUUUUCAAGCAAAGUUCGCUUCGUCUCACUGGUUUUUGUGAUGCUGAUUGGGCAGGAUGCACAAACACAAGAAGAAGCACAUCUAGGUAUUAUAUUUUUCUAGGAGCCAAUUGUAUCUCAUGGUCCUCAAAGCGACAACCUACAAUUUCUAGAUCAAGCACCGAGGCCAAAUAUCGAUCCCUUGCGUCCAGUGCUGCAGAAAUAACUCGGCUUACUUUCCUUCUCCAUGAUAUUGGCAUUCAACUAUGUGAACCUUCUCAAUUUCUAUGCGAUAACCUCAGUGCCCUUCACAUGACAGUACAUCUCGUCUUCCAUGCAUGGUCCAAGCAUAUUGAGUUGGACUAUCAUUUUAUUCGGAAAAAAAGUUGCAAGUGGAGUUUUGAUUACUUGUUUCCUUCCAUCGUCCUUACAAGUAGCUGAUAUAUUCACAAAGACACUCCCUAAGACUUCAUUCCAAGUCUUUCGAUUCAAGCUAGGAGUGCACAAGUUACCACUCACUAGCUUGCAGGGGGCUAAUAAAGGAAAGUCAAACUCAACUAGCAUACAAUCCAUGCCAAAGCAAUCUUUACGUGAGAAGUUAGUAAUGCAAUCUGCUAGGUAGGAAAACUACUCUCAAUAUUUGUAAUGUGGAAAAUCAAGGCUGGAAGGAAAUCUUCACUUACCUGUUCUGUAUAAUAUUCCCUUUUCUAUGCAAAUAAAGUAUGUAUUGUUUAUUUAUUUUUUAGAAAAAAUCAGUAAAGCGUGGUACAAAUUCAAUCUUUCAAAAAUAGUUUAUGUUCUUCAUGCAUGGAUAAUAAAUCCCAUGGAUAAAUUGUAUUUAGCAGCGGCUGAAGCUUUCUAUAUGACUAAAGAGAAAAAAAGUCAUUAAAAAACUAAUUGCCAUGUGACUACGUCUACCAGUAGAUAGUUGAGAACAAGGUCUAACUCUUAACCUUUUGUACUACCUUUACAAAGGAACACAAAAUUGAGAGAUUCAAAGGCAACUAUAGUAUAAAUAUUGUUUCAUAAAUUACUUUUCAAAUUUAAUUUGAUAACAAAAAUUUAGAAUACAAAAGUAUGAAAAAUUUGUUCCAUUCCCAAAAUUUUUGCAAAUAAAAUUUUAAAGUAAUAAAUUAACACCAUGACUCUUUUCACAUCUUAUUCUCCUUUCUAUCAAAGAAAUGAUAGUAAUAAUCUUAUCUAUAAAUUUUAAAUGAGGCAAGAUCAUUGAAUUUUUAUUUUCUUUUAUUUUCUUGUUAUGUAAUUAUCAAACACAUUUUUUUUUUAAGACAAAAAAAAAUUAGACUGAAGAAAUAUAUUUUUGCCCUGAUUUAGUCACUUGGAUUGCAAUUCGAAGGAUGGAAAUAAAAGUGUAUUCUUGGAGUUAAAGAUCAAUUGAAAGCUUAAAGCGGCUUGUUCUCGAAUGAAUUUAAUGAAUGACGAAGAAUACAUGUGUUGUAAUUUUUUGGAUUUGUAGGGGAAUUUUAUGAAGCUCUUUUCUCUUUGUCAGGCUUCUUUUUUUGUAUGAUUUUUUUUCUUCAUCAUUUUCAUUCAAGGAAGUCGCAUAUAUUUAGAGAUGAAAUUAAAAAAUUAAAUUUAGAAUUCCUAAGAUUUGAUUACUUAAUUAAAAAAAAUUGGUUUCUUGAUUUUAGCAACUUGUCUCCUCUAUUAAGGAAGUUUGCUAAUAAGAGAAUAUUUAAUUAUCAUUUUCUUUUGACUUCAAUUAGAAGAUUUGAUUCGUUUGUUCAUAAAAUUUGAAAACAAAAAAAAAAAUUAUUUCUAUUUUUUUAUUUCAAUUGUUUAAUUUAAUUUGAUUUUGGAAGACUUUAUUUUAUAGUUUUCCAAAUUUUGUUACAUGUCAUUUUUUGAAUUGCAUGUUACAUAUUCAAUAUACAUGACCCAUCACUUAUUAAGCAUAAAUUUCGUUGAGCUAAGGAGUUACAAUUUUGAAGACUAAUUUGAUAGUAUUUUAAUCCACUAAAAUUUUUUAUGUCUACAAAUGCCCCGUCUUCAAGACAAACACACACAUGCAUUGUCAUGUAUAAAAGAUGAGUCUUGAAGUUAGCAUUUUGAAUCUUUAAUAUCCUUCUUUGAUAUUUUUUUUUUCAAAGAAAUAUUUUAAUAGGAAAUUUCCUAUUUCAAAAUACCUUUCUUCAACUUUUUCCAAAAACGACUUUAUUUUCUUCCUUUUUUUCUACCUGGUAUCAAGGAAAGACUUUGUGUUAAUGGGAAAGUUUCUUAUUUGAACAUAUAUUUGCUUUUCUCAUGGUAUUUUCACUUCCAAUUUAUCAUCCUACAAGAAGUCCUUCACCCUUGGUCGAUUGUAUCUUAGACUUGAUCACAUGCCUUUAACUUGUAAUUCUUGCUCCACUUUAUUUAUUUUAUUUUAUUUUAUUUUAUUUUUAAAAAAGAAUACAAUGUAUAUGAGCAAGACCUUGAGCAAGAGGAGCAAGGUGGAGGGUGGAGCAUGAGCUAGCCUUAGGGUAAGACCUUGAGCAAGAGAAGUAAUGUGGAGUGUAGAUCACAAACUUCUCUGGAGCAUGGUAGGCAUACCGUCACAGAAUUGUCUUCCACAUGGAGCAUGGUAGGGUUUAUACAUAUGAUAGGGUGUGCCAUCAUGUAACAAUGAAGAACAACAAUCCAUGGUGUACAAUUGGGAACAACAAUUCAUGCUAUCAAGCUUCAACAUUUUUUUUUACCCCCAUCUCCAUUUUUUCAACUUCUUUUUUUUUUUUUUGUCCUUUUUUUUUCCCUUUUUUUAAGCAUUGUUUUUAAGGAAGAAAUAGGUUUGCCAUCCCUUACUAUGAGGUCAAUAUCCAUCACUUGCAAAGACAAAUUUGCUUUUUGAUAUUUUUUCUUCUUCAAUAAUUAACUUAACAUUUUAAUAUAUAUAUAUAUAUUUUAACAAACUUGAAUAUUCAUAAUAAAAUAAAUAUUUAAUGUCUUUACUCAUCCAAAUUAGCUUGACUUGAAUACUUAGUAGAUCCAUACUUAACACCCAUGUAGACGAGCUGUAACCUUGAUGGCAGGUUGUGUUGUAUUUUCGACACUUAAUGUGCCUUAAGAGUUAAAGUCUUCUCUCAUACAAAUUAGCUUGGUUUGGAUGCACAAUGGUGUGUAACUUUUUAACACUUUAUUAAACUUGGAACCAUAUUUAACACCCACGUAGACAAGUCAUAAUCAUGACAUGGAUCACUGUUUUAUUUUUAGCUCUUAAUGUGGCUUAAAUAUUAAAUUCUUCACUCAUACAAAUUAAAUUGGGUUAGAUGCACAAUGGUGUUCAACUUGUUAACAGUUAAUUAAAAUUAGAACCAUAUUUAACACCCAUACAAACAAGUCAUAACUUUGACGUGGAGCAGUGUUGUAUCUUUGGCUUAAUGCCGCUUAAGUGUUAAAGUCUUCACUCAUAUGAAUUAGCUUCACUUAGAUGCAUAGUUGUAUUAUACUUUUUAACACUUAAUUUAAAUUUGGACCAUAUUGAAAACCCAUGUGAACAAGACAUAACCUUGUAGUGGUGUUAUAUUUUUGACACUUAAUGUAGCUUAAAUGCUAAAGUCUUCACUUCUAUGAAUUGGUUCACCUUGGAUGAAUAGUGAUGUCUAAAUUGUAAUAAUUAAAAUUGAAACCAUAUUUAACACUCAUGUAGAUAAUCAUAACUUUGACGUAAUGGCAUUGUAUUUUUGACACUUAAUGCAGCUUAGGUGCUAAAGUUUUCACUCAUGAGAAUUGGUAUGAGUUAGAUGCAUUGUGGUGUCCAACUUUUUAACACUCAAUUAAAAUUGGAACCAUAUUUAACACCAAUGUAGAUAAGUCAUAACCUUGACGUGAAGCGAUAUUGUAUUUUUGACACUAAAUGCAACUUAGGUGCUAAAGUCUUCACCCACGCAAAUUGGUUCAUCUUGGAUGCACAAUGGUGUCGAAUUUUUUUAACAUAUAAUUAAAAUUUGAACCAUAUUUGACACUCAUGUAGACAAGUCAUAACCAUGAUGUAGAGUAGUGUUGUAUUUUUAACACUUAAUAUGACUUUACUGGUAAAUUCUUUACUCAUGUGAAUUGCCUUGAUUUGGAUGCACAACUAACUUUUUAACAUUUUAUUAAAUUGGGUAUCAUAUGUGUUGUUUUUUUAACACUUAAUACGACUUUAGUGGUAAAUUCUUUACUCAUGUGAAUUGUCUUGAUUUGGAUGCACAAUGAUGCCUAACUUUUUAACAUUUUAUUAAAUUGGUAUCAUAUUUAACACCAAUGUAGACAAGUCAUAACUUUAAUGUAGAUGCGGUGUAGUAUUUUUGGCACUUAAUAUUGUUUAAGUGCUAAAGUCUUCACUCAUGUGAAUUUUCUUGGUUGAGAUGCACAAUGGUGUGUAACAUUUUAACAUUUAAUUAAAAUUGGAACCAUAUUUAACACUCGUGUAGAGAAGUCAUAACCUUGACAUGGAGUAAUAUGCAAUUUUUUUAUAUUUAAUAUGACUUAAGUGCUAAAGUUUUCACUCAUGCGAAUUGACUUGACUUGGAUGCAUAGUGAUGUCUAACAUUUUAACACUUAAUUAAAAUUAGAGCUAUAUUUAAUAAUCAUGUGGACAAGAAAUAACUUUGACGUGAAACAAUAUUGUAAUUUUGACACUUAAUGUUGCUUAAAUGCCAAAGUCUUCACUCAUACAUAUUGACUUAGCUUGGAUGAAAAGUGGUAUCCAACUUUUUGACACUUUCUUAAAUUUGGAAUUAUGUUUAACAUCAAUAUAGACAAGUAAUAACCUUGACGCAGAGUGAUGUUAUAUUUUUAGCACUUAAUAUAGCUUAAGUGCUAAAAUAUCCACUUCUAAGAAUUGACUUGGCUUGGAUGCAUAAUGGUGUCCUACUUUUUAACACUUAAUUGAAAGUGAAAUCAUAUUUAACACCCAUUGUAUGCUAGUCGUAAACUUGAUAUAGAGCAUUGUGCAACUUUUUAACACUUAAUGCGACUUAAAGUGCUAAAGCCUUUACUCAUAUGAAUUAAUUGAACUUAGAUGCACAUUUGUUUCCAACUUUUUAAUACAUAAUUAAAAUUAAAACCAUAUUUAAAAACCAUGUAGACAAAGACAUAAUCUUAACAUGGAGCUAUGUAUAACUCUUAACACUUAAUUAAAAUUGAGAUUACACUUAACAACCACAUAUUCCUCCUAUUUUUCAAUUUUUUCUUGUGGUGAUGAUUGAACUUAACUAGUUUGUCCAAGUUGCCUAUAUACCCUUAACAGAGAGGGAAUCAAGUCAAACUUAGUUCAAAGUAUUUCUUUUAAUCUCUAACUUUUGCCAAGGCUAAUGAUUUUAAUCUUACAAGCUUGUCUUAACUUUUGACCAUAUAUGUAGUCUUUUUAGGUUUCAAUUUAACGGCCUAUAUAUGACUUGUACAAAUUGAAAAUGACUUCAAUCAUGUGUAAAAAAUAAUAAAAGAUAUUCAUUCCUAGUUUUAGGGCAACGAAAAAUAGUUGAUCCUUUUUUAUAUUAUUAUUAUUGUUGUUGUUAUUAUAAUUAUUAUUUCACCUUACAAAAAGACCUUCUGCAAUUAAUAUUUUAUACAUAUAUAUAUAUAUAUAUUUUAUCUUUUAUAUAUUUAGUUUUCAUAGUAUUUUUUAAUUCAAUAUAUAUAUUUUUUAAAUAUCUAUACUUUCGGUCAAUGUCUCAAAUUUAAAGCACGUGCAUGCUCUAGAAAUUCUCAAGUUGUAGGCUUGUGGCCUACAAUGUCAACUUAGAGUUUGAUGAAAAAGCGCAUAAACAAAGACAAAAAAAUUAAUCUACAAGUACUUGGAUUCUAUUUGAAUAAAAAAGAGCCACCCACAUGCAUGGAAUAAAUAUAUAUCCCAUGGAUUAGUUGUAUUUAGCCACGGCUGAAGCUUUCCACUAUGACUUAAAAAAAAAAAAAAAGAGGAUAAUGCCAUUAAAAAACUGAUUGCUACGUGGGUAUGCCUGCCAGUAGAUGGCUGAAAACUAAGUUCUAUUCUUUUCAAUAGUUGAGAGAUUCAAUGGCAACUAUCGUAUAAACAAUGUUUCAUAAAUUACUUUUAAAUUUUGACAGCAAAGACUAAAAAUGUAAAACCAUAAAAAAUUUGUUCCAUUCCCAAAUUUUUAAAAAUAAAAUUGAAAAUAAUAUAUUAACGCCCAUGACUGUUUUCACAUCUUAUUCUCAUUUCUAUCAAUGCAAUCAUCGUAAGCAUCUUAUCUAGAAAUAUGGCCUAGAGCCAUAGAGCUGCCUUUUCUUUAGUCCUAGAGCCAUUUCAUGAGCUAAUAGUAGUCUUUCCUUAGCAUUUCCAGCCCAAAGCUCCCAUUUCCUUAGGCCUAGAGACGUUUUCAGCCCAGAGCCGCUGUUUCUUUCGGCCUAUAACCAUUUUCAGCCUGAAGCUGCCUUUCUCUAGCAUUUUCAGCCCAAAGCUUCCUUUCCUUGGCAUAUUAGCCCGAAGCUUCUAUUUCUUUAGGCCUGGAGCCAUUUCAACCCAGAACUGUCAUUUCUUCUAAAUAGCUUCUCUUUUAAAAGACUUCAGUUUGUCUUUCUAGUCACAAAAUUUAAGGCUUUGUUCCAGGUUUGAAGAAGCUGGUAAAAAUCUGGCUGUUGACUAAGCUCAACUAAAAAACAGUAAAGCUUGCUGACCUGGGUAAUAAAUAACAGCUAUCUUGGCAGUAUUGUUAGUUAGUUAGAGGUUUUUUUUUUACUAUUAUAAAAGGUGCAGACUUGGGAAAACUGAAAUAAGGUAUUCAAUUGUACAGAAUAGAGAGCAAGAAAAGCAGAGAGCUUUGAAAUCCAUAACCACAGGUCUGUUUCGGUUUUCCUAUAGAGAAAAGAAAGAAACAGAGGUGAGGAGGGUUCUUGGGGAAAGCCUAUAAGUUCUUUGUUUUUUAUUCUUGUGUAAAUUCUGGUUGGUACAAUUUAAUAAAGGCUUCAGGAAAUCAGUGUGAAUGUAGAUCAAGUUGAUCGAACCACGAUAAUUCUCUUGUGUUCUUGAUCUUGGUUGAUUGUCUACAAGCUGUUUGAUUUUAUUCCUAAGAGAAGUUCUUGCAAACUGGUUGUCUUUUUCUGGUUUAGUUUCUGCUCUAAUAGUCCCUAAUUCAAGACUGGCUUUUCUCAACAGCAUGGUUUGAAACACAUAAUUUUCACCAUUCAAAUGCAAAACAAUUAACUAAUUUCAAAUGCUAUGUGUUGUUUCCUUCUAAUUUCCCCUUUAUUUUUUUUUCUCUCCUAUUUUCCUUCAAAUUUUUGGAAAACCAAACAGAGCCUAAAAGAAAAGAUAAUUUUACUUAUUUUGAAAGUUGUUUCAUGUUAAUUUAAUGAAGCAUUUAUAAUAUUAAGAUCGCCCUUUCAUAAUCAUGAGGUAACCUUAGUUUCAACUUCUACAAGAGGCUAAAUGAAAAAAGCUAUCACAGAGAAGAAGGCCUCAGCCAAUGAGUGGAAAAUACAAUUUUAUUAAUACUUGAUAUCAAAAAAAAGAAAAAAAAAAAAAAGGAUGAUUUUACUUUCAAACCAAGGAUUUAUUUAUGUUGAAGUGCAGUCUCCAUAUGCACAUGUGACUGCAUUUACAGGAUAAAGAAAGACAAGGAAAUUAACAAUGUUGGACUUACUGGAAAAUCAUACAAAUUAUUGAAGGAGGACCUUAGCUAGGCUAACUGUCUCCUAAAUUGCCCAUCUUUUAUAUAUCUUUGCAAUCAUCCAUCUCAUCAUCAGCUUUGAUUUUAGAUGGUGAGGAUGUGAAAGUAACAGGAAGCAGUGGACGAUUGUUCACAGUGAGGCUUAGCACAUCAGCUCUCGAAUAAUGUCCUACCACAUCGAACUGGAACUUUGCUUUAGGAAUCUCUCCACGAACAUCUGCAUAUCAAGUGAUCAUCAAAAUAUUUGAUCAGCCCGUGAUAAAUAUCAUAGAGUAUCAAGUCUUCCAUGAAACCAUGUUUGCAGUCCUUUUAAACCUAAAGAAUUGACUCAUUUGCCUUAUCUGCAUACUGAAAUAUUUGGAUAUACAAUUGGAGAAGUUAGGGCCAUACCAAGAUCAGCUGUGAAGAGGCCUUCUCCUUCAUAAUUUGGUCCUGCUAGAAUUUCGCCAUGGGGCGAAAUGAUGACACUACCUCCAGCCCAAACAAUAGAAUCUGGAGUGACAUCUUCUUCUGUAGGACUGUAAAGAUACUCAGGUGGAGGUGGGUAAUCUUUCCUCCGACAGAACUGGAUGGGUGAAAGAACAUAGCAUCCACCCUCAAUAGCGAUGUGUCUCAUUGUGGCUACCCAUUUAUCCCCGGAAUCGGCAGUAGGAGCACAAUAUAUCUCAAUACCUAUAUAUAUGAACAUUGGUAUUCUGUGAUCAAUCAAUCCCAUAUCAAAGCCACAAUGUAUUUCAAGACUGCUUAGAUUAAAACCCUAAUAAUGUAAAAGGGUGCUGGAGGUCCUAUUUGGUAAUUGUCUUCGGAACAGUUUUGAGAAAUAGUUUUUGAAAGUUGUUCUUUAAUAGUUUAUAAAACAUAAGAAUAUUUGAAACCUAAAAUAUAUUCAACUUAUUAAAAAUAAUUUUUAUAUUUAAUACUUUAUUUUUAAAUAUUCUUCAUAUUUAUAUAAUUAUUUUUUAAAACAACCUUAAAAACAAAUGAAAACAAUGAAGAAAAAAGUUUAAAAAAUAUUAUCUGAAAACAUUUUGUUUUAUGUUUCUAAGAAAAAACAAAAAGCGGUAUUCUAAUUGUCAAUUGUGUUUUCCUAAAUUUUUUUUGGAUAACAAAAGAUUCCUCUAAAAUAUAAUUGUGAAACAAAGCCAAACUAUUUCAAGCCAAACCAUACUAGUUAAUGAAGAAAAAAAAAUGGUAAAAGAUGUACCUUUGCCAUACAUUGAUGUCCUGAAAAGAGGCAUUCUAUUUUCCCAACAAAUGACCGAACCAAGUUUUCCAUAUGGAGUGUCAUAAAUUGGAGUUGUCGAGCAAUCUCCGAAACCCCAGAAGAGCCGCUCCCAAUAUGUUGGCAUGAGUUUCCUAUGUUUUCCAAGGUAAUUGCCUUCAGGAUCAAAGAAGAGAACAGUGCAAUACAAUGUGUAUCCAUCUCUCUCAACAACACCUGUCACUAAGUAGACUUUGUAUUUCGCAGCCAUUGAUGCCAAUCUAUCAACUUCAGGUCCUGAAAAUACAUUAAUAUGAG